UGGAAGCUUCUCUCGCAUGCAUCAUUCCAAAUGAACUUGACUCCUUUAUGCGUGAGACCGGUUCCCGAAAGGGGAACCUUCAGGACUUAGCCAAAUUUAGGCUUCCUCUCGCGGGUGUCGCGCACGGGGACCGGUCCCCUCAGCCAGGGACCGGUCGCAUCGGCCUUGCCCCGCGACCCUCAGCUACGGGGACCGGUCCUUCCCUCUAGGGACCGGUCCCCGAGAGCAAAAAUCUGCUGAGUCCAGAUUUUAUCUAUUUGCUCUCGCGGACUCAACUCCAAAGCACUUUUUGUGUUUUGGGCAUUCUUAACUCCCACAAAGGGUAUUCUCUCGACAGUGAGUCGAUCCUGGACAAAGUACAAUCCUCGUAUUUCGAGAAUUCACUUCCUUACACUGGCAUUAGGCUCUGACGUGCUCCAGGAAGCUGAGGACAAGAUUCGUAUUGCUCGGGAGCGACUUUUGACGGCACAGAGUAGACAUAGGAGCUACGCCGACCGACGACGGUGAGACUUGGAGAUCCAAGUUGGAGACCAUGUUUUCUUAAAGGUCUCGCCGACUAGAGGGAUCAGGAGAUUCAGGAUUCGGGGAAAGUUGAGCUCCCGUUUCAUUGGACCGUAUGAGAUUUUGGAACGUGUAGGUCCGGUAGCGUAUCGACUUGCUCUACCACCGAACCUAUCGGGCGUACACAACGUCUUCCAUGUAUCGGUCCUUCGGAAGUACAUCUUCGACCCGACUCAUGUGUUGGAUGCUACACCUGUGGAGUUGCGGGACGACUUGAGCUUCGAGGAGCAACCAGUGAAGAUCUUGGCUCGCGAGGUUAAGAAACUACGGAAUCGGGACAUUCCGUAUGUAAUGGUCCUUUGGAGCAACCACGAGGAUCGGGAGGCCACGUGGGAGCUAGAGAGCGCGCUGCAGGAGCGCUAUCCCCAUCUCUUACAGAUGGAGUCUUGAGGUAUGUAGUUUGAUUUCGAGUUUCGCGGACGAAACCCCUUUUUAGGAGGGGUGAAUGUAACACACUGGACCUUUGCAAAUUGCGAGGUUCAAGUGUUUGAUCUGUGUUCCGAGCUUUGCCAGAUAUUCUGGAAGGUCGUUGACAGUGUUUUGACCUAUGGCUCGCAUCCCAAGAAUUGAGGUUUAAAGCUUGUACCAAAAUCCAAAAAGAUGGAUUGUUGGUCCUGCUCUCGGGUCAGCCUCAGCCAGGCUGUGUACCGGUACAGCCUUGAUGGUUGUACUGGUACAGGAUUUGUACCGAUACACCUUGAUGAUUGUACCGGUACACUUCGGGUUUUCUACCAACCCGAGGCUCGGGUUGGGCUGUUUCAUAGGAAGUGUACCGGUACACUUUCCCGUGUACCGGUACACUUUCCCGUGUACCGGUACACAAUGCAGACUGGGCUGUUUUCGAGGAGGGGUGUAUUUGCAAUUAUUGCAACCUCUUUAAAUACCACCCCAGCCCCUUUAGCUGCUCUUUUGAGCCCUAGACCUGUGGAGAAAAGGUGAGAACUCUUCCCCUUUGGAUUCUUCUCCAUUUUUGGUGGAUUUUAGUUGGUUUUGAUCUCUCCUUUCUUCUCCUCCUUGUUUUUUGUUGGGUUUCCUCCAUUGUUGAGACUUGGAGCUUGAAGAAGAGCUUGUUUGAGAAGAGAUCUCCAACCCUACUUGGUUUGGAGCUUGGUUUGGGGCAUCUUGUGAGGUUUGUAGCAUGUAUUUCUCUUUUCAUACAUGUUUUAGUGGAUUUGGAUCUUGUAACCCUAGAUUUUGAGAUUUAGGGUUAGAACUAGGAACUUUUGAUUUGAGGCUUCUAGAACCAAAUUGAUUGGUUUAGAAUCAUGGUUUAGGUUGGCUUUGAAGGAUUCUUACUCCCUUUUGGAAAUCAAGAGAGAUUUUCACCAUUUUCGGUGAGUUUUUAGCCCUUUCUUUGAGUUGCUUAAUGUUUGAACUCAUGAAUUGUCGUUUCGAUGUUACUCCCCUAGCCUAUCUCUUAGGGUGCUAGGAGUGAUUAUCGAAGCUUCGUUAGCGUUUCGGACGCCCGCGCGGAGCUUUUGGUGGGUUCGGCUUCAUGUGAAUAGGGGAAAAUUCCUCCUAAGGGGUUAAUAUGUGUUGUAUUAUCAUUUUGCAUGCAUUUUCAUACUAGAUAGGAUUUAUGUGAAUUUUGAAUACUUAAAAUGCAUGUGUUGCGUAUCAUGAAAAUCCUUCUCUACAUAGUAGAGCAUUAUGUGUAGUGUACAUGAAUGUUUAAAGUAUUCUCUUUUUCAAGUUGGAAAAUAUGUUGCAUGUGAGGAAGAUGGUUGAAAUAUGUAUUCAUGAAUAUUAAACUCAUGUUUGAAUAUAGUGAACUAGAAUGCCAUAAAGGGGCACUUGACUUAGCAAAUUGUGAAAUUGCAACAUAGAGACAUAGUGAUAGGCCAUCGAGACAUAUGCUAUAUUUCAUGUUUUAGACAUGACGACAUAGUGAUAGGCCAUUGAGAUAUUUUCCACAUUCCAUGUUUUAGACAUGAUGACUUGGUAUUUGAGACGGACUUUUACGCUUGCUUGCCAUUGUGCUCAUUCACACAUGCUUGUAAGGGUCGCUCCCUACAAGCCGGCACUCCGGAGAUAGCCAUCGCGACAUAUGCUCGCUCGUGCGGGAUUGGGCGCCGAAAUGGAAUGCCGUGGGGGAAGCUCAUUCCUAGAGUGGGGAUGUUGACUACCACGGGGCCAUUAGGCACGGCGCAGGCCAGACAGCCUACGGAUGGGUCUUACAUGAUUGGAACUUAGUGACAGAACAUGCCAUUUGGACUUUGACCAGAAUAGUAAACAAUGACAUUUACUAUUUAGCUUGUGGACAUUAUGUUAGUGAUGCUCGUUUAUAUUCUGUUACAGUAGCUUUAUUACUUAUGCAAUUCAUGCUAAGUAGAGAUAUCAUGUUGUAGUAAGUUACAUGUUUACUUACAUAUCGAUUCUAUUGCUUUUAUUGUUACUUACCUGUUUAGCUCUUUUGGGCCUAGUGGUGCUUUCACUGAAGUCAGUAAUUGCCACUGGGAACUAUUAUUUAAUAGUUCUCACGCCCCCGUUUCUAUGGUUUUAUUUCAGAGCCCUCUACACCGGUGGAGGCACGGGACCGCGGCAAGGGGAUCGCUUAGCUAGCUAGCGAGGAGCGUUUCUUUUGCAUUUUGGUAGUUCGCUCUCCUUUUGUUGUAGUUGAGAGAGAGAGAGUUAUGUUAGUACCUUGUAUAGAGAGACCACCUAUGUAUCUGGUUUAGCAUUUGUACUUUGGAUGUUUAUUGUACUACUUUCUAUUUUUUCUUAGUGGAUUUAGCUCUAUAUUCAUUUCGGUUAUUGUAGCAUCUAGACAUACUUGCUCUGAUACUGCUAGAUGUUUUCUUUAUCUUGCUUUAUUUAUCGUUUUAUUUUAGACGCCUUAUAUGUUUUAGACGUAUGCCGGGUCUGGGCACGUGCCGGGCGGGCUUUCGCUGGGUCCCGGGGCGUGACAACGGAACUCAUAGCAAGUAUGAUCCAUUCUUAACUCUAAGGAUAUAUAGUUCAAUCAUUGUCUUUACACUAACUCUAGUGUUCUUUACAUCACUUUAUUUUGCUAACUCUAGCAAUCAUCGUUCUUUAACUUUACUCGUUCUUUAUGCCAAACUUUGCAUUAACUUUAACCAUUAUCAUUGUUCUUUUCAUCACAUUGAUUCUUUGAUGCCACACACUAACUUUAGUGUCGACUAUAUACUUUCGAAUGCCACUCGAUCUAUGCUCAUUGUGUCUCGUUGUUCUUUUGCCUCACUUGGGUGCUCACAUUUUAUCUCAUGCAUACAUAUAGGGUUAAACAUUCAUAGGGGUUCUCAACCAUCUCAUUAGGCAAAUUGUACUCACAACAUGCAACAUUACAUUAUUCUCAUUACAUAUACCCUACUAUGCUUGCAACAAUGUAUAUAACAUAUACUCAAUUGAAUGACACACUAGGCAUAGAAGGAAGUUCAACGAGUUUGGAUAGCACCACCCACCUCGUAGGUUCUCAAAGGUGCUCCGACGAUUUUCUUGGGAUUUUUAGACACCCGGUUCGCUACCUGCGAGUUAACGAAGCCAAAUUAGGCUUAUUUGGCCGUAACUUUACAUCGGGUUUUCGUAACGUUAAUCCGAGCACACCAACGCGUCGGAAAUACCCCCAAUUAGGUUUCUAGAGGGUCAAUUGCACUUUAGAACCCUCGCAAGCAAAAGCCCCAAUUUUGGUGCCCUAGCUCAUAACAUACAUCAAACCUAGGGUUUGAUCUCAUUGGGAAGCAAAAGAAGCUUCAUUCUACGCUAAAGACUCCACAAAAACCAUCUUUAGUUCAAUCCAAACCCUAGUUUGGAUUCUACCAUGAGAGGGGUUGAAGCUCUCCUUCAAGCUUCACCUUCCACACCAUUCCAUGGUUUUGAUCUCAAAAUGAAGCAAAAGAUAGCUUCAAACACUCUAUAGGUUCUAUUAAAACCAUUUCUAGGUCCAUCCAAACCCUACUUUGAGCUUUACCACUAUUGGGGUUCAAAGCUUACCUUGUAAGCUUUCCUUUUCCAAGCUAGGGAAGGAGAGGAGGGGUCUUCUUCUCUUCCUUGCCUUCUUCUUCACCUUCUUCCUCUUCUUUUCCUUUCUUCUUCUUGUCUUCUUCUUCUCCUUCUUGUCUUCUAGAGAGAGAAAGAGAGAUGAGAGGGGGAGUGUGAGGGAGAGAAUGAGAUGAAAAGCCCUCAAAGCCCCCCACUUAACCAUUGGGUUGCACAAAUGCAAAUAGGCCCCUCAACUUUCACUUUAUUGAACUGCUUGAACUGGGCAGUUUUCGGGUUCGGGGACCGGUCUCCCAACUUGGGACCGGUCCCAGAGAGCUCUCCCGCAGCUCAGUGAGGGCCUUCGCACGAGGCAACCGGUCUCUCCCACAGAGACCGGUCUCUCGGGGACCGGUCUCUCCCCGCAGGGACCGGUUCCCGAGAGCUGGUUUUCUGGGACUUAGCCGAUUUGCAGCCUUUCUCAUUUCUCACGCGUUCGGGGACCGAUCUCUACCACCAGGGACCGGUCCCCGAGAGCUCAAAAACUGUAGUUUGCAGAUUUUUGAUUCUUUAGCUCUCGAAAACCUCCCACAACGCAUUUUUGAUCAUUUUAACACCUUCGGACUUUCCGAAGUGUACCACCCUCGCACUUUGGUCAAUUUGACUAAAGUUCGAUAUUUAUUUUUCAAAUUUUCGGUAUAUUACAUUCUCCACCCUUAAAAUAAUUUCGUCCGCGAAAUUACGCAUACCUUAACUCGUCGAUUCAAAUAGAUGUGGAUACUCUCUCCGCAUGAUCUCCUCGAGCUCCUAAGUGGCUUCUCGCGCCGCAUGGUUGCUCCAUUGGACCUUCACAUAUGGAAUUCUGCGACUCCGCAGCUUCCUUUCUUCUCGAUCGAGGAUGCACACCGGGUACUCCUCGUAAGACAUAUCUUCACGUAGCUCCACGGGCUCGUACUCCAAUAUAUGUGUCGAGUUUCGAAUAUACUUUCGGAGAUUUGACACAUGAAAAAUAUUGUGAACUCCUGCGAGUCUCGAUGGUAGUGCGAGCUUGUAUGCUACCGCACCCACACGCUCCAAUAUCUCAAACGGUCCGACAUAACAGGGACUUAGCUUCUCGUGGACCCCAAACCGCUUUACUCCUCGCAUCGGCGAUACUCUCAAAAAUACGCGGUCUCCAACCGCGAACUCUAAAUCUUUUCUUCUCUUGUCGGCAUAACUCUUUUGCCGAGAUUGUGCCGCCGCUAACCGUUGACGGGCAAGGCGAACUGUAAUGCAUUGGAAAAUUGACCUUGAGCUAAUUGUAAUCAAGUUGAUCACAAUGAUGUCAAAAUAGAAAUUAAGUGUUAAUGAACUUAAUUAGUAGAUUGAGAACAACAAUUGACUUAUUUUGGAACUGUGUAAGUGGGCUCGAAGUGAAUCGGAAGUGCCAAGUGUCACGCCCCGCCCCGAAACCACUACCAAUUUGGCACGGUUCGGUCGCGGCGACAGACCGCCGAACGGACAGCACCUCCCCUGUCCACCCAAGGCUCAACAACAGGAAUGUGUACAAGGAUUUACCCAGGACUUUAAAUUCUAAACAUACACAUUCAACGAGGGCACAAACAGUGCCAACAACGAGAAGAGCAAGUAAUCCACAAGAUAUAGUAUGUGAAAUAAAGAGAGUACUUUACUAACUAUUACAAUAGUUACAUUCUUUACAUUUACAUCAUUCUCCAAAAUGAAUACAUUUGAUCCUCAAAAUACAUAGCUCUCCAACCUCACCAUCAUGAAUCUCUCUCAAUACAUAGGUGUGCUAAUGCAAAAAGGGAAGCUACUAUACUACCACGGUCUCACUGAUCGGGCGCGAUGCCCUUGCCGCGGUCCUCUCUCGGCAACCCUGUACCUACCACUGGAAAUGGGAUGGGGUGAGAACUAUAUUCCAUAGAUUCCCAGUGGUCGGCCGCCGACUCUGCUGAUUCUCCCACUAGUGUCAAGUUGGGCAUCAGAGCAACAAACAGGUAGAUAGAUAGAUAGAUAUCUGAAAGUUUGUAAUAUGCAAGUUAGUAGCGAAAACUAUGCUUACAUAUGCCCAUAAUCAUGUAAUGUGGAUGCACUGCAUCUAAUAAAUAAGUUUUUACCAGGGCUAACAGAUGUCAUAUCCAUGUUCGAAUAGCUUAGUGUUCAAUGACAUUUAUUAACAACCUUAACUCUUUAUUUACCCAAUCUGUGGCGAGGCCUUAGGGCUGGCCAAUUACUCAGUCUUCAAAUCCCAAAGUGUGGGAAGUGGAGCUCCAAGUGACACCAGCCCGGGACCGUCUGGGGACUCAUUGGUCCGGACCUCCAAGUGGUCCUAGUUCGCGGUGACACUCGCGGACACUCGACGACAAUCCCUCCUAUGUGGGGAAUUGGAUGGCUAUACACCCUAACGCGACUGUGAGCCUAAUCUAUCCUCGAGUGAGGGAUACACUUGACAACUAGGUCAACACCAAGUCGCAGAUCUCUCAAGUAAUGGAGGCUCUACAACAGCUAGCGCUCACAUAAUCCAACUCGAAUCCUCUCCAAGUGAGGAAGCACUCUAUAACUAGAGUCAACAUCUCUCGCGGGAUCAUUUGUUCCCGACAUCCAUGCAAUGCUAUUUAGUUUUCUAAAUUCAUUGUUCACAAGGCAUUUUCUAAGGGAUCCACCUAUCCCUAGGUCCAUCGACCUCUAGUGUCAUUUACACUACAUUAAUGCCACUCGUCAUCAUUUAACAUUUGGAUGCCACUCGUGUGUUCUUUAACACUAAACACUACUUUCUAUGUCAUCAAUACCCCCAUCGGGUUCACCUCUUUUCUUUUACAUCAUAGGAUCCACGUUCCGACCCAAUCCUCACCUAUCUAAGUUACCAAGCGUUCCAAGUACACUAGGUUAUCAUUUAGAAAGCAUAAGGAAUGGAGCUACUAUGCAAUCCUACAAUGCAACAUGAAGAGAUGAGAUCAAAUGCAAUCUAAGACAUAGAAAGGAGUUCGAAAGCUUCGGGAUGACACCCCCCACCUUUUACCAACGUAGAGGUUUUAGAAGCGCUCCUCGACGAGCUUUACGAAAAGGCUUUUGCCUUCCCUAAUCCAAGAUAGCGCCGAAACGACCGUAAUUCGCCGAUUGUUCUAAGUCCGCUCGACGAAUCGCGAAAUCGACUUCGCCCCCGCGUUUGGGCACCUAUCGAUGAGGUUUACAAGGCCUCAAAUGAGAUCAAUCUCAUACUUUACAAAAUGCCCCCAUUUGGAGCCCUAGGUUUGCACAUAUAGCAAACCACCAAUAAAAUCCUAGAUUCUUGGGAUUGAUCUACUUAGAAGCAUGCUUGGGGUCCAUUUGACCCAUUCCAAAGCAUAAAAACCCAAAGCCCUAAGUUUACAAAGUAGGGUUUAGUAGCUUACCUCAAGAGCUACACCAAUGGGAAGAGGAGAGGGAGAUGGAGGUGCUCCAAGCCUUCCUCUUGAUCUCCUUCUUUUUCUCCUUCCUUAUCUUCUUCCUCUUUUCCUUCCUCUCCUUCUUGUUCUCCUUCUCCUUCUUUCCUUUCUAGAGAGAGAGGGAGAGAAAUAGAGAGAUGAGAGUGAGAGAGAGGAAUGAGAGAGUGUGAGGGAGAGAGAGGGCCCAGCCCACUCUAAUAAAGGCCAUUUUGCAUUUAGACCCCUCAACUUUUAACCCCUUGCGCAGCCCUCGCUGGGCAGUUUUCGUGCAGAGGGACCGGUCUCCCCGACUUGGGACCGGUCCCCGAGAGCUUCCCUCGGGCGCACGCGUUCGGGUACCGGUCUCUCCCCGGGAGACCGGUCCUCGGGAGACAGGUCCUCGCCUGAGAGACCGGUCCCCGAGAGCUCAAUUUUCAGGACUUAGCCAAAUCUCGGCAUUUCUCGCUGGAACCACGUUCGGGAACCGGUCCCUCACUGCCAGGGACCGGUUGCACCAUGCAACCCCGCACGCCCAGCCGAUGGGACCGGUCUCUCACCUCCAGAGACCGGUCCCCGAGAGCAACUUCAGCCCAAUAAUGCUGUUUGCAUCGUUAGCUCUCGUGGACUCAACUCCAAAGCACUUUUUGUGUUUUGGACAUUUUUAACUUCCCCAGAGGGUAUUCUCUCAACAAAUAGUCGAUCCUGGACGAAGUAUAACUCUCGAAUUUCGAGAAUUCACUUCCUUACAUUCUCCCCUCCUUAAAAGGAGUUUCGUCCUCGAAACGAACAAAUUCUUUAACUUUUAAUUUAAACUUAUACCUCACUCCUCAAACAGAUGAGGAUGGUGCUUUCUCAUCAGAUCCUCGAGUUCCCAGGUGGCCUCGCGAUCAUCAUGAUUGCUCCACCUGACCUUUACAUAGGGAAUUUCUCGAUUCCUCAACUUUCGCACCUCUCGGGCGAUAAUUCCUACCGGAAACUCUUCAUAGCUCAAGUCUCCUUGAAGUUCCGGCGGUUCAUAUAGCAUCGCAUGCUCCGGGUCGUGAAUAUACUUGCGGAGAUUGGAGACAUGGAACACAUUGUGCACAUCCGCAAGUUUCGGCGGUAAAGCAAGCCGAUACGCCACCGUACCAACUCGCUCCAAUAUCUCAUAUGGCCCAAUGUACCGGGGACUCAGUUUUCCCCGUACUCCAAACCGCUUCACACCACGCAUUGGUGAAACCUUCAGAAAUACGCGGUAACCCACCGCGAACUCUAUAUCUCGUCGGCGCCUAUCUGCAUAGCUUUGCUACCUCGACUGCGCCGUGAGCAAUCUCUUGCGAGCAAGGCGGACUUUCUCCUCCGCUUCUCGCAACACAUCAGGGCCGAACUCUGCCCGUUCACCUACAUCGCUCCAAUGUAUAGGAGACCGACACGUCCGCCCAUAAAGAGCUUCGAACGGUGCCAUCUCUAUACUCGCAUGAUAACUGUUAUUGUAGGCGAACUCGGCCAUAGGUAGGUGAUCACACCAACUUCCCUUAUAGUCGAUGACACACGCUCGCAACAUAUCCUCCAGAGUUUGAAUGGUUCUCUCUGUUUGCCCAUCGGUUUGAGGAUGAAAUGCGGUACUAAAAUCGAGCCGUGUGCCAAGGGCUUCUUGCAGGCUUUUCCAAAAGUGUGAAGUGAACCGGGGGUCACGAUCCGACACGAUCGAUUUCGGCACCCCAUGCAGUCUCACUAUCUCGUCAAGAUAUACCCGCGCUAACUUGUCACCCGACCACGUGGUGUGGAUCGGCAAGAAGUGAGCCGACUUCGUCAAUCGGUCCACAAUUACCCAAAUUGCAUCGUGGCCGCCCGUUGAGCGAGGCAAGCUGACCACGAAGUCCAUCGAUAUAUCUUCCCAUUUCCAAACGGGGAUUGGUAGGCUUUGAAGCUUUCCCGCUGGAAAUCUACGCUCUGCCUUCACUUGCUGGCAUGUUAAGCACUUCGCCACAAAGCGUCCAACAUCACCCUUCAUUCCCGGCCACCAAUAGUGCAUUUUUAGUCCUUGAUACAUCUUGGUGCCGCCCGGGUGAUCAGCAUACGGAGAUCUGUGUGCUUCUUGUAGAAUCAACUCGCGAAGCUCUCCAUCCUUCGGCACACACCAUCGGUUUCUAAACCGAAGCGCACCAUCGGCGUUUAUACUAAAAUCGCCGCCUCGACCAUCCUCGAUGUUUCGCCGCACCUUCUGGAGUUCUGGGUCCGCAGGUUGCAGAUCUUUAAUCCUCUCCAACAAGGUCGGUUGGACAACGAGUGCCAUCAACUGGGCUGGAAUCUCGGGAGGAACCACUUCAAGGUCCAAUCGCUUCAUAUCCAGCCACAGGGGUGUUUGCUGGGUAACAUCAAAAGCGAGAUUCUUCGCCGACUUUCUACUCAGCGCAUCCGCAACCACAUUUGCCUUCCCGGGGUGGUAGAGGAUAUCGACAUCAUAAUCCUUUAACAACUCCAACCACCGCCGCUGACGCAUAUUGAGCUCCUUCUGAGUAAACAAGUACCUUAAGCUCUUGUGGUCGGUAUAAAUCUCACAAUGGGCACCAUAUAAGUAGUGCCUCCACAGCUUCAGGGCGAAAAUUACCGCCGCCAGCUCCAAGUCGUGGAUGGGGUAAUUCUUCUCAUAGCUCUUCAGCUGACGGGAUGCAUAAGCAAUCACCUUCCUGUUUUGCAUCAAUACACACCCCAACCCAAGAUAGGAAGCAUCACUGUAGACUACGAAGUCUUCGCCUUCCACCGGUAGAGCGAGCACCGGAGUUGAAGUCAAUCUUUGCUUCAACUCUUUGAAACUUCGGUCGCACUCCUCGCUCCAAACAAACUUGGUGCCUUUCUGGGUCAGGCGGGUAAGUGGAAUUACUAUCUUGGAGAAGCCUUCCACAAACCGCCUAUAAUAGCCCGCCAAGCCCACGAAGCUUCGAACCUCCGUGACGUUCGUCGGGCGCGGCCAAUCCUUGAUUGCCUCAACUUUCCUCGGGUCUACUGAAACUCCACCCGCGGAAAUCACAUGCCCUAAGAAGGCGACUUCGCGAAGCCAGAAGUCACACUUCUUUAGCUUAGCAUAUAGCUUCUCCUCCCGAAGGACUUGAAGCAGUUUCCUCAAAUGUUCGGCAUGUUCCUCGUCACUUCGAGAAUAGACCAAUAUGUCGUCUAUAAAGACCACGACAAAUUGGUCCAGAUACUCUCUGAAGACACGGUUCAUCAAAUCCAUAAACGCCGCUGGAGCAUUCGUGAGUCCAAAUGGCAUAACCGUGAACUCGUAGUGUCCAUACCGCGUACGAAACGCGGUCCUUUGCACAUCCUCCGGUUUGAUCUUCAAUUGAUGGUAGCCGGAUUACAAGUCUAUUUUCGAGUACACACACGACCCUUGCAACUGAUCGAACAGGUCAUCGAUUCAGGGUAGUGGGUACUUGUUCUUGAUCGUGACUCUAUUCAAUUCUCGAUAAUCCACGCAGAGCCUAAACGAUCCAUCCUUCUUCCUCACGAAUAACACCGGGGCUCCCCACGGUGAUACACUCGGCCGGAUAAAUUGCUUGUCAAGGAGGUCUUGUAGUUGACUCCUCAACUCCCUUAGUUCCGCCGGCGCCAUUCGGUACGGAGCCUUCGAGAUCGGCGCGGUACCGGGAACCAAGUCUAUGACGAACUCGAUCUCCCGAUCCGGUGGUAUCCCCAGCAACUCUGCGGGAAACACAUCCGGGAACUCCCGCACUACCGAGAUCUCCUCCAACAUUGGAGUGACUCGUUCCACCUCUACAACGGUCGCCAAGAACGCUGCACAACCGUUGCUCACCAACUUUCUUGCUCUCGUCGCCGACACCGUCGCGACGAAACACGUGCUCUGGCAAGCUCGAUAGGUGAAUUCUUUCUGUCCUGGCCCACGAAACGUGAUCACCCUGCUCUUGCAGUCAAUCGUGGCGUGGUAUUUCGAGAGCCAGUCCAUACCCAGAAUAACAUCAUAAGCCUCAAGCUUCUGGAGUCCUAGUGUCCGAAUAGGCAUUAUCCAUUCGCCUAUUUGUACCGGACACGAGGCGCACUCUGUGUAGGUAUUGAAUGUCGAUCCAGGGCCCUCCACUCGCCACUUGUCACUCGCUUCUAUAUGUAUGCCAUGCAUGCGUGCGAAUGAUCUACUUAUGAAUGAAUGCGUGGCUCCUGUAUCAAAUAGAGCCCUGGAGCGAACUCCGUUAAUCAAAACCAUACCUGCCACAAGGCGAUGCUCCUCCGCCUCCGCAGGUUCCUCGGCCUGAACCUGAGCUGCAAAUACCCGUCCGCUCGGGGCCGAUCGCGCCAUCUCAGGUUGACGCGGUGUCAUCGCGCGUCCUGUCGACGCGGCCGUCGGUGGAGCUCCUCCAUAAUAUGCCGGAAUCGCCGGCGCCGAUGCAAUCGAUGGGGCAGGUGAGGCUCCUCCUCCCGGGCAGUCCCGAAUGAAGUGCCCCGGUUGCCCACACUUGUAGCACUUGCCCCGGCCUUGUUCACAGCGCGAAACUGGGUGGUCUCCGCAGCAUACAAUGCAUCGCCGCGCUCCACCGUUUUUCUGUUGAGCGCGCGGGUACUUCGGGGGUCUCUUAUAACGUGCUUGACCACCCGAACUACCGCCGCCUUGGCGUUUCUUGCCCUUAUCCUUGGACUCCGCCAAAAGCUCACGCUUCUCCCGCACGUGGGCAUCUCCGUGCUCCGCCCAUAGGGCUCGAUCAAAGACCUCAGCAAAGGUCGUGAGCUUGAGUAUUUGCACGGCCUUGUAGAUUCCCGGCCGAAGUCCUCGCAAGAACCACUCGGCCCGGUCCCGGUCAUCCUUUACAACAUCCGGGACACAAUCUAUGAUGUGGGAGAAUUCCUGUUCAUACUCCGCCACUGGGCGGUCCCCUUGCUCUAGCUUGCCGAACUUCUCCUUGAGCUUCCGCUUCAAUGUAUCGGGGAAGUAGUUGGCGAACAUCUCCCGCUUGAAUUCCUCCCACAGCAUCGGCGGAAGGCCGGGAAGCCGAUCCCACUUGACGCGCUUCCACCAAACCUUUGCCGCCCUUUCCAAGCAAUGGGUGGCGAGAUACACCUUGUCCCUCUCCAAGGUACGCAAGUCGUCGAAGAGGGUUUCCAUCGAGUCGAUCCAAGACUCGACCAUUGCCGGUUCCACCUUCUCACCCUCAAAGGUCGGCGGAUGGAACUUGUUGAACUUGAUAAGAGCCGCUAGCGCACGCUCUCCUUCCACGUCUUCGGCCGUCACGUCGGGUGUAGUCGAUCCCGACGCCGCCGGUGGCACGAUCGCCGGCGGGGGACGCGCCGCCACCGGGACCGCCGCUAUGCCCUCACCCUCAGCUGGCUCAGGUACACGAGCCGAGGGCGCGGGCACAUCGCGUCCGUCCGUCGCCGUUGCGGCCGCUGCCGCUGCCUGCCGCUCCAAGAGCUCCUGGAGCCGCUCGAAUCGGUUCUCCUGGCGCUGCACCACAUCGGUCAGCGCGGACACUUGCGCUUGCAACCGAUCCAUCACGCUCGGUUCUCCCUGCUCGGGCACCUCAGGAGUCGGUGCCGGAGUAGAUCUACGUGUGUAGCGUCUUGGAGACAUUAGUCCCUGAAACGCAAAUACUCGGUUAAUCAUCUUAACCCGUUAACCUCGUCGCAAUUACGACACAUGACAACUUAAUGGCAAAAUCGGGCGGAAGCAUACAAGUGUACUCGUUCUAGGCUCUUGGCAUCAUGUCGUCGGCCGCCGACACAACCACCUCAAGAUAAGAACUUAUACCACUUGAAUUCGUCUCUAAUCACAACUAGAGACCUAUACCCACUUCGACCCAAUCGAAUUGACUUCCGCCAUCGUUAUAGGUUCACGUUCCGCUCACGCACCUAUAACCUUAGGGCUCACCAACCUAGGGUCUCCUAGGUCAUCCUAGACUUUCUCUCUUUACUUGCUCUCAUUGCUCUGAUACCACAAAAGACUGUCACGCCCCGCCCCGAAGCCACUACCAAUUUGUCACGGUUCGGUCGCGGCGACAGACCGCCGAACGGACAGCACCUCCCCUAUCCGCCCAAGGCUCAACAACAGGAAUGUGUACAAGAAUUUACCCAGGACUUUAAAUUCUAAACAUACACAUUCAACGAGGGCACAAACAGUGCCAACAACGAGAAGAGCAAGUAAUCCACAAGAUAUACGAGUGAAAUAAAGAGAGUACUUNNNNNNNNNNNNNNNNNNNNNNNNNCGAAGGCUUAAGGAGCGGAUUUGCCGCAAUGUGCAAUUAGGCGCUCCAAAAGUGGAUUUUGAUACAUAAGAGGGUUUUCUUCUCAGAUUGACCCUUCUCUAACCUAAUUGUGGUCUAUGCAACGCUACGGUGCGCUCGUUCGUCGAUCCGACGGUGUUACGCCGAAUAUUUGAGGAUCGAAGCGUUAAGCGGUACGAUGCCGCAGCUCGCCAGGCGAAAGCUUGCCAAAUCUGGAAAUGGAAUCGUAGCUGUGGUGUUUUGGGGAAUAAAUCCCAGAAUAGACGUAUGCGCGGAUGAGUAUUUUGGCAGUCGCGCGUGGUUGGGUGCGAGGCCGUGCGCGGCAUGCGCCGCCAGGCGCCGAUGCCGAGUGACGCACGAGCAAGUCGAACGCUAUAGAAAGGUGGUGAGUGUCCAUCCCGAAGCCAUCGGCUCCCUUUUGUCUUAAGUUUAUAUGAUUCAGCUAUGCAUUAAUUGACAUCUUGGCAUUGUGGGUAUAAAUGAGGUGUGGUUCUAUACCUUGCAUGUUCCUUGGUAAAUAAUAUUUGGCUAGUAUUUAUAUCUAGCAUGCUUAGGUUUAUAUCAUGUGAUGUGAACCCUAUAAUCGAGAGAUAAGUGUGAUGGGAAUUUAGUAAUGUAUUGACUAUUGCCAUUGGAAAUUGUAAAGAACGAGUGAAUCUAGUUUGAUAGUCAAACAAAGAACGAGUGACAUAUGUGGCAGUCAAGUGUAUAUAAACCUAGGACUAUAUGAUGAUUAAUAACCUAGAGGAAUCAGGGUAUUCUCGAGAUGAGGAUUGGAUCAUGCUCGCGGUCUGUUAAAUCUUGAUGAUGGAACCCACACAAGUAUGCCGCUCCGGCAUGUUGGUCCGCAGGAUGCCAAUGGCAGCGCCAGAAACGGUACCUGGUCCCCGAUAGUGUGAAGUGUAAUUCUCUACCUAUUCGAGAAUGGCUAGUGAGCUGUGGCGAGCCUUCGGUAAGCCAUUGAGAUUAAUAACAAGUAAGUAUGAGUUAAUGAAACGAGGUGAAUAGGUUCACUUGGACAUGAUAACAGGUUAGUGCUUACCUAUUUCAUUGUACAUGCAGUUGGCAUAUAUUAUGAGUGGGCAUAGGUAAGAGUAGUGUUUACUCGCUGUCAUUAUCGCCGUCCUUAUCUAUCUACUAUCGAUUAUCUAACUUCCGAUUGGACCUAGUGGGGAGAACGCGGAGUCGCCGGCGACGAAACCCACUGGAAACUAAGGAAGUUAGUUUCUCACCGCCCAUUUUACUACAGGGCCGAGCGCGAGUUCACACGGCGAGAUCGGGCGUAAGCCCGCCUUAGUGCCCUAGUUUGCAUUAGGCUACUUCCCUAUUUCUGCAUUAGAGUCACCUUUAUGCUUUGGAGAGUAGACGAUGUAUGGAUGUGAGAUAUUCUGCGAGAAGUAAGCAAUGUUCUAUAUUUGGAAGAUGAAGCUUUUAUUAUGUUUUGGAGGUUCAAUUGUAAUCAUUGUAUUAUAAGAAGCGUUGAAUGAAUGUAAUAGAUUAGAUGCGUCUCUCUUUAUCAAUUACUUGUGAGUGUUCUAUACUUGUAUCUUGCUCUUGGUGCGUGUGCACUGAUUGUGCUCUCGUUCUACAUUAUGAUGUGUAUGUAUUCAAGGUGUUUUUCCUGGUGGGACUUGUUGUAUCACUAUCUUGUUGUUAGCCUUGGGCGGACCAGGGAGUGCUGUCCGUCCGGCGUCUUUGAGCGCCGCCGCCCGAACCACAUUGGGUCAGCUGCGACGCGGGCGUGAACACCUAGUUUCAGUGUAUCCUCACUCGUCGGAGAGAUAGAUCUAGCUCACAGUCUGCGUUUAGGGUGUAUAGCCAUCCAUCCCACAAUAAAGGGGAUUUGCUCGUCGAGUUACUCCGGAGGUCUGCGGCGACUGGACCACUUGGAGGUCACGGACCACAAUGGAGUCGGCAGACGGUCCGCCGGCUUGGAGUUGCACUUGGAGCUCCUCCCAACUUUGGAUUGAAAGCUGUCAGCCCCGCAGACGCUACCAUUGGUCCGUCCGUGCGCGUCGAACAGACGCCGGACGGACACAGCACCUCCCUGUCCGCCCAAGGCUAAACACAGGAUCAUGUAAAACUAGUUCCCUAGGAAAUCAAACUUGCAAUACAUACAAUGAUCAAACAUAGCGAGGGCACAACCAGUGCCGAACUUCAAGAGCCAAAGAUCACAAGUAUAUAACAAGUGAAUAAAAGAAAGAGAUAUUAACUAUCUAUACAUUCACAUUUGACAUUCAACAUUUCAUCCAUUCAACCUUUAAUACAACUUUGAUUAUAUUUAAGCCCUCCAAAACUGAAUACAUAGAUGCAUCUACAUGGAAUAAUGCUACGCUAUCCAAAAUUAAUAUGUCAUUAUAACCAUGCACAACGAGGGUGACUCUUUACAUAGGAAAGCUCUACUAGCUAGCUAGGGCGGCUACAUGCCCUACCUCGAUACCUGCCUCGGUCGCUCACGUGUGUACUUACCUUCCAAAAACACACGGGGUUGAAAUAAUAGUAAAUAUAGUUCCCAGUGGCUUCGCCGCGCACUCCGCCGAUUUCCACUAGGGGGUCAAGUUGUGCACAGAUAGAGUAGACUAGAGAUACAUUGGAAAUUAAAACUGCUACCUAUAUCUUACUAUGCCAAUUCAAAUGCAAGGAAUGCAUGCGAAUAUCAUUUAUCAUGCUACGUAUGCUUUAAUAAUGUAAUGAAACAAAUACGACACAUAUGCAUUCCACUAACAUUACUAUGUCGUAAUCGUGGUAUAAGUCAAAUCUGCUUAUCAAUUCAUGUCAUUUACCCAAUCCACUAAGGUACCCCGCCUUUCUCAAAUCACAUAAGGUCGAAGGAUACCCCGCCCUUGUUUUCACCGUCAACAACUCUAAACACAUAGGUAAGGAGCACUACCCCGCCUCGUACCCGACUCCAAGAUCUCAAGUCCUAUAGAUGAAGAGCUACCCGGGGUCCGCCCAACCAUGACUCAAAUGCCUAAGGCGCAAGAGCUACCCGCUCUUCGCCGACUCUAACUCAAACUACAUAGUCAAGAGCUCCGCUCGUAGAUAAAGAGCUACCCGCUCGUAGUAAAGAGCUACCCCGCUCAUAGGUAAGGAGCACCCCGUCAUCAGGUAAAGAGUUACCGCACGUCAAAGUAAACGAGCUACCCCGCCUCAAAUCUAACAGGUGAAGAGCUACCCGCCCUUCCACCUGCACUCAUUCUCAGUCCAUAUGGGUAUGGGCAGCGACCUCCGCUCGUAAUCCCCACCCGAUGAGCUACCCCGCUCAUGAGCUAACCCCCUCGGUGACAAUCUUCAAGUUCCACAACACUAGGUUGUAAUGCUCAACCUAUGUUUAACAACAUUAUAUAAUGCCACUCGAUCUAUCCUAUGCUGUUCGCGACACUAGGUUUACGAUGCCACAUUGCCUCAUAAUUAACAAUAGGUUAACAUUCAAUUUCAUCUAGCAUAUAUGUUCUAUAGAAAGCCAACAUGCAUCAUAAUUGCUAAUAUGCCAUUUAUCACAGCAUGCAAUCCUUUCAUAAUGCACUACUGCAAUACAAUCUCCCAUCACACUAUGUCACAUGUCACGAGUUCAUUAACAAGCCAAGUUUCUUUAUUCCUUAUCUACAUAGAUUCAUGUCUCAACUUAAUCAUCAUGCAUUCUACGAGUUUUAAGUGUCAAGUCUAUAAUACUACACAACUAGACAUGCGAAUGCAAGAAAAUUAGAAAUUAUAACUAUCUAUAUCUAUAACUCAUAAGAACCACUAUUAUAUAAAUCAUGAUCAACUAUUUUACUCGGACAUAGAAGGAAGCGCCAUUGCUGUCGGAUAGACACCCCCACCUUUUAACAACAUUCCGAUUGCCGCUCUCACUCGCAAUCGCGUCCACGCGGCGGCACGCCGCUCGCCUCGACCGCUAUCCGCUGCGCGCCACCAAACGACCUCCGAUCACGCGAUGCCGAAAUUAUAGGUCUUCGCUUUCUCGCUAACGGUGCUCAAAUCCCGUUCCACGAUUUUAUGGAAGCGCCUCGACUCCCCAAGGUCAUAUGAACUCGACGCAACACUUGAUCAGCCGGACGUCGCAUCCGCUCGACAAUCGACGAACGCCUCGCUUCCUACGCGUUCGAGACGAAACAAUUAGGUAGUUCUGUGACCACUCAAAAUAGAUCAAACUCCAACUACUUACAAAAACCCACAUUUUUAACCCAUACGGUUUGCGGCAAUUAGUAAAAAUCCACCAUUAGUGGCUUUGAAUUUUAAGCUUUGAAUCAUCUAUUAAGCAUCAAAAGGUCCACUAAAUCCAUUUAUUACAGGAUUAAAACCUAGCUCUAGCUAACUCUACCAUUAAAGCCCUCAUUUUGGACCAUAUAUCUGCAACUACAUGGAAAAAUCCCCAUUAAGCUUUGGAUUCAAGUAUUAAUCAUGAGACUACCUGCUAGCAUUCCAUCUAAAUCAUUCUUAGAGAUGAAACCAACCUAAGAAAAUCACCAUUAGAGCUUAAGCCUACCUUCUGCAAAGCUUACUCCCAAACCCAAGAACAAGAUGAAGAAUGGUGAAGUCCACCUCUUGACCUUCUCUCCUUCUUCUUUCUCCCUUCUUAUCUCUUCUCCCUUCUGUUCUAUUUCGUUUAGAGAGAUUUGAGAGAGGGAGAGAGUAAUGUGAGGGAGUGAGGGAAAUGAGAAAAGAAGAGAGAAUAGACAUGCUCUCUUAAUCCCCUCUUGCAUAUUGUACAUUUCAAUAAGCCCCUCUAAUCUUCUCCAACCUGCAACAGCCCAAACUGGGUGUUUUCUGCUCGGGCACUGGACCCCCUGGUGAUGAGACCCGUCCCCGACGACCAGAAUUCAGGCAUUUUCAGACUUAGCAAAUUUUUCAGCCUUUUUCGUUUCGGGUGCCGUCUUUCGCUCGUUUUUUGCUCGUUUGACCUCCGAUUCUUUUCAAUCGAAACCGGAGACUCUCCAAACAUGUUUUCGAGCAUGUUUCCAUUCAUACUCGUUCAUCUCCGCUAAUGCCGGAUUUAGUUCAUGGUUCACGACAUUAGCCUUUCGGAUCCCGUUCCGCGCUACGCCGCCAGCGCGAAUCGCCCGAUUCACUCCGAACUUCACCAACUUCACGGAAACCCUUCAAAUGGCUCUCCAACCAAAUUUAACACGCAAUAUUCAUAAUUUUAGAAGUCCGGACCUUACAGAAAGAUGGGUUCAUGGGCGAGCCCUAAGGCCUCGCCACAGAUUGGGUGAUGAAAGUUAAAGGUUAAUGAAUGUCAUUGAACAUAGCCUAUUCUCGAACAUGUGAUCGAAUUAGUUAGCGAUGGUACAAACCUUAUUAUAUAUGCAUGCUAUCACUAUUCGAAUGAUUAUGGAUGGUAGCUAUAGUUUUCCUACUACCGCAUUAACAGCUUUUCAUGAAUAUUAUCUAUCUAUCUCCUGUUGUUGCUGUGCCCAUUGGACCUAUGUGGGAGCUCGCAGAGUCGGGCCGAGCCACUGGGAACUGAUGGAAGAUAUUCUCACCCACUUUAUUCCGUGGUAGGUACCGGUUGCCGAGAGAAGGACCGCGCAAGGGCAUCGCGCCCCGAUCAGUUGACCGUGCGUAAUAAAAUAGAUAGCUUUCCUUUUUGCAUUAGCACACUCUCAUGUUUGAGAGAGAUUUCAGGUAGGUGAGAUUGGAGCUAAUGUAUUUUGAGGAUCAAUGUAUUUCAUUUUGGAAAAUGAUGUAAAUGUAAAGAAUGUAAACUAUUAUAAUAGUUAGUUUAGAAAGCAUAAGGAAUGGAGCUACUAUGCAAUCCUACAAUGCAACAUGAAGAGAUGAGAUCAAAUGCAAUCUAAGACAUAGAAAGGAGUUCGAAAGCUUCGGGAUGACACCCCCCACCUUUUACCAACGUAGAGGUUUUAGAAGCGCUCCUCGACGAGCUUUACGAAAAGGCUUUUGCCUUCCCUAAUCCAAGAUAGCGCCGAAACGACCGUAAUUCGCCGAUUGUUCUAAGUCCGCUCGACGAAUCGCGAAAUCGACUUCGCCCCCGCGUUUGGGCACCUAUCGAUGAGGUUUACAAGGCCUCAAAUGAGAUCAAUCUCAUACUUUACAAAAUGCCCCCAUUUGGAGCCCUAGGUUUGCACAUAUAGCAAACCACCAAUAAAAUCCUAGAUUCUUGGGAUUGAUCUACUUAGAAGCAUGCUUGGGGUCCAUUUGACCCAUUCCAAAGCAUAAAACCCAAAAACCCUAAGUUUACAAAGCUAGGGUUUAGUAGCUUACCUCAAGAGCUACACCAAUGGGAAGAGGAGAGGGAGAUGGAGGUGCUCAAAGCCUUCCUCUUGAUCUCCUUCUUCUUCUCCUUCCUUGUCUUCCUCUUCUUUUCCUUCCUCUCCUUCUUGUUCUCCUUCUCCUUCUUUCCUUUCUAGAGAGAGAGGGAGAGAAAUAGAGAGAUGAGAGUGAGAGAGAGGAAUGAGAGAGUGUGAGGGAGAGAGAGGGCCCAGCCCACUCUAAUAAAGGCCAUUUUGCAUUUAGACCCCUCAACUUUUAACCCCUUGCGCAGCCCUCGCUGGGCAGUUUUCGUGCGGAGGGACCGGUCUCCCCGACUUGGGACCGGUCCCCGAGAGCGUCCCUCGGGCGCACGCGUUCGAGUACCGGUCUCUCCCCGGGAGACCGGUCCUCGGGAGACAGGUCCUCGCCUGAGAGACCGGUCCCCGAGAGCUCAAUUUUCAGGACUUAGCCAAAUCUCGGCAUUUCUCGCUGGAACCACGUUCGGGAACCGGUCCCUCACUGCCAGGGACCGGUUGCACCAUGCAACCCCGCACGCCCAGCCGAUGGGACCGGUCUCUCACCUCCAGAGACCGGUCCCCGAGAGCAACUUCAGCCCAAUAAUGCUGUUUGCAUCGUUAGCUCUCGUGGACUCAACUCCAAAGCACUUUUUGUGUUUUGGACAUUUUUAACUUCCCCAGAGGGUAUUCUCUCGACAAAUAGUCGAUCCUGGACGAAUGAUAACUCUCGAAUUUCGAGAAUUCACUUCCUUACACUUGUUCACCCAAAAGGAGUUGAAUAUGCGGCAACGGCGGUGGUUAGAGUUACUAAAAGACUACGAUGUCACUAUACUAUACCACCCCGGUAAAGCCAAUGUCGUAGCCGAUGCGUUGAGUAGAAAAUCGGCGGAUAACCUAGCGACGGCAAUUACGCCUCAACCGCUAUUGCACAAGGAAAUGCAACGUCUUGGGUUGGAAGUGGUAGCGCCGGGAGUGCCGGCUACACUUGCCGCAUUAGUUGUGCAACCGACCCUACUCGAGAGAAUCAAAGAGUCACAAGCUUCGGAUCCGUAUCUCCAAAAGGUUCGAGGUGAAGUUGAGAAAGGUAGUGCCGAAGAUUUUGGCAUUGGAGCUGAUGGCGCACUUCGAUUCCGAAAUUGAUGGUGUGUACCAAAAGAGGAUGAGUUACGAAGGGCAAUCAUGCAAGAAGCACACCAAUCCCCUUAUAGUAUACACCCCGGCGGCACCUAAAUGUACAAGGACUUAAAAGAGCAUUAUUGGUGGCCGGGCAUGAAAAGAGAUAUUGGGGAAUUCGUGGCGCAAUGUCUAACGUGCCAACAAGUGAAAGCCGAGCGCCGAUUCCCGGCAGGAAAGCUACAAAGUUUAUCUAUACCCGUUUGGAAAUGGGAAGACAUAGCGAUGGACUUUGUUACUGGUUUGCCUCGAUCACAAGGCGGACAUGAUGCGAUAUGGGUGAUAGUGGACCGAUUGACAAAGUCGGCACAUUUCUUGCCGAUACAUACUACGUGGUCGGGAGACAAGUUAGCUCAAGUCUAUCUCGAUGAGGUUGUGAGGCUUCAUGGGGUGCCGGUAUCAAUUGUAUCGGAUCGAGACCCCAGAUUCACAUCCCAUUUUUGGAAGCGUUUGCAAGACGCGCUAGGCACACGGCUCAACUUUAGCACGGCGUUUCAUCCUCAAAGUGAUGGACAGUCGGAGCGAACGAUACAAAUCCUUGAGGACUUGCUUCGAGCGUGUGUGCUAGAUUAUAGAGGAGGAUGGCAUGAUUUCUUGCCUAUGGCGGAGUUCGCCUAUAAUAACAGCUAUCAAGAAAGUAUCGCUAUGGCGCCGUUUGAGGCACUAUAUGGACGUAAGUGUCGUUCUCCUAUCCAUUGGAGCGACGUGGGCGAGAGAGCGGCUCUUAGCCCAGAUGUAGUGCGGGAGGCGGAAGAGAAAGUUCGUCUUGCCCGUCAACGGUUGGCGACGGCGCAAUCUCGGCAAAAGAGUUAUGCCGACAAGCGAAGAAAGGAUUUAGAGUUCGCGGUUGGAGACCGUGUAUUUUUGAGAGUGUCGCCAAUGCGAGGAGUCAAACGAUUUGGGGUCCGCGGGAAGCUAAGUCCCCGGUAUGUCGGACCGUUUGAGGUAUUGGAGCGUGUAGGUGCGGUAGCGUACAAGUUCGCCCUACCACCGAAACUCGCGGGAGUUCACAACAUGUUUCAUGUGUCCAAUCUCCGAAAGUAUAUUCGCAACUCGACACAUGUAUUAGAGUACGAGCCCGUAGAGUUACGCGAAGAUAUGUCUUAUGAGGAGUACCCGGUGUGCAUCCUCGAUCGAGAAGAAAGAAAGCUGCGGAGUCGCAGAAUUCCAUAUGUGAAAGUCCAGUGGAGCAACCAUGCGGCGAGAGAAGCCACUUGGGAGCUCGAGGAGACCAUGCGGCGAGAGUAUCCGCAUCUAUUUGAGUCGACGAGUUAAGGUAUGCGUAAUUUCGCGGAGGAAAUUAUUUUAAGGGGUGGAGAAUGUAAUAUACCGAAAAUUCGAAAAUAAAAUAUCGAACUUUAGUCAAAUUGACCAAAGUGCGAGGAUGGUACACUUCGGAAAGUCCGAAGGUGUUAAAAUAAUUAAAAGUGAGUUAUGGGAGGUUUUCGAGAGCUUGGGAAUCAAAUUCUGCAAAACUGCAGAUUUUGAGCUCUCGGGGACCGGUCCCUGGUGGGAGAGACCGGUCCCCGAACGCGUAUGAAGUGAGACAGCCGAAAAAUCGGCAAAGUCCUGAGAAAGUAGCUCUCGGGAACCGGUCCCUGCCUGAGAGACCGGUCCCCGAGAGACCGGUCCCCCAAGGAGAGACCGGAUGCAUCGCGCGCAGCAGCCCUGCGCUGCGCUGGGACAACCUUCGAGAACCGGUCCCUGAAGGAGAGACCGGUCCCUGCCUGCGCGAACUGCCCAGUUCGGGCAGUGUAUUAAAGUGAAAGUUGAGGGGUUUAGUUGCAAUUUGGCAACCCAAUAGCUAUGUUAUGGGGCCUAAUGAGAUAUUUCUCUCAUUUCCUCACCCUCUCACACUCUUUUCUCUCCCUCUCUCUCUCUAGAAGACAAAGGAGAGGAAGAAGACAAGGAAAAAGAAGAAGAAGAAAGUGAAGAAACUCCCUCUCCCUCAUCUCUAGCUUGGAAAAGGAGAGCUUACAAGGUAAGCUUUGAACCCUAAUCAUGGUAGAACCUAAUCUAGGGUUUGGAUUAAGCUUAAAAUGGGUUUUAUGGAAUCAUUUGAGUCUUUUGAAGCUUUCUUUUGCUUCUUUAGAGAUCAAGACUAUGGCAUGAGUGUGUUGGGUGAAGCUUGAGGUGAGCUUGACCCCUCUCAUGGUGAAAUCCAAACUAGGGUUUGGAGUGAGCUAAGAAUGGUUUAGAUGGACUAUUUAGAGUAUAAUGAAGCUAAUUUUGCUUCUCAAUGAGAUCAAACCCUAGGUUUGAUAUAUGUAUUGGAGCUAGGGCACCAAAUUGGGGCUUUUGCUCAUAGAGAUUUAUAAGUGCAAUUGACCCUCUAGAAACCUAAUUGGGGGUAUUUCCGAUGCGUUGGUGCGCUCGGAAAAGCAUUUCGAAAAGUGUACGUAAAGUUAUGAGCAAAAUGGCCUAAGAUGGCUUCGUUUUGCUGCAGGUAAAGAACGGGGAAUCUAAAAAUCUCAAGAAAAUUGUCGGAGCACCUAAGUAAACCUAUGAGGUGGGUGGUGCUUUCCAAACUUAUUGAAAUUCUCUCUAUGCCUAAUGUGUCAUUCAUUUGAGCAUAUGUUAUAUAAUUGUUGCAUGCAUUUAGGGUUAAGUAAUGAAAAGAAUGUGAUGUUUGCAUGAUUGUGAGUACAACUUGCAUAAUGAGAUGGUUGAGAACCUUAUGAAUGUUAAGAACCCUAUAUGUAUGCAUGAGAUGAAAAGUGAGUACCAAAGUGAGGCAAAAGAACCGAGUGGCACAUGACAUAGAUCGAGUGGCAUUUGAAAAUGUAAAGUAAAGUGACACUAGAGUUAGUGUGAGGCAAAGAACUAACGUGAGGUAAAGAAUGAUGACAAUGAUCAAAGCUAAAGUAAAGUGAAGCAAAGAACGUGAAAUGAGUAAAGAACAUGAAAGCUAAAGAUAGCCAAAAGCAAAGAAAUGUAAAGAACUUGAUUGCUAGAGUUAGCAACAUAAAGUGAUGUAAAGAACACUAGAGUUAGUGUAAUGACAAGAUUGAACUUACAAUCCUUUGAGUUAAGGAUUCGAUCAUACUUGCUAUGAGUUCCGUGCUCGAGGGCGGUCGCUCCCCCUCGGGCGAUGCGCUCCGGAGUUAUGCAUCACGGGUUGGAGUAAACCCGAAGGACGGUCCUAGCGGGUGAGUUCCUGCGAUGAUGGACUUAAUGUGAAGCAAGCUUAAAGUGGCGAAACCCCCGGGUUAGCCUUGAGAUUAAAGAACAGAGAGCAAAGAGUAAAGGAUAAAGAAUAAAGAACAAAGAGUAAAGACAAAGAAUGAAAGAACUUGCAUAAUUUGCAUAUAUUCAAUGUUGAGCAUAUUUCCUGCUUUUGUUCAGGCAUAUUAGCAUCAUAUUAUAGUUGGUUACUAUUCUACCUAUCCUUUCUAUUAUGCCUGAGUUAGUCCUAGUGGGAAAGUCGGUGAUGUUGAGGCCGAACCCACUGGGAACUUUGUUGUAGUUCUCACCCCACUAUUUCCACAGAGCCGGGACCGAGCGAGCCGGCGAGCGACCGAGGUAAAGGUAUCGCGCCUUAGACAGAGGCCACCAGAGUUGGGUUUACCUUUUGUUAGUAGCUACCCUAUGUUCAUCUUUUCUAUUUGAUGACUAGUGAUGUAAAAAAAAGAAUGUAAAGCUUAAUUGAGAUAAAUGUGAUGUAAGAAUGAAAUGAUGAAAUGAUGUAAUGAAUAGCAAGGAAUCAAGAAUGUAAGAGAAGAAUACAUGUAUGUGAUCUAAAGUGAAUCAUACUACUUGUGUAGAUGUUUAGUUUCCUAUCUUUCACUAAUGGCUAUUGCUUACCCUCGUGUAAGCCAUUUUUGUAUGUUUCCGCUAGUGCAUUUCUUGUUUGAAUUUGUACAUGUGAUGAGCCUUGAACGGAUAGGGGAAACUCUGUCCGUUCGGCGUCGAUUUGACGUGCUCGGGCCGGCCCAAAUUGGUAUCGGUCCCGGGGCGUGACAGUUACGCCCUAACAGUAUAACUUUACAAACAGUACUUUUUCUCAUUCAAUCGAACGAAGAGUAAAACCAAAUUAUAUUAUUCUAUUAUGUCCCAAGAAUGCAAAUUUGCAAUGUAUCGAUGUCAACGUUCACAAGAAUCAAAACCGGAAGAACAUUAGAAUACUCAGUUGCGCCCUAACAGCAUAACUUUGCAAUGAGUACUUUUUCUCCUUCAACCGAACAAAGAAUAAAACCUAAUUAUAUUAUUCUAUUAAGCCCCGAGAGUGUAAAUUUGCAACGUAUCGAUGUCAACGUUCAUAAGAACCAAAACCGAAAAAAUAUUACACUACUCAGUUGCUCCCUAAUAGUAUAAUUUUGCAAUGAGUACUUUUUCUCAUUUAAUCGAACAAAGAGUAAAACCUAAUUAUAUUCUUCUAUUAUGCCCUAAGAGUGUAAAUUUACAAUGUAUCGAUGUCAACAUUCACAUGAACCAAAACCGAUACAACAUUAGACAACUCAGUUACGCCCUAACAAUAUAACUUUGCAAAUAGUACUUUUUCUCAUUCAAUCGAACAAAGCGUAAAACCAACUUAUAUUAUUCGAUUAUGCCCCGAGAAUGUAAAUUUGCAACGUAUCGAUGUCAACAUUCACAAGAACAAAAACCGGAAGAACAUUUGACUUCUCAGUUGCGCCCUAACAACAUAACUUUGCAAAUAGUGCUUUUUCUCAUUCAAUCGAACAGAGAGUAAAACCUAAUUAUAUUGUUCUAUUCUGCCCCGAGAAUGUAAAUUUCCAACGUAUCGAUGUCAACGUUCAUAAGAAACGAAACCGAAAAAAUUUUAAACUACUCAGCUGCUCCCUAACUGUAUAACUUUGCAAUGAGUACUUUUUCUUAUUCAAUCGAACAAAGAGUAAAACCUAAUUAUAUAGUUCUAUUAUGGCCUGAGAGUAAAAGUUUGCAAUGUAUCGAUGUCAACGUUCACAAGAACAAAAACAGGAAAAACAUUAGACUACUCAAUUGCUCCCUAAUAGUAUAACUUUACAAUGAGUACUUUUUCUCAUUCAACCGAACAAAGAGUAAAACCUAAUUAUAUUGUUCUAUUAUUCCCCGAGAGUGCAAAUUUGCAACGUAUUGAUGUCAACGUUCACAAAAACCAAAAUCGGUCCAACAUUAGACUACUUAGAUGCGCCCUAACAGUAUAACUUUACAACGAGUACUUUUUCUUCUUCACUAAAAAAAGAGUAAACCCUAAUUAUAUUGUUCUAUUAUGCCUCGAGAGUGUAAAUUUGUAACGUAUCGAUGUCAACGUUCACAAGAAACAAAACCGAAAAAAUUUUAGACUACUCAGUUGCUCCCUAAUAGUAUAAAUUUGCAAUGAGUACUUUUUAUCAUGCAAUCGAACAAAGAGUAAAACCUAAUUAUAUUGUUCUAUAAUGCACCGAGAGUGUAAAUUUGCAACGUCUCGAUGUCAACGUUCACAUGAACCAAAACCGGAACAACAUUAGACAACUCAGUUGCGCCCUUACAAUAUAACUUUGCAACGAGUACUUUUUCUAAUUCAACUGAACAAAGAGUAAAACAUAAUUAUAGAGUUCAAUUAUGCCCUGAGAGUAUAAAUUGGCAGUGUAUCAAUGUCAACGUACACACGAACCAAAACCGGACCAACAUUAGACUACUCAGUUGCGCCCUAAUAGUACAACUUUGCAACGAGUGCUAUUUCUCAUUCAACCGAACAAAGAGUAAAACCUAAUUAUAUUGUACUAUUAUGUCCCGAGAGUAUAAAUUUGCAACGUAUCAAUGUCAACGUUCACAAGAAUACUCAGCUACGCCCUUACAAUAUAACUUUGCAACGAAUACUUUUUCUCCUUCAACCGAACAAAGCGUAAAACCUAAAUAUAUUGUACUAUCAUGCCCCGAGAGUGUAAAUUUGCAACGUAUCUAUGUAAUGUUCACAAGAACCAAAACCUGAAGAACAUUACACUACUCAGUUGCGCCCUAACAGCAUAACUUUGCAAACAGUGCUUUUUCUCAUUCAAUCGAACAAAGAGUAAAACCUAAUUAUAUUGUUCUAUUAUGCCCUGAGAGUAUAAUUUGCAACGUAUCGAUGUCAACGUUCACAAAAACCAAAACCGGACAAACAUUAGACUACACAGUUGCGCCCUAACAGUAUAACUUUACAACGAGUACUUUUUCUCCUUCAACCGAACAAAGAGUAAAACCUAAAUAUAUUAUACUAUUAUGCCCCGAGAGAGUAAAUUUGCAACGUAUCUAUGUAAUGUUCACAAGAACCAAAACCAGAAGAACAUUAGAUUACUCAGUUGCGCCCUAACAGCAUAACUUUGCAAACAGUGCUUUUUCUCAUUCAAUCGAACAAAAAGUAAAACCUAAUUAUAUUGUUCUAUUAUACGCCGAGAGUGUAAAUUUGUAACUUAUCGAUGUCAUCGUUCGCAAGAACCAAAACCGGACCAACAUUUGACUACACAGUUGCGCCCUAACAGUGUAACUUUACAACAAGUACUUUUUAUCCUUCAACCGAACAAAAGAGUAAAACCUAAAUAUAUUGUAUUAUUAUGCCCCGAGAGUGUAAAUUUGCAACGUAUCUAUGUAACGUUCACAAGAACCAAAACCGGAACAACAUUAGACUACUCGGUUGCGCCCUAACAACAUAACUUUGCAAACUGUUCUUUUUCUCAUUCAAUCGAACAAAGAGUAAAAUCCAAUUAUGUUGUUCUAUUAUAUGCCGAGAGUAUAAAUUUGCAACUUAUCGAUGUCAUCGUUCAUAAGAACCAAACCGGACGAACAUUAGACUACUCAGUUGCGCCCUAACAGCAUAACUUUGCAAUGAGUACUUUUUCUCCUUCAAUCGAACAAAGAGCAAAACCAAAUUAUAUUGUUCUAUUUUGCCCCGAGAGAGUAAAUUUGUAACGUAUCGAUAUCAACGUUCACAAAAACCAAAAUCGGAGCAACAUUAGACUACUCAGCUGCGCCCUUUCAAUAUAACUUUGCAACGAAUACUUUUUCUCAUUCAACUGAACAAAGAGUAAAACCUAAUUAUGUUGUUCUAUUAUGCCCCGAGAGUAUAAAUUUGCAGCGUAUCGAUAUCAACGUUCACACGAACCAAAACCGGACCAACAUUAGACUACUCAGUUGCGCCCUAAUAGUAUAACUUUGCAACGAGUAAUUUUUCUCAUUCAACCGAACAAAGAGUAAAACUAAAUUAUAUUAUUCUAUUAUGCCCCGAGAGUAUAAAUUUGGAACGUAUCGAUGUCAACGUUCACAAGAACUAAAACCGGAAUAACAUUAGACUACUCAGUUACGCCCUAACAGUAUAACUUUGCAAACAGUACUUUUUCUCAUUCAAUCGAACAAAGAGUAAAACCAACUUAUAUUAUUCUAUUAUGCCCCGAGACUGUAAAUUUGCAACGUAUUGAUGUCAUCGUUCACAAGAACCAAAACCGGAAGAAAAUUAGACUACUCAGUUGCGCCCUAACAACAUAACUUUGCAAACAGUGCUUUUUCUCAUUCAAUCGAACAAAAAGUAAAAUCUAAUUAUAUUGUUCUAUUACGGCCUGAGAGUGUAAGUUUGCAACGCAUCGAUGUCAACGUUCACAAGAACCAAAACGAGAAAAACAUUAGACUACUCAGUUGCUCCCUAAUAGUAUAACUUUACAACGAGUAUUUUUUCUCAUUCAACCGAACAAAGAGUAAAACUAAUUAUAUUGUUCUAGUAUGCCCCGAGAGUGUAAAUUUGCAACGUAUUGAUGUCAACGUUCAAAAAAACCAAAACCGAACCAACAUUAGACUACUCAGUUGCGCCCUAACAGUAUAACUUUACAACGAGUACUUUUUCUUCUUCAACCGAACAAAGAGUUAAACCUAAUUAUAUUUUUCUAUUAUGCCCCGAGAGUGUAAAUUUGCAACGUAUCGAUGUCAACAUUCACAAGAAACGAAACCGAAAAAAUUUUAAACUACUCAGUUGCUCCCUAACAGUAUAACUUUGCAAUGAGUACUUUUUCUUAUUCAAUCGAACAAAGAGUAAAACCUAAUUAUAUUGUUCUAUUAUGCCCCGAGAGUGUUAAUUUGCAACGUAUCGAUGUCACGUUUACAAGAACCAAAACCGGAACAACUUAUGACUACUCAGUUACGCCCUAACAGUAUAACUUUGCAAACAGUACUUUUUCUCAUUCAAUCGAACAAAGAGUAAAACCAAAUUAUAUUAUUCUAUUAUGCCCCGAGAUUGUAAAUUUGCAACGUAUAGAUGUCAGCGUUCACAGGAACCAAAACCGGAAGAACAUUAGACUACUCAGUUGCGCACUAACAGCAUAACUUUUCAAUGAGUACUUUUUCUCCUUCAACCGAACAAAGAAUAAAACCUUAUUAUAUUGUUCUAUUAUGCCCCGAGAGUGUAAAUGUGCUUUGGAGCAACCACGACGAGCGCGAGGCCACUUGGGAGUUGGAGAGCGCACUGCGGGAGCGCUAUCCCCAUCUUUUUCAGAUGGAUGCUUGAGGUACUGGUCUUUUCGAGUUUUGCGGACGAAACUCCUUUUUAGGAGGGGUGAAUGUAACCCACUGGACCUUUGCAAAUUGCGAGGUUCGAGUGAUUGGAUGUGUACCGAGCUGUUCCACACUUGGUGGAGGGUCGUAGAAUGUUUUCCGACCUAAAAAGUUCGAACCUGAAUUUUGGAUGAGUCCUGAGAGUUUUUACUCUGGGGGACCGGACCCUGAGAGGAGAGACCGGUCCCCCAGUGAGCAGUGUGCGGCAGCUGGCGAGGCAACCGGUCCCUGGCAGGCGAGACCAGUCCCUGAGCGCGUCUACGCGGGGAGAGACCGGUCCGGUGCGGGGAGAGACCGGUUCCCGAACGUGGUUUUUCUGGGGGCAGGCCGAGAGACCGGUCCCAUGUCGGGGAGACCGGUCCCUCUGGGCGAAAACUGCCCAGUCCGAGCUUUGCACAGGGAGCAAAGUUGAGGGACUUAGUUGGAUUUUGUUACACUAGAUGGCCUAUAUGGCCACUCCACUCUCCCUUCUCCUCAUUUCUCCCCUCACACCCUCUCCACACCUUUGUUAGAGAGAGAAGAAGGAGGAGAAGAAGAAGGAGAAGAAGAGGAGGAGGAUCUAGCUUGGACUUGGAGCUUUUCUUUUUCCUCUCCUUCUCUUCCCACCUUGUUGUUGCUUGAAGGCUUAGACUUGGAGCUUGCAAGAGAGGAGACCUUCACCCUCGGAGCUUGGAUUGAAGCUUCUAAGGAGGUUAGUUGCUCUUUUCCUUCCUCUAGACCUUGAUUUGUUGGUUUUUAGGAGAUGGAACCCUAGAAUGGGAUCUUAGGGUUUAAUUUGGGCGUUUUGAUUCUAGGGCUUUUGAGGCUAGAUUGUUUGGAUUAGAACCUUCCUUGGGCUUGGAUUGGAAGGGUUCUAGCUCUCUUUUGGAGCUUUGGAAGAGAUUUCAUCUCUUGAGGUGAGUUUUGGCCCUUUUGGCUUCUAGGUUAAUGUUUGAUCUUAAAGUUGAUCAUAAUGCCCGUGUAUCUCUUCGCUCAAUACUUUUAGGGUAUUUUGAGACUCGUGGACAACUUCGUUCGGCGAAACGAGGCACUACGCGACGGUUUGGUGGGUUUGACCUAGCCUUUAUAUGAGAAAUUCUCAUAUAUGGUGAUNACCGAGAACUAACCUUUCCUCGACACCAACCCAAUCACCCCACAUGGGUGACAUCGUCACCAAACGUCAUAUCCAACCGCGAAUUCACGACUUCGCCGGCGCCUAACAGCACAAUUUAGCUAUCGCAAUUGUGCACGGUGAACCUUCUUCUCCGCCCAAUCCUAGAGCGACUCUUUCGCUCACCAUAUUCUAACGGAUAGGGACCGACCUACCCUUCCAGUGAGAGUCUCAACUACCAUCGCCAUAUGAUUACUGGCACACUCUCCCAACCUCACAGCUAAGCACCUAGGCUUCAACUCAUCUUGUCCUCCUCGACCAAUCGUCAUCCCGAGGACGAAAUGCAGUACAUAAACAGCACACCGUCUACCUUUCAAAUUUCCACCAGUUCCAUUAAUAGUGCGAAUCGAUAUCCAACGAUUCACCAUAUUCCGAUACCAAUCCCAGUCGAUCACACGAGGGACAUAUUUUGCCUCGAUCGCCACACUAGCUCAACUCCUUUCGGUUGGCACAUUUCAACAUGGGCGCUCUUAAUUGCCUCUUACCAUUCAACCAAUCAUUGCCUGCACACUCUACCCGUCGGGCCGGAGUCGUCAUCAAUCACCCUCACUUAACGACGUCAAUCAAUUCCGCCAAACACCACUCUCCUUCGAGAGCAAUACCACCUAUCGAUUUGAGUGGUUAACCAUCACUUCUCAUACAUAGAGGUAGACCUCCUCGAUCCACACGAGAGUCCACCAAUUGGUACUCUACCAUUAUCGCCACUCGAGAGUCUAUCUCACCAGGUAUGACUCUUUGUUACAUCCACGCUCCCCGAUGAACCUCACUCAGGUUCUUCAACCUGCAUCACUUCACGCGAUAUUUACCGUGCAUCGCCCAACCGCGAAUGCUUCAACCACAUAUGGACUUCGACUCUACAGUGAGAUGGCUCAUUUCGGCACAUCUACCAACUUCGGUUCCCUAGGAGCCUAGUCUUUCCAAACCUCACGUGGCUUAAACCACCCCAACGUCUAUUGGAGAACACCUCCAUUUCUCUAUCACGUCCCAACAUCGCAUCACUUUCGCGAUGAGUUCCCGCGAACACUUUGUUCGUGUAUCUAAUCGCAACUUACCAACAGCGCCAGACUUGGCAAUUCCAACACGCGAGCAGUACGACCGAGCCUCCGCUCCAAUGGUCACUACGCUUAAACCACCAAUUCACUAUUGGUCAACUAGAUUGUUCACCUCAGUUACCACAGGUGGUCCACAGACCAACCAUCCAACGUAGGCUUACCGCCAACCCGUCUCGAUACUACGCAGCGUCUCUCAUUCGUAACGCAGACCCAAUCAUCACUUAGUGAAAGUCCUCAUUUGAGACUUCGCACACACUCCAACCAGGAGACCUCAACCACUCCAUAUCCUUGGGUCAUAAUCACGCUUACGACUCAUUAUAACGAGCCAUGUUCACCUUUAUCGGCUCUUAAACAUCUAAGCCCUCUCAAUUUCUAUAUCUAUAAACAGCCCUUACUGGGCAAUUCCCGCAGUCGGGGACCGGUCUCUCCCCGCAGGGACCGGCCUCUCUCUACAAUGCAACCGGUCUCUCACCGAAGGACCGGUCUCACGGGGACCGGUCUCUCCUUCAGGAACCGGUUCCCGAGAGCUCAAUUUCCAGGACUUAGCCGAUUUUUCUCCUCUGUUCGGCUGCUGCGCGCACGGGACCGGUCUCUCCCUGCAGGGACCGGUCCCCGAGAGCCCAAAUUCUGGAACUUCACCAGAAUUGCAGUUUCGCUCUCUCGGGUCCCCCUACACCAUAAGUAUAGGCUCCAAAGCACUCUUAGCCUACACCAACUCAUUCCAUUCCGCGUUCCGCUCGUUUCGACAGAACUCGGCACGACAUACAGGAAUGUGAUACGCUACAUUUGCACCUUAUACUUGUGCUCGAUCUUAUGCUUACGAUACACAAGCAUGAAUUUUCCUCAGCAUUGUUGAGGUACCACUCGGCCACUCGCCAAAACUCGGCGAUUGCUCGACUAGCUCCACCACAACGGGGACGUUACAACCACCACUCGAGCCCUGGGAACAUCACCCGAACUCUUGAACCACAGGGUCAUCCUCAAGCAUCCCGACUUAACUCUCACAAUUUCGCUACUCAUAUUGCCUAGAGAGUUAGUCCAUCAACUCCACCUCUAUCUCGAGCUUAACUCUCGGCUCGCAACCGGCCACUUGCCGGUCUAAUCCAAUCACGCCUAUCCACUUAGUAGGUGAUAUCACUGUUACACAUGCAUACCAGGGGAUUAAUUUUAUCCACAUCUCGGUCUCAACUAUACUUAUGCAUGCAACGUUUCGAAUCCGCCUUAGAUCGGACCAUACAAUCUCUUCCAACGCACCACUCCUGCUACAACACCCUCAGUAGCAAUGGAUUCCACAACUAGGGUCGCUUUCUCAUAGCCACUUGACGCUCAUCGCGGACCCUCCGAUCGCAACAUCGACCAUACUUGCUCUCUAGACCAUGCCGCAGGCGACACACUCAUCGACGGUCUCAAAAGAUGGAAAUCGUCGCCCGCGCUAAGGUCCGGCUAUCUACCAACAGCACUCAACCCUUAUUCGGGUCGGUUGCCAACACCAACCAUAUCAUCUACCUCACAACGCACACCCCUGCGUCCGGUAGGAACCACCACAACCAACACCUCCCUACAAGGUCAACAAAAGACCUUGAAGUCGCAACCACGACUUUCUCGGGGUUGCCGAAAAUUUGAUCGACCACCCGACCGACUCAUCUAUCGGGUCACUCCCUAUCUCGCAACCAACCGGCACGAAUCCUCCAAAGAGAACUUCCACGGAGUCAUUCCAUACAUGUCCGUCCCACGGAUAUUACUCCAUCACAAUAAGCGGAUCAACUUCCUUAGGAAACCAUCCACAACUCUCAUGAGCCUCCAAUCCCUCUAUUCCCUGUGCAUUGCAGCCUCCUGCUGACAUUGCACCACGUCGGCUCGUCACUUUGCCACUACGACUAGUACAGUCAAUAGGCCUCAGAGCCCCAAGUCUCCACUAUGCUCGGCUAACUCUUGCACAUCACUAGUCCCGGUCCAUAUCGAUCUCCUUAAAGAUCGGCCACGCGUAACUACCGAACGUACAACAACUCAACCCUCAAAGUCAAGCGCGCGACACCUACACGCAACGCUAUCCACGACUCAAAUCCAGGCAAAAGUCAUGCAAGGGAGCCUAUUUUCAUCACUCGGUUUCAUGUUGUGUGCACCCAACACGAACACUCCAUAAUGAAAAUACACUACACCUUGGAUUCACCUCUAACAUCCGUUAUAGAGGCAUACCAAACACGACCCAAUUAGUUAACCUUUCGCCACAAUUUCAAAUCCUCGUUACAUUUCAAGAACCUAAAGCCUUACGGUUUCCCACCUAUAGUCCCUAAGUCCAUCCUAGACUUUUGCUUUCACUUACUCUGAUACCACUAUAUCUGUCACGCCCCGGGACCGCCAAUUUGGUCGGUUCGGGCACGUCAACAGACGCCGAACGGACAGCACCUCCCCUGUCCGCCCAAGGCUCCACCAAUACAUGUAUAACGAUAGCAAUUCAAACAUAAUGAAUGCAAGUAUACACGGCUUGCACGAGGGCAAGCAACAACCAAAUAUAAGUGAGAGCAGUCUAACUAUUACAUUUAUGCAUUGUAUCUUGAUCACUUUCAAUCAAAUACAAAGCUCAUGCAUUUCUUUACAUUCAUUCAUCUCAAUAUACAAUUGCAUCUCUCAAAUGAACUUAAUACAUUUCCACCUCUCACAUGAUUUUAUUACAUUUACAUUUUACAUUUUUACAUCAUCGACAUAAUAGAUGAAAUAUACAAGAGUGCCUCUAUACAUAAAGGUAGAACACUACCUAGAGCACGAUAACCACGCCACGAGCCCCGAUCGCCCCGCUCGCGCUAGAACCUGCAUGGUUAGUGGGAUGAGAACUAGAAGAAGUUCCCAGUGGGUUCGGCCACUGACUGCGCCGAUUCGCCCACUAGGUCUAUUUCAGGCAUAUGUAAUUCAAUAAAGAAGGAUAACAAACCAACUAAUGCACUUCUAAUACAAUGCCUGCAAGAAAGCAAAUCACAGAUAGAUAUUCAUAUUCAAAUACAUGAUGAUUAUGCAUGCAUGUCCUUUUCACUUUCCUUUAGUCUUUACACAAUCAACCUGGGGUGCUCCUGGUUUACCCCAACUCACAGUCCACACACUUUCCGUUGGCUUUUACCCAAUCAACCUGGGGUGCUCCUGGUUUACCCCAACUCACAGUCCACAUAUCCCGUCUAACGGGGGAGGCACAAGGCACAACCACCCGAAGGAUCUUCGCCGGGCACGUCCACCCGUGGUGUUUGUUCACUCCGGAGUACACCGCUUGUGGAGGAGCGACCUCCACAAGCCGGAACCAAUACAUGUGAGUAUGAUCCCCUCCUCAAUUUGAGGAGGUAUAGCCAAACCUGUCUCAAUGCCACAAUGCCGAUGAAAGGUCUUUUACUUAUUCAUGCAUAUACUUCCAUUUCCCAAUAUCACAAUGGUCCUGAUGCCACAAUAAGCUAAAUCUUGUUUAGUCAUUUCCUUUAACCAUGAUGCCACAAUACCGAUGAUAGGUCCUUACCUAUUCAUGUAUGUCACUUUACUAAGCCACAAUGGUCACAAUGCAUAGAAUGGUCUUUACUUUAUCUAGCAUAUCAUGCUCUUAGCCACUUUUGCCAUUAUUCUCAUAUUGCUCAUAAGGGCUUACCCUACUUAGCACAUCAAUUCAUAUUGUCACAAGGUCACAAUAUCUAGGGCCACACUUGCCACGAUGUCCACUAAUGGGAUAGUCAAUAUUUCACAAUGCUUUUAAGGUUUUACCUUAUCUAGCACAAUAUGUCCUCGGUGCCAAUCAUGUCACUAGAGUCAAUGUCACCUUUAUUUACUAUGGAUCAAGUCUUUUCUCACUUUCACAUACAUAUAGGGUUGUUCAUUUUCUCGUUCUCAUGGUUCUACAAUAUAUUUGCAAUGUUCAUAAGCAGAUAAUUGAUACAAUCAACAUUUAUCUCAUUACCCUACAUGCAUGAGUGCAACAUUAUCAAUAUGCUCAAAGAAGUGACAUAGACAUAGAAAGAGAUCCGGUGUUUCCGGACAGCACCCCCCACCUUGUAGGAAUGCCGAGAAGUUCCGAUUCAAUUUUCACGAUUUUUAGACACCUACGCCGCGAGCUGCGGCCAUCUGUACCAAUUUAGCUUGUUUCUUCAAUAUCUUCGUACCGGCUCGACGAAUCGACGAACCGAGCGCACCAACGCGUUCGUUGACCUACCAAUUAGGUUAACAAGAGAUCAAACUCAAGUUAGAUCUCAACUUUACAAAAUUCCCAAAUCUAACCCCUAGGGUUUAUCAUCUUUCCCAAAUAGGUCCCUAGACCAUAGAAAUCCAUGAAUAACCUCACCAUGACAUCUCCUAGAAGCUAGAUCUAGAAGGAAAAUACCAAACCCUAACAUCACAACCAUAAAACCUUCAAAUCUUAGGUUACUUAUCUCAAAUGGAAGCUCUCCUCCAAGCUAGGUUGCCAUGAGAGGGUUCCAUCUCCACCAAGCCAUCUUUUCUCCAUCAAAACUCCACCAUUGGAGCACCUCAAGGAGGGAGAGGGAGAGAUCUAGAGAGAGAGAGAGCUCUCAAGUUGGUGUUGGAGAGGAGAGAAAUGAGGGCUAAACCUCAUCUCUCCAACAUAUAAACUCAUAUAUACACAUUUGCACUUAACCCCCCACACCCCUCUAUGUUUAACACAAUGAUCCAGCUCAUACUGGGCAUUUUCGGGUCUCUGGGACCGGUCCUAGGGUUGAGAGACCGGUCCCCCGAAGGUCCAAAAAUUCUGCACCUUCCAGACAGCCAAAUUUUCAGCAUUUUCAGCUUCGGGGUCCGUUUUCGCUCGUUUUCGCUCGUUUGACCUCCGAUUCGUUUCAAAUCGAACCGAGACUCAUAAGACAUGUUUUCGAGCGUAUUUAAACCAUCUUUCCAUCCAUGCCCUUGCUAGAUUUAGUCCAUGGUCCAUCUUAGCCUUUCAGGCUCCGUUUUCGCCCCCUACGCGCAUUGAAGCAACCGAAUGCUUCCGAACUUCACCGUAACCAUUCUAACGGCUUUCCAAGCUAACAUACACCAUAACUUCAUAAUUAUAGAAGUUCGGUAUGUUACACGGGGUGUGACGCCUCGACUUCCCAGGGAUCACCCAUCCUAGGACUACUCCCGUCCUAGCACGCUUAACUCUCUUAACCUCUUGGGUCUUUGCCACCACCCAAAAUGCUUAAGCCGGGUUAAGAGUUUAGCCCUAUUAUAUCUUAUAUAUAGGACUAUCUGGGGUCUCACACGGGGCGUGACAGAGGCAGAGAAAGAGCGGGCUUUGACGGCCCUAAUGACCUUCAAGAAGUUUGAUCCGCCUGUCUUCAAUGGAGAGAAUGUUGAUCCAUGGAUCAUGGAGAUGUGGAUUGGCUCUAUGGAAACGCUCUUUGAGGAGCUGUACACCUUAGAGCGGGACAAGGUGCCCUUAACUGUGCAUUGCUUGAAGUAGUCGGCAAAGGUGUGGUGGAAAGGCAUUCGACGGAAUCGAUCGCCUAGUCUCCCUCCUAUGGCAUGGGAUGAGUUUCGGGGAUUGGUGUUUUCGACUUACUUCCCCGACACUGAAAAGAGAAAGCUCCAGGACAGGUUCAGGAAGCUGCGGCAAGGAAACCGCUCUGUGAGAGAAUAUGAACGGGAGUUCUCUCGUAUCGUGAAUUGUGUCCCGGAUGUGGUACGGGAUGACGAGGAUAUGGCCGAUUGGUUCCUGCGUCGACUUCGACCAGAGAUUUACGAGAGGGUGCAAAUCUUCAAGCUCACAAUCUUCGCGGAGGUGUUGGAUCAAGCGCUGUUGGCAGAGCACGGCGAGGCUUUUGUGCGUGAGGAGCACGACUCUUCUGAAUGUGAGCGGGGAGGGGUGAGGCCAUUGUCGAGCGGUUCGGGUGGACAAUCAAGUUCUAGGCGCCACUCGAAGUCGUCCUCUACCCGGUCCUCCCCCGGAUGCGUGAUUGGCGGUGGUUCCCACUGGGCUCGGCGAUGCGUGCUGCACGAUGGUAGGUGCCUUCGUUGUGGGCAGCCAGGCCAUAUGCGGGACGAGUGUCCGCAAGGGUAUGACCAGACCCUUCUUUGCAAACAGUGCUUUUUCUCAUUCAAUCGAACAAAGAGUAAAACCUAAUUAUAUUGUUCUAUUAUGGCACGAGAGUGUAUGUUUGCAACGUAUCGAUGUCAACGUUCACAAGAACCAAAACCGAAAAAAUAUUAUACUACUCAGUUGCUCCCUAAUAUACAGAGUUACUCGCACUGGCGAGUUAAGUACUAUGUACAUAAGCUCGAAAUAAAACAACUACCUGCAGUAGGGUGCCUCUAGCUCUGCUCGGCGGGUAGGGCUCUAACUCGCGACGCCCUUGCCUCGAUCCUAAUCCGCGGAAGGCGCAACAGCCGAAACCUGUGGCUCUGCAAAACAGGGGUAACAACUGGGUGUGAGAACUACUGUAAAAACAAGUAGUCCUCAGUGGGUACCGCCCAAAACAACAUCGGUCCACCCACUAAGUCUACAGAAGGGAGCAAGAAUAGUCGGAAAAGCAGGAAGUAAACUCUACCGCUAUCAAUCACUACACUAUCAUGCUCUACACUAACCAACUGUAGGAAAUGUCAAAUCUGACCCAAUCCAUCAGGCUGACUGUAGGCAUACCCGUCCCUGGGACUGUGUGAACACACCUGUCCCUGCCAGUUGUGACUAUCAGCUACCUCCACACUCUAGUCCGUGGAAAGCAAGUGCAACGGCAUGAGCGACACCAACGCGAAAGCAUAAACCGUCUCCAGAGUGGGCACUCGUGGGCGUACCCACCCGAGUAUGCAGCGUAUCUCUAUCGAGCUCAAUCAGGCUCUGUCAAGCCAAAGUCCAAGUAAACCUACUCUAACUGGUCUAACAACAACAAGUAACGUGCCUCGGCACAAUCUGACGCAAAACGGCGAACUGGCCCACCGUCAACCCCAACGCGCCAAAAUUCUGAAACAGCCCAAACGACCCUGUAAAAAUCCAUCGGCGUACCAGCACGAGCAUAAAUAUAUUCUAAACUACCUGGAGUACUCGUCUCGAGGAUACUGCGACAGUACAAUUUUAUAACGGCUCCUAGAGCUAAAUUUAGGCAGUUUAAACAAGUGACAGGUCCAAAUCGCAGGUUUUCUCCUAAUUUCAAAUUCAACUCAAACAUGUAUAACCUACUCAAUUAUUACCACAUGCUCCAAAUUCAGAUUUGCAAUCUACCAUAAUAAUCCAUUAAUUCGAGCUAGAAUAGAUUAUCCAAAAUUGAAAUCUAUACAUGUCGACGAUUAUGAACUUAGGAGUAAAACCGAUGUAAACCCACCUCAAAGCUAAUCCAUGGCAGCACGGAACUCCCUCGGCUGCGGCACAACCUGCUGGAUCAACUGAAAAUGUCCGAGUCUCGAAAUCAAGCUAUCUCCAAGCUAUCAACAUCAAAAAUCCACAAUUCAGUCCAAAUACACAGCAGCAGAGAAGAGAAGGGUUUCGACCAAGCUAACCUUCACCAAAAUCCAAAAGUAAUGGCUUCGUGGAUUCCUCUCGCAGUCCCGAAUCCAACGAACCAAGUCUCGUCGCAAUCCGAUGCUCCUACGUCGAGUACGAGCUGAAAUACUAACAGUCAACGAUGAAUUUCAGCAAACAACAUCACUUGAGUUCGAAGUAGUAAGAACUUGCCCAAAAACAAUGGAAAUGCUGAAUUACCCACCUCGACAACACCAAGCACCGAUGCGACAGCAAAAACGGCGAAAACCUACGCUCGCCCGGCCUCCUCGCGCUACCCCGGCAUCAAACAUGUGCUCGAAUGGCUCCGCGGCGCGACGUCGGCAACGAAAUCUCCAACCGAGCUCUCUUGCCUUCAACCGGUUAGAGAGAGUGAGAGGGGAAGAAAGAGCACAAGGAAACCCUCUCUCUCUCAGCUCACAGCAACCUUUGUAGAGAGGGAGUUGGAGGGAGAUACAAACGAGGUGGAGAUUUACACAAUUACCCACUCACCUACCCUGGUGUACCGGUACACGGGCCCGCGUACCGGUACAGUAGCCAACCCGAGAGCAACCCGCGAGCGGCCUUGUCACGCCCCCGACCGCACAACCCAAAAACGGUACCGAUUUGGUCCGGUCCGAGGGCGGCAGGCGUAAGGCAGAACGGACAGAGUCUCCCCUGUUCGCCCAAGGCUCCAACAACGAGACUGUGUACACAAGUUCCCAGGAAAAUAACUUGAAUACAUACACAAUCAAUCAAUAACAACGAAAGCACAAACAGUGCUAUACAAUACGAGAGCAAGCAUCACGAGUAAUAUAACCAUACAAGUGAAUAAAAGAGAGAUGCACUUAACUUACUAAAUUCGUUUAACUUUAUACAAUCAUUCAUCUUUUUACAAUUCUUCCAAAAGUAUAUAACAUAUACGAUCCUCUCAAAACCUCACCCUAUACAUCAAUCUACUCUCGAAAUAUAAAGCAUAGGGUGGAGCUAAUGCAAGGUAAAGUAAAGCUAUCUACUAGUACCACACCGCUAGGGCGCUAUGCCCUUGCCGCGAUCCUCACCGGGGGCGCUCGAGCUCGGACCUGCAACGUGGUGGAGUGAGAACUACGAAUAUUUCCCAGUGGGUUCGGCCGCCGACUCCGCCGAUCUCCCCACUAGGUCUUAAGGAGGCACGGAUAGAUAUGCAGAUAAAUAAAUAUAUGGAAACGAAAACAUAUUCAAUAAUGAGCAUCUAUGAACUAGAAUCUAUCAAUGCCUCAAUCCUGUGUAAUGCAUGCAUGGAACUCAUAGUAAGAUGGCCAACUAUCAACUACUAUGUUCAACAACAGAGUCAUUCAUCUAAUUACCCAAUCUCUCGGCGAACACAAAGGCUCGCUCACAGUCUCACGUGUAUCAAUCUCAUAGGGAAGGUGGCUAGGUAUCACCUACCCCGAGACCGCCUGCGGACUCUACACUAGUCCAAGGGCACUGCACUGGCCCCCUCGCGUGCCAAACUCCGGAGUGCACUACCUGUGAGGCGCUACCACCACAAGUGCAGACAGGCUAAGUAAGCUCGAUCCAAUCUCAUGAACUGGGAACACCCUAACCAACUAGGAUUGGUGUCACUGAAGAAUCAGGUGUUCAUCUACUCAAUCUCAUAGUGUCUCAACUACACUAUAGUUCUCAAGUUCGAUGUCAACAAGAUGCCACUCGUUCCGGGUUCCUUGUUAACUAGAUGCCACUCGUUCUUAUUACACUAGUUUACAAUAUACUAGGUUCUUAUUCACAUAGACAUAUUCAUCGCAUAUAGGGUUAACUACCUCAUAGUGUUCAACUCAUGCAUACUAGGUUCUCAUCCAUUGUAUUCACAACCCAAACUAUCACUAGCAUGCAAGGAUAUGCACAAUUACAUUUAACACCCUAUAAUGCUAUGUUACAGUAUGAAUUUAAUCGACAUAAUAACCCAGACAUAGAAAGCAGCUCGACUGCUUCGGGAUGGCACUCCCCCACCUUUUGGUCGUGCCGCGCGACUAGACAACUCGACGCCGCGGUCUUCGUGCGUCGCUUCAGCACCUCGGGGCAAAACGAACCCCCGAGUAUCAGUUUCGGCGAUAUCUUCGCACCCGCUCGUUGGAUCGACGAACCGUCUUCGCCUACGCGUUCAGCGACCAAGCAAUUAGGUUUAUGACCACUUGAAAUAGAUCAAAACCCUAGCUUUGCUAAAAACCCCAAAACGUGCCCUAGAUCUCGACAACGGAGAAAUCUGCGGUGCGAGCUUCGAUUUCGAGCUCGAACCAUCUCUUUAACUUCAAUAGGUUCCAUUCGAACCAUCUCCAAGCGAUAAAAACCCCAAACCCUAAAUACACCAUUAAUGGGUUUAGAGCUUACCUCAACACCAAGCUAAAGAGGGAGAGAAGAAGAUGCCUCCUUCUUCUUCUUAGUCUCCUCUUUCUCUUUCUCUUCCUUCUUCUUCUUCCUCUCCUUCUUCUUCUCCUUCUUCUUCUUUCCUUUCUAAAGAGAGAGAGAGGGAAAGAGUGUGAGAGAGGGAGAGGGAGCAACUGAGAGGGAGAGAGAGAGGUCCCCCCACCUCUAAUAAAGGCCAUUUUGCAGAUAGCCCCCUCAACUUUUCAUCUAAUACACAGCCCUCACUGGGUUGUUCUCGUAGCGAGGGACCGGUCCCAGGUCGGGGAGACCGGUCCCCGAAGACCACCCAUUCUGGCAGAGAGGAUUUCGCGUUCGGAAACCGGUCCUUACCUAAGAGACCGGUCCCCGGGAGACCGGUCCUUGUCGGAGAGACCGGUUCCCGAGAGCUAGGUUCUCAGGACUUAGCCAAAUUUCGGCAAAUCACGCGGGGCCAACGUUCGGGAACCGGUCCUUGCCUCCAGAGACCGGUUGCACCGAGGACCCCCGCCAGCCCAGCCUGAUGGGACCGGUCCCUCCCUGCCAGGGACCGGUCCCCGAGAGCAAAAUCUGCUCCAGUGCAGAUUUUUGCACUGCAGCUCUCGCGGACUCUUCCUCAAUGCAUUCUAGGCACUCCAAUCACCUUCGGGCUUUUCGAAGCCCACACCCUCUACAAACAGUCGAUUCUUAAUGAAGUCCAAUCCUCGGCCUUCGAGAAUUUACUUCCUCACAGGCCUGCUGAAGUGUACCGGCACACCUUGAUGGCUGUAACGGUACAGCUAGCAAAACAUCUGCUAAUUUGCAGGUUUCUUAGCCGAAAGCUGCCCUCGCGUCGCACGGAGUCCGUUUUGCGUCUAUUUGACGCCAACGCGAUUCAGACUUGUCCCGACACUCCACAGAGCUGCCGACAAGCCUCCCCAGCUGAACACUAAGGAUCUCACAAUAUCGAUGCAAACGUUCACAAAAACCAAAACCGGAACAACAUUAAACAACUCAGUUGCGCCCUAACAGAAGAACUUUGUAAACAGUGGUUUUUUUUCAAUCGAACAAAGAGCAAAAUCCAAUUAUAUUGUUCUAUUAUACCCCAAGAGUCUAAAUUUGUAACUUAUCGAUGUCAACGUUCACAAGAACCAAAACCGGACCAACAUUAGACUACUCAGUUGCGCCCUAACAGCAUAACUUUGCAAUGAGUACUUUUUCUCCUCCAAUCGAAUAAAGAGCAAAACCAAAUUAUAUUGUUCAAUUUUGGCCCGAGAGAGUAAAUUUGCAACGUAUCGAUGUCAACUUUCACAUAAACCAAAACCAGACCAACUGUAGCCCACUCAGUUGCGCCCUAACAGUAUAACUUUGCAAUGAGUACUUUUUCUCAUUNCGUACCGAUGACAACGUUCACAAGAACCAAAACGGGAAGAACAUUAGACUACUCAGUUGUGCCCUAAUAGCAUAACUUUGUAAUGAGUACUUUUUCUCCUUCAACCGAACAAGGAAUAAAACCUAAUUAUAUUAUUCUAUUAUGGCCUGAGAGUGUAAAUUUGCAACGUAUCGAUGUCAACGUUCACAAGAACCAAAACCGAAAAAUUAUUAGACUACUCAGUUGCUCUAUAAUAGUAUAACUUUGCAAAGAGUACUUUUUCUAAUUUAAUCGAACAAAGAGUAAAAACCGAAUUAUAUUGUUCUAUUAUGGCACGAGAGUGUAAGUUUGCAACGUAUCGAUGUCAACGUUCACAAGAACCAAAACCGGAAAAAUAUUAGACUACUCAGUUGUUCCCUAAUAGUAUAACUUUACAAUGAGUACUUUUUCUCAUUCAACCGAACAAAGAGUAAAACCUAAUUAUAUUGUUCUAUUAUGCCCCGAGAGUGUAAAUUUGCAACGUAUCGAUGCCAACGUCCACAAAAAUCAAAGCUGAAAGAACAUUAGACUACUCAGUUGCGCUCUAAUAGCAUAACUUUGUAAUGAGUACUUUUUCUCCUUCAACCGAACAAAGAAUAAAACCUAAUUAUACUGUUCUAUUAUGCCCCGAGAGUGUAAAUUUACAAUGUAUCGAUGCAAACAUUCACAAAAAAUAAAACCGGAACAACAUUAGACUACUCAGUUGUGCCCUAACAGUAGAACUUUGCAAACAGUGCUUUUUCUCAUUCAAUCGAACAAAGAGUAAAAUCCAACUAUAUUAUUCUAUUAUACCGCGAGAGUUUAAAUUUGUAACUUAUCGAUGUCAACGUUCACAAGAACCAAAACCGAACCUACAUUAGAAUACUCAGUUGCGCCAUAACAGUAUAACUUUGCAACGAGUACUUUUUCUCAUUCAAACAGUUGCGUCCUAACAGUAUAACUUUGCAAACAGUGCUUUUUCUCAUUCAAUCGAACAAAGAGUAAAAUCCAAUUAUAUUGUUCUAUUAUACCCCGAGAGUGUAAAUUUUUAACUUAUCGAGGUCAACGUUCACAAGAACCAAAGCCCAACCAACAUUAGACUACUCAGUUGCGCCCUAACAGCAUAACUUUGCAAUAAGUACUUUUUCUCCUCCAACCGAAUAAAGAGAAAAACCUAAUUAUAUUGUUCUAUUUUACCCUGAGAGAGUAAAUUUGCAACGUAUCAAUGUCAACGUUCACAAAAAUCAAAACCGGACCAACAUUAGACUACUCAGUUGCGCCCUUACAAUAUAACUUAAUUAUAUUGUUCUAUUAGACUUUUUCUCAUUCAAUUGAACAAAGAGUAAAACCUAAUUAUAUUGUUCUAUUAUGCCCCGAGAGUAUAAAUUUGCAGUGUAUCGAUGUCAACGUUCACACGAACCAAAAUGGUACAAACAUUAGACUACUAGUUGUGCCCUAACAGUAUAACUUUGCAACGAGUACUUUUUCUCAUUCAACCGAACAAACAGUAAAACCUCUAAAAUGAGAAACAAGCUUUUUUACUCUUUUUCAUGACCAACAUUUAAAUGUAACAAUCCCACGUUCACUCAUCGGAUUACAACAAGGCUAAAAUAUGACAAUCCUGCGUUGACAAACUUACUCUUUUUCAUGAGCAACGUUUCAAUAUGACAAUACCGCGUUGACUCAUAAGAUUACAUCCAAGCCAAAACCAAGAACACUUGCAACUGUAGCUAUUCAAUGUUUAAAUUUGAGAGCGCCAUAUUAUCUUAUUAUAUCAACCUAAAAUGAGAAACAAGCUAACUUACUCUUUUUCGUGACAAACGUUUCAAGAUGACAAUCCCGUGUUGACUCAUCAGAUUACAACAAGGCCAAAAUAAAAAACACUUACAAACGUAGCUAUGUAACAUUUAAAUGUGAGAGCCCCGUAUUAUCUUGUCAUAUUAAUCCAAAAUAAGAAACAAGCCAACUUCCUCUUUUUCAUGAGUAAUGUUUCAAUACGAUAAUCUCGCGUUGACUCAUCAGAUUACAAGAAAGUCGAAACUAAAAACACCUGCAACCGUAGCUAUGCAACGUUUAAAUGUGAGAGCCCCGUAUUAUCUUGUUAUAUUAAUCCAAAAUGAGAAACAAGCCAACUUACUCUUUUUCAUGAGUAACAUUUCAAUAUGAUAAUCCCUUGUUGACUCAUCAGAUUAUAAAAAGGCCAAAACCAAGAACACUUGCAACUGUAGCUAUGCAACGUUUGAAUGUGAGAGCACGGUAUUAUCUUGUUAUAUUAAGCCAAAAAUGAGAAACAAGCUAAUUUAAUCUUUUUCAUGAGAAACGUUUCAAUAUGAUAAUAUCUCGUUGACUCAUCAGAUUAUUAAAAAGCCAAAACCAAGAACACUUGCAACUGUAGCUAUGCAACGUUUAAAUGUGAGAGUCCGGUAUUAUCUUAUUAUAUUAAUCCAAAAUAAGGAACAAGCCAACUUCCUCUUUUUCAUGAGUAAUGUUUCAAUACGAUAAUCCCGCGUUGACUCAUCAGAUUACAACAAGACCAAAACCAAGAACACUUGCAACUGUAGCUAUGUAACGUAUAAUUGUGAUAGCCCCGUAUUAUCUUGUUAUAUUAAUCCAAAAUGAGAAAAAAACUAACUUACGCUUUUUCAUGAGCAACGUUUCAAUAUUACAAUCCCUCGUUGACUCAUCAGAUUUUAAAAAAGCCAAAGCAAAGAACACUUACAACUGUAGCUAUGCAACGUUUAAAUGUGAAAGCCCAGUAUUAUCUUAUUAUAUUAAUCUAAAAUGAGAAACAAGCCAACUUCUUCUUUUUCAUGAGCAACAUUUCAAUAUGACAAUCCCUCGUUGACUCAUCAGAUUAAAAACAGGCCAAAACCAAAAAAACUUGCAACUGUAGCUAUGGAACAUUUAAAUGUGAGAGCCCGGUAUUAUCUUGUUAUAUUAAUCCAAAAUGAGAAACAAGCCAACUUACUCUUUUUCAUGAGAAACAUUUCAAUAUCAUAAUCCCUCGUUGACUCAACAGAUUAUAAAAAGGCCAAAACUAAGAAUACUUGCAACUGUAGCUAUGCAACGUUUGAAUGUGAGAGCCCGCUAUUAUCUUGUUAUAUUAAUCCAACAUGAGAAACAAGCUAACUUACUCUUUUUCGUGAGCAACGUUUCAAUAUGACAAUCCCGCGUUGACUCAUCAGAUUAUAAGCAGGCUAAAAGCAAGCACACUUGCAACUGUAGCUAUUCAACGUUUAAAUGUACGAGAGCCCCGUAUUAUCUUGUUAUAUUCAGCCAAAAUGAGAAACAAGCUAACUUACUCUUUUUCAUGAGCAACGUUUCAAUAUGACAAUGCCGCGUUGAGUCAUCAGAUUACAACUAGAUCUAAAACCAAGAACACUUGCAACUGUAGCUAUGCAACGUUUAAGUGUGAGAGCCCCGUAUUAUCUUGUUAUAUUAGNAGUGUUAAUAUGCAAUGUAUCGAUGUCAACGUUCACAAGAACCAAAACCAGAACAACAUUAGACUUCUCUAUUACGCCCUAACAGCUUAACUUUGCAAACAGUACUUUUUCUCAUUCAAUCGAACAAAGAGUAAAACCAAAUUAUAUUAUUCUAUUAUGCCCCUAGAAUGUAAAUUUGCAACGUAUCGAUGUCAACGUUCACAGAAACCAAAACGGGAAGAACAUUAGACUACACAAUUGCGCCCUAACAGCAUAAUUUUGCAAUGAGUACUUUUUCUCCUUCAACCGAACAAAGAAUAAAAGCUAAUUAUAUUGUUCUAUUAUGCCCCGAGAGUGUAAAUUUACAAUGUAUCGAUGCAAACGUUCACAAAAACCAAAACCGGAACAACAUUAGACUACUCAGUUGCACCCUAACAAUAGAACUUUGCAAACAGAGCUUUUUCUCAUUCAAUCGAACAAAGAGUAAAAUCCAAUUAUAUUAUUCUAUUAUACCCCGGGAGUGUAAAUUUGCAACUUAUCGAUGUCAACGUUCAGAAGAACCAAAACCGGACCUACAUUAUAAUACUCAGUUGCUCCCUAACAGUAUAACUUUGCAACGAGUACUUUUUCUCAUUCAACAGAAUAAAGAGUAAAACCUAAUUAUAUUGUUCUAUUAUGCCCCGAGAGUGUGAAUUUGCAACGUAUCGAUGUCAACGUUCACAAGAACCAAAUCUAGAUCAACAGUAGACUACUGAGUAGCGCCGUAACAGUAUAACUUUGCAACGAGUACUUUUUCUCAUUCAACCGAACAAAGAGUAAAACCGAAUUAUAUUGUUCUAUUAUGCCCCGAGAGCAUAUAUUUGCAACGUAUCGAUGUCAACGUUCACACGAACCAAAAUCGGACCAAUAUUAGACUACUCAGUUGCGCCCUAACAGUAUAACUUUGCAACGAGUACUUUUUCUCAUUCAACCGAACAAAGAGUAAAACCUAAUUAUAUUGUUCUAUUAUGCCCGAGAGUGUAAAUUUGCAACGUGUAAAUUUGUAACUUUGCAAACAUUGCUUUUUCUCAUUCAAUCGAACAAGGAGUAAAAUCCAAUUAUAUUGUUCUAUUAUACCCCGAGAGUGUAAAUUUGCAACUUAUCGAUGUCAACGUUCAUACGAACCAAAACCGGACCAAGAUUAGAUCACUCAGUUGCGCCCUUACUAACUUUGCAACGAGUAUUUUUUCUCAUUCAACCGAACAAAGAGUAAAUCUAAUUAUAUUGUUCUAUUAUGCCCCGCGAGUAUAAAUUUGCAGCGUAUCGAUGUCAACAUUCACAUAAAGCAAAAUCGGAACAACAUUAAACUACUCAGUUGCGCCCUAACAGUAUUACUUUGCAAACAAUAUUUUUUCUCAUUCAAUCGAACAAAGAGUAAAACCUAAUUAUAUUGUUCUACGUUGUCCGAGAGUGUAAAUUUGCAACGUAUCGACGUCAACGUUCACAAGAACCAAAACCGGAACAACAUUAGACUACACAGUUGUGUCCUAGCAGUUUAACUUUACAAACAGUGCUUUUUCUCAUUCAAUCGAACAAAGAGUAAAAUCCAAUUAUAUUGUUCUAUUAUACGCCGAGAGUGUAAAUUUGUAACUUAUCGAUGUCAACGUUCAUACGAACCAAAACCGGACCAACAUUAGAUCACUCAGUUGCGCCCUUACUAACUUUGCAACGAGUAUUUUUUCUCAUUCAACCGAACAAAGAGUAAAUCUAAUUAUAUUGUUCUAUUAUGCCCCGCGAGUAUAAAUUUGCAGCGUAUCGAUGUCAACGUUCACAUGAACCAAAAUCGGAACAACAUUAGACUACUCAGUUGCGCCCUUACAAUAUAACUUUGCAACGAGUAAUUUUUCUCAAUCAACCGAACAAAGAGUAAAACCUAAUUAUAUUGUUCUAUUAUGCCCCGAGAGUAUAAAUUUGCAGCAUAUCGAUGUCAACGUUCACACGAACCAAAACCGGAUCAACAUUAGACUACUAAGUUGCACCCUAACAGUAUAACUUUGCAACGAGUACUUUUUCUCAUUCAAUAGAACAAAGAGUAAAACUUAAUUAUAUUGUUCUAUUAUGCCCCGAGAGUAUAAAUUUGCAACGUAUCGAUGUCAACGUUCAAAAGAACUAAAACCGGAACAACAUUAGACUACUCAGUUACGCCCUAACAGUAUAACUUUACAAACAGUAAUUUUUUUCAUUCAAUGGAACAAAAAGUAAAACCUAAUUAUAUUGUUCUAUUAUGCUCCAAGAGUAUAAAUUUCCAACGUAUCGAUGUCAACGUUCACAAGAACCAAAACCGGAACAACAUUAGACUACUCAGUUGUGCCAAAACAAUAUAACUUUACAAACAGUGCUUUUUCUCAUCCAAUCGAACAAAGAGUAAAACCUAAUUAUAUUGUUCUAUUAUGCUCCGAGAGUGUAAAUUUGCAACGUAUCGAUGUCAACGUUCAUAAGAACCAAAACCGAAAAAACAUUAGACUACUCAGUUGUUCCAAAAUAUUAUAACUUUGCAAUGAUUACUUUUUCUCAUUCAACCGAACAAAGAGUAAACCUAAUUAUACUGUUCUAUUAUGCCCCGAGAGUAUAAAUUUGCAACGUGUCGAUGUCAACGUUCACAAAAAUCAAAACCGUACCAAUAUUAGACUACUACGUUGAGCCCUAACAGUAUCACUUUGCAACGAGUACUUUUUCUCAUUCAACCGAAAUAAAGAGUAAAUCCGAAUUAUAUUGUCCUAUUAUGCCCCGAGAGUGUAAAUUUGCAACGUAUCGAUGUCAACGUUCACAAGAACGUACUUUUCUCAUUUAAUCGAACAAUAGUAAACCUAAUUAUAUUGUUCUAUUAUGCACCGAGAGUUAAAUUUGCAACGUAUCGAUGUCAACGUUCACAAGAACCAAAACCGAAAAAAUAUUAGACUAAGUAUACGCCCUAACGUAUAAAUUUGCAAUGAGUAGUUUUCUCAAUUCAAUCGGACAAAAAAUAAAACCUAAUUAUAGUUUGUUGCAUUAUGCCCUGAGAGUGUAAUUGCAACGUUUCGGAUGUCAACGUUCACAAAAACCAAAACCGGACAAACAUUAGACUACUUAGUUCGCCCUAACAGUAUAACUUUACAACGAGUACUUUUUUUUCUUCAACCGAACAAAGAGUAAAACUAAUUAUAUUAUUUUUAUUAUGCCCCGAAGUGUAAUUUGUAACGUAUCUAUGAAACGUUCAACAAAGAACAAACCGAACAACAUUAGACUUCUCAGUUGCGCCCUAACAAUAUAACUUGGCAACUGUGUUUUUCUCAUCCAUCGAAUAAAGAGUAACCCAAUUAUAUUAUUCUAUUAUACGCCGAGAGUGUAAAUUGGCAACUUAUCGAUGUCAACGUUCACAAGAACCAAAACCGGACAAACAUUAGACUACUCAGUUGCGCACCUAACAGCAUAACUUUGCCAAUAAAUAGUUUUUCUCCUUCAUCGAACAAAGAGUAAAACCUAAUUAUACUGUUCUAUUUUGUCCCAAGAGUGUAAUUUACAACGUAUCGAUGUCAAGAUUCACAAAAACCAAAACCGAACCAACAUUAGACUACUCAGUUGCCGCCCUAACAGUUAAACUUUACAACGAGUAUUUUUCUCCUUUAACGAACAAGAGUAAACAAUUAUAUUUGUUCUAUUAUGUCCCGAAGUGUGUAAUUUGCAACGUAUCGAUGUAAACGUUCACAGACCAAAUGGAACAACACAAUGAAUACUCGUUGCGCCCUAACAGUAUAACUUUGGAAACUGUACUUAUUCUCAUUCGAAUCGAACAAAGAGUAAACCCAAUAUAUUGUUCUACUAUCCCGAGAGUGUAAAUUUGCAAUUAUCGAUGUCAACGUUCACAAGAAACAAAACUGGACAAACAUUUAGACUACUUAGUUGCGCCCUAACAGUAUAACUUUUGCAACGAGUAUUUUUCUCAUUCAACCGAACAAAGAGUAAAACAAUAUUUGUUCUAUUAUGACCGAGUGUGUAAAUUUCUAUCUGAUCGAUGCAAUGUUCACAAGCAACCACCGGAACUAGACUACUCGUUACGUACCAACAGUAUACUUUACAAACAGUACUUUUUCUCAUUCAAUCGAACAAAGAGUAACAACCAUAUACUCCUACUUUAUGCCCCGAAAAUGUAAAUUUGCAACGUAUCGAUGUCAACGUUCACAGAAAACCAAAGCCGAACAACAUUAGACUACUCAGUUGCACCCUAACAGUAUAAUAACUUUGCAAACAGUACAUUUUCUCAUUCCAUCGAACAAGAUAAAACCAAUUAUAUUAUUCUAUAAUGCCCGAGAAUUUAAAUUUGCAACGUAUCGAUGUCAACGUUCACAAAACCAAAACUAGACCAACAUUACCGGACCAACAUUAGAACUAGUUGCGCCCUAAACAGUAUAAACUUUUGUAAACGAUACUUUUUUUGAUUUCAACCCAACAAAGAGUAACAACCUUAAUUAUACGUUGACUCUAUUUCAUGCCUGAGAUGUAUAAAUUUGCGAGUAUCGGAUGUCAACGUUCACAAAAAUCCAAACGUGGAACAACAUUAGCACUACUCGAUGCGCCUAAACAGUAUAGUAAAACCAUUUUUAGAGCAUAAGGAUCAAUCCUUAGAGUUCUACCAUUAAAGGGUUUUGAAGCUUACCUCUCAAGCAAGCUCCAAUGGAGAGGAAGAAGAUGGAGAAGAUGGAAAUCCACCUUAGAGCUUCGAUCUCCACCAAAAUCAUCUAUUUUUGGGAGAGAUUUAGAGAGAGAAAGGGAUUUCUCUCCUUUCCCUUCCAUGCGUGUAUUGUGUGCGUGUGUGUGUGUGGUUGUGGUGUGCACGGUUGAGGGAGGAGAAGAAGAGCAAUGCUCUUUUCCACAAGCAGCCCCCUCAACUAUUCCACUUUUCAGUUUAGUCCCUCAAAUCUGAUAAGUUUCGUUGGAGCCCUUCCGGAUGUCCGAUUGAGCUCAAAUUUGACAGGCAUGCUCAGUUUAACGUACUGAGUAAGAAUAUGUCUUAAGUUUUCAGUUUCGACUCCGUUUGGUCACUGAAAACUGUACCGAACUGCAAUCUUUAUCAGAUAGCUUUCGGAUUUUAUUUCUCACUCUACGGGUAUCAAAAAAAUAUGAAACCUUAAAUCUAGCUUCACAAAAAUAUUUCUGACAUCUCUGCCAAUUUUCAUAAUUUUCUGAGACUGUGCGUUUUCUGCUAAUUUAUCUGCCCCGUUUCCAACAGAAAAUUCUAAAUCUUCUGUUUUAAUUCCGAUUUCAGCACAGGUCAUUCCCAACUUAUAUUUCACUUCUCUAAAUUCAAUAAAAAUAGUAUCUCAUACUAUUUUUAUUUAUUUCUAUUUUUUUAUAUUUAAAUCCGGUAUAUUACAUUACACCGCAACCUUACCGGAACCAUUCAAAUGGCUCUCCAACCAAAUGGACACCGUAGCUUCAUAAUUUUAGAAGUCCGGUACCUUACACUCACACUAUUUUUAUUUAUUUUCACUUUUACAUUUAAAAUUCGGUAUGUUACAUUCCACCGCAACCUUACCGGAACCUUUUAAAUGUACACCGUAACUUCAUAGUUUUAGAAGUCUGGUACCUUACACUAGGCCCUUACCGCGACCCUCGCCGGGGGUACUCGAACUCGAACCUGCAACAAUGUAGGGUGAGAACUACGAAUAGUUCCCUGUGGUUUCGACCGCUGACUCCUCCGAUCUCCCCACUAGGUCUAAGCAGGCAUAAGCAGAUAGAUAGAUAGAUAUUUAACCGAAAUGAAAGCAUAGUAAAGAACUACAGUAUACUACUAUGCCUGACAAGUAUGCAAUGAACAAUCGAAGCAAGUAUCACUAACAUGUCACUAGGAUCAUGCUACAAGCAAGUAUGUAACCUACUAGGCUCAAUAUGUUCAAUGUCCAGCAUGUCUGUUACCCAAUCCUUGGCCAACCAAGAGUUAACCCUCGACUCACAUCUCAAUCCCACCUUGGUGAGGACCCUGCUGUCAACCCACCCGGUACAGUCUGCGGACAACUACGUCUGUCCUGAACAUGACCACCUCCGUAGCGCACUAACGGGAGGAGCGACCACCCCAAGCACAAGACUAUGUGAGUAUGAUCCAUCCUCGCCAUCGAGGAAGCCCUAUCCUCUAGGGUUAUCAAUCUCUCGGGAAUACACUGGUUUGUACCUAUGUCCAAAGCCUCAAUGCUAGCAACUGUGUCAAUGACGCACAAGUUCUCAUGCAAGAUGUCCACUGGAAAACUCAUCUAGUCCCUACAUCAUCAUAUCAUAGUGUUCUUUACACUAAGCUCUAACGCCACUCGUCAAGUGUUUUCUAUGUUCCAUGCCACUCGUCAUAAUACAAGGUCCCAACAUUACACAUGUCAUUAACUUUCAUAAUCAUAAGAUCAAGUUACUACUUAUCUUUAUCACUAUAGGGUUCUAUGUCAUUAUACUCAUUCUCAUGCCUUCUAGGUUCCAGUGCCAAUCAGAUUGCUGCACUACCAAGAAGCAUGCUAGAAUAAAACAUUACCAACUACACCCUAUAAUGCAUAAUACUACAUGUGCAAUAUGAUCAACAAAAUACAACUUAGACAUAGGGAGCAGCUCAACUGCUUCAGGAUGGACACCACCCACCUUUUGGUAGUGCCGCGAGGUUAGGAAACUCGACUUCGCGAUCCUUGGUCGCCGUCUUGACUCUUCGGGUCAAUACGAACCCACGAGCACUCGUUUCGGCGAUAACUCCGUACUUGCUUGACGAAUCGACGAACCGUCUUCGCCGACGCGUUUAGAGACCUAGCAAUGAGUAAAACCUAAUUAUAUUGUUAUAUUAGGCUCCGAGAGUAUAAAUUUUCAACGUAUCGAUGUCAACGUUCACAAGAACCAAAACCGGAACAACAUUAGACUACUCAGUUGCACCCUAACAGUAUAACUUUGCAAACAGUACUUUUUCUCAUUCAAUCGAACAAAGAGUAAAACCUAAUUAUAUUGUUCUCUUAUGCCCGAGAGUGUAAAUUUGCAACGUAUCGACAUCAACUUUCACAAGAACCAAAACCGGAACAACAUUAGACUGCAAAGUUGCGUCCGAACAGUAUAACUUUGCACACAGUACUUUUUCUCAUUUAAUCGAACAAAUAGUAAAACCUAAUUAUAUUGUUCUAUUAUGCACCGAGAGUUUAAAUUUGCAACGUAUCGAUGUCAACGUUCACAAGAACCAAAACCGAAAAAAUAUUAGACUAAGUUACCCCCUAACAGUAUAAAUUUGCAAUGAGUACGUUUUCUCAUUCAAUCGAACAAAAAGUAAAACCUAAUUAUAUUGUUCUAUUAUGCCCUGAGAGUGUAAAUUUGCAACAUUUCGAUGUCAACGUUCACAAAAACCAAAACCGGACAAACAUUAGACUACUUAGUUGCGCCCUAACAGUAUAACUUUACAACGAGUACUUUUUUUUCUUCAACCGAACAAAGAGUAAAACCUAAUUAUAUUAUUUUAUUAUGCCCCGAGAGUGUAAUUUGUAACGUAUCUAUGAAACGUUCACAAGAACCAAAAUCGGAACAACAUUAGACUUCUCAGUUGCGCCCUAACAAUAUAACUUUGCAAACUGUAUUUUUUCUCAUCCAAUCGAAUAAAGAGUAAACCCAAUUAUAUUAUUCUAUUAUACGCCGAGAGUGUAAAUUGGCAACUUAUCGAUGUCAACGUUCACAAGAACCAAAAUCGGACAAACAUUAGACUACUCAGUUGCGCCCUAACAGCAUAACUUUGCAAUGAAUAGUUUUUCUCCUUCAAUCGAACAAAGAGUAAAACCUAAUUAUACUGUUCUAUUUUGUCCCAAGAGUGUAAAUUUACAACGUAUCGAUGUCAAGAUUCACAAAAACCAAAACCGAACCAACAUUAGACUACUCAGUUGCGCCCUAACAGUAUAACUUUACAACGAGUAUUUUUCUCCUUUAACCGAACAAAGAGUAAACCUAAUUAUGUUGUUCUAUUAUGUCCCGAGUGUGUAAAUUUGCAACGUAUCGAUGUAAACGUUCACAAGAACCAAAAUCGGAACAACAAUAAAAUACUCAGUUGCGCCCUAACAGUAUAACUUUGCAAACUGUACUUAUUCUCAUUCAAUCGAACAAAGAGUAAAACCCAAUUAUAUUGUUCUAUUAUUCCCCGAGAGUGUAAAUUUGCAACUUAUCGAUGUCAACGUUCACAAGAAACAAAACUGGACAAACAUUAGACUACUUAGUUGCGCCCUAACAGUAUAACUUUGCAACGAGUACUUUUUCUCAUUCAACCGAACAAAGAGUAAACAAUAUAUUGUUCUAUUAUGACCCGAGUGUGUAAAUUUCUAUCUGAUCGAUGCCAAUGUUCACAAGAACCAAAACCGGACCAACAUUAGACUACUCAGUUACGCCCUAACAGUAUAACUUUACAAACAGUACUUUUUCUCAUUCAAUCGAACAAAGAGUAAAACCAAAUUAUAUUAUUCUAUUAUGCCCCGAAAAUGUAAAUUUGCAACGUAUCGAUGUCAACGUUCACAAGAACCAAAGCCCGAACAACAUUAGACUACUCAGUUGCACCCUAACAGUAUAACUUUGCAAACAGUACAUUUUCUCAUUCCAUCGAACAAAGAGUAAAACCAAAUUAUAUUAUUCUAUAAUGCCCCGAGAAUUUAAAUUUGCAACGUAUCGAUGUCAACGUUCACAAAAACCAAAACUAGACCAACAUUAGCCGGACCAACAUUAGACUACUCAGUUGCGCCCUAACAGUAUAACUUUGUAACGAGUACUUUUUCUGAUUCAACCCAACAAAGAGUAAAACCUAAUUAUAUUACUCUAUUAUGCCCUGAGAGUAUAAAUUUGCGACGUAUCGAUGUCAACGUUCACAAAAAUCAAAACUGGAACAACAAUAGACUACUCAGUUGUGCCCUGACAGUGUAACUUUGCAACGAGUACUUUUUCUCAUUNUUUUCUCAUUCAAUCGAACAAAGAUUAAAACUAAUUAUAUUGUUCUAUUAUGCCCGAGAUUGUAAAUUUGCAAUGUAUCGAUGUCAACGUUCACAAGAACCAAAACUGGAACAACAUUAGACGACUCAAUUUCGUCCUAACAGUAUAAAUUUGCAAACAGUGCUUUUUCUCAUUCAAUCGAACAUUGAGUAAAACCGAAUUAUAUUGUUCUAUUAUGCCCCGAGACUGUAAAUUUGCAACGUAUCGUUGUCAACGUUCACAAGAAACAAAACCGAAAAAAUAUUAGACUACUCAAUUGCUCCCUAACAGUAUAACUUUGCAAUGAGUACUUUUUCUCAUUCAAUCGAAUAAAGAGUAAAACCUAAUUUUAUUGUUCUAUUAUGCCACGAGAGUGUAAAUUUGCAAUGUAUCAAUGUCAACGUUCACAAAAGUCAAAACCAGACCAACAUUAAACUACUUAGUUGCGCCCUAACAGUAUAACUUUACAACGAGUACUUUUUCUCCUUCAACCGAACAAAGAAUAAAACCUAAUUAUAUUGUUCUAUUACGCUCCGAGAGUGUAAAUUUGCAACGUAUCGAUGCAAACGUCCACAAGAACCAAAACCAGAACAAUAUUAGACUACUCAGUUGCGCCCUAACAGUAUAACUUUGCAAACUAUGCUUUUUCUCAUUUAAUGGAAUAAAGAGUAAAACCCAAUUAUAUUGUUCUAUUAUACUCCGAGAGUGUAAAUUUGCAACGUAUCAAUGUCAACGUUCACAAGAACCAAAACCGAAAAAAUAUUAGACUGCUCAGUUGCUCCCUAACAGUAUAACUUUACAUUGAGUAUUUUUUCUCAUUCAACCAAAUAAAGAGUAAAACCUAAUUAUAUUGUUCUAUUAUGUCCCGAGAGUGUAAAUUUGCAACGUAUCGAUGUCAACGUUCACAAAAACCAAAACCGAACCAACAUUAGACUACUAAGUUGCGCUCUAACAGUAUAACUUUGCAACGAGUACUUUUUCUCCUUCAACCGAAUAAAGAGUAAAACCUAAUUAUAUUGUUCUAUUAUACCCGGAGAGUGUAAAUUUGCAACGUAUCGAUAUCAACAAUCACAAGAGCCAAAAUCGGAACAACAUUAGACUGCUCAGUUGCGCCCUAACAGUAUAACUUUGCAAACAGUAAUUUUUCCCAUUCAAUGGAACAAAAAGUAAAACCUAAUUAUAUUGUUCUAUUAUGCUCCGAGAGUAUAAAUUUGCAACGUAUUGAUGUCAACGUUCACAAGUACCAAAAUCGGAACAACAUUAGACUACUCAGUUGCGCCCAAACAGUAUUACUUUGCAAACUGUGCUUUUUUCUCAUUCAAUCGAACAAAGAGUAAAACCUAAUUAUAUUAUUCUAUUAUGCCCCGAGAGUAUAAAUUUGCAACGUAUCGAUGUCAAUGUUUACAAUAACCAAAACCGGAUCAACAUGAGACUACUCAGUUACGCCCUAACAGUAUAACUUUGCAAACAGUACUUUUUCUCAUUCAAUCAAACAAAGAAUAAAACCUAAUUAUAUUGUUCUAUUAUAUCCUAGAGUGUAAAUUUGCAAUAUCAAUGUCAACGUUCACAAAAACAAAAACCGGAACAACAUUAGACUACUCAGUUGCGUCCUAACAGUAUAACUUUGCAAACAGUGCUUUUUUUCAUUCAAUCGAACAAAGAGUAAGAACUAAUUAUAUUGUUUUAUUAUGCACCGAGAGUGUAAAUUUGUAACGUAUCAAUGUCAAUGUUCACAAGAACCAAAACCAAAAAAAUAUUAGACUACUCAGUUGUUCCCUACCCGUAUAACUUUGCAAUGAGUACUUUUUCUCAUUCAAUCGAACAAAGAGUAAAACCUAAUUAUAUUGUUCUAUUUUGCCCUGAGAGUGUAAAGUGAUUGUGCCGCUCUAAUACCAAUGUAAUCCUCCUGAUCCAACUUAGCAAUCGGAUGAAUUCUCUUAAUGACAGUAAGGCUAAUUUCGGGAUGAUGGUGUGCUUUCGAAAGGUCCAAUCGCUCCAAUGAUGCCCUGUUGAGGAUUGACUAGAAUUGGAGAUUAUGGUAAAAACAUUUAGCUGAAGAUUAAGAUGAGAGGAUAGGAGAGAGAGACUAGAGGGAAUGAGAAUUGAGAUGGGAAUAGAGGGAGGAGGAGAAGAGGAGGAAGGGAAAAAGGUAGGAGGAAGAGGGUAAUUAGGGAUUCAUUAUCUUCUGCUUAACUCUCUUACAGGUAAUUGUUUCUAUAUAUACUAUUACAUCAUGACUAAUAUGUAAAAUAGCCAAUAACAGGGAAUAAACUGCAAAAGAAUUAUUUAUAGGUGGGCCUCUGGUUGCCUCCUAAACCAAUCCCCCGAUUAUGGGCUGGGCCCUCAUAACUGCCUCCGAUCCGCUUCAGCCUCAAGGUCCCUAUCAGAUCUGGGUUGAUGGCCUAAGUGGCAACCUCUAAAUCUAGUCCGAUAACCCACUUUUAUCACCUAACUACUCCCGCCGCAUUUGACUACACCCCGACAGGAUCUACUGGACUUACCUUGUCGCCCUCUUCCCACUUAACCCUAACCUCCCUCCUUGCUACAGCCAUUACAGAUACUUCAACCUAAGUAAGAAAAUGAAAUUAAAUACAGCUAGUGUUGCAGGUGCAACCCACCUCCUCACAUGCAACAUAAUAUUUCCCAUAUGGAUCUGCACAGACAAAGAAUUGAGGUAAUAAACCCUGCACCAGAUGCACUACAAAGGGCGGUAUGCAUGACUUACCAUCUAUCUCAUAGUGAGAUCUCUUAGAUUUCCGUACUUAAAACUUACAACUGAUCAAACUUACAACUGAUCGAGAAAACAUUGACAAAUACAACCAACAUAAUUAGCUAUGAAGUCCAGCAAUAAAGAGGGCUUAAAAACGAUAUCAACCAAAAAGAAAAUUACCAAUAAACAAACAUUUGCAAGCAGCUUGAAAAGUUUUAGCCUUUUUGGUUGUAAAUAAGGAUCUGAGAGUACAGAAUACAAAUGGAAGAGAACAGAGGAGACAAACAACAAGAUUAAGAAUUGAGCUCGAACUUUUGGGGAAAAAAAAAAAAAAAAGAUGAAGAAAUAAUUCAGCAGGUCGUGAUUUCCAGAAUAUCAUCUCCACACUUGUUCUUUUGUUAAAUGAGCAAACAAUUGGAGCUACUCAAGAACAUAUCAUGAUUCCAAAGCAAUUCCAUCCGGGACUGCUUAGCAGACGAAGUGGGAUCCUGCCAUGAAUACAAAGCAACAAACCAAUCAACACACUUACAUUCAAUUAAUAAUUAAGAGCAACAUAAAGAGCUCUAAAUCACCGACACGUGACAGUACUCAAAAAAGUCUUUUUACCAACUACAACAUGCUCAGCAGUUUUCACCUGCAAAACAAUAUAUACAUUGACAGGUCUGCUAUACCGUGUUGAUUGUGCGAAUUGAGUAGGGGCUGCCAAAUUCAGGCACUUACAAGCGCUUAAUUGUAAGUGGUGUCAAAAUAAAUGUGUAAAUCCUAAGAGCUAGUGCUUUUAUCUGUAUCAGUUGCAUGCCAUCUUCAAAUUACGAGCCAUGCAAUUGAAUUUGCAAUAAUAGGAUAAUGAUCCAAUUCGCCCUGAAUAAGCUGUCUUCAAAAGCGCUACAUGAGCCUACUUACUAGAUCGGAAGAUCUUCAUCCAAUUCAUUGUCUUGCAAAUUCCAGUUCAAGAAUUCCCUCAUGUGAAGGUUUAUGCAGUUCCCAGAACACUUGCUAAAAUGCAUAAAAUAUGCAUCACAGACUUACAGACUAGAGUUAACAAGAACUAAGAAUAACUUGUCAAAUGCACAAACACAUCCAGGUAUUAGAAUUCCAGGGCAAAGCAUAAUCAUGUUAGAGCUGCCCGUUGCAACAAAAAGUGCCACGGAUGUUUGACAGAAUCAUUUACCAUGUUGAAUAACAGAUGAGUUCGUACAUCUCAAGAGCAAGCCAACUAAAAAAAUCUCCAGAGAAGAAAACCAGCCAAAAAGAAUUAUGUAGGUACUGCAUAGUAUAGAAAUAUCAAUGAAGAUAUAUAAGAGUCAUUUUUAUCAUCGACAUAUUCAAGGCACAUUGAGAAUUCUAAAACUGAAAAACAAUGUUCUAAAAAGCCGUAUGUGGUACGCGGGCGGUCCACCAACAUAGAGCACAUAUGCAGCAUCCAAAUGCAAACGCAAGCGCAUAUGCAGUUCAGAUUUUAAAAUAUAAAAAAAUAAAAUGUAAAUGUAAAAACUAUACUAAUAUACUUUUAAAAAUAGAAAAUAAACAAAUAUGUAAUAAAUUGGCUAAACUUUUUAUGAAAAGGAAUAAUUUAUCAGUGAAUUAUCAUUUACUGUCACUUGUAGUCAACCUCCAAACCAACACUUUAAAAAUAUAGAAUAAUAACAUCUAAUGGAUACAAAAAUAGUAAUCAAUAUUUAUAUUUUAUAAAUAUUAGAUAUGUUGAAAAUAAUACCACAAAAUAUGAAAUAUCAAUGACCAAGCAAUUAAGAUAAAGAGUGAUAGGUUAUAUUUAUACAUAUAUAGUGACAUUAAUAUGCAUAAUCAAUAAUCAAAUUUAUAUGAAAAUAGUUACGUCUGCAUGUAUAUGUGCAUGUAUAAUCAUCACCCACUGCAUUUCAAUCCCACCUCAAAGAAGGAAAAAAAAGAAAAAAAAGGAGAGAGAUAUAUAUAUAUACACAUAAGGCGGCGACAUAUUUGGCUGCCUACCGCAUAUGCGGCCGCAUAGUUCGACCAUAUACUGCACCACAUAUUAUAAAUGUGGUGCGGUUGAUGGCCGAAACGGAAGCCCAAGCGCCACAUAAGCCGCACUUUUGGAACACUACAGAAAAAUUGGAAAGAGUUAGAUGUUCCUACAAUUUCUGAAUAAAUAGUUAGAAAAUCAUACUUUACUAGUUUCUUCUCUUUUUUUUCGAAAGGCAAUUGCAGACAAGCCUACAGUGGCUUUGUUGUUCCUAAAACCUGCUGAGACCUUGACCAAUUUGAACAUGGAACAACUGUAACAUACUCAUGCAAUAAUGCUAACACCACCAUGAAAUUAUCAUCAAACAUCAACUUCACCUUGGGUAAUUCACAUAUAAAGUUGGCUACAGCUAUCGGAUAUCUUCUUACGCAUUAAGAAUUGGUAUUUAUUCCUUUUUUCCUGCCAUAUCAUCAGCUAAUCUAUCCUAUGAUUCAGCUAGUAACAAUCUCCAUUAGAGUCUCCAAAAAGAACAACACAUAUCUUAGCACACUCAAUCCGCAAAAACAAAUUCAACAAUCUGAUGACCAAGCUUGCAGUACAGACUUCACUACACAUCGAGAAGAAUUAUACUUCAUAACUCUAGUUGGAACCGUGGCCUUCUAGUCUUUGUAGGAAACCCCAUAUUUUUCAAUCUUGAUGCCUCAAUCUAUUAUAUGUAUUUCAUACACUUUAACUGAAACCAACUUAGUCCAAAGCCUUUCUUUACUGUUUUUCCUCCAUAAAAACCCUAGUUGCCAUUAGCAAAGAAUAUAAACCAUUGACCCUCAUCUUGAAUAUAUUUUUGUAAUCCCUAUAACAAAUCAAAUAGACUAGGUGAUAAUACUUUGGGGCCUGUUUAGUUCACGGAUUGUAAUAUUCCAAUAAUCUGCUAUUUCUUCUAUUGAAAAUAUCCAAAUUACUGGGUGAUUAUAAAAGGUAUUACUGAAGUAGUGUUGUAGAUUUCCAGAUGGUAAGAACACUAGAUUAUCAUGGGUUAGAAGGUAUUCUCAUUUUCAUACUUAACAGGAAUCAUUAGUAGUCUUUAAAUAAGAAUAAACUAACUCUUAAUAACCUCCCAACCCAAGUGGCUUGGUUUAGUAACAAACUUGCCAUUCCAAAUAUAAAAUAUACAACAUGCUGGAAAUAUUACAAGCCUUGAACCAAACGGCCCCUAGGUGAAAUCCUAUUACUCAGCACACCAGUUUCCCUCAUACAAAUCAUAAUAAUGUUUCUCAAAUACAGAAGUAUAUAUAUGUAUAUAAAUAUAAAUAUAAAUAUAAAUAUAUAUAUAUAUAUAUGUAUAUAUGUAUAUAUAUGUAUAUAUGUAUAUAUAUGUAUAUAAAUAUAUAUAUGUAUAUAUGUAUAUAUAUAUNNNNNNNNNNNNNNNNNNNNNNNNNNNNNNNNNNNNNNNNNNNNNNNNNNNNNNNNNNNNNNNNNNNNNNNNNNNNNNNNNNNNNNNNNNNNNNNNNNNNNNNNNNNNNNNNNNNNNNNNNNNNNNNNNNNNNNNNNNNNNNNNNNNNNNNNNNNNNNNNNNNNNNNNNNNNNNNNNNNNNNNNNNNNNNNNNNNNNNNNNNNNNNNNNNNNNNNNNNNNNNNNNNNNNNNNNNNNNNNNNNNNNNNNNAGAGAGAGAGAGAGAGAGAGAGAGAGAGAGAGAGAGAGAGAGAGAGAGAGAGAGAGAGAGAGAGAGAGAGAGAGAGAGAGAGAGAGAGAGAGAGAGAGAGAGAGAGAGAGAGAGAGAGAGAGAGAGAGAGAGAGAGAGAGAGAGAGAGAGAGAGAGAGAGAGAGAGAGAGAGAGAGAGAGAGAGAGAGAGAGAGAGAGAGAGAGAGAGAGAGAGAGAGAGAGAGAGAGAGAGAGAGAGAGAGAGAGAGAGAGAGAGAGAGAGAGAGAGAGAGAGAGAGAGAGAGAGAGAGAGAGAGAGAGAGAGAGAGAGAGAGAGAGAGAGAGAGAGAGAGAGAGAGAGAGAGAGAGAGAGAGAGAGAGAGAGAGAGAGAGAGAGAGAGAGAGAGAGAGAGAGAGAGAGAGAGAGAGAGAGAGAGAGAGAGAGAGAGAGAGAGAGAGAGAGAGAGAGAGAGAGAGAGAGAGAGAGAGAGAGAGAGAGAGAGAGAGAGAGAGAGAGAGAGAGAGAGAGAGAGAGAGAGAGAGAGAGAGAGAGAGAGAGAGAGAGAGAGAGAGAGAGAGAGAGAGAGAGAGAGAGAGAGAGAGAGAGAGAGAGAGAGAGAGAGAGAGAGAGAGAGAGAGAGAGAGAGAGAGAGAGAGAGAGAGAGAGAGAGAGAGAGAGAGAGAGAGAGAGAGAGAGAGAGAGAGAGAGAGAGAGAGAGAGAGAGAGAGAGAGAGAGAGAGAGAGAGAGAGAGAGAGAGAGAGAGAGAGAGAGAGAGAGAGAGAGAGAGAGAGAGAGAGAGAGAGAGAGAGAGAGAGAGAGAGAGAGAGAGAGAGAGAGAGAGAGAGAGAGAGAGAGAGAGAGAGAGAGAGAGAGAGAGAGAGAGAGAGAGAGAGAGAGAGAGAGAGAGAGAGAGAGAGAGAGAGAGAGAGAGAGAGAGAGAGAGAGAGAGAGAGAGAGAGAGAGAGAGAGAGAGAGAGAGAGAGAGAGAGAGAGAGAGAGAGAGAGAGAGAGAGAGAGAGAGAGAGAGAGAGAGAGAGAGAGAGAGAGAGAGAGAGAGAGAGAGAGAGAGAGAGAGAGAGAGAGAGAGAGAGAGAGAGAGAGAGAGAGAGAGAGAGAGAGAGAGAGAGAGAGAGAGAGAGAGAGAGAGAGAGAGAGAGAGAGAGAGAGAGAGAGAGAGAGAGAGAGAGAGAGAGAGAGAGAGAGAGAGAGAGAGAUAUAUAUGUAGAGAGAGUUUGACUGGGCUACUAUCGGUAGUAAACUACUCGGUUUACUACCGAUUUGUUUUUUAUGAUAGAGCUUCCAAAUCGACGAUCGACACCGCUGAACAUGACCUAGACCAUUUAAAUUAUCUAGAAAUCAAAUUUCAUGAUUUUUUGGCAUCACUAACUGAACGAUCAAAGAGUCACAAAAUCUAUAAUUUUAAUGGCCGAUAUGGUGCGUUUUCUCGUUUAACGGUAUAGAAGAGUUCAAAUCAACUAAAUUUUUGUUAAAAAAUUCUUUAAACUAUUUAAAAUAAGAUCUAGACUCUAGAUCUCAAAUAUAAAAAUUGUAUCAUCACUUUUUGAAGGAUAUUCAUUUUCAGCCAUUCAUUUUUCUGUUCACUUGAUGGACAAGAGAACAAUAUCGAAAAUGUGUGAAAUUUAAUUUCCAGAUAGUUUAAAUAGUUUAGAUCAUGUUUAACGGUGCCAAUCAUCAAUUUGGAAGCUCUAUCAUCGAAAACAAAUCGGUAGUAAACCGAGCCGUUUACUACCGAUAGUAUUCUAGCAAAACUCUAUAUUACAAGACUCCUAUCAUCAUUUUUUAAAGAAUAUUCAUUUUCAGCCAUUCAUUUUUGUGUCCACUCGAUGGAUAAGAGAACAAUGUCGAAAAUGUAUGAAAUUUGAUUCCUAAACACUUCAAGUGGUAUAGAUCAUGUUCAACGGUACCGAUCGUCGAUUUGGAGGCUUCAUCAUCGAAAACAAAUGGAUGGCAACGGAGUCUGUUUGUUAUCGAUAGUAUUCUAGCUCAACUCUAUAUGUAUAUAUAUAUGAAGUUCUUAAGAAUAAAUUAUAUAUUUUUUCGACAUAGCGUACUUUAUGACCAAACCACUUCAAAAUUGUCAAUUUUCAAUUGCUACUAUGAAAAGUUUGUAGUUUAACGGUGUAGAAGAAUCUAAAUUUAUUCAAAUUUUGAUAGAAAAUAUUUUAAAUUAUCUAGAUCAAGAUUAGUGCCUUUGAUCUUGAAUUCAAAAGUCCUAUUCUCACUAAAGAUAGCUCAAUUUUCACUGUUUAUUUAGGCACAAUUUACUUUCUGAGUAAACAAUGUCGAAAAAAAUUAAAAUUUUACUCCUAAAAAUUUCAUAUACCCUAAAUUAUAUUUAACAGUGUGGAUCGUUGUUUUGAACACCCUAAAAUAAAAAAUGAGACUAUAGUAUCGGAGCUNUCUAUAUAUAUAUAUAUAUAUAUAUAUAUAUAAAAUCUAACAUCAUACAAACAAAAAAAAAGAAAAGAAAAAAAAUAUAUACCUAUUGUUACCCUUUGAACUUUCAAGAUGUUACAAAUUCCUGUAACUUCAUGUAAUAGUACAAUCAAACCUUUGUACAACAACUAACAAUAAUCUCCUAGCGGUCUCUACAACUAAGGAUUGAACUCCAUUUUGUAGGUUCUACAGUUUCUGCAGGAAUGAAGCCUCAGAUUUGAAGAACUACGUUGCUUCAAUCCGUAAUAAAGCUCCAUAUUCUGUUGUUAGUGUUUAAAGUGAUAUUACCAUUAUUUCUACUACAGAUGUCACAGAACAAGAAAUGUUAAAACUAGCAUUGUUCAGUCUGAAAUGACAAUUGCACUAUUACAUGAAAGCGACGUGUUUCAAAAAUGAAGAAUUUAGGUGUCUGAUUCCAAAAGUUUUCACAGCUCAAGGAUUUUCACUUCAUUACCUCGACACAAAAGAAAAGUUGUAUAUUUCCACAGAAACAUUCAGAGUUUCAGACAAUGUGCAUAUGCUGAAAAAUGUUUCAAACAGAAGCACAUUCGUCAAUUUGACAGGCUGGUACUCGAUUGAUACUAAACAUUGAUUCAGGUGACAUUAACUUUCCAGUAGCAGGAAUAACUUCUUACCAACUUCUAGCAUGAACUGCAACAGCUCCUAUGGACAAUGUCAUGAAGGACACUUCUAGCAUAAUAAGUGAUCUUCAAUUAGAGUGUUCUUUAGACAAAUACAAGGAUUUAAGUGCCGUGGUACGGGGUCAUGCCGGAAACUUGCCGGCACGGUACGACACGGUGCGCAAUGUUUAAAGUACCGUGGCACGGGGGCAUGCCGUUAUGUCCCUGGCACGGUACGGCACAGGCACGCUUGCGUGCCGACACGUGAGAUACGCGUGACCUCCUACUGGCACGCUUUGGCACGGACUUAUUUCAGAUUUUUUGGUUCUAAUAAACUCUUAUAAUAUUAUUUUGAAAGAUUUAAAUAAAUAAUUAUGAAUAUUUAUUAUAUAUACCUUACUACACUCAUCAAUAAUAUGUAUGUAAGCUUUUUAUAAAUAAAAUACAACUAUACCUGAUGUAGAAUAGAAAUUAAAAUACAAUAAUAAAAUUCACAAGUACAAUAAUUAUUUAAAUUUACAUCUUUAUAUAGAAAUGACUACUUAAUUCGACAUAUAUCGUCACGCUUGAUCAUAUGGCGUAUUGUCAUCUACAAAUACAAGAUUUAUUUGAUAAUAUUGAUAUAAGUAUUGCUGGUAUUGUGAGAAAGUCAUAUAUUCCAAAUAUUACAUCCAUAUUUUAUUCUUUUAUUCUUUUUAAAAAUUUCUGUUCAAAAUUUGUUUAGAAGAUCGAUUUUUGUUCCCUUGAUUCACCGAAAGCUUCACAGUGCAACAAUUUUUGACAAAAUAUUUUGCGAAGAAAAAAUGAAUGUCUGUGGUGGAAGCGGAGGGCGUGGGGGGCGGUAUGGAUCAAGUAUGUCAAUUAAAAAUUUGCUAUCAAUAUAGAAGUUAAAAAAAAAGGUAUCCGCCACAAAGCAAAAAAAAGUUGAAAAAAAGACAAUAAAGUUAAAAACAAAGACAAUAUAAGUGGCCCGGAAGGGGGGCUCGAUACCCUAGAGAACAAAACAAAAAAGAAAAAGCCAAAAAAAAAAGAGGAAGCAGCGACACGCGGCACAAUGCCGCGGCACAUGCCGCUUUGUCUCGAGCGGCACGGGCCAUGUGCCGCGGCACCCGGGGGGGUCCGAGACCCCUCUGUACCGUGCCCUCUUGGGGGGGCGGUACGGCACGCCCCGUGCCGUACGGCACGGGGCGGCACUUUGAACCUUCGGUGCGUGCCGAGCCGAGCCGAGCCGAUGCAUGCCGAUCAAAAAAAUUCUUGCAUGCCAACACAUAAUAAUAGCAUGAAAAAUUUAUUUUCUUUAGUAACAAAAUAUUUUAACUAUUUAUUAUGUCGUUUUAUCACAUCUUUUGAACUUUAUUGAGAAAAUUACUUACUAAUUUAAAAAAUAGAAGGUUUUGAGUUGUGCCAUCGGCACGGAAUCUGUAUCGUGCCGGUAUCUUGCUGUCAAGGUACGGCACGGUGGAUACAGCCCGUGCCGACGGGGACUUAGAAACUUGGGUAAAUAUCAUUUGUACAAUGCAAGGCACUAAUCAAAUACAAUGUGGUGCCAAAGUGGAUGAAAUGUGUCCAUAAGGACAAACUUGUCUGCAUGUGGGUGUGACUGCAUGAGGAUAUAUGAACUAGCGAUCACACAAGAUUGAAGUUCCAGUUUCAAAACUCAAAAGAUCAGAAAUUGAUUGAAAAGAAAAGCCAUGAGUGAAACUAUGCAUUAAGUUCGUAUUCACAAUAUAAUCUACAAGAUAAAAUUUCUUCUUUACAUUUGAAUUUUGCACGUCUGUCUAUGCGAAGGUAAUAUUUUGGUUUAGUUUAGGUUAGUGUCACAAUUUUAAAUGUAUCUCAAAUGCAAUAUAAUGCAAAACCUACGGGUCUUAAACCAUAUGACUGUUGUUAAACCUAGAACACUAUAUAGCCAAUGCACUACUCUAUUUGAAAUAGCUGCAAGUAACAAGAGGGCUGAUAAAGCCACAUCCAUGAAGACAUGAUCACUUUUAACAAGAUCCUGAUUCAGACUGCUCAGUAAAUUCCUUCUUUGUUAAAUCACAUUUUAAAUAUGUAACAACCACCACUAGUCUUAUAAUACAAAAUUAAUCCAGCAACCCCACGUCAAGUUUUAUCUGUAAAUUUAGUUACCUAUAAAUGUACAUAAACACUUUAGCUCAUCUAGACAACAGAUGAAAAAUUAAGGAGAAGUAAAUAGAUAAGGAAUAGAUCUGGUUUCAAACAUAGAUGGUUAUAUACAUGUUUUGAACUGAGAUUCUUCGAAUUAUUCACAUACCAAUAAGAGAAACAUUUAAAAUAAAUAACUAUAAAUAUAAACAAGUACCAAUUAUAUAAAAUCAUCUUGAGAUUAAAAUAAGGCAGUUUGAUUCUUACUAUCUUCUGGAAAUCAAGCCAGCUCCAGAUGACCUGAAAAAAAAUAGUAAUUGCAAUUAAUUUAUCUUCCUGUAGCUUUAGAAAGAGUGAGGUGUUGAAUCUUAAGUCAUGGAAAUACUAAUAUUUACCUUCCUUGUUGUUUGCCUCCAGACCCAUGUCUCCCAUUACUUGGUCCUUUGUUCUGUGACGAAGGCAAGAUUGUUCUUUCAAGAUUUCCACCAUUUCCAGUACCAACAUGUACAGAUGACUGACCAGGUCUAAUUUCAGGCAAAAAUCCAUUGGGGUCCUGAAGACCUUUUAGUUUGUUCGAAAUUGCCAUAUCAGAAAGCCCCUGGACAAUUUUUGAAUUCAAAUUGACACCAUUCUGUUGUUGAUCAUGCAUUUUUGGAGUCUGUGAAUGCAUGUCAAAUGAAUCUCCAGGAUUACUUAUAACAGCACCAUUUGCAAAAGACAUAGUAUUCACAGAUCUAGGCUCGAUUUGUGGCACCCUUUUCUGGCGAUUGUUUUGAGCAACAGGAGUCACAGCAACCGAAGGCAAUAAUGAGGAGUAUUGGGAAGCUGAUGCUGCAGCAGCAGCAACCUUAGCAACAGCAGUAGUAGCAGAUAUGAUCUGUUGUGCUCCUUCGCGAAGAUGAAUAAAAUCCCCCUCAAUGACAAAUAACUGGCAUUGCAACUCCCAUAAGAAACUUAGCAAAGAUUAUAUCGUAAUAAGACAUGCAUGGGUUAAAAACAUACCUCAGGAUGAUGCGCCACAAAAUCAUCCAGCUUUCCAUAGUGUUUCUUGUAAUCAUGCCAGUGAAGAGGAGCAAGCAUUUUCCCAAGCCUAUUUGGUAGCUGGAAUAUGAAAUAAAUACAAACCAAUCAGCCUAAUUAUAAAGAAAUAAUCACGAGCUCCAGCAGAAAAUAUACUCACAGUUGUGCUGAUCCUGAUGCGACCAUCCGAUCCAGCAGGAAUAGCACGAACAAUGCAUGCCAGAAGUGAUCGUUCAUCCAGUAGAGCAGGUUCCACUGCCUUCCCAGUAGGCAAUGAACUAGAGGACCAAGUAACAGAACUAGGUAUUUCAGCAUAAUUAACUACAUUUUUAUGGCAUUCUGCUGCUCCAUUUGAAGUGGUACCAUGAACCUGAGGAGCUGAAGCAACCACACCAGGAGCUGAACACUGUUGUAGUAACGCAGGCUCUUGUGAUUGCUUAUUUGCAGCAAAAACAUUUUCAUCUUGUACCUAAUAAUAUUCAAAGAAUAAUUUGUCAGCAAAAGUUGACAACUGCUUCUUAAGUUGCCUUUUGAGAAAUGAGUGGUGAUAAUACAAACAUGCAAUGAGAUUGAUUGAAGAAUCGGUCAGAACAAAACAAACCUUUGACUCGCUCUUCUGUUCACGUACGUCAAACUUUUGGGUAGAAUUACCCUCAGAAUUUACAUCUAAGGUCUCUUGUGGUUCUAGGGAAACUGCAUGCUGCUUCCCAUUCAAUUCCAGAGCCUGCCAUCAAAAAGUCAGCAUUAAGAUUAAAUAUCUAGGAACAGAACAAGAAUAAACUAUUUGUAGAUCUGCGGAAGUUAUAUAGACCUGCACUUCACUUGAUCCACUGAUUGCAUGGCGAGCCCUAUGCUCUUGGCUAAUGUGGACGCUAAGGUGGUCUGGUUGGACUACAUGUCCUUCAACAGAGUGCUGAUAGCUAGAAUGAGCAUCUGAUCUUAAAAGAUUCUGAUCUGACUGGGAUGACUGAUAAUGUGUCUGGUUAGGUACCUGUGAGACAUCAAAUGCCACCUAAAAUAUAAUAGUGUGUUGAGAAGCAUAAGCAAAAAAUGAAAAGGUAAAUUAGGUUUAUUAUAAAAGUAAUUCAUGCCAAUUAAGUUGUUUAUAAUGCAGAUUUCAAGCAAAAUUUCAAAGAUAGUCCAACCUGUUGAUCUGGCCAAUGAUGAUGAGGAGUUGCAGAUGCUGGCUGCAAAUGACCAAGCUGAGAUGGAGGAACAGGUGAGUUGGUCGAUGUUACAGAUUGUGGCACACCUUGUGGCUGCAUCACAUAAGGAUGCAUUGCAGCCAUCUGUCCAGGAGGGAAAAAGGCGCCGACUCCAAGCAAUGAAGAUGGAACAACCGGCACACCCGAGGAAUGCUCAGUCUAAUAAAAAGAACAAAAGUACUUUCAAAAAAGGGUAGUCACUCCACAAUCUUUAAAGUAUAUAACAUAACAAAGAUUGGAGAACGGAAUCAGUAAUGAGAAUCAAUAUAUAUGAAAGUAUUACUAUAUAAUAUGCAAAUAGCAAACAACUGCACGAAUAAUUGAUGAAGAAAUAUCAAUAUGGCUCUUUCAAUCAGAACCUUGUCAUGAUCUACAUCAUAGUUAGAUAUAAGGGAUUAAACUAUGACGAGAAUAAGCAAAUUUAUGGAACAAUUGUGUCUACUGACACCUGACAGUUCAGUUAGAGCAUUAAGCCCAGGCUACUAUACAGAAGCAUGCAACAAUUGAAUGCAUCUUCUGUUGUAAGUUAACGGAAAAAAGAUGUAGAUUAUCUGCAUAAGAACGAAAAAUGACUAGCUUCUGCAUCUCAACCUUUCAUUGUUCCCUGGGAUGUCAAUUGUAUAUCUUUGUCUUCAUGCAGAUAAAAUUAAGAAAAUAUGGUAGUAAACAUGACAGUAAAUCUUAGAGUUGUUCAAACUUAUGGUACCUUUCUAGGUGGGUUAGAAGCUGAAUUUAAGGACGAACCGUCAUCUGACCUUUCACUUGUAACAAAACCCAAGUUACCAUUUGAAGAACCACCAUCAUUCGCAUUAAUUUGGCUUCCCUUGCUCUGGACAUAUGAAGAAGAAUCAGCUGAACUCUCACUAGCAGCUCCUGAACCAUCUUUAUGUGUUACAUUUUGUUCUCUUGCCUCAGCUAACUCUAGUUGAAGCUGCUGAAUAACUUGCAGAUGAUGUCGCUCCAUUUCAACAUACUAGAAUCAGAAGGCCAAAAUAAAAUAAUAUCAAAGAUCAAACAAGACACAAUCAUCUAAAAUACUCACAAAAAAUCAUAAAAAUAUAUAUAGGUAUAAGCAGCACACACAUUAUUUACUUUCUCAUAGAAUGAAGAAAACUGCAUGUGCAUGCUAUCUAACCUGUUGUUGAAACCCAAUCCAAUAAUGGUUAAACUGUUCAGUGCGUUCUCGCAGCUCAGCUUGUAAUGACUGGUUAGUGGUUGAUUGCAAAGCAUCCAUUUCUUGAACACGAGUAAUCCAAGCUUGUACCUCCCUUAAUUGCUCAUCCUUGUAAAUGAUAGUGUCUUGUGCAACCUUAUGCUGGACAACCCAAAAAUUUGUUAAAUAGUAUAAUAUAUCUUUCUCUAUGUAAUAUGUAAUGUUUAAUUUUAUAUAUAUAUAUAUAUCAAGGAUUUAAGUGCUGUGGCACAGGGUCGUGCCGGAAACUUGUCGGCACGGUACGACACGGUGCGUGGCGAGCCGUGCCGAGCCGUGCCGGUCAAAAAAAUUCUUGUGUGCCGACACAUAAUAGCAUUAAUAUUUAUUUUCUUUAGCAACAAAAUAUUCUAACUAUUUAUUAUAUUUUUUUUAUCACAUCUUUUGAACUUUUAUGAAAAAAUUACUUACUAAUUUAAAGAAUAAAGAGUUUUAAAGUAUGCCAUCGGCACGGGGUCUGUAUCGUGUCAAUAUUUUGUUGGCACGGUAUGACACGGUGGAUAGGAUCUAUGCCGACGGACACUUAAAACCUUGCUAUGCAAUCUGCAUUAACACCUAAGAAAAAACUUAUAUUGUUUGCACAACAUCUUUAUUAAAAAAAAAAAAUUAUAUAUUGUUUGGUUAUAAGAUUGUAGGAAUCAGUUAUUGCCAACAAGUACUCUCAGUCGAAGUUUUAAAAAAAUCAUCUCAUAAAAAAAAUAUAAAUAAAAUCAUAACUUCCUUCUGCUCUGUUUUAUUUUAGGGUCAGUUUGAUUGGAUGUAAUUAGAANCAUGAAAUAUUUAUUUUCUUUAGCAACAAAAUAUUCUAACUAUUUAUUAUGUCUUUUUAUCACAUCUUUUGAACCUUAUUGAGGAAAUUACUUACUAAUUUAAAGGAUAGAGGGUUUUGACCUGUGCCAUCGGCAUCAGGUCUGUAUCGUGCCGGUAUCUUGUUGGCACGGUACGGCACGGUAGAUACGGCCCGUGCCGACGGGCACUUAAAAGUUAAAACCUUGAUAUAUAUAUAUAUAUAAAUAAAUAUAUAUAUAUAUAUAUAUAUAUAUAUAUAUACCAACUGGAUCAAAGGUUCAUCAGCUAUACGAUUCUAAGUUGAUUACAGCUUUAUUCUGUAUAAUAAAAGAUUUUCAAUCCAGUUAUUCACUAGAUAAACAUAACAGCAUGGUUAACUUGUACAUGUAUAGAUACAGCAAUUGUAUAACACAUAAAGGCACAAAAAUGCUGUGUACGCACUUUACGCGUUGAUGUGAUUGUGCACCACAUUGCAUCUUACUGCUAGAAGGUUCAAAGCACCGGUGACUACGCAUUGCAGCAUGAAAGCCCAAACCAACAUUGCUAAAACCCUCAAGAAGCAACUAACAAUAAUUGGGUAGACUCCAGAGUUUUGAACUACUAGAAACAAUAUCAUUGAGAUAAUUUUAUGAAGAAAGUAGCAUAUGGGUCGUUAGUCCGCCAAUCAUUGACAGAUUUGAAACUGCUAUACCAACAGUCAUGCAAUAGUACCUAAAAUAAGUAUUCAAGACAAUAUAUUAAAAUCAGGUUUGGAUGAUAACUAUUAUCCUGUCAGUGUGUAGGCGAAUUUCCCUGACAUAAAUCCUCGAACUAACAGGAUAACAGAGUGAGUCAAAUAUAUUGCCUCACAAAAAAAUCAACGACAUCGGAGAGAAGGUUGAUCUGCAAUUCGUUCUCCAAGGUAUUGCACCGUAAGUGAUCAAUCUAGCUAGCAGUCCCUAUGACUAAAUUUAAGCAAAGCACAAAGAAGAAGAAGAAGAAGAAGAGACAGAAAUCAAUUUCCACCAAUAGCUACAUGAUAUCAUUGACCGAGUUCUAUGCCAACGGUCCACCUUCCGCACGCUGCCUUAAAAAGCAGUGAAUGCACUAUUGCAGGCACAUAUGCAUCCACAUAAGGCAUAGACUUAUAUUUUAGGGAAAUUUUCUUAAUCCAACAUAUUCAAAUUAUUGUAAUAUAAUUUUGGAUAAAUAUGAAUAUAAAUAUAUUAUUAAUAUACUAGAUAACUGUAAAUUUUAAAUCAUGAGAUAAAUGAAGAACUUUUAAAAUAAAAUUAGAUUGAUAUUUAAAUCGACUAAUUCAACAUACAUAAUAUUUAGAUAAAUAUGGAUAUUAAAGAGAAUUCUGAGAUUACAGAUAAUUAUGAUUAUUUUAAUAUAUUGAUAAAAUGUUAAAAAUCUUUUUGAAUCUAUUUAAUGGUUUAUAUAAUUAAAUAUAAUUGCAGAUGAUUGCGAAAUACAAAAACCAAAAAAAUAUAGAUAUCAAAAUAUAAUCUUAUCAAUAGGCGGGUUCUUGAACAUAUAUGAUAAAGUCUUAAGAAAAACACUAAAAAAUAAUCUUGCAGUAUCUAUGUUAAAACUGAAUGAAAGAAUUCAAAUUAAAAUAAAUCGAGUAUAUUCAUAAAAAUAAAAUAUAUCUGUAUAUAAAAUAUAUAUAAAGAAAUUACCAUGCAUUUAACGUCAAUGAUACUUAUAGUUCCUUCAGUUUGGAGAGAUUUUUAAGAAAAUAUAUGUAGGUUUAGCAUGACUCUCCUAAGGUUAGUUGCUCAAACAUUCAAAUAUCACAAUUCAUUUACACAACUUGCAUGAUUUACAGUCAUUAUUAUUUCCUAAAUAGAAUAUUCUUCUUUAAUGUUAACAUUCACUUUAUUACUCCAUGAAGACAAAAAGGUAAAACAAAGAAGUAAGAUGUGUACCUGUUCUUCCAAUGCAAUAAACUGAUUAUCUUUCUCUUGUAUAUGUUCUUGAAGAUCACGAAUUUGUUUAAGAAGCUGUGCCCUUUCAGCCUCUGAGUUAUCACGCUCCCUUCUGUAGAAAAUAAUAAGUUUGCAAAGCUUAAAAUACAAAGGGACAGAUGCUGACCAAUUUCACACUCAAAGAGCAAGGUUUCACAAAGUAAUUCGUAGAUGGAUAAAAUCUUAUAGGACCAAAAUAGUAAUAAUAUCCUUUCACUAAAUUUCCAAUGCAACCACUUAAGAGAUGAUAUGAAGCCAGCUAUAUUCUCACAUAAAGCCUAUUCCAUCAGCAGAGUCGAAAGACGCUCCACAUCAUGCUUCUCGUUCUCACAAGAAGCCCCUUAAAACAUGUUAUUUGCAAGCUAUCUAGGACAACCUCAGGAGAACAUCGCCGUAGGGGACACUAGAUAGAGACUACAGAAGUCAAGGAAGAGAACAAUACAUUGGACCAACUGUACAAAGGUAACAUAAGCAUGAAGACAAUAUUGUAGCAGGACUUCCGCAAACAGGAUCACUUCGGAUCUGUUGUUGAACUGUACCAUUGCAAAAGAGGAUAAAAAUCUUUACAACUGUAUAUCUAAUUGAAGUACUUCAUUCAUCACGCAAGCUAAAAGUAAUAAUAAAGUUUUGCUAAGCAUUUAGGUGCAAAAGAAUGCAAGCAUAAGAAACCAAGAAAGAUGAUAGAGGACAAAUUGAAAGAAAGUUUACUCAAAUGCUGCACGUAGCAUAGAACCAAGCAUUGUACUGUUGUUUCGAGUUGAUAGCAGAAGACUGAACAUGUUAUAUAUAGCGAAAAAAAAUUAUCACAGGGCCAUGAUCAACUGUAUUAAGAAAGACAAUGCAAAUACCUGAAUGUGGCCAGCUCUUUGUUUUGUUCCCUCAGAAGGUCCUCUUUAGCCCAGGCCUAUGAAAACGAGCAAUAAAAUGCAAACAAUGAAACUUAUUGGAUGUUGAACUUAGUUAACGAAGAAGAGAGUGAAAAAAAAAAGUGAAAAAGCAAACUAACCGCCUCAGUGUCAAUCCUUAGAGCACGUAAUUCUCUAUUGUUCUCUUCUAACUUCCUCUCUAACUCAAGUAUGUAAUUCUCUCUUUCUUGCAGUUGCUCCUGUGUAGAAAAGAAAAGAUAACUAUAACCUAUUAGAACUUUUUUUCUUUGGAUGAAGAGUCAAAACUAUCGAACAUCAUGAGGCAACUUCUGAAAUUCAACCACGGCAACCAUACCCAAAACACAAUUUAGAUAAUAAGAAAUAAACCACUUCUUUUAAUGGCCAUUAGAAUGAAGAUUAAAAAUGGAAAUGCAAUGGAUAGCCCAAAUAAAUGAGCAUACUGAGGAGAAAUUUGUUUAUAGCUAAGAGCUAAACUCCAGACAGUUAGUUAGUGAUUCAUACUCAUAUGAGAUGCCACUCUAUCAUACCACUCACCCAUACUUUUAUGAUGAAUGUGGAAUGAUCAAGCAACAUAAAUCUGAAAAGGAGAUUAAAGAUGUUUUACAUCUUCGAUGCACAUGGCAAAAACUUACAAAAGUUCAACAUUAUUGCAUGCCGGAAACGUGCAUGCACUGCCCCACAGAUCAGACUAACAAUGAGAUCCAACCAUCUUACAAACAGCUAAUUAGCGCUAGAGACAACGAAACAAACAUCAAUAAUCAGGUUUUUGGGUAAUAGCUAAAAGAAAAAGAAAAAAAAAAAAAAAGGGGGGGCAUAACAAAGAGCAAUUAGUGGAAGAGACCUUUAAUUUGGCAGCGGCGGCAUCCUGCUCCUUCAUCCGAGCUUCAAAGCCACUCUGUGCCUCCAAGAUUUCACCACGCGCAAUUGCCUGUGCUCUCAGCUCAAUCUCCAUAUGCUGCAACUCCUCCCUCUGCCUUGCAAUAUUCUGCAGCUUCCUUUGCAAGAUAUCAUCAUUCAGCCCCCUCCCAUCUAUCAUAAUCGAGGAGAAAUCCACAUCAAGUGGCCCCAUUCCUUCCUGCACCUUGCCAGAAUACACCAUUACCUCUUUAAGCACUUACCUGUAUUCUAAAAGGUCACACUGCCGAAACAACAACGAAACCAUUUCCCACAGUACCUCAUAAAUAGUUCUCUCUUCCGGCUGCCCCAAUUUAACAUGUUCAGAGUCCUGAGAUCCGAAGUUUCACACAAAAUCAAAACCCUAACAGAAUCAAUCAGGCACAAAGUGCAAGCAAGGGAAAAUUUCUUUCCUACCUCAGACCCAUUGCUCCGGAACGAAUGCUGGGAGACAGCGCGCCACUCCUUCCUCGGCUGCUGUGACGAAGAAGAGGGCGAGGAGGAGGGCACAGGAAGCGACCCACCGCGGCUUGCGGAGGCCUCCAUCGCGGAUCGAGAGCUCUCUCUCCGACGCCUCCAACUCCUAAGAUCGAGUCCGCUCCCGCAGGAAACCAAGCCAAGGACCCCGAGAGCGAGAUCGAAGCUAGGGUUUUUCAACCAUGUGAGGGUGGGGGCCGAGGAGAGGGAGUGGGAUUCUAGGGUUUUGGAGAUCCCGACGAGAAGUGAACGGAGGAGACUAGCGCUUUUGUGUUGGGGGUGCUGCGGUGGGGGGACGAUCGAGAGGGAUUUGGAAGGGCGACGUGGAGAGAGCAAUGGAGUUCAGGAAGGUCGAGGGUCAAGAAGCGAAACCUUGCCCUAAUUAGAGAAGGGAAGACGGGCGGGCGAGGAAACGGAUGGAUGGCCCGAGCGAACCGGGUCGGCAGUCCACAGCACGUUGAAAGAUUUUGGAAACGGAAGCUAAAAUAGAUUGUUUCUAUAGUUGCAUUUUGUGUUUACUUUUUAAUUAAUUCAGUCGCGAGGUAGAGUUAUUGAAGUCCAAAUUUAUUUAUUUUUCUUUAAGGCAGUAGAUCAUAAUCUAUGAGGUUGCAAAGAAUAUUUUUACCUUUUCAAUUGUAUCUGUUAACAUAAAAGUUUUUUUUUUGUAAUAUCCUAAAUUUUAGAGUUCACUUUUUACUUGAGGAAUUUUACGAUAUAUACUGAAGGACUUUUUUUUGUUUCUUUCAUAGCCUAAUUUUAAUGUUUCGAAAUAAAACAAGAAAUUUUUAGUAGAAGUUUGUAUUUGUGAAACAUAAGUGGAGGUUCUAAAAGAAUCUAGACAAUAUGUAUAGAUAUUCAAAAUUUUGUCCGAGCCCAAACACGAACAGAAACGGGACAUAUUUAUUUGAUGCAAAAUGGAUAUGGUUUUCUAUACGAGUAUCUAUAAUCUAUCUAUAAUCUAUAAUCUAUAACUCUAUAAUAAUAACUCUAUAUUAAUCCCCAAUACUGUAGCUGAUGUGGCAAAUCCUCAAAAUUUUAAUUUUUUUUAUUUUUUUAAUAGUAAAUUUAUCCGCUCAUCUACGCCGCACUCUUUUUCUCAAGUAUUCCCCAACCGUUCGCGUUCGUGUCCACUCAUUUACCCCGCACUAUUUUUCUCAAGUAUUUUCCAAUCGUUCGCGUUCGCGGCCCCCCAUCUCCUCCAGUCGCACUCUAUUUCUCGCGCCCCACUAUCUCCUCCUGUCCCACUCUAUUUCUUCUCUCAUCACACUCCAUUUCCCGCGUCCCCCUAUCUUCUCUCGCCGCACUCUCUCUCUCUCUCUCUCUCGCUCGCUCUCUCUCUCUCUCUUAGCGUUCGCCGACGAGGGUCAUAUCUAGGGGAUUUGUCUAUCCCUAAGUUCAUGAAAUACGCCCCCUUCCAAAUGCUUGCCUUUCCAACUAUGUGCAUUGUAGCUAUCUUUAACCAUUGCUGUUCAGUUACUCGAUAAUUGCUGAAAUAUUUCUCACAAUUUUCGACCCAUGCUUCAGGAUUUUCUCCACAAAAUUCUGGGAAGCUUGAUUUCAAAUAUGGCAUGGGUUUGAGAGGUAAUGGCUGAUUUGCAAACAACUUCAGCACCUCCUCAAACCUGCUGGCACUAUCACUCAUCUUUACUUCCUGACCAUUAUUGUCCCCUAUCUGUGGGUGUUCAUGGUGCUUUUGCUCUAUUUCCUUUAGUGCAGCGUGUUGGCCGAUUAGGGAAGUAAUUAAUGAACUUACUCUUUUCUCAGCAGGGGUGGGUAAAGGUAUUAGCCCUUUCUCUUCUUUUGGAACCGGCACUGCUAUCUCUUUUUCACUAGCAUGCAUAAAUUGGCUCCUAAUCAACUCUAGGAGUUGUUCAUGUCUGUGGGCAUUCUCCUGCAUCAUGAUUUCGUGCCUCCUUACCUCUUCCUUUUGUAGUGCUUCAAUCAAGACAUCUAACUUUUGAUUGACAUCCCUAGCACUUUGUAACGCUCCUUCAAAGCUUCAAUUAUAGCUAGUGGUUUGUUGCUGCAACCUUGUUCCAAUAGCCAUUUUACUCUUAAACUUAUAUGGAUUUCAGUCUUUCGUUUUCGGCUGUGCGACGAAUUGCGCAACUGCUCAACCCUUGUGAUUGCUUCGGAAUGGUUUACGAUCGUUGCUCGCGACUUGUUUGUUGAACUACCUAGUUGUUGUACCACCUGUCGACUUCAAAUUUGUCUUGUUUCCUUCGAUGAAAUCCCAGCAGCUUAUGAUCCUUGACUUCCUUGCAGUGACUCAACAAUUUGGUCCGGUUACUAUUUCGACAAGCUACUGAACUUAUGUGCAGGAAUUUUGACAAACACGAGGUGGGAACUCUAGUAGAGGAGUGAAUUCCUUUAUCCGACUCAACUCUGCGAGUUCAAGAGUCAGGUCGACUCUCGCAGUGACCCUCCUUUGUCGGGUUACAGCCGAGGCCGACACCCGCAGCGCGGAGGAUUAAAUUGCAAGGUGACUUAACGAUUUCUAGAAUCGGAAUCACGGCAAUAGCACUGCACCAAUCCCUGAGAUCGUGCUGCUCUGCUCGGGUAUGGUUUGGGAUUGCUACGUGUUACAGUAACUCUACCGAGGCGCCCGUGAUGCUUGCCUGAGGCUAGGUGCUAUUCUAAUUAAAUAGAACCGGCACCUAUAGUUGCUACUACCUCGGUACACUUCGUGUGGGAUUUCAGUUGCUAAUUUAUGCUAAUUGGAUGAUGUUACCUGAUGCCCCUUCACUGUUCGGAGUAAUUCCCAACUGCUGCUGCCUUUCCGCGGCCUCGAUAAUGUGAAUCUCGCUGCCCAUGGCCCUGGGAUGGUGCCGCUAUGAUACCAAUUGUAAUAUCCCUGUGGCUCGGAUCAAGUUCUUGGUGCUUCCGGUCGCGAAUCCGAUGAAGUUUGAUGCUAAGAAAGGUAAGGGAAGUCGCUGGAGAGGAGCAGAAGGGGUUUGCGAGAGGGGAGAUAGAGGCAGUAGAGAUGAGAAUUAGAGAAAAGGGGUUAGGGAUAGAGAUUAGAGAUAGAGAGUGGGAUAAGAAAUUGGGAAGGGAAGUAGUAGAGAAGAAGAAGGGUUUGGAGAAGAACUUUUGGGGGAGAAAUAAACUAAUUCAUUUUCAUUCAUACCCUGUUUACAUUACACUUAGGUAUUUAUACUACUCGGUGGCAUGAACUGAAAAGAAACUUAACUACUAUCUGGGGCUAAACAACAAAAGUGCUAAUAUGAGGUAUAGGCCUGGUGGGCUGCUAAUUCAGUGUUAAUUGGGCCUCUCGAUGGCUUGACCUGUCCAUGAGCAUCAUGUAAUCGGGUGAUUGGAUAUCGGGCUUCCUUCUCCGCAUGAUCCUCAGACGAGCGGAUAGCGAGUCCGCGUUUUAUACCCGAUCCGAUAAUCCGACCACCCGAUCCAUCAGUGGAGUGGUAACCGGGUAUGUGGGUUUCGGUCCUCUCUUCUUCGCACUAUCCACAGCCCGGCGGAUAGUGGGUCCGCCUUUUGGAUCUGCUCCGAAGAUCUGCCAAUUCAAACCGCCUGCUUCCAUCUUCCCCAAUCUCUGUCGGACCAUCUCCUCCAACCUCGAUCCUCCCAUUUCCCCUUCAGCUCCGACGAUGACCUAGCCCGUCGCCCCGCCGGAGUUCCACCCGAGCGCCCUCACGCCGCCGAAGUUCCACCAAGCUCUCACCUUCCUCCACCUGCUGUAGCCCUUAUUUCUAUUCCACUAUGCAAAGUUAACAUUUUUACUAAUCUCCUCUAUUACUACUACUUCUACUAUUUAUUUUAGGUCGUUACACCUUGUGCUUCUUAUUUUUCAACACAGAUUUUUGGCCUUCAGAUGGAAACCAUUUGGAGCUAAUUUCUAUAAUAUUCCAUGUCAAAUAUUCAGUUUUGGAUAUAAAAGUGUCACGCCCGGGUACCAGCAGAAGCAUAUCCGGUACGUGCACAGACCCGCCAUACACCUGCAGUAUAUAAGGCGUCUACAAAGCAAAUCGACAGGAAGUAGAACAUAGAAAAUCCUAUCCACAGCGUACGUGGAGUCGGACGUUCGGUUCUUGGUGUAGCGGGUUGCCAGGCGGGCUUCCAUGCACGUGGCACCAGUCCCUAGGCAAUCACCCUCUCCUUUGUAUCGGCGCAUGUGGGUAUCGGUUCUAGGGGCUAUCCCUCUCCUUGUACGGCAUGUGGGAUCGCGAGAAACAAGAAAGAAUCAGUAUUAGGAGUUUCAAGAAAGGCCACCCUCUCCUUGUAGCGGCGUAUGUGGGCGCCAGGUUCUUGAUAACUCAAGUGUUCAUGACUCUAAGGCCUUAGCUGAAGUGUUCAGUUCCCAAGUAUAGGUUGGGAUACGAUAACUGGAUAGAUCCAGGUUACGUGAAAGGUGGGAUCCAGGUUGACUGAGAUCCAGAUUACGGAGUUAAAGUGUUGGAUCCAAAUGGAAUUGAGAUCCAAAUCAAGAGUUGGAUGCAAGAAAUUGUGAUCCAAUCUACGGUGUGUGGAUCUAGGGCUGAGAUCCAAGUAUGAGUUGGAUACAAGAAAUUGUGAUCCAAUCUACGGUGAGCAAUAAAUAGGAUCCAAGUUGUUGCGAUCCAAGUUACAGUAGAUACAGGCUGGAUACAAAUAAUUGUGAUCCAAUUACGGUGAGCUAGAUGAACUGUAGGAUAAACAGUAUAGCUCAUAAGAUGUCAAGUGUAUGUAUAUAAAUCGUAGUUGAUGUACGUAGUAGAACGUAAAUAUAGUACCUGUACGUAAGAAAUGUAAUACGAAUGAUACAAUAGUACGGAGAGGAUCGUAGUAUAUUGGUACGUUAAUCGAUCGUAUAUAAGAUGUUCGUAUAUUUAUAAGGUAAUAAUACGUAUAUAUAUAAGAGUAAUACAGUGAUACGUAGUAGAUCAUUAAUGUAAUAUACGUAGUUGUACCUAAGAAUUGAGCGAAUCUGUAUUUCCCGCUGGAUCAGCGAAGCCAUUUGUGUUGGGUGGAAUUAAGCGCAAGGCUAACGAGCAGCUGUGAACGUUAGCCGGAGGGCGCCGUGGGCACUGGGCCAAGCCGAGCUUGAGAACGCGCUGGUGGGCUUGCCGGUGGUUAGGCGCUAGGCAGAUAAGACCUCAAAUAAGGUGUUGUGGUGCUACGAGGGCUAGGCAAGAGUACUAAAAACCUCCGAAUAGAGCGCACGACGCCGAUAGACAUGGUUUUGUCUGACAAAGCAAUUAUUGAAGCGCAUGUGAGCAGCAUAGCAGCUUGGCUCGCGUGGUUGCGCAAGCAAUAUGGGGGUUAAUCCAAAUGUCUCCCAAUUUACUCUAGUUUUGGUAGAUAAAUGUUUUUAGGGUAAAACUCGGGAUCAAACGCUGAUGCCGUUUUAUGGGGUUUAUUUAGGGAUCUAAGUACGUAAUUAGAUGAGUAUUCGUACGAUCCUAAGAUAGAUUUGGUAAGAAUCUCACAUAAUUGGUUUGGGAUUCUUUAGUGGUAAUUUCUCGAAGUUUCUUCGAAUGGAGGAUUUCGGAGAGGUUCGUGUUCCUUCCUUACUUCUUCUACCUUUCGAGUAGGAGAAGAAGAAGAAGAAGAAGAAGAAGGAGAAGAGGAAGAAGAAGACGAAGAAGAGAAGAUAAAGCAAAUCUCUCUCUCUCCCCACCGCAACCCCAACUUUGCCACUCCUUUUCUCUCUCUCUCUCCAAGAUGAGGAGAGAUAUGUGAAUUGGGUACAUUGUAAACGUCCUUUUGGAGAGUUGUUUCGGAGAGAACGUUGUCGGGCUUGACCCGUAAAAGCCCCAAGCCCCUGGCCAGAGACGUACUCCCUGGCCAGAGACUCUCUGGCCAGAGAGGUGGACCCUGGCCAGGGUCUCUCUGGAGGUCGGGUCUGAAUCGGUUAAAAGUCGAAGCAGGCAAAAGCGAGGCAAAAGCGGGCAAAAACAAGCAAACUGGAGGCUAAGCAGAGUUUAGCUUGGCUCUGAGAGGUUUGUACAAAAGUUUGUACAAAAGUAGUAGAAAGGUAGGAGUGAUUACGGCCUAAAUCGAGUGCCGGGUUGUACCGGAAAGCCGAGGCAAAAGCGCGGAUACGCGUGGCUUUGCGGGCUAUCGAGGGUUUGAAGUGGGUUGAAGUGGCCUUGGUAAGUUUAUCGAGAGGUUAGCUUACAUGUGGUAUUGAAUUAUCAAAAUCUUCAGGCCAUGGAAUGUGAAAAUCAUAUAGCUGAACAUGAAACGAGACUAUAUANGCGGUCUGUCGGCGUGCCCGAACCGGACCAAAUUGGGAGCGGUCUCGGGGCGUGACAAAAAGCAAAAGAACAAUAACUAUACAAUCCAAAAUCUCGACAAAGAGAAGUAUCACAACUGUAGUUCUCGGUCCAAAUAGUACAUAUACAUCACGGGGAUACAAAAAAUAGAUACAAUGGUAGUCUCUCUAUACAUAGGGACAUCACCCUCGGCCGUAGCCCAAGUAGCAAGGUGAUCGACUAGCAUACUCCUAGCAAAGUCUAGCUAGACGCGACUCCCUUGCCACGAUCCCUAGCCUCUCCUGUAGAUGGCUCUGAAAAAAAACAACCACCAAAAGUGCGUGAGAACUAUUAACAAUAGUUCCCAGUGGGUAAGCCGCCAGCCUCGGCGAAUUACACCACUAGGUUCAUGAUGUACUGAAUGGAAGUAAAAGCAGUAAUUGCAUGAUAUAUCUAUAUGCUGCUAGCAAGUAAUGAGCAUGUAAUCAACAUGUAAUCAUAAUUUCUGCAGUAAUGAAUCAGUCUGAAUCACAGAAGCAUAGCUACUACUGUAUCAUGAACAUAAACAUGAACAUAAGCACAAAUGUGUAAGUAACUACUAUACACUAUAAUUGGCAAGUAUUCAUUACUGUCAACUGUCGUUUCGAACUUUAACCUCAUUAGAGUUUUCCUUUCAUUCAUCAGGACCUACCCAAGGUAGUCCGGCUUGUGCCGCGCCUAAUGGCCCCGUGGUAGUAUACACUCCCCACGGCAAUCCACUUCGGCACCCAAUCCAGCACGGGCGAGCAACUGUCGCGUAGGCCAACUCCGGAGUGCCGGCUUGUAGAGAGCUACCUUCACAAGCGUGUGCGAAUGUGCACGAUGGCAAGCAAGCAAAGUCCACAGUCUAACAUGUCUCAACUAUCACAAUUUAGCUCACAAUAUUCCCGCUCUCGAUCCUUUGAUCGGAAUUUCAAUAUAAUUAAUAUUGACAACAACUAGUAUCCACUAGAUUAAUAAACAUGUGAGAGUAAUGCUAAUUUACAUAUGGCAUUAGAAACUUUCUAGUAUCAUGGCACUACCAUUAUAGUCAUAAAACAUGCUCUCGUUCUCGACUUUAUAAUCAAUAAAGUUACAAGCAUGUCAUUGUUCUCUACUUUCUAGGAACAUAGUAACUUGUACUAGAAUGUCAUUCAACUGAAUUAAACAUGAACAUAAAUACUUUAUGCAUGUGUGUAUCCACUCUACUUUAUAGAGGUUCUAUUUCAAUUAUAUCAAAUGUUAUGAUGAUAUAUAUCAAACCCUUUAUUAGUAAAGGCGCUACUAAAUCGAUUCUAUAGUUACAUAUAGAACAUAGGGGAGCUUCACUUGCUCUGGUUAGGUCAAACCUACCUAGUACUAGGCUCCAAAUAGUCACAAGAAGUUCCAAUAAUCAGCUCAACAAGGCUCCAAUCCUGUUGAAAAUAAACAUCAACACCGUGUCAAAAUGACGACCGAAAUGUCCGAUUUCGGCAUAAUUUGCACUUAGUACAAAAUAACCCCUUAAAUCCCUGUUUUGGGCUAGUGUAAUACCUCAAGUUAAGCUUCCAAAAGGCCCUCCAAUGCCAGUCGAAGGCGGUCCAAGGGUCAAUCACCCUCUCGCUGCGAACAAUACCGAAACGGCAUCAAUAUACUCGAUUUGACGAAUAGAACGUCGAUAGCGGAAAAAUUGAGUCGAUUACCUUCUUAAGCUUCCAACCAGUGACCCACUGGUUCAGAGCUACGAAAAUCCUUCCAAAACACUCCUUCCCACAUCCACGUAAGCUCCGCAAUGCUCGUAACCAGCGAAGAACACACGAUGCGACGAAAACGAGCGAAAUCGUCGAAUUCUAUGUAGAGAGAGAAAAACCCUAAAGAGAGAAAGAGAGAGAAAGUAAAAGAAGCUUUCUCUGAGCCUUGCAGCCUCCACUGAGCCUCCAGGGUCGUGCUCGAUUCAAAUUGAUAGGGAUCAAAUGUGAAAUUACCGAAAUAGCCCUGCUGCCACGUUUUCCCAUUGUGUACCGGUACACCAUGAUGGCUGUACCGAUACAUCAAGCAGAAAACUGCUGAUUACGCCAGAUCAGUGCACUUUCUUACUUUUAACCCUCCAAUCACUCUCUAACUUGCUCAAAAACUUGUCCAAGUCAUUUAAAAUAUGUAGGAUAGUUCCACAUUUCAAUUCACACACUCGAACUCUGCAAUUUGCGAAAGUUCAGUGUAUUACAUUCACCCCUCCUAAAAAGAAGUUUCGUCCGCGAAACUUGUAAACCUUACCUCAAGAUUCCGUCGAGAAAAGAUAGGGAUAGUGCUCUAACAUCGCACUCUCCAGUUCCCAAGUGGCUUCUCGUUCAUCGUGAUUGCUCCAAAGCAUCUUCACGUAGGGUAUUUCGCGAUUUCGAAGCCGUUUCACCUCUCGAGCUAAUAUUUUCACUGGAUGCCCCUCAAAGCUCAAAUCCUCUUGCAGCUCUACUGGAAUACUUUCCAGUACGUGGGUUGGAUCAAAGAUAUACUUCCGUAGUGUGGAUACAUGAAACACAUUAUGCACUCCCGAUAGGUUCGGCGGUAAAGCAAGCCGAUACGCUACGGCGCCUAUCCGCUCCAACACCUCAUAGUGUUCAAUAAAUCGAGGACUUAACUUCCCUCGAAUACCAAAUCUCUUAACCCCCUUUGACGGUGAAACUUUUAGGAAUACAUGAUCGCUAACUUGAAAUUCCAGUUCUCGCCGACGUUUAUCCGUAUAGCUCCUUUGUCAACUUUGGGCGGUCAGUAAACGUUCCCGUGCAAGUCGAACUUUCGCUUCAGCUUCCUUUAACACAUCUGGACCCAAGACUAAUCUUUCACCAACUUCACUCCAAUGAAGUGGUGAUCUGCACUUUCUACCAUAAAGGGCUUCAAAAGGUGACUUCUGAAUGCUUGCUUGAUAACUAUUGUUAUAAGCAAAUUCAGCCAUCGGUAGGAACUGUGGCUAACUGCCCUGGUAAUCAAUCACACAGGCCCUCAACAUAUCCUCAAGGGUCUGGAUGGUACGCUCAGACUGCCCAUCACUCUGGGGGUGGAAAGCAGUACUAAAAUCCAAUCGGGUACCCAAGGCCUCAUGUAAACUCCUCCAGAAAUGUGAAACAAAUCGGGUGUCUCGAUCAGAAACAACAGAGGCUGGUACUCCAUAUAAUCGCACAAUUUCAUCUAGGUACACUUGUGCGAGUCUUUCCCCCGACCAAACUGUAUGAAUUGGAAUAAAGUGGGCAUAUUUAGUCAAUCUAUCCACAAUUACCCAAAUUGCAUCAUGACCUGCUUGUGAGCGAGGUAAUCAAACAAUGAAAUCCAUAGUAAUCCUCUUCCACUUCCACACUGGUAUGGGUAAGCUUUGAAGUUUUCCUGCAGGAAGUCGAUGUUCAGCUUUAACUUGCUGACAGGUUAAGCAUUUAGCCACAAAAUCUGCAACUUCCUUUUUCAUUCCAGACCACCAGUAAGUUAAUUUCAAAUCUUUAUACAUUUUCGUACUUCCAGGAUGCAAAGUAUAUGGCGCCCGAUGUGCUUCUUUUAAAAUCUCCUCUUUAAUAUCAUAAUCUGCCAGUACACAAAUUCUAUUACUGAAUUUUAGCAGUCCCUGAUCAUCUACUCGAAAGUCACCAACAUAAUCAACAGUGAUUUUUACUCGAAUCUUUUGCAGAAAUUCAUCUUAAGCUUGCUUUUCUUUAAUUCGAUCGAUCAGGGUAGGUUGCACCACCAAUGACAUAAGUCUCCAAGGCGUAUCAGGAGCUACAACUUCUAAAUUCAAUUGCUCCAUUUUCUUUACCAACAGGGGUUGCAUAGUUAUUGACAUCGCCAAAUUUUUCGUCGAUUUUCGACUUAAAGCAUAUGCUACAACAUUAGCUUUUCCUAGAUGAUAGAGGAUGGUCAAAUCAUAAUCCUUGAGCAACUCCAACCAUCUACGUUGUCUCAAGUUUAAUUCCUUCUGAGUAAACAGAUACUUUAAACUUUUAUGAUCUGUGUAAACUUCGCAACGCUCGCCGUAGAGGUAGUGGCGCCAAAGCUUUAAAGCAAAUACCACAGCUGCUAACUCAAGAUCAUGUGUAGGGUAGUUCUUUUCAUAAUCCUUUAGUUGGCGAGAGGCAUAAGCAAUUACCUUGCCAUUCUGCAUUAGAACACACCCUAAUCCAUUCAGCGACGCAUCGCUGUAAAUCACAUAACCCACUCCGGUAACAGGCAGUGCUAGAAUCGGGGUGGUGGUCAAUCGUUCCUUCAGCUCUUGGAAGCUUCUUUCGCAGGCUUCAUUCCACAGAAAUUUAGCUCCUUUAUGAGUGAGUCGAGUGAGAGGAGUAGACAUCUUCGCAAAUCCUUCCACAAAUCUUCGGCAGUAUCCCGCCAAACUAAGGAAACUCCGAAUUCUGUGACACUGGUCGGCCUAGGCCACUCUUUAAUCGCUUCAAUCUUCUUUGGAUCCACAGCUAUCCCAGUUUCUGAAAUUACAUGUCCCAGAAAUGCUACUUCUCGAAGCCAAAAUUCGCAUUUCUUUAACUUUGCAAACAAUUUCUUUUCUCGAAGUACGUGUAACAUCACUCUUAGAUGGUUUUCAUGCUCCUCAUCACUUCGAGAAUAGAUCAAGAUAUCGUCGAUAAACACGACCACAAAUCUGUCCAAAUAGGGCUUAAAGACACGGUUCAUUAAAUCCAUAAAGGUUGCUGGGGCAUUUGUCAGUCCAAAUGGCAUCACUGUAAAUUCAUAAUGUCCAUACCGUGUCCUAAAAGCGGUCUUCGAAACAUCUUCAGGCUUGAUCUUAAGCUGAUGAUAACCUGAUUGCAAAUAAAUCUUGGAAUACACUUUCGAUCCUUGCAAUUGAUCAAAUAAAUCGUCGAUUCGGGGUAAUGGAUACUUAUUCUUGAUUGUGACUUUGUUGAUUUCUCGAUAAUCCACACACAAUCAAAGAGAUCCAUCAUUCUUCUUAACAAAUAAUACCGGGCCUCCCCAAGGAGAUACACUCGGUCGAAUAAAACCCUUAUCUAGUAAAUCUUGCAAUUAUGCCUUCAGCUCUUUCAACUCAGCGGGUGCCAUCCUAUAGGGUGCUUUCGAGAUAGGGGUAGUCCCAGGGACCAGAUCCAUCACAAAUUCAACCUCCCUAUCAGGUGGCAUACCCAGUAACUCAGCUGGAAACACAUCCUCGAAUUCUCGCACAACUGGGAUAUCUUCAAUCUUGACGGCUUCACCAUCACUCACUGAAAUACUAGCCAAAUAGGCUACACACCCUCUCCGAAUCAACUGUCGCGCUCGCGAAGAGCUAAUAGUCAUUGCGAACAACGAACUCCGACACCUCUUGUAAACAAACUCUUGCUGCCCCGGCUCCCUAAAGGUCACCGUUCUGUUCGUGCAAUCAAUAGUGGCACAAUACUAUGUCAAUCAGUUCAUACCCAAUACUACAUCAAACUCUCAUAGUUUGUGUAAUGCUAAUAAGUCUACUGGCAUAAUCCAAUCGCCUACCCGAACUUGGCAGCGAGGGCAAAACUCACGAACAUUUAGGGUAUGGUCGGGCACGAUCACUCAUCCCGGAUGCAAAGUAGGUGCUAAAUGAAUGCUAUGCAACUCGGCAAACUGCCGAUCAAUAAAAGAAUGCGAAGCACCAGUAUCAAACAAUGCACGAACACGAAUGUCAUAAAGCAUAAUAAUACCUGCUACGACCUCCUCUGCUGCUGCGGCCUUCUCUGACUGGGCGGCAUAUAUACGUCCACUCGAACCCUGCCGAGGACUCUCAGACUACCGCUGUCCCAGUGGUCGUCUGUACUGAGAGGGUGCUGUCGGGGUCCCCUGGCUCGGAGCUGAAGAUGCAGGUGCAGAAGCUGAUGAUGGUGCAGGCAAAGAACCUCUCGGGCACUCUGAGCGAAAGUGGCCCUCCUGACCGCAGAGAAAACACCUGCCCCCACGUUGUGGACACUGUGGCGGUAUGUGAGGCCCACCACAGAUAACACAACGUGGUGGUCGACGACGCUCGGAUGCUCCACGGGGUGCUGAAGAACCUCGACCCCUCGACUGUCCUGACUGUCCCUUCGGAUACUUUGGUGGUUUCCUGAAGGAUUGCUGACUACUGCUAUCAGCUACUGGUCUCUUUCCUUUGCCUUGAUCCACAACGUCUCUUCCUUCAUGAUUUUUGCCCCUUUCUCAACAAUCAAGGCCCGGUUCACCAUAUCUCUGUAAGUCGCGAGGUUUGACGCCUGGACUAAUCUGAAAAUCGCAGACCGCAAACCCACCUCAAAGAUACGAGCCUUGUCCUCAUCAUCUCAAACCACAAAAGGAACGCAGUACAGUAAUCGGGAGAACUCUCGCUCAUACUCUGCCACUGUCCUGUCCCCCUGCCUCAGAUUUCUCAGAUCCCUUUCCAUCUGUCUCUUAACACUCUGAGGAAAGUAAGUCGUCAACAACAAUUCCUUGAACCUGUUCCACGUGAUAGCGGACAAAUCAGUACGGGGAUCCUCACGAAUGUCCACCCACCACCUGUAAGCCUCGCCGUCAAGGUGGUGCGUCGCAAACCAAACUCGAUAUCGCUCCUCGACGAAUGUAUCAUAGAAUAACUUCUCCAUAUGCAUCAGCCAUUUCUCAACCACCCAGUGAUCCGCUUUCUACCCACAAAGAUAUGAGGGUUGCAGCAACGGAAUUCAUUUAGUCGUUCCAUCAUCCGCUCUCGCUCCUCAACCCCGACCAUCUCAGGUAACACUGUCCCUAAUGCCGCUACAGGUACUGGUGGUAGUGCUACUGUCUGCUGUCGGGGCUCUACCCUCAGGGCUACUGGGGGUGUAUCAGGUACCGGUGACGGUGCUCUCGUAGUUGUGUCCCUCUCUGGUGCUGGAGGUACAGAAUCUGGAAUCUCUCUGUCGGUCGUCUGCCGCAGUAACAGAUCCUCUAACCUCUUCAUCCUAUCCUCCUGUCGACGCACAGCGUCCAUUUGCUAUUGCGCUGCCGAUGCCUGCUGUGUCACUAGUUGAGUCAACACUGCGAGCUGUUCCUGUAACUCCCUGACCUCACUGGACCCCGAAGUGACGGAAGUCUCCACUUCUUCCGCAGCGGCCGCCUCAGCCGCCCCGGCGGUUCCAGAACGAAUCGUAGGCAUCUUAAGCUGCAGCACAAAAACAAACAUAGAUUAAGAAAACCUAAGCUAUUGAACCUUUACUCCAGAUAUAAACCAGCAAAUCAAGCGAAAGUAAUGAAAUGUAACGCGUACUAACUUCCGAUGUCACGUUGUCGGCCGCUAACGUGGCCCUCUGCAAAGUUAGUAAUUGCACAUUCCGAUCAAACUCCUACCAUUCGGAGUUUAUAAUUUACCCAAUCAAAGUACUUUCGCUAACAACAACCUCACCUAGACCUCAUCUCUCACGAGCCUAUUCUUAUAGUCCAACCAGCCUAAGAUUUGCUAGGUCUACUAAGACUCAACCCUAGGCUCUGAUACCACUAUAAUCUGUCACGCCCGGGUACUAGCGGAAGCAUAUCCGGUACGUGCACAGACCCGCCAUACACCUGCAGUAUAUAAGGCAUCUACAAAGCAAAUCGACAGGAAGUAGAACAUAGAAAAUCCUAUCCUGAUAUCAGAGCAAAGUACAAGUCGAUAUACUAAAAGCAAAAGAACAACAACUAUACAAUCCAAAAUCUCGACAAAGAGAAGUAUCACAACUGUAGUUCUCGGUCCAAAUAGUACAUAUACAUCACGGGUAUACAAAAAAUAGAUACAAUGGUAGUCUCUCUAUACAUAGGGACAUCACCCUCGGCCGUAACCCGAGUAGCAAGGUGAUCGACUAGCAUGCUCCUAGCAAAGUCUAGCUAGACGCGACUCCCUUGCCACGAUCCCUAGCCUCUCCUGUAGAUGGCUCUGAAAAAAAACAACCACCAAAAGGGCGUGAGAACUAUUAACAAUAGUUCCCAAUGGGUAAGCCGCCAACCUAGACGAAUUACACCACUAGGCUCAUGAUGUACUGAAUGAAAGUAAAAGCAGUAAUUGCAUGAUAUAUCUAUAUGCUGCUAGCAAGCAAUGAGCAUGUAAUCAACAUGUAAUCAUAAUUUCUGGAGUAAUGAAUCAGUCUGAAUCACAGAAGCAUAGCUACUACUGUAAUCAUAAUUUUUUUUUUUGAGAGAUAGGUAGUAUGCUACCCGCUUCAUUUAUUUUAUUUAGAAAUAAACUUAGCUAGAAAUGUGAAUAAAUUAGGAUUCGAACUUGGGUCUCAGGUACCAACCAUCAAGCUCUUUGUCACUUGCUCUAGGGAUGGUCGGUAGGACGUUAAUAUUUUACAAUUCUUUCAUGAGAGCAGAACAAAGGAGAUAGAGCAAGAGUUACAAGUAGGUUUAAUAUGUGUACUAUAUGCCUAUUUCGGGCAAAGUGGUAAUUUGGUCAAUUCUUUAGAAUAAAAAAUACGAUCGAAUAUACAAAGUUUAAAAAAUAAAUAAAUAAAAAACGGAUCGGAUUUGUAAAAGCACGAAACCAGUGGAAUUUUUAUGUGAAAUUAUGUGUGAAAUUUUAUGACUUAGUAAAACAUGGUAAGCCAUGCAAGUCUUGAAAAUCAAGGAUAUAAAUUACUUUAUAUUUUAUGAAAACAUAAAAGUAUUUAUUCAGUGUUUAUAUAUAGGCUAGAGCUACUAUACUCUUAUAAUAUAGAGUAUUUCAUACUCAUAAGUUAUUUUCAAUGAUAAAGCUUCCGAAUUGAUGAUCUACUACGUUAAAUAUGAUCUAGAGUAUUUGAAAUUUUUAGAAAAUAAAUUUUGUAAUUUUUCGAAAUCAUAAUAAAGUUCAUCAAGCGGGUAUAAAAUGAAUGGUCAAAAUCGAAUGCGUCUUAAAAAUAGAUGUUCAGAUCAUUCAAUUUAAGAUCGGAGUUAUUGAUUGUUAUCUAUGUAGUGAAUAGAAUUUUCUAUAAAAAAUUCAACUGAUUUCGAUUUUUUUACAUCGUUAAACUAGCAAAUACUUCACACCGGCUGUUAAAAAUUGUCAAUUUUGUGAUCUUUUGAUCGUAAGGUGAAUGAUAUUGAAAAAUUAUAAAAUUUGAUUUCUAGAUGUUUUAAAUGCUCUAGAUAACAUUUAAUGGUGUGGAUCGUCGAUUCGAAAGUUCUAUCAUCGACAACAACUUAUGAGUACGAGGACGAUCGUACUCAUAAGAGUAUAGUAGCCGGACUCUUAUAUAUAUAGAAUUGAGCUAGAAUACUUCUAGAAGUAUCACUCCCUUGGUGCUUUUAGGUUUCUAGCCCUUGGAUCUACUUCUUGAUUACUAAUAGCCUUUGUAUCAAAUACUAUUCCACCUACUACCUCCUACCACCAUCAUCCCAAGCUUACAUUUCUCCAUCCAAGGGUUAAAAACUCAAAAGCACCAACCUCUUGGUGCUUUUGAGAGUAUUCUAUCUCAACUAUAUAUAUAUAUAUAGAGAGUCCGGCUAUAGUGCUUGUAAAAGUACUAAGCACUUGGUGCUUGUAAAUUUUUUACCGUUAGAUCUCUACCUUUGAUCAUUUUUACCCGUUAGAUUAUACUAUUCAACCAAUCACCUACUUAACCUUAGGGGGCCCACAUCAUCCUAACCGCACAUCCUUUAAUCCAAGGGCCGAAAACUUACAAGCACUAAUGACUUGGUACUUUUAAAAGCAUAGGAGCUCAACUAUAUAUAUAUAUAUAUAUAUAAUGUUGUAUAUAUAUAAUAUAUUAUUAUAUAUAUAUACUAUAGUAUACUAUAUAGUAGAGUUGAGCUAUGAUACUAUCGGUAGCAAACGGGCUCCGUUGCCACCCAUUUGUUUUCGAUGAUAGAGCCUCCAAAUCGAUGAUUGGCACCGUUGAAUAUGAUCUAUACCACUUGAAGUAUCUAGAAAUUAAAUUUUAUGUUUUUUCGAUAUUGUUCUCUUGUCGAUCAAAUGGGCGUAAAAAUGAACGGCUGAAAAUGAGUAUUCUUUAAAAAGUGAUGAUAGGAAUUUUGUAAUUAAGAUCGAGAGUAUAGAUCUUAUUCUAAAUAGUUUAAAGAAUUUUCUAACCAAAAUUCAAUUGAUUUGGAUAGCUUUACACCGUUAAACGAGAAAAUGCCUCGUAUCUACCUUUAAAAUUACAAACUUUGGAACCCUUUGAUCAUUAGGUCAAUGAUAUCGAAAUACCUUGAAAUUUGGUUUCUAGAUACUUCAAGUGGUAUAGAUCAUGUUCAACGGUGCCGAUCGUCAAUUUAAAGGCUCCAUCAUCGAAAACAAAUGGGUGGCAAUGGAGCCGGUUUGCUACCGAUAGCAUUCCAGCUCAAAUAUAUAUAUAUAUAUAUAUAUAUAUAGAGAGAGAGAGAGAGAGAGAGAGAGAGAGAGAGAGAGCCAAGCUUCUAUGCUUUCGAAAGUACGAGGGCCUCCGUACUUGUAAGUUGUUUUCGAUGAUGGGACAUCCGAUUCGACGAUCAGUUUCGUUAGACAUGAUCUACGCUAUUGGAACUAUCUAGAACCAAAUUUCAUAAUUUUUUGACUUCGUUUGCCUAAUGAAUGAGUAGUCUCAAAAUGAACGGUGGAAAAUAAAAAUCUCAUAAAAAAUAAUGAUAAAGGACUCAAAUUUCAAAUCGGAAGUAUUGAUCUUGCUAUUGACAUUAAGUAAAAUUUUCUAUUAAAUUUUCAUGUAAUUUGGAUACUUCUACACCNACUUUAAACCACAGGGUACUAAAAUGAAAAAGUGUGGAACCACAGAGGAGGUUUUUGAAGUUUUCCCUAUAUAAAAUUAUGCUACUAGCCAGACUCUAUGUAAAUAUCUAUAGAAUUAUGCAAGUUGGGCUGGAAUACUAUUGAUAAUAUUUGGUUCCUUUUGCUAUCAAGGUUUUAAUGCUUGGAUGAAAAAUUAUAGAGUUAGGAUCAUAUUAAUCCCUUAGGGUUGAGUAGUCCCCACUGGAUUAUAAUAUUUAAUCCAAUUAUUAGAAAUGAUCAAAGAAAUUGAUUCAAUGACUAAAAACUUAUAGCAAAAUGGGGCAAAUACUAUUAAUAGUAUUCUGGCCGAACUCGAAUUAUGCUACUAUACUAUCGAUAGUACCAAGCGAUUAGUGCUAUCGAGUUUUGGCCGUUGGAUGAAAGGAUAUGCGGUUAGGAUAUAUAUAUAUAUAUAUAUAUAUAUAUAGAGUGAGGCUACUAUGCUUCUGGAAGCACGGAGCCUGGGGCUUCCGUGCUUCCGGCUCGUUUCGAUGUUGCGACUUUCGCAAUGCGUCGAUCGCUCGUUACUUAUGCUAGAAGUAUUUGGAGUAGCCUAGAACAUAAAUUUUAUGAUUUUUCGAUAUCAUAUGCGUAGGCUCGGACAGGGGCUCUCAAUAAUUUUAAUCGCCAUGGGAGCCGUUUGCAAGUUUCAAGUGUAGAAAUAGUCCAAAUCACAGUGAAAUUUGAUAGAAAGUUCUUUAUACUAAUAUAAAAUAAGAUCAAUAUCUUUGAUCUACAAAUUUUCCAAUGUCAUGAUUUCACGUUGUAAGAUUUUUUUUUCAGCCGUUGAUUUUUGCGCAGCCUAUCGUUCACUAGGACAAAUAUAUCGCAUAAAAUUUACAAAUUUUAAAUUUCUAGUAUUGAAAUACUCUAAUCAAGUUUAGACGAGCGAUCAUACGAUUCAGGAAGUCGGCAACAUNNNNNNNNNNNNNNNNNNNNNNNNNGGGGAAGAGAUUUCUUAUACAUUUUUCGUACUUUUCCAGGAGGCAAAGUAUAUGGCGCCCGAAUGUGCUUCUUUUAAAAUCUCAUCUUAAAUAUCAUAAUCUCCAGUACAUAAAUUCUAUUACUGAAUUUUAGCAAGGUCCCUGAUCAUCUACUCGAAAGUCACCAACAUAAUCACAGUGAUGUUUACUCUAAUCUCUUUGCAUGAAGUUCAUCUUAAGCUUGCUUUUCUUUAAUUGCGAUUCGGAUUCAGGGUAGGUUUGCACCACAAAUGGACAUAAGUCUCCAGGCGUACAGAGCUACACAACUUCUAGAAUUCAAUUUGCUCCAUUUUCUUACCAACCAGGUGUGCAAGUAUUCGACAUCGCCUAAAUUUUCAGUCGAUUUUCGACUUAAAGCUAUGAUCUAUCAACAUAGCUUUCCUAGAUGAUAGGAUGUCAAAAUCAUAAGUCCUGAGCAACUCCAAACCAUUCUACGUUGUCCAAGUUUAAUUCCUUCUGAGAAACAGAUACUUGAAACUUUUAUGACUGUGUAAACUCGCAACGCUGCGGAUCGCCGUAGAGUAUGCGCCAAAGCUUUAAAGCCAAAAUAGCCUACAGCUGGCUAUACUCAGAUCAUGUGUAGGGUAGUUCUUGUUUCAUAAUCCUUAAUUGCGCAGAGGCAUAAGCAAUUACCGUUGGCGCGGCGGCAUUUGCUGCAUAGAAACACACGCCUAAUCCAUUCAGCGACGCACAUAAUGCGUAAAUCACAUAACCGCACGUCCGGUAACAGGCAGUGCUAAAUCGGGGUGGUGCGUCAAACGUUCGUUCCUUCAGCCUCUUGAAAGCUUCUUCGCAGGCCUUCAUUCCCACAGAAAUUUAGCUCCUUUAUAUGAGUCGAGUGAGAGGAGUAGACAUCUUCGCAAAUCCUUCCACAAAUCUUCGGCAGUAAUCUCCCGCCAAAGCUAAGGAACUCCGAAUUCUGUACCUGCGCCUAGGCCACUUCUAUUUCGCUUUCAAGUCUUCUUUGGAAUCCAUCAGCUAUCUCCAGUUUCUGAAAUUACAUGUCGCCAGGAAAUGCUACUUCUCGAACACAAUUCGGCAUUCUGUUAACUUGCAAAACAAUUUCUUUCUCGAAGUACGUGUACGAUCACUCUUAGAUGGUUUAACAUGCUCCUCACACUGAUCGAGAAUAGCAUCAAGAUAUCGUCGAUUAAACACGACCAACAAAUCUGUCCAAAUAGGGCUUAAAGACACGUUCAUUAAAUCCAUAAAGUUGCUGGGGCAUUUGUCAUCCAAUAUGGCUCACUGAUAAUUCAUAAUGUGCCAUACCGUUUCGCUAAAAUGCGGUCUUCGCUGAAACAUCUUCAGGCUGAUCUUAAGCUGAUAAUAACCUGAUUGGCAAAUAAAUCUUGGAAUACACUUCGAUCCUUUGCAAUUGAUCAGAUAAAUCGUCAUUCGGGGUACAUUGGAUAUUUAUUCUUAGAUUGUGAAACUUUGUUGAUUUCUCGAUAAUCCACACACAAUCAAAAGAGAUCUCAUCAUUCCUUCUUAACAUAAAUAAUACGGCCUGCCCAAAGAAGAUACACUUGCGGUCGAGAUAAAACCGCUAUCUAGUAAAUCUUGCAAUUAUGCCUUCAAGCUCUUUCAACUCGGCGGUGCCAUCCUAUAGGGUGCUUUCAGAUGACUGGGGUAAAGUCUCCAAGACCAAGAUCCAUCACUAAAUUCAACGCUCUUAUGUCCUCUAUCAAGGGUGGCAUACCCAGUAAGCGUCAAGCUGGAAACACAUCUCCAAUUCUCGCACAACGGAUAUCUUCAAUCUUGACGGCUUUUCACCAUCACUCACAGUGAAAAUACUAGCAAAAAAUAGCCUACACACCCUCAUCCGAAUCAAACAUGACGCGCUCGCGAAAGGCUAAUAUCAUGCAACAACAGAACCCGACACUCUUGUAAACAAACUCUUGCUGACACCGGUUCCCUAAAGGUCACCGUUCUGUUCGUGCGCAAUGCAUAGUGGCACAUACUUGUCAUUCAGUUCAUACGCCAAUACUACAUUCAAAACCUCAAUAGUUUUGUAAUGCUAAUAAGUCUACGCAUAAUGCCAAUCGCCUACCCGAACUUGGCCAAGCGAGGCAAAACUCACUAAACUUAGAGUAUGUCGGGCACGAUCACUCAUCCCGGGAUGCAAAGUAGUGCCUAAAUGAAUGCUAUGUCAACUCGCAAACUGCGAUCAAUAAAAGAAGGGCAGCACCAAGUAUCAAAACAAUGCACUAACACGAAUGUCAUAAGCAUAAUAAUUCACCUGCUACGACCCUCCAUCUGCUGCUGUGCGUGCCUCUCUGACUGGGCGGCCAUAUAUACUUCCAUUUCGAACCCUGCCGAGGUACUCUCAGACUACUACGCUGUCGCAGUGUUCGUCUGUACCUGAGAGGUGCUGUCGGGGUCGCCCUCUUCGGAAGCUGAAAGAUGCAGGUGCAGAAGCUGAUAUGCAGGCAAGAACCUCCUCGGGCACUCUGAGCCGAAAGUGGCCCUCCUGACCGCAGAGAAAAACCUGCCCCCGAGCUUGUGGACACUGUGGCGGAUGUGAGGCCCACCACAGAUAACACAAACGUGGUGGUCGACCGACGCUCGCUGGCUCCACCACGGGGUGCUGAAGAAGCUCCGACUCCCCGAGCUGUCCUGACGUGUCGCCUUCGGAACUUUGUGUUUCCUGAAGGAUUGCUGACUACUCUAUCCGAGCUACUGGUGCUCUUUCCUUGCUUAUCCACAACCGCUCUUUCCUUCAUGAUUUUUGCCCGCCUUCUGUUCUCAGACACUUUAUCAAAUGGCCCGGUUCACUCAUAUCUCUGUAAUUCGCGGAGUUUAUCCGCCUGGACAAUCUAAAUGCGCAGACGCAACGCCACCUCCAAAGUAUACGAGCCCUUGUCCUGCAUCAUCUCAAACCACAAAGAACGCAGUACAGUAAUCGGGAGAACCCUCGCUCAUACUCUGGCACUGUCCUGUCCCCUGGCCUGCAGAUUCUGCAGAUCCCUUUCAUUGUCUCUUAACACUCUGUAGGAAAGUAAGUCGUCAACAACAAUUCCUUGAACCUGUCCAUCUAUAGCGACAAAUUCAGUACGUGGAGUAUCGCUUCAGCGAAUUCCACCCAACCACAUCUGUAAGCCUCCUGCCGUCAGGGUGCGUCGCAAAACCAAACUCGAAUCGCUCCUCGCACGAAUGUAUCAUAGAAUAACUUCUCCAUAUCAUUCACCAUCUUCUCAACCCAGUGAUGCCGGCUUUCCUACCCACAAAGAUAGAGUUGCAGCAACGGAAUUCCAUUUAGUCGUUCACUCAUCCGCUCAUCUGCUCCUCAACAGAUAUCACCGACCAUCUCAGGUAACACUGUCCUAAUUGCCGCUAAGGUACUGGUGGUAGGCUAAAUGUCUAGCUGUCAGGGACUCUUACCAUCAGGGCUACUGGCGGGUGUAUCAGUACCGGUGACGUCUACUCGUAGUGUGUCCCUCUCUGUCUGAGGUACACGAAUUUAAUCUCUCUGUCGUCGUCUGCCGCAGAACAGAUCCUCUAACUCUUCAUAGCUAUCUCACUGUCGACGCAGUCCCAUCAGGUCCAUUUGCUAUUGCGCUGCCGAUGCUCUGCUGUGUCACUAGUUGAGUCAACAGCUGCGAGCUGUUCCUGUAAACCCCGCUGACCUCACUGGACCGCAGCCCGAAGUGAGGAAAGUCUCCACAUUCUUCGGCAGCGGCCGCGCUCAGCGCAGCCGGCGUUCCAGAAUCUGAAUCGUAGCAUCUUAAGCCUGGCAGCACCAAAAACAAACAUAAGAUUAGAGAAAACCUAAGCUAUUGAACCUUUACUUCCAGAUAUACGAACCAGCAAAUCAAGCGAGAAGUAAUAAAUGUAACGCGAACUAAACUUCCGAUUCACGCUGUCAGCCGCUAACGUGGCCCUGCUGCAAAGUUAAAUUGCACAUAUCGCGAUCAACUCCUACCAUUCGGAGUUUAUAUAUUACACCAAUCAAAGUAAUUUCGCUAACUAACAACCGUUCACCUAGACUCGAUCUCUCACGUAGCCUAUGUCUAUAUCCAACCAGUCCUAAGAUUUGCUAGGUCUACUAAGACUCAACCCUAAGCUCCUGAUACCGACUAUAAUGCCCUGUCAACAGCCGGGUACUAGGCGAAGCAAUAAUCCGUACGUGCACAGACUCCGCCAAUAAACACCUGCAGUAAUAUAAAGGCAAUCUAAAAGCACAUCGCAGGAAAUUAGAAACAUAGAAAAUCCUAUCCUGAUAUCAGAGCAAGAGUACAAUCGAUAUACUAAAAAGCAAAAACAUCACAACUAUAACAAUCCAAAAUCUCGACAAAAGAAGUAUCAACAAGCUGUAGUUCUCGUCCAAAUAGUACAUAUACAUCAGCGGUUAUAAAAAAAAUAGAUUACAAUGGUAGUCUCUCUAACAUAGGGACACACCUCGGCCCGUAACCCGAGUUUAGUCAAGGUGAUCGAGCUAGCAUGCUCCUAGCAAAGUCUAAACCUAGACGCACUCGCCUUGCCCACGAUCCCUAGCCUCAUCCUGUAGAUGCUCUCGAAAAAACACGCACCAUCAUGUUUCAAAAGGCGUGAACUAUAACAAAUAGUUCCCAUGGUAAGCCGCCAACUCCCUAGACUAAUUAACACACUAGGCUCAUAUGUACUGAAUUGAAAGUAAAAGCAGUAUUGCAUGAUAUAUCUAUAUGCUGCUUAGCAAGCAAUGAGCAUGUAAUCAACAUGUAAGCAUAAUCUGGAGUAAUGAAUCAGUCGAAUCACAGAACAUAGCUACUAUGUAAUCCAAUAAAAUUUUUUUUUGAGAUAUAGUAGUAUCUAGCACCGCUUGCAUUUAUUUUAUAUUAGAAUAAACUUAGCUAGAAAAGUGAAUAAAUUAGGAUUCGAACGUUGGUCUACAGGUACCUUAACCUCAAGCUCUUUGUCACUUGCUCUAGCGGCAUGGUCCGUAGACGUUUAAUAUUUUACAAAUUCCUUUCAUGAGAGCAAACAAAAGGAGAUAGAGCAAGAGUUAGCAAGUAAGGUUUAAUAUGUGUACUAUAUUGCCAGUAUUUCGGGCAAAGUGUAAUUGUCAAUUCUGUAAAUAAAAAAUAACGAUCGAAUAUACAAAGUUUAAAAAAUAUAAUAAAUUAAAAAAACGGAAUCGGAUUUGUAAACACGAAUUAACCAAGUGAAUUUUUUAAUGUGAAAUUUAUGUGUGAAUUAGACUUUAGUAAAACAUGUAAGUGCCAUGCAAGUCUUGAAAUCAAGAUCAUAAAUUCUUUAUAAUUUAUGAAAACAUAAAGUAUUUAUUCAGUGUUUAUAUAUAGGCAACUACUAUACUCUUAUAAAUAGAGUAUCUUCAUACUCAUAAGUAUUUCAAUGAUAAAGAAAGCUGUUCCAAUUGAAAUGAUCUAUCUAGCGUUAAAUAUGAUCUAGAGUAUUUGAAAUUUUUAAGAAAUAAAUUUUGUAAAUUUUUUCGAAAUCAUAAUAAAUGUUCAUCAACGGUAAUAAAAAUGAAUGGUCAAAAAUCGAAUGCGUCUAAAAAUAGUAUUGUUCAGAUCAUUCAAUUUAAGAUCGCGAGUUAUUGAUUGUUAUCUAAUGUAGUGAAUCGAAUUUCUAUAAAAAAUUCAACGAUUCGAUUUUUUUUUACAUCGUAAACUAGUCAAAGUACUUCACAGACCCCGGCUGGUUAAAAAUUUGUCAAGUUGUGAUCUUUUGAUCGUAAGGUGAAUGAUAUUGAAAAAAUUAUAAAAUUGAUUUUCUAGAUGUUUUAAUCUGCUUAGAUAACAUUUAAAUGUUGGAUUCGUCGAUUUCGAAAAAAGUUCCUAUCAUAGACCAAACAACUAAUGAAUAACGAGGAACCGACGUACUCAUAAAGAGUAUAGUAGCCGGACUCUUAUAUAUAUAGCAAUUGAGCUAAGAAUACUAUCUGAAGUAUCUACUCGCUCUUGGUGCUUUGUUAAGGUUUCUAGCCCAUGGAUCUACUUCUUGAUUAACAAUAGCCUUGUAUCAAAAUACUAUUCGCCUACUACCUCCUACCAUCCCAUGCAUUCCAACUUACAUUCUUUCUCCAUCCAACGGUUAAAAACUCAAAAGCACCAACCUCUUGGUGCUUUUCGAGUAUAAUUCUAUCUCACUAUAUAUAUAUAUAUAAGAAGUCCGCUAUAGUGCUUGUAAUAAGUACUAAGCACUUUGUGCUUGUAAAUUUUUUUACCGUUAGAUCUCUAGUAUCUUUAUCAUUUUUACCACCGUUAGAUUAUACUAUUCAACCAAUCACCUACUUAACCUUAGGGGGCCCCACAUCACCCUAACCGCACAUCCUUUAAUCCAAGGCCUGAAAACUUACAAGCAUAAAUGACUUGGUAACUGUUUAAAAGCAUAGGAGCUCAACUAUAAUUAUAUAUAGUAUAUAAUAUAUAUAGUAAGAAUAUAUUAUAUAUUAUAUAUAUUAUAUAAGUAAUUAUAUAUAUUAUAUAUAUUAUAUAUAUAUUAAUAUAUUAUAUAGAGUUGAGCUAGAAUACUAUCGACAAACUGCUCCGUUGUGCCACCCAAUUUGUUUUCGAUAAUGAGAGCCUCCAAAUCGAGAUUGCACCGUUGAAUAUGAUCUAUACCAACUUGAAGUCAUCUAGAAAUUAAUUUUAUGUUUUUUCGAUAUGUUCCUGUCGAUCAAAUUUGGCGUAAAAAUGAACGCUGAAUAAUUGGAGUAUUCUUUAAAAAUGAUGAUAGGAAUUUUUGUAAUUAAGAUCGAGUAGUAAGAUCUAAUUCUAAAAUAUUAAAGAAUUUUUCUAACCAAAAUUGCAAUUGAUUUGAUAAGAAUUUACACCCCACCGUAAACGAAAAAGCCUCGUAUUGCUACCUUUAAAAAUUACAAACUUUGGAUACCGACUUGAUGCAUUUAGGUCAAUGAAUCGAAAUACGAUGUGAAAUUUGGUUUCUAAUAUCUUCAAGUGGUAAUAUAUCUGUUCAAGCGUGCCGAUCGUGCAAAUUUAAAGGCCCAUCAUCGAAAACAACAUGGUGGCAAUGAGCCGGUUUGCUACCGUAGCAUUCCAGCUCAAACAUUCUUAUAAUAUAUAUUAUAUAGAUAUAUAGAGAGAGAAAGAGAGAGAAGAGAGGAGAAGAGAGAGCCAAGCUUCUAAUCUUUUCGAAAGUACGAGGCCUCCGUACUUGUAAAGUUGUGUUCGAUUGAUGGUACAUCCGAUUCGACGAUAGUUUCGUAACAUGAUCUACGCUAUUGACAAUAUAGAACCAAAUUUCAUAUUUUGACUGUCGUUUGGCCUAAUGAAUGAGUAGUCUCAAAAAUCGAACGGUGGAAAUAAAGAAAUCUCAUAAAAAAUAUAUAAAGGACUCAAAAUUUCAAAAUCGGAAGUAUGAUUUCUAUUUGACAUUAAGUAAAUUUCUAUUAAAUUUUUCAUUUAAUUUGGAUACUUCUACACCCGUUGAACUUUAAAAACGCGCCACUCGGCCGUUUAAAAUAGUCAUUUUUGGUCCUUUUGAUCACUAGUAAAUGAUGUCAAAAAAAUUUAUAAAAAUUGAUUCCUAGAUAGUUCCAAUAUUGGUAGAUUAUACUAACGGAGCCGAUGAGUCGAAUCGGAUUUCCUAUCAUCGAAACAAUCUUACAAAGCAUGGAUGUUUCGAUACUUUCGAAAGUAAUAGUAAACGACUCUAUAUAUAUAUACUAUAUAUAUAUAUAUAUAUAUAAUGAUAAUAUAUAUAUAUAUUAUAAGAGUAAAUACUUCAAAAACCCCGCCUUGUGUUCAAAAUUUUUUCACUUAGUACCGCUGUGUUUAAAAAUGUAUCAAUUUUAGUUACAUGUGGCAUUCUCACAUUUAUCACUUUAGUACCGCGUGGUUUAAAGUGAGUAUCAAGUAGUAACCUCUGUGGUUUGCAUUUUAUCAGCUUUAGUACCCUGUGGUUUUUGAUUUGUAAAUCAAAUAGUACCUGUGUUUUUUAAACUAUAGGGUACUAAAGUGAUAAAUUAGGAAAACCAGCAGGGUACUAAAAGUGAUAAAUGCAAAACGCACAGGGUACUACACUGAUACACUUAAACCACAGGGUACUAAGUGAUAAAGUGAGAAACCACAGGUCUAACUUGAUUACACUUUACCACAGGUACUCAAAGAUGAAAAGUGUGGAACCACAGAGGCGUUUUUGAAGUUUUCCACUAUAUAAGAAUUAUGCUACUAGCACAGACUCAUUAAAUAUCUAAUAGAAUUAUGCCAAGUUGGGCUGGAAUACUAUUGAUAAAUUUGGUUCCUUUUGCUAUCAAGGUUUUAAUGCUUGGAAUGAAAAUUAUAGAUUAAGGAUCAUAUUAACGCCUAGGUGAGUAGUCCGCCCACUGGAUUAUAAUAUUUAAUCCAAUUAUUAGAAAUGAUCAAGAAGAAAUUGUAUUCAAAUGACAAAAAACUAAAGCAAAAUGGGGCAAAUAAUAUUAAUAGUAUUACUGGCCCGCAACUUCGAAAUUAUGCUACUUAAUACUAUCGAUAGUACCAGCAUUAGUGCUAUCGAGUUUGCCGUUGGAUGAAAGGAUAUGCGGGAUUUUUUUAGGAUAUAAUAUAUAUUAUAUAUAUAUAUAUAGAGUGAGGGCUACUAUGCUUCAUGGAAGCACGAGACCUGACGGCCUUCCAGGUCCGUUUUGAUGGUGCGACUUUCCGCAAUGCGUCGAUCGCUCCCGUUCUAUCUAGAAGUAUUUGGAUACCUAGAACAUAAAUUUUAUGAUUUUUCGAUUAUCAUUUGGCUCGUCAGGGGCUCCUAAUUUUAAUGGCCAUGGUGAGCCGUUUCCAAGAUUUCAAGAUUAGAAAUAUCCAUAAUCACGUGAAAUUUGAUAGAAAAGUUCUUUAUACUAUAUAAAAUAAAGAUCAAUAUCUUUGAUCUACAAAUUUUAAUGUCAUGAUUUCACGUUGAUAAGUUUUUAUUUUCAGCCGUGAUUUUAUGCGCAGCCUUCGUUCACUAGGACAAAUAUAUCGCAUAAAAUUAACAAAAUUAUUUUUUAGUACUUCAAAUACUCUAGAUCAAGUUAACAGAGCCGUACGGCGUUGUCAAUCGAAAACCAUCUGGAAGCACGCCUGUCUCCCUAUAUAUAUAAUAUAAAUAUAUAUACUAUAUAUAGUAUCUGUACCUCUAUUAUAUAUAGAAUAUAUAUAUAGAAACGAGAGAGAGAGGAGAGAGAGGAGAGAGAGAGAGAAAGAAGAGAGAAGAGAGUAAAGCUAUAUGCUAUCGAAGCAUAGAGAAUCUGGUGCGGGUCUAUCCGAUUUUUUCGUCUUGAGAUCAACCUACUUUGACAAUUUCUACCUUUAAAUAAUAUUAUUUCCUAUGUGGGACUACUCAACCUAGGGAUACUACUCAAAACCAAGGAGGAGAUCCCCGCGCUCCGAGGCACCCGCUAAUCAGUCACAACCGUAUAAUUUUAUCCAAUGUCAAUAAAGCGAAGUAUCAAAUCCUCUAUACUUCGAUAGCAUUAAUAAGUUGUAACACUAUAUAUAUAUGUCUAUUAAUGCUAUUAGGUUUCGCCCUUGGAAAAAGAAAAAAUGGCAAUAAAAAAAAUAAUUAUUUUUAAGGACUGAGAUUUUUGUACAUGGUGCCAACAAAGCUUCUGUUAUAGAUGUAGUGUGUGUAAUUUAAUUACCAGAUAAGCCCCGUAACAGUUUGCGGGCAGAAAAAAUGAAGCUAGAAAUUGAGAAAUACGCAUUUUAGUUUUCACUUAAAAGUGAAUAGAAACGUCUGGGUUUUCGCGGAAAAGCCGCGAGUAAGUGAGUUUGGCGCGUAUCGGACUCCGUUUCAAUAUGAUCGUCCAAUAGCACGUUUCGGAACCGGUUUCAGUCUGUUUUGGAACCAAAUGCACUGACGGAUUUUCCAGAUCUGAUGCACGUUUUCGAGAAAGAAGAGUUUAUCAAAAGAUGAUUUUCUUCCUUGCUUUUCGUGCAUCUGUCGAAACUCUUGUUCGUGCUAACGACCUGGAGUAGGUGAAGGUGUUUUUGGUCGCCUAACUUUAGUACGGAAUUCCAUUUCUGAUGCGAAAUGGUUUUGUUUGUUAGACAUUGGUAUAUGUGUAAUUUAUGUGUUAAUUGAAGAGCGUGGUUUGUCCCGCGAAUCUGCAACAAAAUUGAUCAAACAAAAUCUAGUUUCAUUCUCGUCGUGCUGAACGCCGAUGGUGCAAUCCUGUCGCAAAUCGCGAUGAACGGAUUUGCCGCGAUUUUGCAUUGAUGUUUCGGAGAGCGGGGUUUGAUUGGCAAAUCGAACUUCGCAAAAGUCCCCAAUAUUUAUGUACUCGAUAUCGCACGAGUCGAACAGUGGAGUGCGUACACCGAUUUACUCAGCGCUUGAAGGUCUUGCUGUUGCCAAGUUUCUGUUCGGGAGCGACUUUGGUGGCAAAGUGCGCUUUUUUAUAUUGUAUCUCCUAUGUUUCAUCCAUGAGAACCCUAGCACUACUCAGACCGUGCUCCUACCUAGCCCUAAGCCGACCUUCAGCUUGGUCCCCGCGCCAACUUGUGCGCGCGUCCCGGCCGCCGCGAGCUGUCGUCCGCCGCCGGAAAGAGCCACCCCGGCCAUCCUUCGAUUUUCCUCCGGCCCCGACUUCACCUUGUUGGCUGCUAGUGCUCGGGAAGCUAUGAGCCCGAGCACCACCAUCCUCUGGCAUAAUCUCCCCCCCCGGCGCGCGUCCUGUCGUCUCCGAGCGCUCGCCGCCAGCGCCAUGGCAAGUUGCGGUCAAUCAGAUCUGAGCAGAUCUGGCGCGACGGCGUGGAACCUCGCCUGCGCCUUCGGAUGCGCCUUUGCUCGUCUGUCGUGUCCGCCCUCAUCCUGGCACUCCGGGGACCUCCCGCUCGCGAUCCUCGCCGUCGAGCCGCCGGCCGUCGCUACGCGGCUGCCAUCUGGCCGGCCCCGACCUGGUGCGGGCCGAGAGCGAGCCCUUGUGGCCUCCGCGCGUCGCCGCCGGCCCACAGUGGGCUGCACUACCGUCCCUCUCGACCUCCCGCCGAACGUACCGUCGCCGCCACGACUCCUCCGACGCUGGCCGGCCACGCGCCGGGGAAACUUUUUAACUCCGAGAGCUAGAGAUCGAGUUGAUCUCUCUCGCCGCGCAACUGCCGCUCCCGCGGCCGGCCAAGCAGGUGCCGCCGGACUCCACAGACCAGACGCGCACCCUCCCCUGGCCGGCCGCCCAGCACGUCCAGCCACGCCGGCGCCCAACCCUAGCUCUCACGCGCUCGGCUGUAAGCUUGUUUUUUCAGCCAUUUCUGCGCGUUUUUCCUGUUCUACCCACUGUCGUGCGACCUGAGGUGUUCCGAUGCCUCCGGAGGUGAGCACGUGAUCGUCACAUGUCAUCUGAAUCACAGUGCUCACACUCACUUAGGGUCAAACGAGCCCUGGUUAGCGAGAAUAAGCAUGCUUUUCCUUACUGUGCGCGCUGUUUCACUAAUUUGCGUCGCCCAUGAGCGCCGUCCAGCAUGUGGCGGUCAGUGCUCCGAAAGGUGACACGGCCUCCGGCUUCUGAACCGCCGAGACCAGUCAGCGGAGUCUCGUCUUGGCCUGUUUGACCUCGUGUGUUUGCAUUGUCGACCAAUAAAAGCGCUGAAUCGCAUGAAAUAUCGCGAUUUCAGGUAUUCAGAGAGGGGCUUUUAUGCCAUUUUGGUUCGUCGUACUGAUUGUUGGCAGCAAAGUGUUUGGUUGAGGAUAUACCUCUGGACUCGAUGUCCAGGCCCCAUGACGCCUUUGGCGAAGAUGCGGAAAUCGGCAAUUUCCGGUCGCGUUUUCGGAAAAUCCGGCCGACACAUGGAACGCGGUUCUUCGAAUUAGUUGCGACGUGCUUCGUGAAGCUUUGGUAAGUCGCUGAGCCAUUGUUGGCUGGUCAAUUGCGUAUUUCGAGAGUUGGGAAAUGACGGGUGAGCGACGCGGUCCGGUGUCGAAUUAGACACUCGGAAGACGCGAAUCCGAAACGCAUUAUGCCGACGAUAAUUGUUUCGACACGAGAGUUGUGUUCCGGCUGCGAUGAUGCAUAUUUUAGGUUAGUGGCACAGUGACUCGAUAUGCUCGAAAGUCGGUAUGGUAUUCCGGACAGUUCGUGGUCCCCGGCGGAGUCUCUCGUGCGAUACGGGUGUCCGGCGUAUUACGGAAUCGUUUGGGAACUUGGUCACCAUGGUUUUGCUUUAGUUGUGGAUUAGUGUUUAUUAGCUUGUGGGUUAACACUAACCAACGGUGGACCUUCCUUAGCUCCGGUUGACGUUCUUUGCAUCAGGAGACAGGGCGAGCAUUUGUGACAGGUGGGUACUAUCGAUUCGCGAAGUCGUACAGUGUGCACGCUCGUGAUCAUUUCUUCUAUCCCUGUUCUCUGGUUGCUACUAUCUACGAUUGUCAAUUGAGCUGCAUCCCAGUUGAUUUUAUAUACUCUAACUUGAAUUUUCCGAUCGCUAGUACCUAUGUGUAGAGUAGAGUCAGUUUUAUCGCAUAUGUGAUUUCCAGUGACGCUGAGUGUCGGUUCUCGUACUUCGUUUCGGUGACUGAUUGGUCAGUUUCUCGCUUUCGCGUUCGAUACCCUUGAGGUCGAUAUACCCUACAAGGUGGGAUUUCGCUCUAACGCGGACGUGAUGAUAUAUGGUCUAUCUUUUCAGUUUCCGACUGUUUGGUAUGGUUUGUGAACCUAGUCGCGUCAGCUUCGUGAGUUCCGUCGUUGAUGACCUUGAGGCUCGUGUACCCCUGAGGGGUAGGGGAAGGGUUGUCGCUGUGCUGGACGUAGUUCUGGACUAUAUCGAUACGCUCUUUGACCUAUCCGGUCGGUUCUUGCGUUCGUACAUUACUUUGACAUCGAGCAGUAUUUAUCGAUACAUAUCUUAUUUACUCGCUGGUUGUUCCAUGUGUAGUAUCUCUGUGUAGCGGGUAGAUAAGGUGACCAUUCUUGAUAUGACUAUACAGUGACCUGGUUUGGUCGGUCUCCUGUUUGCAUUCUGUGACAAUCUGUUGGUUGUUCGUUACUCGCCCCGUACUUUGACCUAGUCUCGUCGUAGUUCAACGUUGUUACUUGAUGACCUAUCGUUGCUAUGCCCAUAGAGGGCAGUGAUUGUUCGCGUGUCGCCGAAAACGUUGCUAUACAUAUCGAGGCAUCGAUCGUCCACCACUCGUUGAGCAUAUUCACGAACACUGGCCGUCUGAUCCACUCCGAGGGAGUGUUCUUUUCCGGAAAAGCGUCGUAACGUCCCGACAUCCGUGAGCCCAAAGGCUAGACUUGGGUUAAUGCAGUUGAGUGGAUAUGGCAGCGAGCCUGAGGCUCCGGAACCAACAUGGAGGUUUAGAAUUGGGUAUUUUGAUAUAUGCGACCGGUUGAUCAUACUUACAGUCUGCUUUACGUUGUCUUGCUACUAAAGUUUCGCAUAUUGUUACGUUUUCGGUUCUUCGUUAUAGUAGCAGUUGUUUACAGGUAUACCUAUAGUUCUUUCUUACACUUGUCUUGCUACUAUAGUCUGAUAUCUCUGUAUGUACGCUUGUCGUUCUGUUUACAGUAGCGGUAGUUGUUCUUUCAUCUAUAUCUCUUUCGUUAUGAUCGUUGCUACUGUAUUUCACUUACCCUUAUACUAUCGUUUAUCUUCCCGAUCCGGUGAGUACUCCUCGCCUUCUUCGGCUUGCGGUACCCACUGGGAGGGGAGACAUGUUUACAUGUUCUCACCUCCCCCACUAUUUUUCAGGUAUCGCGGGCGGUGAGGGUUGAGACGUGACGUGAGACACGUACGUAGCAGUCGAUAGAUCUUCCGACUCAGGUUAUUCGGUGUAGUUCCUACCUUUACUAUUCUGUCGAUAUAGCUCAGAUAGUCUAUAUGGUUCAGUAUUGUCAUUACUUUUGAAUAUGUGGAUUUUCAUGAAUGUAAUAAAAGGAUUUCUGGAUUUGGUAAAAUAAAAGGUUUUCUACCCCUCGUGGUAGCUUUUAUAAAAGAUAAAAGUUUUCGCGUAUGGAACAGUUUUCAAAAGAUUUUUCGUGGACUUCUGUUUAAACAUCGAAUGUAAAACUACGGUGUGAAUGGUGAAUGUAUGAAUGUAUAGCUAUCUGUAUAUUCAUUUAGUUGUGGUUGUAUACUGUUUGUACUUUUGUACUUGUGUGACGCCGUGCAAAUAUAGGGGAGACUCUGUCCGUGUGAACAGUGGAUUCCCUGUAUUUGUGGCGGAUCUGGCAUACUCUGGGGUCAGGUUUUCAAAAAAAAAAAAAAUUUUAAACGUUUUUCCGCUGUGUUUCAAACAAAAAGGGGACCCCGGGGCAUGACAUUAUUGGAGAAGAAUGCAAGAAAAAAAAUGAUUACCGGAAGAUGAUGAUGAAUGUGUGGCCAAUCUUACCAUUCAUGCGGCAAUAAGAACACCUAUUCACGCCUCAAAUCAAAUAGAAGCACGUUAUAUCAAGUAAGUUCUCCAAGAACAUGAACUUAAAUGCAAGAGUAAGUUUCUGUAAUACACUGAACUUUUGCAAUUUGCGGAGUUCGAGUUUUUAUAUUUCUUCAUGAUGGGAAAUUUUUGGAUUAGUUACUUUUUGUUCCUCUGUUGUUAGUAUUUGGAUUUAUACUUUGCUCUGAUAUCAGGAUAGGAUUUUUCUAUAUUUUUUUUCUCCUAUCGACUUGCUUUCUUGUAGACGCCUUAUAUACUGCAGGUGUAUGGCGGGUCUGUGCACGUACCGGAUAUGCUUCCGCUGGUACCCGGGCGUGACAGUUUCCAAUAAAAACUCACGCUUUUUAUGCGUUCAUGAAAUGUUUGAAAGACAUCAAUGAAUCAAGCUCAUGUGGUAGUGAUGCCCUUUCAAAAUUUACUCCUCUAUAAUUACCAACUUUUCUUAUUUGUCCUUAAAUUAUGGGCAAAAUAGGUAUUUUGAUUUCUUUUUAACUCUAGUACAAAUUUAAUUUGGAUUUAAUUCGAGAUGACGGACUUAAUUCGAGAUGACUAAUAAGGACUAACUGUAGAAUUAUUUUUGAAUAAUGGAGAAAUACACUAGAGGUAUAUUCGCAACAAAAAAAAAGGGGUAUAUAAGAUAUUUCACAAGUUUUGAGAGGUAUAUAAGUAAUUAUCCCUUUUUAAAAAAAUUACACUUUACAAAUUUUAUAUUUAUCCUAAAAUUUAAACAGAGUAAUUGCAAAAGAAAAAUAAAAUUAUAAAUUCUACAUAUAUACAUACAUUUAGGGGUAAACUUCAAAUACCGCCCACAUGGUUUCGCAUUUUCUCACUUUAGUAUCUAUGGUUUAAAGCGUAUCAAUUUAGUACUGAGUGGCUUCAUUUUUUUUCCUUUUCUGCAACUCCUCCAUUAACAUUUUAUUAAAUUAUAUACAAAAAAAUUUCAGAUAUGCUAUCUAAAUUUAUCGAAUAUUUAUUUUAGAAUAUUUUAGUUCUAACUUUGUUACUAAUUUAACAAAAAAAAAUUAGCGAAAGUAAUAAUAAAAAGAAAAAAAAUAAAAUUACGAAGUACUAAAUUGACACACUUUAAAGCAUAUAUAGGAUAAUAAAGUAAAAAAUGUACGAAACUAUCGGAGGGAUAUUUGAAAUUUUUUUCGUAUUUAAAUACAUAGAUUUAUAUAUUAAAAUAUUAUGUACAGAUCGUAUAAUUGUCGCAUAACCGGGCGAGCUCCCCCUCCAUGUUGUAUUAUAUAUAUAUAUAGGGUCCGGCUACUAUACUAUUAUGAGUACGAUCGUUCCCGUACUCAUAAGUUGUUUUCGAUGGUAGAGUUUCCGAAUCGACGAUCCAAACCGUUAAAGGUUAUUUACAGCAUUUAAAAUUUCUAGAAAUUAAAUUUUAUAAUUUUUUGACAUCAUUUACCUUACAAUCAAGAGGUCACAAAUUUGACAAUUUUUAACGGCCGGUAUGGGAUACUUCUGCUAGUUUAACGGUGUAAAAGAUCGAAUUUGUUGAAUUUUUGAUAGAAAAUUUUAUUCACUACAUAGAAAGAUCAAUAACUCCUAAUCUUGAAAUUGAAGGAUUCGAUCAUCUUUUUUUAGAACGUCGUUCGAUUUGACGUACAUUUUAUGCCGCUUGAUUGACUUUAUUAUGAUUUCAAAAAUUUACAAAAUUUAUUUAUUCAGAAGUUUCAAUAACUCUAGAUCAUAUCUAACGAGUGAUCGUCGAAUUCGGAAGCUCCAUCAUUGAAUAACAACUUAUGAGUACGAGAGCUCAAUUAACUCAUAAUAGUAUAGGUACUAUGGCCUAUAUAUAUAUAUAUAUAUAUAUAUAUAUAUAUAUAUAUAUAUAUAUAUACCUCUUUCUUUCAACCCCACUCUAGUACAUUUCUCAUCUCUCUAGUUUCUCUCUCUCUCUAAUCCAAUUACGAACAAAGAAAUAGCCAACUCCACGACCUUCCACUAUCUCCUCCUUUACAUCGUCCUCUUCUGUAAGGUACCGGACUUCUAAAAUCAUGAAGUUACGGUGUAUAUUUGGUUGGAGAGCCAUUUGAAUGGUUCCGGUGAAGUUCGGUGAAGUUCGGGAGCAAUCGGGCGUUUUGGUGCGCGUAGUCACCAAACAGAACCCGAAAGGCUAUGUUGGACCAUGAGCUAAAUCCAGCAUUAACGUGGAUGAAAAGAUGAUGAAAACAUGUUCGAAAACAUGUUUGAAGAGUCUCGGUUCGAUUUGAAAUGAAUCAGAGGUCAAACGAGCGAAAACGAGUGAAAACGAGCGAAAACGGAGUGAGAAAGGAUAAAGGCUGAAAAUGCUGAAAAAUUGGCUAAGUAUAGAACUUUGGUCCUUCGGGGACCGGUCUCUCACUGCCUGGGACCGGUCCCAGAGACCCGAAAAUGCCCAGUUCGGGCUGUUGCAAGAAGAGACUUGUUGGGAGGUUUUUAUGUAAUUGUUGCACGGGUUAAGUGUAUAGAGAGGGUUGGAGCCUCUCUCUCUCUCUCUCUCUUUCCCUCACCGUUUCAACCCCAACACCAUCCCUCUCUUUCUCUAAACGAAAAAAGAAGAAGAGAAGAAGAAGAGGAAGGAGAAGGAGAGAAAGAAGAAGAAGAAGGAGAGGAAGAUCAAGAAGGAGAUCUUCAUCCUCUCCUUCGUCUUCCUCGUGCUUAGAGCAAACCUAGAGAGGUAAGCUUCUUAGCCUAUCAUGGUAGAUCCCUAGAUAUGUGGUUGUGAUCUCUAGAAGUGGUUUAAUUGGAUUCCUAGCAUGCUAAAUAGGUGAUAAAUGCUAAAAUCUAGAGAUUUAAAGAUAGGUUUUUGCCUAGUUGGAAUCUAGGGCUCCGAAAUGGGGUUUUUAUAAAUAGAUGGGUUUGAUCUCAUUUAGACCUCUAUAAACCUAAUUGCUAGGUAAACGAACGCGUUGGCGAAGUCGGUUCGGCGAUCCGUCGAGCCAUUAUAAAGAUAUUGAAGAAACAAGCGAUUUAGAUUCGUUUUCGCCUGAAGGGCCGAGGCGACGUCGUAAAAUCGUGGAAAUAGAUUUGGAGCACCGUGGCACAUAACCGAAGUCCUAUAAUUUUUGGGGCUACGAAGUGGAGCAAGGUUGAGGCGCAGUUGCAAUAUCGGGCCGUGACGGAUACGGGUGCCGCGGGAGGCCGAUUGCAAGUGUCGACAAGCAAUCGGAACGCGAGUUAAGGUGGGUUGUGCUUACCGAAGUGACUAGGUCGCCUUUAUGUCUAAGAAAGUUAAGAAUCCAUGUUGAUACAUAUAAAUGUAAAUGGAUGCAUGUAAUUAACACUAAAAGAAUGCAUGUGAGUAUAGUGCAUAGAAUGAAGUGCAUGUUGAUGACAUAAGUUAAAAUGCUAAGUUGAUGCAUGUAGCUAAUGCUAGAUAAUGCAUGUGGAUAAUAUAAUGCAAAUGCUAAGUAGAUGCAUAUAAAAUGAUAUGUGAGAUUAUACAUGCAUGAUUAGCAUUGUGAGAUUAUAAAGGGCAUGAUUAGCAUUGUGAGAUUAUAAAGGGCCUGAUUACAAUUGUGAAAUUAUAUAUGCAUGUGAACUUGGUUGAUAACUCUAGAUUGAGUAGAGAACAUGACAUUGGUAAUAGGAACGUGAAAACUAUAACCGUAAUACUCGAUUGGACAACUAGGAUGUCGACUAGAUCGAGUGGCAUCUAACCUAGUGUUAAAGAACAUAGGUGGUGAAUGAAUCUAGAGUCAUAUGAACUAGAUCGAGUGGCAUCUAACCUAGUGUUAGUAAACAUAGGUUGAACAAGAAUGAUAUCGAACCUAGUGUUAACAAACAUAGGUCGGACCUAGUGAUAUUGAACCUAGUGUCAGUGAACAUAGGUUGAACUAGUAAACCUAGAGCUUUGUAACCUAGGUUGUGAUAUAGAAAACCUAGAGUGGCUUUGAACCUAGGUUGUUGAGUAUAGUGGUAGUAGCCACUAGGAUGUUCUAGGUUGACAGCAUAGGGUUGGUUAUGGACCCUCGACCUGUGGAAGUGGAUUCCGGAAUCCCAGGAUCUGUGAUGACCUUGGUAUCAAGGUUAGGGCGUGUGCGACAACUUCGCCGCCGAGAUUGAUACUAAGGAUAGAUUAGGGGUGAAUGUGCAGAGAUCACCGCCCGGGGCUUGAACUAUUGUCGUGGCGUGUGUGACGACUUCGCCGCCGGAUGGUUAAGCCAGUUUAUGGAUUAUACCGCUGAAUUGGCUUAAGCCAUUGUUGGGUGAGGUGCGAUUCGUUCGCUGCCAGAUGGCUAAGUCAAGGGACUUGAACUAGUGUUUGGCGCGUGCGACGACUUCGCUGCCAGCUGGUUAAGUCAUAGAGGGCGGCCAGUGCGCGGACUAUCCGCGGAUGAUUGACUCGAGGCCGAGUCGGGUGGUUAGCUUGAUUAGGUUAAUGGAAACCUUAUAAGCUACUGAUAAAGGUAAGAGCUAAGGUAAUAGAGAUCUUAGAAGCAAGUUGAACUUGAGUUGUGGUGAACUAAGGUAGUAGAAACCUUAGAGUCAAAUAACAUGAGCUAAGACUAGCUGAGUUGAAUGUAGAAUCAAUAGAUAUGCUGAAUGGUUGCAUAAUUGCAUAGAACUGCAUAAUAUUCAUAUUGCAUGUUGUGAGGCAUAUUUUCUGUUAGUUGCAUCGUAACAUUAUGAUAUAUAUCUCUAGAUAUUUUUGGACUAACAUGAUUGCAGUGCCUCUUCGGACCUAAUGGUCGAGCUUUUCCUUUGGGUGGCCGUACCCACUAGGAACCAUGGAGUUCUCACCCCACGUUGUUUUGGGGUGUUACAGGUUCGCACGUGAGCGGCGCGGCGGCGCGAGGAAAGGGCGUAGCUCCAUAAAUAGCGCCCUACCCAGAGACCAGAGAUAGCAGUACCCCGUCGACAUAGCUUAGGGGUAUGGGAAAUGAAAAGAACACAAUAUAUCAACUUGUAAAUAAAUUUGUAAUAACUAGAUUGUAUUUGGAAGAAAUCAAAUGAGAAUUGUGAUGUAGAACCAAUGAAUGUGAAUGUAUGUAAUAACAUAGGAUGUGUUAUGUUAUUGAUACUUUCCUUAUGCAAGCUGUUUGUUGAGUACUGUUCCUGGUUGGAACCUUUGUAUUGUAUUGAUUGCGAUGCCUUGAAUGUACAGGGGAGAUUCUGUUCGCAGUACAGGGGAAACCCUGUCCGUUUGGCGCUGUCGGCGCGGCGACCUGGGCCAAAUAGGCGGGUGGUCGCGGGUCGUGACAUCCUCCUCCUCCUCCACCCCGCCACCCGCCACCGCCCACGUCCAAGUCCACGUCGGGCACCUCCUACAUCUUCCGCGUCGUCGCCUGCUCCGCCGACGACCGCCACCGCCGCUUCUUCGUCCGCCCCGCCCUCCGGCUGCUGCGAUGCCGCCGCCGCUGACGGCGACUACAACUGCGACUGCGACUGCCGGACCGACGCCAUCACCUGCUGCUCCGACGCCCCCCGCGGCUGUCGGCCCUGCUGCCCCGGCUAUCGGCCCCUGCUGGUCGGGCCCGACGCCGGCCGCGAUCUUGCCNUUAGACCUAGUGGGAUAGUCGGCGUGGUUGGUUGCCGAACCCACUGGGAACUUUGUUGUAGUUCUCACACCCCUAUUUCCAUAGAGCCGGGGCCCAGCGAGCCGGCGGACGAUCGCGGUAAGGGUAUCGCGCCCUAGGUAGAGACCGCCCGAGAUGUUUAUUUACUUUAGUUGCAUACCCCUUUUAUUAUAUCAUCUUUUGUACUUUGAUGAUUUAGUUGUUAAAGGAAAGAACAUGUAUGAUGUAAAAGAUUCUUAUAUUUAAAUGCAAGAAAUGAUAUUUUGAGAUCCUAUGAUGUAAAGAAAAGAAAUGAUGAAAAAUAUAAUUGAUUCCCUAAGUGUAGUUAUUUACUUUCACUCUUGGCUAUUGCUUGCUCUCGUUGAAGCCAUUGUGUAUGCUUUCGCUUAUGCAAUUUCUAUACUUUAUCUGUACUUGUUGUUGAGCCUUGGGCGGGCAGCGGAGGUUCUGUCCGUUCGACGUCUGUUCUACGCGCUCGAACCGACAAAAGAUGAUCGGGCUCGGGGCGUGACAGAUAAGAUGGUAUCAGAGAGUAGAAGCCAAAAAAGGUGAAAGUUUAGGAUAGACCUAGAGACCUUUAGGAUUGGGAAGACCUUAAGAACUUAGGAAACGUGAGUGACGUUGAACAAAGUAUAGCAAAAGCUUAUGAUUGGGUUAAUGCUAAUGAGUCUCUAAUGUGGUUAGAGGCUAACUUAAAGUUGUUAUUUGUUUUCUUUCCUUUGUGUUGUGAUCGGCGGCCGACGACAUGAUGCUUUGGAAGGAGAAUAAAUACACUUAUUGCUUUCGCCGGAUUGGGCAAGUACGAGUAUAUUGGUUAGGUAACUAACGUAAAUUGCUUCGUUGCAGGAGGCAAUGGCACCUCGACCUUGUGGACGACCGCGAACAAGGUCGAUGGCCGAGGAGCCGAGUGCGGCUCCCGCGCAGCCCGGAGCGGGGGACGACAGGGAGCUUCGGGAGUAGUUGGCCACGCUCAUUGGCGUGGUGCGGCAACAGGCGGAGUCGGUCCAGCGCCAAGGGGAGCAAAUCCAAAGGCUCCAGGAGACGUUGGAGCGGCAGCAGACGACGGUGGCUCAGGCAGGGGUCGAACCCCCUGCGCCCUCUAUUGUGGUGCCGACGGUGGCUGAGAGAGUAGUGGCGAUGGCGACGCCGGUCGCGGCUGUACCAGUGACGGCGAUACCGGCCGGAUCGGGAACCUCAAAUCCCGAUAGUGCGGCGGUGGAGGCAGAGCGGGAGCGCGUGUUAGAGGCUCUCGUUUUGUUCAAGAAGUUCAACCCACCUAUCUUCGACGGGGAGAAGAUGGAUCCGGCGGUAGUCGAGGCGUGGGUCGACUUGAUGGAGACGCUCUUCGAGGACAUCUAUUCCUUGGAGAAAGACAAAGUACCUCUCGCCACACACUGCCUCGAGAAGGCGGCCAAGGUGUGGUAGAAGCGGGUGAAGCGGGAUCGAUCUUCUGACCUCCCGCCUAUGCUUUGGGAGGAGUUUAAGAGGGCGCUGUUCGCCAACUACUUCCCUGACACGGAGAAGCGGAAGUUGCAAGAAAAAUUCCACAAGUUGAAGCAAGGCGACCGAUCGGUGGGGGAGUACGAGCGGGAGUUCUCCCACAUUAUCGACUGCGACCCGGAUGUAGUUCGUGAUGAUCGGGACCGCACCGAUUGGUUCGUGCGUGGGCUUCAGCCGGGGAUUCAUCGGGCCGUGCAAAUCCUCAAGCUUCCGACCUUCGCCGAGGCUUUUGAUCGAGCACUGUGGGCGGAGCAGGGCUAUGCCCACGAGCGUGAGGAACGCGAAGCCGCAGCUGAGGCAAAGGAUAGGAGCAAGAAGCGGGCGACGGGUGGCACCGGGGGCCGGCCGAGUACGAAGAAACCCCCUCGGUAUCCCCGAUAGCAGUCGAAGGGUUGGAGACCCUCCCGUUGCGUUAUUUGCGGCGGUAACCAUCAACCGCCGACAUGCCCGCAGCGCGAAGGAAAGUGCUUCAAGUGCGGCCAGGCAGGGCACAUGAUUGGGGAGUGCCCGAGCUGGGGUUCAUCUGCACCGACCUCGACAUCAGUUCCAUAUACCCCGAGACAGCAGGCGGGGUUACCACCGGCUAUGUCGGCUGGACGUUCGUCUUCAUCGCGUCAGCCGGAGGCAUCGAGGGCACCGAGUGGGCGGGUUUUUGCCACUCAGGUGUAGGAGGAGCCGAUUCCUGUCCCCGACGACAUCGUGGCAGGUAUUAUCUCGAUCAAAGGCACCAGAGCUAGAGCUUUAUUCGACACAGGUGCAUCGCAUUCAUUCAUAGAUGCAUCAUUCGCUAGGACUCAUGGCAUUAAGAUCGUGCACCAUUAUGACUAUUGGACGGUAAAUUCGGUCAAGCAUACUUUUCAUGUUCACGAAGAAUGUGUAGCGUGCCCAGUGCAGAUAGGUGACUGGGUCAUGCCGAUUGAUCUGUUGGUGAUAAACCGAAUGUGGAGUUUCGACGUGAUCUUGGGGACCAACUGGCUCUCCAAGUAUUAUGCCGUGAUAGAUUGCGAAAGUAAGGUGAUCAUGUUUUGUGAGCCUAAUCGAGAGGAGCUAGUGUAUCAGCAGCUAAAAGCUCACUUUUCGCGGCUACCGUGUCGGCGGCACGGGCGAGGAAAAUAAUAAAAGGUGGUUGUGUGGCCUACUUGGCGACAAUGGUGGAAGCCCAGAAAGAGCACCAGAAUUUGGGAGGCAUUCGAGUGGUGUGCAAAUUUUCGGAUGUAUUUCCGGUGGAGUUACUGGGAUUGCCACCGGACCGGGAGAUCGAGUUCGUUAUUGACUUGGUCCCGGGGGUGGCGCCAAUCUCGAAGGCCCCGUAUAGAAUGGCACCGGCGGAGCUAAAAGAGCUUAAGGCACAAUUGCAAGACUUGCUCGACAAAGGCUUUGUGAGGCCGAGUGUGUUACCAUGGGGAGCUCCGGUGCUAUUCGUUAAGAAGAAGGACGGCACACUUCGACUCUGCGUGGAUUACCGCGAGUUAAACAAGGUCACAGUGAAGAAUAAGUACCCGUUGCCGAGGAUUGAUGACUUAUUUGACCAGUUGUAGGGGUCAAGGGUAUAUUCAAAGAUUGAUCUUCAAUCGGGGUAUCAUCAGUUGAAGAUACGGCCCGAGGAUGUGCACAAGACGGAGUACGAUACGCAAUAUGGCCAUUAUGAGUUCACGGUGAUGCCGUUUGGGCUUACUAACGCCCCAGCGGCGUUCAUGAACUUAAUGAAUAGAGUCUUCCGUCCGCUAUUGGACCGGUGCGUCGUGGUAUUCAUUGACGACGUAUUGGUAUAUUCUCGGACCGAGGAAGAACACGAGGAGCACUUGAGGACCGUGUUGGAAAUACUCCGAAAAGAGAAGUUAUAUGCCAAGUUGAAAAAAUGCGACUUUUGGCUAUCGGAGGUCACUUUCCUUGGUCAUGUAAUUUCAGGCGAUGGUAUUUCGGUGGAUCCGAGGAAGGUGGAGGCAAUUAAGGAUUGGCCUCGCCCGACGAGUGUAUCGGAGGUCCGCAGUUUCCUUGGGUUAGCGGGCUACUACCGGCGGUUCGUGGAGGGGUUUGCUAAAAUAACUACUCUGCUAACGCACCUUACACACAAAGGGGUGAAGUAUGUUUGGAGCCCCGAAUGCGAACGGAGCUUCGAGGAGUUAAAGAAAAGGUUGACCACGACCCCGGUGCUUGCUCUACCAACGCCGGGGAAGACCUUUGUGGUAUAUAGUGAUGCUUCCUACGUAGGACUCGGGUGUGUUUUGAUGCAAAACGGGCCAGUUAUAGCUUAUGCUUCACGCCAAUUGAAGACAUAUGAAAAGAACUACCCGAUUCACGAUCUUGAGCUAGCGGCGGUUAUUUUCGCGCUAAAGCUAUGGAGGCAUUACCUAUACGGGGAACAUUGUGAGAUCUAUACGGAUCACAAAAGUCUUAAGUACUUAUUAACCCAAAGGGAGCUAAAUAUGCGACAACGGCGGUGGUUGGAAUUGUUAAAAGACUAUGAUGUUACUAUCCUAUACCACCCUAGGAAGGCGAAUGUCGUGGCCGAUGCACUUAGUAGAAAAUCGGGAGAAAAUCUGGCUUCGGCAAUUAUACCCCAACCACUAUUGCAAAAGGAGAUGCAACGGCUUGGAUUGGAAGUAGUAGCGCCGGGGGUGCCGGCGAUACUUGCGGCGUUGGUUGUUCAAUCGAUUUUAUUGGAGAGGAUUAAAGAGUUGCAAGCUUUAGAUGAAUAUCUCCAAAAGGUGCGCGGGGAAGUUGAGAGCGGUAGUGCCGAUGACUUUGGCAUUGGGACUGACGGCGCACUCCAGUUUAGAAACCGUUGGUGUGUGCCUAAGAAUAAGGACAUCCGCAGGGCGAUCAUCCAGGAAGCGCACCAAUCCCCUUAUAGUAUACACCCGGGCGGCACCAAAAUGUAUCAAGAUUUGAAGUUGCACUAUUGGUGGCCGGGCAUGAAGAAAGACAUUGGGGAGUUUGUUGCGCAAUGCCUUACUUGUCAACAAGUAAAAACGGAGCGGCGUUUUUCGGCGGAAAAAUUACAAAGCUUGCCUAUACCCGUUUGGAAAUGGGAGAACAUCGCUAUAGACUUUGUGACCGGAUUGCCACGAUCUCAAGGUGGGCACGAUGCAAUUUGGGUUAUAGUGGACUGGUUGACGAAGUCGGCGCAUUUCCUACCGAUUCAUAUUACAUGGUCGGGGGACAAAUUGGCUCAAGUAUAUAUCGACGAGGUUGUGAGACUUCAUGGGGUGCCCGUGUCUAUCGUGUCGGAUCGGGACCCGAGGUUCACCUCUCACUUUUGGAGGAGCCUACAGGAGGCUUUGGGCACGCGGCUCGACUUUAGCACAGCAUUUCAUCCUCAAAGUGAUGGUCAAUCGGAGAGGACAAUACAAAUACUUGAGGAUAUGCUUCGAGCGUGUGUACUGGAUAUAAGGGCAAUUGGCAUGAUCAUCUACCGAUGGCGGAGUUCGCGUACAAUAACAGUUAUCAAGAAAGUAUCGCGAUGGCGCCAUUCGAGGCCCUUUAUGGAAAGAAGUGACGCUCCCCAAUUCAUUGGAGCGAUGUGGGCGAGAGGGCGGCUCUUGGCCCCGAGUUAGUGAGAGAGGCGGAGGAGAAGGUUCGUCUUGCUCGCCAACGACUUGCUACGGCGCAAUCUCGGCAAAAGAGUUAUGCCGACAAACGGAGGAAAGAUAUAGAGUUUGCCGUUGGAGACCACGUGUUUCUAAAGAUUUCGCCGAUGCGAGGGAUUAAGUGGUUUGGAAUCCGGGGGAAGCUAAGUCCCCGGUACCUUAGACCGUUCGAAAUACUGGAACGGGUCGGCGCUGUGGCAUACCGAGUAGCAUUACUACCAAGACUUGCGGGAGUGCACGAUGUGUUCCACGUGUCGAAUCUUCGCAAGUAUGUCCACGACCUCGAUCAUGUUCUCUCAUUUGAACCGUCCGAGAUUUAAGAGGACAUGACCUAUGAGGAGUUCCCGGCAUACAUCAUCGAUCAAGAAGUAAGAAAAUUACGAAAUCGCGAGAUUCCGUAUGUUAAAAUUCGUUGGUGCAAUCACGACGACCGGGAAGCUACUUGGGAGCUCGAGAGCGCAAUGCGGGAGCAUUACCCUCAUCUCUUCGACGAGCUGAACUAAGGUACGAGUCGAGUUCGGGCUUAAAUUAAGCUAGUUUCGCGGAUGAAACUAAAUUUAAGGGGUGGAGAAUGUAACAUAUCGAAACCCGAAAACGAUAAUCGAACUUUAAUCAAAUUGGUUAAAGUGUCGAGAGAAAUGGAUUGAUAAGUUCCAUUUUGCAUUCCAACGAGUCUGGAAGGGCAAAAAUGAGUUAAGGAAGUGUUGGAAUGGGUUUGGCAUCGAACGACGCGAAGUAGAGUCGAGUCAAAGCCAAAACAUCAAUCUGGAGCAUUGUGUACCGGUACACCAUGGUGGUUGUACUGGUAUAGCAAGCGACCCGAGCACAGGUUGCUCUCGGGUUUGAGUCUGCGCGAAGGAGUACCGGUACGGGACUCCGUGUACUGGUACACAAGCUGCGAAACCGAGAGACCUUGCUCUCAGGUUUGACCUCUGUAUAGGGGUGUAUCGGUACAAAUGCCCGUGUACCGGUACACUUUGGGUCUGACAGCCCAGUGAGGCUGAUGUAAAUAAAAAGAAAUGGAGGGCCUAGUUGCAAUUGUAGCAACAUGUUAACACCCCAACACCUCUCUCUCUCCCUCCCACAGCCACACACAUUCCCCUAUCUCAUUUCUCUCUUUCUCUCUCUAGAACAUCUCUAGGGUUUGGUGGAGAAGGUGGAGAAGAGCUUGGAGAAGGUGCUUUUGGAGCUUGGAGAAGACCUAGGGCUCUCCUACAAGGUGGACUUAGGGCUAGCUUGUGGCUAAGGUGAGGUUUUCAUGGAAACCUAAGCUAGGGUUUGAAUUUCUACCAUGAAACUUAGAGUUUUGGGUUUCUCUCUUGUUUAGAAAUCCUCUAGAGGCUUGAGCUCCAUGAAAACCCAUAGGAGCUCAAGUUGCUCUAAUGGUGGAUUUCUAGGGUUUGCAUUUUGAGUCCUAGAAAUGGUUGGGAUGGUUCUCGGUGAACUUCUAGAGGUUAGACAAGCUUUCUUUUGCUUGUUUUAGAGAUCAAAACCUAGGGUUUAGCAAUGGGUUUGGUUAGGGUAUCAAAUUUGGCGCUUUUGCCCUAGGAUUUUUCGGGGACGAAUUAAACCCGUAGAAACCUAAUUGGGGGUGUCCUAAACGCGUGGAGCAACUCCGUUUAAUGUUACGAAAAUGUUUGAAAAUAGUCCAUGCAUAUAGGGCCUAAUUUGGCACUAUUUUGGUUGUAGGACGCGACUUCGACGUUCGUGAGGUGCGAGAGGCUUCACAUCUUUUCUCUACUACCACUCACGGUGGGUGGUGCAUUCCAAGGACAUCGGAAAUCUCUUUAUGUCUAAGUGUCAUAUUUUGAGCAUAUGGGCAUUUUUGAGCAUCUUGCAUAAUAGGGUUAAUUGUGAGUUUUUAUAGCCUAACGUAAAUUUAAAUGCAUGUUAAAUGUUUGUAAGAAGGUGAGAAUGAUGAUCCCUAUGUAUGCAUGAUUAUGACAAGAACCUAGAAGGGUUAGUAAACAAAAAGUGACACUUUGACAUAGAUCUAGCAAGUGACCUUGACGAGUCUAGAACACUUAGUAAACAAGUGUGGCAUUUGGCAUGAGGACAAGAAUAUAGCACUUAGAGAACAAGUGUGGCAUGAGUACAAGGACUUGAUAGUGUAUAUGACACUAGUGAUAGUAAAGAAUGCAAAGAAAAGAAUGAUUGAGAUAAUAUGACAUUUCAACCUUAGUGUGAGGGUUAUUUGAGCAUGGUUUUCCUUAAAGUCAAGGAAUGGAUUGAACUUGUAAUUCUCGAAUGUAGGAUUGAUCGUACUCACUUUAGUCCUUGCUCGAGGUUGUGGUAGCUCCCCCUCGGGCGAUGUGCUCCGGCGUCGAUAUCACUGGGUUGUAGCGAGUAUCUCCCCAAAGGACGGUCCCAUCGGGUUGUAGCGAGUAUCUCCCCGAUCAUUGGGAUUUUGAGUUGGUGAGUUUGUUGAGGGCGAAACCUACGGGUUAGCCAAGAGAUUGGGUAUUGACACUAUGACCUUGCAUUCAUCAUGAGCUUUACAUUGUGCAUAUCAUUUUUUAUUGUUCAGGCAUAUUAGUUGCAUUUGCUAGUUGGUUACUUACUUUCUUUCAUUCUAUUAUGCCUGAUUAGACCUAGUGGGAUAGUCGGCGUGGUUGGUUGCCGAAUCCACUGGAACUUUAUUGUAGUUCUCACACCCCUAUUUCCAUAGAGCCGGGGCCCAGCGAGCCGGCGGACGAUCGCGGUAAGGGUAUCGCGCCCUAAGUAGAGACCGCCCGUGUAAGGAAGUGAAUUUUCGAAACCCGAGAGUUGUACUUCGUCCAGGAUCGACUAUUUGUCGAGAGAAUGCCCUUGGGGAAGUUAGAGAUGUCCAAAGCACAAAAAGUGCCUUGGAGUUGAGUCCACGAAAGCAAAUGAUGCAAACUGCAUCAUUGGGCUGAUGUUACUCUCGGGGACCGGUCUCUGGAGGUGAGAGACCGGUUCCCUUGGCUGGGUGUAGCAGGGUUGCUUGAUGCAACCGGUCCCUGGCAGGGAUGGACCGGUUCCCGAACGUGGUCCCAGUGAGAAAUGCCGAAAUUUGGCUAAGUCCUGAAAAUCGAGCUCUCGGGGACCGAUCUCUCAGGCGAGGACCGGUCUUCUCCCGAGGACCGGUCUCCUGGGGAGAGACCGGUUCCCGAACGCGCGCGCUCGAGGGAGGCCCUCGGGGACCGGUCCCAAGUCGGGGAGACCGGUCCCUCCGCGCGAGAACUGCCCAGUAAGGGCUGUGCAAUGGAUGGAAAAUUGAGGGGUUUAAGUGCAAAAUGGCCUUUAUUAGAGUGGGCUGAGCCCCCUCUCUCCCUCACACUCAUCUCAUUCCCUCUCUAUCUCUUUUUCUUUCUUGCUCCCUCUCUCUCUCUCUAGAAAGGAAAGGAGGAGAAGAAGAACAAGAAGGAGAGGAAGGAAAAGAAGAGGAAGAACAAGAAGGAGAAGAAGAAGGAGAUCAAGAGGAAGGCCUUGGACACCUUCUAUCUCCCUCUCCUCUUCUCUUUGGUGUAGCACAAGAGGUAAGCCCUAACCCUAGCUCUUGGAAACUUAGGGUUUUUGGGUUUUGAUGCUUUAGAAUGGGUCAAAUGGACCCUAAACAUGCUUCUAAAUAGAUCAAUCCCAUGAUUCUAGGGAUUUAUUGGUGGUUUGUUAUAGGUGCAAACCUAGGGCUCCAAAAUGGGGUUUUUGUGAAUGUAUGAGAUUGAUCUCAUUUGAAGCCUUGGAAACCCUAUUGUUAGGUCACAAAACGUGGGGGCGAAGUCGGUUUUGGCAUUCGGCGAACCGACGCGAAGUUCUCGGCAAAAUAGGGCCGGACUAGUGUUGAUUUGGGCAAGGAAGGCUAAAGCCUUUUCGUAAAGUUCGCCGAGAAGAAUUUUCGAGGCCUCUACAUCGAUUAAAGGUGGGGGGUGCCAUCCCGAAGCUUUCGGACUCCUUUCUAUAUCUUAGAUUGCAUUUAAUCUCAUCUCUUCAUGUUGCAUUGUAGGAUUGCAUAGUAACUCCAUUCCUUAUGCUUUCUAAAUGAUAAUCUAGUGUACUUGGAACGCUUGGUGACUUAGAUAGGUGAGGAUUGGGUCGGAACGUGGAUCCUAUAAUGCGAAAGAAAAGAGGUGAACCCGAUGGGGGUGUUGAUGACAUAGAAAGUAGUGUUAAUGUUACAGAACAAACGAGUAGCAUCCAAAUAUUAAAUGAUGACGAGUGGCAUUAAUGUAGUGUACAUAACACUAGGGGUUUGAGAACUUAGGGAUAGGUGGAUCCCUUAGAAAAUGCCUUGUAGAUAAAAAACUUAGUAAACCUAAGUAGCCUCACGUGGAGGGGUUGUCGAUGAGUCGAUUGAGACAUUGACCAUAGUGGUAGGGCUUCCUCACUUGGAGAGGAUUUUGAUUGGGUUGUGGACCCUAGUGAUAGUGCUCCCUCACUUGAAGAGGAUUCGAUUGGGUAUAGACUCUAUUUGUAGAGCAUCCUCACUUGGAGAGGACUUGAUUGAGUUGUUGACCCUAGAUGUAGGGCAUCCUUACUUGGAGAGGAUAGAUCUAGCUCACAGUCUGCGUUUGGGUGGUAUAGCCAUCCAAUCCCCACAUGGAGGGGAUUGUCGUCGAGUACUCCGGAGUGUCGCGCGACUAGGACCACUUGGAGAUCCGGACCACAUGGAGGUCCGCAGACGGUCCCGGGCUUGGGUGCACUUGGAGCUCCCUCCCCACUUUGGGAUUGAAGGGUGAGUCAUAGGCGAGCCCUAGGGCCUCGCCACAGAUUGGGUAAAUGGAAAGGUUAAAGGUUUAAUAAUGCCAUUGAACAUUGCUAUUCGAAUAUGGAUCAAAUUUAUUAGCAUGGUAGCAAACCUUUAUUAUAUGAUGCAUGCAUUCAUAUUCAUGAUUAUGGGCAUAAUAGCAUAGUUUUCCUAGUAUUGCAUUUACAGUUUUCAGAUACAUAUCUAUCUAUCUAUCUAUCUGUUGUUAAUUGUGUCCACUUGGACCUAGUGGGGAGAUCGGCAGAGUUGGCGGCCGAGCCCACUGGGAACUGUGGAAGAUAGUUCUCACCCCACUCCAUUUCCAGUGGUAGAUACAGGGCUGCCGAGGGAGGACCGCGGCAAGGGCAUCGCGCCCUAUCAGUGAGACCGUAGUAGUAUAGUAGCUUUCCCUUUUGCAUUAGUACACCUAUGUAUUGAGAGAGAAUCAUUGUAGGUGAGGACUUGGAGAGCUAUGUAUUUUGGGAUGAAAAGUGAUGUAAAUGAAACUAUUGUGAUAGUUAGUAAAGUACUCUCUUUAUUUCACAUGCUUUUUCUUGUGGAUUACUUGCUCUUCGUAUUGUUGGCACUGUUUGUGCCCUUGUGGAUGUGUAUGUUUAGAAUUUAAUUUCCUGGGUAAAUUCUUGUACACAUUCUUGUUGUUGAGCCUUGGGCGGACAGGGGAGGUGCUGUCCGUUCGGCAAUUCGCCGCCACGGCCGAAUCGUGCCAAAUUGGUAGUGGUUUCGGGGUGGGGCGUGACAGUGCAAGAUGUUUAUUUACUUUAGUUGCAUACCCCUUUUAUUAUAUCAUCUUUUGUACUUUGAUGAUUUAGUUGUUAAAGGAAAGAACAUGUAUGAUGUAAAAGAUUCUUAUAUUUAAAUGCAAGAAAUGAUAUUUUGAGAUCCUGUGAUGUAAAGAAAAGAAAUGAUGAAAAAUGUAAUUGAUUCCCUAAGUGUAGUUAUUUACUUUCACUCUUGGCUAUUGUUUGCCCUCGUGCAAGCCAUUGUGUAUGCUUCCGCUUAUGCAAUUUUUAUACUCUAUCUGUACCUCUUGUUGAGCCUUGGGCGGGCAGGGGAGGUUCUGUCCGUUCGGCGUCUGUUCGACGCGCUCGAACCGACCAAAGAGGAUCGGGCUCGGGGUGUGACAAUAGAGCUUACAUUUCCGGUACAAAGUUCAGCAAGGAUGCAUCCGAGUGACCAAAUAUCAAUCUUUUUAUCAUAAGAAAGACCCAAUAUAAUCUCAGUUGCGCGGUACGAUCGUGACUGUACGUACGAACAUAAAUGGUCGGUCUCAAAGCAACUACUCCCAAGGUCAAUGACUUUGACUUCACACCUGCUGUAGCUUUUCACCAAUAUAUUUUCAGGAUUCAAAUCACAAUGAAUAAGACCAAGGCUGUGCAAAAACUGAAGUACCUCCAGACAUUGAAUAGUUAUUGACUGUAGAUCAAAAUUAAAGAGGAAAUUAGCAAAAAUAUGAAAUAACUGAACAACAAAAGUUCAAGAUGGGGGCCAACAGGGUGGUGAAAUUUAAACAACCAAAAGAAACAAAAUAAAUAAACAACCUGCAACCUCAGCACGGUGAAGUAAACCUCCCCUCCAGAUUCUCUAUUGAACUUGUGAAAUUCAUAUAAGUUUGCCUUGAGAAGCUCACAAACUAUCAGCAAGUGUUCCUAUAGAAUAAAACACAAAUUAGUUGAACAGUUAAACAGAUUUCUCACUUGAGAUGGAACACUUGAUACAGUACAUAAUAGAGGGUGAGCUGCUAUGUUGAUGCCCAAACUUUACCCAAUUUCUCAUUUUAAUUGCAAAACUUUUUAAUUGUUUCGAUGAAGUCCCUAAAGUUUGUUACUUGUUUCAAUUAAAGUCUAUGCUGUCAAUAAGCCUGUUUAAUAAGCCAGAGGUUGCCAUGUGGUAGAUUGAUGCAAAACUGGGCCGACCUGAUUUGGUCAAUCAGUUUAAAUCAAUUGAAUUUAUUGCUUAUUUUGGAAAAAAAAUCAGAUUAGAGUAGUUGAUCUUAUCUUUUAGGUAGUAUUUAUUUUAGAUUGUUAUUAUUCAGUUAAUCUCAAGAUAAGGUUUUGUUUAGUUCGUUAUUUAGGAUAAAAUUAAAUCCUAACUUGGUUAUGUAUAAGGUUAAGGAUAGUAUAAAUAAGGCAAAAGACUUCAUUGUAUGAUAAUGAUAUGAAUUUACAUAGUAGGGAUAAAAUGCUAUUUAUACUAUUGAAAGUGUUUGCUACCAACUUUUUUGCCAUUGGAUGCCUAGGCUUUAGUGGUGGUAGGUGGUAUAGUAAUAAUCCAAUAGCAGAAAAUUAGAUAGUAAAUACUAUUUAUAUACUAUCAAUAGUAUACUAGCUCAACUCGAAUUUAUGGAUCUAUAAUGAAGACAAAUGCUUGGGCAACGAUGUCUUUUAUUUUCUUUCAACGAAUGCAUCGCUCUAGAGUGAGUCCUGUCUAGAAACAAGUACAGUUCAGGAGUGAGUCUUGAUUAUCUUUUCUAAUUUUCUUUUCUUCCUUUCUUUUUUUAUUUUUCUGAAUUUUAUUCUUGUUUCUUUAAUUUCAUACUUUUCAUAAUUUCUUCUUUUUUAAUUCUGAAAAUUAAAAAAAUUAAAAAAUAUAUCAAAAAUUUUUAGAAAUGCCAAAGCUUUCAAAAAUAUUGUAAAUCAUAUUUAGGAGUCCUCCAAAGUGUAGGGUACUACAUUCCAUCCUAUAUCAGAUUUGGCAUCAGAGUUGACAAUUCCGUUUCCUCAAAAAUUUGGGGCUUGUGGAAGAAAACAGGGUGAAAAAAAAAGGUGAGAAAAUGUAAAAUAAAGAAAAGUAGAGUGAAAAAAGUAAAAUAAAGAAAAGUAGAGUGAAAAAAGUAAAAUAAAGAAAAGUAGAGUGAAAGAAAAGGUGUAAGAAAAAUGUGUGGAGAAAAAAAAUGGAGAAAAAGUAGUUAAAAAAAACAUCAUGGAUGAAAAAGAAUGUCUUAAAAAAUAUUUUCCAGAAGUAUAGCAGAAAAAAAAGAAUACAUAUAAAGUGAAAAAAAUAUGUGAGAUGACAAGAGUGGAGUUUGAUGAAUGGUUGUACGAUCAGAAGUCAUACUUUGGGAGGAAAAAAAAAUCGAUAUUCAAAUGGAAAUACUAAGGUAAUUUGAGAUGGUGAUAUAGACAAAGGAAAAUAUUUCAUCUUGAUUUUAUCAAAAUACUUUUUUGACAAAGAAAAAAAGGAGGUUGAAAGAUUUUGAGAUGAUGCUAAAAUUGUUGAAAAUGAUUUUUAAUGAUGAGUAAGACAAGAGAUGAGUAUCGAUGGAUCCAACUAAAAGUUCAACUGGAAACCCUGAUUGCUCAACAAAGUAAGCCACCCAUAGCAUAGUCAGGAGAUGACAAUUCUAAUCCAGUCCAUUUGCACCAUCUGAUUGCAAAUAAGUUCUAGAUGUGAUCGAGUUGGAAUUUGAGCAUCCGCGGUGAGUGCGUUGAAGAGAUAAGAUUACAAAUCCAUUUACCCUCAUCGCCCCAGCAAUAUCCGCCCUCCAUACUUGAGCUUCAAAUUGCACCAACACCACUUUUCUCCACAAUAUCAAUCUUUAUAAAGCGUCAUCGACAUACUAGUCAUUCCUACAUCAACACCAAGUUGGAGACUUUGAUGAUACAAGUUGUUCAACAUGCAAGUGUUGGACUACAUUACUUUAUUCCACACACUUGGUUGUUUUUUAUCACCUUACAAAUCCAACUAGUCUUGAGGAUGAAACCCUGCGCUGCAUAAGCGAAUGAGGCAGAACUAGGCUGACCCAAUUUGGUUGAUCUAUAAAUCAAUUGAAUUCAAUGUUUUUUAAAAUCAAAUUACAAUAGUUGAUCUUAUCUUUUAGUUAGUAUUUACUUCUAGAUUUUUAUUAUUCAGUUAAUCUCUAGAUAAAAUUUUUUUUAGUUAUUUAGGAUAAGUUUAAAUCCUAAGUAGGUUAUGUAUAAGUAAGGUUAAGGAUAGUAUUAAUAAGACAUAAGACUUCCUUGUAUGAUGAUGAAUAUGAAUUUAUAAAUCUAUAAUGAAGACAAAUGCUUUGGCAAUGAUGUCUUUUUUUCCUUUCGCGCAUGCGCUCGCCCUAAAGUGAGUCCAAUCCAGAAACGAGUUCAGUUCAAGAGUGAGUCUUGAUUACUUUUUUCUAUUUUUUUUCUUCUUUUUCCAUUUUUUCUGAAAUUUUUUCCUAUUUUUCUUAAUUAUUGAUUUUCAUAAUUUCUUUUUUUAAUUCUGAAAAUUUUUUAAAAGUUGAAAAGUAUUCAAAAUAUUCAGAAAAUUUUAGAAAUUCAAAAGCUUCCAAAAAAAAUAUAAAUCAUAUUUUGGAGCCCUCUAAAUUGUAGGAUCCUAUAUUCUGUCCUACAUUACAGUUUCUAUUGAAAUUUCUGGGCUUUUUGACUGCAGGGACUUAGUUGCCUAAAGUAAUAAAUGUUGGGAACUCAAUUGCAAAAAUUAAACGAUCAGGAAAGCAAAAAUUCGAGCAAAAGCUUAGGAACCAAUGGUGCAAUUAACACAACAAUAGAUCAUCUUCCAAAUAGGGAUUGUUAUCGAUAUUCCCAUUUAGUAAACUAAGCCCAUAAUAUAAUAUCAAAGCAUAUUUAACCGAGGAUAGAAGUUAUUCGACAAAAAGAAUGAAGAUACACAACCUUCUAAUAGAAACAAAUGCCACAUAUAGAAUGGUCAACUAAUAUGAUGGACAUAAAGAAUUAUAUUGGUUCCAAGUAAAAAAGAAAUAGAAAUAUAUAGCUCUAUAGCUGUAAUAGCAGCGGAAAAAAAUGAAAGCAUUAGCAGCAGACAAUUCUUGCUUCUACUGAUGGAUGUCAGAUAUGUUUCGUAUUCUUGAACCGCAAGAAUUCCUAACUCUAUUCUAUUUCUCUCAACCUGUAAGCUAGGAUUAUACCUAAUCUUAUUAAGAUUAUUCCUAGUAUUAUUGAAUUAUAGUCACUAAUACAAAUAUAUUCUUUAUUUCGUUGAUUUGGUGCGGCAGAUGAGAGGGAGUAUAGGUGCAUUUUGGAUGCUAGGGUUUUUUAAUGAGAGGCAUCUUUUGUACUUGUUUGGAUUAUAAUUAAAGUUUUUGCUCCAUCUUCGCCCAUGAACGUAAACCAGUGGUCGAACCACGUAAAUAGUGUUCUCUAUUUUUUUUUAAUUUUUUUGUGAGAGGCAUCUUUUGUACUGUGUUUGACUUUAUAAUAAAAGUCUCUGCUCCAUCUUCACCCAUGGACUUAGAUGAGUAAUUGAACCACAUAAAUAUGUAUUCUUUAUUUUUCUUCUCUUCUUUUCGAUUCUCAUUUGUAUAUUCGCACCCGAUGAACUAAAUCAUUUCCGCUUUUAUCGUAACAAACUGAUAUCAAAGCAAUUUUGGUAUCAAAGCAAGUUGCGAAUUCAUAAGAAACUAAUAUCAGAGUCUGAUUGUUCAAGUGGGUGUUUAAAAUGUUGAUGAAAUUUGAGAUCAAGAAGUGUGAUUGCUCCAGCAGUUUCGCUAUUCAGCAAGUUUAGAUGUAAGUCGUUCUAAUGCAACGAGGUUGCACAAGGCGUUAACUGGAGAGGAAGAAGAUUGGUUCUCUAAAGAACCAAGCAGAUUUGCUCAUUAAGCCUCUUUUGAUGACCAAAUUCAAUAUUCCAUGUACAAUUUGUCUGUGCAGUAGCACUCGAGGAACCAUUGGGGUUUUGGCAAAAGAUGAAGAAUUCAAGACAAGGUGGAGAUAGCUCGAUAUGCCUCAAAUUCUUGAACCACAAGGUUUCCCAACCCUAUUCUAUUCCUCACAACCUAUUAAGUUAAGCUAGGAUUAUGCCUAAUCUUAUUGAGAUUAUUCAAUCUUAUUGGAUUUUAGUCACCAAUAUAAAUAUAUCUUUUAUUUCAAUGAUUUGGGGCUGAAAAUGAGAAAGAGCAAGGGUGUAUUUUGAAGGCAGGGUUUUUGUGAGUCACCUUUUGUACUCUGUUUGGAUUAUUUAUGAAAGUCUAUGCUCUGUCUUCGCCUAUGGACAUAAGCCAGUGGUUGAACCAUAUAAAUAUUUGUGUACUUUAUUUUUCCUCUUUUUCUCAAUUCUCUUGUUUUUUUUUCACACCCAACGAACUAGAUCUUUUCGCUUAACAAUGGAUCAUAGAGAAAUGGCAUAAAACUAAAAGGCAGCAUGAAAAUAUUCCACAGCCUAAAAUUCUUAAGAAGUUGCAUGUGACAUUAUUAAUCUUCACAUUCUGAUUAAGAUUCCAAACUUACAAUUACUUAGAAGUUUUCCUAUGUUAUCUGUAGGCUUUAAGAUUCCAAACUUAGAAGAUAAAUUUAGAAUUUCUCCUAUGUUAUCUGAUGUACAAGGCAACGGCUUAAAAAGAUAAUUAACUGAAACAUCAGCUAGAGUCCUAUCAAUGUCUAUAGGCACCAUUAAAUAUAUAUAGGGCAGGUAUCCAGUCCAGGCAGAAACAAUGCCCUGUCUGAUAGGUUUUUUAGCAUUGGUUUCCCAAAAAAGCUAUUUAGACUUGACCCACAUACUUGAUAAAGCCCUACCUAGAAAUUUCUGAUAGAAUGAUCUUCAAUCAAAUUGCCAUUUGUCUCACAACAAUCAAUUCAUUUUAUAUAAUGGCUCUAGCUAACAUUAAUCAAACCCUAAUCUACACAGCAGUACCACAGUGCCCUCUCUCCCCACCAGUAUUGUUGCCUAAUGACCUUUCUCCAACCAAACGACGUUGCUCGCUUAUUUGUGCAUGUUGCUGUCUGCUAAGCACCAUAAUCGAAUAGUGCAGUUCCAGGUUUUGGAUUAAAACUAGUCAUGGAAGACCAUCCAUCAGCACUCUAAGAAGUCAAGAAACAAGCAACAGUCGAGCAAAGACUAAAUUACAAAAAGUUAUAAGACGAAUAGGUUGAAAGAGCAUCAAGCAACUAUCAGUGCUUGCCAAUUGCCAGCUAAUAUUACUAGUUAUGUAAGAUAACAGACAAUAAUAAGGAAGAUGACUGACACACCAAAGUCAAGUUGCGGCAUAAAGACAUUUUACCACACCAAAAUUCGUGGUUCUCUGUACAAUUCUAUCACAGGAUUAAGAGAUGAGCAAGGGCUAACUAGGGUUGCGUACUAUAUCACCCAUCUCCAGCUAAGGAUGUGUUGCAUAAUUGCAUUCUUGUUUUGGACACAAAAGUAACUCGAAGCAUACUAGGGCAUUUAUACUAGCUAAUUUGUCACACCAAUGGCUACACAAGAGAUAUAUAUACAUAAGUUUGUAAACUUCUUCUGAAUCCAUGAAAGAGGCUACAACCUGGUUAUUCCAGUCAGUAUUGACAACCAGCGCAGCCGUACCUAUUCGUAUCCAAAGAAAAGUUGCGAGUUGAAUAGUUUAACAGUCCCAAAAGGAACCAACUCCUAUUCUUCACUAAACAUGUUCAUAUAUGACAUGAUAGAAGCUUUAUUUGCGCAAGUAAUGCUAGAGAAAUGACCGGGCAGUUGAAAAAGCACAUAAAUUGCACGGUACUUAAAAGUCACACAAGGCUAGGUACUUGACAUGUAACUUGAACUGCACUAAUUACUGCAAGCUAAAGUUAAAGAAAUUACCUAGUUACUAAUGUACAAGUUUGGUCAUUGGGACACAGUUUGAAGAAAAAGAUUACAAAUGGGCUAGCUUCUAACCAAACCUUUCUGACAUUAAAGCAUAUUAGUUUGCCCAGUAGACUCUGAAAUUCCAAUGUGAAAGCAUAUUUAUCGACUACAAAUUUAGGUCUGCAAACAGAAUGGGCAAGCUCGCCAUUAACAAGAGAAGCAAGCUAGAAUGUGUGUGUGUGUGUGUGUGUGUGUGUGUGUAACUUCUUUAAAAAAAAAAAAGGCUUUGCACUAAAACAGUCCAAUUUCCCUAAGUUUAAUAAAAAAUGUCAAAUAUCAGGAAGGAUGUUGUUUCAAAAUUUUGAUCUGGAUGAUAGAACUGUGAUAUAAACAUAGAAAUUUAAAUUGGACUACUUCAAGUCCAACAGGCAAAUUAUGAAAUCUUCAAGUUCCAUGACAACAAAAAAGAAAAAUAAAAACAAUAUGACCUAAGGAUAAUGAGAUUACUAUGCACUCCAUUAUAUGAAAAUGCCAUGAUAUAAUCAAGGUUCUCAAGGUGAUGCCACUAUAACACUGGCUAAGAGCUUAAGAGGACUCUCUAAAUUAAACAAGCUAUAUCUAUAUAAAUAUGUGUGUGUGUGUGUGUGUGUGUGUGUGUGUAACUUCUUUAAAAAAAAAAAAGGCUUUGCACUAAAACAGUCCAAUUUCCCUAAGUUUAAUAAAAAAUGUCAAAUAUCAGGAAGGAUGUUGUUUCAAAAUUUUGAUCUGGAUGAUAGAACUGUGAUAUAAACAUAGAAAUUUAAAUUGGACUACUUCAAGUCCAACAGGCAAAUUAUGAAAUCUUCAAGUUCCAUGACAACAAAAAAGAAAAAUAAAAACAAUAUGACCUAAGGAUAAUGAGAUUACUAUGCACUCCAUUAUAUGAUAAUGCCAUGAUAUAAUCAAGGUUCUCAAGGUGAUGCCACUAUAACACUGGCUAAGAGCUUAAGAGGACUGUCUAAAUUAAACAAGCUAUAUCUAUAUAAAUAUGUGUGUGUGUGUGUGUGUGUGUGUGUGUGUGUGUGUGUAACUUUCUUAAAAAAAAAGGCUUUGCACUAAACCUGUCCAAUUUUCUGAGUUUAAUCAAAAAUGUCAGAAAGGAUGUUGUUUCAAAGUUUUGAUCUGGAUGAUAGAACUGUGACUUAACAUAGAAAUUUAAAUUGGACUAGUUCAGGUCCAACAGGUAAAUCAUGAAAUCUUCGAGUUCCAUGACAACAUCAAAGAAAAAUAAAAACAAUAUGAUCCAAGGAUAAUGAGAUGACUGUGCACUCCAUUAUAUGAAAUGCCAUGAUAUAAUCAAGGUUCUCAAGGUGAUGCCAUUAUAACACUGGCUAAUAUCUUAAGAGGACUGUCUAAAUUAAACAAGCUCUAGAGCAACUCUAGUGUAGUACAAAAGGUGUUCUAUUCUCCUUUACAUCUACCAUUAUUUUAGCACGUUUCACUUAACCAUGCUGUAAUCCAAAAUCACUACUAAUGAACUUUCAGAAAAAAAAAUUCACAGAAAUAUAAGACUCAAAAUAGAAAUGAAAGAGUUCGAUAGUUUUUACCCGAGAGUAGAAGUAAUCAUACAAGCACAGAAUGUGAUACUUGUCCGCCGGAUCAUGCCUGUUGACAUAUUUCAAAAACUUGAUUUCAUCAAGGCUUUGAUCAAAAAAAUCUUUAUUGUUCUUUAUGAUUUUCACACAUACAUCCAUUCCGGUGUGCAAGUCAUGUGCCUGAAUAGCUUUGCUGAAGGCAGCUGACCCGAGAUACUCGGUAACAUGAUAUCGCCCAGCAAUAACAGAGUUCAAAACAACAUGGAAAUUCUUGUCUUCUUCAAAGCCAGUUCUGGUAAAAUAUCAGCAAAAUGGACAUAGGUAUUUUUAAACCAAUUUCUUUUUCAAACUUUAUUCUAUUUAGGAUUCCAUUACAACUAAAAGUUUUUUAUUCAUCUUUAUUUAUACUAGUGUAGGGAUCCUCACGGUGCGAACGAAUAGAAAUUUUUUACGAAAAUAUAUAGAUUAAAUAAACACAUAUAAAUGUAAAGAAAAACAAUUUUGACAUAAAUUUAAGAAAAACAAAUGAUAUGACCAAAAUUUCAAAAUGGACAGUGGAAAAUUAAUUUCAAAAUGGAUAGUGGAAAUUGAAUAUUCUUUAAAAAUUGAGCAUAGGACUUUUAAAUUCAAGAUCAAGAAUGUUAACCUUAAUCUAUAUAGUUUAAAGUAUUUUCUAUCAAAAUUUGAAGAAAUUUAGAUUCUUCUACACUGUUAAACUCCAAACUCGUCAUAAUAGCCAUUGAAAAUUGACAAUUUUGAAAUGGUUUGAUCAUAAAGUAAACUAUGUCGAAAAAAUAUAAAAUUUUAUUUCUAAAAAUUUUAAAUACCCUAGAUCAGUUUUAACGGUGUGGAUCGUUGAUUUGAAUGCUCGAAAAUCGAAAACAACACUAUAGUACCGGAGCUCCGGUACUAUAGAUAGUAUAGUAGCCUAGCUCUAUUUAUAUAUAUAUAGCCUAGUUUAUUGUGAUAAGAUGUGAGUAGUAUGUUUAAAUGAAUCUAAAUUAGAUUAGAUGAAUGAAUGGAAUAAAAUGUAGAAAGAACAGANAAUUCCGACAAUGACAGACGGAAUCCAAAAAAGAAUAAAAUAAUAUUCCCUACGAAUGGUUAUGAUUAAUUUGUUAAAUAUAUCUCAAAUAAAAACGAAUGGUUAUGUUCAAUCUAUUAAAUCUCUACUAUAUAUAAAAAUCUAUAUAUAUAAUCAAUUUGUUAAAAAAAUAUCUCAAAUAAGAUAUUGUAAAUAUUUUCUAAUAAAAUAUAACAUAUUAAUUUAUAAAUAUAAAUUUUAUUGUAUAAUUUUGGAUAUAUAUAAUACACAAAUUUAUAUUGAUUUGAAAUAAAUUAUAAUAAUUGUUACGUGCAUUUGCACGUACAUUUAAGUAGUAUAUAGAGUAGGGCUACUAUACUCUUAUGAGUAUAGAACUCUUACUACUCAUAAGUUGUUUUCGAUGUUGAAGUUUUCGAAUCGACGAUCCACACCGUUAAACAUGAUCUAGAGUAUUUGAAACUUCUAGAAAAUAAAUUCCAUAAAUUUUCGAAAUCAUUAAAAAGUCCAUCAAACGAGUAUAACAUGAACGGUUAAAAUCAAAUGACAUUCAAAAAAUGGAUGAUCAAAUCCUUCAAUUUAAGAUCGGAGUUAUUGAUCUUUAUUUAGGUAGUGAAUAGAAUUUUCUAUCAAAAAUUCAACCUAUUUCGAUUUUUUUUCACCGUUAAACUAGCAAAUAUCUCAUACCGGCCGUUAAAAAUUGUCAAUUUUGUGACCUUUUGAUCGUUAGGUAAAUGAUAUCGAAAAAUUAUAAAAUUUAAUUUCUAGAAGUUUUAAAUACUCUAGAAAAUGUUUAACGGUAUAGAUCAUCGAUUUGGAAGCUCUAUCAUCAAAAACAACUUAUGAGUACGAGGGCGAUCGUACUCAUAAUAGUAUAGUAGCCGGACUCCUAGUGUGUGUAUAUAUAUAUAUAUAUCGAGGGGUUCAAGUACAUACAAAAGGAUCUACUACAACACUAGUUCCAGCGAGUACCCCAAACAACACCCAUAUGUACAAAAUACCCUAAAACUACAUGAGGAAGGUACUCCACUCUGCAACUCAUUUGGAAGGGAUCUAGCUCGCGACUCCCUUUUCGUGAUCACUAUUAGGAACGACAGCAACCGAAGAAGAAGGCUUGGCAAAAGGGUUCAACAACUAGGUAUGAGAACUACUGCAAAAAAAGUAGUUUUCAGUGGGUACCGCUACCGACAUCAACGGCUUACCCAAUAAGUCUACAAAAGUAUGCUAAAAAAUAGUAAAGAAAGUUGAAACAAUUCUACAGCUAAAUGUCACUAUACUAUUAUGAUCCAACACUAACUACCUGUAGAGAAUGCAAUCACUGACCAAAUCUCACUAGGGACUGUGAACACACACGUCCCGCCUGUCGAAGCUAUACUAAUUAUCACUACGCUGGGUCGUCAAUGGAGAGUGAGUCCAAUCAUGACACAACGACAACAACGCAAAAGCACAAAAUUCGACUCCGGAGUGGCACUCGUGGGCGCUACCCAACCGAGUACAUAAGCGUAUAUUUGCCGAGAGCUCAAUCAGGCUCUCACAGGCUAUAGUCAAAGUAGAAGGGUCUAAUUGGUCUAACAAUCAUAACACACGUGCCAUCGGCACAAUCUGAUGCAAAAAUAGCAAACUGGGUUCACCGUCAACCACAACGGUCCCCGACAGUCCGGAACAGUCUAAACACGACUGUAAAAAUAAACUCGGUAUCGCAGCACGAGCAUAAAUUCAUUAUACACUAUACUGGAUAUCAACCGUCUACAAACUACGGCGAUACAAAUAAAUUACAGCUUCUAAAGUUAAAUAUGGUAGUUUUCAGAAAAUGACAGUGUAGAACCUAUAGUUUUCUUCUAAGUCAAUUUCAAGUCCAACAUGUCACGCCCCGACACCCGCCUAUUUGGUUAGGUUCGGGAACGCCGACAGACCGCCGAACGGACAGAGUCUCCCCUGUACGUCCUAGGUGUCGCAAUUAAUACAAGUACAAGAAGUUCCAACCAGGAACAGUAUUCAAGUAAGAUUGCAUAAGGAAGGUAUCAAUCAACAUAACACAUCCUAUGUUAUUACAAGCAUUCCCCUUUAGAUUUAUUUUUACAUCACAUUUGCAUUAUUACGUUACAUUCUCUUCCAAAUACAAUUAAUGAUCGCAAUAUUAUUACAAGUUUGCUUUUUUUUUUCUUUUCCCUCUACCCCUAGGCUAUGCCGACUCGGGGUACUUCUAUCUCUGGUCUCUAAGGUAGGGCGCUAUCUAUGGAGCUACGCCCUCGCCUUGCGCCGCUCACGUGGGAACCUGCAAUACCCCAAAACAACGUGGGGUGAGAACCAACUCCAUGGUUCCCAGUGGGUACGGCCACCCAAGGGAAGAGCUCGACCAAUAGGUCUAAGGAGGCCCUACAACAUGUUAGUCCAACAGAUAUCCAACAGAUAUAUAUAUAUAUAUAUAUAUAUAUAUAUAUAUAUAUAUAUAUAUAUAUAUAUUCAAGUUAUGAAAUACAUGUUGUGCCUCACAAUAUGCAAUAUGAAAUCAUGCAGUUUAUGCAACCAUGCAACAACUAGUAGUUCAAUCGAUACUACUUUUAUUCCUGUUAUUCACAGUUCAACCAAUUGACUUCUAAGUUUUCCUCUAUCUUAGAUUCCUGUUAAUUACAAUUCUGCUCAUAGGUUUAACUGCUUUUAGAAGCUAUCCACAUCGACUCGGUCUUGAGUUAAUCAUGACGCGGAAUACCGCACAAAGUCAGGCUCAAGGUAAAGGAUGUCUGACAUGCACCUCAGCCCUAAAUCCACUCAACUGGGAUGCAACUAAAACUCAUAUGAUGCAUCAUAUAGUAAAAUGGUGCUAUCAUGCUAACAAGUUCGAUCCAUGUUCGAUAAGCAAUGUUCAAUGACCAUAUUGACUUUCCAUUUAUCCAAUCUAUGGCGAAACCCUUGGGCUCGCCUACAACUCACAUUUUCAUCCCGUAUUGGGCAAGGGAGCUCCAUAUGCCUCCAAACCCGGGACUGUCUGCGGACCUCCAUGUGGUCCUAAUCGCCCGACACUCCGGAGUACUCGACGACAAUCCUCUCCAUGUGAGGAUAUGGAUGGCUAUACCACGCCAAAUAACAGACCGUGAGCUUGAUCUAUCCUCUCCACGUGAGGAUACCCUACGAACUAGGACCAACAUCUCAAUCGAAACUCGUCUACAUCCUCUCCAUGUGAGGAUACCCUACGAACUAGGGCUAAUAAUGACUCGGGAAAUCCACUAGUCCCAACAGUAAUGUCACAAGUGUCUCUACUACACUUAUUCUCAAAACAUGUCAGAGUAUCUCUACUACACUAGUCCAAAUGCCACUCGAUCUACUUGACACUCUACUUGUGCACAUCAAGUAUUAUAAUUUUCAUGUUCUUGUUUUCCAAUGUCAAUUUAUCUAAUCGACCAAGUUCAACAUGCAUAAUUCAUCUACUAUGUUCCACAAUAUGGCAACAUGUAUAAUUCUUCCAUCAUAUGCAAUAUAUGUCAUCAUGUAUAUGUUUCUAUUUAACAUAAUCCACAAUAUGUUAAUUCACAAUAUGUCAUCAUGCAUAUAUAUUACUAGCAUCAUAUGAUAUGUCAACAUACAUAUAAUAAUCAUCCAAAGUAGUCUAUACUUAGCAUCUCAUGUAUUGUUUUAGCAUUUAAUGCAUUAUACAUUUCAUCUCAUUGGUAGGCAAUAUCAACUACAUAGUGUAACAUACCACAUCCCUCGUAAUCGUGCCGAGUUCCGUCGAGCGGAACGCGGAAUUGAACGAGUUAGAAUGGACCCUGAGCACAUUAGGGCUCAUAGGAGAAGCAAAAAGGGACCCGAUAGAGAGAAUCAGAAAAUCUGGUUAAGUCUCAGAUUUUGUGCUCUCGGGGACCGGUCCCUGAAGGAGAGACCGGUCCCCGUACGCGUAGCCUGCCAGGAAGUCCUGAGGCAACCGGUCCCUGGUGGUGAGACCGGUCCUCGGGAGACCGGUCCCUGAAGGGGCAGACCGGUCCCUCGCUGCGCAACAGCCCAAAAACCCAAAAUUUGGCUAAGUCCUGGAACACCCACGUUCGGGAACUGGUCCCUGGUCGGGGAGACUGGUCCCCGAAGGCGAAAAACGCCCAGUCUCGGCAGAUCAAGGGGAAACAUGUUGAGGGGUCUAAAUGCAAUUGUCACAACACUAUAUGUGGACACCCCUCUCUCUCCCACAGCCAUUUUCACCAUUCUCUCCCAUUUCCUUUCUUUCUCUUUCUAGAACUCUUGCUCUAGGGCUUGGAGAAGAAGAAGAAGAAGCAAGGGAAGGUGGAUUUGGAGGCUUUGGUGGGUUCUACAAGCUCUCCUACAAGCUACAAGCCUACAGAAGGACUUGGGGGGCUUGGGCGAAGGCGUGAGUUUUGGUAGAAAUGAGUCUAGGGCUUGGUUUAAUCCUAUGUUUUGGAGCUUUGGGUUGUUUUGGCCAUGGGAGCCUCUAUAUGCCUUGAACUCCAUGGAACCCAUGAGAUCAAGUGCUCUCAUGGUGUGGGUGGGGUUUGUCAUGGAAGCCUAGGGUUGGUUCAAGUCUAGAACCUUACUAGGAUGCUUCUUAGAGGAUCCUAAGCUAUUGUUUGCUUAAGGUUGGAUCGAUUCAUGGGAAACCCUAAAUGACAAUAUUAGGGCUUGAAUUUGGGCGCUUUUGCCCUAGGUUGGUUCGGGGACAAAUUGCACCCGUGGAACCUAAUUGGGGGUGCCCUAAACACGUUGGGCAACUCCGUUUAACAUUACGAAAAUGAUAGAGUAUAGUCCAUGUACAAAAGGCCUAAUAUGGCACCGUUUUGAUUAGGCGCGGAAGCGGCUUUCGUAAAAUCCGGGAGUCUCAUAAUACUUCACCCACAGCACAUUACUAGAGGUGGGGGUGCACGCGGAAUCGUUGGAUUCCCUUCUAUGUCUGUUUUCUCUACUCUUGAGAUAUAUGUAUAGAAUACCCAUUCAUGAUAGUAGGGUAGAUAAUGUGGAACUUGUUUGACUUCAUUUAUAUGUUUCUAACGUAGUUGAACAUAGGGACGAUAGAACCAAGAAGACAUGUGUGAUUGGAUCCUCAAGUUGUGUGAAUGUGAGGUUGGACUUUGGAAAUAGAAAAACAAGGGUGACAUUGACAUAGAAACAAGAUUGAUUGAGAAAUAAACGUUAACUCUACGUUUACCAAAUUAUGGCAUCAUCACGGAUAUGCCUUGAGAGUGCAAGAAUGAAUAGUAGAGACCUACCAUGACAUCGAUAUUGUGACAGUGCUAUGAAUCCUACAGUUGGGGAUUAGAUCGAUCUCACAUAACGUCUUGGCUUGAGGAAGUGUCUCCCCUCGAGCGUGCGCUCCGAGUUGGUCACCACUGGGCGAGGUAAAGUCCCACCAGUUGACGGUCCUAGGAGCUUGAGUCCCCCAAUUAUUAAGGGGGUUGUGAGUUAUUGGGGUUAACAGAGUUAACCGGUAAGAUUGGGUAAGAGCCAAAGCUUGAUUAUGAUUGGAGCAUGCAUGCAUUUCCAUUUUUGCAUUGAAAUUAUAUAUCUACUGACUUCCUUCUUGCAGGCAUAGUAUUAGUUGCAUUAGUAGUGGUUACUUUUCCUCCUUUGAAAUACUUAUGCCUGGAUGGACCUAGUGGGUAAGUCGGCGAGGUCGGAUGCCGAGCCCACUGGGAACUUCGUUGUAGUUCUCACACCACUAACCCUACAGGUCCUAGCACGAGCGGGGCGGCGGAGGACCGAGGCAAGGGUUUAGCGCUGUAGGUAGCGGCCACCGGAGUAGCAUUACAUUUUGUAGUCAUUACCCUUUUGGUGUACAUGUAGCAGCUUUAUUUUGUUGAAUUAGAGAUGUAAAGUUGUAAACAAUCAUGUAUUUGGUGGAUGACUAAAUGUAAAAAGAUAUGAUGGUUGAAUGGAAUGUAAUAGUUUUGUUUACUCGAAUUUGGUUUAAAUGAAAUCAAAUAUCAUGUGUGAUGUAUAUUUAGCUUAGAGCUUUCGCUUCCGUGGUUGCUUGCCCUCGCGCAAGCCUUGUAUUUUAUAUGCAAUUCUCUUGUUGAUUGCCUAUUUAUACAUGUUGUUAGAGCCUUGGGCGGACAGGGGAGGCUCUGUCCGUUCGGCGUCUGUUGACGUGACCCGAACCCGACCAAAUUGGCGGGGAUUGGGGCGUGACACAUAGUAUGUUUCAAGCAUUCAUAUUAUCAUGUAAGCCUACCAAUACAACUAUAUGCAUCAAUUAGAAAACCAUUAUUCUUAGACAUAUAGGCGACUUAGUCGCUUCGGUGAGCACAACCCACCUCAAAUCGCUUUCCGAUUGCUUGUCAACACUUGCAAUCGGCCUCCCGCGGCACCCAUGUCCAGUUCGGCCCGAUUUUGCUAAUACUCACCAACCGUGCGUCGAAUCGCGGCUCCGAAAAUUAUAGGUCUUCGGUUAUGUGCCACGAUGCUCCAAAUCCAUUUUCAUGAUUUUACGAUGUCGCCUCGGCCCUCCAGGCGGAAACGAAGCCUAAUGUCCGUUUCUUUAAUAACUUCACAAUGGCUCGACGAAUCGCCAAACCGACUUCGCCAACACGUUCGUUUACCUAGCAAUUAGAUUUACGGAGGGUCAAAUUAGAUCAAACCCAUACGUUUUACAAAACUCCAAUUUUGAAGCCCUAGAUGCCAUUAUAGCUAAAUCCAUUAUUUAACUUCAUGAAUCAAGCAAUAAACCUCUAAUUAGCAUCUAAGUAUUCUACUAAAUCCAUCUCUAGAGCAUAUAAAGCUAAUCCUAGAGAUCUACCAUGAGAGGGCUCAAGAAGCUCACCUCAAAGCUUGCUCCAAACCAUGGAGAAGAUGAAGAAGAUGAAGAUGAUUCACUUCCAAGCUUCAAUCUCUACCAAAUCCACCAAUUUUGGGACAGGUUUAGAGAGAGAAAGGGAGGUUUCUCUCUCUCCCUCUCCAUGCGUGUGUGAGUGUGUGUGUGUGUGGGUUGUGGCUGCACGGUUGAGGGGAAGAAGGAGACAAGUGGCCAAAUUCACAAGAACGCCUUGCACCUAUUAGAAAUUACAUCUCCAGCUCAGUUUAGCAGUUCGGAGUCGUUGGAGCCCUUCUGAACGUCCGUUUGCGCUCAAAUUUGACAGGCAGGCUUGGUUUAACGUACUGAGUAAGAAUAUAUCUUAAGUUUUCAGUUUCGACCACGUUUGGUCACCGAAAGCUCUACGGAACUGUAAUCUUUAUCAGAUAGCUGUCGGAUUUUAUUUUUCACUUUCCGGGUGUCAGAAUGGCAUGAAACUUUAAAUCUAGCCUCAUAAAAAUAAUUCUGACAUAUCUUCCAGUUUUCAUUAUUUUCUGACAUUGUGCAUUUUCUGCUAAUUUAUUUGUCCCGUUUCUCACAGAAAAUUCUAAAUCUUCUGUUUUCGCUCCGAUUUCAGCACAGGUCAUUCCCAACCUAUAUUUCACCUCUUUAAAUCCAAUAAAAAUAGUAUCUCAUACUAUUUUUAUUUAUUUCUAUUUUUAUAUUUAAAAUUCGGUAUAUUACAUUCCACCGCAACCUCACCGGAACUAUUCAAAUGGCUUUCCAACCAAAUGUACACCGUAACUUCAUAAUUUUAGAAGUCCGGUACCUUACAUCCUCCCCUCCUUAAAAGAGUUUCGUCCUCGAAACUAUCUCACUUCAAUUCCAAUGCAUACCCCAUCUCAACUUAUCAAAUAGUCGAGGGUUCCAAUACACUUUCGCAUCUCGGAGUGGCCUUUCACUUAUCGGAACUAUCCAAAGGCUCACUACGAAGGAUGUAAGACUAGAUUCACUCACAUUUGCCACGUGCAGCUCCAAAAGUGCAUUACCACCAUGCAAAGAACUACUCUUGCAUUAUACACCCAAUCGAAAAAUUUCACUCCGAUUCGAUCACCUGCAUUGCUUAGAAGCAAUAUCGUUGGUGACUCGACCAAUAGCGAGUGGUUCAUCACAACCGCAUCCUUACUCUAUCACGAGAUGGCCCACUCCGGCACAUCUCUAAUCUCAAUCCACAAAAGAGCAUUGUCCUCAAGCUCCAAUUCCCACAUGGCUAUCCACAUCUCAAUGUCGCACAAGAGCACUUCGCCCUUGAUAUCAUAAGCCACGACCAACUCUACUUCGCUCUUGCGACAAAUCCACACUAACCCUCCGUUCGUGAAUCCAAGCCAAACUCACUAAUAGAGUUAUCGGCUAAACCAAUUACGUCGGUUUCCACACGUGGACCAACGGUCACCCGUCCUACGUAGGUCUACCGCCUAAACAUCUUACAACUACACAUAGCGUCCCUCGCUCACCAGCGUAGACCCAAUCAUAAUCGGGCGAAAUUCUUAUUCGAGAAUUCGCACACACUCCAACAAGGAGCAACCGUGACCCCAAACCACCUCAAAUCCUCGGGUUGGGUCACUACACACUCGGUGUAUCCUCGAUCUCAUGAUCCAACACGUGGCAUUCCACGCUCCCGGGUCUAAGCUCGGACUACCGUCCUGACCAAAUCUCUGCCCUACCCGUAGGUACCGGGCCGCUGUCUCUCACAUCUGACUGCGCCUGCCCAAAGGGCCCAGGCUCCACAGUCCACAAAUGGUCCAGGCACGGGUCGUCCCCAAGCACUACCCGCCGUCGUCGUACUACACGACAUACUCUAUUGAGCUAUAAGUACACUAUCGGCUCUUAAGCACCUAGUGCGAGCCACCAGCCCUACGAGUGAUCCAUGGCCCGCUUCACACUUAGCAAUGCUGAGUGCUACUGCCAACUUACUCUCCCGGCUGAAUCGAAAUCGAACUCUAUGAGUACCCACACUCGAGCGCUCUAUACGCCUCUAUAGCGUCCCACACUAAGUCCAGCAUCAGGCAACCGUGCCUAUGCACACUGACCGCACGAGCACUACUCACCUACCUCAAUUCGAGGUACUACUAGGCCAACGUGCCCAUAUUCGGCAACCAACCGGCUACUCUCUUAACAGUGAUUCUACUCUCACCGUUCAAUCUUCCGGAUCCAUAUCCAAAAUACUCGAACUACUCGGGUAUCCUCAACGUCAUGGUGCAACUCUCGCAAUCGGCUACUCACCCUGCCUUGAGAGCCGCUCCACCGUUCACAUUCACCAUGAGUCCCAUUCCUUGUCCAGGAACCAUUACUAGCCACUUGCUAGUGCCACUUGGCUCUCUACCUGCUCCAGCAGGUGUCACAUUCCCACAAUGCAAGCAUGCCCGGGUAUCUACACUUGCCCGUCCACUGGUCUCUACUAUACUGAUGAAUAAUUAGUAGCAAUUGACCAUUCAAUGAAUGCAUGCAAUGUAUCGACUUAAAAUCAUGCAAAAGCAUAUGCUUGCCUCAGCCAAAUCAUACCUGCUACGUCCUUGCCAGUAGCAGCAGGUUUCUCAACCUGGGUCGCCUACUCAUGACCACUUGGUGCCCACUGCGAACCCUCCGGUUGCCACAUUCUCAUCACGAAGCGUACAUCGCCAUGCCUAGUGAGGACUUCUGCAAUCCCACAUCCCAGAGAAGCCAAAUAAAGGACACUUUCGGGGUUUGGGAUUGCGACUGCAACUUUAAGGAUGUGCACUGCCCAAACUGGGCAAUUUUUGGGUACGGGAACCGGUAUCUCCCUGAAGGGACCGGUCCCCGAGAGCAAGAUUUCUCAAAAUUAGCUCCUUUUUGCCCUUUCACGCGUACGGGGACCGGUCUCUCCCCAAGGGACUGGUCCUCAAGAGCUAAAACUACAUUUUGCAGUUUUUCUCCCAACUUGCUCUCGGAGGCCGCCAACAAUGCACUUCUUGCAUUUUUGACCUCUUCGGCCUCACCGAAGCAUACCAACACGACCCCUGGUCGGUUCUACACGAAGUCCAAUCCUCGUAUUUCAAGAAUUCACUUCCUUACGUGCACAACCUCGACCACGUCCGGCCAAGGUCUCUGCAGAGGCAUUACCCCGCCACUCACACGAGAGUGGCCAAUCAUUCGCGAAGUCCCAAGUCUCCGCUCAUUUCGGAUUGCUUAGGGACACCACUCGUCCCAUCCCGCACUGAUCUAGAUGAAGAUCGCCUACGCGGUGCGAUCGCUUCCUAAGGCACGACAACUCGGUCGAUUCUCGACCCUCAAGGUCGAGCGCGAAACAACUGACACCGACUCGAAUCGGGCGAAAGUCAUGCAAGGGUGUCUAUUCUCAUCACUCGGUUUCAUGUUGUGUAUACCCAACAUGAACAUCCUCGGUUGAGAAUAAACCACACCUCGAGUCUACCUCUAAUAUCCGUUUUAGAGGUUUACUAACCUGACCCAAUCGAUCAAUCUUUCGCCAUAAGUCACAAGUCCUCGUCUCUCACGAGACUUAUUCUCCUAUGGUUUACUAUCCUAGGGUCUCCUAGGUCCGCCUAAACCAUUUCCCAUUCUCUACUUUAUGCUCUGAUACGACCUUAUCUGUCACGCCCCGACACCGGCCUAUUUGGUCAGGUUCGGGCACGCCGACAGACCGCCGAACGGACAGAGUCUCCCUUGUACGUCCUAGGCGUCACAAUCAAUACAAGUACAAGAAGUUCCAACCAGGAACAGUAUUCAAGCAAGAUUGCAUGAGGAAGGUAUCAAACAACAUAACACAUCCUAUGUUAUUACAAGCAUUCCCCUUUAGAUUCAUUUUUACAUCACAUUUGCAUUAUUACGUUACAUUUUCUUCCAAAUACAAUUAAUGAUCGCAAUAUUAUUACAAGUUUGCUCUUUUUUUCUUUUCCCUCUACCCCUAGGCUAUGCCGACUCGGGGUACCUCUAUCUCUGGUCUCUGGAGUAGGGCGCUAUCUAUGGAGCUACGCCCUCGCCUUGCACCGCUGCACCGCUCACGUGCGAACCUGCAACACCCCAAAACAACGUGGGGUGAGAACCAACUCCAUAGUUCCCAGUGGGUACGGCCACCCAAGAGAAGAGCUCGACCAAUAGGUCUAAGGAGGCCCUGCAACAUGUUAGUCCAAUAGAUAUCCAAUAGAUAUAUAUAUAUAUAUAUAUAUAUUCAAGUAUUGAAAUACAUGUUGUGCCUCACAAUAUGCAAUAUGAAAUUCAUGCAGUUUAGGCAACCAUGCAACCAACUAGUAGUUCAAUCGAUACUACUUUUAUUCAUGUUAUUCACAGUUCAACCAAUUGACAUCUAAGUUUUCCUCUAUCUUAGAUUCCUGUCAAUUACAGUUCUCCUCAUAGGGUUUAACCUGCUUGUAUAAGCUAUCCACUCGACUUGGUCUUGAGUCAAUCAUACGCGGAAUACCGCACAAAGCCAGGCUCAAGGUGAAGGAUGUCUCACAUACAUCUCAGCCUUAAAUCCACUCAACUGGGAUGCAACUAAAACUCAUAUGAUGCAUCAUAUAGUAAAAUGGUGCUAUCAUGCUAACAAGUUCGAUCCAUGUUCGAUAAGCAAUGUUCAAUGACCAUAUUGACUUUCCAUUUACCCAAUCUGUGGCGAAACCCUUGGGCUCGCCUACAACUCACAUUUCCAUCCCGUAUUGGGCAAGGGAGCUCCAUGUGCCCUCAAACCCGGGACUGUCUGCGGACCUCCAUGUGGUCCCAAUCGCCCGACACUCUGGAGUACUCGACGACAUCUCAAUCUCCACGUGAGGAUACCCUACGAACUAGGGCCAACAUCUCAAUCGAAACUCGUCUACAUCCUCUCCAUGUGAGGAUACUCUACGAACUAGGACUAACAAUGACUCGGGAAAUCCACUAGUCCCAACAAUAAUGUCACAAGUGUCUCUACUACACUUAUUCUCAAAACAUAUCAUAGUGUCUCUACUACACUAGUCCAAAUGCCACUCGAUCUACUUGACACUCUACUUGUGCACAUCGAGUAUUAUAAUUUUCAUGUUCUUGUUUUCCAAUGUCAAUUUCUCUAAUCGACCAAGUUCAACAUGCAUAAUUCAUCUACUAUGUUCCACAAUAUGGCAACAUGUAUAAUUCUUCUAUUAUAUGCAAUAUAUGUUAUCAUGUAUAUGUUUCUAUUUAACAUAAUCCACAAUAUGUUAAUUCAUAAUAUGUUAAUUCACAAUAUGUCAUCAUGCACAUAUAUUACUAGCAUCACAUGAUAUGUCAACAUACAUAUAAUCAUCAUCCAAAGUAGUCUAUACUUAGCAUCUCAUGCAUUCUUUUAGCUUUUAAUUCAUUAUACAUUUCAUCUCAUUGGUAGGUAAUAUCAACUACAUAGUAUGUUUCAAGCAUUCAUAUUAUCAUGUAAGCCUACCAAUAGCCUAGCUCCGAUUCUACCCCUACCACUAUAAAACCCGUCAAUACACCGCCACUUCUCCUUCCUCCCCUUCGCCGAAGCUCCGAGCGAGUCGCCGAAUUUCGCUUCGCAUUCUAUCUCUCUCUCUCUCUCUCUCUCUACCCCUCUCUCGUUGCACCCUUGCACCUCCUAUCUCGCCGUCGAUGAGAGCGGUGAGAGGAGUGGUGGCGCCGUCGAAGCUCGCGUCGCUUGCCGAGGCGGCGUCCUUCGCCGCCGCCGGCGAGAAGGCACACCCCAACAUCGUCGCCUACAUCCGCCGCUUCAGAUCCGCCCUGGAUGAGCUUGUGCGCCUCCACCGCGAGAUCGAUCCUGACGGGGGUGGCGAAGUGGAAAACCUAGUGGCGUGGUCAAGGGAGAGGUUGGGGAUAUGGGCGCUAGGGUUUUGGGGUUGGUGGAGACGAGGGGGAUGAGGAAGAAAAAAAAAAGCAGAAGAGAGAGAAGGUGGAUGGGGAAAGGAGCGGUUUCGAUGGUGGUGGGGGCGAUGGGGAUUUGGGGGAUGCGGGGAGAAAGAGGAAGAAGAAGAAGAGGAAGAGAUAGGGAAAGAUGAACUUCAUGGGCUUUUUGGAUUAGGAUCUACGUCCCGCCUGUCGAAGCUACAUUAACUAUCACUACGCUGGGCCGUCAGUGGAGAGCGAGUCCAAUCAGGACACAACGACAAUAACGCAAAAGCACAAAAUCCGACUCCGGAGUGGCACUCGUGGGCGCUACACAACCGAAUAUGAAAGCGUAUGUCACGCCCCGGGACCGAGCGGAAGCCCGCCCGGCGCGUGCCCAGACCCGCCAUAUGUCUAAAAUGUAAAAGGCGUCUACAACAAAGCGAUAAAUAAAGCAAUAAUAAAAUAACAUUUAGGAGUAUCAGAGCAUAGUAUAUCUAGAUUUCUAUAACAAGAAAAGGUGAGAGAAGCCAAAACCACUAAAAGGAAACAUAAAGUAAUACAACAAAAAUCCCAGUACAAGUGCUAUAAGUGGUACAAUGGUGGUCUCUAUACACGGUAACAAAACUCUCUCUCACCAAAAACACAAAAAGGAGAGUUGACCACCUAGGAGCAAAAGCAAGCUCCGCGCUAACUAGCUAAGCGACGCCCUUGCCGCGAUCCCAUGCCUCCGCCGACGCCGAAGGCUCUGAAAUAAAACUAUAAAACAGGGGGCGUGAGAACUAUUUUUAUUAAUAGUUCCCAAUGGGCAAUUACUGACUUCAGUGAAAUGCGCCACUAGGCCCAAAAGCUACAAAAAGGGGUAAGUACGAGUAUAAGCAAAAGUGAUAUAUACGACAAGUAAAUAAACAUAAGUACUUGCUACUACAUGAUGUCUCUACUUAGCAUGGAAUUUGCAUAAGAAAGUUAUACUAUCAUGAAAAUGCACGAGUAUACAACCAUCAUAAUAUCCACAAUGUAAUAGUAAAAUGUCAUUGUUUACUAUUCUAGUCAAUGUUCACUUGGCAUGUUAACUACUUAAAGUUAAAUCUUGGGAGACCCGCCCGAAGGCUGUCUUGCCUGUAGACCCACCCAUAGGCUGUCUUACCGGUGCCGAGCCUAAUGGCCUCGUAGUAGUCAAUAUCCCCACUCUAGGAAUGAGCCUUGCCCACGGCAAUCCACUUCGGCGCCCAAUCCCGCACGGCGAAUAUGUAUCGCGAUAGCCAUCUCCGGAGUGCUGGCUUGUAGGGAGCGACUCUCACAAGCGUGUGCGAAUGAGCACAAUGGCAGCAAGCGUAAGAUCCGUCUCAAGUCUCAAAUCAUCAUGUCUAAAAUAUGGAAUAUAACAUAUGUCUCAAGGACCUAUCUCUAUGUCAUCAUGUCUAAAACAUGGAAUAUAGUAUAUAUCAAUGGCCUAUCACUAUGUCUCUAUAUUGCAGUUUUCCAGUUUGCUAGUUCAUGUGCCCCUUCAUGACACUUUUGUUCACUAAGUCAAAGCAUGAUAAUUAUAUUUAUGAAUACAUAAUUCUAUUCAUUUCCCUCGCACGAGGCAUGUAAUCAACUCGCAAGGAUAAACACUUCCACAUGCAUGCAGCCUACACAUAUAGCUCCACUAUAUAGAGUGUAAUUUUUAUUAUACAUAACACAUGCAUUUUAAGUAUUCUAAAAUUCACAUAAAUCCCAUUUAGCAUAAAUAUGCAAUCAAAUUGACGUUACGACAAGUAUAAUAUACAUAGGGGCCAUUUUGCCCCGAUUUCAUGAAGUCAAACCCACCAAAACUCUUGCGACCCUUCGUUUGCUCUGACGAAGGUGCCCACUAGUCUCCUAGCACCCUAAAGAUGUAGGAACCAGAGUUAAACGAACCUUACGAACAUCUCAAAACUCAAACAUUAACCAACUCUAGCUAAGGUGGAGAAAACUCACCUAUAGCCUAGGAAUCCUCUAAGAAAUCCCAAAUGGAAGUCAAAUCCCUUCCAAAGCAACCUAUACUAAGGUUCUAAGCCAAUCAAUCAGGUUUCAAAGCCCUCAAAUCAAAAAUCUCCAAUUCUAACCCUAAAAUCGAAAUCUAGGGUUUCAUUUGGUAAAACCUACCAAAACAUGCUCCAAAGAGUAGAUUAAGCAUACUAACCUUGUAAGGUACCAGGCUUCUAAAAUCAUGAAGUUACGGUGUACAUUUGGUUGGAGAGCCAUUAGAAUGGUUUCGAUGAAGUUCGGUGAAAUUCGGGAGCAUUCGGGCGUUUCGAUGCGCGUAGGCGCAAAAAGGGGACCCGAAAGGCUAUGUUGGACCAUGAUCUAAAUCUGGCAUUAGCGCGAAUGAAAAGAUGAUAAAAAUACACUCGCAAACAUGUGUGGAGAGUCUCGGUUCGAUUUGAAACGAAUCGGAGACUCACGGAGCGAAAACGAGCGAAAACGGACCAAAAUUGGCGAAAAGGCUGAAAGUUUGGCUAAGUCUGAAAAUGCUGAUUUUCUGGACCUACGGGGUCCGGACCCUGGCUUCAGGAUCCGGACCCUGAGCCCGAAAAAUGCCCAGUUUGAGCAGGGGCAAUCUUGUAAAUUGGUGGGAUUGCUUCUAGAAGAAGGGCUUUAACCCUUCUUCUUCCUUUCUCAACCCAAACGCACACACACACACACAUGAGCUAGAGAGAGGCGCUCCCCUCUCUCUCUAGAUUUCUCCUCCAUCUCUCUAGAUCUGUAAUAUACCGAAAAUUCGGGAAAUAAAUAUCGAACUUUAGUCAAAUUGACUAAAGUGCGAGGAUGGUACACUUCGGAAAGUUCGAAGGUGUUGAAAUGAUUAAAAGCGAGUUACGGGAGGUUUUCGAGAGCUAUAGAAUCAAAAUCUGCAUUCAGCAAUUUUGAGCUCUCGGGGACCGGUCCCUGGUGGGAGAGACCGGUCCCCGAACGCGUAUGAAUUGAGACAGCCGAAAAAUCGGCUAAGUCCUGAGAAACCAGCUCUCGGGAACCGGUCCCUGCCUGAGAGACCGGUCCCCGAGAGACCGGUCCCCCAAAGAGAGACCGGUUGCCCUGCGCGCAGCAGCUCUGGUUGCGCGGGGAGAGCCUUCGGGAACCGGUCCCUGAAGCAGAGACCGGUCCCCGGUUGCGCGAACUGCCCAGUUCGGGCUGUGUAAUGAGAUAAAAGCUGAGGGACUUAUCUGCGAAAAUGCGUUAUGUGGGUCAUGUUUAGGGCUGAGAGAGCCUCUGCCUCUCAUUCCCUCACACCCAAACUCAUCCCUCUCCCUCUCUCUCUCUAAAAGACAAAGAAGGAGAAGAAGAAGACAAGGAAAGAGAGGAAAAGAAGGAGAAGAAAAAGGAGAAGAAGAAGAGGAAGUGAUGAAACUCCCUCUCCCUCAUCUCUAGCUUGGAAAAGGAGAGCUUACAAGGUAAGCUUUGAACCCUAAUUAUGGUAGAACCUAAUUUAGGAUUUGGAUUAAGCUUAAAAUGAGUUUUAUGGAACCAUUUGAGUAUUUGAAGCUUUUCUUUUGCUUCUUUUGAGAUCAAGACCAUAGAAAUGGUGAAGCUUGAGGUGAGCUUCAUCACCUCUCAUGGUGAAACCCUAAGUAGGGUUUUGAUUUGUCUAAAGAUGGUUCUAAUNNNNNNNNNNNNNNNNNNNNNNNNNNNNNNNNNNNNNNNNNNNNNNNNNNNNNNNNNNNNNNNNNNNNNNNNNNNNNNNNNNNNNNNNNNNNNNNNNNNNNNNNNNNNNNNNNNNNNNNNNNNNNNNNNNNNNNNNNNNNNNNNNNNNNNNNNNNNNNNNNNNNNNNNNNNNNNNNNNNNNNNNNNNNNNNNNNNNNNNNNNNNNNNNNNNNNNNNNNNNNNNNNNNNNNNNNNNNNNNNNNNNNNNNNNNNNNNNNNNNNNNNNNNNNNNNNNNNNNNNNNNNNNNNNNNNNNNNNNNNNNNNNNNNNNNNNNNNNNNNNNNNNNNNNNNNNNNNNNNNNNNNNNNNNNNNNNNNNNNNNNNNNNNNNNNNNNNNNNNNNNNNNNNNNNNNNNNNNNNNNNNNNNNNNNNNNNNNNNNNNNNNNNNNNNNNNNNNNNNNNNNNNNNNNNNNNNNNNNNNNNNNNNNNNNNNNNNNNNNNNNNNNNNNNNNNNNNNNNNNNNNNNNNNNNNNNNNNNNNNNNNNNNNNNNNNNNNNNNNNNNNNNNNNNNNNNNNNNNNNNNNNNNNNNNNNNNNNNNNNNNNNNNNNNNNNNNNNNNNNNNNNNNNNNNNNNNNNNNNNNNNNNNNNNNNNNNNNNNNNNNNNNNNNNNNNNNNNNNNNNNNNNNNNNNNNNNNNNNNNNNNNNNNNNNNNNNNNNNNNNNNNNNNNNNNNNNNNNNNNNNNNNNNNNNNNNNNNNNNNNNNNNNNNNNNNNNNNNNNNNNNNNNNNNNNNNNNNNNNNNNNNNNNNNNNNNNNNNNNNNNNNNNNNNNNNNNNNNNNNNNNNNNNNNNNNNNNNNNNNNNNNNNNNNNNNNNNNNNNNNNNNNNNNNNNNNNNNNNNNNNNNNNNNNNNNNNNNNNNNNNNNNNNNNNNNNNNNNNNNNNNNNNNNNNNNNNNNNNNNNNNNNNNNNNNNNNNNNNNNNNNNNNNNNNNNNNNNNNNNNNNNNNNNNNNNNNNNNNNNNNNNNNNNNNNNNNNNNNNNNNNNNNNNNNNNNNNNNNNNNNNNNNNNNNNNNNNNNNNNNNNNNNNNNNNNNNNNNNNNNNNNNNNNNNNNNNNNNNNNNNNNNNNNNNNNNNNNNNNNNNNNNNNNNNNNNNNNNNNNNNNNNNNNNNNNNNNNNNNNNNNNNNNNNNNNNNNNNNNNNNNNNNNNNNNNNNNNNNNNNNNNNNNNNNNNNNNNNNNNNNNNNNNNNNNNNNNNNNNNNNNNNNNNNNNNNNNNNNNNNNNNNNNNNNNNNNNNNNNNNNNNNNNNNNNNNNNNNNNNNNNNNNNNNNNNNNNNNNNNNNNNNNNNNNNNNNNNNNNNNNNNNNNNNNNNNNNNNNNNNNNNNNNNNNNNNNNNNNNNNNNNNNNNNNNNNNNNNNNNNNNNNNNNNNNNNNNNNNNNNNNNNNNNNNNNNNNNNNNNNNNNNNNNNNNNNNNNNNNNNNNNNNNNNNNNNNNNNNNNNNNNNNNNNNNNNNNNNNNNNNNNNNNNNNNNNNNNNNNNNNNNNNNNNNNNNNNNNNNNNNNNNNNNNNNNNNNNNNNNNNNNNNNNNNNNNNNNNNNNNNNNNNNNNNNNNNNNNNNNNNNNNNNNNNNNNNNNNNNNNNNNNNNNNNNNNNNNNNNNNNNNNNNNNNNNNNNNNNNNNNNNNNNNNNNNNNNNNNNNNNNNNNNNNNNNNNNNNNNNNNNNNNNNNNNNNNNNNNNNNNNNNNNNNNNNNNNNNNNNNNNNNNNNNNNNNNNNNNNNNNNNNNNNNNNNNNNNNNNNNNNNNNNNNNNNNNNNNNNNNNNNNNNNNNNNNNNNNNNNNNNNNNNNNNNNNNNNNNNNNNNNNNNNNNNNNNNNNNNNNNNNNNNNNNNNNNNNNNNNNNNNNNNNNNNNNNNNNNNNNNNNNNNNNNNNNNNNNNNNNNNNNNNNNNNNNNNNNNNNNNNNNNNNNNNNNNNNNNNNNNNNNNNNNNNNNNNNNNNNNNNNNNNNNNNNNNNNNNNNNNNNNNNNNNNNNNNNNNNNNNNNNNNNNNNNNNNNNNNNNNNNNNNNNNNNNNNNNNNNNNNNNNNNNNNNNNNNNNNNNNNNNNNNNNNNNNNNNNNNNNNNNNNNNNNNNNNNNNNNNNNNNNNNNNNNNNNNNNNNNNNNNNNNNNNNNNNNNNNNNNNNNNNNNNNNNNNNNNNNNNNNNNNNNNNNNNNNNNNNNNNNNNNNNNNNNNNNNNNNNNNNNNNNNNNNNNNNNNNNNNNNNNNNNNNNNNNNNNNNNNNNNNNNNNNNNNNNNNNNNNNNNNNNNNNNNNNNNNNNNNNNNNNNNNNNNNNNNNNNNNNNNNNNNNNNNNNNNNNNNNNNNNNNNNNNNNNNNNNNNNNNNNNNNNNNNNNNNNNNNNNNNNNNNNNNNNNNNNNNNNNNNNNNNNNNNNNNNNNNNNNNNNNNNNNNNNNNNNNNNNNNNNNNNNNNNNNNNNNNNNNNNNNNNNNNNNNNNNNNNNNNNNNNNNNNNNNNNNNNNNNNNNNNNNNNNNNNNNNNNNNNNNNNNNNNNNNNNNNNNNNNNNNNNNNNNNNNNNNNNNNNNNNNNNNNNNNNNNNNNNNNNNNNNNNNNNNNNNNNNNNNNNNNNNNNNNNNNNNNNNNNNNNNNNNNNNNNNNNNNNNNNNNNNNNNNNNNNNNNNNNNNNNNNNNNNNNNNNNNNNNNNNNNNNNNNNNNNNNNNNNNNNNNNNNNNNNNNNNNNNNNNNNNNNNNNNNNNNNNNNNNNNNNNNNNNNNNNNNNNNNNNNNNNNNNNNNNNNNNNNNNNNNNNNNNNNNNNNNNNNNNNNNNNNNNNNNNNNNNNNNNNNNNNNNNNNNNNNNNNNNNNNNNNNNNNNNNNNNNNNNNNNNNNNNNNNNNNNNNNNNNNNNNNNNNNNNNNNNNNNNNNNNNNNNNNNNNNNNNNNNNNNNNNNNNNNNNNNNNNNNNNNNNNNNNNNNNNNNNNNNNNNNNNNNNNNNNNNNNNNNNNNNNNNNNNNNNNNNNNNNNNNNNNNNNNNNNNNNNNNNNGGGAGCGGCGGCAGCAGCGGCUGUUCCAGUUACGGUAGUACCGGCCGGGUCGGGAACUUCGAAUCCCGAUAGCAUGGCAGUCGAUGCGGAGCGAGAGCGCACUUUGGCGGCUCUCAUACAAUUCAAGAAGUUCGACCCACCUACCUUCGAGGGCGGUUUGGUGGAGCCGGCGGUUGUGGAGUCGUGGAUCGACUCAAUGGAGACACUCUUCGAGGACCUAAAUACCUCGGAGAAAGACAAAGUGUACCUCGCCACCCAUUGUCUAGGGAAGGCGGCGAUGGUGUGGUGGAAACGAGUUAAGCGGGAUCGUCCUACCGAUCUCCCGCUCAUGCUUUGGCAAGAGUUCAAGAGAGCGGUGUUCGCGAACUACUUCUCCGACACGAUGAAGCGGAAGCUACAAGAAAAGUUCCGCAAGUUGAGACAGGGUGAUCGAUCGGUGGGGGAGUAUGAGCAGGAAUUCUCCUACAUUAUUGACUGUGUUCCCGACGUUGUUCGUGAUGAUCGGGACCGGGCGGAUUGGUUCUUGCGAGGACUCCAACCCCGGAUUUAUGAGAAAGUGCAUAUUUUGAAGUUGUCGACCUUUGCGGAGGUCUUUGAUCGAGCCUUGUGGGCGCAACACGGUAGCGCCCAUGUACGUGAAGAAAGGGAAGCUAUUGCCGAGUCGAAGGACAAGGGCAAGAAAAGAGCGACGGGCGGUGCCGGGGGCCGGCCAAAUGCUAAGAAACCCCCUCGGUAUCCCCGACAGCAGUCGAGUAACUGGAGACCACCUCGAUGUGUUAUUUGUGGUGGUGAGCACAAGGUGUCAACUUGCCCGCAGCACGAUGGCAAGUGUUUCAAGUGUGGCCAACCGGGACAUCUUAUCCGGGAGUGCCCGUCGUGGACGUCGUCUGCACCAAUGGCGGCUUCAACACCGUCUACCCCGAGAUAGCUUGCGGGGUUGCCACCGGCGAUGUCGGCUGGGCGCGCGUCAGCACCGAGUCAGCCGGAGGGGUCGAGAGCGCCUAGCGGCCGAGUUUUUGCCGCUCAGGUGGAGGAGCAGCAACCUGCAGCACCCGACGACGUCGUGGCAGGUAUAAUUGUGAUUAAAGGCACUAGAGCUAGAGCAUUGUUCGAUACUGGUGCAUCACGUUCAUUUAUAGGCUCAAAGUUUGCAAGGGCACAUGGCAUAGAAAUAACGCAUAACGAGGACUACUGGUGGGUGAAUGGUCCCGAGCACUCGUUUCGUGUUUAUGAUGAGUGCUUGGAGGUUCCGGUGCAAAUCGGCGAUUGGAUUAUGCCAAUAAACCUGCUGGUGCUAGACCGGAUGUGGGGCUUUGAUGUUAUUUUGGGAACCAAUUGGCUCUCCAAAUAUUAUGCGGUCAUAGACUGUGAAAGCAGGGUUAUCACUUUUCGUGAGCCUAACCAAGAAGAGUUCGUGUACCGGGCGUGCAGAGGUGCGCGUUUCGCGGCGACUAUAUUGUCGGUGAGGGCCAAGAGAAUGAUUAAAGGAGGAUGUAAGGCCUAUUUGGCAACCAUGGUUGAUGGCCGUGGGGAGCACCCAGACCUUGGAAGUAUCCGAGUUGCGUGUGAGUUUCCGGAUGUGUUUCCGGCGGAGUUACCGGGAUUGCCACCGGACCGGGAAGUUGAGUUCGUUAUUGACUUGAUUCCCGGGGCGGAACCAGUUUCGAAGGCUCCGUACAGAAUGGCACCGGUGGAGCUAAAGGAGUUGAAAGGCCAACUGCAGGACUUGCUCGAUAAAGGCUUUGUGAGGCCGAGCAUGUCACCGUGGGGAGCUCCGGUGCUAUUUGUGAAGAAGAAAGACGGAACACUUUGACUCUGCGUAGACUAUCGCGAGUUGAAUAAAGUAACGAUAAAGAACAAGUACCCGUUGCCAAGGAUUGACGAUCUAUUCGAUCAGUUGCAAGGGUCCAGAGUGUAUUCAAAGAUUGAUCUCCAGUCGGGGUAUCAUCAACUAAAGAUAAGGCCGAAAGACAUGCACAAAACGGCGUACCGUACGCGGUAUGGCCAUUAUGAAUUUACGGUAAUGCCGUUUGGGCUUACUAAUGCCCCGGCAGCGUUUAUGGACUUGAUGAAUCGAGUCUUCAGACCAUUGUUGGAUCGAUGCGUCGUGGUGUUUAUAAACGACGUAUUGGUCUAUUCGAAGAGCGAAGAGGAGCACGAAGAGCAUCUGAGAGCUGUGUUGCAAAUACUCAGAGAGGAGAGGCUCUAUGCGAAGUUAAAGAAGUGUGACUUUUGGCUAAAAGAAGUCACAUUCUUGGGCCAUGUGGUGUCGGGCGACGGAGUGUCCGUAGACCCGAAGAAAGUGGAGGCGAUCAAGGAUUGGCCUCGCCCGACGAAUAUAGCGGAGGUCCGCAGUUUUCUUGGACUUGCGGGCUACUACCGGCGGUUCGUGGAGGGGUUUGCCAAAAUAACCACUCCACUAACGCGCCUUACGCAUAAAGGAGUAAAGUAUGUUUGGAGCGACGAUUGUGAUCGGAGCUUCGAGGAGUUAAAGAAUAGAUUGACGUCGACCCCGGUGCUUGCCUUGCCGACUCCGGGGGAGACUUUUGUAGUGUAUAGUGAUGCCUCGUAUGUUGGUCUCGGGUGUGUGUUAAUGCAAAAUGGGCGAGUCAUUGCUUAUGCAUCGCGCCAAUUAAAGAGUUAUGAGAAGAACUACUCGAUUCACGACCUUGAGUUAGCCGCGGUGAUUUUCGCACUGAAGCUUUGGAGGCAUUACUUAUAUGGUGAACAUUGUGAGGUAUACACCGAUCACAAGAGUCUAAAGUACUUGUUCACCCAGAAAGAGUUGAACAUGCGACAGCGGCGGUGGUUAGAGUUGCUAAAGGACUAUGAUGUCACUAUAUUAUACCACCCCGGAAAAGCCAAUGUUGUGGCCGAUGCCUUGAGUAGAAAAUCGGCGGAGAACUUAGCGACGGCAAUUACGCCUCAACCGCUAUUGCAAAAGGAAAUGCAACGAUUCGGGUUGGAAGUGGUAGCGCCGGGAGUGCCGGCUACACUUGCCACAUUGGUUGUGCAACCGACCCUAUUGGAAAGAAUCAAAGAGUUACAAGCUUCGGAUCCUUAUCUCCAAAAGGUUCGGGGUGAUGUUGAGAAUGGCAAUGCCGAAGACUUUGGCAUUGGAGCUGAUGGCGCACUUCGAUUUCGAAAUCGAUGGUGUGUGCCUAAAGAUGAUGAGUUGCGAAGGGCGAUCAUGCAAGAAGCGCAUCAAUCUCCCUAUAGUAUACACCCCGGCGGCACUAAAAUGUACAAGGAUUUGAAAGAGCACUAUUGGUGGCCGGGUAUGAAAAGAGAUAUUGGGGAGUUCGUGGCGCAAUGUCUAACGUGCCAACAAGUAAAAGCUGAGCGCCGAUUUCCGGCGGGAAAGCUACAAAGUCUACCAAUACCCGUUUGGAAAUGGGAAGAUAUAGCAAUGGACUUUGUUACCGGUUUGCCUCGAUCACAAGGCGGACACGAUGCGAUAUGGGUGAUAGUGGAUCGAUUGACAAAGUCGGCACACUUCUUGCCGAUACAUACUACGUGGUCGGGAGACAAGCUAGCGCAAGUUUAUCUCGACGAGGUUGUGAGACUUCAUGGGGUUCCAGUGUCGAUCGUGUCGGAUCGCGACCCCAGGUUCACAUCCCACUUUUGGAAGAGUUUGCAAGACGCGCUAGGCACACGGCUCGACUUCAGUACAGCGUUUCAUCCUCAAAGUGAUGGACAGUCGGAGCGAACAAUACAAAUCCUUGAGGAUUUACUUCGAGCGUGUGUGCUAGAUUAUAAAGGAGGAUGGCAUGAUUUCUUGCCUAUGGCGGAGUUCGCCUACAAUAAUAGCUACCAAGAAAGUAUAGCGAUGGCGCCUUUUGAGGCACUAUAUGGUCGAAAGUGUCGUUCUCCUAUCCAUUGGAGCGACGUGGGCGAGAGAACGGCUCUUGGCCCGGAUGUAGUGCGGGAGGCGGAAGAGAAAGUUCGCCUUGCCCGUCAACGGUUAGCGAUGGCGCAAUCUCGGCAAAAGAGUUAUGCCGACAAGCGAAGAAAGGAUUUAGAGUUUGCGGUUGGAGACCGUGUAUUCUUGAGAGUAUCGCCAAUGCGAGGAGUUAAGCGAUUUGGGGUCCGUGGGAAAUUAAGUCCCCGAUAUGUCGGACCAUUUGAGAUAUUGGAGCGUGUGGGUGCGGUGGCAUACAAGCUCGCACUACCACCGAGACUCGCGGGAGUUCACAAUGUAUUUCAUGUGUCAAAUCUUCGAAAGUAUAUUCGCAACUCGACACAUGUAUUAGAGUACGAGCCCGUGGAGUUACGUGAGGAUAUGUCUUACGAGGAGUACCCGGUGUGCAUCCUCGAUCGAGAAGUUAAGAAGUUGCGGAGUCGCAAAAUCCCUUAUGUAAAAGUCCAAUGGAGCAACCACGCGGCGCGAGAAGCCACUUGGGAGCUCGAGGAAACCAUGCGGCGAGAGUAUCCGCAUCUAUUCGAAUCGACGAGUUAAGGUAUGUGUAAUUUCGCGGACGAAAUUAUUUUAAGGGGUGGAGAAUGUAAUAUACCGAAAAUUCGGAAAAUAAAUAUCGAACUUUAGUCAAAUUGACCAAAGUGCGAGGAUGGUACACUUUGGAAAGUCCGAAGGUGUUGAAAUGAUUAAAAGUGAGUUACAGGAGGUUUUCGAGAGCUAUAGAAUCAAAAUCUGCAUUCAGUAAUUUUGAGCUCUCGGGGACCGGUCCCUGGUGGGAGAGACCGGUCCCCGAACGCGUAUUAAUUGAGACAGCCGAAAAAUCGGCUAAGUCCUGAGAAACCAGCUCUCGGGAACCGGUCCCUACCUGAGAGACCGGCCCCCGAGAGACCGGUCCCCCAAAGAGAGACUGGUUGCCCUGCGCGCAGCAGCUCUGGCUGCGCGGGGAGAGCCUUCGGGAACCGGUCCCUCAAGGAGAGACCGGUCCCCGGCUGCGCGAACUGCCCAGUUCGGGUCGUGUAAUGAGAUAAAAGCUGAGGGACUUAUCUGCGAAAAUGCAUUAUGUGGGUCAUAUUUAGGGCUGAGAGAGCCUCUCCCUCUCAUUCCCUCACACCCAAACUCAUCCCUCUCCCUCUCUCUCUCUAAAAGACAAAGAAGGAGAAGAAUAAGACAAGGAAAGAGAGGAAAAGAAGGAGAAGAAAAAGGAGAAGAAGAAGAGGAAGUGAGGAAACUCCCUCUCCCUCAUCUCUAGCUUGGAAAAGGAGAGCUUACAAGGUAAGCUUUGAACCCUAAUUAUGGUAGAACCUAAUUUAGGGUUUGGAUUAAGCUUAAAAUGGGUUUUAUGGAACCAUUUGAGUAUUUGAAGCUUUUCUUUUGCUUCUUUUGAGAUCAAGACCAUAGAAAUGGUGAAGCUUGAGGUGAGCUUCAUCACCUCUCAUGGUGAAACCCUAAGUAGGGUUUUGAUUUGUCUAAAGAUGGUUCUAAUGGACUUUUUAGAGUAUAAUGAAGCUAUUAUUUUUGCCUUCUCUUUGAGAUCAAACCCUUAGGUUUGCAUAUAUUAUUGAGCUUAGGCACCAAAUUGGGGCUUUUGUCAUAGGGAUUUCUAGUGCAAUUGACCCUCUAGAAGACCUAACUACUGGGGGUAAUCCAUACGCGAUUGGUAUGCGCCUCGAAUAGCAUUGCGAAAAGUUGUAUGUAAAGUAUGGCCCAAAUAAGCCCUAAUUGCUGUUAUGCCGGCAGGUAGUGAACCGGGUGUCUAAAAAAUCCCAGAAAUCUUCGGAGCACCUAAAAGACCUCAAUUGGUGGUAGGUGCUUCCAAACUCGGUUUGAAUUCUCUCCAUCGCCUAAUGUUCAUCAAUUGAGCAUAUGUUAUUAUUACUUGUUUGCAUGAUUUUAGGUAAGUGAUGAUAAAAAAUGUGAUAUUGCAGUGAUGUGAGUACAACUUGCUUAAUGUGAUGGCGAGGACCCCUAUGAAUGUUAGAACCCAUAGCUGUAUGCAAUGAGAGGAAAAUGUGAAGUACCAAGUGAGGCCAAAGAACAGAGUGCACUAUGACAUAGAUCGCCAGUGGAUCUAAUAAUGCUAAAGUAAGUUGACCACGAGUUAGUGUGCAAGCACAAGAAUCAAUGUGAUGUAAAGAAUGAUGACGAUGACUAAAGCUAAAGCAAAGAGCAUGCAAUAAUAGAACAUGUAAAGUUAAAGAAUAUGAAAGCUAAAGAUAGCCUAGGAGUAAAGAAUGUAAAGAAAUGAUUGUAGCAAGUGGCCAACAUAAAGUGAUGUAAUGAAACACUAGCAGUUAUGUGUAAAGUCAAGAUAUGAACUUAUAACUCCUUUGAGUUUAAGGAUUCGAUCAUACUUGCUUAUAGUUCCGUGCUCCGGAGGGGCGCGUCGCUCCCCUCGGGCGAUGCGCAUCCCGGCAGUUAUCAUCAAACGCGGUUGGAGUCAACCGAAAGGAACCACGGUCUAGCGGGUGAGUUCCUUGCGAUGAUGGACUUAAUGUGAGCAAGUUAAUGUGAGCGAAACGCCCCGCGGUUACGCCUUGAGAUUAAGCACACAAGAGAGCAGAACGAAAAAGUGCUAAGAACAAAGAACAAAGACAAAGAAAUAAAAAGAAAGAACAAAGCAAUUUUGCAUCAAUCUCAUUGUAUUUAAUAUUGAGCAUACUCCUUGCCUUAUUGUUCAGGCAUAUUAAGCAUCAUGUAUAUGAUGGUUCACUUAUAUGCAGCUUAUUCUUUCUAUUAUGCCUGAGUUAGUCCUAGUGGGAAAGUCGGUGAUGUUGAGGCCGAACCCACUGGGAACUUUGUUGUAGUUCUCACCCCACUAUUUCCACAGAGCCGGGACCGAGCGAGCCGGCGAGCGACCGAGGUAAAGGUAUCGCGCCUUAGUCAGAGGCCACCAAAGUUGGGUUUCAUUUUGUAGUAAAGUACCCUAUGAUCAUCUUUUGUACAUGACGGUAAAUGAUGUAAAGAAAAGAAUGUAAUGUGUAUUUUGAGGUAAAUGUGAUGUAAGAAAGAAAUGAUGCCAACGAUGUAAUGUAAUGAAAUGCAAAGAAUCCAAAGUGUAAAAGAAGAAUGCAAUGUAUAUGAUCUAAAAUGAAUCAUAUUACUUGUGUAGAUGUUUAGUUUCCUUUCUUUCACUAAUGGCUAUUGCUUACCCUCGCGUAAGCCGUUUGUGUAUGUUUCCGCUAGUGUAUUUCUUGUUUGAAUUUGUACAUGUGAUGAGCCUUGGGCGGAUAGGGAAAACUCUGUCCGUUCGGCGUCUGUUUGACGUGCUCGGGUCGGGCCAAAUUGGUAUCGGUCCCGGGGCGUGACAAGAUCCAUCUCUAAAACUUGGAGGCUUGGAGGAGAAGGAUCUUGCGAACACGUGGGCUGUGAUGGUUCGAGCUUUCGUGCGCCCGUUUGAGUGGCGUGCUCCCGUCUCGGCGUUCGCAAUUUGGUAAGCUUUUGGGAUUUGGUUUAAUCCUUAAUGCUUGGUGGUUUAAUAGUCUCUAGUGUAGUUUUAGCAUACUUUCCCCAUGAGAUUUGUGUUAUUAGAGUUUAUGCUAAAGCUAGGGCUCCAAAAUGAGGUUUUGCUAAAUAGUUGGGUUUGAUCUAGUUUAACUCUAUAUAUACCUAAUUGCUAGGUAUUAUGACGCGUUGGCGAAGUCGGUUCGGCGAUUCGUUGAGCCGGUGCGAAGAUAUUGAAGAAACGGAGGAUUUAGCUUCAUUUCCUCCUGGAGAACCGAGGCGACGUCCAUAAAUCGUGAAAAUGGAUUUGGAGUGUCAUGGCAAGAAACCGAAGACCUUUAAUUUUCGGAUCGCGGAUCGGACGGCGUUCGGUGGUUGCGCGUGAAUUGGGUCGAGCCGAGCGGCGUGCGCCGCGGGAGGCGGAUUGCGAGUGGCGACGAGCUAUCGGAACGCGAUAAAAGGUGGGUGGUGACAAUCCCGAAGCAGUUGAACUGCUCCCUAUGUCUAAGUAUUAUGGUUGAUCAAUUAUGCAUAUUGAGCAUGAUGCAUUAUAGGGUGCUUAAUUAGUUGUUAUGUAUUCUUGCAUGUUAUAGGUAGUGUUGUAUUACUUGUUUAACACAUAAGCCUUGUAUGCAUGAGAUUGAGAUAUGUUGUUUAGUAAUCCUAUAAUGAGAUGAUAAAUGUUGAUUUGAUCCUAGGUAGACGGAAACCUAUUGGAUGUGUAAUUAGUGUAUUGGGAAUACUUAAACAAGAAUGAUUGGCAUUUGGACUAGUGUAACUAUUAUGCAUAAUCAGGUAUUAAAUAGUUGCAUUUCCAUUCUUGCAUGAUCCUUAGUAGUGUAGCAACAUAAGUUUGGCACUUGACUUAGGAUGCAUGAGAAUAGCGGAACUGUGACCUAGAACCCUAUAGUGGUAAAGUAAAUGACGAACUUAACCUUGUGUUAACGAGAACCAAAGAACGAGUGGCAUCUAAAUAAGUAAAUAAUUUGACGAGUGGCAUGAUAAGUAAAGUAUAGAGGAAACACUUGUUCCGUGUUGAACGUAGGAAUGAACUAGUUUCCAAGUGAUGUUGUCUAGAGUGGUAGGGUAUCCUCAGUGACAGGGAUUUGAUCAUACUCAUAUGUCUGUUCAAAGCUUGGGGUGGUCGCUCCACACAAGUAGUGCACUCCGGAGUUGUCACACGAUAGGGAUAGCCUUUUGGGUCUCACAGACGGUCUUGGGCAAGUGAGCUGAUCCUCCCCAGGUGAGUCGGGUGAGUGAGCUGAUCCUCACCUGUGAGAUAGAGAUUGGGUUGUGGUACCUGUGUUGAGUCGGGCGAGUGAGCGGAUCCUCCCCGUAGAGUGCGUGUUGCGGGUUGGGCGAGUGAGCGAAUCCUCCCCGUAGAGUGUGUGUUGCGGGUCGGGCGAAUGAGCGGAUCCUCCCCGUAGAGUGUGUGUUGCCAGUCGGGCGAGUGAGCGGAUCCUUCCCGUAGAGUGUGUGUUGCGGGUCGGGCGAGUGAGCGGAUCCUCCCCGUAGAGAGUGUGUUGUGAGUCGGGCGAGUGAGCGGAUCCUCCCUGUAGAGAGUGUGUGUGUUUCGAGUCGGGCGAGUGAGCAGAUCCUCCUCGUAGAGUCUGUGUUGUGGGUCGGGUGAGUGAGCGGAUCCUCACCAGUGUGACUGAGAGUAGAUGUGGCACCUAUAGGAUAGCCGUGGGAUUGAGACGUGAGAUUGAGAGCGAGCCUCCGGGCUAGCCGAGUGAUUGGGUAAACUAUUGAACCAGUAUUCUUAUUGAGCAUAGUCGCUUGGUAGUUAGCCUGAUGAAUUUACCUUCAUACCGUGAGUGGACAUACUAUUCCUUACCUAUGAGAUUUGAGCGGGGUAGCCCUGUACUUAGUAGAGUGAGAUGCAAGUCGGGCGAGGAGCGGGGUAGCUCUUUGCCUGUGACCUUCGAGAUAUGAGUUGGGUGAGAUGAGAGCGGGAUAGCUUUUCAACUACAGGAUUUGAAGUCUUAGGUGGGGUAGCCUAAUUGUCACGCCCGGGUAUCAGCGGAAGCAUAUCCGGCACAUGCACAGACCCGCCAUACACCUGUAGUAUAUAAGGCGUCUACAAAGAAGCAAAUCGAUAGGAAGAAAACAUAGAAAAUCCUAUCCUGAUAUCAGAGCAAAGUAUAAGUCGAUAAUCUCAUCAACUGAAGAACAAGAAGUAAAUAACCCAAAAUCUCAACAUCAAAGAGAAGUAAGAAAACUAUAAUCUCUGAUUCUAAAAACUCAUACAUCAAAGGCUACUAAAAAACAUGUACAAUGGCAGUCUCUCUAUACACAGGGACAUCACCCUCGUCCGUAGCCCGAGUAGCAAGGUGAUCAACUAGCAAGCCCCUAGCAGUAUCUAGCUAGACGCGACUCCCUUGCCACGAUCCCUAGCCUUUCCUGUCGAUGGCUCUGUAAAAACAACCAUAAAAAGGUUCAUAAUGUCAUACAAAAAACAUACAAAAAGUAAAUACAGUUAUAACUUGUAGUUUACCAACAAUAAAGAACUAUGAAAUUGCAUCAUGCUGUCUGAAUUAUUUAUCAAGUAAAAACAUGUAUGGUAAUCACAACGAACAUGACUAUGUCAAAUAGAGAAGUACUGUAUACUACUCAGUGAUACUCAUCAGCUGUUAUCAUUUAGUACAUCGAUUAAUUCAUAAGGACCUACUCAAGGUAGUCCAGCUUGUGCCGCGCCUAAUGGCCCCGUGGUAAUACACACUCCCCACGGCAAUCCAUUUCGGCACUCAAUCCCGCACGGGCGAGCAUCUGUCGCGUAAGCCAACUCCGGAGUGCCGGCUUGUAGGGAGCGACCCUCACAAGCUUGUGCGUAUGAGCACAAUGGCAAGCAAGCACAAUUCAUAAUUUAGUAGUUCUUAAUUGUCAUGUGUUAGCAUGUAAGAUUCUCAUCCUCGACUUUUAGGUCGGAUCUCAACAUAAUAUGUCACGCUAGUAUUCACUAGGUCAAAUAAACAUAUAAAGGCAAGGUACGAUUACAUAUGUCAUUUGCAUCAAUUUCUAGUCACUAGUAAUGUAUGAAUAUACUAAAUUACAAACUAAUUGUCUUGUCCUUUUAUUUAAUAGAAACAUAAUAGAUCCUUCUUGUCUAUGCAUUCAAAAUGAAGAUAAAGACGUGAUUGCACAUGAUUAGCAGUCUUAUAACAUCAUCUAGAACAUAGGGGAGAGUCACUUGCUCUGGUAAGGUCCGACCCACCUAUUAGUCGACGAUUCACGUCCAACCUGUAGGUAUGAAUCUUCACAAUUCCCGAAAAGCCCUAGAAACUGAUACAAGAUCAGCUAGGAGUGUACUUUAGAUCCUAUGUAAUUCUAUCACAUUAACACUUCUAGGAGGUAGAAUUUCACCUUGUACCCUUUGAUAGUUGAACCCCUGGUUCAGAUUAGAUGAAUGCUUCAAAUUUCAGCUUCAAAAGCCUUCCAAAAUCAGCCGAGAUCUACACACACCGUCCGCUGCGAACCUGUUGCGAAUUAGCUAUAAAACUGCAUUGAAGUGCUUACUAAAACAGUCUAUUUCAGCAACAGUUCACUUCGUACCCAGUUAUAGCUUUAGUCCAUGUUUACUCCAGCUUAAAAUAUCAAAGUCCACUUUCGUAAGUUCCCCGAAGUUAGUCGAGAACCAUCAAAUACCCUGUCGCAAAUCGGCUAUACAUUAACAUCAAAUCUGCACCAACUAUAAAUAGUAUCAUCUAAUUCAAAAAGAUUUUCACCUUAGGUCAGGUUAUAGCUUAGAUCCCUGUCUAGAUUCAGUCCAUGGCACUCAGUUUAAUCUCCAAAGACUUCUAAAUAUUAGCCGAGAUCAAUCUAAUGCCCUCGCUGCGAAUUGAUACCAAAACAGUCACCAAACUCACUAAUAAGCCUUAUAUAGUCAUAAUAAAAGAGUAAUACUCAGCUAAUUACCUUCUUAAGGCUUCGAAUCAGCUUAUCCUUGAACUAGAACAGAGAAAUUACAGCUAAGUAUUCCUUUCUCACUGCUGGAACCACUCCUCAACCAGCUGCGAUCACGAUACAAAGAAUAGGUUCAACUUUAGCACUAAAGCUGUCAAAUGAAAACUAAAUUAGGUAAUUACCUUUCGAAGCCUCUCUUUAACCUUUCUCUGCAGUAAGGAUGAAGAACUUUGUCACAACACCUCCCCCUUAGCUCCAGAGGCUGUCCCUCAAGGUUCUAAACCAGCUAACACCAAGGAGAAGAAGGAUUCAAGCUCAAAUCCACCAUUUCUUACACUUAGGAGAGAGAAAUCUAGAGAGAGAAAGUUAGAGAGCACCAACCCUUAUCCCCUGGUGUCACGCCCCGCGACCGCUACCAAUUUGGUUCGGCCCGGGCGCGUCGAACAAACGCCGGACGGACAGCACCUUCCCUGUCCGCCCAAGGCUAACAACAAGAUUGUGUACAACAAGUCCCCAGGAAAAUAACUUGAAUACAUACACAAUCGAUGACUGCAACGAGAGCACAAUCAGUGCAAAACAACCAAGAGCAAGAUACAAGUAUAGAACAUACAAGUAAUGAUAAAGAGAGGAACAUCUAUCUAUUACAUUCAUUCAGCCUUUAUAAUACAAUUUGAUUAUACAUUAAGCUUCUAAACAUAAUAUAAAGCUUACAUUCAGCCCAAAAUAGCUCACAACCUAUACAUCAUCUACUCUCAAAGCAUAAAAUGUGACUCUAAUGCAGAAAUAGGAAAGUAGACUAAUGCAACUAGGGCGCUAAGNAAUGUUUCCGGACCUCACCGAACUUCACCGGAACCUUUCAAAUGGUCUUCCAACCAAAUGUACACCGUAACUUCAUGAUUUUAGAAGUCCGAUGCCUUACACCUGGCCUCCAGCACCCUUUAGGGAGUUGCUGAGGUCGAGCAGAAGGGAUAAGGAUAGAGAUAGAAGGGGAAAAGACCAAAAUGCCAAAACUGCCACGCACCUGUUGCUGCUACUGCUUGCUGUACCGGUACAGCAUUAUGCUUGUACCGGUACACCAAUGCAGAAAAUGCCAAUUUCGAAAUUACAAUGCACUUUCUCACUUCCAAGGGUCCAAUGACUCUCAAACUUGUCCGAGAACAUCUUUAUGCUCUUUAAAACACGUAUGAUGGUUCCAAAUACCCUUCUUCUUACUUGAACUUCGCAAUUUGCUAAAGUUCAGUAUACUACACUAAUGGAUUGGAUGAUUUAAUGAACCUCAUUGUUGAGCAUAGUAGAUAGUUCUUUUACUUUUACUAUGUAGUGCAUGCAUUCAUAGCAUUGGAUUGAGGCAUAGUAGGAUAUUUGCAUUUCUACUUACUUGUUAUAGUUGCUCUUUCAUAUAUAGCUAUCUAUCUAUCUAUUUGUUGUCUUCCUAUGCCUGCUUAGACCUAGUGGGGAGAUCGGUGGAGUCGGCGGCCAAAUCCACUGGGAGCUAUUCGUAGUUCUCACCCCACUUUGUUGCAGGGCUGAGCUCGAGUACCCCCGGCGAGGAUCGUGGUAAGGGCUUAGCGCCCUAGUGCUAGUUGAUAGAUGCUUCCCUUUUGCAUUAGAGCUACCCUAUGUACUUGAGAGUAGAUGAUGGAUAGGCUGAGAUGAGUUGAAGAGUUGUAAACUCUAUGUUUAUGUUUUGGAAAAAUGUAAAGUUAAUCAAAUGUAUUAAAGUUGAAUGGUUGUAAUAGUUAGUAUCUCUCUUUUAUUCACUUGUUUAUUACUUGUGAUGCCUGCUCUUUAGUUAAUUAGCACUGGUUGUGCUCUCGCUAUUGUUGUUUGAUUGUGUAUGUAAUCAAGUUGUUUUCCUGGGCACUUGUUGUACACAAUCUCGUUGUUUAGCCGUGGGCGGACAGGGGAGGUGCUGUCCGUUCGGCGUCUGUCCGACGCGCCCGAACCGGACCAAAUUGGUAGCGGUCGCGGGGCGUGACAAACCUCCUUGGUAGCUUCAAACCAAGCUCAAAAUGCUCUAGGGUUGAAGGUUGAUCCUCUAUCAAGCUCCUAGCCCAAGCUCCAAGCCACCAAGGUGAGAAGAGAGGGUGUGGGGGAAGUCCAAAGUCCACCAUGCAAGCUCUCCUUCCUUUUCUCCUCCUUCUUCCCUUUCUUCCUUCUCCUUCUUCUUCUCUAGAGAGUGUGAGAGAGUGAGAAGUGAGGAAAAGAGAGAUAGGACAAGCCCUAAAAGCCCUCUAAUGUAACAAAAUCCAGAAAAGCCCUUUAACUUUGCAACCUGUGCACUGCCCUGACUGGGCAGUUUUUGGGUGGAAAGACCGGUCUCUCCCCACAUGGGACCGGUCCCUCAGGACCUUCCCGCAAAACCAACGUUCGGGAACCGAUCUCUCUGGCCAGGGACCGGUUGCCUCAAAGUCUGCCGCAACUGUAGCUAUGAGGGACCGGUCUCUCCUACCAGGGAUCGAACCCCGAGAGUGAAACUCUCAGGACUUAGCCAAAAAAUCCAUAAUUUCGAACUUCGGGUCGGAACACCGUCUACGACCCUCCACAAGGUGUGGAAAAGUUCAGAACUCAAAUCAAACACUCGAACCUCGCAAUUUGCACAGGGCCAGUAUGUAACAGUGUAUCUCUGCCGAGAGCUCAAUCAGGCUCUCACAGGCUAUAGUCAAAGUAGAAGGGUCUAACUGGUCUAACAAUCAUAACACACGUGCCAUCGGUACAAUCUGAUGUAAAAUCAGCAAACUGGGUUCACCGUUAACCACAACGGCAUCCGACAGUCCGGAACAGUCUAAACACUACUGUAAAAAUAAACUCGGCAUCCCAACACGAGCGUAAAUUCAUUAUACACUAUACUGGAUAUCCACCGCCUACAAACUACGGCGAUACAAAUAAAUUACAGCUCCUAAAGUUAAAUCUAGUAGUUUUCAAAAAGUGACAGUGUAGAACCUAUAGUUUUUUUCUAAGUCAAUUUCAAGUCCAACAUAUAUAUUUUAAUUAAACCAAUUGUUAAGGAUUUUAUAGGUUGGCAGAUUUCAUAAUGUUGAAUGGAGUCUUGAAGAGUUGAUUGCGGAAGAUUGAAGAAAGGAUCCAAAUUGAAGAACAAGGACAUGAAAGAGCACUAUUGGUGGCCGGGUAUGAAAAGAGAUAUUGGGGAGUUNNNNNNNNNNNNNNNNNNNNNNNNNNNNNNNNNNNNNNNNNNNNNNNNNNNNNNNNNNNNNNNNNNNNNNNNNNNNNNNNNNNNNNNNNNNNNNNNNNNNGCUUUUGAAUUUUUACUAAACUAGUACCCUUAUGUGUAAUUUGUAGAGUAUCCCAAAUUUCCUUGGCGGUGUUACACGCCGAAAUGCGAGUAAACUCCGUUUGUGACAAUGCAUUAAAUAAAGCGUUUAUGCCCUUGCCAUUAAACGAAGAUGACUCGUUUUCAUCUUUGGUCCACUUGUUCCAUGGUUUAGGAACGGUAGCGUUAUCGACAACUUCGGUAAGGUGCUCCCAACCAAAUUCAAUAGCUUUCCAUACUCGCUCAUCGAUUGCAAUUAGAAAAGCUCUCAUGCGAACUUUCCAAUAGGCAUAAUUCGUGCCAUCGAAGAGUGGUGGUCGAUUAACAUUACCGCCUUCGGCCAUUAGAUAUCAAUAUAUCUAGAUCCCGCUCUGAUACCAAUUGAAAGUUUUGAGGAGCCCAAGGAUCUAUCUAGAUUGUAUCUAUCACCUAGAGGGGGGUGAAUAGGUGAAAAGCCAAAAACCACAAAUCUCGAUGCAAUAAAAAUAAAUGCGGAAAAUAAAAAGCACACCGAGAUUUACAUGGGAAAACUCCAACUCGGAGAAAAACCCACGGGACCAACACGCGAAAAAAUAAUUCACUAAGAGAAAAGAUUACAAGGUGAUUACCGACUCCACGGACUUAACCUCUCUUAACCUCCUAUGAAUCUCCGCGCAAUCCUCCGGGUUGUCCACUCCCUCACGUCCAAAUCCACGAACGCCCCCACUUCGAAUCCACAAAGCUUCAAUCACGCCGAAUCCACGACGCCACUCGAAUCCACGAGCCCACGAUCCGAAUCCACGAACCGCCGUCAAACACGCCGAAUCCACGACGCCGUCAUGAAGAGCAUCAUGAUUAUGGUGAUCCUUCGCUUAGGGGUAUCGUAGAAAACCAGAGAAAGAAACUCCAAGCAAAGCGGAGAUCAAAUCGACAUAUAGCGAAUGCGAAACAAUAUCUCGAUUUGAUCUAAAGAGGCUAAUUUGUAGAAAAUAGGUUUUAGAUGAAAUCCGAGCCUCUAGGGUUUCUCAAACAUGUAUUUUCGUGAUGCUUAAUCAGUUAGAGAACCCCUAUAGCUUAUUUAUAGACUUUAUAAUCAAAACGGAGUAGGAUUAGAAAGUUUCUUUCCAAAAUCAGCACCUUGUACCGGAACAAGGAAAGCUGUCCAGGGUACAGCAUGACGGAAGAUUUUUCAGCGAAGCUUCUGUACCCUGGAUAGGCUUCAGCUUGUUCCGGAACAGGGCUUGUACCGGUACAGCCUUGAUGGUUGUACCGGAACAACCAUCAAACAUUUCUGCGCAAACGCUGAUGGCUGUACCCUGGACAGAAAACCCUUGUACCGGUACAACAAUGCAAUUUUCGCAGAAAAUGCAUUGUUUCAAGUUUUACAAGCUCUUAGAAACUUUCUAAUCAAUUACAACUUGAAAACAUGAUUCUAAAAUCUAUAAUUAAGUAUGAAUCACCAUAAACAAGAUUUAAAGCUUACCUAAGCAUCGUGAUUCAUAUUUUGCGUGUUUUGCGUCCUUUCCAAUUCUUCGAAGCCUUGAAUUCUUCGAUCUUCAAUACUCCGCUCCGGACUUCUUCAAGACUCCGACUCGACCCACGAAACUUGCCAACACAUAGGACCUAACAACCCCGAGAUGUUUGAUUGGAUAAAAGCCAUGUGAAUUUUUAUAUCAUGCAUGCAUGUAUCAUAUUUGAGUUUAUAUAUCUGCUGACUAUCUUUUUGCAGGCAUAGUAUUAGUAGUAGCAUUAGUGGGUUUGCUAUAUCUAUUUCUUUGAAUACUUAUGCCUGGUUAGACCUAGUGGGUAAGUCGGUGGGGUCGGCGGCUGAACCCACUGGGAACUUUGUUUUAGUUCUCAUUACCACUAACCCUGCAGAUCCGAGCGCGAGCGGGGCGGCGGAGGAUCGUGGCAAGGGUUUAGCGCCGUAGCUAGUGGCCACCAGAGUAUAGGCAUUUCCCUAUGUGUAUAGUUCAACUUUUGUAUGUUGAAUAUAAGUGAGAAAAGUUGUAAUCAUUAUUUUGGGUUGUAAGAUAAUGUGAUGUAAACAAUGUAUGGAAAAGAAUGGUUGUAAUAGUGCUUGUAUUUGAUUAAAAUGUAAUCAAAUAUGAUAUGAUGGUUGUAUGUAUAGUAUAGUAGUCAGAGCUUUCGCUACUUGUGUUGUUGCUUGCCUUCGUGCAAGCCUUGUGCAAUUAUGUUCACCUUGUGCUGAAAUUCUUGAUUGUACAUAUUGUUGAAGCCUUGGAUGGACAGGGGAGGUGCUGUCCGUUCGGCGUCUGUCGACGUGGCCCGAUUCCGACCAAAUAGGCGGAGCUCGGGGCGUGAUGUCACGCCCCGGGACCAAUACCAAUUUGGGCCGGCCCGAGCANCAGGACUUAGCCGAUUUUUCGGCUGUCUCAUUUCAUACGCGUUCGGGGACCGGUCUCUCCCACCAGGGACCGGUCCCCGAGAGCUCAAAAUCUGCAGCUUGCAGAAUUUGAUUCUCAAGCUCUCGAAAACCUCCCGUAACUCAAUUUUAAUUAUCUUAACACCUUCGGACUUUCCGAAGUGUACCAUCCUCGCACUUUGGUCAAUUUGACUAAAGUUCGAUAUUUGUUUUCCGAAUUUUCGGUAUAUUACAUUCUCCACCCCUUAAAAUAAUUUCGUCCGCGAAAUUACACAUACCUUAACUUGUUGACUCAAAUAGAUGCGGAUACUCUCGCCGCAUGGUCUCCUCGAGCUCCCAAGUGGCUUCUCUCGCCGCAUGGUUGCUCCACUGGACCUUCACAUAUGGAAUUCUGCGACUCCGCAGCUUUCUUUCUUCUCGAUCGAGGAUGCACACCGGGUACUCCUCAUAAGACAUAUCUUCACGUAACUCUACGGGCUCGUACUCUAAUACAUGUGUCGAGUUGCGAAUAUACUUUCGGAGAUUGGACACAUGAAACACGUUGUGAACUCCCGCGAGUCUCGGUGGUAGUGCGAGCUUGUACGCUACCGCACCAACACGCUCCAAUAUCUCAAACGGUCCGACAUAUUGGGGACUUAGCUUCCCGCGGACCCCAAAUCGUUUUACUCCUCGCAUUGGCGACACUCUCAAAAAUACACGGUCUCCAACUGCGAACUCUAAAUCUUUUCUUCUCUUGUCGGCAUAACUCUUUUGCCGAGACUGCGCCGUCGCUAACCGUUGACGGGCAAGACGAACUUUUCCUUCCGCCUCCCGCACUACAUCCGGGCCAAGGGCCGCCCUUUCGCCCACGUCGCUCCAAUGAAUAGGAGAAAGACACUUUCUUCCAUAUAGUGCCUCAAAUGGCGCCAUCGCAAUACUCUCUUGAUAACUAUUAUUAUAGGCGAACUCCGCCAUAGGCAAGAAAUCAUGCCAUCCUCCUUUAUAAUCUAGCACACACGCUCAAAGCAAGUCCUCAAGGAUUUGUAUCGUUCGCUCUGAUUGUCCAUCGCUCUGAGGAUGAAACGCCGUGCUAAAGUCAAGCCGUGUGCCUAGCGCGUCUUGCAAACUCUUCCAAAAAUAAGAUGUGAACCUGGGGUCUCGAUCCGAUACAAUUGAUACCGGCACCCCAUGAAGUCUCACAACCUCGUCAAGAUAGACUUGAGCUAACUUGUCUCCCGACCACGUAGUAUGUAUAGGCAAGAAGUGUGCCGACUUUGUCAGUCGAUUCACUAUCACCCAUAUUGCAUCGUGUCCGCCUUGUGAUCGAGGCAAACCGGUAAUAAAGUCCAUCGCUAUGUCUUCCCAUUUCCAAACGGGUAUAGAUAAACUUUGUAGCUUUCCCGCCGGAAAUCGGCGCUCUGCUUUAACUUGUUGGCACGUUAGACAUUGCGCCACGAAUUCCCCAAUAUCUCUUUUCAUGCCCGGCCACCAAUAAUGCUCUUUCAAAUCUUUAUACAUUUUACUGCCGCCGGGGUGUAUGCUAUAAGGGGAUUGGUGCGCCUCUUUCAUAAUCGCCCUUCGUAACUCAUCAUCUUUUGGUACACACCAUCGAUUUCGAAAUCGAAGUGCGCCAUCGGCUCCAACGCCAAAACCUUCGGCUUUACCGCUCUCAACAUCACCUCGAACCUUUUUUAGAUAAGGAUCCGAAGCUUGUAACUCUUUGAUUCUCUCAAAUAGGGUCGGUUGCACCACUAAUGCGGCAAGUGUAGCCGGCACUCCCGGCGCUACCACUUCCAACCCAAGACGUUGCAUUUCCUUUUGCAAUAGCGGUUGAGGCGUAAUUGCCGUCGCUAGGUUAUCCGCCGAUUUUCGACUCAAAGCAUCGGCCACGACAUUGGCUUUCCCGGGGUGGUAUAGUAUAGUGACAUCGUAGUCCUUCAACAACUCUAACCACCGCCGUUGCCGCAUAUUCAGCUCCCUUUGGGUGAACAAGUACUUUAGGCUUUUAUGAUCUGUGUAGAUUUCACAAUGCUCACCGUACAAGUAAUGCCUCCAAAGCUUUAGCGCGAAAAUUACCGCGGCUAACUCGAGGUCGUGAAUCGGGUAGUUCUUCUCAUAACUCUUUAAUUGGCGCGAUGCAUAUGCAAUGACUCGCCCAUUUUGCAUUAACACACACCCGAGACCAACAUACGAGGCAUCACUAUACACUACAAAAGUCUCCCCCGGAGUCGGCAAGGCAAGCAUCGGGGUCGACGUCAAUCUGCUCUUCAACUCUUCGAAGCUUCGAUCGCAAUCGUCGCUCCAGACAUACUUUACUCCUUUAUGCGUAAGGCGCGUUAGCGGAGUGGUUAUCUUGGCGAACCCCUCCACGAACCGCCGGUAAUAGCCCGCAAGUCCAAGAAAACUACGGACCUCCGCUACGUUCGUUGGGCGAGGCCAAUCUUCUAUUGCCUCAACUUUCUUCGGGUCUACCGAAACUCCGUCGCCCGAUACUACAUGACCCAAAAAUGUGACCUCCCUUAGCCAAAAGUCACAUUUCUUUAACUUUGCAUAAAGCUUCUCCUGUCUGAGUAUCUGCAACACAGCUCUCAGAUGCUCUUCGUGCUCCUCUUCGCUUUUCGAGUAAACCAAUACGUCGUCUAUAAACACCACGACGCAUCGAUCCAACAACGGCCUGAAGACUCGGUUCAUCAAGUCCAUAAACGCUGCCGGGGCAUUAGUAAGCCCAAACGGCAUUACCGUGAACUCAUAAUGGCCAUACCGCGUACGGUACGCCGUUUUGUGCACAUCCUUCGGCCUAAUCUUUAAUUGAUGAUACCCCGACUGGAGAUCAAUCUUCGAAUACACUUUGGACCCUUGCAACUGAUCGAAUAAAUCGUCAAUCCUUGGCAACGGGUACUUAUUCUUUAUCGUCACUUUAUUCAACUUGCGAUAAUCUACGCAGAGUCGAAGUGUGCCAUCCUUUUUCUUCACAAAUAGCACCGGAGCUCCCACGGAGACACACUCGGCCUCACGAAGCCUUUAUCAAGUAAAUCUUGUAAUUGGCCUUUUAACUCCUUUAGCUCCACCGGUGCCAUUCUAUACGGAGCCUUCGAAACUGGUUCCGCCCCGGGGAUCAAGUCAAUGACGAACUCAACUUCCCGGUCCGGUGGCAAUCCCGGUAAUUCCGCCGGAAAUACAUCCGGGUAUUCGCACACUACUCGGAUAUUCCCCAACUCAGGGUACUCCUUUCGAGCAUCCACCAUGGGUGCCAAAUAGGCCUUACACCCGCCUUUAAUCAUUCUUUUGGCUCUCACUGACGAAAUGGUCGCCGCGAAUCGCGCGCCUUUGCACGCCCGAAACACCAUCUCCUCUUGGUUAGGCUCACGAAAAGUGAUAACCUUGCUUUCACAAUCUAUGACCGCAUAGUAUUUGGAGAGCCAAUUGGUCCCCAAAAUGACAUCAAAUCACCACAUCUGAUCUAGCACUAGCAGAUCUAUAGGCAUGAUCCAGUCACCGAUUCGCACCGGAACCUCCAAGCACUCAUCAUAAACACGAAACGAGUGCUCGGGACCAUUUACCCACCAAUAGUCUUCAUUAUGUAUUUUCUCUAUGCCAUGCGUCUUUGCAAAUGAUGCAGCUAUAAAUGAUCGUGAUGCACCAGUAUCGAACAAUGUUCUAGCUCUAGUGCCAUUAAUCGAAAUUAUACCUGCCACGACAUCGUCGGGUGCUGCAGGCUGCUGCUCCUCCACCUGAGCAGCAAAGACUCGGCCGCUAGGCGCUCUCGAUCCCUCCGGCUGACGCGGUGACGAUGCGCGCCCAGUCGACAUCACUGGUGGUAACCCCGCAAGCUGUCUCGGGGUAGACGGUGCUGAUGCCGCCGUCGGCGCAGACGACAUCCAUGCCGGGCACUCCCGGAUAAGAUGUCCCGGUUGGCCACACUUAAAACAUUUGCCGUCUCGCUGCGGGCAAGUCGACACCUUAUGCUCUGCGCCACAUAUGACGCAUCGAGGAGGUCUCCAAUUCCUCGACUGCUGUCGGGGAUACCGAGGGGGUUUCUUAGCAUUCGGCCGGCCCCCGGCACCACCCGCCGUUCUCUUCUUGCCCUUGUCCUUGGACUCGGCCAUAGCUUCUCUCUCUUCACGCACAUGGGCACUACCGUGCUCCGCCCACAAAGCUCGAUCAAAGACCUCCACAAAGGUCGACAGCUUCAGGAUUUGCACUUUCUCAUAAAUCCGGGGCUGGAGUCCUCGCAAGAACCAAUCCGCCCGGUCCCGAUCGUCUCGAACUACGUCGGGGACGCAGUCAAUAAUGUGAGAGAACUCCUGCUCAUAUUCUCCCACCGAUCGAUCACCCUGUCUCAAUUUGCGGAAUUUUUCUUGCAUCUUCCGCUUCACCGUGUCGGGAAAGUAGUUCGCGAAGACUGCUCUCUUGAACUCUUCCCAUAGCAUAAGCGGAAGAUCGGUAGGUCGAUCCCGCUUGACUCGCUUCCACCACACCAUCGCCGCCUUAUCAAGACAAUGGGUGGCAAGAUAUACCUUAUCCUUCUCCAAGAUAUUGAGAUCCUCGAAGAGCGUUUCCAUCGAGUCGAUCCACGACUCCACGACCGCUGGCUCCACCAAACCGCCCUCAAAGGUAGGUGGGUCAAAUAUCUUGAACUGAAUGAGAGCCGCCAACGUGCGCUCUCGCUCCGCAUCUACCGCCGCACUAUCGGGAUUUGAAGUUCCCGACACGGCCGGUACCACCGUAACGGGGACAGCCGCCGCUGCCGCCGCUCCCUCAACAACGCUCGGCACUACCGCAGGGGGUGCUACAUGCUCGACACCCGCCUGGGCUGCCGCCGCCUGCUGGCGCUCCAAAGCCUCCUGGAGCCGCUGAAUCUGCUCCCCUUGGCUUCGCGCAGACUCCGCCUGUUGCCGCACUACUCCAAUGAGCGCGGCCAUUUGCUCCCUAAGCUCUCCGUCGCCACUAGCUCCGGAUCGCUCGGGCUCCACACUCGGCUCCUCCGGCAUCGACCUUGUUUGCGGUCGUCCACGAGGUGCCAUUGCUUCCUGAAAAGAAGCAACAUACGUUAACUACUUGACCAACAUUACUCGACCAUACCCAAUCCGGCGAAAGCAACAUGCAUUUGUUCUCGCCCCAAGCAUCAUGUCGUCGGCCGCCCGACACAAAACAAGGAGUAGGAAACAAAUGAAAAUUAAACUUGGCCUCUAAUCAUAUUAGAGGCAUCCCAACUUAACCCAAUCACAUGCUUUCGCUAACUUUAAUUCCACGUCACUUACGUUUCCUAGAUCCUUAAGGUCUUCCAAUCCUAAGGGUCUCUAGGUCCAUUCCUAUUCUUUCACUCUUGGCUCUGAUACCACGAUAUCUGUCACGCCCCGGGACCAAUACCAAUUUGGGCCUGCCCGAGCACGUCAAACAGACGCCGAACGGACAGAGUUUCCCCCGUCCGCCCAAGGCUCAUCACAUGUACAUUUUCAACAAGAAGUGCACUAGCGGAAACAUACAAAAACGGCUUACACGAGGGUAAGCAAUAGCCAUUAGUGAAAGAUAGAAACUAACAUCUACACAAGUAAUAUGAUUCACUUUAGAUCACAUACAUUGUACUCUUCUAGUACAUUUUGAUUCUUUACCUUUCAUUACAUCAUUGCAUCAUUUCUUUCUUACAUCACAAUUACCUCAAAAUGAGCUUUACAUUCUUUUCUUUACCUUGCUUUAUACAUCAACAUCAUAAAUCAUCAAAUACAAAAGAUGAUAAAAGGGGUAAACUACUAACAAAAUAUAAACCAAGCUCUGGUGGCCUCUGUCUAAGGCGCGAUACCUUUACCUCGGUCACUCGCCGGCUCACUCGGUCCCGGCUCUGUGGAAAUAGUGGGGUGAGAACUACAACAAAGUUCCCAGUGGGUUCGGCCCCAACAUCACCGACUUUCCCACUAGGACUAACUCAGGCAUAAUAGAAAGGAUAAGUAGAAUAGUAACCAACUAUAACAUGAUGCUAAUAUGCCUGACCAAAAGUAGGAAGUAUGCUCAACAUUGAAUAUAUGCAGAUUAUGCAAGUUCUUUCAUUCUUUGACUUUACUCAAUAAGUUUGGAAAGCACCACCCACCUCGUAGGUCUAUGUAGGUGCUCCGACGAUUUUCUUGAGAUUUUUAGAUCCUUCGUUCUUUACCUGCGGCAAAACGAAGCCAACUUAGGCCAUUUUGCCCAUAACUUUACAUACACUUUUCGUAAUGCUUUUCCGAGCGCACCAACGCGUCGGAAAUACCCCCAAUUAGAUUUCUAGAGGUCAAUUGCACUUAGAAAUCCCCAUGAGCAAAAGCCCCAAUUUGGUGCCCUAGCUCCAAUACAUACAUCAAACCUAGGGUUUGAUCUCAUUGGGAAGCAAAAGUAGCUUCAUUAUACUCUAAUAAGUCCAUUAAAUCCAUUCUUAGCUCACUCCAAACCCUAGUUUGGAUUUCACCAUGAGAGGGGUCAAGCUCUUCUUCAAGCUUCACCUCCAACACUCAUGCCAUGGUCUUGAUCUCAAAAGAAGCAAAAAGAAAGCUUCAAAUACUCUAAAAGCUCUAUAAAAACCAUUUCUAGGUUUACCCAAACCCCAGUUUGGGAGUUAACAUGAAAAGGGGCAAAGCUUACCUCUAAGCUUGCUCCUUUCUUGCACUAGAGAGGAAGAAGAUGAAGUUGCUUCACUCCUUCUUCUUCUUCAUCACUUUCUUCUUCUUCUUUUCCUUCUCUUUUCCUUUGUCUUCUUUCUCUUCUUUGUCUUCUAGAGAGAGAGAGGGAGAGAAGAGAGUGUGAGAGGGUGAGAAUGAGAGAAAUAUCUCAUUUACCCCCAUACUAUACUCUAUGGGUUGCCAAAUUGCAACUAAACCCCUCAACUUUCACUUUAAUACACUGCCCGGACUGGGCUGUUCGCGCAGGCGGGGACCGGUCUAUCCUUCAGGGACCGGUUCCCGAAGGUUGUCCCAGCGCAGCCAGAGCUGCUGCGCGCGAUGCAUCCGGUCUCUCUUUGGGGGACCGGUCUCUCGGGGACCGGUCUCUCAGGCAGGGACCGGUUCCCGAGAGCUACUUUCUCAGGACUUAGCCGAUUUUUCGGCUGUCUCAUUUCAUACGCGUUCGGGGACCGGUCUCUCCCACCAGGGACCGGUCCCCGAGAGCUCAAAAUCUGCAGCUUGCAGAAUUUGAUUCUCAAGCUCUCGAAAACCUCCCGUAACUCAAUUUUAAUUAUCUUAACACCUUCGGACUUUCCGAAGUGUACCAUCCUCGCACUUUGGUCAAUUUGACUAAAGUUCGAUAUUUGUUUUCCGAAUUUUCGGUAUAUUACACGUGACAAUCCUUCUUUUUCACAAAUAGCACCGGAGCUCCCCACGGUGACACGCUCGGCCUUACGAAGCCUUUAUCGAGCAAGUCUUGUAGCUGUGCUUUUAACUCUACUAGCUCCACCGGUGCCAUUCUAUACGGAGCCUUCGAGAUUGGCGCCGCCCCGGGAAUCAAGUUAAUGAUGAACUCAACCUCCCGAUCCGGUGGCAAUCCCGGUAACUCCGCCGAAAAUACGUCCGAAAAAUCACACGCAACUCGGAUAUUCCCUAACUCCGGGUGCUCCCUUUGAGUAUCUACCAUGGUCGCGAAAUAGGCUUUACAUCCACCUUUGAUCAUCUUCCUCGCCCUCGCCGCCGAUACGGUCGCUGCGAAGCGCUUGCUUUUACACGCGCGAUACACCAACUCCUCUUGAUUAGGCUCGCGAAACAUAAUCACCUUACUCUCGUAAUCUAUGACUGCAUAAUACUUGGAGAGCCAAUUGGUCCCCAAGAUUACAUCAAAUCCCCACAUUCUGUCUAGCACCAACAAGUUAAUUGGCAUAAUCCAUUCACCUAUCUGAACUGGACAAGCCAAGCACUCCUCGUGCACUCUGAACGAAUGCUCCGGCGCAUUGACCCACCAAUAGUCGUAAUUAUGCACUAUUUUGAUGCCAUGAGUUCUCGCAAAGGAUGCACCAAUGAAUGAAUGAGAUGCACCCGUAUCAAAUAAAGCUCUAGCUCUAGUGCCAUUAAUCAGAAUAAUACUUGCCACAACGUCAUCUAGUGCUGCAGACUGCUCCUCCACCUGAGUGGCGAAAACCCGGCCACUAGGUGCUCGUGAUCCCUCCAGCUGACGCGGUGAUGAUGCGCGUCCAGCUGACAUCGCCGGUGGCAACCCCGCAAGCUGCCUCGGGGUAGCGGUGCUGAUGCCGCCGUCGGCGCAGACGACGUCCAGCUAGGGCACUCCUGGAUAAGAUGUCCCGGUUGGCCACACUUAAAACAUUUUCCUUCACGCUGCGAGCAAGUCGACACUCGGUGCUCACCGCCGCAAAUAACACACCGAGGUGGUCUCCAGCACCUCGAUUGCUGUCGGGGAUACCGAGGGGGUUUCUUUACAUUCGGCCGGCCCCCGGCACCGCCUGCCGCUCACUUCUUGCCUUUAUCCUUGACUCGGCCAUAGCUUCAUGCUCCUCUCGUGCGUAGGCGUUACCGUGCUCAGCCCACAACGCCCGGUCAAAGACCUCCGCAAAGGUCGUCAACUUGAGAAUUUGCACCUUCUCAUAGAUUCUCGGCUGGAGUCUUCGCAAGAACCAAUCAGCCCGGUCCCGGUCAUCACGAACAACAUCCGGGACGCAAUCGAUAAUGUGGGAGAACUCCUGCUCGUAGUCCGCUACCAAGCGAUCUCCUUGUCUCAGUUUGCGGAACUUUUCUUGUAGCUUCCGCUUGACCGUGUCGGGGAAGUAGUUCGCGAACAUCGCUCUCUUGAACUCCUCCCAAAGCAUAGGCGGAAGAUCGGAUAAUCGAUCCCGCUUGACUCGCUUCCACCACACCAUCGUCGCCUUCUCUAAACAAUGGGUGGCGAGGUACACCUUGUCCUUAUCCGAGGUAUUUAAGUCCUCAAAGAACGUUUCCAUUGAGUCGAUCCACGACUCCACUACCGCUAGCUCCACCAUGCCACCUUCAAAGCUAGGUGAGUUGAACUUCCUAAACUGAAUGAGAGCCGCCAACGCGCGCUCCCGCUCUGCCUCUACCGCCGCACUAUCGGGAUUUGAUGUUCCCGAUCCGGCCGGCACUACCGUGACUGGCACAGCUGCCGCUGCCGCCGCUCAAUCGACUCCACUCGGCACCACCACAGGGCGCACGACAUGCUCGGCACCCACCUGGGCCGCCGCCGCUUGCUGACGCUCCAAAGCCUCCUGGAGUCGUUGAAUCUGCUCCGCUUGGCGUUGAACAGACUCCGCUUGUUGCCGUACCACGCCAAUAAGCGCGGCCAUUUGCUCCCGAAGCUCACCGUCGCCACUUGCUCCGGAUUGCUCGGGCACCGCAUUUGGCUCCUCUGGCAUCGACCUUGUUCGAGGUCCACCACGAGCCAUUGCUUCCUGAAAUGAAGCAACUCAUAUUAGCUACACGACCAACAUUACUAAGCCAUACCCAAUUCGGCGAAAGCAACUUAUGUUUCCAUCCUCACUCCAAAGCAUUAUGUCGUCAGCCGCCCGACACAACACCAAGAGUAGAGAACAAACAUCAAUUCAACUUAGUCCCUAAUCACAUUAGAGACAUCCUAACUCAACCCAAUCACAUGCUUUUGCUAACUUUAAUCCAACGUCACUCACGUUUCCUAGAUCCUUAAGGUUUUCCAAUCCUAAGGGUCUCUAGGUCCAUUCCUAUUCUUUCACUUUAGGCUCUGAUACCACCAUAUCUGUCACACCCCGGGACCGAUCCCUUUGGCCGGCCCAGGCACAUCGAACAGAUGCCGAACGGACAGAGUUUCCCCUGUCCGCCCAAGGCUCAACACAUGUACAAUUCAAGCAAAGAGAAUGCACAAGCAGAAAUAUACAUAAUGGCUUACAUGAGGGUAAGCAAUAGCCAGAGUGAAAAAAUAUUAGACUAAACAACUCACAAGUAAAAUGAUUAACUUUUAACCAUUUACAAGCAUUCAACUAUCACAUUGCCUUUACAUUGCUUUUCAUCAUUUCUUUUUACAUGACAUUUCCUCAAAAUAAAAGAUUACAUUCUUUUCUUUAACAUCUCUAAUCAUCAAAUACAAAAGAUAAUAUAAGGGAAUCAUCUACUAGCAAUAUAUGAAAACUCGACUCGGGUGGUCUCUGUCUACGGCGCGAUACCUUUACCGCGGUCGCUCGCCGGCUCGCUCGGUCCCGGCUCUAUGGAAAUAGUGGGGUGAGAACUAUAACGAAGUUCCCAGUGGGUUCAACCCCAAUCUCACCGACUUUCCCACUAGGUCUAACUCAGGCAUAAUAGAAAGAAAUAAGCAGAUAAGUAACCAGCUGUACGAAUGCAACUAAUAUGCCUGAACAAAGCUAUCAAUAAGGAUGCUCAAUAUAAACUCAUGAAGAAUGCAAGUACUUUGAUCUCUUGUUCAAUCUCAUGGCUAAUCCGUGGGUUUCGCCGCUUUAACUCACCAACUCAAAAUUCCAAAUCGUCCAGGAGACUCCUACGACCCGACGGGGACCGUCCUCUGGGGAACAGCACCAACCCAGUGAUGACAAACUCCGGAGCGCAUCGCUCGAGGGGGAGCUACCGCCCUCGAGCAAGGACUUAUAGCGAGUAUGAUCCAAUCCUUAACUCUAAGGAUGUCAAGUUCAAUCCGUUCCUUAACUAUAAGGAAAUUAUGCACAAAUGACCCUUAGCUCUAAGGUUGUAUGCUAUUGUGUCUCAAUCUCAAGUUCUUUGCAUUCUUUGUUUUCAAUCAUGUCAUUACACUAACUCUAGUGUUCUUUAUGCCACAUUUGUUGCUAACUCUAGCUUUGUUGUUCUUUAUGCCGCACUUGUUCUCUUUGAUGCCACACACUAACUCUAGUGUUCAAAUACUUUAGUACUCAUUAUCCUCGUUAAUGCCACACACACUAACUCUAGUGUCAUCUUUGCAUUUACUAAUGCCACUCGAUCUACAUGUCAAAGUGUCACCUUUGUUCUUUUACCUCAACUAGAUUUUCAUGUUACAUCUCAUGUAUAUAUAGGGUUCUUAGGUUCUCAACCAUCUCAUAAUGCAAUUGUACUCACAACAUGCAACAUUCACAUAAACAUCAUCUCAUUCACCCUAAAAUGCAUGCAACAAUACACAUAUGUAUGCUCAAUAAGUGACACAUUAGACAUAGGAAGGAUUUCAAGGAGUUUGGAAAGCACCACCAACCUCGUAGGCUUGCUAAGGUGCUCGGGUUCAAAUUUCAUGAUUUUUGGCUGCCUAUUUCCUUGCCUGCGGCAAAACGAAGCCAAAUUAGGCUUUUUGCUCAUAUCUUCGCAUAGUCUUUUCGUAACGUCAAACCGAGCGCACGAACGCGUCGGGAAUACCCCCAAUUAGGUUUCUAGAGGGUCAAUUUGACUUUGGAACCCUCGCAUGCAAAAGCUCCAAUUUGGUGCCCUAGCUUUCACAUAUAUACAAAACCCUUAGUUUGAUCUCAUCCAUAAGCAAAAGAAAGCUUAUUAUCCUCUAGAGGUUCCAUUAAAACCAUCCUUAGGUCAUUCAAAACCCAUCCUAGGGUUCUACCAUGAGAGGGGGCAAAGCUUACCUCAAAGCUUUCCCUUUUCUUGCACCAAUGAGGAAGAAGAAGAUGGUGAUCCACUCCUUAACCUCAUUCUCCUCCAACUUCUCCUCCUUGCUCCACCUCUUGAGGGAGAGAGAGAUUUCCUAGAGAGAGAGAGAGAGCCUCUCAAACAUGUGUGUGUGUGUGGGAGAGAAUGAGGAAAUAAGUCCUCAUCCCCCAUAACAUAACCCCACAAAUGCAUAUUUGCAUUUAGAUCUCUCAACUUUGAUCUCUAUGCACUGCCCAGACUGGGCAUUUUUCGGGCACGGGGACCGGUCUCUCUAGCAAGGGACCGGUCCCCGAGAGCUGAUCUCAUUGGACUUAGCCAAUUUUCAUCAAUUCUGGGAUUUUACGCGCACGAGGACCGGUCCUUCCCCCAGGGACCGGACCUUCAGAGACCGGACCUUCAUCAAGAGACCGGUUCCCGAGAGCUCUCUUUUCUGUCUACGCGCAUAGGGACCGGUCUCUCCCGCCAGGGACCGGUCCCCGAGAGCUAGUUUUCCAACACUUAGCCAUUUCACCAAUUUCACACCUACGGGGACCGGUCUCUCCCACCAGGGACCAGUCCCCAAGAGCUCAAAAGCUGUAGUUUGCAGAUUUUUUAUUCUCUAGCUCUCGAAGAUCUCCUACAAUGCACUUUUGCUCUUUUUGAUGCCUUCGGCCUUUCCGAAGCGUACCAACCUCGCACUUUGGUCAUUUUGACUAAAGUUCGAUAUUCGUUUACCGAGAUUUCGGUAUAUCACAUGCACAACCUAUCCAAACUAUUCUCGAUGGAUCCAACUAUACUCUAUGGGUUCAAGACAUGCGAAACUUUCUCAAAGGACGUAAAUUAUGGCGAUAUGUCACCGGGGACAUCACAAAACCAGUCCGUCGGACGAAUGAAGCUGAUGGUGCGUACAAGCUUAGAAUAGAAGAAUGGGACAACAACAAUCAUAAAGUGAUUUCUUGGUUUGAUAACACAUCCAUCAAAUCAAUUCGUCAGCAAUUUGGUAAAUUUGAUACCGCCAAAGAGGUAUGGGAUCUUCUAGCCAAGAGAUAUUCUGCUACUAGUAGUGCUUCUCGUUAUCAGCAUAUCACUACUUUACAUCGCAUGCGUCAAGAUAAAAGUCAAUCUAUAUCUGAUUUUUAUUCACAAAUGCCAUAUAUUUGGGAUCAAUUGUCUUUAUCCGAACCUCAAUGGGACUGCUCUAAUGAUGCUAAGAAAUUCUAUGAAUAUCGCGAUGAUAUCGCGAUGUUAUGCAUCUUUAUCAAUUUCUCAUAGCAUUGGAUGAUAAUUAUGAACAAGUUCGAACAAGUUUGUUACAUUGUGAUCCUUUACCAAGUAUUGACAAAGCUGUAGCUGAAUUGAUUGCCGAAGAAACUCGGAAGAAUAUUUCGCAUGUUUCUUUUGAUAAUGUGUUAUCAACCACAAUUGUGCCUACUAAUAUCGCCUUGGCCACUGCUUCUAAUCCCACAACCAUUAAUUCAUGUAAAUAUUGCAAAAAGAAAGGACAUACAAUUGAGAAUUGUUGGAAACUUGAAAGAAAAAGGCGUGACAAAGAACCAAGAAUGACUCUUUCCGCCGCUCUGCUGCUGCUGUUAACACCAAUUCAAAUGACGAAGCUGCUUCUACCACCCCUACUAUUUCCGCAAAGGAUCUUGAGGCAAUAAUAAAUCAGGUAUUGUCCCACACAAACUUACAAUCCUCUUCUCUUUUUGCCGCAUCAGGUAAUUCUUCUUAGUUUUUUGACUUAGCUUGUUGCAAUCAUAUGACACCCAAUCGUUCCAAUUUUUCUUCGAAAAAUGUUGCUUCCAACACUUCUCCUAUUCGAACUGCUGAUGGAUCACUUAUGCAUAUUAGCCAUAUUGGAUCCUUUAAUACUCAAGACGUAUCAAUAUCUGAUGCAUAUUUGGUGCCUAAACUAUCAAUGAAUCUUCUCUUAGUAGGACAAUUAUGUGAUCUUGGCUUUGAUAUUUGUUUUUCUCACACUGGUGUUGUUGUGCAGGAUUCACUGACCAAACGGAUCGUUGGGACCGGGCAUAAAAUUGGUCGUAUGUUUGAGCUAGAUUCAUUGCACCUACCUCAAUCUUCAUCUGCCGCUAUUACGAAUUCUGGGUUAUCUUCUAAUUCUCUUAGUCUUUGGCAUUCUCGUCUUGGUCAUGUCUCCAAAUCCAGAGUCAAAGACUUAGCUUCUAGUGGUAAACUUGGUUAAGUUGAGUUAUCCGAUUUUAGUUGUAUUUCUUGCCAACUUGGAAAACACUUAGCAUUGCCAUUUAGUAAUAGUAAAUCUUUUGCUAUUGCACCUUUUGAUCUUGUGCAUUCUGAUGUUUGGGGUCCAUCUCCUAUUGCCUCAUUAGGUGGAUCAAGAUACUUUGUAAUAUUUGUUGAUGAUUUUUCACGAUACAUUUGGAUCUAUUUGAUGUGUCAGAAAUCUGAAUUGUUAGGCAUUUAUCAAGAAUUUUCGACUAUGAUAAAAACCCAAUUUUCUCACACUACAAAAGUUUUCCGAUCUGAUAACGCUUCAGAAUAUAAACAAAAAGAGUUUUUAUCAAUUCUUAAGCAAGAUGGAAUAAUUUCUCAUGCCUCUUGUCCUGGCACCUCUCAACAAAAUGGUCAUGCCGAACGUAAGCACCCACACAUUUUGGACACUGUUCGUACUCUUCUCAUCUCUACAUCUAUUCCCGAACAAUUUUGAGGGGAAGCUGCUUGUUAGAUGUAUGCCCUAGAAGCCAACCAGGCAGACACAUAUAUUCUUUCUAGGACAUAAAUUUGUAUUUAACUUUAAAAUAUUAUGACUAUAUUUGGAUUUUUAUUUCCAUUCAUGUUGUGUAUGUGUCCAUGAAUCGUCCAAGGAAUUAAUAAGAUGAUGACAUAUAUUCUCAAGAGUUGAGAAAUUGAGACAUGUGUCAUUGGUGGUUAAUUCCUAAAUGCUCCCGAUCAAUGAAUCAUCAUGGGGACGGUGAUUGAUCCGGUGAGAUUGGUGCAUAGGUCGCUUCCCUUUUGGGUAGACGGGUCUCGAGUCGACAGUGUGGGGACAUUGAAGCGAAUAUGCAGGUGGUUGUUAGAGAACAAGGGUAUCGAGCGUGACCAACGCGAUAAGUCACUUGGAUGUCUACUCACUCGUCAGUGACUUACUCAAUGUUGCAGUAGUGUGACUGGUCCUUUGACCUGCGGUGCUUCGGCUAUUCACAAUGAGGUUACUGUAGUUUGACUGUACAUACACUUGGUCCCUAGCCAUUCGGGUCCUUGCGGUGCAUGUUGGCUGCAGUAGGUUCAUUGUAGGAAUAGGGUGCGCACUUAAAUGGAAUCUAUCUCCCUUAGUAGAUAGGGGCGUUAGUCCUAUGUGAUUUAUGAGACCGAGUUUAGAAGAUCUUGGCCAGGGCAGAGUUAAUAGCAGAAAAGGGUUUUCGAUAUUAGAAACUCGAGUCGAAUAAAUUUAACAUAUGACAGACGAUGGAGUUUGACGAGUUAUUCCAUAACCACCAUCUAGUUGGGACUCAUGAUAGAAGGAUUGUAUCACACGGUAACUCCACCAAGAGGUUUAGUAUUCCGUUCUACUAGAAUGCCACUACAUGCUGCUAGGCGUCACUGGUGGAUUGUGAGACUCAUGAGAAUUAUCUAGAUGAUCGAUAAUUCUCAUUGGGCUGAGUUGGAAUUGUUUCGAUCCACUUAAAGGAGUUUCAGUGAUAUUGUUGAUAGUGAUCAAAAUAUAUCUCACUACUAGAUAGAAUAAAACCUAUGGGGUCACACACAUAAGAGGUUGUGAUUGAUCGGAUAGCUAGAUCGCGAUUAUUGAAUCGCCGGAGGACCUAAUUGUCAAUAUGUUGAUAAUUGGACUAAUUUGUAAUUAUUGCGAAUUAGUAGUAUUAAAGUGUAAAUGUUACAAGAGAGGACUUACUAAUAGUUAGUAAAUUAUAGAUGACUUAUGUGCAAAUGUUGCAUUAUUAAUUUGAUAUGAUCAAAUUAAUAUAAAGUUCAAGUCAAAUCAAAUUAGGAUUUGAUCGAUCUAACCAAUUAAGGAAAGAAUAAAUUUAAAUCUAGAUUUGUACUUAUCCUUAAUGGUUAUUAUAUUAUUAAAAAGAUGAUUAUAUUCCUCUAUAUAAUAAUACAGGAGUUUUUAGAAAACCUUAGCCGUCAUCUCUCUUCUCCUCUCUCUUCCAUAUUCUAGCAAGAAAAACGUCCUUUUGCAAGGGAGCUAGCACACCGGUGAAGACAUCGGUCAAAUCAAGAAUCUCGUGUGGAUACCUAUAGAGGCCAGACGCGUGUGCGGCUUCAAGAGAACCCAAUUCCACGAUCAUCAAAUUGAGGUGAAGAUCUAUCCGCGAAAAAGAUAAAGAUUCGAUUUUACUUUUCUCCUUUAAUCUUAAAGAACAUGAGGGAUCCAAAUUGCGUGGUUUUUGAGAUUGGAUCUCGAGAGUUUUUCAAAAUCAAAUUUGUUUGAUUUCUUUUUCCGCUGCGUUUUUAUAGUACGCAAUUUUCUAACACUGCUUUCACUGCAAUUUACACCAUUAAUAGAGUUCCUUCUAAUGUUAUCGCUAAUCAAUCUCCUUAUUAAUGUUUGUUUGGUAAACCGCCUGAUUAUUCCGAUCUAAAGACUUUUGGGUGUGCAUGUUUUGUUCUUCUUCAAUCUCAUGAACAUAACAAAUUGGAAUCCCGCUCUCGUUUGUGCUAUUUUCUUGGUUAUGCAUUGAACACAAAGGUUAUAGGUGUUAUGACCCUGUUAGUAAACGCCUUAGAAUUUCUAGACAUGUGAUUUUUUGGGAGCAUACAAUGUUCUCAAGUCUCUCCAAAUUUCAUGUUUCUUCUUCUGAUUCACAUUUUUUUACCAAUUUGACAAUUGAUCUCUUUCCCGAAAAUAAUAAUACAAGCGAAGGUGAUGACAUUUCAGCUCAAACAACAACCACAAUUAACUCACCCGAUGAAUCCAGAAGGUCGGAUGAUUCCUAUGAACAAGCCAUGUAUGAGUCAAGCACUCUCAUUGAUCCUACCACUUUUGUCGAUGUUCGUCAAUCUAGUAGGGUUAGAGCUCCACCGGCUAAACUCAAAGAUUACCAUUGCUAUUUUGCAAUGGCCACUUUGCAUGAACCUUAUACCUUUCGUAAAGCCUCCUCUAAUCCUCUUUGGCAGCAAGCAAUGAAAGAAGAACUUGAUGCUCUGCAGAAAAGCAGAACUUGGGAUGUGAGAUAUUGAAACUUGAUGAAAUUUGGCUAACUUUGGUCAAAUGGACCAAAGUGGGCAAUUGAACGGUUUGGACAAGUUCCAUUCGGCAUUCCAACAAGUUCGGAAGAGCAAAAAUGAGUUCCAAAGGUGUUGGAAUGGUUUUGACAUCGAUCGGCGCGAAGUAGAGCCGAAACGAAGUGAAAAUAGCAUUCUGGAGCUGUUGUACCGGUACAAGGGUGAUGGCUGUACCGGUACAACCAUCGCUGCCAGGUUGAGUAGCUCUCGGGUUUGAGGGCUUCAGGCGCUGUACCGGUACAAGGCCCUCUUGUACCGGUACAAGCCCGUCGAAACCGAGAAACCGAGCGCUCGGGUUGCGCUCGGGUUGGCUGUCUCCCAGGCCUUGUACCGGUACAAGAGCCCGUGUACCGGUACAAGGGACCCCGAACAGCGGGUCUGCUUUGAAAAAUAGAAAAGUAGAGGGGCUUUUUGAGAUAUUGUUAUAAUAGAGGGUUAAUACACCUCUCUCUCAGCCACUCCCUCCCACUCUUAGCCUCUCUCUCACUCUCUCACACACCUCUCUCUUUCUCUACCCGAAAGAAGAAGGAGAAGAAGAAAGAAGGAGAGAAAGAAAGAGAAGAAGAAGGGAAAAGAAGGAGAAGAUCAAGGAGAAGAAGAAGAAGCUUCUCUCCCUCCUCUUCUUCAAGCUAGGGCUUGCUUUGGAGCAAACCCUAGAGGUAAGCCUCAACCCUAACUUGUGAAUCUAGGGUUUUGGGAGCUUUUUGUUGGUUUUAUUGGUUCAAAUAAAACCUAAUGAGCUUAGAGGAUAUGGAUCUAGCUCACAUUGAAGCUAGAAACCAUGGGUUCCCAUGGUUUCUAAACCUAGGGCUUGAUUUUGGGAUUUUUGAGAAUAUAGGGUUUUGAUCUAUUUUGAUGGGUCGGAAACCUAAUUGCUAUGUUCCCGAACGCGUAGGCGAAGACGGUUCGUCGAUCCGUCGAACGAGCGCGGAGAUAUCGCCGAUUUGGGUGCUCUAGGGUUCGUUUUGACCCAAGGUGUUGAAGCGGCGCACGUGGACCGCGACGCCGAGUUUCUCAGCUUUCCGGCACUACCACAAGGUGGGUGGUGACCAUCCCGAAGCAGCGGGGCUACCUUCUAUGUCUAAGUUUAAUAUUGAUCUAGUUGCAUCUUGUGCAUAUACAUAUAGGGUUAGAUGAUCGUUGUUGCUUAUGUUUGCAUGCUAGUAGUUAUACAUCUUGUUGAUUGAUCCAAGAUCCAGUAUGCAUGAAAUGUAUGAUGAAGACCUAGACCCUAUAUGUGGUGAUUAAUGUUUAUGUGAUUAAAGAACUAGUGUGAUGUAACUAGUGUUGAAAAUGAGUCUAAAUGACGAGUGGCAUCUAGUUUAGAAAACUAUGACGAGUGACAUCUAGUUAUAGAAAACUAUGACGGAUGGCAUAUGAUUGUUGAUGACCUUGAUAUGAGAACAUUAGUGUAGUUGAGACACUAUGAGAUUGGGUACAAGAAUACCUUGAUUCCAUGAUGAGAUUACCCUUAGAGGGUAGGUUGCUGAUGUUCGUGAGUUGAUCGUGCUCACAUUGCCUGUCUGCGCUUGGAGGGGUCGCUCCCCACAAGCUGUGCACUCCGGAGGUUGGUCACUAGAGGGACAGUCAGUGUGCUGUCUGGACGGUCUGUGUGCUGUCCGCAGGCGGUCUCGGGGAAUAGUUCAGUGAGACUUUUCCCUAUGAGACUUACACGUGAGAUAUGUUCGUGAACCCGAGUUCACCAUGAGAUUUGGUUACCUAUUGAGUCACACUCAUUAUUGUUGCUCAUGAUAGCUUGAUUACAUAGCUUACUUGUUGUUCAUGAUAGCUUGCUUACAUAGCUUACUUACCCAGCUUUAUUUGUUGCUCAUGCAUUCAUGAUAUCAGAUUGAGGCAUAGUUCGAUAUUCAUAUUCUAUAUACCUGCUUCAGUUCAGCUUAACUUUAUAUAUAUAUAUAUUGCAUAUAUAUAUCCUUCUAUGCCUGCUUAAGACCUAGUGGGUAGAUCGGCGGAGUCGGCGGCCGAACCCACUGGGGACUAUUCGUAGUUCUCACACCCCACGUUGCAGGUGCUAGUUCGAGUAUCCCCACCGAGCGGGAGGAUCGCGGCAAGGGCUUGGCGCCCUAGCGUAUUGGUUGAUAGCUUACUUUUCUACUUGCAUUAGUUCACCCUGCUUUUACAUUUUAAGAGUAGAUGUUGUAUAGGGUGAGGUUUUGGAGAGUAUAUGAUGUAUUUACAUUUUUGAAAAAGAAUGCAAAUUGUAUUAAAUGGUUAAAGCUUUAAUGACAUCAAAGAGAUUGAAUGUUUCAAUUAUGUCUCCAAUAAUUAAGUUAUAUCUCUUUUGUAUACUUGUAUGCUUCUUACUGGUAUCGCUUGCUCUUGUUGGUUUUAGCACUUUUCGUGCUCCUGUUAUCGUUGCUUGAUUGUGCAUGUAAUCAAGUUGUUUUCCUGGGAACUUGUUGUGCACAAUCUUGUUGGUUAGCCUAGGGCGGACAGGGGAGACUCUGUCCAUUCGGCCUCACGCCCGCCGCCCUCGAACCAGACCAAAUCGGUACCGUUUUCGGGUCGUGCGGUUGGGGGCGUGACAUGGGACGUAGUUGAUUUACCUUCAGGGAAAUCAGCAGUCGGUUGUAAAUGGAUUUAUAAAAUCAAAGCUCGCUCGGACGAUAGCAUUGAGCGCUUCAAAGCUCGCCUUGUAGCCAAAGGCUUCACUCAAGAAUAUGGUAUCAAUUAUGAAGAAACAUUUGCUCCAGUAGCUCGCCUCACCACAGUUCGAUCUCUUAAUGCGAUAGUUGCAACUCGCCACUGGUCUCUUUUUCAAAUGGAUGUUAAGAAUGCAUUUCUUAACGGUGAUCUUGAUGAAGAAGUUUAUAUGCUACCACCUCCUGGUUUGGAUCAUCCUCCAAAUAAGGUCUGUCGACUUUGAAAAGCUUUAUAUGGGUUGAAACAAGCUCCAAGAGCCUGGUUUUCUAAAUUCAGCUCUACAAUCAGUCGUUUUGGCUUUUCUUCUAGCCCAUAUGAUUCAGCUCUAUUUUUGCGUCGACAAAGGGUAUUAUCAUUCUACUACUAUACGUAGAUGAUAUGAUCAUCACUGGUGAUGAUAUACAGGGCAUUCAAGACCUCAAAUGCUCUCUUAGUGAACAAUUUGAAAUGAAAGAUUUGGGCACACUGAGUUAUUUUUUGGGCAUUGAAAUAACAUCGUGCUCUGAUGGCUAUUUCUUAUCUCAAGCCAAAUAUGUAGAUGAUCCCUUAUCUCGAACUGGACUAUCAGAUAGCAAAAUUGCUGAUACACCAUUAGAGCCUAAUAUUAAAUUUCGUCCAACUGACGGAGAGCCACUCGCUAAUGCUACUCUCUAUAGGCAAUUAGUGGGUAGUCUUAUCUAUCUUACAGUUACCCGACCAGAUAUAUCAUAUGUUGUGCAUUUGGUAAGUCAAUUUAUGGCUUCACCACGAUCAGUUCAUUAUGCUGCUGUUCUUCGCAUUUUAAGAUAUAUUUAAGGAACUCUCUUUUAUGGGCUCAAGUUUUCUUCUUCUUCACCUUUGGAACUUCGCGCAUAUUCGGAUGCCGAUUGGGCAGGGGAUCAAACAGAUAGGAGUCUUAUCUAUCUUACAGUUACCUGACCAGAUAUAUCAUAUGCUAUGCAUUUGGUAAGUCAAUUUAUGGCUUCACCACGAUCAGUUCAUUAUGCUGCUGUUCUUCGCAUUUUAAGAUAUAUUAAAGGAACUCUCUUUCAUGGGCUCAAGUUUUCUUCUUCUUCGUCUUUAGAACUUCGUGCAUAUUCGGAUGCCCAUUGGGCAGGGGAUCAAACAGAUAGGAGAUCCACCACUGGCUAUUGCUUUUUAUUAGGAGACUCUCUCAUCUCUUGGCGUAGUAAGAAGCAAAAUGUUGUUGCUCGCUCUAGCACUGAGGCGGAGUAUCGUGCACUUGCUGAUACAACCACCCAAUUACUUUGGCUUCGCUGGCUACUUGCAGACAUGGAUGUUCCUCAACAUUCAAGCACUCCAUUAUAUUGUGACAAUCAAAGUUGUCACGCUCCGAGACCGCUACCCAUUUCGUCCGGUUCGGGUACGUCGAACAGACGCCGAACGGACAGCACCUCCCUUGUCCGCCCAAGGCUCAAGCACGGGAUCAUGUACAAGAAUUCGCCUAGGAACAAUUCAAUACAUACAUGAUCCAUACAACGACAAUAGAAGCACCACAAGUGCUUAACAACAAGAGCAAGUAACACAAGUAUACAUACAAGUGCAAAAAGAGAGAAUUCUAUCUAUUACAUCAUAUUCAUCCACAGUUUACAUUUUGUUUCAUCCAAAAUAUAGGUACAAGUUCAUUCACAUCUCUCCAAAAUGCAUCUCACAACCUAUACAUCAUCUACUCUCAUAUAUGUAGGUACCUCUUAUGCAGUAGGAGAGCUACUAAUGCUAGGGCGCUAAGCCCUUACCGCGAUCCUCGCCCGGAGUGCUCAUACUCGGCCCUGCAACAAAGUGGGGUGAGAACUAUCGUCCAUAGUUCCCAGUGGGUUCGGCCGUCGACUCCGCCGAUCUCCCCACUAGGUCCAAGUGGGCACAAGCAGAUAGAUAGAUAGAUAGAUAUGUGAAAACAGUAACAACAUAGUAAGAAAGCUAUGCUACUAUGCCCAAAUCAUAUACAAUGUAUGCAUGCACAAUGUGAUAGAUAAUCAACUAUAUACUACUAUGUCACUAUAUCCAAGAAGUAAUGUCCAACAAGCAAUGCUAAUCUCUUGUUCACCCAAUCCUUGGCCAACCCUGAGGUUUGCCCAUGACUCACAUGCAUCUCAUGGGUAAGGAGACUCAACUCGCUCAACAAACCUGAGACCGUCUGCGGGACCCCAUAAGGCUAUCCCUCGUGUGACAAACUCCGGAGCGCACGCUUGUGUGAAGCGACCACCACAAUCUCAACAGACAGUGAGUAUGAUCCAAUCCUCUCAACUCGAGAACACCCUAUCCACUAGGGUUAACAGUCACUCGGGAAUCCACUUAUCCCAAUGUCCAUAUGCAAGUGCUUAACUACACUAAGUUCUUGUUCAAUGACUCAUCUCUAGGGAAUCCGCCUAUCCCUAAGUUCACAUGUCAAGUGUUACUUUGCUCUAAGUUUUAUGCCACUUGUUCUGUUGUCAUUAUUAUUUAUAUGCCACUCGUUAUGUCUUUAUCAACCAUCGAGUCCAUCCCUUAUCUUAGCACUAUAGGAUUCAAUGUCUCGACCCAAUCCUCAUCUAUCCACUAUAUCAAGCAUUCAACUCACACUAUGAUAUUGUCUAGGACAAGCAUAAGAAAAUAGAAAUGCACAUUUAUCCUACAAUGCAUAUAUGCAAGAGAUGCAAGAUUACAAUGCACUAAGACAUAAAAGAGGAGCCCGGUUGCUUCGGGAUAACACCACCUACCUUCUAGCGUUGUCACGACUCUAGGAAUGUAAGUCGGCGAUUUUACGACGUUGUCUCGGCCUCCCAGGCGGAAACGAAGCUCGGAAGGUCCUUUUCGCCAAUAACUUUGCACAGGUUCGACGGAUCGCCAAACAGACUUCGCCUACGCGUCAGAAAGCCUAUCAAUUAGGUUUAUGCAUGAUCAAUUUAGAUCAAACUCUACUACAAGGCAAAACCCCAUUUUGGAGCCCUAAUUUGCGAUCAUGCAAGAAUCCAACUCUAAAUCUCCAAACUCAUGCAUUAAACACUUGUUAAGCAUGCUAGAGUUCCAACUAAAUCAACUCUAGAGUAUAAAACCCAAACCCUAGAAGUUCACCAUGGUUGAGCUUCAAGCUUACCUCCAAAAGCUAGCAACAAUGGUGAAGAGGAAGAAGAAGAUGAUGAAAACCCCUCUCCUUGCUUGCUUCUCCACCAAAACCCUAUCUUUUUUCACCUUCUAGAGAGAGAAAGAGAUCUUAGAGAGAGAGAGGGAAGUUUUAGGUUUAGGGUUGAGGAAAUGAGAGAGUGAGGGGGAAGGAUGAUCCCCAAGCACUCUUAUAAUGCACAAUUACCAAAAACCCCCUCCACUUUGCAAGCUAUGCACAGCCCAGCCCUGGGCAUUUUCGGGUACCGGGACCGGUCUGUCCCUAGAGGGACCGGUCUGUCCCUAGAGGGACCGGUCCCCAAGAGCAAGAUUUGCGAGCAGAGCCAUUCUGCCCAUUUUACGCGUACGGGGACCGGUCUCUCCCGCCAGGGACCGGUCCCCGAGAGCAAAACUUGUGCGCAGAGGAUUUUCUGCCACUUUCCAAGCUUACGGGGACCGGUCUCUCCCACCAGGGACCGGUCCCCGAGAGCAAAAUCUGCAAUUGUGCAGAUUUACACAAUUUGCUCUUCGAGGCCCUCCUUAAUGCACUUUUUGAGUUUCUGACGCCUUCGGUCUUUUCGAAGCGUACCCAAUUGACAGUCAGUCAAUUCUAACCGAAGUUCAACUCUCAUAUUUCAAGAAUUCACUUCCUUACAAAAGUGCUAUUCAAAUAGCACAUAAUGAUGUUUUUCAUGAAAGGACUAAGCAUAUUGAAAUAGAUUGUCACUUUAUCAGGCAUCAUCUAGUGCAGAGUAAACUCCACCUCUGCUCAAUCUCAUCGGCUAAUCAACUUGCGAAUAUUUUCACCCGACCUCACUCUACUAUGCUAUUUAGAGAUUUAUUGUCCAAACUCCAGUUGACAUCUAGUAUGCCACCUUGAGUUUGAGAGGGGAUGUUGAAGAAAUAUUAUUUCUUGAUUGGGAUGGACAUUCCAUCUAAAUAUUAUAUGUCUUCUAUAUGAAGAAGAUCAUGCAACCUUCCAUAUGAGUAAAAUCCUACAACAUAAUUUGUGCUACUCUACCAUGUAUAUGAUUGUAUAAUAUUUUAUUUCUAUGAUUAGCCAAGUUGUCAUUUUGGGAUGUAAGAAUCAUGUAUAUAUUAGUGUUAAUGGAGAACAUAGAAGAACAGAGAGUUUUUCUCAUCUUUAAAUUCACUGUUUCUAUUUGAAUAUUUUCAACAAUUUAACCUACUAAAUUAUAACAAAUCAAAAAAUUCAAGCUAAAAAUUGUAACAAAUUAAAGUUUGAGAAUCAAAGUCUCACACACGUCAUAGUUUUGAGGAUCAAAGAUGUAAUUUACUCAAAUAAAUAAAAGAAGAUGAUCAGAAACAGUACCACACACAACACUAAGGCAAUUUUAAGUGUUCAACUGAAAAGACAACCAAAUUCUACUCUAUAUACAGGUGUAAAAAAGCAUGUAGAAGCCCAAAAGGCGAUCUUCCUUAAUUUCCUCAUCAAGCUCGUGGUUUUUUUGUUUAAUCUGAAUAUCCAUAUGCUAUUUAAGUAUCACAGCUCCAUCUCGAUGUGGGAACGCAGUUCAAAUAGUGGCACCAGUGGCAAUGAUCAUUCAAAUUCUUUUCUUUGAAAAGCAUUACUAAACCAAUUGUAAAUCUGCAAUCAAACAUGGAAACAACAGUUAGCAGAGAGUUUCUACUACUUUCAGAAAGAAAAAAGGACAAGAUAAGAGUUCUGACUAAGCUAUUGGAGAAUGUUACAAAUUGACUCUGCUUGUUAUCCGCCUUUGUAAGAGCUGUUUGAGUUGCUAGAAAUUUCGGAAUGACAAAGCUUAUUUUAGCUUCCAUUUCAAAUUGGUGCUACCGCUUUAGGGUCCAAAAGUUUCAACUUUCUAACACUAGUGUGACUUCCAGAUUUCUAUCUUCACGACGAAAUGCCUGACUUCUGCUUCUUGAGGGGGUGUGUAGAAGCUAGGUGGUUUUCAAAUAAAAAGUGUAGUCCUUUUGGCUAAAGAGUAGGACCAAAACAAGCCUCUGGCCCUACAAAUCAAGUUAGCGAAAGACCAAAACGAGGUGCUGAGCCCUAAAAGCAGAGUUCCAAUUUUUAGCUUCUAGCUGCAGUAGAAAGAUAUGGAAGGGAUGGGGAUUUUAUGGGAAGCACUAAGGCUUCCUCAAACAGCUUUUACUCGAACAGCUUUUAUUCGAACAUCACUUCCACAAAAGCUCCAGAAAGGUCGAAAGGAACAAAAAGUGUGUACAAGUCACAGAUACUCUUCUGGGCAUACUUACCCAGCUAACAGCAGAACCAGUGCAACAACCCAUAGCACAAAUUGGUAAGGCUUGUAUUUUGAUCUCAUUUGACGGGACAGGGGCAAGUCAUGGCGUUCAUUCCAACCAAAUCUCGGCCGGGGGAAUAACACAAACCCAAGGAGAAAACCUGUCAAAAACCCUCCAAUAUGUGCAAAGUUAUCGACAUGUGGCAGGAUCCCAAUGGCCAAGUUGAUUGCUAUGAUGAACAAAAGGGUUAAUAAAGCUGCCGCCUACAAAAGCAAACCAAUGAGAUGAGUAACAGAGGAAGAAGCCAAAUAAAGCUUACCAGGAUAUACAAUAAUUCAUAAUGAAUUUAGUUCACCUUAUUGGAAUAGAUGGUCCAGUUUGUGAUGAGCUCUGAAAGCAUGGAUCCGAGUAGACCGAAUAAAGCACCAGAAGCACCCACAGAAAUGCUGUUUCUAAGGAGAAGAGCUGAGAGGACACUACCGCCAAACCCCGAUAGCAAGUAUGUAAGCCCAAUACGAACUGAAAGGCAGGGAACAAAUGAUCACUCUUAUAGAGAAGUAUGUUGAAUGAAUAACUGUACAACUACAAAUGAUACCAAAUCAUCAAAUUCGUUUUCUCAGUUAAGUCCUACCGAAUCCAAAUUGCUGUUCGAGACGGAUUCCGAUGAAAAUCAGGCUCAGCAUAUUAACAAGCAAGUGGAUAAGACCUGCAUGUAGCCAAAUACAGGUAAUGAGCCUCCAUCCCUGAUGUUGACGAACUACCUUGCUCCAUUCAAGAGCCCCCAUCCUUUCCAAUCUGAAAAAAAGGAGUAGAAAAGUAAAUCAAUAACAGGGAACUAUAUCCACCUCUUACACAACUUCAGCUAAAGCUAAAACUGGAUAAAAAAGUAUGCGAAGAAAUUUUCUAAAAAAGGUUCUAUGUCCUUCAAAAGUUCUACGUAUCGAAAAUCAGAAGUUCAGAUACCUACUUAUGAAUCGAACAUUGUACACCAUUAAUUAUUAGGACAACUUGAUGCCUAAGUAAUAUUCUAUUAGAAUUUAUUUUCUUUUACAGUAGACCACAUUCAUCGAAUUAUAUUUUAAUUUUAGCGCAUGGAUCAUCAGAUAUUGCGUGUAGUGCAUGAGGUGUACAGAUACACCGGGUGCAGGAAGUAAUUUUCCCGAAAAGAUUGCAUUGCAGAAGAGUGAAGAGAAAGAAAUACUGACUAUAUGUCCACGCCCACCCACCCUUUAAAACUAAUCCAUCCUCUCAGAAUGAAAGGCUAGUGACACCAAAUGAAAAGUUGCCACUCCCUUACCAAAGCUUCUGCAGCAAGCGAUCACAAGCAAUAGACCUAACUUUAUACGAAAUUGACAAUCUAUAUAUCAGACAAGAAGUAAAAGAAGAGGAGAAAAAAAAGAAGAAGAAAAAAACAACGAUAGAAAUCUCAAGUGGGUAGUAAAAAAUUGGAUAAAUUGCACUACUUUUCUCCAAACUUUUAACCUGGUUUCACUUUAAUCCUUGAACUUAAGUUGGAAAUUCGACACUCCAAAAUUUUUUUUUUGAGAGAUAGGUAGCACGCUACCCGCUUCGUUUUUUCAUUUAGAAAUAAACUUAGCUAGAAAUGUGAAUCAACUAGGAUUCGAACUUGGGUCUCGGGUACCAACCACCAAGCCCUUUGCCACUUGCUCUAGGGACGGUCGGUGACACUCCAAAAUUUUGAAAGCAUUUUAUUUUUGUUCGUCCUCAUCUACUAUCAAAGAAAACAUUAUUUCCUGCACGCGGUGCAUCCGUACAUUCACCCAGCGCGCAUCGAUCAGCACUCAUUCCAACCCAAGCUCAUACUUCGAUCACAUGUAACACCCAUUGAGUGAGUUGUGUUCCUUUGUCUACUUAGAAAUUAAAUGGUUAGAUUGAGAAAAAAACGAAAUGCCUUGAUGAUUCACGAUGCACUGAUGUAUGUUGAAUAUAUGUAUUAAAAACAUCAUUCUCUCGUAGCUUAAGCUUUUGGAGAACAUCAAUGGUUUCAUUUCUUAAGUUCAAAUUUAAAUUCUAAUAUAAGUUUGAUACUUGAAUUUAGUUCUAAAUUUAAAUUUUGACUUCGAACAUAAAUUUGAAUUGUAAAUUCAAAUUUUAUGUUUAGACUGUGAGUUCAAAUUUGAAUUCAAAUCUUGAUUAUGGAAUUGAAUAGUACGUUUAAAUUUUAAUUAAAAUUUAAUUUUUUUAAUUUCAAUUGUUGGAACAUGAUUCCGAUUCCGAUUCCAAUUCCGAUUCCUCUUGUGAACACAGCAAAUUGAAGUUUUUAUCAUUCAGUGUUCUAUUCCGAUUCCAUUCAUAUUCCAAUUUCGAUUCGUAUUCUGAACCAAACGUUUCCAGGACUACUACGGCAGUUUACUAACGUAAACCCAAAAUCUCAACACUCAAAUGCAUUAAGGCCUAGUUUAGUAGUGCAGAGGAAGCACUCCCAAUCUUUUCUCCUCCGAUGCUAUAUAAUUGCGAUAGCAACCGUCGCCGCAGAAGAAGAAUGUAACCAUAAUUUUAUUAGUAUUGGAGGAGAGAUGAGAAGCGCUUUCGUUUCUUUUUUUUUUUCUUUUUUUUUUGGGGAUCUCGUAAUGCGUAAAAGGAGGUGCUCUUGAUCAAAAACGCAAUCUCAAAGUACUGAAGCCCUGAAGCCUAAAAAAAAACAUUUCUUUUUUUUUAAAAAAGAAAGGGAACCGAGACGCAGAGAGGAGAGAGGAGAGAGGAGAGAGGAAGUAGAAAUGGGUUAUGGAGCGUACGUGGAAGAGGAGGGGCCGAGGAGGGGGUUCUCGCGGAGCGGCUGGAAGGAGAGGCGGCGGAGGAAGCGGGCGGCGCAGGGCCCGUAGGGCGUGUAGUGGGCGGGGCAGUUGUUGAGCACCAUCUCCGCCACGAACACCCCCACGCUCGCCACCACGAUCGCCGGCACCAACCACGCCCGCCACCUCCCCGUAAUCUCCCUCUCCCACUCCCACUCCCCCUCCCCCUCCGCCGCCACAACACCGCCGCGCUUCGUCCCGCCGCCGCUGCUCGCCAUCUCCGCCGCGCUUUCCCUCGUCGUCGUCCUCCUCGUCCUCGAAGAUGGUUCGGUUGCGUUUGCUUGGGUUUGAAGAAGAGGAGGAGGAUUGUUCGGUGAGGGAGAUGAUGCGCGUGUGUAACUGUGCAUGAAAGAGAUAGAGAAAGAGAGAGAGUCUAGAGAGUUGUGCUGGCGCCUGGCGGUUUGGUUGCGUUGGGGAUUUUUAUGUACGGGAAACAAUGUUUAGAAUUUAUUGUUUGGAAAGAAAAAGGAAGUGAGAGCGAGACGUGGAAAGUAACUCGGCGUCCGUAACUCGGUGGAUGGGGACAGAGAGACAAGUAUUUGUUCCCUGCGCCUGGUCUAUCUUUGCACCACACUCACCGCGCAUUUUCGGCCUCCUUUAUAUAAAGUUGCUAAUUUUCUAUUUUCUUCCAUAAAAUUUUUUAUAUAAAGUUGUAUGGAAAGGGAUAGUGAUUUAUUUGCAAUCCUUAUAUGCAAAAUAUUUAUUUUUCAAUAAAAAUUAAAAAAAAUUAAAAAUCAUUUUUUUUUGCUUCUAUUUUUUUUUUUUUAUUCGUCUUUGUUAUUUGGUUAAUAAGUAUGUUGUAAACUAACUAACCGUUGGCAACAAACAAAAAAUAUUUUUAUCGGUAUAUCAAAUUAUCUGAAAGUAGUAUUUAAAAGAAUAAAAUGAUGUCAAAUAUGACAUUAAAUACUCCUAAAUAUUAGAUAUAUCAUAUAUUAUAUACUAAAUUAUAUUUUAAUUCAGUAAAAUUAUAUUUUAACUUUAACUAUUGAACUAUUAAUUAUAAAAUAAAUAUGGUGGAUGUGAUGCACAGAUAUGCACAGUGUAUGCAGUAAAUUACUCUUGCCAAGUGGAGGCGACAAAGAAAGAAGUUAUGCCGAAGUAGUUAUCGGAAUACGCGGAACAAGCAGUAUUCGGAUUCGGGGUGGGAGUUGUAUAUCGAGGGAGCUGGGCCUGACAUGUGAGGGCCAUAAGAAAGUGGGCCCCGCACGUCAAUGUAAUGGCCUUUGGUGCAUAUAGUUGUGUAAUGUGGGCUGUGUCGGGCCGGCACGGCCCACAUUUUUCGUGCCAAUUCAGGCUAAGGGGCCGGCCCGGUUCCAAAUUCGGACCCACCACGGUCCUUCGGCCCGAAAGCUCUGGGCUGGUCCCCUAAAAUGUUUAAUUUUUUAUUUUUUUAAAAAAUAUAUAAAAUAUAAAAUAUAAAAAAAAUAAUUAUUUCAAUUUCAAAAUUUAAAAUUUUUAAAAAUAAUUAUAAUAUAACAAGUGUUUAAAUUUUUUUAAAUAUAUAUAUAAUUUUAAUUUUUUUUUUAAAAAAAUUGAUGUGUUUUUGGUCCUGGACCAAAAUUGUUUUGGUCCAUUGGACCAAAAACCUCCUCCCAAGGUCUGCUCACAGCCGACCUUGCGAGGAGAUCAGGAGAUCCACCAACCCUAAGGCCCUCCUCCGUAGGAGAAGGGCCUGGGGUUUGGGCCAUGCUGGCCCAGCGUGCCGGGCCAUGGGCCUCUCCUCGGUCCGGCACAGCCUAGGCCCGUUUCGGGUGGUGCCUAGCCGGGCCGGGCCAUCGGGCCCAAGAGGAGAGGCCCACCACGGCCCUUAAGCUUUGUCCGGGCCGGGCUGGCACAGGUGCUUCAACACCUGUGCCGUGCUCCAGUCCGGCCUGAGACCAUGCCGGGUUGGGCCGCCCGGCCCAUUUUACACCCUCUAGGUGCAUACCAUCGUAACGCUGAAAAUUCUGGUGGUAACUAAUUAAUCACGUUUUAAGCAAACAAGCAUGCAACCACAAAUCACAUUGGGUCAAUUUAACCUUAACAUAGGUUCGGUCUAUAGCAUGACCAUGAUGUUAAUUUUCUUUUUCUUUUUUUUUUUUUUGNGAGAGGGAGAUGGAGGUGCUCAAAGCCUUCCUCUUGAUCUCCUUCUUCUUCUCCUUCCUUGUCUUCCUCUUCUUGUUCUCCUUCUCCUUCUUGUUCUCCUUCUCCUUCUUUCCUUUCUAGAGAGAGAAAGAGAGCAAUAGAGAGAUGAGAGUGAGAGAGAGAGAAAUGAGAGGCUGAGAGAGGGAGUGGGCCAAUAUGCCCCUCUAUUGUAACAAAAUCCACUUUAGCCCCUCAACUUCUCACCCCUUGCACAGCCCUCACUGGGCAGAAUUCGCGCGGAGAGACCGGUCUCCCCGACUUGGGACUGGUCCCCGAGAGCUUCCCUCGGGCGCACGCGUUCGGGAACCGGUCUCUCCCCGGGAGACCGGUCCUCGGGAGACCGGUCCUCGCCUGAGAGACCGGUCCCCGAGAGCUCAAUUUUCAGGACUUAGCCAAAUUUCGGCAUUUCUCGCUGGAACCACGUUUGGGAACCGGUCCCUCACUGCCAGGGACCGGUUGCACCAUGCAACCCCGCACGCCCAGCCGAUGGGACCGGUCUCUCACCUCCAGAGACCGGUCCCCGAGAGCAACUUCAGCCCAAUAAUGCUGUUUGCAUCAUUAGCUCUCGUGGACUCAACUCCAAAGUACUUUUUGUGUUUUGGACAUUUUUUAACUUCCCCAGAGGGUAUUCUCUCGACAGUCAGUCGAUCCUGGACGAAGUAUAACUCUCGAAUUUCGAGAAUUCACUUCCUUACACCGGCGGUAGCGCCACGGGAGGAGGUGAUUGCAGCACCACCAGCUCAGGUGCCUCUAGCGGGGGCGGCUUUCCCCGUGACAGCUGUUGGAGAGGAGCGGGACCGACUAAUGGAGCGCCUCAACGAGUUCAGGAGGUGCAGUCCCCGGAUCUUCGAUGGAGAGAAGGUCGAUAACUGGAUCGUGGAAAAGUGGUUGAUGCAUAUGGAGAAGCUCUUCCGCGACACCUUCGUGGAGGAGAGGGACCGAGUUUGGCUCGCCACAUACCACCUGGACGGCAAGGCCUACCGCUGGUGGUUGGAUAUUCAGGAGAACCCCAGCACAGAUUUGGCGGCUAUUUCUUGGAAGAAGUUCAAGGAGCUUCUAUUGGCGCACUACUUUCCUGACAGCGUCAAGAGGAAGAUGGAGCAGGACUUGCGCAACUUGUGCCAGGGAGACAAAUUUGUGGCCGAGUACGCUCAAAUGGGAUCUAGGCCCUGGCCCAAUUUCAACCUGUCUGGUUAUCGCUCAGCUCCAUCCCUACUUUUCUCUGUUGAACGAGAGGGAGUUUUCUCAGCUUCUGCAUUGCGUGUCUUUCUUCGUGCGGGACGACGAGGACAAGGCCCACAUCUUCGAGCGUGGAUUGCGACCGUCUAUCUUCCGGUUCGUGCAAUCCUCCAACCUCCAAACCUACCGGGAGGUGGUGAAUUGUGCGCUCAUUGUGGAGAGCGGCGCGGCGGAUGUGCAAGAGCGGCGAGAAGGCAUGGACAAGGGUAAGGGCGAAAGGCCCGCGGCGGAGGGUGCGAGUCAGACGCACUUUAGGAGGCCGCCGAAACACCCUAGGAGCCAGCAGCGUAGGCGCGGCUCGGCAGCGCCGCGAGGAGGGUCCGAUCGAUGCCGACCUUCCAAGUGCGUGAUCUGUGGUGGUCCUCAUAUUCCACCGCAGUGCCCGCAGCAGGGAGGGAGGUAUUUUCUGUGCGGCCAGGAGGGCCACUUCCGGACCGAGUGCCCGAGGGGUUCGUCACCGGCAUCGUCGACUGCAUCGGCACCGGCUCUACCAGCCGCCAGCCAGGGGACUCCAUCAGCACAGUACCAGCCUGGGCGGUCAUCCGUCCAGCGUCAGAGCGAGGAUUCUCGACAGGCCACGAGUGGGCGUAUGUAUGCCGCUCAGACCGAGGAGGCGGCAGCAGCCGAGGAUGUGGUUGCAGGUAUCAUUUUUCUUGAUGGCAUUAGAGUUCGUGCAUUAUUUGAUACUGGUGCAUCACAUUCAUUCAUAGAUCGGCUGUUUGCCAAGUUGUAUGGCAUCCCUUUAGUUUCUUUAUUGCAUCCGGGACAGGUUGUAGUACCUGACCACAUUUUGGAUAUUCGAGAGUUUUACCCCAGUUGCCCUAUUCGGGUAGGGGAUUGGAUUAUGCCCGUGGAUCUGCUAGCUUUGCGCAAGCUGAGGGAGUUCGAUGUGGUCUUGGGUAUGGACUGGUUGACCAAGUAUUAUGCCACGAUUGAUUGUGUGAAUCGCAUGGUUACUUUUAGAGAACCGGGGCAGACUGAGGUUAUAUUUAGAGGAUGCCAGAGUUCGCUGUUUGUGAUGACGAUCAGCUCGUCUCGAGCUAGGCAGCUGAUCAGCAGAGGUUGCAUAGCCUAUUUGGCUAGUGUUGUUGUGAGGGGCGAUGAUGACGCCCCUAGGAUUGAGGAUAUCCCGGUGGUGCGGGAGUUUCAGGACGUGUUUCCGGCUGAGCUACCGGGUAUGCCCCCUGAUAGGGAGAUUGAAUUUGUGGUGGAUCUCGUCCCUGGGACUACCCCAAUCUCAAAGGCGCCCUAUAGGAUGGCACCGGCGGAGCUGAAGGAGCUGAGGGCACAGCUGCAGGAUUUGUUUGAUAAGGGCUUCAUUCGACCGAGCGUCUCGCCUUGGGGAGCACCUGUUUUGUUCGUCAAGAAGAAGAACGAAUCACUGCGCCUAUGUGUGGACUAUCGUGAACUUAAUAAAGUCACGAUCAAGAAUAAGUAUUCGUUGCCGAGGAUUGAUGACUUGUUUGAUCAGCUUCAGGGAUCGUGUGUGUAUUCUAAGUUAGACUUGCAGUCGGAAUACCACCAGUUAAAGAUCAAACCCGAGGAUGUAUCGAAGACGGCUUUUAGAAUACGGUAUGGACAUUAUGAGUUCACAGUUAUGCCGUUCGAGCUUACUAAUGGCCCGGCAGCUUUUAUGGAUCUAAUGAACCAUGUUUUUAAGCCUUAUCUAGACAGGUUCAUCGUGGUGUUCAUCGACGACAUUUUGGUUUAUUCCCGAAGUGAUGCAGAUCACGAGGAACAUUUGAGGCUUGUACUUCAAAUACUUCAGGAAAAGGAGCUUUAUACCAAGUUGAAAAAGUGUGAAUUUUGGCUUCGAGAAGUGGCAUUUCUUGGACAUUUGAUUUCGGGAUCGGGUAUAGCUGUGGAUCCCAAGAAGAUUGAGGCUAUCAAGGAUUGGCCGAGACCGACGAGCGUCACGGAGAUACAGAGCUUUCUUGGAUUGGCCGGUUACUACCGGAGAUUUGUCGAGGGGUUUGCUAAGCUAUCCACUCCCCUCACGAGGCUCACGCAUAAAGGCGUUAAGUUCAUUUGGAACGAUGCGUGUGAAAGGAGCUUCCAAGAGUUGAAGAAAAGAUUGACGACCGCCCCGAUCCUAACCCUGCCGGUUGCUGGAGCAAGGUAUGUGGUUUUUAGCGACGCUUCAUUUAAUGGAUUGGGUUGUGUAUUGAUGCAGGAUGGCAAGGUGAUCGCGUAUGCUUCUCGCCAAUUGAAGGAGUAUGAAAGGAAUUAUCCUACGCAUGAUUUGGAGUUAGCGGUCGUAGUCUUUGCAUUGAAGCUAUGGCGCCACUAUCUCUAUGGCGAGCGGUGUGAAGUAUACACGGAUCACAAGAGCUUGAAAUAUCUAUUCACUCAGAAGGAGCUGAACUUGAGGCAGCGCAGAUGGUUGGAGCUACUCAAGGAUUAUGAUUUGACGAUUCUUUACCACCUGGGCAAGGCUAACGUGGUGGCGGAUGCGCUAAGUAGGAAAUCAACGGAAAACUUAGCGAUGCAUGUUGUUACUCAACCGCAGUUGAUCGAGCAGAUGAAACGGUUGGAGUUAGAGGUGAUGACUCCAGACACACCCUUGAGGUUGAUGACCUUGGUAGUGCAACCUAUGCUUUUGGAUAGAAUUAAAGAAAAGCAAGUUUCCGAUGUGAAAUUGCAAAAGAUUAGAGACAAAAUGGUCGAUGAUUGCACCGGCGAUUUCCUUGUGGAUGACCAAGGAUUGAUGCGUUUUCGUGGACGGUUAUGUGUACUGGCGGAUUCGGGACUUAAAGAAGAUAUUCUUCAAGAAGCGCACCGGGCACCUUAUGCUAUACAUCCGGGAGGUACCAAGAUGUACAAGGAUUUGAAGUUACUCUAUUGGUGGCCCGGGAUGAAAAAGGAUGUUGGUGAGUUUGUUGCUAGAUGUCUAACUUGCCAACAAAUGAAAGCUGAGCACCGAUUACCCGCGGGGAAGCUUCAGAGUUUGCCGAUUUUUGUGUGGAAGUGGGAGAAGAUCACCAUGGAUUUUGUGAUGGGAUUGCCUCGCUUUCAAGCCGGGCAUGAUGCUAUUUGGGUGAUCGUGGAUGGGUUGACGAAGUCGGCGCACUUCAUACCUAUUCAUACUACUUGGACUGGAGAGAAGCUGGCACAAGUACACCUCGAUGAGAUUGUGCGACUUCAUGGAGUGCCUACAUCGAUUGUAUCUGAUCGCGACACACGCUUCGUGUCUCACUUUUGGAGGAGUCUACAGGACGCCUUAGGUACUCGAUUGGAUUUCAGCACUGCUUUCCACCCUCAGAGUGACGUGCAGUCGGAGCGCACUAUUCAGACCUUAGAGGAUAUGCUCCGAGCUUGUGUGAUAGACUUCCAGGGAGGAUUGUCACAGCAUCUACCGAUGGCGGAAUUUGCUUAUAACAAUAGUUAUCAAGCAAGUAUCAAGAUGGCACCCUUCGAGGCACUUUAUGGAUGGAAGUGUAGAUCUCCACUUUAUUGGAGUGAAGUUGGCGAGAGAUUGACUUUAGGCCCUUAUGUGCUCCAGGAAGCUGAGGACAAGGUUCGUAUUGCUCGGGAGCGACUUUUGACGGCACAGAGUAGACAGAGGAGCUACGCCGAUCGACGGCGGCGAGACUUGGAGUUCCAAGUUGGAGACCAUGUUUUCUUGAAGGUCUCGCCGACUAGAGGGAUAAAGAGAUUCGGGAUUCGGGAUAAGUUGAGCCCCCGGUUUAUUGGACCGUAUGAGAUCUUGGAGCAGGUAGGUCUGGUAGCGUAUCGACUUGCUCUACCACCGAACCUAUCGGGCGUGCACAAUGUCUUUCAUGUAUCGGUCCUUCGGAAAUACAUCUUCGACCCGGCUCAUGUUUUGGAUGCUACACCGAUAGAGCUGAGGGAUGAUUUGAGUUUUGAGGAGCAACCCGUGAGAAUCUUGGCUCGCGAGGUGCGGAGGCUACGGAAUCGGGAUAUUCCGAAUGUGAAGGUUCUUUGGAGCAACCACGGGGAGCGAGAGGCCAUGUGGGAGCUUGAGAGCGCCUUGCAGGAGCGCUAUCCCCAUCUUUUUUAGAUGGAGCUUGAGGUAUGUGGUUGGUUUCGAGUUUCGCGGGCGAAACUCCUUUUUAGGAGGGGUGAAUGUAACACACUAGACCUUUGCAAAUUACGAGGUUCGACUGUUUGAUUUGGAUUCUGAGCCUUUCCAAGUUUUUUGGAGGGUCGUUGACAGUGUUCCGACCCACGGUUCGCAAUCCGAGAUUUUUGGUUUUGUCCCGAGAGUUUAGCUCUCGAGGACCGGUCCCUGGUGGGAGAGACCGGACCCUCGUAGCUGUGGUGCGGUUGGCAGCCGAUGUAACCGGUCCCCUGGCCAGGGAGACCGGUUCCCGUAAACAUGUUUGCGGCAGGGUCCUGAGGGACCGGUCCCUUUGCCCGAAAACUGCCCAGUCUAGGCUGAGUGCUGGUUUAGGAGUUGAGGGGUGUUUUUGCAUUGUUGCAACACCUAUAUAACUCACCCCAGCCCCUUUUGGAGCUCUUUUGAGCUCAGACCUGAGGAGAAACAAGGUGAGCCCUUCCCCCCUUGUUUGAUUUUCAUUUUUGAUAGAUUAUUGCAUGUUUUGAUCUCCUCUCUCUUGCUUUUCCUUACUUUUUGUUGGUUUCCUCCAUGGGAGAAGCUUGGAUUUCGGGAUUGGAGCUUGUUUGAGGUUUGAUCUUCAACCCUAGCUCACUUGCUAGCUUGAGUUGGUGCUUUGGAGAGGUUAGUAAGUUUAACCUACCCUUUGAUUCUUGUUUAGCAGGGUUUUUGUUGUUGGAACCCUAGAUAUGAGAGUUUAGGGUUUAUAAUGGGGAUUUUUGAGUUAAGGCUUUUUGAUCUUAAUUGAUUGACUUAGAACCUUCCUUUAGGUUGGUUUUGAAGGAUUCUUGCUCCCUUUGGGAGAUCAAGAGGCAUUUUCACCAUUUUCAGUGAGUUUUUGCCCUUUUGCUUUAGUUGUUUAAUGUUUGAACAUAUGAUUGUUCGUAACGUUCGUGUAUCCCUCCUUUUGUGACCUUUAGGGUACUCAGAGAGUGGUGGACACCUUCGUCGGAGCAAACGAAGGGUUUCGAUUAGUUUCGGUGGGUUUGGCUUCAUUGGAAUAGGAGAAAACUUCUCCUAAGUGGUUAAAUGUCUUCGUUUCCUCGCAUCGCAUGCAUAUUCAUGCUAGAUAGAAUUUAUGUGAAUUUUAGAAUGCUUAAAAUGUAUGUGUUACGUAUUAUAAAAAUUCAUCUCUAUAUAGUAGAGCCUUAUGUGGACUUAAUAUGCAUGUGAGUAGCAUUCUUCUUGUGGUUUGGAAACAUGUUUCGUAUGACGAAAAUGACUUGAAUUAUGUAUUCUUCAACACUAAACUCAUGCUUGGGCUUAGUGGACAAAAGUGCCAUAAAGGGGCACCGAAUUAGUAAACUGUGAAACUGCAAUAUAGAGACAUAGAAAUAGGCCAUUGUGACAUCGACUAUAUUCCGUGUUUUAGACACGAUGACAUAGUGAUAGGCCAUUGAGACAUAGGUUAUAUUCCAUGUUUUAGACAUGAUGACUUGAGAUUUGAGACAUAUUUUACGCUUGCUUGCCCUUGUGCUCAUUCGCACAUGCUUGUGAGGGUCGCUCCCUACAAGCCGGCACUCCGNUAGCGUAAAUAUGCAGAAGAUGGAUGUCACGCCCCGAGGCCUCUUUUGUAAAGGUUUUUCGAAGAAGAGUCCAAUUUGAAAGUAAAGAUAGCGAAAAAUACCUCUAUUUUUUUUUUGAAAUACAAGUUUACCACGAGUCAGAACAGACUCACCACAAAUACAAAUUUUUUUCUGUCCAUUAGGACAGAAUUUUUCCUGUAUUUGUACGGCGUACUACUACAAGAGUUGUUGCAACACUAACAUUCAAUCACACAAACAACAUUCACAAUGCAGAUACUCACAAUAAUCAAUCAGCUAGCAAUCCUUGAAAUAAUGCAUGCUCUAAGCACUUCUUAGGCGAAGGAUGAUACAAACGCACAUUACAAUAAUCAACUCUAUCAUUUACAAAUGUUUUCCACUUGAAAACUUCAUUUUGAAAUACUAAGAAUCGAUAAAGCUAUAGAAAUCAUUUGAAAACAGUCUCCUACGUGGAAACUCAUUUUUCAAAAAUGCUGACUAUCUCGAGGGGUAGAAAACCAAUACGAUGAAACCAAAAUAUCAUAUCACUGGGAAUCCCAAAAGAAUUACCAUUUCAAAUACUUGUAAUUAAAAGAUCAUCCAUAAUAUAGAUUAUUCAUAAAUCGACAAUCAAGCAAACAGAUAAUUGAACCAUAAAUUUUUAAUUUAUUAACAAUAAAUGAAAUUGGUCAAAUCGAAAUAACCAUAACCAAUGCAGAUAUGCUGGGACCUCUAGAGCUCGCUAGCUAUCGCACCUCACGCACCGUCCCAACUCCCACCACCAAGAUCACCUGAAAGGGGGCGGGGGGAGGGGGUAAGAAACCAAGUCUCCCAGUAGGUACCGCAAGUCGACGAAGGCGAGUGUACUCAUUGGCGAGAGAAAUACAACAGAGAUAGAUAGAUACUCAUGUACAAUAGCGGAUAAAAAAAUAUAGAUAUGAACAAUAGUAAUCACCUACCGCUACUGUAAACAAAUAAACAGAUGCAUCAACUGAAUGAAAAUUGAUAUCCAAACACCUCGCCAUAUAGGUCUAAAGACCGCAGACAGUGCCACAAUAUGCUCAUCCACCGGUACAAAAUCCUAGCUAGCACCUUGCAGGGGCUCAUAGGUCGAAGAGAUGACCACUUUUCCUGAAAAGAACAUCCACACGGUGGCCAAACCAUUGCAUGAGCUGUGACGAUCGACGCGAAAUGCUCAAUAGUCAAUAAGACAACAAAAGCCGAGAGUGAGUUAAUAACCCACACCUGUCCAAACUAUAUCACCAAAUCAGUGAACUGACCAACACCGACCAAUCAGGUCCCAUAGAUAGAGAUCAUACAAUAGUCCAACACCCCUCUACUGCUAAUAUAUGAAAGAACAGAAGUAGAGUAAAUAAACCGAAAGUCUAGUGGUGUAAUGCUCAUCAAUAGUAUGCAAAGCGACAGAAAAGAGAAAGGAAAGAAUAUCAUCGAGCUAGCACCACUGUACCGACUUUAGAUCGAAGCACCCACCUAUAAUCUUAGUAGUGUUUAACACUCAAGGCACGUUGGGACGUCGACUAGACCUACAAAGGAUGCACUAGGUCAAGAUCCACUAAGUCAAAGUGUCACUGUAACACACUGGACCUUUGCAAAUUGCGAGGUUCGAGUGUUUGAUUUGGAUUCUGAGCCUUUCAACGUUUUUUGGUGGGUCGUUGACAGUGUUCCGACCCACGGCUCGCAAUCCGAGAUUUUUGGUUUUGUCCCGAGAGUUUAGCUCUGGGGGACCGGUCCCUGGUGGGAGAGACCGGUCCCUCGUAGCUGUGGUGCGGUUGGCAGCCGAUGCAACCGGUCCCCUGGCCAGGGAGACCGGUUCCUGUAAGCAUGUUUGCGGGAGGGUCCUGAGGGAUUGGUCCCUGAGAGGAAGAGAUCGGUCCCUCUGCCCGAAAACUGCCCAGUCCAGGCUGAGUGCUGGUUGAGGAGUUGAGGGGUGUUUUUGCAUUGUUGCAACACCUAUAUAACUCACCCCAGCCCCCUUUGGAGCUCUUUUGAGCUCAGACCUGAGGAGAAACAAGGUGAGCCCUUCCUCCCUUGUUUUAUUUCCAUUUUUGAUGGAUUAUUAUAUGUUUUGAUCUCCUCUCUCUUGCUUUUCCUUGCUUUUUGUUGGUUUCCUCCAUGGGAGAAGCUUGGAUUUCGGGAUUGGAGCUUGUUUGAGGUUUGAUCUUCAACCCUAGCUCACUUGCUAGCUUGAGUUGGUGCUUUGGAGAGGUUAGUAAGUUUAACCUACCCUUUGAUUCUUGUUUAGGAGGGUUUUUGUUAUUGGAACCCUAGAUAUGAGAGUUUAGGGUUUAUAAGGGGGAUUUUUGAGUUAAGACUUUUUGAUCUUAAUUGAUUGACUUAGAACCUUCCUUUAGGUUGGUUUUGAAGGAUUCUUGCUCCCUUUGGGAGAUCAAGAGGCAUUUUCACCAUUUUCGGUGAGUUUUUGCCCUUUUGCUUGAGUUGUUUAAUGUUUGAACAUAUGAUUGUUCGUAACGUUCGUGUAUCCCUCCUUUUGUGACCUUUAGGGUACUAGGAGAGUGGUGGACACCUUCGUCGGAGCAAACGAAGGGUUUCGAUUAGUUUCGGUGGGUUUGGCUUCAUUGGAAUAGGAGAAAACUUCUCCUAAGUGGUUAAAUGUCUUCGUUUCCUCGCAUCGCAUGCAUAUUCAUACUAGAUAGAAUUUAUGUGAAUUUUAGAAUGCUUAAAAUGUAUGCAUUACGUAUUAUAAAAAUUCAUCUCUAUAUAGUAGAGUCAUAUGUGGACUUAACAUGCAUGUGAGUAGCAUUCUUCUUGUGGUUUGGAAACAUGUCUCGUAUGACGAAAAUGACUUGAAUUAUGUAUUCUUCAACACUAAACUCAUGCUUGGACUUAGUGGACAAAAGUGCCAUAAAGGGGUACCGAAUUAGUAAACUGUGAAACUGCAACAUAGAGACAUAGAAAUAGGCCAUUGUGAUAUCGACUAUAUUCCGUGUUUUAGACACGAUGACAUAGUGAUAGGCCAUUGAGACAAGGUUAUAUUCCAUGUUUUAGACAUGAUGACUUGAGAUUUGAGACAGAUUUUACGCUUGCUUGCCCUUGUGCUCAUUCGCACAUGCUUGUGAGGGUCGCUCCCUACAAGCCAGCACUCCAGAGACAGCCAUCGCGACAUAUGCUCGCCCGUGCGGGAUUGGGCGCCGAAGUGGAUUGCCGUGAAGGAGGCUCAUUCCUAAAGUGGGGAUGUUGAAUACCACGGGGCCAUAAGGCACUGCACAGGCCAGACAGCCUACGGGUGGGUCUUACAAGAUUGCAACUAUAAGUAGUUAAUAUGCCAAAUGGACUUGAACUAGAAUAGUAAAUAAUGACAUCUUACUAUUUCCGUUGUGGACAUUAUGUUGGUUGCAUACUCAUGCUUAUUCAUGUUAGCGUAGCUUUCUUACUUAUGCAAAUCAUGCUAAGUAGAGACAUCAUGUUAUAGCAAGCAUUCAUGUUUAUUUACUUGCUGUUCAUUUCGGUUAUUACUCGCUCGUACUUACCCCUUUAUUACUUUUGGGCCUAGUGGUGCUUUUCACUGAAGUCGGUAAUUGCCCACUGGGAACUAUUAUUUAAUAGUUCUCAAGCCUCCAGUUUUUUGGUUUUAUUUCAGAGCCUUCUGCACCGGCGGAGGCACGGGAUCGCGGCAAGGGAGUCGCAUAGCUAGAUAGCGCGGAGCUUGCUUUUGCUCUUAGGUGGUCUACUCUCUUUUUGUGUUUUUGGUGAGAGAGAGUUUUGUUACCUUGUAUAGAGACCACCAUUGUAUUAUUUUUUUAGUCCUUGUACUUGGGAUUUUAGUUGUACCACCUUAUGGUUCUUUACUUAGUGGAUUCUAGUUCUUGUUUACUCUCUUAUUAUAGAAUCUAGUUGUACUUGCUCUGAUGCUUCUAGAUGUCUCUCUUUUACUGGUUUCUUUAUCGUUUUCUUUUAGACGCCUUAUAUGUUUUAGACGUAUGGUGGGUCUGGACACGUGCCGCGCAGCCUUCCGCUGAGUCCCGGGGCGUGACAGUCACGCCCCGAGACCGCUAUCCAUUUGGUUCGGUUCGGGAACGUCGAACAGACGCCGAACAAACAGCACCUCCCAUCUCCGCCCAAGGCUAAAGAACAGCAAUCAUGUACAAGAGUUUGCCCAAGAUAAACUCAAUCAACGUACAUGAUCAAGACGAAGCACCACAAGUGCUAUACAAUUAAGAGCAAGAAUCACAAGCAACAUACAAGUGAAAUAAAGAGAGAUACAUCUAGCUAUUACAUCACAUUUGACAUUCAACAUUUACAUUGAUUUGAUUUACAUUUGCAUCUCCCAAAAAUGAAUACAUGAUCAUCUCACAUAUAUAAUGUUAACUAUCCAAAAUACACCCUGUCUAUAAACAUGCACAUGAGGGUGCUCUAGUACAAACAGGAAUGCUCUACUAGCUAGCUAGGGCGCUAUGCCCUUACCGCGAUCCUCCCCCGGGAUGCUCGCACUCGGCCCUGCAACAAAGUGGGGUGAGAACUAUAUAAAUAUAGUUCCCAGUGGGUUCGGCCGCCGACUCCGCCGAUCUUCCCACUAGAUCUAAGCUGGCACAGAUAGAUAGAUAGAUAUAUAUAGAAAUGAAACUGCGUCUAUACUAUACUAUGCCAUCAAAUGCAAGCAAUGCAUGAAAUUAUCAUCUAGCAACAAGCCUACUAUCAUGCUAGUAUGCUUCAACAAUGUAAUGAAUAUAAAUACAACAUAGUUAUGCAAUCCACUAUCAUAUACUAUGUUUAAUCAUGGGAUGAAUGCAAAUCCACUUAUGCUAUUCAUAUCAUUACCCAAUCCACUAGGCUACCCCGCCUAAGAUCUCAAAUCUUAUAGGUACUCACACUACAAUUCUAGUAGGUGAAGAGGUGAAGAGCUACCCCGCUCUUCGCCCCGACUAAUAUCUCAAAUCUCACGGGUGUGGAGCUACCCCGCUCUUAUCUCGCCCGUCUCACAUCUCAAAAGCCAUAGGUGAAGAGCUAUCCCGCUCUAAUCUCAUAGGUAAUGAACUGCCCCGCUCAAUUCUCAUAGGGGAAGGGCUACCCCGCCCUUCGCCCCAACUCACUUGCCAGUCCAAUGGGUUCCCGCUCGUAUCCCACCUGGUGAGCUACCCCGCUCGUGAGCUACCCAGCUCGUGUGACAACUCCGGAGUGCACUGCUUGUGUGGAGCGACCAUCACAAGCCCAAAACAGACUAUGUGAGUAUGAUCCAAUCCUCGCCAACUGAGGUACCCUGUCAACUAGGUUAACAAACACUCGAAACUCCACCUAUCCUUAGGUCCAUGUCAAGUGUCUCAACCACACUAAUCAACUCACACUAGGGAAUUUAACUAUCCCUAUGUUUGAUGCCAUAGUGUCUCAAUUACACUAAUUCCCAUGCCACUCGUCAUGUUAUUAACAUUGCUUACAUGCCAUUCGUCCAAGUUCUAAGCGUUUUCUAUACACUAAUUCACAUGUCAUCAAUUUUCAUCAUUGAGUCCGAGUUCACUGUUUUCUUAUCACUAUAGGAUCUCAUGUCACAAACCCUAAUCCUCAUGCAUUCUAGAUUUAAGUGUCAAGUCCAUAAUGCUACACAACUAGACAUGCAUGCAAGGAAAUAGAAAUGCAACUAUACAUACAUCCUAUAAUGCAUAAGAACAAUAUAUAUGAAAUAUGAUCAACGAUUCUAACUCAGACAUAGAAAGAAGCUCAGUUGCUUCGGGAUGGACACCCCCCACCUUCGAUGACGUAGAGGUUCUAGGAACGCUACUCGGCACUUGUUACGACGUCGUCUCGGCCCUCUUCGUCAAAACGAAGCUUGCUCGGCCUUAUUUGCCGAUAUCUUCGCACCUGCUCGACGAAUGCUCAAUCCGUCGCUUCCCACGCGUUUAGACACCUGGCAAUUAGGUUUACAUAUGAUCAAUUUAGAUCAAACCCAUCGAUUUCCAAAAACCCCAAUUUGGAGCCCUAGGUCCCAACCCAUGCAAGAAUCCAUGUCUAAAUCCUUAGAUUCAAGCAUAACUCACCUAUUUGGCAAGCUAGGGUUCCAACAAAACCAUUUCUAGGGAACAAAAACCCUUCUAUAGAGAUCUACCAUUAGAGAGCUUGUAAGGACUGAGAUUUUGACAGUGCAACUAAACUCUCUGUUGACGAUGUUUUUGUGUGUAAUUUAAUUACAUAAGCACUCGUCAAGUUUCAAGAGAAAAUGAGUUAGAACGGAGAAGUUACGCGAUUAUUAGUUUUCACUUAAAGUGAAUAGUAACCUGGUUUUCCGGAGAAACCACAGAGUAGAGUUGGCUUCUGGUGCGUAUCGGACUCCGUUCAUAGCGAUCCAAUAGCUCGUUUCGACCAGUUCAGCUAUUCUGGAACCAUUGGCGCUGACGGAUUUUAGAUUUGAUGCACGGUUUUCGAGAAAAAGGAGUUUUAUCAAAAAAAGGAUUUUCGCUCUUUGCUUUUCUGGCAUUUUAAAGCUCUUCGUGCUCUGUGCUUGUGACAGGGGGGGUUGGGUGAGAGAUGUUUAGGGUACCUACUGGUGGUAGGGAGUCCGAAUUCAAAUUUGAAAUUAAGGUUUUUGGGUUUACACAUAGGUCUAUGUGUAAUUUAUAGGUUAGUUGGAGAGCGAACGGGUUUCGUCGUGAAUCCGUGACCAAACGGGGCGAAACAAAAAACGUGGAUUUGUUGGCUCGGCAGUGCUGAACGCGCUGGCGCAAUCCGUUCGCAAAUCCGACGAACGGAUUGCCGGGUAUCGCUUGAUGUUCGGAAAGGGGUCGAUUGUGGCAAUCGGAGACUUCGCAAAAGUCGUAAUAUUUUAUGUGCCGAAUCGCGCCAAAUCGGACAUGGAGGUGCAUACGUGUAAUAUUCUCGCGCUGCGAAGGACUGAAUUGCAAGUAAUCAGCUCUGGGGGAUCUUUAUGCAAAAUGUGCAAAUGUAUAUAUAUAGAGAUGUUGCUCUAGGGAAACCCUACUUUGGUCUUCCCCUCUGCUGAGCUGAUACCUAGCCGCCCUACCUCAUCCCUGCCCUGCCCGUGUGCGCGUCCUGGCCGCCGCCGGCCACCGAAAAGCUGUUGUCCUCUCUCACCUCCAUUGUUGCCUGCACCACCCCCUUCUCCUCGGCUUGUGCUGCUGCUAGGGAGGCCCUAUGUGACGCACUGGACCUUUGCAAAUUGCGAGGUUCGAGUAUUUGGAUAGUGUCCCGAGUUUUUCCAGACUUUCUGGUAGGUCGUUGACUGUGUUCCGACCCAUGGCUCACAUCCCGAGAAUUGUGGUAUUUUAUGUAGCGCUAAGGUCACCAAAUAGUUGGACUUAGCCUACCCUCGGAUUGCAUUCUGCACAAGGUGUAACCGGUGACAGGUCGAUGGCUGUACCGGUACACAUUUUGUACCGGUACACUUUUGAUGGCUGUACCGGUACACUUGUGGCGAAUUUCAAACCCGAGCCUCGGGUUUGCAUUUUCGUAGGAUUUGUACCGGUACACUUUCCCGUGUACCGGUACACUUUGGCAGAAUCUAAAUGUUUGAUUCUGCAGGGGGUUUUUCGCGAUUGUGGACUUCUAUAUUACCACCCACGCCCCUAGGGCUGCUCUUUGAGCUUCCCACAGCAGAGAGAGAGGUAAGGGAGCUUCCUCUACCACCCCCUUUGGAUUUGAUCCCCUUGUUGGCUUGGAUUUUGGUGGAUUUACUCUCCUUUUUGCCUUUUGUGCUAUUUCCUCCAUGGUAGAGAGCUUGGUGCUUGGAGUUGAGCUUGGUUUGAGGAAGAUCACCACUUCUAAAGGGUUUUGAUCCUUGUUUUGGAGCUUCUAGAAGGUAAGCAACAUUUUCUUUCCCCUAGAUUUGGGUUUUGGUGUUCUCUACUAGAUGGAACCCUAAAAUGAGAGAUUAGGGUUGUUUUUGGGGCUUUUUGAUUAGAGGCUUUUGGAACCAAUCUAAUGGGAUUAGAACUUUGGAAUAGGUUCCUUUGAAUGAGAUUUGCCCUUCCUUUGAGCUUUGGAGAGGGAUUUCUACUCUUGAGGUGAGUUUUGGCCCUUUUUGCUUUUAGGUUAAUGUUUGAUAUUAUAUGAUGAUCGUAAUGCCCGUGUAUCUUUUCGCUCAAUCCUUUUAGGGUAUUUUGAGACUCGGGGACAACUUUGUUCGGCAAAACGAGGCCCUACGCGACGGUUCGGUGGGUUUGACCUAGCCCUUAUAUGAGAAAUUCUCAUAUAUUGUGAAAUAUGUUUCGUAAAUUGGAAAAGCAUGCAUAUUCAUACUAAAUGUAUUUAUUAUGAUUUUUAGAAUGCUUAAUAUGCAUAUGUUAUGUAUAGUAAAUUUUUCGACCCCUAUGUGGUAGGGUACAUGCUUGUGGGAUAUAGCAUUCUAGUUGAGACUUGGAACCAUGAUUCCUAUUAUGAAAAUUGAACAUUGUUUCUAUGCAUUCCACUCUUAUGCCUAAUCGUGAUGUUAGGGACUUUGGAUGCCUAGAGAGGCUUGGGGACUUAGUUUAUUUGGGAUUUUGGGUCAAUGUCAUAAAGAGGCAUUGGGCCCCGAGUUAUAGUAAACAUCGGUAUUAAUGUCAUAUUUGGGACAUAGAACAUGAUUUGAGCUUGGUUAGUUGUGGUGCUUAAGUGUCAUAAAGAGGCACUAAGCAAGUGAGUAUUGAGAUAUCACCUUGUGACUUUGAGCUAGACCGUUGGGUUACUAGUAGCUAUUGCCAUGUUAGAGACAUGAGGAUUGGAUACUCGAGACUUGGACUAUGCUUGUUUGCCAUUUGUGCUCAUUCGCACAUGCUUGUGAGGGUCGCUCCCUACAAGCCGGCACUCCGGAGUUAGCCUACGCGACUUUUGAUCGCUCGUGCGGUAUUGAGAAGCCUACGGGGUCGAGUGGGACAGACACAUUCCAAGAGUAGGGAUGUUGGGCUACCACAGGCACUUAGGCGGCACAAGCUGGACUACCUUUGGUAGGUCCUCUGUUGGAAAUGGAAAUCGACACGGUGUUGAGUUUAUUAUGAAUCAUACCUAGACAAGUCAGUAGCUGGUACUGACUUACUCUAGCAUAGUGGACAUUUGCAUUCAUACAUACAUGAUAGUAGCUAGCGAGAUGUCUGGUUAUGCAUCCUUAUAUGCAUUGUAGUCAUGACAGAGUUCACUUUCAUAUCUGUAUAAAGUAAAUCAUGACAUUAUCUGUAACAUGUAAAUUUAUUAAUAUCUCACGAAAGAUAAAAUUGCAUUAUAAAUGCCAUGUUACUUGCAAGUAGAAGUUAGCUCUUAAUCAUGCUCUUCAUAUAUGCAAUUACUCGUACUAUAUGUCGUUACUUACCCUUUUCUUUUGGGGCCUAGUGGUGCAUUGAGCUGAGGUCAGUAAUUGCCCACUGGGAACUAUAAAUUAUAGUUCUCACGCCCUCUUUUUCUCGAUGUUUUUCAGAGCCUUCCACGCAGGGUGAGGCCAGGGAUCGCGGGAAGGGAGUUGCUUCGAGCUAGCUUCCUUCGAGGACGAGUUGCUAGGUGGUUCACCUCUCGAUUUAUGUUUUAUUUUGUGAGAGGUUGUGAGUUUUACCAGUGUAUUAGAGACCACCAUUUUUGUACCUUUGAGACUGAUAGUGUACUACUUAUGGUUUCUUUUAUUUUCUAGCUUUAUCUCUUUACCUUGGUGUAGAUGAUAGAACUUUACUCGCUCUGAUAUCAUUAGUUGCUAGUUAUUUUACUUCUUUUAUUUGUUCUAUCUCUUGCUUUACUUCCGCUUUUAUUCUAAACGCCUUAUAUGUGUAGACAUAUGGCGGGUCUGGGCACGCUAUCGGGAGGGCCUCCGCCGGUCCCGGGGCGUGACACCCUACACCCCUGGGCUUCAUUUCUGUCAGCGGGCCCCGACUCCGGCGACCAUCCCCGUCGGUCGUCGCCGCCCCGGAGCGCCGCCACUGCCGCCCUGGCAGGUUGCGGCCAAACUGGACAGAUCAGGCUGUGGGUACUUGAUCUCCUCCUCCUCGCGCCGCCGCCACUUAGGAUGGGUUGCGCCGCCCUUCUAGGCCUCCGACGAUCCUUCGCCGAUGGUCGCCGACGUCCUUGCGCGCUGCCGUCGUCGUCGUGGCAACAUGCGGCCAGCCUGGGUAACUCCGGGCUGGGGCGGAUACAAUCUCUUUCCCUCGCAUCGCCGCUACUCGGGGCCAACCUUGUCGCCUCUCCCUGGUCUCCGGUGGCUUGUCGCCGCUGCCCCGAGACUCCCCGGCCGCCGCAUUCAGCCGAGCCCGAGCCAAGCCCGUGUGUGGGCUUGGGAUGCUCCACCGCAGCCGCCACCGUCUUCCGCCGUCGGCGAGCGUGAGCGCCGGCUCCGCCUGGCCGGUCGCACCCGUUCACCGCCGGCUACCCCGCCGCCGGAGCACCCUGUCAACCGAGAUGAGCCCGAGCUCUCCUCGGGUUGUGUGGCUAGGGCAUCAUCGUCCGCCGCCUACGCCGCCUCCCGUCGCCGGCCGACGCAAGCCCUGGCCUCCCCACACUGGCCGCACCCUCCUCUUGCCGGCUAGCCCGCCGUCCGGCUGCCGCCGGCCGCCCCGUGCCCUACCUUGCUCCAGUCCGGUUGACAUUCUUUCACAGUCAGGAGACAGGCGCGACAUUCGUACUGGUGGGUACUUCGAUCCGAAGUCGGUACAGUGGUGCACGCUCGGUGAUAUCCUCUUACCCUUACUCCUUGGUUAUUACUACUGCAUAGUACAUAUAUUGAGCCUUGCACCUUGUUUAUCCGUUAUACUCUACUCGUUGGUUGCUUGCUUAGUAUCCUGAGUAGGAGUAGAGUAGCUUUAUCUACAUAUGAUAUCUGUUGACCUAGUUGGUCGGUUGUUGCAUUCAGUAUCGUUGACUUGGUUGGUCUGUUGUUGCAUUCAGUAUCUGUGACCUAUUUAGUCUGUUCCUUGACUUUUGUUGUUCGAUGAUCGUUGAGUUUGGUAUUGUCACGCCCCGAGCCCUGCCAAUUGGGCCGGUUCGGGCGCGUCGAACAGACGCCGGACGGACACCAGCUCCCCUGUCCACCCAAGGCUAAAGCGACAAGAUCAUGUACAACAAGUUCCCAGGAAAACAACUUGAAAUACGUACAAGAUCAAGCAACAACAACGAGAGCACAACCAGUGCUAAACAUAUAAGAGCAAGUAUCACAAGUAUAAUAAGUGAACGAAAGAGAGAAUUCUAACUAUUACAUCCAUUCAACCUCUUUACAUUGCUUUAAUUUACAUUUUUAAGCUCUCAAACAAAAACAUAAAGUUUACAAUCUUCCCAAAACAUCUCACCACCUAUACAUCAUCUACGCUCAUAUACAAAAGGUAGCUCUAAUGCAUAAUGGAAAGUCACUACACUAGGGCGCUAUGCCCUUACCGCGAUCCUCCUUCGGAACACUCGCACUCGGCCCUGCAACAAAAUGGGGUGAGAACUAUAUAAAAUAGUUCCCAGUGGGUUCGGCCGCCGACUCCACCGAUCUUCCCACUAAGUCUAAGCUGGCACAGAUAGAUAGAUAGAUAGAUAGAUAGAUAUUGAACCGCAACUAUGAUCUACUAUGCCAUCAAAUGCAAACAAUGCAUGGAAUAUCCUCUAAUGACAAGCCUACCAUUUUGCUAGUAUGCUUCAACAAUGUAAUGAAUACAAAUGCAACAUAGUUAUGUAAUCCUCUAACAUAUACUAUGUAAUCCUCUAACAUAACUCAUCUUUCAAUCCCAAAGUGGGGAGGGAGCUCCAAGUGCACCCUAGCCCGGGACCGUCUGCGGACCUCCAUGUGGUCCGGACCUCCAAGUGGUCCUAGUCGCGCGACACUCCGGAGUACUCGACGACAAUCCCCUCCAUGUGGGGAUUGGAUGGCUAUACCACCCUAAACGCAGACUGUGAGCUAGAUCUAUCCUCUCCAAGUGAGGAUACACUGUAACUAGGGUCAACACCCAAUCCAACCUCUCCAAGUGAGGAGGCUCUACUGCUACAGUCAAUAACCCAAUCGAAUCCUCUCCAAGUGAGGAGGCUCUAUAACUAGAGUCAACAUCUCUCGCGGGAUCAUUUGUUCCCGACAUUCAUGCAAUGCUAUUUAACUUUUCUAAAUUCAUUGUUCACAAGGCAUUUUCUAAGGGAUCCACCUAUCCCUAGGUCCAUCGACCUCUAGUGUUAUUUACACUACAUUAAUGCCACUCGUCAUCAUUUAUCAUUCGGAUGCCACUCGUGUUCUUUAACACUAUCCACUACUUCCUAUGUCAUCAAUACCCCCAUCGGGUUCAUCUCUUUUCUUUCGCACCAUAGGAUUCACGUCUCGACCCAAUCCUCACCUAUCUAAAUUACCAAGCGUUCCAAGUACACUAGGUUAUCAAUUAGAAAGCAUAAGGAAUGGAGCUACUAUGCAAUCCUACAAUGCAACAUGAAGAGAUGAGAUUAAAUGCAAUCUAAGACAUAGAAAGGAGUUCGAAAGUUUCGGAUGACACCCCCCACCUUUUACCAACGUAGAGGCUCUAGAAACGCUCCUCGGCGAGCUUUACGAAAAGGCUUUAGCCUCCCUUGGUCCAAGAUAACGCCGUAACGACCGUAAUUCGCCGAUUGCUCUAAGCCCGCUCGACGAAUCGCGAAGUCGACUUCGCCCCCGCGUUUGGGCACCUAUCGAUGAGGUUUACAAGGCCUCAAAUGAGAUCAAUCUCAUACUUUGCAAAAUGCCCCCAUUUGGAGCCCUAGGUUGCACAUAUAGCAACCCACCAAUAGAACCUUAGAUUCAUGGGAUUGAUCUACUUAGAAGCAUGCUUGGGGUCCAUUUGACCCAUUCCAAAGCAUAAAAACCCAAAAACCCUAAGUUUACAAAGCUAGGGUUUGGUAGCUUACCUCAAGAGCUACACCAAUGGGAAGAGGAGAGGGAGAUGGAGGUGCUCCAAGCCUUCCUCUUGAUCUCCUUCUUCUUCUCCUUCCUUAUGUUCCUCUUCUUUUCCUUCCUCUCCUUCUUGUUCUUCUUCUCCUUCUUUCCUUUCUAGAGAGAGAGGGAGCAAGAGAGAAAUGAGAGUGAGGGAGAGUGGAAUGAGAGGGUGUGAGGGAGAGAGAGGGCCCAGCCCACUCUAAUAAAGGCCAUUUUGCAUUUAGGUCCCUCAACUUUUAACCCCUUGCACAGCCCUCACUGAGCAGUUUUCGCGCGGAGGGAUCGGUCUCCCCGACUUGGGACCGGUCCCCGAGAGCCUCCCUCGGGUGCACGCGUUCGGGAACCGGUCUCUCCCCGGGAGACCGGUCCUUGGGAGACCGGUCCUCGCCUGAGAGACCGGUCCCCGAGAGCUCAAUUUUCAGGACUUAGCCUAAUUUCGGCAUUUCUUGCUGGAACCACGUUCGGGAACCGGUCCCUCCUUGCCAGGGACCGGUUGCACCAUGCAACCCCGCACGCCCAGGUGAUGGAACCGGUCUCUCACCUCCAGAGACCGGUCCCUGAGAGCAACAUCAGCCCAAUAAUGCUGUUUGCACCAUUAGCUCUCGUGGACUCAACUCCAAAGCACUUUUUGUGUUUUGGACAUCUUUAAUUCCCCAAAGGGUAUUCUCUCGACAAAUAGUCGAUCCUGGACGAAGUACAACUCUCGGAUUUCGAGAAUUCACUUCCUUACAUCCUCCCCUCCUUAAAAGGAGUUUCGUCCUCGAAACGAUCAAAUUCUUUAACUCUUAACUUAACUCAUACCUCAUUCCUCAAACAAAUGAGGAUGGUGCUUUCUCAUCAGAUCUUCGAUUUCCCAGGUGGCCUCACGAUCAUCAUGAUUGCUCCACCGAAUUUUCACAUAGGGGAUUUCUCGAUUUCUCAACUUUCGCACCUCUCGGGCGAUAACACUCACCGAAAACUCCUCAUAGCUCAAGUCUUCUUGAAGUUCCGGCGGCUCAUAUAGCAUUGCGUGCUCGGGGUCAUGAAUAUACUUGCGGAGAUUGGAGACAUGGAACACAUUGUGUACAUCCGCGAGCUUCGGCGGCAAGGCAAGCCGAUACGCCACCGUGCCUACUCGCUCCAAUAUUUCAUAUGGCCCAAUGUACCGGGGACUCAGCUUUCCCCGUACUCCAAACCGCUUCACGCCCCGCAUUGGUGAGACCUUCAAGAAUACUCGGUCACCCACCGCGAACUCUAUAUCUCGUCAGCGCCUAUCUGCAUAGCUCUGCUGUCUCGACUGCGCCGUGAGCAAUCUCUUGCGAGAAAGGCUGACUUUCUCCUCCGCUUCUCGCAACACAUCGGGGCCAAACUCAGCUCGUUCACCUACAUCGCUUCAAUGUAUAGGAGAUCGACACGUCCGCCCAUAGAGAGCUUCAAACGGUGCCAUCUCCACACUAGCAUGAUAACUGUUGUUGUAGGCGAACUCGGCCAUGGGUAGGUGGUCACACCAACUUCCUUUAUAGUCAAUGACACACGCUCGCAACAUGUCCUCCAAAGUUUGGAUGGUUCUUUCUGUUUGUCCAUCGGUCUGAGGAUGAAAUGCGGUGCUAAAGUCGAGCCGUGUGCCAAGGGCUUCUUGCAGGCUUUUCCAAAAGUGUGAAGUGAACCGGGGGUCACGAUCCGACACGAUCGAUUUCGGCACCCCAUGCAGUCUCACUAUCUCGUCAAGAUAUACCUGCGCUAACUUGUCACCCGACCACGUGGUGUGGAUCGGCAAGAAGUGAGCCGACUUCGUCAAUCGGUCCACAAUUACCCAAAUUGCAUCGUGGCCGCCCGUUGAGCGAGGCAAGCCGACCACGAAGUCCAUCGAUAUAUCNNNNNNNNNNNNNNNNNNNNNNNNNNNNNNNNNNNNNNNNNNNNNNNNNNNNNNNNNNNNNNNNNNNNNNNNNNNNNNNNNNNNNNNNNNNNNNNNNNNNNNNNNNNNNNNNNNNNNNNNNNNNNNNNNNNNNNNNNNNNNNNNNNNNNNNNNNNNNNNNNNNNNNNNNNNNNNNNNNNNNNNNNNNNNNNNNNNNNNNNNNNNNNNNNNNNNNNNNNNNNNNNNNNNNNNNNNNNNNNNNNNNNNNNNNNNNNNNNNNNNNNNNNNNNNNNNNNNNNNNNNNNNNNNNNNNNNNNNNNNNNNNNNNNNNNNNNNNNNNNNNNNNNNNNNNNNNNNNNNNNNNNNNNNNNNNNNNNNNNNNNNNNNNNNNNNNNNNNNNNNNNNNNNNNNNNNNNNNNNNNNNNNNNNNNNNNNNNNNNNNNNNNNNNNNNNNNNNNNNNNNNNNNNNNNNNNNNNNNNNNNNNNNNNNNNNNNNNNNNNNNNNNNNNNNNNNNNNNNNNNNNNNNNNNNNNNNNNNNNNNNNNNNNNNNNNNNNNNNNNNNNNNNNNNNNNNNNNNNNNNNNNNNNNNNNNNNNNNNNNNNNNNNNNNNNNNNNNNNNNNNNNNNNNNNNNNNNNNNNNNNNNNNNNNNNNNNNNNNNNNNNNNNNNNNNNNNNNNNNNNNNNNNNNNNNNNNNNNNNNNNNNNNNNNNNNNNNNNNNNNNNNNNNNNNNNNNNNNNNNNNNNNNNNNNNNNNNNNNNNNNNNNNNNNNNNNNNNNNNNNNNNNNNNNNNNNNNNNNNNNNNNNNNNNNNNNNNNNNNNNNNNNNNNNNNNNNNNNNNNNNNNNNNNNNNNNNNNNNNNNNNNNNNNNNNNNNNNNNNNNNNNNNNNNNNNNNNNNNNNNNNNNNNNNNNNNNNNNNNNNNNNNNNNNNNNNNNNNNNNNNNNNNNNNNNNNNNNNNNNNNNNNNNNNNNNNNNNNNNNNNNNNNNNNNNNNNNNNNNNNNNNNNNNNNNNNNNNNNNNNNNNNNNNNNNNNNNNNNNNNNNNNNNNNNNNNNNNNNNNNNNNNNNNNNNNNNNNNNNNNNNNNNNNNNNNNNNNNNNNNNNNNNNNNNNNNNNNNNNNNNNNNNNNNNNNNNNNNNNNNNNNNNNNNNNNNNNNNNNNNNNNNNNNNNNNNNNNNNNNNNNNNNNNNNNNNNNNNNNNNNNNUCGCGAAGCCAGAAGUCACACUUCUUUAGCUUAGCAUAUAGCUUCUCCUCCCGAAGGAGUUGAAGCACUAUUCUCAAAUGCUCGGCAUGUUCCUCGUCACUACGAGAAUAGACCAAUAUGUCGUCUAUAAAGACUACGACAAAUCGGUCCAAAUACUUCUUAAAGACACAGUUCAUCAAAUCCAUGAACGCCGCUGGAGCAUUCGUGAGCCCAAAUGGCAUGACCGUGAAUUCGUAGUGUCCAUACCGCGUGCGAAACGCGGUCUUUUGCACAUCCUCCGGCUUGAUUUUCAACUAGUGAUAGCCGGAUUGCAAAUCUAUCUUCGAGUACACGCACGACCCUUGCAACUGAUCGAACAAGUCAUCGAUUCGGGGUAGUGGGUACUUGUUCUUGAUCGUGACUCUAUUCAAUUCUCGAUAAUCCACGCAGAGUCGGAACGAUCCGUCUUUCUUCCUCACUAAUAACACCGGGGCUCCCCACGGUGAUACACUCGGCCGGAUAAAUUGCUUGUCGAGGAGAUCUUGUAGUUGACUCCUCAACUCCUUUAGUUCCGCCGGCGCCAUUCGGUACGAAGCCUUCGAGAUCGGCGCGGUACCGGGAACCAACUCUAUGACAAACUCGAUGUCUCGAUCCGGUGGUAUCCCCGGCAACUCCGCGGGAAAUACAUCCGGGAACUCCCGCACCACCGAUAACUCCUCUAGUGUUGGAGCUACUCGUUCUGUUUCCACAACAGUCGCUAAGAAUGCCGUGCAACCGUUGUUCACCAACUUCCUUGCUCUCGUCGCCGAUACCGUCGUGACGAAGCACGAGCUCUNNNNNNNNNNNNNNNNNNNNNNNNNNNNNNNNNNNNNNNNNNNNNNNNNNNNNNNNNNNNNNNNNNNNNNNNNNNNNNNNNNNNNNNNNNNNNNNNNNNNAUUGCCUAAUUAUAUGUAUUGUUAGAGCCUUGGGCGGACAGGGGAGGCUCUGUCCGUUCGGCGUCUGUUGACGUGACCCGAACCCGACCAAAUUGGCGGGGAUUGGGGCGUGACAAUAUCUCUACUUAGCAUAUAUAGCAUAAGUAUGAAGCAACUAUGCAUGAAGUAAAAGUCUCCAACUAUCAUAAUGUUCACAAUGCGAAAUAGUAAAGUUCCGUUGUUUACUAUUCUAGUCAAUGUCCAAGUAAUACACUAAGUCAUCAUCUGUCCACAUGUCAUAAUGAAUACUCAAAGUCAAAUCUGAAGAGACCCACCCGAAGGCUGUCUAUGGCCCUGAGACCCACCCGUAGGCUGUCUGGCCGAUGCCGAGCCUAAUGGCCCCGUGGUAGUCAUCAUCCCCACCCUAGGAAUGAGCCUGGCCCACAGCAAUCCACUUCGGCGCCCGAUCCCGCACGGCGAAUAUGAAUCGCGAUGGCUAUCUCCGGAGUGCCGGCUUGUAGGGAGCGACCCUCACAAGCAUGUGCGAAUGAGCGCAAUGGUAAGUAAUCAAACGAUCUGUCGCAAGUACCAAGUCCUCAUGUCUAAUAACAUGGAAUGUGUCAAAUAUCUCAAUGGCCUAUCCCUAUGUCAUCAUGUCUCUAACAUGGAAUAUAGCAGAUAUGUAGUGGCCUAUCAAUCUGUCUCUAUGUUGCAGGUUCAUAGUUUACUAGUUUUAAGUGCCCCUUUAUGACACUCUUGAUCUCUAUGUCCAAGCAUGGAAAAUAUGUUCCCAAGUACAUAAUCCUCAUGAGAGAUGUAUUUUCCACUUGCGAAAUAAACGCUUUUCCCGUAUGCAUGCAUUCUACUCAUAUAGCUCUACUAUAUAGUGAAAUUUCCAUAAUACACAAGGCAUGCAUUUUAAGUGCUCUAAAAUUCAUAUAAAUUCCAUUUAACAUAGAAAUGAAUUUAAAAACAAUUUACAACAAGUAGAAAGAGCAUAGGGGCCAUUUCGCCCCAUUUCCACGAAGCCAAACCCACCGUCGUCAACGAAAGCUUUCGUUUGCCACGACGAAGGCGUCCACCACACUCCUAGUACCCUAAAGGUAUGAAAACAAGUGUCAUCUAGUCGAAACGAACGACGCUAAGUUCAAUCAUUAACCAACUCGAGCUAGGGUUGGGAGAAAACUCACCUCAAGUGAAAAACCCUCUCUUAAUCAUCAAAUGGAAGGUAAGGGUCUUCCAAUCUAACCUAUACAAAGGUUCCAAACCCAUCAAAAAGGUUUCAAAGCCCUCAAAUCAAAAAGCCCCAAUUCUAACCCUAGAAUCCCAAUCUAGGGUUUCAUCUAGUAAAACCUAGAAAAUCAUGUAUCAAGUAGGGGUUACAUGCUACCAACCUCAAGAGGGGCUUCAAUCCAAGCUCAAAACCAAGUAGGGUUGAAGUUUGAUCCUCCACAAAGCUCCAACCGCAAGCUCGAAGUCACCAAGGUGAGAAAAUAGGAAAGAAGAUGAUGCUCCAAAGCCUCCAAGCAAGCUCCUUCUCCUCUUCUUCUUCUUCUCUUUUUCCUCUCUUCUUCUCUCUCUAAGAUAGGUGGGAAGGGAAGAAAUGAGGAGUGAAGAGGGUGAAAUGGCCAUAUAGACCAUCUAAAGCAACAAAAUCCACUUAGGUCCCUCAAAAACUCAAAUUUACAUCAGCCCGGACUGGGCAGUUUUCGCCCAGAGGGACCGGUCUCCCCGACCUGGGACCGGUCUCUCAGCCUGCCCCCGAAAAUCCAACGUUCGGGAACCGGUCUCUCCCUGCGCGGGACCGGUCUCUCCCCGCACAGACGCGCUCGAGGACCGGUCUCGACUGCCAGGGACCGGUUGCCUCGCCGGCUGCGCAGCACUGUUCACUGGGGGACCGGUCUCUCCUAUUAGGGACCGGUCCCCGAGAGUAAAAACUCUCAGGACUCUGCCAAAACUCUCGAGAUCGAACUUUUAGGCCGGUAUACCAUCGACGGCCCUCCACCAACUGUGGAAAAGUUCGGAAUAACAUCAAACACUCGAACCUCGCAAUUGAAAAGGUUCCAGUGUUGCUACAGUUGGAGGAGGUUGUGAGAGUUUUGUACCUUGUUAUAGAGACCACCCUUACUUUUGGUAUCGUGGAGGAUAUGAUUAUAUAGUUUUUUUAUGUUCUAGUGCGUUUGUUCUCUUUUUACGUCUACUUGUCGAUAGAAACCUAGCUGUGAAUUUGUCUGCUAUCUCUAGAUACUUUUACUUCUUGUUCAUUUAUUCGUUUUUGUUGUAGACGCCUUAUAUUGCAGGCACUAUGGCGGGUCUGUGGUCGCGCUAUCGGAAGCUUGCCGGAUCCGGGGGCGUGACAUCUCCCGUUGUGUUUAGAUUGUGCAGUCGGCGGAGUGAUGACGGUCUAUCCCCGUUGUGUUUUAGAUUGUGAGUCGCGGCGAUGUAGAGCGAUCCUCACCGGUUGUGUUUAUGAGUGCAAGUCGGUGAUGUGAGCGAGAAUCUCACCGUAUGUACUGGUAAGACGAGAUAGUUAGUAUGAGAUAGGCUACCUAUCUAUGUUUGCAGUUUUAUACAUGUACUCUGUGAAAGGCAUAGUGAUCAUGCCGGAUAGGGUUGCACAUUAUUAUGUAGAUUAUGCAUUCAUAGCAUUUGGGAUUGAGGGCAUAGUUGGUAUUUAGACAAUCGCUUUACAUUAUGCUUUUAUCAUUACUGCCUUUCAUAUAUAUCUAUCUAUCUUUCGUCUUUCGUCUUCUAUGCCUUGCUGUUAGACCUAGUGUGAGAGAUCGGCGAGUCGGCGGCCCGACCACUGGGAACUAUAUUCAUUAGUCUCACCCGUGUGGUUUGGGAUACAGGUGCCACACGAGAGAGCUUCCGGCCGAGGGACCGUACGGUAAGGGCUUAGCGCCUUGUGUUGUAGUAGUUACUUCACUACUUGCAUUAGAGCUAACGUAAUACCUUUGAGGUAGCAUGAUGCAUAUGGUGUGAGGCUUAUUUUGGAAAUUGUAAGCUUUUAAGCUUCAUGAUGUAUUUUGGAGCUUUAAUUGAUUAAUUAAUGUUAUCAAAGUUUGAAUUGGAUGUUAUAGAUUAUUAUUUCUCUACUUUUAUUCACUUGUUCACUUACUUGGUGAUGCUGCUCUUUGAUAUGUUGCUGCACUGGUUGUGCUCACUCGCUAUUGUUGGAUUGUGUAUGUUUGCAAGUUGUUGUCUGGGCACUUGUUGUGUACACAAUCUCAGUUGCUUAGCGUGGGGCGAACAGGGAGUGGCUGUCGUUUUUUCGGGUCUGUCCGACGCGCCACGAACCGAGCCAAAUGGUAGCGGAUAUCGGGGCGUGACACGCCGAGACACGAGAAAAUUCAGUUUGAUUUAAAGCAUUAAAUAAAGCAUUGAUACCCUUUCCGUUGAACGAAGAUAAUUCGUUUUCCUCUUUCGUCCACUUAUUUCUAGGUUUCGGACCGGUAACAUUCUCGACAACUUCGGUAGGAUGUUUCCACCCAAAUUCAAUGGCUUGUCAUACCCGCUCGUCGAUGGCAAUAAGAAACGCCCUCAUACGGACUUUCCAAUAAGCAUAAUUAGUGCCAUCGAAGAGAGGAGAUCGAUUGAUGUUACCGCCCUCGGCCAUGAUUUACAACCUAUACCCUCUCUGAUACCACUUGUAAGAUAUGGAUCCCGAGGAUCUAAAAGGUAAGUAACACCUAGAGGGGGGUGAAUAGGUGUAAAAACGGCAAACUCAGAAAUCUCGAUGCAAAUAAAACGAAAUAGCGGAAAAUAAAAUAGCACACCGAGAAUUUAACGUGGGAAAACUCCAAACAGGAGUGAAAAACCCACGGGACCGAUCACGCAAAGAAAAUCCACUAAGAAAACAUGAGUACAAGUGAUUUUGACAAAAAUACACAACUCAAUUUACCGAUUUCCCAAUGAUGGUGAUCUUCGCCGGUCCUCGAUCGAUAGGAAUCCUCCAAUCGACCCCGCCGCAACUCCUUGCUGCGUCAACACCUCAAUUCCUUGAAGCCCCCACCGAAUCCACGGCCUCCACGCGAGUCCACGCGCCGAACCUCCUUCCGGAGCUUAUAGAAUCGGAGAUUUAUGGUGAUUAUGCCUUAAAAUCCCAUAAGCUAUGAGGGUCUACCUUUUAAUCAAACAUCUACUUGAUUCUCGUAUGAGUUCUUGAGUAAAAACUAAGAAUCAAGUCGAUUGUUGAUUGUUAGAAACUUGUUAUUAGAAUCGAACAAUAAGAACGGGAAAAACAAGUUUCUAGGGUUUAGAUUAUGUAGAAAUUAAAAGCCUUAACCUUUUAGAUGACCCCCAUGGCUUAUUUAUAUGUUUAGAAGACUUAGAAGUAGACUAGGAUUGCAAAAAGUCCUUUUUAAAAACAUGUGUCGUCCUCAGGGACCGGUCCUCUCGAGGAGACCGGUCUGUGAGAGACCGGUCUCUCAAGUGAGGAACCGGUCCCUCGCUGCGUGAUCAAAAAACACAACGUUCGGGAACCGGUCUCUCAAGCCAGAGACCGGUCCUUCGCUGCGCGACAGAAAUACCAAGGUUCGGGAACCGGUCUCUCAUCUCAGGGGACCGGUUGCAUCAAUGUUCACGCAGUGAGGACCUUAGAGGAACCAGUCUCUUCAACACAGGGACCGGUCCCAGAACACAUAAAAGUUCAGUAAAAGAAUUUUUAAAGCAAUCAAAGCCUUCUGAACUUAUUACAAUUAAGCAUCUUCACCAUAAACCAUCUAUUCUUCAUACCUGAGAUGCCGAGCUUUCCGAAUGAGUCUUUGUUCUUCAAUUUGGAUCUUUUCUUCAAACUUCUGCGAUCAAUUCUUCAAGACUCCAUUCAACUUUACGAAAUCCGCCAACUUAUAAAAUUCUUAACACAAUUGACCCUCAAGAAACCUAAUUGGGGGUAUUUCCGACGCGUUGGUGCGCUCGGAUUAACAUUACGAAAAGCCAAUGUAAAGAUAUGAGCAAAAUGGCCUAAUAAGGCUUCGUUUUGCUGCAGGUGACAAAUUAGGAGUCUAAAAAUCCCAAGAAAAUUGUCGGAGCACCUUUGAGAACCUACGAGGUAGGUGGUGCUAUCCAAACUCGUUGAACUUCCUUCUAUUUCUAAUGUGUCAUUCAAUUGAGCAUAUGAUAUAUACAUUGUUGCAUGCAUCGUAGGGUAUAUGUAAUGAGAAUGAUGUAAUGUUGCAUGUUGUGAGUACAAUUUGCCUAAUGAGAUGGUUGAGACCCCUAUGAAUGUUUAACCCUAUAUGUAUGCAUGAGGUAAAAUGUGAGCACCCAAGUGAGGCAAAAGAACAGAGUGACACAAUGAGACAUAGAUCGAGUGGCAUUCGAUAAUGUAAAGUAAUGUGACACUAGAGUUAGUGUGUGGCAUUAAAGAGAAAUGUGAUGCAGUGAUAAUGAUUAGAGAUAAGUAAAGAAAAUAAAAGUGGCAUAAAGAACGAGCAAAGCUAGAGAACAAUGAUUGCUAGAGUUAGCAAAAUAAAGUGAUGUAAAGAACACUAGAGUUAGUGUAAAGACAAUGAUUGAACUAUAUAUCCUUAGAGUUAAGGAUUGAUCAUACUUGCUAUGAGUUCCGUGCUCGAGGGCGGUCGCUCCCCCUCGGGCGAUGCGCUCCGGAGUUUUUGCAAUAACGCGGUGGAAGUAAACUAGAGGAGAUCUUAGCGGGGAGGAAGCAUGAGGGUCCGCCGAUGAUGGACUUUAAUGUCACGCACGAAGCUCCGCCAAUUUGGUCAGAUUCGGGACACGCCGACAGACCGCGAACGAGACAAGCUUAUCCCUGGUACGUCCUGGGCCGUCACAAUCGUAUGAUGAACAGAAGAGCGUCCCAACCAUGGAAGGCAUUCAAACAUAGAUUGUUGAUAUAAGUAUCAAAACAUAAAGGCUAAACAUGCUAUACAAGAUUCAGUCUCAAGAUUUUACAUUUAGAAAAUUAUCGAUACCUUUAAGUUAUCACAUAAGGCUUUAUACAAUUUUACAACAUAUUUAUAUUUACUAUAAUUUGUUUCUUUUUCAAUUUACAUCUGAAACUCUGAUGCUAGACCACUUCAGGUAUGCUAUCUCUGCGUCUCGGUUGUUAGGCGUAUUACGCGAGAAGUACGCCCUUGUCUCGCGCCGCCCGCUCACGUGCUACCUGUACCCCCAUAAACAACACGGGGGUGAGAAUAUAUAUAAUUAUAGUUCCCAUGGGUACGGCACAAGGAAGCGCUACCCCACCAGGUCAAGGCAGGCCAACUGCAGUAGCUAAACUGAACAGACUUAAUUAGAUAUUCGAUGAUACAUAUUAAUAAAACCAAUACCUGCCUCGCCGAUGAUGCAUAUGUAAAUCAGCAACUAUAUAACAAGUAGCAUCUACUGGAUCCUACGUUAUAUCUUUAACCAUUCAUUUACUUGUAGCCGUCUUUAUUAGCUAUUUACGAUUAUUAGCUAUUCUUUAGUUUUAUUCUUUAUCUCUUUAUCAUAUUGUGACUCACUGGCGAUUCUUUUCCUAAGUUAGCUUACCCUUAGUCAUCUAGGCCACCCGACUCGGUCUUGAGUCAAUAAUGCGGAUAGGUUUCGCCGCUAACUGUCUAGCUCGAAGGUGAGGAACUCCUCACAUGCACCUCAGCUGCGCAACGCUCCGUACUCUGUCAAGCCGUCUGCGUGGCGAAGCAAUCGCACGCUCACCAACAACGAACCUAGGUAAAUGACUUAGUCAACCGGCGGCGAAUCGUCAGCACACGCACGACAGUGGUUCAGUCAAUUCAGGCGGUAGGAUUCACAAACUGAGCUAACCAGUCCGGCACGGCAAAAUCGUCGCCACACGCCCAACAAUGGUUCUUUAGCCCCUGCUGGCGGACGAAAUCGUCGCACACACCGACACCCCUUUGGGUGUAUUCACAAGCUUUGAGAUCCGAAUCCAUUUCACCAUUUACUCGGGGUUAGUCUUAAACCCUAUGGAAUCGACGAUCUAGGUCCAAGUCUUUAUCGAGUAAUUUAACACUUUAGGUUCGAUUCUUUUAUAUUUUAGCCUAGGUUUAUUAUCCUGAGGACCAUCAUUUUUUCCAACCUAGGUUUACGUUCACUCUAGUAAGCACUCUUUCAUUUCACACACUAUGUUCUUUCAUUAGGUUUAAAAUAAUUUCUUAUUAACCUAUGUUUCAAUAAACACGAGGUUCAUUUUAUAUUCAACCUAUGUUUAAUAACAUUAGGUUCUGCCAACUCGCGAUCGUAUACAAUGUCACCUAGUUCAAUAACUUAGAUUCAUGCCACUCGAUAUUUAUAGUCUUCCUAGUGAUAAUUUCUUCUUUCUAGGUUCACCAGUUUACUAUUCAAUAUUCUGCGUUUAUCUUAUUACCAGUCGAGGUUUCUAAUAACUAGAAGCCGUCGAUAUAAUACAACGGGAACUAUAGUACAUUGCAUUUCAUAUAUGUUUUAGACGUAGGCAUCAAACAUUCACUUUCAUAAGCAUUUUAACACUACUUCUGUUAACAGCUUUAACUGUCCACGUAUCAACAAUUAUAUUAUGCUCUAGCAUUUAAUGUUCGAUAUUAUCGACAAUUUAGUAUGUCAUAUUGCCAUACUAGCAUUCAUGUUCAAAUAUUGAAUCAUUAUAAUCAUCUAGCAUCAACCAUCAUGUCAACAAUCAUAUAGUUGCCUUACUCAUAGUGCUCUAGCAUUUAUGUUCGUAUCUAUACAUUCAGAUCUAUGCAUCAGAUCCAUAUAUAUACAAUAUUCAUAAUUCAUAUUCAUAUUCAAUAUUCAUACUCAUAUUCAAUAUUCAUUUUGCGGAUGAAUGUAUUUUAAUAUGCGAAUUAUAUCCGCAUAUAUGCGUCAAAUUGAAAACAUGAUCUACUUGCAUGGAGAGUGACUAAUCACUGCGGUAAGCACAAUCCCACCUUUCUUUGAUGCCGGAGAGGCGAGAAAAUGCGUUAUAGCCGCUUUCCCGAGACGCGACCACGCUGUCCGACUUAUCGGACGCCGAAAAUCUUCUUUUGGCGAUAUCUUCGCGUAGGAGCGACGGAUUGCCGAACCGACUUCGCCAGCGCGUUUCUUUUACCCCCAAUUAGGUUUGUACGCGGUCAAUUUCGCUUUAGGACUUCUAUCCUGCAAAAGUACAUUAUCAAGGUCAGUUUCUAUAAAAACCCCUUUUCAAUGCAAUUUUCACAAUUACAUAGCGUAAUUCAAUUCUUAUUAGCCUAAGAACCUCAGAACAAUUACGGAAAACUGUGCAAAUACUUCGAUUCCAUUUUUUCUUUCAUUCUUUUUAUUCUUUCUUUCUUUUCUUUUCUUUUCCUUUCUUUCUUUCUUUCUUUUCCCUGCAGCCUGCAGGUUUUCUUUUUCUUUCCCUGUUUUCUUUCCUACUUUCUUUCUUUCUUUCUCUGCAGCCCUGCAGCUGCUGCUGACUGCUCAGCAGCUAGGCUGAGCUGCUGCUGCUGCUCACUACUGAGCUGCUGCUGCUGCUGACUGCUCAGCAGCUAUGCUGAGCUGCUGCUGCUGCUCACUGCUGAGCUGCUGCUGCUGAAGCUGCUGCUGCUGAAGCUGCUGCUGCUGCUGACUGCUCAGCAGCUAGGCUGAGCUGCUGCUGCUGCUCACUGCUGAGCUGCUGCUGCUGCUCACUGCUGAGCUGCUGCUGCUGAAGCUGCUGCUGGCUGCUGCUGAUGGCUGCUGCAGCUGCUGCUGCUGAUGGCUGCUGCAGCUGCUGCUGUUGUGCAAGCUGCUGCUGGCUGCUGCUAAGGCUGCAGCUCCAGCAGCUGCACAUGCUGCUGGCUGCUGCUCCCGCAGCUGCUGCUGCUGGUGCUACUAGAAGCAGGGAGAGGGGGGGGAAAGGGACAUAGUCAGCAGAGAGAGAGAGAAGAAAAUUCUCACCUUUCUUUUCUUCUUUCUUUUUCUUCUUCUUCUUCUUCUCUUCUUCUUCUCCUUCUCUCUCUCUCUCUCUCUCUCUCUCUCUCUCUCUCUCUACGUAUGGAUGCUGAAGAUGGAGGAGAAAAGGAUGGAGCUCCCUGGCAGGGAACUUAGUGGAAUUCCACUAACUUGGUAAUAAUUACCAUAAUGCCCCUCGACUUAAGUCCGUUGCGCAACUCGGAUCAAAAACCUUUCAUAGGCUCUUCCGACAGUCCGAUUGAGCUCAAAUUUGGCAGGAAUGUUCGUUUUUACUUAACAAGUCCACUGAAAUUUUAACAUUUCAGUUUCGACCCCGUUUGGUCACUGCGAACUGUCCCGAACUGUAAUCUUUAUCCGAUAACUUCCAGAUGCUAUUUCUCUCUCUACAGGUGUCAGAAAAAUCCGAAACUUCAAAUCUAGCCUCAUAAACAUAUUACUGACAUAUCCUCCAGUUUUCAUAAUUUUCUGACACUGUGCAUUUUCUGCUAAUUUUCUCAGUCCCGUUCUUUACAGAAAAUUCUAAAGUUUCCGUUUUCACUCCGAUUUCACCCAAACAUGUCCAAAAGAUACCAAGGGACCUUCACAAGCUACCAAUCCAAUUUGGAAGCAAUUCCUUUGCAUUUUGACAUUAUGAGCCGAAUUAGCAAUAGAAUCAGCUCACAAUUUCAUUAUACGACAGAAAUUUCUCCUUUUUGCACUACCACUUCGCACUGAACACUUCAAAGCCCUUUGAAAGCACACCCUUGGCUUUUCCAAAACUUCACAAUUGAUUCGGAGAUACCACAAUUUAUCCUCACGCCUUACUUUAAUUUCUUUAAACAAAGUUAGCGUCGGAAUACCGAAAUUCUCUUUUAUAUUUCGUUUCGCGCCCAAUUUGCGCCGAAAACACUUAUUUAUCUCCAGAAUUCAUUCAACACGCGCAUCACAAUCACUCGGUGGAUGAUGUCCAACUAGCUCAAUCCCACUUUGACCCUCUAGGUCAAAGUGACAUCGCAACUCCAAUUUCUCCAAUAUGUUACACUUAAUGUGGGCAAGUUAAUGUGGCGAAACCCCCGGGUUAGCCGUGAGAUUAAAGAGUAAAGAAUAAAGAGUAAAGAAUAAAAGAACUUGCAUAAUUUGCAUAAUUUAUGUUGAGCAUAUUUCUUGCUGUUUGUUCAGGCAUAUUAGCAUCAUGAUUAUAGUUUGGUUACUAUUCUGCUUAUCCUUUCUAUUAUGCCUGAGUUAGUCCUAGUGGGAAAGUCGGUGAUGUUGGGGCCGAACCCACUGGGAACUUUGUUGUAGUUCUCACCCCACUAUUCCACAGAGCCGGGACCGAGCGAGCCGGCGAGCGACCGCGGUAAAGGUAUCUCACCCUAGACAGUGGCCACCCGAAUCGGGCUUUACAUUUUGUAGUAGUUUACCCUUUUAUCAUCUUUUGUAUUUGAUGAUUUAAGAUGAUGAUGUAUAAAGCAAAGAAAGAAUGAAAGAAUGUAAUGUUUAUUUUGAGCAUAUGGGAUGUAAAAAAGAAAUGAUGAAAGUAUGUAAAGACUUUAUGAUGUACAAGUUGGUUAAAUACAAUGUAUGUGAUCAAAAGUGAAUCAUAUUACUUGUGUAGGCGUUUAGUUCCUUUCUCUCACUCAUGGCUAUUGCUUACCCUCGUGUAAGCCGUUUGUGUAUGUUUCCGCUAGUGCACUUCUUGUUUGAAAUUGUACAUGUGAUGAGCCUUGGGCGGAUAGGGGAAACUCUGUCCGUUCGGCGUCUGUUUGACAUGCUCGGGCCGGCCCAAAUUGGUAUCGGUCCCGGGGCGUGACACAGGUGGAGGAGCAGCCGAUUCCAGUCCCCGACGACGUCGUGGCAGGUAUUGUUCUUAUCAGAGGCACUAGAGCUAGAGCUACAUUUGACACGGGUGCAUCUCAUUCAUUCAUUGAUGCAUCAUUCGCUAAGACUCAUGACAUAGAGAUCACACAUAAUGAAGAGUAUUGGUCGGUGAAUACUCCGGAGCAUUCGUUUCAUGUACAUGACGAGUGCUUGGCGUGUCCUGUACAGAUAGGCGAUUGGAUCAUGCCGAUCAACCUUUUGGUAUUGAAUCAAAUAUGGGGCUUCGAUCUGAUCUUGGGGACCAACUGGCUCUCCAAGUACUACGCGGUCAUAGAUUGUGAAAGUAAGGUGAUCACGUUCCGUGAACCUAAUCAAGAAGAAUUGGUAUAUCGGGCUUGUAAAAGUAGGCGCUUCGCGGCGACCAUAUCGGCGGCGAGAGCGAGGAAAAUGAUUAAGGGUGGUUGUAAGGCCUAUUUGGCGACCAUCGUAGAUGCCCAAAAGGAGUACCCGAAACUUGAAGGUAUUUGGGUAGUAUGCGAGUAUCCGGAUGUGUUUCCGGCGGAGUUACCGGGAUUGCCACCGGACCGGGAAGUCGAGUUCGUCAUUGAUUUGAUUCCCGAGGCGGCGCCAAUUUCGAAGGCUCCGUAUAGAAUGGCACCUGUUGAGCUAAAGGAGCUAAAGGCCCAGUUGCAAGACUUGCUCGAUAAGGGCUUUGUGAGACCGAGUAUGUCUCCGUGGGGAGCUCCGGUGCUAUUUGUAAAGAAAAAGGAUGGCAGCUUCGACUUUGCGUUGAUUAUCGCGAGUUGAACAAAGUGACGAUCAAGAACAAAUACCCGUUGCCAAGGAUUGACGAUUUGUUCGAUCAGUUGCAAGGGUCAAGGGUAUAUUCGAAAAUUGACCUUCAAUGGGUAUCAUCAAUUGAAGUUACGGCCCAAGGAUGUGCACAAAACGACGUACCGUACGCGGUAUGGCCACUAUGAGUUCACAGUCAUGCCAUUCGGGCUUACAAAUGCCCCGGCGGCUUUUAUGGACUUAAUGAAUCGAGUCUUCCGUCCGCUAUUGGACGGGUGCAUCGUCGUAUUCAUUAACGACGUAUUGGUAUAUUCUCGAACCGAGGAAGAACACGAGGAGCAUUUGAGGAUCGUGUUGGAAACACUCUGAAAGGAAAAGCUUUAUGCAAAACUAAAGAAAUGUGAGUUUUGGCUUUCGGAGGUUACUUUCUUGGGUCACGUUAUAUCCGAUGAUGGCAUCUCGGUGGACCCAAAGAAAGUGGAGGCUAUUAAAGAUUGGCCUCGCCCGACAAGUGUAUCGGAGAUUCGUAGCUUUUUGGGGCUUGCGGGCUACUACCGGCGGUUCGUGGAAGGGUUUGCUAAGAUAACUACUCCACUAACGCGCCUUACCGACAAAGGGGUGAAGUAUGUUUGGAGCCCCGAGUGUGAGCGGAGCUUCGAGGAGCUAAAGGAAAGAUUGACGUCGACCCCGGUACUUGCUUUGCCGACGCCGGGGGAGAGCUAUGUAGUAUACAGUGAUGCCUCUUAUAUCGGUCUCGGGUGUGUUUUGAUGCAAAAUGGCCGAGUUAUAGCAUAUGCUUCGCGCCAAUUGAAGAGCUAUGAGAAGAACUACCCGACUCACGAUCUUGAGCUAGCGGCGGUUAUCUUCGCGCUAAAAUUGUGGAGGCACUACUUGUAUGGUGAGCAUUGUGAGAUCUACACCGAUCAUAAAAGUCUCAAAUACUUGUUCAUCCAGAAGGAAUUAAAUUUGCGACAGCGGCGGUGGUUGGAAUUGCUAAAAGAUUAUGAUGUCACGAUUCUCUACCACCCCGGAAAAGCAAAUGUCGUGACCGAUGCUCUAAGUAGAAAGUCGGCGGAGAAUUUGGCGACGGCAAUUACACCCCAACCGGCUUUGCAAAAGGAGAUGCAACGGUUUGGACUUGAGGUUGUGGUGCCGGGAGUGCCGGCAACACUUGCCACGUUGAUUGUACAACCGACUUUGUUGGAGAGGAUUAAAGAUGUGCAAGUUUUCGAUUCAUUUCUCCAAAAGGUGCGGGGUAAAGUUGAGAGCGGUAGUGCCGAUGAUUUUGGCAUUCGGACCGACGGUGCACUACGAUAUCGGAAUCGUUGGUGCGUGCCCAAGGACGAUGAUCUUCGGAGGGCGAUUGUGCAAGAAGCGCAUCAAUCUCCCUAUAGCAUUCACCCGGGCGGCACUAAAAUGUAUCAAGACUUGAAGCUACAUUAUUGGUGGCCGGGCAUGAAAAAGGACAUAGGGGAGUUUGUGGCACAAUGCCUCACGUGCCAACAAGUAAAGGCGGAAUGGCGAUUCCCGGCGGGAAAGUUGCAAAGUCUACCUAUACUCGUGUGGAAGUGGGAAAAUAUCGAUAUGGACUUUGUGAUCGGGUUGCCUAGAUCCCAAAGCGGACAUGAUGCGAUUUGGGUAGUUGUGGACCGGUUUACGAAAUCGGCACACUUUUUGCCGAUCCACACUACUUGGUCGGGAGACAAGUUAGCUCAAGUUUAUCUCGACGAGAUUGUGAGACUUCACGGGGUUCCGGUAUCAAGUGUAUCGGAUCGGGACUCGAGGUUCACAUCACAUUUUUGGAAGAGCUUGCAAGAUGCAUUGGGUACACGGCUCGGCUUUAGUACGGCAUUUCAUCCUCAAAGUGACGGUCAGUCGGAGAGGACUAUUCAAAUACUUGAGGAUAUGCUUCGAGCGUGUGUACUUGAUUAUAAGGGCGGAUGGCACGAUCACUUACCGAUGGCGGAAUUCGCAUACAACAAUAUCUAUCAAGAAAGUAUCGCGAUGGCGCCAUUCGAGGCCCUUUACGGAAAGAAGUGUCGCUCGUCGAUUCAUUAGAGCGAUGUGGGCGAGAAGGUUGUUCUUGGCCCCGAGGUUGUGCGGGAGGCGGAGGACAAAGUUCGCCUUGCCCGACAAAGAUUAGCGACGGCGCAAUCGAGGCACAAAAGUUAUGCCGACAAGCGAAGGAAAGACAUUGAGUUCGCGGUUGGAGACCGCGUAUUUCUAAAAGUUUCGCCAAUGCGAGGAGUCAAGAGAUUCGGUGUCCGCGGGAAGCUAAGUCCCGGAUUUGUCGGACCCUUUGAGAUCUUGGAAAGGGUUGGUGCGGUGGCUUACUGUCACGCCCGGGUAUCAGCGGAAGCCUACCCGGUAUGUGCACAGACCCGCCAUACACCUGCAGUAUAUAAGGCGUUUACAAGGAAAACAUGUCGGCAGAAGGAAUCAUAGAAGAAUCCUAACCUGAUAUCAGAGCAAAGUAUAAGUCAAUAAUAUCACUAUCCGAAGAACAGUAAGUCUACAAUCCAAAAUAUCAACAUCAUAGAGAAAACAUCAAACUGUAGUUCCCGGUUCAAACCACACAGACAUCACAGGGUCCCUCAAAAUAUACAUACAAUGGUAGUCUCUCUAUACACGGGUACAUCACCCUCGGCCGUAGCCCGAGUAGCAAGGUGAUCAUCUAGUGAAGCUCCAAGCUAUAUCUAGCUAGCCGCGACUUCCUUGCCACGAUCCCUAGCCUCUCCUGUAGCAGAUGGCUCUGUAAAAGCAACAACAAAAGGGCGUGAGAACUAUUAAACAAUAGUUCCCAAUGGGUAAGCCGCCAGCCUCGUCGAAUUACACCACUAGGCUCAUGAUGUACUACUUGGAAAGUAAAAAUAGUUAUAACAUGAUAGUUUAUCAACGAUAAAUAACUAUGAAUGUGUAUCAUGCUGUCAGAUAUAUCUAUCAAGUAGAACAAGUAAAGUAAUCGCAAUGAACAUAAGUAUGUCACUUAAUUGUACACUAUUCGGUGAUGAUCAGCUAUUGAUGCCAUUAACACUUUAGUUUAAUCCAUAGGAACCUACUCAAGGUAGUCCCGCUUGCGCCGCGCCUGAUGGCCCCGUGGUAGUAUACACUCCCCACGGCAAUCCACUUCGGCACCCAAUCCCGCACAGGCGAGCAAUCUGUCGCGUAGGCCAACUCCGGAGUGCCGGCUUGUGGGGAGCGACCCUCACAAGCAUGUGCGAAUGAGCACAAUGGCAAGCAAGCACAAUCCAUAAGCUAAUAAUUCUCAGUUAUCAUGGGCUAACAUAUAAGGUUCUUGCUCUCGACCUUUAGGUUGGGUUUCAAUAUGAAGACGGCUAGUAUCCUCUAAAUUAAAUGACCAUAUGAGAGUAAUAUGUAUUUACAUAUAUUAUUUGUAUCAGCAACCAAUCGAAAAUCAAUAUAUGUAAGUGUACUGACAACCAAAUCGCAAACUGAUUGUUUGGUCCCUUACUUAAUAUAAGCAUAAUAAAGUCACCCAUUGCUUAUGCAUUUAAACAGAAUAUGAAGACCUUUACUCAUGAUUCUCACUAUUUCAUAGUGGCUUCAUCAGAUUAUAUGAAGUGAGCAUGCCCGUGGUACCAAAUGCCCUUAAUCUAGUUCUACCCCACAUAAUUACACAUAAUUAGUAGUUUAGCAUCAUAUAAACAUAGAGAAAAUUCACUUGCUCUGGUGAGGUCCGACCCACCUAUUAGUCGCCGACUUCGUAAAAUACACUCUUGUAUGUGAAACCUAGAGUUUCCGAACCCCCCCUAACACAGGAUCAGAGUUAGCCACAAGCUGAAUUUAAUGUCAAAGGUAAAACUUCACAUAAUCACAUGUUAAGGCUAAAUUCUCACCUAGGUUUAGUCUAAACUAAACUUCUGCUUUAAGUCAAGUUGAGCCCUCCUCAGAUCAGCCCAACUUCAGCUUCAAGGUCUUAAUAAUUAUCUUCAAAUGUUCACCAACCUACUGCACUAUAAUUGUGAAUCACCUCGCCAAACCGUAUAGAAUCUAGUAUCGAAUGUUAAAUUUCAGCAACCUUCUUACCUUGUGCCAGGCUGCAGCUCUAAUCUCCUGUUUCGGUUCAAGUGAAGACACUAGAUUAACCGUCACAAGCUCCCAAAAUUCAGUCGAGAACUAUCUAAUACCCUGUCACAAGCCUGCUGCGAAUUAGCCUCAAAACAGUCUUACUAUUCUUAGAAAACCAUGUAUUAUAAGCUGAAAUCUUACUUGUUUAAAUUCCCCACGAAAAAUUUCUACUUUACUAAAGAUAGAAGUACUCCAAUUUAGUCUCAAAACUCAUCAACUCCGCUCAAAAGAGUAAGUAAACCUGCUGCGAAGUCAAGUGUCAAUACUAUUUUGCUUUACACCAAACCCUUCAGCUAAGGGGAUUACUAAAUAAUACACCUUCGCAGAUUGAAUAGUACCUUUCUCUAGCUUCAAUUUGAAGCUCCACAGUCCAAGCCUCCUUCCAAAGCUGCAGAAUGUUCUUUCUCUCUCUGUUUACACAGCUAGUAACACCAAAACCCCAAUAUUACACUAAUUCAUCAUUAUGCUUCAAACUAAGGAAUAACUACUAGUUUACCUCUCCAAAGCUUCAACCGAGUUACAGCUAGGUUCAAAGCUGCGAAGUGCUCUGCCAGGCUUCUGUUCCUUCCUUCCGUAGCAACUCCAAAGUGCUCCCAAUCAGCUAAAAUCGAACAAUGAAAGAAAUUUCAACUUAAACCAUUAUUUCCCAUGGUAGAGAGAGAAACCCUAGAGAGAGGAGAGGAAAAUCUAUUCAACCUCUUUCUCAAGGCUCCUGCAACCCUUCUACAGCUGCAGGGGUCGAGCUACCUCUUAAAGAUAAGAUCAAGAAGCCAAAAGACCAAAAGAUCCCUGCUGCCACGCACCUACUGCUGCUGCUGCUUGCUGUACCGGUACAACAUUAAUGUUGUACCGGUACAACAUUAAUGUUGUACCGGUACACAAUGCAGAAAUUUGAAAGUAAUGCCACAGCAAUGCACUUUCUUGCUUCCCGCACUCCGAUCACACCCAAACUUGGUCACCAACUCCUCUAAACUCUUUAGAACAUGUAGGAUGGUUCCAAUUGUCAUUCCCAUACUCGAACUUCGCAAUUUGCUAAAGUUCAGUAUAUUACACUUACAAAGUAGCAUUACCACCGAGGCUUGCGGGGGUGCACGACGUGUUUCAUGUAUCCAAUCUCCGCAAGUAUGUCCAUGAUCCGGAGCAUAUUCUCUCGUAGAUACCGAUUGAGCUUCAAGAAGAUAUGACUUACGAGGAGUUCCCGGCGUACAUUGUUGAUCGGGAGGUGCGAAAGCUACGGAAUCGUAAAAUUCCAUAUGUUAAAGUUCAUUGGAGCGAACACGACGAUCGGGAAGAAACGUGGGAGCUUGAUGAUGCGAUGAGAGAACGUCAUCCUCAUCUCUUUGCGGAACUGCAUUGAGGUAUGAAACUCAAUUUCAAUAAGUAGUUUUGCGAACGAAACUAAUUUUAAGGGGUGGAGAAUGUAACAUAUUGAAAUCCGGAAGAAAUUAUCGAACUUUAGCCAAAUUGACUAAAGUAUGCGAAAAAGUUGUAUGGACAAGUUGCUUUUAGCAUUCCAAUGGUGUUGGAAGGGCUAAAAGUAAGUUUAGAAAGAGUUAGAAAGGUUUUAGCAUCGACCGGCGCAAAGUAGAGUCGAAUCGGAGCUAAAACUGCAUUCUGGGCAAAGUGUACCGGUACAACCAUCAAGUUGUCACCGGUAACAGCCGAGCAGCCCGAGCAGAAUGAGCUCUCGGGUUUGAGAUUUUCGUAGGAAAUGUACCGGUACACCCCUGGUGUGUACCGGUACACUUUGGUGAAAUCCAAGGGAAAUGCUCUCGGGUUGCCUCUGCGUAAUGGUGUUACCGGUGACAGCAUCCCGUGUAUCGGUACACUUUGGUAUGGCAGCAACAUUGAGGUCUGCUGUAAAUUGGACUAUUUGAGGGGUUUAGUUGUAAUUGUUAGAACAUGUUAUUAGCCCAACCCUUCUCUCCUUCACAGCCAUCACCCCACCAUUCUCUCCCCCUCUCAUUUUCCUCUCUCUCUCUAGAAAGCUUGAUCUAGGGCAAGGUGGAGAAGGAGAAGAAGGAGGAUCAAAAGGAAUUUUGGGUGGCUUUGGUGGUUCUUGGAGCUCUCCUACAAGAAGGAUCUUGGGAUAGCUCUUGGCCAAGGUGAGUUUCUUGCAAGUAGAGUUCUAGGGUUCGGAUUUUUACCUUAGAACUUGGAGUUUUGAUCCUCUAGCAAGGCUGGGAUCAUUGUAGAGACCUUAAAACCAUGAAAAUCCAUGGUCCUUCAAGGUGCUCUCAUGGUGGUUAACUAGGGAUCAUGCUACAUGCCCUAGGAAUGGUCUAAAUAGUUUGGAAACAAGAUCAGAGAGCUUCCUAGGUGAUUCUAAGCUAUCCUUUGCUUAGGAAUAAGAUCAAUUUAGGAAAAAUUUGAAUAUGGCAUUGUUAGGGCAUGAAAAUUGGGGCUUUUGCCCUAGAAUUUUUCCAAGGCAAAUUGACCUCUUAGAAACCUAAUUGGUGUUAUUCCCGACACGUUGGACAACUCCGUUCGACGUUACGAAAAUGUCUAAAUAUAGUUUGUGUAUAUAGGGCCUAAUUUGGCACUAUUUUGGUUAUAGGACGCGGAUUCGGCGUUCGUAAAGUUCGGGUGUCACGCCCCGCCCCGAAACCACUACCAAUUUGGCACGUUUCGGUCACGGCGACAGACCGCCAAACCGACAGCACCUCCCCUGUCCGCCCAAGGCUCAACAACAGGAAUGUGUACAAGAAUUUACCCAGGACUUUAAAUUCUAGACAUACACAUUCAACGAGGGCACGAACAAUGCCAACAACAAGAGAGCAAGUAAUCCACAAGAUAUAUGAGUGAAAUAAAGAGAGUACUUUACUAACUAUUACAAUAGUUGCAUUCUUUACAUUUACAUCAAUUCCCAAAAUGGAUACAUUUGAUCCUCAAAAUACAUAGCUCUCCAACCUCACCUACAUGAAUCUCUCUCAAAACAUAGGUGUGCUAAUGCAGAUAGGAAAGCUACUAUACUACCACGGUCUCACUGAUCGGGCGCGAUGCCCUUGCCGCGGUCCUCUCUCGGUAACCCUGUACCUACCACUGGAAAUAGAGUGGGGUGAGAACUAUCUUCCAUAGUUCCCAGUGGGCUCGGCCGCCGACUCUGCCGAUCUCCCCACUAGGUCCAAGUGGGCACAAGCAACAACAGGUAGAUAGAUAGAUAGAUAUCUGAAAGCUGUAAAUGCGGUAGUAGGAAAACUAUGCUACUAUGCCCAUAAUCAUGAAUAUGAAUGCAUGCAUCAUAUAAUAAAGGUUUGCUACCAUGCUAACAAAUUCGAUCCAUGUUCGAAUAGCUAUGUUCAAUGACAUUUAUCAACCUUUAACCUUUCAUUUACCACCAAUCUGUGGCGAGGCCCCUAGGCUCGCCCGAUAAAUCAUCUUUCAAUCCCUAAAGUGGGGGAGGGAGCUCCAAGUGACCAAGCCGGGACGCCGUCUUGCGACCUCCAUGUGGUCGCGACCUCCAAAGGGUGCCUAUCGCGGGCGACACUCCGGAGUACUCGACGAAUCCCCUCCAUGUGGGGAUUGGAUGGCUAUGCCACCCUACAACUAGACGUGGAGCUAGAUCUAUCUCUCCAUGUGAGGAUGACACUGUAACUAGGUCAACACCCAAUCCAAAUCCUCUCCAAGUGAUGAGCUCUAAACUAGAGUCAAUAACCCAAUCAAAUCGCUUCCAAGUGAGGAACGCACACUCUAUAACUAAGAGUCAACAUCUCUCGCGGGACUCAUUUGUUUCCCGACAUUCAUGCAAGGCCCUUUAGCUUUCUAAAUUCUAUUGUUACCAAGGCAAUUUUCUAAGGAUCCACCUAUCCUAGGUCCAUCGACUUCUAGUUGUCAUUACACUACAUUAAUGCACUCGUCAUCAUUCUACAUUUGGAUGCCACUCGUGUGUUCUUUAACACUCAAACAACUACUUUCUAUGUCAUCAAUACCCCAUCGGUUCACUCUAUUUUCUUUUAGCAUCAUAGAUCCACGUCGGACCCAUCCUCACCUAUCUAAGUUACCAAGCGUCCAAUACCUAGGUUAUCAUUAGAAAGCAUACAGGAAUGGGCUACUAUGCAAUGACUACAAUGCGACAUGCAUAGAUGAGUAAUGCACAUCUAAGACAUAGAAAGGAGUUCGAUUAAGCUUCGAGAUGACACCCCCUCACUUUACCAAACGUAAGAGGCUUUAGAAGCGCUCCUCGCGAGCUUUACAAAAGGCUUUGCCUUCCCUAAUCCAAGAUAGCCCGAAGACGACCGUAAUUCCGCGAUUGUUCAAGCCGCUGACGAUAUCGCGAAUAAUUCGACUUCGCCCCUUCGGCGCGUUUGGCACUCUAUCGAUGAGGUUUACAAGGCCUCAAAUGAGAUCAAUUACAUCUUUACAAAUGCCCCAUUUGAGUCUCAGGUUUGCACAUAGACAAACCACCAAUAAAAACUAGAUAUCUUGGAUUGAUCUCAUUAGAACAUGCUUGGGUCCAUUUGACCAUGUCCAAAGCAUAAGAACCCAAAAAGCCUAAGUUACAGAGCUAGGGUUAGUAGCUACCUCAAGAGCUACACCAAUGAAAGAAGGGAGACUGGAGGUCUCAAGACACUUCCUCUUGACUCCUUCUUCUUUUCCUUCCUCUCCUUCUUGUUCUCCUUCUCCUUCUUUCCUUUCUAGAGAGAGAGGGAGAGAAAUAGAGAGAUGAGAGUGAAAGAGAGGAAUGAGAGAGUGUGAGGGAGAGAGAGGGCCCAGCCCACUCUAAUAAAGGCCAUUUUGCAUUUAGACCCCUCAACUUUUAACCCCUUGCACAGCCCUCACUGGGCAGUUUUCGUGCGGAGGGACCGGUCUCCCCGACUUGGGACCGGUCCCCGAGAGCUUCCCUCGGGCGCACGCGUUCGGGAACCGAUCUCUCCCCGGGAGACCGGUCCUCGGGAGACCGGUCCUCACCUGAGAGACCGGUCCCCGAGAGCUCAAUUUUCAGGACUUAGCCAAAUUUCGGCAUUUCUCGCUGGAAACACGUUCGGGAACCGGUCCCUCCCUGCCAGGGACCGGUUGCACCUUGCAACCCCGCACGCCCAGCUGAUGGAACCGGUCUCUCACCUCCAGAGAUCGGUCCCCGAGAGCAACUUCAGCCCAAUAAUGCUGUUUGCAUCAUUAGCUCUCGUGGACUCAACUUCAAAGCACUUUUUGUGUUUUGGACAUUUUAACUUCCCCAGAGGGUAUUCUCUCGACAAAUAGUCGAUCCUGGACGAAGUAUAACUCUCGGAUUUCGAGAAUUCACUUCCUUACAUCGGGAGUCGUCAUAUUCUUCAUCUACUACCACUCGAGGUGGGGGGUGCACACCGGAAUCAUCGGAUUUCCCUUCAUGUCUAUUUCGCCUUUUGUUGAGCAUACUAUGUAUAGAACCAUUCAUGCAUGUAGGGUAAAUUUCACAUGUGAAACUUGAUUAGACAUCAUUUGUAUGCUUCUAAUGUAGUUGGACAUAGAAAAUGAUAGAAUCAUAAUGGAUAUGUAUGUUGAGACCCUAAACUUGUAUGAAUGUGAGACUUGGACUUGGACAAUAGUUAACAAAGGUGACAUUGACAUUAGAGACAUGAUUGGCAUUGAGAAAUUGAUUGUUAAACAUAGUUUAACCAUAUUGACACUGUGGCAAGAAUGACCUAGAGAGUGGCAUGAACAAAUAGGUAAAAACCUAUUAUGAUAGUGGCAUUGUGGCUAGUGGCUAUACAUUCCCUAAGUGGGAAUUGGAUCGAUACUCGCGAUAAGUCUUGGCUUGAGAGUGGUAGCUGCCCCUAAAGCGGUGCGUUCCGGAAUUGUCACCACGGGGAGCGCGGUCCCCGAAGACGGUCCCUCGGGUCUUGUAGUGCUUAGAGCCUCCCCGAAUAAAACGGAUUUUGGGUUAUGAGUUAUUGGGGUUAACAAGGUUAACCGGUAAGAUUGGGUAAAAGCCAAAGUAAAAUCAUGGAAAAGCAUGCAUGCAUAUUUAAUAUUGCUUUGAUUAUAUAUAUCCAUUGACAGUUUUCUUGCAGACUUUGUAUUAGCAUUAGUAUGGUUACUACUUUCCUUUCCUUAGAAAUACUUAUGCCUGAAUAGACCUAGUGGGUAAGUCAGUGAGGUCGGUUGCCGAACCCACUAGAAAUUCCGUUGUAGUUCUCACACCACUAACCCUACAGGUCCGAGCGCGAGCGGGGCGGCGGAGGACCGUGGCAAGGGUAUUGCGCCAUAGCUAGUGGCCACCGGAGUACUUGCAUUUUAGUCAUUCCCUUUUUGGUUCAUGUAUCAACUUUUCUUUUAUUGAUUUAUAGAUGUAAAAGUUGAAAACAAUUCAUAUAUUUUGGUGGAAUGAUUAAGUUGUAUAAGAAUUAUGGUUGAAUGGAAAAAGAUGUAAAAGUUUUAGUUCACUUGUAUUUGGUUUAAAUUUAAUCAAAUAUCAUAUAUGAUUGUAUGUUUAGCUUAGAGCUUUCGCUUCCAUUGUUGCUUGCCCUCGUGCAAGCCUUGUAUAAUUACAAAAACUCUUUGUUGUUUGCUUAAUUAUACUUGUUGUUUGAGCCUUGGGCGGACAGGGGAGAUGUUGUCCGUUCGGCGUCUGUUGACGUGACCCGAACCGACCAAAUUGGCGGGGAUUGGGGCGUGACAAAUAGUAUACACGUGAUACUCAUUAUAAUUUAUCUCUAGGUUUAUAUAGUCACCAUAGCUUUAGAACCCAAGAGUUUCAUUGCCAACCCACUCUUCAGGCCAAUUACAAUAAAUCCUAUCCAAGGAUUAUGAUCAACCUAUCUCAGGUUUGAUGCCUCUCACUACUGAUUUCUCUACUGAAAACCCUCCUCGCAGCCGCACCACGCUACGCGACAUCCACGACACUCCUUUUUUUUUGGAGUUCAUGGUAACCAAGCUUUAGCAAGCAAGAAACCUAAGCUAAAUCCCUUUUGCAAGUAAUUACCAUGAGCUUUAACAAAGGGGAUAACAAACCUUACCUCAGAUUUUGAAGCUCCUACAGGUUUUCCUGUUUCUUAAGCUCUUCACCACCCAACAACACAACUUCUCCAAUUUUUUUCUUCACCUCAUCUCAGAGAUCUGGUUCCUCCAGAUUUUCUUGCUCAAUGGUUUCCUCUCAGCUCCAACCUCCAAAUCCCUCAAGAAUCUGCUUCAAAAAAACCCUCUCGUGUGACUUCUAGAGAGAGAAGGAAAGGAGAGGAAAAGAACAAAGAGAAAAGAGAGAUAGAAGGUUCAUUACGUAUGUCAACAGGUGGAGGGUUGCUGGGUUUUAAAGAUAAGAUCGACAAAUUGCAAUAAAACCCCUCUAAAAGCGAAAACUGCAUUGCAGUCCUGGGCAAUUCGGGUGCUGGUACCAGUACCACAUUGCACUGGUACCGGUACCAAGUGCAAUUCCUGCACUGGCAGCAGCUGGCAGCAGCUUCGAUUCGAGGCCGUUUCGCACUUCCACUUUGCUCCGAAUCCCCUCAAAUACUUUUAAUACAUGCCAACAACCAUCCAUAAGCUCUCAAUUAAUUUGGGAACAUCCCAAAUUACAUUCUUGCAUUAUCUUGAUCCAAUUGAUCAAGAUUAGCCAGUGCAAUCUUGCACCUGGCAGCAACUUCACUCCACGUUCAAUUCACGUGACUACUUCGCACCGAACUCCUCUAAACCCUUCCACAACACACCAUUAGCUAUUCCCACAACUCCAAUUUAAUUCGGGGAUACUACCAAUACCCUCAUGCUCCACUUUGAUUUAUUUACUCAAAGUUAACCUUAUAAUCCGAAAAUUCGCUUUAGAUUUCGUUUCGCACUCAACUUGCGCCGAAACACUCAAUUAUCUCCAGAAUUCAUUCCCACACAUCCAAAAUUACUCGGGGAAGAUAUACAUUUAAUCCAAACCUCUCUUUGAUCCUUCACAUCAAAAUUAGCAUCGCAACUCGGUUUCCAUAUAUUACAUCAUUGGACAAUUGGCAAGUUCUCAUUAGUUUAUUAUUUAAUUGAUGACGUCACUAUCUGUUUUUGUUAGAUGUGACCCAACUGCACUAAGAAUUCAUAUAUUUCAUAGAUAGAUACUAUAUAUAGAUAGGUAAUAACUUAAAAAUUAAAAUUUAGUUAAAUAAACAUUAUAUAAUAUUUUAAAAAUAAUAAAUUGUAACGACCUAGCCCACUAGCAAUAAUAACUCGUUGGACCCAACCACUGGCCCAAAAUACUUAAGCCCAGUUAUUAUUACUAGUGUCUAAGUCUCUUAUAUACUCAAUCACAUCCCCAUUUCUAUCGGAUGUGGGAUUAUUAGGGUGUGACAUAAAUAAAAAGUUUUUUUGCAUAAAAAUUUAUUAGUUGUGUGACUUUGCAAGCUCAGAACGUCAUUUUGGCUUUUUACACAUGUAAGCUGAAUAUUUUAUAAAGUCAUCAAAUUACUCUUAUUCAUCUUUUUCUCUCUUUUUUCUCUUGUUCGUUUCUCUUCUCCUUCUUCUCCUCCUUCAUUGCCAUUGCCUCAUCACGCUCUUUCCUGCCUACCUCGCCCAUGUCUUCGCCGCCGUCACUCGCCUCCAACCCCAACGCCCUCCCCCUCCUCCUCGGUGCCCUUGUCCUUAUCGCACAACGACAUAGCUCAACAGAGAGCCUCAAUAUGGCAGUCAACAUGAAGUUUGCCAUCGCGCAAAAACAGCAAUAGCACAUCGCCGCGCACUGAGUGAUUCAUCUAGGUGCUAUCCAUUGACGACCACCUUAGCUGUCAUGGCAACGGCGAAGCCAUGACAGAGGAAAGGCGGAGGUGUAGGCGCAGUGGUGGCGCAAGGGGCUACACAUUAUUUGACCAUAUAUCUGCUUCUUUAUAGUAUGAAAACAACAACAACAAUAAGGUACAACAAGAAAAGUAAGAAGACGAAAGAGGGACAUAGACGAAAAAAAAACCACGAAAAAAUUGUAUUAUUUGAGACUAAUAUGUACUAUUUAAAACUAUUUGUAUUGUUUGAAACUGUAUUGCAACGUUUAAUAAAUUAUUGGACCAAUACAAAUAAAAGACAUGUUGCACUAUUUUGACAGUAAUACUCUUUCACUGUUUAAUAUUUUACUUAUCAAAUAGUCUAAACAUAUAGUCAAAUAGUGCAACAUGUAUUCUAAUUGUACAACAAUUUUUUAAAUAUAGUAAUACAAUUUCAAAUGGUGCAAUAUUUUAAUUUAUUUAAUAAAAAAAGAAAAAGAAGAAUAAUAAAAAAUUAUAUUUUUUUUAAUUUUUAUUUUACAGUUUGUUGCACUCAUUCUCCUAUCUUCUUUCUCUCUUACCAUCAUCGCUUUGCCACCGCGGCUUAUCUCGUAAACCCGGUCUAAAGCCGCAUAAGUCCCUAAGCAGCCUCAAAGAGCUCUUGCAUGGUGGACGCAAGGAGUCUUGCAGUGUCAUAGAGCACGAGGUACACCUACUACUCCAUCUUCGACGAAAUGUUGCGAUCCAAACUCGAGGGUUGUGGAGGAAGCACUUGCGCUUUCAGGAACGCCCUAUUUGGCGGUAGAUGUAUGUGACCCAAUAGUCCCACGUCGAGUAGUUAUGACUAGAUGUGGGAGUAUAUAAGUUUGAUUGGGCUAGACAUAAUAACUGGGCUUAAGCAUUUUGGGCCGGUGGUUUUGGCCCAACAAGUUAUUAUUGCUAGCGGGUCGGAUCGUUACAUUUGGUAUCAGAGCCAGUUCACCAGCCGGAAGUGUGAGAUGAGUUUUGGCUGAGCCAGGGUCGGAAUGACAGAUUAAGCCAGGGUCGGUGAUUGACAGGUUAAGUUAUGAUCAGUGUAACACACUGGACUUUCGCAAAUGGCAAGGUUCGAGUGUUUGAUCUGUGUUCCGAGUUUUUCCAGAUAUUCUGGAGGGUCGUCGACAGUGUUCCGACCUAUGACUCGCAUCCCGAGAUUCGUGGUUUAAAAUUUAGCACCAAAACCCAAAAAGAUGGAUUUUUAGUUUGCUCUCGGAUUAGCCUCAGCAGGGCUAUGUACCGGUACAGCCUUGAUGGUUGUACCGGAACACAUUUUGUACCAGUACACUAUGAUUGUUGUACCGGUACAGAUGACUAUUUUCUGCCAACCCGAGCCUCGGGUUGGCGUGUACAGGAUUUUGUACCGGUACACUUUCCCGUAUACCGGUAUACUUUCGCAGAUUACGAACUGGCAGUUCUGCAGGGGUGUUUUCGCUAUUGUAGCAAUUCUACAUAUGCCCCAUGCCCCUUUGCUGGUCUCCUGAGCUGGAAAACACAGGAGGACAAGGUGGGGAGCCCUUCUCUUCUCCUUUUUUGAUUAUUUUCCUUUUUUGCUUGGUUUUUAGUGGAUUAAUCCAUUCUUUUGCUCUCUUUUUGCGUUUGGGUGACUUUUCCACCAUGGGAGAAGUCUUGAAGCUAGGAGCAAGGUUUCUUUGAGGGAAGGAUCUCAACCCUAGCUGGUUUCUAGGUUGGUUUGAAGCUUCUAAAGAGGUUAGUAGCUUAUUUCCCUCAUUUGAUCCAUGAUUUAGUUGAUUUUUGCUAGAAACCCUUGAAAUGAGGAAUUAGGGUUUGAUAUGGGGAUUUUUGAUCUAGAGCUUUUGGAGCUCAAUUGAUUGGAUUAGAGCCUUCCUCUAGGUGGGAUUGGAAGGGUUCUAGCUCCCAUUUGGAGCAUGUGAAGGGAUUUCUUCACUAUAGGUGAGUUUUUGCCCUUUUGUCGAGUUGGUUAUUGAUUGAACUAUGUGUUGUUCGUAACGUUCGUGUGACACUCCUAGUUUAACCUUUAAGGAGCUAGGAAGCUUGUGGGCACCUUCGUCGGCGCAAACAAAGGCCGCGUGGAACUCUUGGUGGGUUUGGCCUCACCAAAAUGGGAUAAAUCAUCCCUAUGAUGGUUUUUACUUUCUGUAAAAUGAAAAUGCAUGCAUAUUCUUACUAGAUAGAAUAUUUAAAAAUUUUAGAAUGCUUAAUAUGUGCAUGUUAUGUGUAAGUACAUUGGACCUCUCUUUAGUAGAGAACUGUUCAGGAUUGGAACCUUGCAUAUGGUUAGCAUUCUUACAUUUGAUUGAGAUCAUGUUGCAUGUAGUGCAUAUGACAUGUAGCUUACAGUCUUGGACUUAGAAUGCAUGCUUGGCAUGGUUGGAGAUAUUGUCAUUAAGUGACAUAGGUUAGAGUGUAAGUAGUAAGCUAAUGUCAUAAAGCGGCAUUAGGCUUGGACUAGAGAUUGGACUUGGUAAGCUAAUGUCAUAAAGCGGCAUUAGGCUUGGGAUGGUUUUGGACAUAGUAAGAUAAUGCCAUAAAGAGGCAUUGGACAUAAUGAACUCAGUAAACCUUCACUUGAGGCAUAGACUAGACCCUCGGGGUUACUAGUGAGCAUUUUCAUGUUAGAGACAUGAUGACUGUUGAGUUGCUAUUCCAUGUUAGAGACAUGAUGACGAGAUCCGUGAUAUGAUGACUAUGAUUACUUGCCAUUUGUACUCAUUCGCACAUGCUUGUGAGGGUCGCUCCCUACAAGCCGGCACUCCGGAGUUGGUCUUUUGCGACGCAGUUCGCGCGUGCGGGAUUGAGACGCCUGUAGGGUCGCGUGGGACAGUCUCAUUCCAGAGUGGGAUGAUGAGCUACCACGGGCAGCUAGGCGGCGAGACGCCUGUAGGGUCGGGUGGGACAGUCUCAUUCCUCGAGGGGGAAUGUUGGAGCUACCACCGGCAGCUAGGCGGCACAAGUUGGACUACACAUGUGUAGGUCCUGCAUGAGAUUGAAUGAUGAACCUUAAUCAAUUAAAUGACAAUCACUACUUGAUUAGUAUAUCGUAGUUGGAUUUAGUUGACAUUGGGAUUUGUGGUACCCUUAGUUGCCAUGAUAGUACAUACUAGAUAUGUAUUGAAUUUUGGGACAUAUUGUAUACUUGAUAGUAAUACUUGUUGCAUAACAGCUUACUUGGUAGUCAUGAUAGAGCAUACUUGUUAUGUAUCGGCAUAUUGGAUUCAUGAUAAAGUAGAUGUAUUUCAUGUUCAUAUCAUAUAUACUUGUGGCAUAGUAGUAUAGCAUUUCAAUAUAUGCUUUUAUUUCCGCAGUUGUUAUUUCGUUAUCUAUAUCUACUCAUGAUUUGCUCCUAGUGGUGCAUUUUGCUAAGGUCAGUAAUUGCCCACUGGGAACUAUAAAUUAUAGUUCUCACGCCCCCUGUUUUAUGUUUUCUUUCAGAGCCUUCCACUCCGGAAGAGGCUCGGGAUCGCGGGAAAGGUUUCGCCUCGAGUUAGCUAUCGAGGGAUUUGGUGAUAGGUGGUCCACCUCUCUUUUUUUUUUUUUUGAGAGGUUGUGAGAGUUUUGUACCUGGUUAUAGAGACCACCCUGCUUUUGUAUCUUGAGAUUUAUGAUGUAUUAGUUUACUUUAUGCUUUAGUGAUUUAGUUCUCUUUCGACUCUACUUGUUGUUAGAACUUAGCUGUAUACUCGCUCUGAUAUCUCUAGAUGUUUGUAUCACAGGUUUAUUUAUCGCUUUUGUUGCAGACGUCUUAUAUGUGCAGACAUAUGGCGGGUCUGGGCACGCACCGGGCGGGCCUAUGCCGGGUCCCGGGGCGUGACAAUCAGAAUGACAAAGGCUAGCGAGACAAGUCUCACAUCACCUAAUGAUCUUGGGCUGUGUGUGUGUUUAGGGCUGACGAGGAUGUCAGGGCCUAAACGAUAGUCCCACAUCGAGUAGUUAUGGCUAAAUGUGUGAGUAUAUAAGCUUGAUUAGGCUAGACAUAAUAACUGAGUUUAAAUAUUUUGGGCCGGUGGUUUUAGCCUAACGAGUUAUUAUUGCUAGCGGGUCGGAUCGUUACAAUAUCAAAGUCCUCGGUGAAGGCGGAGAGGCUAGAGAGAAAGUGGGAUUUGAGAGUGGGGUCCAAAAAAAGGGAGGUGGUGCAAAGGAGAGAAAGUGGGAUUUGAGAGUGGGGUCCAAAAAAAGGGAGGUGGUGCAAAGGCGGUGGCGGUGGGAUGAGCGCUCGAGGCAGUCGGCGGCCAUGUUGGAGACAUGGACGAGAUAGGCGGGAAGCAGUGCAGUGAUGCCAGGUUGAUGGAGGAGUGUGACCGAGCGAGAGUAGAAAACUGAACAAGCGAGAAAGUGGAAUAAGUAAAGAUGUCCAAAAUAUCCGAUAUCCCAUACCCGACCCGGACCUUAUCCGGACCCGAACUGGACCCGAACCGGACCCGAUAAAAAAUGAAUAGUAUACGGAUAAAAAAAAUUACCCAUUAAAGUUUCGGGUAUGGGUCCGGAUAUUUUAUACCCAUACACGAUUUGGACCCGACCCGAACCUAACUUUUAAAUGGGUAGGGUCCGGAAUAAUUUUCAAAUCCGGACCCGGACCCGGACCCGGACCCGAUGAAAUAUCCAAUAAUAAAUAAAAAAAAAUAAACUUUUGAAGUUGAAGGAUCAAUUUUAAUAUGACUUAUAGAUGAUGAGUCACUACGUAUUUUCAUCCUAAUGAAACCCUAGCCGUCUCUUUUACUCAUUACUUUUUUCUAAUUUUUUUACUCUUUGUUUUCUACUCUUUUUUUUUUUCAUUUCAUUUCCGCCAACAAUAUUUCAUUGUUAUCAUCAUCAUCAGUGUCAUCAUCAUCAUCAUCAGCGACAAUAUUUUUUUUGAAUGAAUUUUAUUGGACGGUACAACUUAUUAGAAUGCGAGUUUUUUUAUAGUGGGCUUUAUAGUUUGUCUAUUAACUAUUUAAUAAAGUUUAUAAAAAAAAUAUAUUUAUACGGAUAUCCGUACCCGAUCUAGACCCGAUCCAUAUCCGGUCUUGAACGGAUAGUAUACGGGUAGUCACUACCCAGACCCGCUCAAAUAGACCCGAUGGGUAUAUUAGUAACUUUAGUACCCAGAUCCAGACCCGGCCCGAAGUUAAAUGGGUAAGGUAUAUAUAUUUUUUUGUAACCAUUUCUUUUUAGGGUAUGGGUACAGUAUAUUAAUUACCCAGACCCGACCCGGUCCACGGACAUCUUUAGGAAUAAGACCUUAAAAAGAUAAUUUGAUUUACAAAAUUGCAGAUAUAACUAGUAAAAUUUUCAUAAGGAAGAGCUAUAAAAAUUAUAUAUAUUUAAUUCUAUAUCUAAAUGUAAGUAGAUUGAAAAAACAAGGAUAGAAAAAUUACUAUAGUUUGCUUCAAAAUUAAUUACUGCUAUCCAAAAAUUUUUAAUAUUUGACAUAUAGGCUUUUUAAAAAAUUUAAAUUUAAUUUUAAAAGCUCAAACAAUAAAUUUUGAAGGCGCAGUAUAGGAAUACACUUUUUUUUUUUAUAUUUUUCCUACUCGUUGCGAGUCUUUAUUUUGACCACAAUUACCGGAGUAAUAGCAGCUCGUAAAUCUUCCUAAUAAUAAAAAUCUAUCUUUUAAAAAUAAAAAAGAUUUAAAAAUGAGCAGCAAAGUGCGCUGCAGCGGCAGCAAUAGGUCUGCAGCCAUUGUAAUUGUAGACGCAUAAAUUCCUCGCUCUUAUACCUGAAAAAAUAAGAAUAAUAAAAAUAUUAUAUUAUUAUAUAUAAAAUGUCUAUAUAAUAAUAAUAAUAAUGUACGCACUACGCACGAGAUAAUAUGAGGCAGCUCAUUAGACCAUAGACAUCAGGAGGGGCAGGGCAAGGUAAGGUAAGGUAGAGUGGGGCCCAUCCCCGUACGUAGACUGUGGUCGCGUGGGCCCCCCCGACUGUACCACACUCCUCGGGCCUCUGGCCCCCCGAAAGGAACAGUCACGUCGCUGUCGCCACCGCCAUUUUGGUGCUACUCCCUCCCAAGUCCCUACUACUACUCCUCCUCCUCCUCCUCCUAGUCCUCCCUCCCCGUUUUGGUAACCCCUCCCCAACCCCAAGUCUGAAAAAUCCUCCCCCCUACAGCUACUACUCGAACUUCCCUAUACCAUUCCUAUUUCUCCCUAUCGAUCGAUCUCUUUUGUUAAUGUUAAUUCUUGGCUUGGCGAUGAGAAUGUAGAAGGAGGAGGAGAAGGAGAAGAAGAAGAAGGAGAAGAAGAGGGAGGAGGAGAAGGAGACGACGACGAAGUACACUACUUGCACCUGCUACCUUCGUCCGGAAUGGCGGCGGCGACGCGCUUCGUAGCCGCGGUGGCGACGCUCCUCGCGCUCUUCGCCUGCGCCUCCGCGCUCCCCCGAGAAGGUCUCGCUCUCUCCUCUUUUCCCCUUCUGUGCAGCUCCAGCACCCUGUUUCUCUUGUGUGUAUAUAUGUUCCCUAACCUAACUAAGCGCUCGCUUCUCCGGAACGCGCGCAGCUGCGGCGCUCGUGGCGCUUAAGGCCUCCUUCAGCGACGCCGCCAACGCGCUUCUCGAUUGGAACCCUAGCGGCGUCGGCGUCGGCGGCGGCGACGGAGAUCACUGCGGGUGGAGAGGCGUCGUGUGCGACAACCUCACCUCCGCCGUCGUUUCAUUGUACAAAUAUAAAUAUAUAUAUAUUUUUUUAUUUAAUAUUUUUUUUUGAAUUUUUUAAUGUUUUAGUAGGGUGUACUUGUUUGUAAAUAAUCUGUUUUUGAUGUGGGUUUUUGUGAAAAAGGAACCUGUCGAACCUCAACCUGGGAGGGGAGAUCUCGCCGGCCGUUGGGAACUUGAAGAGUUUGAUUUCUGUGUAUGCUGCUUUCCGCUUAAUUUACACAAAACCCCCCGCAUUAGAGCUUAAUUAUUUUUUUGUUGUUCCGAGUGAUUUGACCCGUCUGAUUACUUGGAUUGUUUGAGGUGACUUGUUUAGUCGCUUUGACUCGAGCUUGGCUAUUGUGUUUUUAAUUUAAUAAUGUGUGGUUUCUUGUUGGGAUGCAGAGACUUGAAGGGGAAUAGGCUAACAGGGCAGAUCCCGGAUGAGAUUGGGGAUUGUGUUCCUCUGAAAUACUUGUAAAAUAACUCUUUAAAAACAUUUCUUUAUUCUUCAACGUGGUCCUUUAUUUUCUUUAAAGAAAAUAUAUUUGAGAUGGUCAUUGUCCUUUCGCUGGGUUUGAUUAGGGUUUCCCUUAAUUAAAAUAAUACAGGGAUUUAUCUGGGAAUGCGCUCUACGGGGACAUACCCUUCUCCAUUUCCAAGCUAAAGAACCUUGAGGAACUGUAAGCUUAAUCUUAUUUGCACCAGUGACGUGCUCUCUCUCUCUCUCUCUCGCUCUCUCUCUCUCUUUAAUUUUUGUUGGGCUUUUUAGGUUCUUUAAUUUCUUUGCUUAAUGGGCUAAUGUGGUGUAAGUUAUUACACGCAGGAUACUGAAGAACAACCAGCUCACCGGUCCCAUCCCUUCGACGCUAUCCCAGAUUCCCAACCUCAAGACCUUGUAAUUUUUUUUUUUUAAAAGCUUUAUUAUGCAUGUCUUUUCUUGUAAUUAUUUGGAAUUAUCUGCUGAAGAAAGAUAUGAUGUAUGUAGAGCAGGAUAAUGGUUCACUGUAUCAGUCUAAGUUUUCUUCUUUUGACAGGGAUUUGGCUCAAAACCUGCUUUCCGGGGACAUUCCGCAGCUCAUCUACUGGAAUGAAGUGCUUCAGUAUUUGUAAGCUCUUCCUUAUUUUCAACCUUAAUUCUUUUUAAUAUUUUACGUUCAUGCCGGUAUUGGAUUAGACAGAUGUUUGCUGGAGUUCAUGUUAAGCGACUAGUGCGUUUAUGAUUUUUCUUCAGAGGCUUAAGAGGCAACUCACUCACCGGGACUUUGUCGCCCGACAUGUGCCAGAUGACCGGCCUUUGGUACUUGUGAGUUAAUCUUUCUCAAAUAUAUAUUCAAAUACUUGCUUCUGAAUCUACUUUUCCCUUUUACAUGUAGCUUGUUUUGAUGUUGUUUUCGCUAUUUUUUUUUUUUUUUUUUUUUUUCUCUUGCAGUGAUGUCAGGGGAAAUAACCUCACAGGCACUAUUCCGGAGAGCAUAGGCAACUGUACCAGCUUUGAGAUCUUGUAUGUAAAUUUUAUCAACUAUGAGUUUCUGUGCUCUGUGUUUCUGUUAGAUUUGGACUAAAUAUGUGGCAUUUUAUUUGUGUAAUCAUGCAGGGACAUAUCAUACAACCAAAUUACAGGGGAAAUUCCUUAUAAUAUCGGCUUCUUGCAAGUUGCUACCUUGUAUGUAUUUUCUUCCAGCUCAGAGUGUCUUUGGAUUAUUAGUUGUUAUAAGCUGAGAGACCAUUCCUUUUUGUUAACCCUUUUUUUUUUUCUUUUUUAUUUCUAUGUACUUCAAAAACUUUGUGGGGUCUUUAAUGUGAUGGUGAUUCUAUCCGAAUGAACUUUGUAGAGAAAGAAGAAUAGGACUAUUUUCUACUAGGUGCCAUUUGAAGUAUAUCAUGCUACAUUAUUGAUUAGUUUCAUACCAUAUAAUGAUAUCAAACGAGUGCCUAAAUGCCUUUUGCAUCAUCAUUAUAAUUUUUCAAAUGCUAUUUUGUGUGUUAUUUUUGUGCCAUGCUGUUUCGUAGGUCGCUUCAAGGGAAUAGACUAACUGGGAAAAUUCCAGAAGUGAUUGGCCUCAUGCAAGCUCUUGCAGUUCUGUAAGUGUUUGUUCUAUAGUCGGAAGAACCCAUCACAAUGUUGAAAUUACAACUUCAAUGUCAACCUAUCUGUUCACUGAACGUGUGAGCAAAUGCUGCUUAUUUGUCUGUUGGAACAAACAAAUCGUAUUUAAAUACCAGUUUGCCUACUAAGCAGGUUUCUAAUAACUAGUCUUCUCCUUUUAUCAGUAGUCAUUAGUCAUUUAAAUUAAUUAUUUUUUUUUAGAUUCUGCAUGAUAAUAAAUCUUUUUGCAAAAUAUAUAUAGCUGGCUGUUGUUUGUUCAUGGAGAUGGAUAAAAAAAUUGAGGAUGGUCAGAUAAACAAUUUUUUUUUUUAAUGUAUGACAAUUCUUUGCUAACAAAUUUGCCAAGAUCAAUUAAUAAUACUGUUGCUGUAAUAUAUUGCUGUUGAGGCAUCAUCACGAUGCACAUGCUACUGUUCACUUUUCAGGGAUCUGAGUGAAAAUGAAUUGAUUGGGGUCAUUCCACCAAUACUAGGCAAUCUAUCUUACACCGGCAAAUUGUGAGUUGUCUACUUGUCUUGGCACUACUAUUUAUUUCAUGUGCACUUUUUAGCUUUAUCUUGAUGUCUCUAUGUGAGAUACCUCUCAGGUACUUGCAUGGUAACAAGCUUACUGGGCCAAUCCCUCCGGAGUUGGGGAACAUGACAAAACUAAGCUAUCUGUAAGGGCCUAGCUUAAUUUUCUUUAUUGCUGUGGAUUUAGCUGUAAAUUUUACAUACCAUUGGUGAUAUUGCUUUUACACAGGCAGUUGAACGACAACCAACUAGUGGCUACUAUUCCUGCCGAGCUAGGAAAACUUCAAGAUCUCUUUGAAUUGUAUGAAAGCUCACCGUGGAACUAAAUUAACAUUUUGUAGCAUUUGUUAGUACUGGUUAUUUUAGUUAGACUUGUUUGGCUUCUUACCAUUUUAAGUAUAAUCCCGUAGGAAUCUUGCGAACAACAACUUUGAGGGUCCCAUUCCUUCAAAUAUCAGCUCUUGCACCGCACUCAAUAAAUUGUAAUUUUCCUCUUCCUUUUUGUUUCAUUCUGAUAAAGAGAAUUAUUUUGAAACAUAAUAUGUUCUAAGCUUCUAAUGUUGUGUUUCAGCAAUGUGCAUGGAAAUUGUUUGAACGGUUCUAUUCCUCUGGGGUUUGAGAAUUUAGAGAGUUUAACUUAUCUGUGAGUGUCGAUGUUAACUGCUGUUACUUUUGCUUAGAAUAAUAUUUGCUCAAACUUCAUAGAAAUGAGAAGUGUAUCAUUUUACACAAUCCUUUUCUAGUAGCAUUUAUGUAAAGUUAAACGAGUUGAUGCUGAUUUUGUCAUGCUUCAGGAACCUAUCUUCCAACAGUUUUAAUGGCAAAAUUCCCCUCGAGUUAGGUCGAAUUGUCAACCUUGAUACACUGUAAGAAAUGCUUUCUAACCUUGUAUUAUAGCACUGAAAUUGUUGAUUCCUAAUAUCUGCCAUCCUUUCUUUGACCAAGGGACCUCUCUGACAAUGAGUUUUCCGGGCCAGUUCCUGAUUCUGUUGGAGAUCUUGAGCACCUUCUUGAGCUGUAAUUGGAAGAUUACUCUUUUAUUGCAAAUGACUAGUUUUAUGUUAGUACCUUUUUUUUUUUUUUCUGAAUGAUUGGCUUACUCUCCCUCACAUCUACCUUUAAAUGUAGGAACUUGAGUAGGAAUGAUCUCAGUGGGCCGGUGCCUGCUGAAUUUGGGAACCUAAGAAGUGUUCAAGUCAUGUAAGCUUCCCAUUGCUGAAUUUUGGAACCUAUGAAAUGUUUUGUGCUUUUGUUAUUUCAUCUCCUAGAUUUGGCAAACACAUUGCUUUUAUAUACAGUGAUCUAUCAUACAACAACCUAUCUGGUAAAAUCCCUGGAGAAUUGGGGCAGCUGCAGAACAUUGAAACCUUGUAAGUCCCACUUUCUAUAUAUUUCUUAUUUUGUCAUGAAAGUGAAACUUUUCUUCUGUGAAUUAUUUUAACGAACUUGUCGUGAAUAUGUAGGAUUCUGAACAACAACAACUUGUAUGGAGAUAUACCUGCUCAGUUAACCAACUGCUUUAGCUUAACUUCAUUGUAAGCCUUUUCCUAUUUCAGCAUCAUUUUAAAAAAUAUUUACAUCAACCUUAAAAUUACAUGAUUGGCCACCUGGUUUCAAUUUCAGGAACCUCUCUUUCAACAACUUUUCUGGACAUAUCCCAUUGUCGAAGAACUUUUCAAGGUUUCCUCCAGAAAGGUAUUAGAGACACCAAAUUUUAUCUCUUCCCUUAUUUUUAUCAAGAUUGAUCUUAUUGUUUUGUUUUUUUAUUUGAUACAUUUUCAGCUUCUUGGGCAAUCCAAUGCUCUAUGGUUGCUUUUCACAAUCUUGUGGACACUCCAUCCGGACAUCAAGAGGUAUAGUUGAGCAAAAUUAGCAAUCAAAUUAUCGUUAUAAUUUCCGGUUACAAUUCAGCACAUCCUGCUAAUUAAUUGAUACUUAAUCACUUCUAUACUUUUUUUUUUCCUAUUACUUGUUGCAGUUGCCAUUUCUCGAACUGCAGUUGUCUGCAUAUUUUUAGGCUGUAUCACUUUACUCUCAAUGACUAUGGUGGCAAUAUACAGAUCCAAUCAACCAACGCCCUUUGUUAAAGGAUCAAACAGAGCCUUUCAUGGUUGGUGUCUUUAAUUUUUUCUUUCUUUCUAUUCCAGGUUUGUUUCUUUUAUUUUAUAAGUGCUUCUAUUUGUUCUCUUAAUCAUUUAGCAAUUCUUCUUCUUUAGGACCUCCAAAGCUGGUAGCCCUACAAAUGGACAUGGCGAUUCAUACAUAUGAAGAUAUCAUGAGGCUGACAGAGAACUUGAGCGAGAAAUACAUCAUCGGCUAUGGUGCCUCAAGUACGGUUUACAAAUGUGUGCUUAAAAAUGGCAAGGCUAUAGCAAUUAAACGGCUUUACAGUCAAUACCGUCAUAACAUUCGCGAGUUCGAGACUGAACUGGAAACUGUUGGUAGCAUCAGGCACCGAAACCUCGUUAGUUUGCAUGGCUACUCACUGUCUCCUCAUGGGAACCUCCUCUUCUAUGAUUACAUGGAAAACGGUUCCUUGUGGGAUCUCCUUCAUGGUUUGUACCUCUAAAUAUCAAAAUUAUCAUAUUAAUUUCAUUUAAAUUAUUCCGUUUAAUCAAAUUAAAAUUUUAUUUUAGGCCCAUCAAAGAAAGUAAAGCUUGAUUGGGACACGCGGCUAAAGAUUGCUGUGGGGGCUGCACAAGGGCUAGCUUAUCUCCACCACGACUGUGACCCCCGCAUCAUUCACCGGGAUGUGAAGUCCUCUAACAUUCUUCUCGAUGAGAAUUUUGAAGCUCACCUCUCGGAUUUUGGUACGGCUAAAUGCGUACCAUCUGCCAAAACCCAUGCAUCAACUUAUGUUCUUGGGACUAUCGGUUAUAUUGAUCCGGAGUACGCACGAACGUCAAGGAUCAAUGAGAAGUCAGAUGUCUAUAGUUUCGGCAUUGUUCUUCUGGAGCUGCUCACAGGAAAGAAGGCUGUGGAUAAUGAAUCCAAUCUGCAUCAAUUGGUUAGUUACUUGACCUCAUUCGAUACUCGAAAUCUUAUUUUGCCUCAUGAUAAAUCAUAUUGUCAACGAUUUAUCGUUCAAUAUAUCUCAGGUAAUAAUUUUACUCAAGGUUUUAAUUCUUAUAGCUGCUUCAUACCAUAUUCAUUUUGGAAAUUCUAGUCCUUCAUUCUGAUUUGUAAACAUAUAAGCAGCACUAAUUCUAAACCAUUAGAGAGACACGGAAUGAUUUUUAACAUGGUGGUUUAAAUGAUGUUAGGGAUCUGACUAAAUGUUUGAACUAGGACUGAGCUAGAAUCUGCAAGUUCAACUAACUCUUUGAUCGCCUUAUCCUACAAUAAUUGAUUGAAUUAUGUUCUCGAUGUGCAGAUCCUCUCAAAAGCGGACGACAACACGGUGAUGGAAGCGGUGGACUCAGAAGUGUCGGUUACGUGCGUGGAUAUGGGUCUCGUGAGGAAGGCAUUCCAGCUGGCACUGCUGUCCACUAAGAGGCACCCGUCGGACAGGCCGACCAUGCAUGAGGUGGCGCGGGUGCUGCUCUCUCUACUGCCUACUGCUGCUUCGAGCUUGUCCAAGCCUUCUUGCUUAAUGCCUCCUGCUAAAGCAGUUGUGGAUUACUCGAAAUUCGUGGGGAACCAUCGAGGAGAUGCCAAUGAUGAUGAUAGUUCGUCUGACCGGCAGUGGUUUGUGCGGUUUGGAGAAGUCAUAUCUAAGAGCACCAUUUGAAGAUGGAAGGAUUUGGAUUAAUUAGAUAACAAGUCUUUUAAGGAUUGAAUUAAUGACCCAAUUUUGCUGAUGAUUAUGAUGAUGGUGUGUUGUAACUUUCGAAAUAUGCAUACUUGUAGAAUUAGGUUUAGUUUAUGAAUGUAGGUUGGUGAUCUAAUUUCGCAAGGAUAGUGCUUGAGAAUCUGAAAAUGAGAAAGAAAAGCAAUCUUCUUUUUCUUUUUUCUUUUUUCUUUUUUCUUUUUUUUUCCCUUUUGUCUUUCUUGUGUGUUGUGGUUGAGAGUUGUUACUGUGGAUGGAAAAAUCUCGUGAGAGACUAGUUAGUACUACCAAAAUUUAAAACUUUUAUGAGGUGUAUUGGUAAGGGACAGGUUUGUCAUGCCGAUUGCAUUGAGAGGGCAAUAUUAUUUAUUGAAGGGCGUGGGUAACACUCAUAAGUAGCUAUGUAUGUAGCUCUGUGGGGUCUUGUGAGAACAUUCAAUUCAAUGUGGCCUUCAUAACGUCUUUGAUAGGGAGAAGAAUCUUGUGAAAUGAGGAGCUGCAUGGUAUAUAGGUAAAGCAACGGAGUGAUGGUCCUGUUCCUGUAUGUAGUUUGGGUACAACUCAACCAACUUCUCUUAGUUGAGGAGCUGUGGAGCAAUUGGGUGUAAUACAGGUGUGGAUGUUUUAGGAAAGGUCAAAAAAGUAGGGUCGACCUGGUCAAAGAAGUGUCUGGAUUGUGCACCCUACGGAUAAUUCUGCUACUUGUUCAAAAAACGCUGGGAGUGUGUAGAGUUGGUGAGAUGUAGUUAUUAUUCUUAACUAGUGUAGGUAUCCGCGCGAUGCGACGGAUAGUUACUGCUAAAGUAAAAAAUUUAUAAAUAAUAAAAUAUUAAUAUAACUAAAUAAAAUAAAUAUCAAUAUAACUAAAUAAAAUAUUAGUAUGUCAAAAAGGGUACAAUAUAGACAAUUAUAUAGCAAUCGAAAUUAGAGUAUAUAGAAAUAUACUAAUAUAUACAAUAUAGGUUGUUCAUUCAAUCGAAAUUAGAGUAUAUAGAAAUAUACUAAUAUAUACAAUAUAGGUUGUUCAUUCAUUUAGUUUGGAAGGCGUAAUGUAGUACGAACAAUAAUUGUGCAAGUAACAUAUAACAUUUCUAUAACAUACAGUAUUUCAAAAUGUCACAUAUUCAUGCCAAAUCGCUCAAAUUGAACCAAAAAAAAUCUAAUUAACCUCAAAAUAUUGCUAAUUCUCCCCAAAUCACUCAAAUCUAUAUGUAAAAAAAAAAUUGUUAUAUUUGAAAAAAAAAAAAAAACUCACAGAUAGAAUCGGUGGCAUGGAGAUUGCAAAUGCGAUAUGUGUAGAGAAGGAUCGGUGCGAGAACAUUCAAAUAGAAUUAAUCUUGUAAUGAUUGAUACUGAGAGCCUAAAUUUAAAAUCUAAUUAUUUUACAUAUUGGGUAAAUAUAUUUUAAAAUUUCAUAAAAAUAUUAGCAAAAUGAAAAAAUGAAACGGUGGCUACGAAAAGGCAAAGACGUAUUCAAAGUUGGUCUAGUAAUCAAUUAUGAUUAUAAUUAUCAUUAAUUGAUGAAACGUUAAUAUACAAAUAAUUGUUGAAAUAUUAAUGAAUCAUAUACCAAGAACGUAUAGUUAGGGAGGAGAGGGAAGGGGAAGGGGUGGGGAAGAGAGAGUUAUUACAAAAAAAAAAAUAGAAUUAAUAGAUGAAACAUUAUAAUUAAUAGAUGAAAUGUUAAUAUAGAAUUAAUUGAUGAAACAUUAAGAACGUAUAGUUGGGGAGGAGAGGGGUUAAUAGAUUAUUAUUAUUAUAUUAUAUAUUAUUAUUAUUAUAAGGAUGAAGGGUUUCUUGCCACGUGGCAAGGAACAUUGUGGCUUCAUUUAGGUUAAUAGAUGAAAUCAGGAUAUGUGUUAGGUAGGAUAAUUUGAUAGGAGUUCAGCUACUAUGGAGGAUAGAAGUCUUUAUCUUAUUAUGUCAUUUUGGAUGAUCGAAAUUUCAAAUCGAUAAUCGACAUAGUUGAAAUCGAUCUACACUAUUAUUAAAAAUAUUUGAAAAUCAAAUUUUAUAAUUUUUAAAAAUUAUUAUUAAAUCCAUUGAAGAGUCGAAAAAUGAACUUUCAAGAAUCAAUAACCUUUUGAAAAUAGAGAUUAAACUUUCUCAAUUCAUAAUUGGAGUUAUCAAAUAUUAUCUGAAUAGUAUAAAGAGUUUUCUUUAAAAAUUUAAACGGUUUGGAUUGUUCUACACCGUUAAGCAAGAAAUUGGCUCAUAUAGGCCGUAAAAAGCUAUCAUUUUUGCGAUCCUUUGAUCACUGUGUAAAUAAUUUUUAAAAUUUAUGAAAUUUAAUUUUUAGAUACUUCAAAUACUCUAAAUCAAUUUUAAUGAUUCCGAUUAUCAAUUCGGGAUCUCUGUAAUAAAAAACGACUUCAUAGGACGAAAGUCCCGAUCCUCUAAGGUAGCAUUUGGUUCGGAAACAAGGAAAAAAAUAAGCCCUUGUUCCCCCCUUUGUUCCCAAAUACUACGUUUGGUACCCGAGAAUAGUAGUUCUCAGAUUUCUAAAAUAAGUCGAUAUAAGGCUGGAACUAGGGGUGUAAACGAGCCGAACCACAGAGCGAUCUGGGUCGGCUGUCGUUUUGGGCUCGUUUAUAUAAAACGAGCCGAACAGCUGACGCUGUUCCUUGUUAAUCAGUAGUCUGAUGCCCGAAAUAAUUCGCUCGUAUUUCGGGUCUCGUUUUACGAGCCGAACACGAGCUGGCCUCACGAGCUGGCCAAGAACAAUAGAAGUAAAAAAUUAGAGUAAUAAUAUAAUAAAAUAAAUUUUAAAUAUUUAUCCAUUAGACUUGAUCUAAUAGUUGAAACUUUACGAAUAAUAUGAUCUUUUGAUAAUUAGAGCUCCGCAUUUAUAUUUCUUUAUUUUGCUAAAAUUUAAAUAAUAAAGAAUAUAUAUUAUAUAUAAGUUAUUAUAUUUAUAUAUAAAAUAUAAAUUAAAUAAAUUUAUAUAAAUACUAAGACUUUAUGUUAUUGCGAGUUGUUAUUCGAGCCAACACGACGGCGAGCUGAACCCAGCUCGUGUUCGGGCUCGUUUAUUAUAACGGCUGGAAAAAUCGCAGCUCGUGUUCGGCUCGUUUACUAGACGACUGCGAGCCGAUCUUCGAGCUGCAUUUCGAGGCGAACCGAGCUGGCUGCGCGAACAGCGAGCCUGUGAUUGCCCCCCUGCGUGGAACUGUUGUUCAUCUUUUUCUAGUAACACAGUUUGUUUCGCCCACGGUGAUAAACGUUAAUAUAUAAUCUAAAAUAAUUUAAAUUAAAUAAUAAUAAUUAAUUAAUUAUACUUUACAAUCAUUAUAAAUUGCUUAAAUUAAUAAAAUAAUAUUUAAUUUAUUAUUUAUAAUUAUUAGUUAUAUAUUAUUAUGUUAUAAUUUUUAUAUUUACUUAAUUUAUUUAUUUAUAAUUUAUAAUUAAUUAAUUACUAUUAAUUUGAUUAAUUUAUAAAUUAACUAAUUUAUCAAUUUUUAUUCGCUAAUAAUUAAUUAAUUAUUAUUUAAUUAUUAUUACUAUUAAUUAAUAUAUAUGAGAUUUAAUUGAUUAUUAAUUUAUAUUAUUAUAUAUAUUUAAUUAACAUUUAAUUAGCGCUUAAUGUAUAAUUAAGUUAAUUUGUAAUUUAAAAUUAUUAAUAAAUUUAUUAAUUUUAUAAUUUUAAAAUUUUUAAGGUAUUAAUAAUAAUUUACAUUUUUAUAAUUAAUGGAUUAUUAUUUAUAGUUAUUAAUAAUUAAUAAUCAAUAAUUUUUAUAUUUUAUUAAUCUUAGAAUUUAUUAAUUAUAAUUAUUACAAUAAUUUAUUAUUUAUAAAUUAUUACGUAAUUUAUUAUUUAUUAUAUUAUUAAUAAUUAAUAAAUUAAAAUUUAUGCGGGCGUCGUAUAUUUUAUUAUUUAUUUUAUUAUUUAAUUUAAUUUAUUUAUAUAAUAAUUUUUAUUUAGUAAUUAUUAUUAAUUUAUUAUUUAUACUAUAUUAUCUAAUUUAUUUAUUAGUAAUAAUUUAUUAUUAAUUGAUAAUAUAUUAUUUAUAAAUGUUUAUUAUUGAUUUAUUUAUUUAUUUAUUAUUAAGUAAUUUAUAAUUUAUAAUUAUUAAUAAUUUAUUUUCUAUAAUUUAUUUUCUAUAAUUUAUUUUCUAUAAUUUAUUAUCUAAUUAAUUUAGAAUUUACAAUUAUUAAUAAUUUAUUAUUUAUAAUUAUUUAUAUUUUAUUACUUAAUUUAUUAUUAUUUAAUUAAUUUACUAUUAAUGAUUAUUAAUAUUAAUUUAUUAAUUUUAAGUAAUAUUUUGAUGUCAAUUAAUUAGAUAAAAUAGUUUUAAUUUAAAAUUAUAACUCUUAUUCUCUUUAUUUCAAUUUAACCAUCCAAAUACUAUUUACCUUAUUUCUGAAUUUGUAUCUAUCUCUGGAAUAAGCAGUUCUUACUUAUAUCCGAACCAAACGCAGCCUAAAAGAAUAGUAGCUGGAUUCAUUUGAUAGCAUAUCAACAUGUACUAUUUUGUAGUUUCAUUUCUUACUUUUCAAAAUAUUUUCUUCUUCCUUUCCAAAAUAUUGGAUGAAGGAAACUUGGUAAAACAGUGUCUAGCCAUGUAUAUAAUUUGCAAAUUCUAACGCGUUGCAGUUCUUUGUAGAAAUUUGAAAAGCUGAUCGCAGUGAGAUGAUUUAUGGACUAGAGUUAUCAAAAAUUCAAACCUAGAGGUUGUUAAAUUAUGCUAAACUAAUUUAGGGGCCGUGCGAUGCGGCGGAUAAGUACUAUUGCAGUUUAUUAUUAUAAUUUUUUAUUAUACUUUUAAUAAAGUUAAUAAAUAUAUUUAUUUGACAUCAAAUAGUUUUGAAAUAUUACAUCAGAUAGUUUUGAAAUAUUUGUUUACAACUUUUAUCUCAAAUAUUGAUUCAAAAUAAGCUAAUGCUUUUAAAUUUAAGAGUAGUGCUUUUAUAUUUCUUAUUUUUUGCUACCGUUCAUUCACUCAUCUUCAACGGCUCAGAUUUAAUUUUUUUUUAAAUUGUGACCUGCAAUAGCAGGUCAUUUUAGGAGAGGUAUCGAUUACCAGGUACCUCAAAAAAGGAUAUUUUUAUUUUUUAAUAUAUGGAUAAUUUAGUAAUUUUUCAUGUACUAUGUUAUCAAAAUUUUUAUUCUCUCUUUGUUUCCUUUUUCUCUCUCUUUGUUUCCUUACAAAUUCAAAUUGUAAGGAACUAAAAUUUUAAAAAUCGACUUAAAACUGAAAAAUUUUAAAGGUAGGAUCAAAAUCAAUUUACUAAAUCAAUUUAAUUAGGCUCAUCAAAUUGAUAAAAUAUAUAAAUAGCAUAGAUUUGUUCAAUAUAAGUUUAUUUAAUUUAUCUAUAUUUCCAAAUGGACUUUUAGCUCUACCGCGAGUUGGCCAACUUCGGCACAUCUCAAAUUUCAAUUCAUCCAAGAGCACUAUCCCCAACCUCAUGUGGCUUUUCACUUUCCGAGUGUCUCAUAGAGAACACUUCACUUUCUCUUUCAUAUGCCACGGCCAACAUCAAAUCGUUCUCGUAACGAGCUCACACGAACACUCCGUUUGUGAAUCCAAGCCAAUUUCCUCGAUAGGGCUACUCGCCAAAUCGCUUAUCUCGGCUUCCAUCGGUGAGUCACAUGCCAUCAAUCCUACGUAGGCCUACUGCCUACCUGUCUCAAUACUCGUAACGUCUCUCGCUCGCAAGUGUAGACCCAAUCAUCACUGAGCAGAGUUCUCAUUUUAGACUUCGCACACACUCCAACCAGGAGCAAACAAGACCCCAAACCACUACAAAUCCUCGGGUUGGGUCACAACCACACUCUCGGUGUACUAACCAUCACACGGUCCAACACGUGGCAUUCCACGUUCCCGGGUGCAAGCUCGGACUACCGCUCCGACCAUGAAUCUCUGCCCCACCCGUAGGUACCGGGCCGCUGUCACACACACUGUCACGCCCCGGGACCCAGCGGAAGCCCGCCCGGCUCGUGCACAGACCCGCCGUGUACACCAAACAACCACAGUGCACACAAGGCGUCUACCAAAAACUAGAAAUGAACAAGAUAAAGCCCUAAUAAGGCUAUUAGAGCGAGUAGUAUAAAAUUACUAAUGUUCUAGCAUAAAGAGAUCCACAAUAUACACAAAAUGUAUACAACUAAAUCCAAAAGUCUAACAUAAUCUCUAAACCAAAAUACAUAAUACAUCUUUCCACAAAAUACAAUAAGAAAGAUGAUGUCGGAUCCCUCUAAAAUAACUCCGUAAGAGCUCUAGUGUAAUAUACUGGAUCUUGGGCCCAUUGGCAAGCUCGAGGGUUGGAUUGGUUUUUGGAACUGGUCUACGACUUUUGAUUGACUGUUGAAAGGUAUUGACAAAUUACUGAAGUGAGUAAGUAACUGGAAAUGGAAAAGUGCAUUGCAAAUGCACUAUCAAUUUGCAAUGCUCUAAAUUUGAUCAAGUUCGAAGUUCGAAUGUGGGGAAUGAUAAAUGGAACUACCCUACAUAUUCUGAAGGGUUUGGACAAGUUUUUGGACAAGUUCGAGGAGUGAUUGAAUGGCUAAAUGCAAGAAAUUGCAUUGCUGGCGAAAUUUUGCAUUGUGUACCGGUACAGCCAUCAUCGUGUACCGGUACACAGUGGCAAAUACGUGGCAGCAAGGUUAUUUUGGUAAUUUCACUUCUUAUACCAUCCUUAUCUCCCCCAGCACGACUCCUGGAGCCUGGUGGAGCAUGCUAGAGCUCAGAGGAAGGGUUUUGCACCUCCCUCAUUUUCUCUCUCUAAGGUUUCUCUCUCCUCGAGUAGAAAUCGCCUAUUCGAGCUUAUUUUGCGCCGCGCUCGACGCUCGCUGAUGUGAAGACUCAAGAGAAGUCUUUGGCACGUGGGGAGAAGAAUUUUUAUGGAAUUUCUGUGGUCCUAUCACCAGAGGAAGCUGAGUUGCAGCUGUUAAAAGGUAUAUUGCUCAAGACUUCUCUAAGUUGAAGUUUGAUAUUGGAUUUUGGGUUCUUCCGAUUUCUUUACUCCCAGCUGAUUAGAAGGAGUUUCCAGCUGUAAAUAAGAGUUAUUUGGCUGUGGUUUAUCCACUCUAAUUCAGGGAAAAGUUGCUCUAAAGCUUGGUAAAGGUAAUUAGUGAUUUUGAAUCACUUUCGGGACUAUACGCGGGUUAAUUGUGUGAAUUGACGCAGUUUGGAUUGUGCUCUUCGCAGCAGGUUUGGUGGAUUAAUUUAAGCUUAAUUGGUGACCUUGGGGACUGGUUAGAAGGUGUUCUAACCUGAGGUAAGCAGGAAUUUCAGUUAGAAAACUGAAAUUGUAAGAUUCCGACUAUAGUUAUUACGACUUUGAUGCCGUUUUGGAAAUGUUUCGCAGCGGGCUUGCGACGGACUUUCGGAGUAUCUCCGGCUGAUGCGUGAAGGCUUUUAGAAGCUUAACUUGAGGUGUUUCAACCAGGGGUAAGUGGAAUUUUCCGUUAGAAAACUGAUUCCACAAGUUUCCAGCUUAUUAACUAGUAUACGAGGAUUUUAAUGCCGUUUUGGUGUUGUUCGCAGCGAGAGUGCAACCGACCUUUGGAUUAUCUUCGGUUGACAUUGGAGAGCCUUUCUAGGUUGAACUUGAGGUAAUAAAGCGAACCAAAACAGGGAUUUAAGUUAUUACUUUGUACUAAGUGCAAAUUGUAUCGAAAUUGGACAUUUCGGCCGUAGCUUUGAUGCACUUUUCGUAUUUCGUUUUCAGCAGAGUUGGGGCUCCGUUGAGUAGAGUUUCGGGACUUCUUGUGGCUGGAUUGAGCUUGUGAUAGGUGGGUCGGACCUUCCCGAAAUGGGUGAAUUCCCUCUAUGUCUCCUUUGACAUUUGAGUUGAAGUUAUUUCAUAUUCAUGUGAAUAUAUGUAUAGUUUAAGGCAUUGAGAUAUGCACUGAUAUGUAGAUCAUAUCGGAAAUGAUAGCAUCUUUAAAUGGUCAUGAACGAUUCAUGACUUGUCCAUUCUACAUGGUUACAUGUUUAAGUACUACGUAUUCAUGAUACUAGUAGCUUGCAUAUGCAAUUUAGUUUGAUGUUAUCCAAGAGGAUAUAAUGGUAAAUUCGUGAAUGGAUUGACUUGCUCUAUUGAACAACAACGAGACAGAUGUACUUAGGAUUGAGCGAUGCAAUGUUAUAUAGCAGGUAUAACGGCUAAACUUUGAAAGAUCAGGUAAAGGCAUUUGUUUGCAUAUUGUGGAAUGAAUGGCAUUCUUGUAUUAUCCUAUUAGUUGCUACAUUCACUUGAUAGAUAUAUGUUCUAGUAGGUAACUAGAAUUUUAUAUAUGAUGACAUAAUUGAAUGAUUAUUCAACUGAAUGCGAUCUAGUAGAUAACUAGAUAUGGAUGAUGACAUACUUGUAUAAUCAAGUAGAGGUUUAUAUUGGACUACAGGAUAUGUGCCAUGAGUCAUUGAACAUACUUUUAGUAAACCACUUUCCUUAUGUGUAAGGAGUAGUGAGAGAACUAUGAAUAAGUAUACAGGUAUAGCCUGAUAGAAUCACUAGUGUGAUGUAAAACUUUAACUUGUUAAGUUAUGCUAAUGAUUGGGUACAAUCUUGUCAACAAGUUGUUGAUAGUGAUUUAUGAUUGGGUACUACAGUGCCGACCUUGGGUCGAGUUGAGAUUCCAUGUCAGAGACAUGAUGCUGUUGAGAUAUUUGUACCCUGGACUAUAGCUAGCAUGCCAUUAUGCUCUUUCGUACAUGCUUGCGGGGGUCGCGCCCCCCCAGCCCCGCGUUCCGGAGUGGCUUGAGUUGAGAUUCCAUGUCAGGGACAUGAUGUUGUUGUGAGACUGGUACUGUGGACUACGGCUUACAUGCCAUUGUGCGCGUUUGCACACGCUUGCGGGGUCGCUCCCCCCCAAGCCAGCACUCCCGAACAGCUUAGCGACAGAUGCUCGCAAAUGUACGAAGUGAGCGCCGAAAUGGAAUGCCGUGGGGGAGGCUCAUUCCUAGAGUGGGGAUGUUGACUACCACGGGGCCAUUAGGCACGGCGCGGCUUGAACUUACCUUGUGUAAGUCCGUUGGAAAUUGGGUUAUGUCAAGUACUUUAACCUUAGCUGGACAGAGUAGUAAAGUUACUAUAUGUCUUGGGUUAAGUGAACUUAUUGAUGAACAGACUAGAAAGUUGACAUCUAAAGUGAGCUUAGUGCUGAAUAACCUAGAAGUUGACAUCAUGAUUGGUUAGCGACAUAAAGAAUGUUUCAUUCUUGCUAAUGUAGAAAGUAAUUACAUGAUAUUAUCUGUAAUUCCGGUAAUAAUGAAUUAUCUUGCUUGCAAUUUGGUAUAUGUUUGGUUAAAUUGUCAAGAAUAUGAUUGAUAGAAUUCAUCGUGAUAAUUGAUACCUGCAGUCUAUCGAUAUUUAUUGAUUGUUGAGUAAAUAGCAUGAGUAGUUUACUUUUACAUUUGCUUAUUGCAUUUACUUGCUUACUUAUUAUUAUCUACUCUUGCCACAGUUGACCUAGUGGUGUACUUCGCCACUCUCGGCGGCUUACCCACUGGGAACUAUUGUUUAAUAGUUCUCACGCCCUCUUUGUUGUUGUUUUUACAGAGCCUUCCACAGCGGGAAAGGCUAGGGUUCCUGGCGAGGGGUCAGCGGCUAGCUAGAACCUUUUUGGACGUGUACUAGACAACCUCCAGCAGUUUAUGUAGUUUAGUACAGAGUUGUAUAUUAAGUUUUUGUAAAUUGUACUUUGUUCUUAUUUUCUGUAUUAAGGUUUGGAUUGUAUAAGUUUAAACUUAAAAGUCUUGCUCUGAUUACCUGGUUAGAAUUGAAUGUUUUACUAUAUGGUUUGUAGACGCCUUGUGUAUACUUGAGUUGUGAUGUACACGGCGGAUCUGUGCACGUGACCGGAUAUGCUUCCGCUGGUACCCGGGCGUGACAUCUAGCUAGUCGCUAACCCCUUGCCACGAUCCCUAGCCACUCCCGAUGCGGAUGGCUCUGAAACAAACAACAAAACAGAGGGCGUGAGAACUGUUAAACAAUAGUUCACAGUGGGCAAAUCGCCGACCUCGGCGAAAUACUCCACUAGGCUAACAUAGGCAUGCUAUAAGGAAAAUUAAUUAAGCAAAUAUAUGAAAAGCAAGUAAUUAAACAAGAUUAAUCAUAGUCAUGCCUCUAUUACAAGUUUAACUAUCAUGUAUAUAAUAUUCUACUUUCACUUGAUAAACUGUAUGUCAAUGUUGAUUAACAUGCUGUAAGGACUGAGAUUUUGGCAGUGUAGCUAAACUCUCUGUUGACAAUAUUUUUGUGUGUAAUUUAAUUACAAAAGCACUCGUCAAGUUUCGGGAGAAAACGAGUUAUAACGGAUAUUUUACGCGAUCUCCAAGUUUCACUUAAAGUGAAUAGUAACUCGGUUUUCCAGAGAAGCCACGGCGCGAAGUUGGCUUCUGGCGCGUAUCGGACUCCGUUCGUAGCAGUCCAAUAGCUCGUUUCGAACGGUUCGGUUAUUCUGGAACCGAUGGCGCUGACGGAUUUUGGGUUUGACACACGGAUUUCAAGAAAAUUGAAAAAUACAUGUUUUAUAUGUAUUUGUGUGUCAUUUUUUCUGUUGGAAGAGAGAACGGGUUUCGUCGCGAAUCCGUGACCGAUCGAGGCGAAACAAAAUCAUAGAUUUGUUGCCUCAGACGUGCUGAUCGCACUGGUGUGAUCCGUUCGCAAAUCUGACGGACGGAUCUGCGGAGAUCGCGCGUUGAUCGAGGAGAGGUCGGUGUUGGCAAAACGGUAAUUUCGCAAAAGUUGCGACAUUUUAUGUACCAUUUCACGUGAAAUCGCAUGUGGAGGUGCGUUUGCGCAUUUUGCACGCGCUGUGAAGGACUCAAUAUUGAGUUUUGAUGGGUUUUUCCGCAAAAUGGAGCUAUAUGUAUUUAAGUCUUCUAGGGUUUCACCUUGGAACCGAACCCUAGAUGAUCCCUAGCUAACCCUUUGUCACGCCCCGGGACCCAGCGGAAGCCCGCCCGGCGCGUGUCCAGACCCGCCAUACGUCUAAAACAUAUAAGGCGUCUAAAACAAAACGAUGAAUGAGACAAUAAAAGAAAACAUCUAGAAGUAUCAGAGCAAUAUACAUCAUCUAGAGACUAAAGCAAUGUGAAGAGUAGAGAGUUAAAAUCACUAAUAAACCAUAAAGUAGUACAACCAAAGAUCCAAAUACAAGUGCUAAAAGAGUACAUAGGUGGUAUCUAUACAGAGGCGUGAAAACGGGACCCGAAAGGCUAUGUUGGACCAUGAGCUAAAUCCGGCAUUAGCGUGGAUGAAAAGAUGAUGAGAUCGUGCUCGAAAACAUGUUUAUAGAGCCUCGGUUCGAUUUGAGAUGAAUCGGAGGUCAAACGAACGAAAACGAGCGAAAACGGAGNUGGAUUCGGAUCGUGGGCUCGUGGAUUCGAGUGGCGUCGUGGAUUCGGCGUGAUUGAAGCUUCGUGGAUUCGAAGUGGAGGCGUUCGUGGAUUCGGACGUGAGGGCGUGGACAACCCGGAGGGUAGCGCGAAGAUUCAUAGGAGGUUAAGAGAGGUAGAGUCCGUGGAGUCGGUAAUCACCUUGUAAUCUUUUCUCUUAGUGAAUUGUUUUUUCGCGUGUUGGUCCCGUGGGUUUUUCUCCAAGUUGGAGUUUUCCCACGUAAAUCUCGGUGUGCUUUUUAUUUUCCGCAUUUAUUUUUAUUGCAUCGAGAUUUGUGGUUUUUGGCCGUUCACCUAUUCACCCCCCCCUCUAGGUGAUAGAUACAAUCUAGAUAGAUCCUUGGGCUCCUCAAAACUUUCAACAGGGAUUUAAACUAUUCCUAUGUACUAAGUACAAUUACGCCAAAAUUGGACCUUUCGGUUGAAGUUGUAAUACGAUAUUCACGCCUUGUGUUCAGCAGGAUUGAGACUUAGUGGAGCUGAUCCUGGGGAUUCCUUUGGACUGACUUGAGCUUGGUACAAGGUGGGUCGGACCUAACUAGAGCAAGUGAAGCUCCCCUAUGUUCUAUGUGUAUUAUAGAAGUGAUCUAGCCUAUGCGUAUAUGAUUAAUAAGGACUUCGAAUGCGUCACCUUAAUGUUAGCUUGCUUGAAAUAAAAUCUCUAUUAAGUAGAGAACAUACAUGCAUAAAGUAUUCAGGUUUAUGCUGACUAGUUAAUAUGUUUCUAGCAUGUUCCUAGACACUAGAGAACAAUGACGUUCUUAUGACUUUAACGACCCUAAAGUAUAGAACAAUAACAUGCUUUAUGCCUAUGUUGAUAGCGCCAUAAUAGUGGAAAGAUUCUAAUGCCAUAUGUAAAGUUGCAUUCCUCUCGUAUGUUUAUUAACCUAGUGGAUACUAGUUGUUAUCAAUAUUUGUAUACUGAAAUGUCGAUCAAAGGAUCGAGAGCAAGAAUAUUGUGAGUUAAAACAUGAUAAUUGAGACAUGUUGGACUGUGGAUUAUGCUUGCUUGCCAUCGUGCUCAUUCGCACAUGCUUGUGAGGGUAGCUCCCUACAAGCCGGCACUCUGGAGUUGGCCUACGCGACAGUUGCUCGCCCGUGUGGGAUUGGGUGCCGAAGUGGAUUGCCGUGGGGAGUGUAUACUACCACGGGGCCAUUAGGCGCGGCGCAAGUGGGACAACCUUGGGUAGAUUCUUAUGAAUGAAAAGAAAGUACUAAAUGACAAAGGAUAGUAAUGAAUGCUCAUCAGUUAUAGUGUACAGUAUUUACUUACACAUCCAUGUUCAUGCUUGUGUUUAUUGUAGUUUAUAGUAGUUGCUAUACUUCUAUUACUCAACUGAUUCAUUACUGCAGAAAUCAUGAUUACAUGUGAAUACAUGCCUAUUGCCUAUUAGCAUUGCAUAUUUAUAUCAUGUAAUUAUCGCUUUUACUUUCAUUUAGUACAUCUUGAGCCUAAUGGUGUAAUUCGCCGAGGCUGGCGGCUUACCCACUGGGAACUAUUGUUAAUAGUUCUCACGCCCUUUUUAUUGUUGUUUCUACAGAGCCAUCUACAGGAGAGGCUAGGGAUCGUGGCAAGGGAGUCGCGUCUAGCUAGACAUUGCUAGGAGCUUGCUAGUCGAUCACCUUGCUACUCGGGGUACGGUCGAGGGUGAUGUCCCCAUGUAUAGAGAGACUACCAUUGUAUCUUCUUUUGUAUACCCCGUGAUGAAUAUGUACUUUUUUGGACUGUUACUUCAGUUAUGAUACUUUCUCUUUUAGCCGAGAUUUUGGAUUGUACACUCUUUGUUCUUUUGCGGAUAGUAUAUCGACUUGUACUUUGCUCUGAUAUCAGGAUAGGAUUUUCUAUGUUUUUUCUUCCUAUCGACUUGUGUUCUUGUAGACGCCUUAUAUACUGCAGGUGUAUGGCGGGUCUGUGCACGUACCGGAUAUGCUUCCGCUGGUACCCGGGCGUGACAGAUUAUNNNNNNNNNNNNNNNNNNNNNNNNNNNNNNNNNNNNNNNNNNNNNNNNNNNNNNNNNNNNNNNNNNNNNNNNNNNNNNNNNNNNNNNNNNNNNNNNNNNNUCCCUUGCUUUUCCUCACCUCUGGACUUGGCACUUCUCCUUCUUCGGCUUUUGCUAUCUCUCUUGCCAGCCAGCUUUCUUCUUGCUUUGGGACCUCUUCCACCUUUCAGUUUGGAUCUUAGGUGGGGGCCUUCCCUUUGAAUUGGCACGACUGAGACUAGUCAACUGAGGCUAUAUCAGGGACUUAGCCUUCGACAGGACUGGAAUCUUCGACUGGAACGAACCACCUCGAGAGUCGAACUCGAGCACUUCUUACGAAGUGCCUUCUAAUCACAAGAAGUGGAUACCAACUUGGUUAAGUUACCUUUUUUACAGUACGAACGAUAGGGAAGGAAAGGAAGGCUUCGCUUGAAGUUUAUUUGUUUGAGAGACAGACGAAGCAACGUUUUUCGGCUUGUUUUUUUUAACCUGCCUUUCUUUCUUUCUUCAACUCUGACUUCUCCGCCCCAUUCUCCGAAGUAUCCGAGGGUUCUUUCUUUUUUUGUACCUGAUUCCGAUGCACUUUCUGCCUCAACUUCAGAUUCUUCACCGCCUGAUUCUGAGACUGAUGAUUCCUCACCUUCUUCCUCGCACUAGCUUGAACAGUGCUUUACGAAAGAAGUUUACGCCUGAGAGAUAGAACCUGGUUGGGAAAUAGGUUUCUCACCUCCGGAAUAACAGGACCAAAACCAGGUGCUUGACUUCUCCAAUCACAUGUGUUAUUAAGCAUAUGAAAAUGGAACCGCCCAACAAAACCUGCUUUCUCCCCUUAAGGGAAGUAAGGUAAAGUAAGGGACGUAGCGAAGAGGAGAUUGAUUUGGAAACCAUUUCUUUCGAGAUGCGAAGAAUAUUCCUAGUCUGUCUAACUUUUUCUUUUGUAAUAGUUACCGCGGAGUGGGUCCUUCAAACAUUCUCUAUUAAUAUUCCCCGGCCGAUAAAUGGCAAGCAAGAAUGAGAGCAGGACGAAUCCGCUCUUAUAUCAUCUAUAGAAUCGGCUGUUCGAGAAUAGGCUAUUUCAGUUAAUCAGAAUAAGCUUCAAGAAGGAUAAGGAUUCGCUUGAUUGAUAAGGGCGAGACAGAUAUUUCAUUAAGAAAGAGAGGUAUGAUUUCCUAAAAUCAGAGGAGAUAGAUUGUGAGUCAAUUCUUUUCUUGGAGGGUCUUGGACUUACAAUCGAACCUUCCUUUCGGCUACUCGGGCUUGCUUUUCAACUAAUUUAUGCUUUCCAGCCUCAGCCAAAGACCCAGCUCCUUCCUAUCUAUGCUUUCCUUCGGGUCAUUAGGUCUGAUUCCCCGACCACACUUCCUUUCCCUCCUUUAUAGGCUGCCUUCUACUCGUAGAAAGAAGAUAGAAAUGGGAAAUCCCUUCUCCCUCUACCUUAGGUCCUUCUAUUUCAUAACCUGGCCGAUGUCACAUAAAAAUGAUUAAGACGAUUCCCCCUUUGAUCGAUCCACUGAAACUAGCCCCCUUUCUAGAACUAAUGAAUUCCUAUUCUCUCCAUCCGCCGCAUCCCAAAUCUUAACUUAAGCAGUAAUAAAGAAGAAGACAUAAUACGCUUCAUUUCCAUCUCGGGCAUAGACUGACUGAGACUCAGAAAGUGAAUUGGAGAAAUCCGAAUCCGUGGAAGAGUAAUCAUUUACAAAAUAGAAAGAUAGAGACGACCCUUCAUUCGUGAAUCAAGUUCGUCUUUUUCAAGUUCAAGUGUGGAAAAGAAACCUGAAGGAAGGGAAGAUGACAGAAGAAAACAACUCCACGAAUAAGAGUCUGAAAAAUAGGGAGUUGGGGUCCAGUCAACACGAGAUAGAGUUGAUGCCAGCCAGAUAUUAUUGGACUUGCCUCUUUUUCCAGUAUGUUCCCUGCUAGUUUUUAGGCUUUGGGUUGGGACUUGGUUUUUUAGAAAAGGUAUAUGAACCAGGCCCAGGUUCGUUUAUUGGAGUCGCCAUUCGCCCUCUUAUUAUUACCAUUACCGCUUCCAUUGAACGUGGAAAUCCAGAAACCACUGGAUGUAAUAACUUACCUUACGUUCCCUUUGCCUGUUCCCGGGCGAGAGUACGCCCUUGAUGAUGAGCCCCUUGGAAAGUGAAAGUGCCUUUUGCGAUAGUCCCGUAAGCUUUGCCUCUACUCACAUCUCCGAACCUGUCUUCUUGAUAUGCCCGAAAGUCAAGCCUUUACCCGGAAAUCAUUGGUUAGGAUUAGGAUGCACGUCCGCUUUCCAGUUGACAGCCUAUCCCAUAUUGCUUAUCUUUAACUUUAAUAUAGGUAGGGACGUGAAAGCAGCUACAUCAAUGGGCACUAUCUUCCCGACUAGCCUUUCGAAAGUAAGGGGAAGUAGAAGUGUCACUGUCACACACGCCAGGACCCUAUAGUACACCCAAUUACUUAUUUAUUGGGUUUGUUACGCAUUGAAAGCUCUCUUUUCUUAAGCCAGUAGGGAAUGCCCGAUUCUAGUUCGAAUGCCAGUGCCUAGGUCUCUCGGUUAGUUUAUGGGGAAGGUCUCGCAUAUCUUAUUACGCUCGUUGGGAAAAGCAACUUUCGUUCCAACGUUCAAGUUACAGUAUCCUGCUUGAUGGCUGGCUUUUUAUAGUAUACGUACUUUAGUGGAGUUGUCUUUUUUCUUUGAAAGUAACAGUAGCGCAUAAGUACAGUACUUGGAAGGUAUGAGCUCCUAUAAGUGGGGCUUUUUUGUAUAAUUCUUUCAUAGAAAUAGGUCUCCGGCGACCCAACGACUUUCCUAUGUGAUUGACACGGGGCACGGAACGGAGUUUCAUUCAUCGCGACAGGAGUUCACCAUAAGAAGGGGCCGGUCAUCCAACGAGAAGGGGACUUCACCUUCUCACUCUGAAUCCGUUGAUCAGGAAUAGAGAAAGAAAGUUUUUUUUUCUUGACUUUAGAUAAAGCGGAAGCUCGUUCCUGGCCUAUUUGGCAGUAGCGAAUCUGAAUUCGUAACCCGCCUUGGGCAGGAGUCGUCAGAUCUUUCCCAGGCAAAGGAGCGAUCGACACUCGCUCGCAAGUUUGAAGAAGUGGUAAGCGCAAGGAAAAGUUGAUUAAGAAAGGGGAAGAUGUUUUUCCUGGUUAUUUUUGCUUUUCCUGAGCGGUAUAGUAAGGCACGUGGGAAAUCACAAUCAGAGAGAAGUAACGAGAGAUCCGCAGGAAAUAGCGAAGUACAUGAAUUGGAUCUCUUUUCUUUAGCUUAGAGAGAGGGACGACAUAGAAAAGCUAGAGGNUAUAUAUAUAUAUAUAUAUAUAUAUAUAGCCUUUUUGGCUAUUGGAUCAAUCAUAAUGACAUUUGAAUCAUAGACAAUAGUGGGCCCUAUAAGUAAUCGCUAUUGUUGACUUUUGAUUCCAUGGCCAAAAAGAUUGAUCUAAGGUGAUAAAAUAUUAAAAGUCCUUGGUGCAUUUAGAAACAUUCUGUCAAGCACCGCCUCGUUCCACAGUGGAAGCCCUGCGGGCAUGUACACAGACCUGCCGAACGGAUAGAGUUUUCUCCAUUCGUCCAAAGCGUAAACAAAACCAAUACAUUGAAUUUCACUGAGAAAAAAUAAUAUAACAUAGUUUUGUACAAGGGCAUAUCACAAAAGCGAGAAUGUAAAUCUAACUAUUACAACAUUGGAACAUUCACAUUUUUACAUAUAUUUCUCAAAUUUAAUACAUAUUACAUGCCUUUUUCCUUAAUAUACAUCUUUGCUUUCAAUUAUAUUUCCAUUUCUAAAAUAUCUUUACAUUUUUGUUACUUGUAUAUAGAUAAUCUAUAGUUGGCGAUCUUGCUGUUUAGGGCACAAAGUCCACGCCUCGGUUCGAUGCCGCUCUGCUUGUGGUUGGCUCUUCAAAAUAGGGGGCGCGCGUGAGCACUAAAAAAAAUUUCUAAUGAGUUCGGCCGCCGACCUUGACUAUUUUUCCACUAGGUCCAAUCAAGAUAUAGGUAGAUAUGAUAACCAAGAAGUAGCAAACAACUACACUAUGCAUAAACUAGAAUAAACACUAUUAUGCCGUUACAAAAUAAAAAUAAGUUUCAAGGUCCAAUAUGCUCAACUUGACCCCCCAUUUACCCCUGACCCAAUCAAGCUGGCUUGCCAUAAGGUCAAGUCCAGCUCACCCCUCUCGGUGCUAUGCGACCCAAUCACCUACCUCGUGUUGUUUGUCGAGGAGGCAUAAUCAACUUGUCACCAAACAUAUAACACUACUACUAUGUUCUCUCUAUAAGGUAUACAAAGACGAGACCUACUAUGCUCUUGAUGUCUUUCUCUUUUACCUCUUGACCCAAUCAUACCAGCUUACUAUAAAAUCGAGCCCAACUCACAUCCCUAAGCCACGUGGGGAGGCGCUAUACGACCCAAUCACCCACCUUAGGCUGUCUACUGGGGAGUCAACUGCUCAACCCAUACCUGUAACACUCCGGAGCUCACUGCUUGUGGAGUCGCGAUCUCCACAGGCUAAAACAAACUAUGUGAGUAUGAUCCAUUUCUCUUAUUUAGAGAACUCACUACAAACCAUGGUAACACUAUCUCGAAAUUUGCCACUCCCUAGCAUGCUCAUAUCACGGUAUAUCCAACUAUGGCAAAACACCUAGAACAUGUUACAUGUACAAUCCCGACACACUUUAGAAGGGCUUCUUCCCAUACUGAGUUGGUUCCAACUGAGUCAUUCCUAGACCAGGACUAGACGGAAGAUCGGGCACACAUAUAUAGCAUACUCUUAGAUAGUUAUUUUGUAUAUGUCGUAAUUCGUUAUAAUUGUACAAUAGGUUACACCCAAUUCAUAGUUCAAUCUGUCACUAGGUUCAUGUGUGACACUCAAUGACGCCUAGUGUUCUACUAUGUUUUCUAUAUCCAUACAAGUAGUUUACUCUACUAGUUCAAUACAUCUCUAGGGUUCAUAUAGCACUAUACUCAUGCAACUUAAGUUUUAGAGUUCUCAACAAUCGUUGUCUACUUCUAAUUUAAGAAGCAUAUAAUUUAUAUGGCAAUAACAUACACUUGAACCCUAACAUACAUUGUCUUAAUCCUCUACAUGUUCUUGAGACUAUAUUCAUUCUAUGUUACUAGCUAGGUUCAUAUUUAGUAACUACAUUGACACCUAGUGUUUCACAAGAACGAUCUAAGUCCAUUCACUAACUUGUUCUACUAGUUUUGUCACACCCCAAUAAUCCCACAUCGGAUAGGAAUGGGGAUGUGAUUGGAUAUAUAAGAGACUUAGACACUAGUAAUAAUAACUAGGCUUAAGCAUUUUGGGCUGGUGGUUAGGCCCAACGAGUUAUUGUUGCUAGUGGGCUGGGUCGUUACUGUCUGCCGCGAAUAAACCUGCCCCGCCAUAGGUAUUUCUAAGGCGAGUGGUCAUUCAUAGUACAGAUUAAAUUUGUUUGAAUUUUACUUUGAAAUAAGGAUUAUAGGUUUAUGGCUUUCAACAGACUCAAGAAUCUGCUGUUAAUUACCUCACACUUUCGGUGUUAAGGUGGCUUCCAACAGACUCAAGAAUCUGCUGUUAAUUACCUCACACUUUCGGUAUUAAGGAACCCUCGAUUAAGAGACCAAAUAUAAAUGCUGAUGAUAAAAGAGACAAAACAUGCAAAUAAAAUUUUAUUAAUAUGAUUUGCUGUGUACAUGGCUUAUACCCCCAUUGUACAUGAAGUUUAUAAGACUAGAAUACUCAGUUUAGCGACUUGGUGGUUGACUGAGAUCAGAUUGCUCAGUUUAAUGACAUGGCGGUUGUUUGAAAUAGGCUGAGGUUGAGUUUAAUUUUAAUUUAUUCAGUUUAACGAUAUGGCGGUCAAAAGGAGUUUGAUUUGAUUUGCUCAGUUUAACGACUUGGUGGUCAAUAGAGUUUGAUUUGAUUUGCUCAGUUUAACGACUUGGCGGUCAAUAGAGUUUGAUUUGAUUUGCUCAGUUUAACGACUUGGCGGUCAAUUGAGUUUGAUUUGAUUGUUCAGUUUAACGACUUGAUGGUCAUUCGAUUGUUCAGUUUAACGACUUGAUGGUCAUUCGAUUGUUCAGUUUAACGACUUGAUGGUCAUUUGUUUUCAGCUUAUGAGUCGAUUAAGUUGACCUAGCCGGUUAAGUUGAAUUUAGCUCAAUUUGAACCGUUGAUUUGCUUCGGUUCGGAUAGAGCCGGUUUACUUAAUUCGAAUCAUCACAGUAGGGUUCAAGUUGAAUUGACUUGAAACCUUCGUGUUUGAUUUGAGUUGGGCGUCCUUUGGUUUGUUUGGUCAUUCGGGUUGAACCGUUAUACUUUGGUUCGAAACACAUCAAGACUUGGUUUAAGCCGAACUUUUGUGACUUAGUUCAAGUCCCCUUUAAUUUUGGGUCAGGUUGAGCCCUUAUAUCUUGGCUCAAUUUUAACCUUCUUAUAGUUCAGUGUGGUUUGGAUUCAAUCCACAUGAUUUGGUUCAAGAUAUGUUUGAGUUUGAUUCAGAUUGAGCUCUUACAUUCCGACUCAACUGAAAACCUUUUGGGUUUGAGUUUGAGCUGAACCAGUUUCUAAUUUAAGUCGAACCAACUUAUAGCUUGGUUCAGUUUAGCUCGAUCUUCAUGUAGUUCAAUUUAGAUCGGACCCACUUCGGUUCAAGCUGAAUCCUUUAUGGUUCAAUUCAGAUCGGAUCCACUUUGGUUCGAGUCGAACCCUUUGUGGUUCUGAUCCGGAUCGGACCCACUUCGAUUCGAGUCCGAUCCUUCACGGUUUGGUUUGGAUCGGACCCACUUCGGUUCGAGUCGGAUCCUUUACGGUUAGGUUCAGAUCAGACCUACUUCAGUUCAAGUCGCAUCCUUUACGGUUCGGUUUGGAUCCACUUCGGUUUAAGUUGAAUCCUUUACUGCUUGGUUCAGAUGGGAUCCGGUUCGGUUUGGUUCAGUUCGAAUCGGAUCCACUUUGGUUCAAGUCGAAUCCUGUUCGGUUCGGAUUGGACCCACUUCGAUUCGAGUUGAAUCCUUUGUGGUUCAGUUCGGAUCGGACCCACUUUGGUUCGAGUCAGAUCCUUUAUGGUUCUGAUCGGAUUGGACCAGAUUCGGCUCGAGUCUGUUCAAGUCGAAUCCUGUUCGGUUUGGAUUAGACCCACUUCGGUUCAAGCUGAAUCCUUUGUGGUUCAGUUCGGAUUGGACCUACCUCGAAUCGAGUCGGAUCCUUUAUGGUUCUGAUCGGAUUGAACCAGAUUCGUCUCGAGUCGAAUCCUUUAUGAUUUGGUUUAGACGGGAUCCGGUUCGGUUCAGUUUGGAUCGGGCCCACUUUGGUUCAAGUAGAAUCCUUUAUGGUUCGGUUCAGACAGGAUCCGGUUUGGUUUGGAUCCGGUUUGAUUUAGUUCAGAUCGGAUUCAGUUUGGUUCAAGUCGAAUCCUUUAUGGUUUGGUUCAGACAGGAUCUGNCCACCUGAGUCAUUCCUAGACCAGGACUAGACGGAAGAUCGGGCACACAUACAUAACAUACUCUUGGAUAGUUAUUUUGUAUAGAGAAUACAAGUAGGAGAUUUUCAGCUAAAUCCGUUUUCAUUCUGUUCCACACUUGCACGGAGCACCUGCACGCUCCCUUACGCCCUUCUUGCAUGGUAGUUUUUCUUGCAUUUAGUCUUGCAUGGUCUAGGUCCCCAUAGGUUUCCUUGCACUCCCAUAGUGUUGUAAUCGAGUCACCCUCACUGUUGAACUUUGGCUGAGAGAUCAAGUUAACUCUUAAUCUAGAGUAUAAUAAGGAUAGACGGAGAAAGUAGAGCCCUCGAGCCUCGUCUUCCUCCAGAUAGGAUUCUUCGUCGUCGCUCGAGGGAGCGAGAGAUGAAGACAGGUCUCCAAAGGAUCUCUGCCUUUGCAUUGCAACUCGCUUUCCUUUUCGUGCCGAUGUAGAUCCGGAAAGACAGACCGCCCAGCGAUGACCAUAUGGCUUAGGUCAUCAUUCUGGAAAGUCUUCUUCCAUGGUGGUAAUGAAGAAGCUUGACCUGCGAAGGAAUUGCUGAAUCCUCCGCUUAGGAAACCUCCUUUGAAAGCAAAGAGCCUUCCUCCAAAGUUUCCACCAACGGAGCCAGGGUUGCUACCGAAUGGUGUGAAGCGUUGAGGUACAGAAGUAGCUGCUCCGGGUGAAGUACCUACUCCAGGUAUGGUAGGCGACGCAAAGUCUUGGUGAUGCAGAACGACGUCAGAGGAUUGCUCCUCUUCAUCGCUCAGAUCUGACAAUCCUCCUGCGUACUGGGGGAUCUCAAUCUGCUCCGAGCAGCCUAAUCGGCUUGCUAAGAGUGCUUGAGAUCUUUGGAUAUCUCUGAGACCACCUUGAAUGGAUACCAAUGAAGCUUGUUGUCGUCUCAGAAACUUUUGAAGGUCGUCGAGGACCGAACAGAGAUAAUGAAGUGUGAGGUUGCCCCUGUUAAGUUGUUUAUGUAGGGCAGCUGCCUUGCCCUCGGUUGAAGCAUGAACUGGGUUCGCUGCGCAUUCACCGUUAACUGUUAUUUCCUCGAACGGCCUUGAUGGAGAUUUCGUUGCCUUUCUUAUCGUGGCAGUGAUGGAGAAGAGAACAGCAACCAAUUUUUUACGAGGCUGCCCCGUGUUGUCUGUUUCCUCGCCACAUGGAAGGAGCGGAUCCCUUGCUCCUCCGGGAAAACCUUUCUGAUCUGGCAGGCUUUACCUGGAAUAAGCCUCCCGAACCAGAAUGGGCCGAGAAGGAUCUUGUGUUGUCUAUCUCGGCUGUCUCCUGAUGAUAUGUGCGUGGGAUGGCGCUUACGACUCUGGAUACUUUAGAAGUCCUAUGGCUUUUCUUCCUUUCACCUGUGCAUGGUCUUGCUGGAUCCUGAAAUGAAAGGUUAGAAAGCAUAGGGUCCUUACCUCGACCCUUAAUCAACAUCAUAGAUAUAUAUCGUUUAGUGCAAUAGUUGAUAGGGGUGUGAGUAUUCCGAGAUAAAGACUUACUUAAAAAGGAAAGUCUAACCCUGCUGUCUUCUUUCAAUAUCGACCUUUGACAGCAAGUCGAGGGCUAAGGAGGAGGAAGACAGGUCAACUAGUUGAGAAUCCAUUCAUCAGGGAACUCAACCUCAGACACAUUGAUAACCUUGGGUACAAGUGGCUUGCCAUAAAACGAAGACUGGUAAUACACAGAUUCAUACCGUUACUGGUGUUUCACAGGUGGAAGUUGUGUUUAAAAAUCUUGUGACCAUAGCAAAGUCACAUUAUGUGAACCCUCAAGCAUAUCAAAGCCAUGAGUUUUCACUUUAAUCUUUAGGGUAUGCGGGAGCCACGGGUCAGUGAGGCUCAGUGUCAAGUUGGGAUAGCAUGUGAACGAAAUUGGUCCAUCAUGCAGUGGUGCCUGCACAGCUGCUAUUAAAGUAUCUGAAAAUGAGUUGUGCCUACAGUCUAACGUGCUGGACACUACGGAAGUGUUGAGACCUCGCCUUGGUUGUGGCGUGAUUCCUACCUGAACCAUCCCGAGGUGUACAAAACUGUAUUUCUUUAAGAUUUCCUCGAACUCGUCAGGUUCCACAAGGAGAAUAGAAAUCGUGGCCUCAUCACAACCAAUGGGUACUGACCUUUCCUUCAUGACGACUCUAUCCAUUGAUCUCAGUCCGAAGAUGCGGAUAAAGUGUUGAAGAUCAGAAUACACAUCUCCUUUCCGGAUAAUGGGUAGUUUCCACUUAGGUAAGGGAGCAUCCAUUCGCAUGUCUCCACUGAUAGGAGUGAGUUCGUUACCAGUGAAUUCUUACGAGUUAAUUAUGGGGGUGGACUCACUGCCUUCCAUAGCUGAGAAAAUAAAGUUAUCUUCCCACCAGGGGGGUAGCGGGAAGAACUCACAAUCUCGUGGUACUUAGAGCAAAAAUAUGGGUUUUGGGUAGGUUUUUGGGAAAAGUGGGUGAGUUCUGACCAAAAAAGGGCUAAAGAGAAAAUAAAAGGGAAUAAUCGAAAAAUUGGGUAGGCUAGGGAAACCGGAGAAAAGGAAAAUUUUUGUAUGGGUAUUUUUUUGAAAACAAAAAGGUUGUGGAAAACUGGGUAAGGGUAGGUCCUAGGGGGUUCUUCUAAGGUAAGGAUGUGUCCUAAGGGGGUAUGGGAUAGGUCUUCUAAGGGUAAAGGGUGUUCAUAGGGGUUCACUAAAGGUCUGGGUAUUCCUAAUGGGUAUGUGGGUAAGGUAUGGUAAGGGUAAGGGUAUGUUUUGGCUCUGAUACCAGAAGGGAAGGGACCGCUCCCUAUACAGUAGGAGAGGAGGGAUGGACCCCUCAACCACUGUAUCCAGGAGUGGACGAUGCCCUAUUAAACGAGAUAUGUGAGUGCAGAAACAGGCCCUCCACGACCUUCCUUAGCCAAUCCAAGAUUGAAGCUGUUAGACCACACUCAAACGGCCUUCCAACCGCGAUACCACAGUGACGGGCUCGAAUCGACGCUUAGCGCCUGCACUAUAGCCUCCUAUCCUAAUAGGACACCAUGCUGCAGAAAGUGCUACAGUAACUUUUGAAUUAUUUACCGCAGUGCCACUUUCUAACAGAAUGCUAUCUUACCAGGUACGGAGUUACAGUACCGGUUUUCAGGAUCGUCGCCUCAGUCAAGCUUCUCUUAGCUUCAAGCCUCUAGCAGAGACUGCCAGAAAACUCUACACCGUAACGGAGUUUGCUUUGCCCAAUAACCCCUGCCCCUUUGGUUAUUACUGCCUCUACACCCGUCUUGGACCAGGAGCCUGAUACAUCAGAUUAACGGUCUGUAACGCCUUUUCUUCUCAACUCUUCUUUAACGGCGUCAGCGGCCACCUCCUUCUCUGGUUCAAGUUUGCUCCCUAUCUGUUAGGUAGAGGACUUACCCUACGCAUGAGACGAGGCUCGAGGGCUAAGGGGUGGAUCAGUCGAGUUAUCAGAGUCCCGCCCAAUGGGCAAUUGGCAGCUAAGAUAAAAAUCCAUGGUUUCCCGGCCCAUUUCGACCAAGUUCCGGAACCGGAAAAAAGAAGCGGUUUUUCGCACAGCUUGCUCAUAGUGCAGGUCCCACUUUGAUAUCGUAUUUGGCCGAAGAAGCAUCGGACAGGUUGGAGUUCCUACUUUCUUGGGACUCCAUGGACCAAGAUCUGCUUUCAUUAUAUGGGCCGAUCUACAUACAAUAGUAGAUCAUCAGGAUGUAGAAAAAGCUGAUGAUUUUGAGGAAUUGGAAACAUCUCUUUUCCAUUUCCAUUUACCCAGUUCAUAUCUUUCUUUCAAUACGGGAGGAAUUCGAUCUCUUCAAUCUCGGGAUACCACCUAAAUAACUGCGGCCAGAGAGUCAAAUAGGUCGGGAAGAAAGAGUCUGAGGUCGGGUCGGACGACAUACAUCGUCGGUUGGUCCCACCACCACUAGAGAUUGGACAUCUAGUGAAUCUAUCUUCUAAAAAAAGGAAAUAUUUGCAUUAGGCGCACUCACUGCGCUUUCCCUUGCCCAGAUCUUCGCCUUUCACAGUCAAAAGUAAUGGUGACCGGCCUAAGACAGGAGCCUCGUAACAUGUUGACGCGAAGACCUCCGAACUGAGGCUUCGGUCAGUAGAGGGGACGACUUUCCCUCCCCGGAAGAUGAAGAGUCCCGCUCUCUAGCCGACUGAUCCUGUUGAGAAUAGAACUGGGAGGGAACGUGUCACAUUAGAGGUGAACGAUCAGAGGUGUCCUCUAAUCACCACGAUGAGGCUGGUCCCUCUUUUAGUAGACUCAGCUAUGAAUGAAGAAAUGAAUGCCGGGCUCUCCUUAUUCAUUCUAUAGGGCACUGAUAACCCCCAAGAAAGAUCUUAAUGCUGAUUACUUCUUUGACGGCAUCACCCUUCACUUGUAGUCCUCCUUUGAGUGUAGGUUCAAUUGGAUUGGAUGAAUCUGUCAAGUCAAGGUCAACGUACGUAGCAGCAAGGAUGGUGCAUCGCCUCUUUCUCGUUCUCGCUCGGAAGCCAAAACGAACNAUACUGAAUCUUAGCAAAUUGGCAAUAUUACAGUAUAAAUUUAUACUUGAUUGAGUUGAAGACGUUUAGUGUAAAAUAGACACAAAAACGGACUUUGAAACAUAAUAUUUAAUUUGUAGAGGAAUAAAGUUAAAAUACUUAAUUUUGGAGGGGCUUUUUGGUAUUUUUUCUAUAUUAGGCCAUGGAGUGGACGUUGACACCCAUCUUUAUCUUCUUUUUUGUUGUUAAGUUUUAGGGAGAAAGAGAGAGAGGGAUUGAGCACAAAAAAAAUUGGAGAGAGAGAGCUUGGUUUCGUUCUAGCGAGUGAGCGAGCGAGUCGAGUGCGCGCACAUGUACUUUUGGGAUUUCGACAUCAUGGUUAGUAUCAUAAUAUUAUUAUAUCUCGUUUAGGCUCUUUUGAUAAUUUUUUGGUAGAAAUUAAGAGUUAGAAACUGAUUUUUUUAUAUAUAUUUUAGGAGCUGAUUUCGUAGCAGUCGUUCAAAUUAGGAAAGCUGUAACAUAUUAUCUGACUAUUUUGACUGUCGUCUUGUUUCAUGGAUUUGCGAUAUAUGUGGGUUCCGUAUUGUCAAAAUUGGCGAGUUAAUUUCUAUGUCUAUAUUAUAUUAGUUAACCUGUGAGAUGAACCGUUGACAUAGUUGAGAUAAUUGUGAUAUUUUAACUGCAAGUAGAGUAAAUUAAGACACAUAUAGAUAUGUGAUAUUUUCCCAAAGAUCAAUAAACAACUAUAGAUAAUGUAGACUAUAACUGUAUUUUGGAUACUAUGACAGUUUUAUCAUGAUCUAUUUGAUCAUCGCCUUUGACCACAGCCUGCAUGCUAUAUUGAGUUUGACAGUGAUACUAUACUUGGUUGGAGUAGCGCCCCGCGAGUGCAAUUCGGAGGUUGGGCUAUGAGAUAUUAUUAUGGCAUCGGUCAGACAGUAGUCUGCGUGGUAGCGGACCACGAUAGGUGGGUGCUGGACACGAGGCGGCGCAGGCUAGACCUGACUGUUGAGCCGGUCACUAUGAUUGGAUAUUAUUGCAGUAUUUUAUUUAGUAUUUAAUUGAUGCAUGCAAUACAUGAUUUAUAAUUUUAGUUAUAUUCUAGAUGUAUGAUAGUAGUAGUUAUUUUUUGCAAUUAUUCAUACUAUUAUCUGUUCCUUUGUAUUGCUCAGUAUUUACUAUUUUAAUUUGUCUCUUAUGGACCUAGUGGUGUGGACCGUCAUUGUUGACUGUACCAACUGGGGAUAUUGAUUAUAGUUUUCAUACCCUCUUUAUUCAUAUUUUAUUUCAGAGACUUCAGCAUUAGCGACUGAUCGAGAUAAGGGGAUUGCGAAUAAUUAGCAUCUCCUACUUUUCUUGUGUGUGUAGUUGGACUACCUAUUAGUGAGCAGUCUGUACAGUAUUUUUAGAUUUGGAGUGGUUAGAGAUGUUGUACAAUUUUGAAGACUAGUGUGGUGAUGAUUGUAUAUCGUUACAAUGUUGCUAUAGUAUAUAGUUUUUAUUCUUCUCUGAUACCUACUGUUGUUAGAUCUUAGUUAAUUUUAAUUUUGUUGAAUAGGUUUUGCUGACGCUUCAUAUGUAUAAGGAGUAUCCUUAUGCAUGCGGCAGGUCUGUUGACGUAACCCGGGCUUUCGUUAUAUCCCGGAGCGUGACAGAUUAAGUUGGUAUCAGAGCCUAGGAUAUUUGGCAUAUAAAACUUUAGGCUGGACAGAGCCCCAAGAUAUAGGACGAGAGAGACGUGAUUUGUAGCGAAAGUCAAAAGAUUGAAUUAUACAACCUCUUCAGAGAGAAUUGAAAAGUGAUUAAAGGAGAUGUGUCUUUUUCUUCUGGAUGAUUAUGUUGGUUGCAGACAACAUAAUAUCACAGAUGAAAAGGUAUAUUCUUCUAGACUUUCGUUUGAUUGGGUUGAGUUGCGAGACUUAGUAUGACUAAUCUCUAUUUUAAUUUCAGGUGAUCAGGAUGGAGUAGCAAUCACAGUCAUCUAAAGAAUCUACCCUAGGACAGGUAGAGGAGCAGAGUCAGAAUGCUUCUAGUGAGAUAUGUGAGCUUCGAGAGCAGAUGACUUGGAUGAUAGGGAUAAUGAGGAGGUUAUGUGAGUUGAUAACACAGCAGGUUAGUACUUCACAGCAGAGGUUAGUACAGGAUGCUCCACUAUCGAGUGUUCCGGUUGAUGAUCCUAAAGUAGUUGCACCCCCAGCAGAGACUGUUACUGAGAGAUUGCGACUGACUGGGGUGAUGACAGAGAGCAGACCAGAGAAGUCAGAGGCAGAGCAGGAGAGAGUACAUUCAAGACUGGCUGAGUUUAGGAGGUUCGAUCCGCCCAGGUUCAGUGGUCAUAAUAUGGAGCCGUGGGAAGUGGAAGCUUGGGUAAGAGCUUUGGAGAAGUUCUUUGAGGAUCUAUACAUUCCAGAGAAUAAUAGAGUACACUUGGCAGUACAUUGUUUUGAGGGAGAUAAUCAUUCCUGGUGGUUAAGGACACGUACAUACAUGUCUGAGAGUCUGACAUGGGAGGAGUUCUCAGGGAUGUUAUAGAGGGUCUAUUUUCCUGAUCGUGUGAAGAAAAAACUUGAAAAUGAUUUGAAGAAAAUGAGAUAGGGCGAUUGAUCUGUUCAAGAGUACGCAAGAGAGUUUGUCCAAGUUUUGAGCUGUAUACCCUUUGCAGCACGAGAUGAGCAUAAUAAGGCAUAUUCAUUUGAGAAAGGACUACGACCAGAUAUAUAUAUAUUAGUUUGUAUAGCCGUAGCACCUUCGGACUUUGGAUGAAGUGAUUGAGAUGGCUUUAUGGGUUAAGAGAAGUGUGGUAGUAAUGAAGAAGCAGGUUGAAAUAUAGAAAUGUGAGAAAGACAAGAAGAGACCGACAGAGAGUAGUGGGGAGUAGUCUAGUUCGAGAAGACCACCAAAGUAUUCACGAUUUUGCUUUUAGGGUCGUGGGUCUUUUGUGAGACGGACGCCUAGGGGACCACAGCAGCAGCAGCAGUGGCGACAGGAGAGAUGUGUGAUUUGUAGUGGGCCAUACUUACCUCAUAUGUGUGCUCAGCAAGCUAGCAGAUAUUUUCGUUGUGGACAAGUAGGGCAUGUUUGGGCAGCGUGUCCCCAUGGUACCACUUCAACCCCAUCACUAGCUUUCUCCUCAUCUACCCUGCGACAGACAUCAGGAGUCUUACCAGCAUAUGUUUCUGCUGAUCGAGCUUCAACCUCACGCUCGACUAAGAGGCAGUCCCAGGAGCCGAGUUGUCACGCCCCGGGACCCAGCGGAAGCCUGCCCGGCACCUGCCCAAACCCGCCAUAUGUCUAAAACAUAUAAGGCGUUUAAAACAAAAUGAUAAAUAAAGCGGUUAAAGAAGAUCUAGAGAUAUCAGAGCAUAAAACGACAUCUAGAUUCUACAAUAGAGAAAUAACCAAAAGGCUAAAAUCCACUAGAAGUAAAAACACAAAGCAGUACAAUGGAUAUCCCAAAAUAAGUGCUAGAAAAGUACAUAAGUGGUCUCUACACAUGGUACUCAAAAUCUCUCUCUCUAAUACAAUAAAAGAAAGAGUAACCACCUAAGCUCAAAAGUAGCUCCUCUCUAUCUAGCUAGGCGACACCCUUGCCGCGAUCUUGUGCCUCCGCCGGUGCCAAAGGCUCUGAAAGAAAAUCAUAAAACAGAGGGCGUGAGAAUUAUUAAAUGAUAGUUCCCAGUGGGCAAUUACUGACUUCAGUGAAAUGUGCCACUAGGCCCAAAGCUAAACAAAGGAUCAGUAAACAAGUAUGAAUAAGAGCGAUAUGUACAACAGGUGAUAAACAUGAAUACUUGCUACCACAAGAUAUCUCUACUUAGCAUGAUUUGCAUAAGUAAUAACAGGCUAUUCUUGCAUGAAUGAGAGCGAGUAAAUAACCAACAUAAUGACCAAACUGUAAUAGUAAAGUGAUGAUGUUUACUAUUCUAGUCAAUGUCCAUAUGGCAUGUUAACUACUGAAAGUUAAAUCUCGUGAGACCCGCCCGAAGGCUGUCUGGCCUGAAGACCCACCCAUAGGCUAUCUGGCCGAUGCCGAGCGUAAUGGUCUCGUGGUAGUCAACAUCCCCACUCUAGGAAUGAGCCUUUUCCACGGCAAUCUACUUCGGAGCCCAAUCUCGCACGGCGAAUAUGUAUCACGAUGGCCAUCUCCGGAGUGCCGGCUUGUAGGGAGCGACCCUCACAAGUAUGUGCGAAUGAGCACAAUGGCAAGUAACGUAAGAUCCAUCUCAAAUACCAAGUCCUCAUGUCUAACAACAUGGAAUAUAUCGAAUAUCUCAAAGACUAUCUCUAUGUCAUCAUGUCUAAAACAUGGAAAGUAAUAGAUGUCAAUGACCUAUCACUAUGUCAUCAUAUCAAUGUCUCAAUAUAAUAGCUUCAUAGUCUACCAAGUCAAGUGCCCCUUUAUGACACUUUAUUCACCAAGUCUAAUCAUAGUGUAGUGUUUACAAUUACCCAAUUAUGAGUUAAUUUAACACAAGAGACAAGAUUCUCAUAACUAUCUCGAACACUUCUCACAUGCAUGAAGAUUACCCAGAAUGCUCUACUAUAUAGAGUGAAAUUUAUCUUACACAUAGCACAUGCAUUUUAAGUGUUUUAAAAUUCACAUAAAUCCUAUUUAGCAUGGGUUCGCAUUCAAAAAGACUUUACGAUAAGUAUAGAAAGCAUAGGGGCCACUUUGCCCCGUUUUCAUGAAGUCAAACCCACAGAAAAACGAAACUCUUCGUUUCGCCGAACGGAGGUGUCCACUAGUCUCCUAGCACCCUAAAGAUGUAGGAGUAAGAGUCAAAUGAACCUUACGAACAAUACUAAGCUCAAUCUUUAACCGAUUCAAGAAAAGAGCAAAACUCACCUCUUGUGUAGAAAUCUCUUCUCAAGUUGCAAGAGAGAGAAAAAACCCUUCCAAUCCAACCUAAAGGAAGGUUCUAAGCCAAUCAAUUGGGUCCCAAAGCCCUCAAAUCAAAAAUCUCCAAAAUAAAUCCUAAAUCCCAAAAUCUAGGGUUUCAUCUAGUUUAAAGCUCCAAAAUUAGGAUCUAGAGGAAGGAAACUAGCCACUUACCUCUAGAUGCUCCAAACCAAGCUCAAAAUCCUCAAGAGUUGAAGAUUGAUCCUUCACAAAGCUCCAAUAGCAAGCUCCAAGCCUCCAAUGGUGAGAGGAGAGGUUGAGGAAGAAGUCCCAAGUCCACAAAGCAAGCUCUCCUUCUUCUCCUCUUGUUUCUCCUUCUUUUUCUCUUUCUAGAAUGUGUGAGAGAGUGAGAAUUGAGGGAAAGAGAGAGAGGAAAUGGCCUAAAAGCCCUCUCAUGUAACAAAAUCCACCUAGGUCCCUCAACAAUCUAAGCAGUGCAUCAGCCCGAACUGGGCAAUUUUCGCCCAGAGGGACCGGUCUCUCGCAGCCGGGAUCGAUCCCUCGGGACCUUCCCGCAAAAACCGGUCUCUCCCUGCUAGGGACCGGUUGCCUCAAGUCUGCCGCAACACUGCUCCGGGGGGGACCGGUCUCUCCUACCAGGGACCGGUCCCCGAGAGUGAAAACUCUCAGGACUAAGCCAAAUUCCAGAAAUUCAAACUUUUAGGUCGGAAUACAGUCUACGACCUUCCGCCAAGUAUGGAAAAGCUCGGAAUCCAUAUCAAACACUCGAACCUCGCAAUUUGCACAGGUCCAGUGUGUUACACGAGUGGGUGUGUCUACGCUGCACAAGUGGAGAAUGCAUCAGUAGCCGACUGGGUGGUUACAUGUAUUAUUUUGAUUAGAGGCAUUAGAGCUUGAGCAUUUUUUUGAUACUGGUGCAUCUUAUUCUUUUAUUAGUCGAGCAUUCACAUUACUGCAUGGACUAGAGAUAGAGACAUUAUAGUAUGUACAUGAGGUUCAUAUUCCUGAUCAUACUUUGCAUGUGGGAGAGUAUUGCAUGUCGUGUCCAAUGCAAUUAAGGUAGUAGAUUAUGCCUGUAGAUCUAUUAGUUUUGAGACAGUUGCAGAACUUUGACGUUGAGUUAAGGAUGGAUUGGUUGGCUCGCUAUUAUGUGACGAUUAAUUACGGAGAUAUGAUAGUGAUAUUUCGCUCCAGGUCAGGAGGAGUAUGUGUAUAAAGGUUAUCAGAGCAUUUUGUUUGCCACGAUGAUCUAUACAUAAAAAGCAGAACAGUUGAUGAAUCAUGGAUGUGUAGCAUUUUUGGCAACAGUAGUGGAAGUCCUUAUAACAUCACCAAAACUCGAGGAUAUUCCUAUAGUUCAAGAGUUUCCAUAUGUGUUUUCUCGUGAGUUGUCUAGUAUGCCGCCGAAUAAAAAGAUAGAGUUUGUGAUUAACGUAGUCCCAAAAACUGCGCCAAUCUCAAAGGCACCUUAUAGGAUGGUUCCAGCAGAGUUGUGGAAAUUAAAAGCAUAACUGCAAGAUUUGUUGGAGACAGAAUUUAUUCGACCCAGUGUGUCACCUUAGGGAGUGCCAGUAUUGUUUGUGAAGAAGAAAGAUGCGUCACUAAGAUUAUGUGUAGAUUAUCGAGAAUUGAAUAAGGUGACUAUUAAGAAUAAGUAUCCAUUGUUGCGCAUAGAUGAUUUGUUUGAUCAAUUGUAAGGAUCUUGUGUGUACUCCAAGAUAGAUUUGCAGUCAGGAUAUCAUCAAUUGAAGAUUAAACUUGAGGACAUUUUCAAAACGACAUUUAGAAUACUGUAAGGGCAUUAUGAAUUUACAGUAAUGCCAUUUGGAUUAACAAAUGCUCCAGCCGCAUUUAUGAAUAUGAUGAAUCAGGUGUUCCAACUGUUUUUGAAUAGAUUUUUGGUGGUGUUUAUUGAUGAUAUCUUGAUAUAUUCCCAAAGUUUAGCUAAACAUGAGAACCGUUUGAGAACUGUAUUACAGAUUUUGAGGGAAAAGAAAUUUUAUGCUAAAUAGAAAAGUGUGACUUUUGGUUACGAAAAAUUUCUUUUCUUGGGCAUGUGAUAGCAGCUGAUGGGAUUGCGGUUGAUCCACAAAAAAUUGAAGCAAUUCGAGAUUGGCCUACACCGACGAGUAUUUCUGAGGUGCGGAGGUUUUUGGGGUUGGCUGGUUAUUAUUGUUGGUUUGUGGAAAGUUUUGCGAAGUUUUUCAUGCUCCUCACUCAACUUACUCAAAAAGAAACUAAAUACAUUUGGAGUGACGAUUACCAAAGGAGUUUUGAGGAAUUGAAAAAUAAAUUGACGUCAACUCCUAUCCUUGCCCUUCCUGCUAUGGGAGGAUAUAGAAAUCAAGUAUGAUGAACAAAGCACAUAGAAAUCAAGUAUCACAAAUUACGAGAGCUCACAAAUGAGGAUGAUAGAGAAAUUCAGCUUAUAAAGGUUUCCACGAAGGAUAAUGUAACUGACAUCAUGACAAAGCCGGUAACAGCGGAUAAGUUUAGGUACUGUCUAAACUUGGCAAAUUUACAUGACUACUAAUGCCUAAGAUGCCUCAGGGAGAGGGGGUGAUAAGAUGUGAGAGUAAUGAAGUAAAAAGAAGUCAAGGAGGAGAAUGUUAAAAAUAUGUCUUCUUUUUUAUUGGUUUGGUCCACGCACCGGGUCUAUAGAAUAAUAGACAGGAUCUCAUGAGGAUUCUUAUUGGUGGAUACAAAUUAAGUUGGACUCUGAUUCGAUUUUGUAAGCAUAAGCCUAAUUCAUGUUAAUUAUGAAUUGGAGUAGGAUAAGGAGUUAGAACUAUACCUAUAUAUAUAUGCAUGCAUGUACGGAUGUGGGUGUGGCUAAAAAUUAAUUAAAGAGAGCCUAAUUAAUUAAGGAAAAAAAGGUGGCCGGUUCUUGAAGCCGUACGGUAGCCGAUCAUGAGAAGGUGCGCGGCCUCGCAUGGAACGACGGAUUGAAGUCGACGACGGAGCGGUUCUCGACCAAAUAGCCUGAGCGGUUCGAAUUCUUCGAAGAAACGACAUAAAGGAUUUUGGUUAGAGUUUUCUAUACUUCUUUAAUUUGGUCUUCUCGGUUUUACGAAAAGCUUUUUCGGUAUUUUCUUGGAGUUUUCGUUGGAACAAGAGAAAGGUGAGAUUUACCAUAAAGCUCUUGAUUUUUUAUCCGGAGAAGACAUAAGGUGUAAACUUGUACAUCUAUUUCUUCAUAUAGUGGAAUACAUCUCUCUCGCUCUUCCCGUAGACGUAGGCAAUUGCCGAGCCACGUAAAUCUUGAUUUCUUUUUCCUGCAUUUAUUUCUUUUACCGUUUGGUCGAUUUUCUCUAUUUUCCGUGCCUCUUUGUUGGUAGUGCAUGAUGGACGAUCCAUCCGGUUCCCAGCAAGUGGUAUCAAAGCAUAAGGUUUGCGCUACAUCAGAGAUGUCGAAGGUAUCGUCUUCUAAGUUUGAGGUGGAGAAAUUUGACGGUAAAGAAAACUUUGAUCUCUGGCAGAGAACAGUGAAAGCCCUUCUGGUUCAACAGGGUCUUCAUAAGGCGUAGCUCGGAAAAUCAUCCGUCAUGUGCUACCAACAAAAGGAAGGUCAUCUAUUUUUUUUUCUUACCACUACCUACUGCCACAAAGGAGAAAGAGAUAAAGCCUUCACUGAUGAGUCUCCAAUUACUAUUACUUACUGCCAAGAAAGAGGCAAAGCUUCCACAGAGGACGCCUCCUCCAUAUCCAAUUGAAGUGGAGGAGGUAGAGCUUCCAUCAUCGGAGAGAGAUUCAUCUACUUCUCUCCCACUAUCGCUUGUUGCAAAAGAAAUGGAAGAGCCUCCAACUAAAAAGAGAAGGAGGUACUUCACUAUUGGAAGGAGAUUUAUUUUCUUCUCCUGGCGUUUUAAAAGCCUAUACUUUCAAAUAAAGAUGGGAAAUCAGAGUUUUGACUAGCAGAGAUGGAGCCUUCACUGAUAUAGAUAAAACAUCCUUUGCUGGUGGAGCUCCCGCUGAAGGAGAAAGAUUUUUCAGCAACUAUCUCACUGCCAGAAAAGAUGUGGAUAUUUAUCUUUAAAGUUUGAGGACCAAAUGUAGAAUUUAGCCUAUUAGUUUGGGAUUUCUUCUAGCAAAUAUUCAAAAGUUUUAGAUCUUCAUAUACUUUUUUGGUUUACUCAAAAAAUUUUAUAUAUUUGGUAGAUAAGAAGAGCGAUCAAAUUUUUAGAAUAGAAUAUUAUGUUCAAUAUUUAAGUUAUUUUUUUCAAAAUAAAAUAAAUCAUUUUGUAGGAUAAAUAUACUAUCUAUUAUCUAUUAACUUAUAUUAAACCCCAUAAUUUUGUCCACGUGGCAUCGUUUCCUUCAAUUAGAAAACUGUGGGACCCACCUGUCAUUAUUUCUAACUCAUUGUCGGUUGAUCUUUCCACUUUAUAUUAAACCGGUUUAAUAUUUUCCUAAAUUAAAGGAACGUGGGCCCCACCUGUCAUUGUUUCUUCUCUUUUUUCUCUGAUGAAUCCAUUGAUCUUCCGAUUUUACAUUGAACCGUGGAUCCCCUUUAAUGUUGAUUGGGGCCCACUUUCUUCUAGAACCUUCACCGGUUGAUCUUCCCACUUUACAUUGAACCGGUUUAAUAUUUUUCUAAAUUAAAGGAACGUGGGCCCCACCUGUCAUUGUUUCUUCUUUUUUUUCUAUGAUGAAUCCAUUGAUCUUUCCGAUUUUACAUUGAACCGUGGGUUUCCUUUAAUGCUGGGCGAUUGGAUCCUUGGAGCAGCUUUCAAACGACGUAUAAGCUACAGGAUAAGCUUAGAGAAAUGUUCAUUUGCUGAGAUACUGGAUGCUUACCGAAAGAGGGGAAUUGCAUGUAAGAGAAGGGAGAAUCUUCAUGGACUGGCUUCCACCAAUCGAAGUUUCGCGCAUUUCAGAUGGUGGUAAAGUGAUACCACAUAAGGAGCUCUUCCUCAUUCAGUCAUAUUCCUAAGUAAGAAAUGUUUGAGCCUUCACCUUUUUUCAUCUUCAUAUAGAAAGAAAAUCGGCUUUCCUCAUACUCCCCCCUUCAUUCAUUGAGUUGGAGGAAUCCACAAGAGGCCCGUCCGUUCAUAAUUGCAUAAAAGAACCUUUCUUUUUAUGAAAACUCUUGUUCCAACCUUAGGUCGAAUGAAUACGAAAGGGAGAUCAAUCAAAUCAAUAAGCCAUGAAUGAAGAAGUAGAGGGCCUUUCACCUUAUUUCGUUUUACUCGUGGAGCUGAUAAAUCUACUUCAAAGGGAGGGAAGCUAGGAGUGAGGGUCUUCUCCUUGAUUUUUUUCAAAAAUUUCUUUAGUCUCACCAGCGGCUUUUACCCACCAGCAUAUCGCCCAGCAUUAGUGGAGGGUCGAAGAAAUUUCCGUACCUUCCUUUUUCGUCUUUAUCACCCUUCGCUUAUCACUUCUACACUAGCAGAUGUUGGAGCACCACUCAUGUUCAGAGCAGGAAAGGUUCUACACUCUAUUAUGAAGUAAGGAAGAUCUGGAUACAGAAACUUCUACAAUUGCUAAUGCCGGAACAUCGCAAAACGGAAGAUUCUAUGAUGCACACAUAGACGUAAGUAAUUUACUUUUUUUUACACCAAUGCUGGAUAAGAGAAAAGUGUCCUAAGCCAGGCGAGCCUAAUUCUAGCGUAGGCCGACCGGGAGCCGUCGAAUGCUCGGAUCAAUUGCUACCUCUGCUGUUGGUGCUUUUUGCACUAGACGGAAUGAACCGACUGCCGGGAAAACACAAUGUAUCUACCCCCCGGGUCAAUUUCUUCUUCGAUUGGUUUAGAAAAUGUCACCUUUGCCGCUGACGCCGUCAUAGUUAUUAGCACAAGUACAGUACCUCUACCAUCUACUUGAAACCUUUCAUACCAAGUCACUGCAUAGCUACGCCCGCAAUGAGCAAUGGGUAGACGCGAGCGAGAAAAGGCACGCAGAAUAGUUUAUUUAGGAAAUGAGAAUCGUAGGAGUGCACGGAAGAGUGCGAUUGGUUGAUGUUGGGCGAGCGAACCCGCUUAUGGUCUAUCCUUGUAUAGUAGCGAAUAGAAAGGGAUAGACAACUACUAGAACGCAAGGCCUAUUCAUCAUAAGAUCGAAAACGGAACAUUAUGAGAAUUGAUCAGAACCCUCCACUCUCCAGUCCGGGGACGGGAGGCCACAAAUGGAGUAUGGCAACUGAUCAAUAGCUUCAACUGAUACUGCUUCUAAUGGAGAAACUGGCUAGUAGAGACAGACGGACUAUCUUUGUCAAAGGAAGCCAUAUAAUUAGGCAAACCAUGAAGAAUAAAUGUCAAGCAAGCAGCCACCUGUACGAAUAUAGCUAGCGAAUUUGCAGAUGUGCUUCGUUUCACUUAAUGUAGGGUAGGCAAGGGCAGGGAAGUAAACAACAGCAAAGAGGGCUCAGACGAGGUGAGUGGCGGGCUUCUUUAAAGCUUCUUCUGGACUGCGACAGGGGGACCCAUUGCCCCCGUACCUUUGAACUCUGGUUAUGGAAGGUUUCACAGCUCUCAUGGAGUAUGCCUCUCUGUGUAAACAGAUAAAACCGGUGAAUAAUGGUGGCCCGUUCAGCAUCUCGCACCUAAUAUUUGCUGACGACCUUCUGGUCUUCACAAAUGGAGAUGAUAGAUCACUGAAAUAACCAGAGAAAGUCUAAAAGGAGUUUGAGGGUCAAGCUGGUAUGAAAGUCAGUGUGGAAAAACUCCAAUUUGACUUGGGAGGUAACAUGAAUGGUAGAAGAAUUAGAUCGAGAUUGCACAAGGAAUUUACCCAUCAGGUACAACGGCCUACCUCUCUUCUCUUCCCGUUUGAAAGCGUCCCUUUUCCAAUCCCUGUCAAAGUCAAGAUUUCUGGCUGGACAGGCAAACUCUUAUCCUUUGCGGGUCGGUUUAAGCUUAUCAAGUGGGUCCUCCAUGCAUAUCAGAUGUAUUGGUUGGCUGCGAUUUUUUCUUCCCUCCUUGAAGGUGAUAGAAAAGAUGAUGAUUGUGGAAUGGUGCCAAUCCGAAGCAAGGUUAUAUGACUGUUAGCUGGACUAAGAUCUGUACUACCAAGCAAGGAGGAGGGCAGCCAAGACUUGCUCAUGGAUGAAAGCAAAACCGGGCUGGCAUAAACAGAACUCGGAUGGGGCUCUUUCAGAUAGCGGUGCAGGUAUGGGUAUCGUCAUCAGAGAUGCCAAUGGCUCCUAGAUCAAAAGCAAAUCCUUCCAUUGCGGGAAAGAAGAUAUCCUACAUAUCGAACUCGGUGCUAUCCGAAAGAGGAAUUGGCCAUCGACCUAGGAUUUUCGAGGCUCUAGAUCGAAGCGGACUCCCUUUUGGCUGUCGUGUGCGCAGAUCUCUCGUCUGCCCUUGGAAUGAAAGAAGAAAUUUUGCUCAUAUCUUGCAUCUCCUCCAACAGAUACCCGAUUGGAAAAUGGGGAAGCUAACUUCUGUGCCGACCAUGAAGCUAAGAUUGGACUUGACGGUGACGAAGUCACUAUUUUGGCUGAUCUUCUGCCACCCCCUCUACAGCCUUUUCUAGAAGAAAAGAAGACAGAUCUUGAACGCAAUACACUCGAGCCUAACAAUCAAUCUCAGGCAGCCUCUACUAAACUCCGGGAACUUUCUGAUUAUGUGUAAUCAGUUGUUUUCAAAGUCGUUUUAUCCUUUUAUUUUUGAGGAUAUUGACGGAACUAUUUCUUUUUUUAUAAAAACUGGUAUGGUAGGUGCCCUCGUGGGAUUGUCGAUAAGCAAGACCUUGCAAAGACUAGCUUAUCAGGCUCUCUUUGAGCUACAAGCGAUUUGUGAGCCUGCUAUAUAUUCCGGUUUUUCUUCUAGUAGGUAGAGUAGCCUACACUUGAGUAGGUCUGUAUUUUUAGUAACUAACUAACUAACCCUUUAGUUGGUCUGUGGAUAGUCAGUCUGUAGAUAGAGUAGCUUACCCUUCAACUAGUUAUUUUUCUUCAUCUGGCUGUCGAUCCCUACCUACUGGCUGUCUAACUGCACUAUUCCCUUGGGAAUGGUUGACCAACUCACUAAAAUCAUGAGGAGCUUUCUGUGGGAGAAAAGUGAUUGUACCAAAGGCCUUCACCUCAUAAGCUGGGGCAAGGUCACUAAUGCUACCAAUGCUGGCGGGUUAGGCAUUAGAGAUCUUAGAACUUUGCAGCCAGCCCUCCUUGCGCCUAAGGCUUGGAAUUUGAUUAGGAUCGAGAUUUUUAAAAAUCAGUAUGCUACCUUUCAUCCCUGGAGAUCUGGGAAAAAGAAAAAGAAGUCACCUCUUUACAAAGCUAUCCACAAUUCUAUGGAAUCCAUGAAAGAUGGCUUGAUCAAACAACUUGGAGAUGGCAAAUCUACCUCUAUCCUUGACGACCCGUGGGUGUUUGAGAUUCCUAUUGCUAUCAAGCCCACCCUCAUCAAUAUGGAUUUGCAAUUUGGCAAUAGGAAGGUCAGCUGGCUGUUAUCCAAAGGUAGUUGGAGGUCUAAUCGCCUGCUGGAACUCUUCGGUGAGUCUCUGGCAAUGGCGAUUUUCUCUCUUCCUAUUCUUGUUGCCAAAACUCAUGAUGAUUGGAUAUGGAUGCAUCAACCCAAUGGUCAGCCUUCGGUGAAAUCGAUCUAUGAGUUCAUCCACAGGGACCCCCAAAACACUAAGACCUGUUGGCCUGGUUGGACCAAAAUUUGGAAAUUGAAGGUUGCCCCCAGAAGAAUAGCUCUAUAGUUUUUCUCAUUGGCAGAAGUGCAGUGCAGAUCAGAAGGUCGUCCACAAACAUAAGAUGAGAGACCUUACGAGUGCGAUUAAUUCAAAACCCAUCAAUGUCACCUCUAUUCAUGCAAUCGUUAAGCAGAUGGGUAAGCAAUUGGGAGCAUAAAAUAAAGAGAUAAGGUGAAAAGGGUCUCCCUGUCUAAUACCACAGUUAGUCUUCAACCAUUUUGUCGGAGUACCAUUGAUAAGCAAGGAAAAGGAAACAGAGGUAAUGCAAGCCUUAAUCCACAAGCACCAUUUGGCAGGGAAAUUCAUAGCAUCCAAAAUCGAAAGAAUAGCAUUCCAAUCAAGCCGGCCAUAAGCCUUUUCCAUAUCGAUUUUAAAAAGCAUCAAAGGAUCGUCACGGUUCCUGCUAAAUUCCAUGGAAUGCACGAUUGAAUGCACAGCCAUAAUGUUGUCAGAGAUGUUCCUACCAGCCACAAAAGCAGCCUGCUCAGCUCCUAACAUGUUAGGCAACAGGGUUUUCAUUCUGUUCACUAGGACUUUAGACAGCAGCUUGUAGAUCACAUUACACAAGGAAAUGGGCCUUCAUUCUUCCACCUUGGAAGGGUUGGGCCGUUUAGGGACCAGGGUAACAAAGGUCUGACCCCACAGAGAAGGGUCAGUAGCAUGAAACUUUUCAAAGGCCAGACCAAUGCCACUACCCAACUGAUCCCAGAAGCAUCUAAAAAACUCUACCUGAAAACCAUCAGGCCCAGGGGCCUUUCCAAGGGGCAUCGACCACAAGGCUGCUCUAAUCUCCUCAAUGGAGAAGGGUUUAAGGAGCUCAUCCUCGCAGGCAUUAGGGAUAGAAGGGAAGUUGGUUAAGUUGAGACUACAUAAAUUAGUGGAGUUAGGAGUAGCCCAAAUGUUCCUAAAAUGAUUAAAAAAAAACAUUACCUAUCUCCUUAGGAUCCUCCACUCUAGAACCCUCACAGUCAAGAAUAGCAGCAAUCCCUAUUAUUGCGUCUCCGCUCCGGAUAAGGGUAGAAGUAUGAAAAAAUUUUGUAUUAAGGUCACCUUUUUGCACCCGGAUUUGGAUCUCCAUUUAGUAUCCAAUUGACGCAAUAAGGCAAGAUGGUGGUUAUAAAGGGUCUGCAGGUUGCGUUUGUCAUUCUUGCUAAGUCCACCAGCGGAUUGUUUAAGUUCUAACUCCAGGAUUUUUUAUUUCACCGAAUCAAUGAGAUUUUCCAGUUUGCCAAGGUCCUUUUUGUUCCAGUAGGUGACCCUAUCUCUGAUAAUACUGAAUUUAGCAAGAAGAUCAGAGAAGGCAUCAUCAUACAAAACAUUAGAGCAAACAUCCCUAACCAAAUUGUGAACAGUUUCAUAUUCUAACCAAAAGAGUUCAAAACGAAAAGGACGCUUGGCAGAAAGAUUUCUACAAGUAAAAUAAAAAGGUUAAGGAGCAAAGGAGCAUGAUCCGAACCACUUCUUGGAAGAUGUUUAACUAAAGCAUCAGGAAAUAAAGAAAUCCAGUCACCAUUCGCCAGACAGCGAUCAAUACGGCUCCAGACCCUGGCUUCCUCGGACCGGUUAUUACACCAGGUAAAACGAGGUCCAGUGAAUCCAAGGUCAAAAAGCCUAGCACGGGAGGUAAAGUCACAGAACAAUCUCACAGAUUGUGACAAGGAAAAAUCUUGACCUCCCCGCUUUUCAGACGGAUCAAAAAUCAUAUUGAAAUCACCCAAACAAAGCCAAGGAACCAACAUAUGUUAAAUACAUUCCAGCUCAGAGCAAAGAGAAUUUUUUUCCGGAAAGGUAUUACCUGCAUAAGUGGCGGAGAUGAUCCAAGGUUGACGUUGAGGCAUGUAGACAACACCAUGCAUGACUUGUCUUGAGCGAUGAAAGGUCACAAUACUUACCGCUGUUUUCUUCCAGGCCAUGGCAAUGCUCCCCGAGAGACUACAUGCUAUUCAUUUGGAAGACGAAAUUGUGAGGAAGCAUUGCACAGGUCAGAGAGAGAAUACGAUAGCGACCUUUUUUUGUAUAGAAAGUAUGGAGGUUCGGAAUGGAAUGUUAAAGUUUGUUUGGGCCUGUCAAGUGGGGCCCCCGCCCCCCUAAAUAAGGUAAAGGCGUCGACUUGAGAGCCUUCGGAACUGGACUCCCCUUUAUUGUUCUUUCAAAUAGUUGGAUGAAAUACGAAUAAUAUCUGCGCCUAUCUAUUGAGUUCAAUGGCAGAGCCUCCGUAGAAUGACUCCUGGGAGGGACAGUUUUAUAGUAAAUAUGUAUAGGUCCGCUAAUGAGAAAGCUUUACCUUUUUUUACCUGACCCUCUCGACACUCCCCGAUCAUGGGUCUCCGGCACCUACCGCAGUGAAGGCCGCUUACUGUCCAUCAUGGCUGAGUUCGAGCUCCCCCGUGUCCACCAUAGACACAUCCUACUUCACCCACUUUUUUUACGCAUUCCUCACACCUGACCCCGUCUCAUAUGAGCUUACAGUGUCAGAAUCCGACAGUCCCUUACUAUCCAGCUUCACCACCACCCUUCAUCACAAGAAUCCACCGGUUAAGAACCUACUCUCUAUUGCCGGAGACCACGCCAUCUUCGCUCGCAUGGCUACCAAAGCUUCAUCGACUCCACAAUUGAGAUUGGACGGAAAUACGGAUUCGAUGGACUGGAUCUCGAUUGGGAGUUCCCCCAAAGCACUCAAGAGAUGGAAGACCUCGGUGUCCUUCUGGAGGAGUGGCGGCUCGCGCUCAUAAAAGAAGUCACCUAGCUGUAGCGAGCCGGCUGGGAUGAAUGCAUUUAAAGCAAACGGGACCGUAGAGGGUGGGCCUGCCUUACCGGUCACGAUUCCAUCGCCCACGAAGAUCAACGAUGCACGGACGGUCUCAGCUCGCGGUCCCAGGCAUGAAGAGCAUGAGCGGGUGAGCUCCACCUCUUCCUCUACCUUAGGCGGGAGCGCGACCUGCUCCCCGGUCCCAUGGUGCUCUUUGUUACCGUUAGCGCCCCGUUAGUGCUUCUUUACCAUUUAAAUUUUAGCCUACCCUCUUUUCUGCCUUUUUAAUUUAAGUAAGUAAGAAAAUUAAAGCAAAAAUGCUUUAUCUUUGAUAUUGAAUAUUGUAGAACAUUAAGAAUAGAAAAAUGGAGAAUAAAAAAAAUAGAUGUGAAUCAAACAAAGGUGGGGGAUAACCUUAUGACAAAUUUCUAAAAGGUAGGGGAUAACCCUAUGAUAAAGAACUCAAGUUCGGGUAGAGAAGUCAAAGUUUUAGCUCAACAUAGUUGUAUGUCUGUUUUCAAAGCGCGAAGAGUAAUUGAUCAGAUUCGCGGGCCUUCCUAUGAGGAAAGACUUAAUAUACUGGAACUCAUGCCUUAUCGAGCAUCUUAUCCCAUUUAUAAAUUGGUUUAUUCUGCAGCAGCAAAUGCUAAUCAUAAUAUGGGUUUGAACGAAGCUGAUUCAUUCAUUAGUAAAGCCGAAGUCAAUAGGAGUACUAUUGUGAAUGUGAAAAAGUUAAGACCCCGGGCUCGAGGACGUAGUUAUCCGAUAAAAGAUAAAAAGACCGACGUGUCAUAUAACAAUAAAAAAAAAAGUAUUUAAGGAUGGCAGUUAACUCUGAAGCAAAAUCGGCUUUAAGCCGUCCCAUCUCUUCUCAGGCACCUUGACGAACUGCUGUGCCAUUGUGUUUACAUAGAUUUCCUCUUUCUUGUGCUUGGAUAGAGGCUCCAAGCCAAAUCCUUGCGAGCCGGGAGAUAGAACCUUGAUGCUCAAACCAAGGCCUCGACAAGCAGAAGUAAAGAUUACAGGCUUCACCAAACGGGAAGGCAGCUGCGGCCCCGGCAAGUUCAAAACGCUGUUGUACAGCGGCAAAAUGGGCUCUCCUCUCUCCAGCCCAUAAUAGUCCAUGGCAGUGAAGAGGGUGGCCAAGUCUUCAUCAGAUACCUCGGGCUCCGGGUCAGACAGCUCCGGGAUAUCUCCAAAAGGGAACUCCCUCCUAUUCACAUCCUCAUAAAAAUCUGGGGAUGACGACCCCUCAGCAGCAGUAGCAGCACCAGUCUGCGUGACUGCUUCUGCAGCAGCAAAAACAGAAGUAUUUACAGGAUCCGCCAAACGCCUCAACUCAUCCGAUGGGGUCGGUGAAGGCAACUUAGCUCCAGGGGAAGGGGAGCGAGGAAGAGAAGGAAGCCCAGAGGCAGCUUCACCCUCAGCACCAAAAGAUUGCUCUCUAUGAUCAGCCAUUUCUGCAAAUGAAGGCAGUUUAAAGUCAGAAUAUUGAUAUAAAAUCUUCAAGUUGCAAAGAAAGACAAAAUUCUAUCAAAGUAUGAUGAUAUAUUGUUAGAAAGAAGGAAACUUCCUGCUACUUCAAGUUUUUAAACAGGAAGAGUCAACUCAGAAACUAGAAUAUUACAGUGAAAUUUACAUAUUCCUUAACUUUGAUUUGAUUUUAUUUUUUAAGUAAAGAGAUUGAAAUAUAGAGGUAUUUUACUUCUAUUCUAUAAGUUGAGGAAAUUCUUACACAAUUAAGGGGAUUUCAGAUCCAGUGUUAUAAAUUUCUCAUGUCUACUGCAAAUUCAAGGUUUUAAUCCUUUAUUAUUAAGUUCUCCCGCAAAAAUCCUGGAAGAUAAACCCUAAGCGGCAGCACCGCAAAGAGAUAUGUGAAAGACAAAGACUUAAAAAAAAAAAGGGAAUAGCUCAUAGGCUGAUUACUGCUUGGUGGAGAAUGGGAGAAACUUCUGNNNNNNNNNNNNNNNNNNNNNNNNNNNNNNNNNNNNNNNNNNNNNNNNNNNNNNNNNNNNNNNNNNNNNNNNNNNNNNNNNNNNNNNNNNNNNNNNNNNNNNNNNNNNNNNNNNNNNNNNNNNNNNNNNNNNNNNNNNNNNNNNNNNNNNNNNNNNNNNNNNNNNNNNNNNNNNNNNNNNNNNNNNNNNNNNNNNNNNNNNNNNNNNNNNNNNNNNNNNNNNNNNNNNNNNNNNNNNNNNNNNNNNNNNNNNNNNNNNNNNNNNNNNNNNNNNNNNNNNNNNNNNNNNNNNNNNNNNNNNNNNNNNNNNNNNNNNNNNNNNNNNNNNNNNNNNNNNNNNNNNNNNNNNNNNNNNNNNNNNNNNNNNNNNNNNNNNNNNNNNNNNNNNNNNNNNNNNNNNNNNNNNNNNNNNNNNNNNNNNNNNNNNNNNNNNNNNNNNNNNNNNNNNNNNNNNNNNNNNNNNNNNNNNNNNNNNNNNNNNNNNNNNNNNNNNNNNNNNNNNNNNNNNNNNNNNNNNNNNNNNNNNNNNNNNNNNNNNNNNNNNNNNNNNNNNNNNNNNNNNNNNNNNNNNNNNNNNNNNNNNNNNNNNNNUUUCAGUUUCAAGUUCUCAGCCGGAAGAUUUCUUGCAGCAAGAAGCCCUAGAUGGCGCAAUGAGCACGAAAAGUUCUCUUAAGGAUGAAGAUUAGUCUUCACAAGCCUUCGGCCGCAACCCACCUUCUUCAGGUUUUGAGGCCGAAGAAGAAGAUGAAGAAGUGAAGCAGAAAGAUCGCAAAGGCCGCAACGAAUGGUCGCCGGAGAUGCGCAAGACUCAAGUGUAAGAGGGUUCUCUCUCUGUCUGCUCUCAGUUCGCGCAAAGUGAGGAGACUGAUGAAACAGUCCACUUCAAAAGUAUCUCUCUUGUAGAGACAGACGGACUAUCUUUGGCAAAGGAAGCCAUAUAAUUAGGCAAACCAUGAAGAAUAAAAGUCAAGCAAGCAGCCACCUGUACGAAUAUAGCUAGCGAAUUUGCAGAUGUGCUUCGUUUCACUUAAUGUAGGGUAGGCAAGGGCAGGGAAGUAAACAGCAGCAAAGAGGGCUCAGACGAGGUGAGUGGCGGGCUUCUUUAAAGCUUCUUCUGGACUGCGACAGGGGGACCCAUUGUCCCCGUACCUUUGAACUCUGGUUAUGGAAGGUUUCACAGCUCUCAUGGAGUAUGCCUCUCUGUGUAAACAGAUAAAACCGAUGAAUAAUGGUGGCCCGUUCAGCAUCUCGCACCUAAUAUUUGCUGACGACCUUCUGGUCUUCACAAAUGGAGAUGAUAGAUCACUGAAAUAACCAGAGAAAGUCUAAAAGGGUCAAGCUGGUAUGAAAGUCAGUGUGGAAAAACUCCAAUUUGACUUGGGAGGUAACAUGAAUGGUAGAAGAAUUAGAUCGAGACUGCACAAGGAAUUUACCCAUCAGGUACAACGGCCUACCUCUCUUCUCUUCCCGUUUGAAAGCGUCCCUUUUCCAAUCCCUGUCAAAGUCAAGAUUUCUGGCUGGACAGGCAAACUCUUAUCCUUUGCGGGUCGGUUUAAGCUUAUCAAGUGGGUCCUCCAUGCAUAUCAGAUGUAUUGGUUGGCUGCGGUUUUUUCUUCCGGUGAUAGAAAAGAUGAUGAUUGUGGAAUGGUGCCAAUCCGAAGCAAGGUUAUAUGACUGUUAGCUGGACUAAGAUCUGUACCACCAAGCAAGGAGGAGGGCGGCCAAGACUUGCUCAUGGAUGAAAGCAAAACCGGGCUGGCAUAAACAGAACUCGGAUGGGGCUCUUUCAGAUAGCGGUGCAGGUAUGGGUAUCGUCAUCAGAGAUGCCAAUGGCUCCUGGAUCAAAAGCAAAUCCUUCCAUUGCGGGAAAGAAGAUAUCCUACAUAUCGAACUCGGUGCUAUCCGAAAGAGGAAUUGGCCAUCAACCUAGGAUUUUCGAGGCUCUGGAUCGAAGCGGACUCCCUUUUGGCUGUCGUGUGCGCAGAUCUCUUGUCUGCCCUUGGUUGUCCCCAUAAUUCAUGUGACAUUUUUAGACCAUAAAUACUGUAUAUGUGGGAAGUAGCACUUCUGUAUGCAACACAAAGCCAAUCAUCUAACUCUACAUGCAUAAAUCAGAUUAGAAAGGCAAUAGCUUUUCUUUCAUUUUAAAAAAGCUCAAAGAAUAAAUUGUUUUAAAUUCUUACGGGCUUGAACAUUGUCUCAAAGUUAUCUAAUUCUUAAAUUCAUACUUUCUCAGCACCAAGCUUCCACAUUUUGAAACUUUCCAACACACAGGGAAGGCAUCCAUAAAUAUCAAGCAGUAGCAUCUAUAUAAUCCAACGAAUUUGAUUAGUUUAAAUACAUUUCGAGGAAAACCAUUUUUUGUAGAAAGUAGUCAAGAAUUGGUACAACAGGCCUUUAUUCACUAUCUAACCUUAGAAAAAUGAAAGAAGCAUCAGUAAGGGCUUCAAAUAUAAAAGAAGUAUAAGGCUUAAAAUAAUUAUAAGACCCUAAUUGUCAACAAAUAAGCAAAUCGAUCCCAUCGAAACUAAUGAAAAUCCCACAAAAGAAUCUUAGAAAAGAACAAAUCCAAUCAGGGAAAUAAAAAACAAAAAAACAGUAAACAAUGAGUAAAAGUAAAAGAUACACAAAGAGUAAUAUUUCUAGUAAUUGUAUAGAGGCAAAAAAAAAUUUUUAUCCAACAGAUGUCUUCCAAGCGGGUUAGAGACCAAUCAGAUUGACUGAAGAGAAUUCAGGAUCCUUGGUCAUACCAGGAUGCCUUCCUAUGGUCCACUCCCCCCUUUGCCUGCUUUGAUUAGGACUUUGCCCUGGGAAGAGCUCAUCGGGGAAGAACUAAAAAAAGCAAAUUUCAGUCGAAGUCAAUCGAAUUCGCUCCCACUCCUGGCUUCCAAGGUAUAGCCUGGACCUCUGCCUCGACAUUAUCAAUCAAAGAAAGAAUCUACUUCCGAGCGGGUUAGAGACCAAUCAGAUUGAGUUCACCCAAAGGUGAAAGAUAGUUAAACCUUCAGUACGUGUGCUAGGACUAAGUUGGAUUUGAUUUAUAUUAAACUUUAAUUAUAUGUACCAGAGUCUAAGCGGGUUUAAUUGAAAUUAACUGAAAUCUAACUAUGUGUAUUAGAGUCCAAUUAGAUUUGAGUUCACUCUAAGGUGAAAGAUGGCUAAGUAAUAAAUAUAUGUGUUAGUACAUAGUUGAAUUUGAUUUACAUUGAGCUCUGAAUAGAUGCAUCAAAGUCUAAUCUGCUUUCAUUGAACUAUAACUAUAAAUAUAUGUUUUAGAGUUCAGUAUGAUUUGGUUUGACUUGAGUUCCAUGAGAAGGCGCCACACAUAAUCUAUAUUCUGAUGGCAUUCAAGAGAUAGUCAUCAUAGUACGGGAAAAAAAUUAGAUGCAGUCAAAGUAAGCAAGUAAUAUUAGCAAAAUAACAAUGAAUCGCGAAGCAAUGCAGACCAUGAAAAGGCACCAAACAUAAUCUAAAUUCUCAGGGCAUUCAAGAGAUAGUCAGCAUAGCAUGGACAAAAAAUAGGCGCAGUCAACAACUCGAGAAAUAACAAUUCAAGAGGGAGUCAUCAUAGCAUGGACAAAAAUAGUCGAAGGGAAAGUGCCCGAGAAACGACAAAACAUUUAUAUAAACCAAUCAAGAAGGGUUGGGUCUCUAUCAAUUAUCGAAAGCUGAAACGUACUUGCACACAAAACUAUAUGAAAAUAAGUAAAUGCCUAUAUGAAAAUAUCACAUUAGUCAAGUAAAUUGUUAAGUAAAAUAUGUGACAUGAACACUGGGGAACAUGUAAAUGCCUAUAUGAAAAUAUCACAUUAGUCAAGUAAAUAGUCUCUUUGACAUAAGAAUAAUCUCCCCAAUGUGUUUUUAUAGUGCAAGAAAUCAAUUCUCCUAUACAUGGUUAAACUAUGCACCAAUAGAGGAUAAACCAUUAAUAUCAAAAAUAUAAUUUCGCAUCGUCAUCAUACAGAUACCUAUCUCAAUCUGAGCCUGUUUAGCUUGAUCGGAACAAAUUGAACUUGUCUAACAUACUCCCUUGGAGGAACAAAUCAGCUUAAUCAAUUAAAAACAAUGCCACAGAACAAAUCAUUAUGAAUAUGUCAGUUUAUUGAUGAUGUACAAAUUGAAAUAACUUGAUCAGAUUUACAUUAUCAUAAGUUGCAUUAUGAAUUUCAUUCCUAAUCAAUAGUUGCACUAUCAAAACUCACCUUGACCAAGCUUAAACUUUGACGGCGUCCCAUGAUUACGGGUUGAGUUGAACUUGGUCCCGUCAAUAAGUGUCCGAGUGUAAUGCACUGCAAAAUUAAUCAACACUCAAAAUCAGGCAAAACAAACACCAAUUGAUCAGACUAUUUUUGAUAUCUUCCAUCCAAAUCAAUUAGGAAUGCAACCUUUUUUCGGGAAAGGAAAAAGUUAAGAACAGUAGGAAAAAGAAACAGAAAGGAAUAAAGAAAAAAGGAAAAAAUUAAGCAGUCUUGACGAAAAGCCCAAAAAGGUCAGGCUCAGUUAAGUCGGCAAAAAAUGCUCAUAAGCACAGGAUAGUAAUAGGACCAAUAGAUUACCAUAGGAGGAACGUGUGUGGAACGACGAAGGAUAAGAACAAUAGGAAGCGGUUGCCUAUGAAUAGGCCGUCCAAACUUCUGCUUGUUCAAAGCCAUCAUUUUCCACGUUUUCCUCUACUUAUCAUCACUGCCUCAAAGAAGAGAUACAAAAUAGCAAGAAACAAAAAGGAAUGAAGGAAACCAAGUAGAAUUAGUAAAACAACAAUGUAUCGAAGCAGUCAAGUCCAUCCAAAGCUACCACAUUUAAUCCCAAACAAAGACAGGAAUAGCAUAUUUGAGUACAACCAAUUAUCUGUAAAACUGAGUCUAUCCAAAGCUACUACAUUUAAUCCCAAACAAAGAUACGAAUACCAAAUUUCAGUACAAAGAAACAUCUUUAAAACUGUUUUCUCACAAAUUAUUCAAUAACCAAUCAGAAAUAAAAUAUCAGAGGAUCAUAUUUGGCUACUAACUAAACAUGAAGUGACCCAAUGUCACACCUCGUGCAAGUAAAGAAUGUAAAAAAAGAGAACUGUUGGCAAAUUUUCAAUUGCCUUCCGACAUUCUAUGUCCCUAACUCUGUUACAAUACAAAUCUUCUUUAAAUUCCAUAGUCAUUUGACUUUGAGCUCUAUAGACUAUGCAUUUGAUUGAGUAUUGCUAUAAACUUUCUUGGUAGUUAGAAUACAAUUUCAAAGCCAAAGAUGCGCAAUUUGAAUCCAUUUGAUUGAGUAUUGCUAUAAACUGUCUUGGUAGUUAGAAUACAAUUUCAAAGUACUUGAAACAAAGUGUUGAUCAUCCUCAACAGAAAGAAUGAAUACACAAUUCAUUGGUUCUAAUAGGUUGAGCCAUAUAUUUCGAAGUACAAAAGCAACUUGAUACAUGGUUUAUGCUCGGUUUUGCUUCUAUGUUAUUAUAGGUACCAAGAGCUAAUGAAAGAAAGUUCAAAGCUUCCAUUGUUUAAACUGAACAAACUUAAUGCAUCAUUACCUGUACCUUCGAUACCAAGGAGCUCUGUAGUUCUUUUCAUUAUGGGUGCAAGUGAUGACUUCAUAGUCGCCAAGAAGGUCGGGCCCCUCUCAAUUAUCGCAAUCAUUUCACAUUCAAGGAAAGGUGCAUUGUAGUUUGGGAUAAAAACAGGUGGAAGCUCAAUUGUUGCAAUCAUGUAACAUUCAAGGUAAGGACUAUGAAGAAAAACAAAGAGCCGACAGCCAGCAAGAAGGCAUAGGGAACCUGCAGAAAUCGAAAACAGGGACUUGCGGAUUCCACGGCAUAUAAUUUUUUUGCUUCUAAAAUCAGGGCGAAGGAAAAGCAAAAGAAUAGAGUUUUUUCUAUAGAACACCUCAAAACAAUGAUGUAAAAUAACCAAGUCUUGAAAGGUUGCUAAAACAAAAAGGGAAAAAGAAAUCGAAUGCAGGUAAAAGCAAGUCGAAAACAAAGAGAUUUGACAAAUCAAAGCCAAAGAUGCAGUUUGGGGAAAUCCCAAUAGUUUAAAAAAACAUGAAACCAAUAUUUACAAAGAAGAGAAGAGUAAAGAGGAGCAGCAAACAUGGGUAUGUAUGGAAAUAAAUAAAUAAUUUUUGCUCAGACACCCCUAGUUAUCAAGCAUUAUCAGAUUGGCAGUAAAGCCUUCCUGAUUAAUAGUGCCGACCGAGCUAGAAACCAUGCGCACGCCGAAACCAUUCUUAGCACAAAUGAGAACAACUGGUUGCUUAAGAACUAAGCCAUCCAAAGUGCUCUCAUUACCAAUCAAGAAAGCGCAGGCCUUUCUCAAUUAUCGCGACUAUCUGAUAUUGGGAAGGUCAUCAUCGCACGGGAGGAAAACGGGGAAGACAAAGUCUCGGGGAAUAGAAGAGUCAAAUUCUUAUCACAUUCAGGUGAAAGCAAAGUAACCCACAACUGACAAAACAUUGCUAUAAACUACACAGGAUCGAACUAUAGUUCUUCCCCCCCUGUUUACUUUUGUCUGGACUUCUUUGGGACCCCAAAUCUGAAAUUGGAAAAGGCCCCUCCUCAAACCGUUGCACUUAACCAGCACAUCUAAUAUAUAUCUAUUUUUUUAUAAACCAUGCUGAAGGAAAGGAGAAAGGAGGAGCCUGCGGAUUCCAGGGCACUUUUUUUUCUCUUUUUUUUUUAAAAACCAUGCUGCAGGAAAGGGGAAAGGAAAGAGUUUUAUCUAGAGUUGCUAAUUUAUACCUCUAUUUACAUGAUCAGACAUAUAUAUAUGUAAAGGAAUAACAUUUACCACCAUCCCCAGCGCCGCACCCCACCUCUCCGAUGCCCGCGAAGCGCCCUGCAAUCGCCUCGGCAUUUCAUCGAACAGGGCGCGAGCGCUCGGGAGAGGGCGUGGGGGCCUGCGAGCUCCUCCGAUCGAUCGCGUGAUGGCGAGGGGGAGGAGGAGAAGAAGAUCCUUGCAGAUCGGAAAGAGAUAUGAGAGAGUUCGGCGUGGAUCUGCAGGACCUCCGCGCCCUGCGGGGCAACAGGAGAAGAAGGCGGAGAGAGGGGCGCGCGAGAAAAGGUAUGAUGAAGCGUAGAGAGAGAUCGAAGAGGCGGAGGAAGGAUCGAAGAGGCGGAUCGAAGAGGCGGAGGUUGUGGGGGAGGGUUCGAAGAGGCGGGGCAGGGAUCGAAGCGGCUGAGUCGGGGAAGGAUUGAAGCGACGGAUGUAUUGGAUGGGCCCCACCCACUAAUUAAUUAAUAAAAUAUUUUAAGAUGACAUGUAGGGACCACCAAAGUUGAAUUAGCCUAAUGUUGCCACGUGGACAAAAAAUUAGGGAGAUUAAUAGAGGUUAUAGAUGUCCCCAAUCAAUGGUCUAUGGUGCACCGGGUGUACCGAGUAGUUGAGUCGGACCCAUGUCAAUAAAAGAAGAAUACCCCACGCACUUUAGUAUAUAGUAAUAGAUAAUAGAUAAUAGAUUAAAUUAAAUUAUAAACUUUUUUUUAACAAAGUGAAGUUUAUAAAUAGUUUGGUUAAAAUAUUGCAAUUUUAGACAUAGGAGCAGCAUGAAAAUUAAAGAGCCUACCAAAAUUAUAACUGAAUAUUAAAUAAAAGGGGUAAUUGUUUAUAUAUUCCUGAAAAAUUUUCGACUUUUUUAUUUACUCCGCUUAGAAGGUUAAUAUUAAAAAUAUCCUUUCAACAUUCUAAGCUUUUUCAAAUUUACUUUUAGAGUUAGAUUCUAUUAGUGAACUGUUAGGAACAACCGAUAUUUUUGUAAAAUUAUUAUUUUGUCCUUUCAAAUAUCAUUUCUACCGUCACCAACUUUUCUUAUUUGUCAUUAAGUUAGAGGCAAAAAGAAGUAUUUUGACUUCUUCCUUUCAAAUAUAUUCUUCUACUAUCACCAACUUUUCUUAUUUACUGUUAAGUUAGGAAAAAAAAGAUAUUUUGACAUUGUUUUUAACUUUGAUAGAAAUUUAACUGAUAUUUGAUCCGAGAUGAUUUAACGGGUACUAACAACAAGAAUAUUUAAUAAAUAACAUUUAAUAAAUAACGGAGAAAUAUACUAAGGGUAUAUUUGAUACAAAAAAAAAAAGUAAAUCAAAUAUUUCAAAAGUAUUGAGGGGUACUAGACAAUUAUCUCUAAAUAAAAAAAAUCUAACGGCAUAUAUGAUUUCUUUUUUGAAAGAAUGCCAGAAAGAUUUUCAUUGAUCAGUAAACAAGCACAGAAUAACAAUAUGUCGGAUUGUUGAAGCUAAUCAUUAAUCUCAAAAGGUCGAACUGUUAAAAAGAUACAACCAAUUCACUUAAAAUGUACAAACACAGUGCCCAUGAGGCAGGAUGCUAGCCUCUUUUAAGCCAAGACAAUAAAAACAUUACAAACGGACUCAAAUUUUUGGUCAAGAUUCUACUUAAGAAGAGCAAGUGGUCCAGAAGUAAAUCAACCAAUGGACCGGACGAAAAAUGUCUGGUUUUCUCUCUAAGCCAGAUAUUCACAAAGUAAUCUGAUAGGAUAAUUAGAUGUUUUUGAAUUAAUGCUCCUUUUGUUUUCAAGACAUAUAUUUUAUAAUUUUUUUAGAAUAGUAAAAUAUAAAUACUAAAAGAUGCGGAAAAUAUUAAACGAGUCUAAAUCAACAGUAAAUAUUUGAUUUUCUUAUAUAAAUCAACAAUAAUAAAUAUUAUAUGAUGAUACCCUCGUCACACAGAGGCCUCCUAUACCUUAUCAAAUAAUUUAAUAGGUCCCUCCUUUAAGGGAAGUUACAAAUUACAUAACUGUAUUGUUUAAGUGUCUGUUAAAAAAAGAACAAAAAAAAAAGACAAAAGUUGAAAGGGUCUCAAACUCUCUGUACUUUUUUUUUUUUCAUUUUUAAAUAAUUUGGGACCGUAGCCCGGUCCGGAGCCCACUAAAUUGGCUUGGGCUAAGUUUGAGCUUAAAAUGGCCCGGACCAGUUCCACCCCUAACGAAGAUAAGGGCCUAUUUGGCCUAGAUUUUGAAAAAGUAAUUUUUAUAAAAUUGAUUCUGAUUUGGAGAAUUAUUUUUGGUUUAUAUCUAACAUAAUUGAUUAUUGAUUUGGCUAUUUUCAUCAGCGAAAAUAAUAUAGUAAAAGUAUGAAGACGUCCGUACUAAUAACAAUGAAAUAGUUAAGGCUACAAAACUUUGACUAAUAUUUUUGACCAAUUCCUGCUNCUAAAAAUAUCAAUUAUAACAAUUAAUAUAUAUUGAACUAUUAUAAAAAAUAUCAAUCACAACUCGCAACAAAAUUCAAAAAUUUUAAAUACAUACAUAUGGAAAGAUUUUAAAUACAUACAUUCGGGGCGGAUCAUGGCGAGGUGGAUAAAAAAUUUUUUCGUUUCCUGCCCCGAAUCCGUCACGGAUCAUAAAAAUUGCCUCGUUUUCUGCACCGAAUUCAAUUAUUUCCUUCCGUUUACUGCCCCAUUCGGGACGGAUCGAGACGGGAGCUCCACCACCCCGGAUCCAUUUGCAUCCCUAGUUGGGUUGCUCCACGACGUUACAUACAUUGCCCAAGAAAAGUAAAGGGCAGAAGAGUCUUUGUCUUUUUUCAUUUUCGGGAAAGCCCAACUCCCAAGGAAAGUAUAAGUGAUGUAAAAUGUCUCUAAAAGUCAUUUUCAAGUGAUUAAUUUCUAGAGAAACUCGCACACUUUUCUUUCAAUUUUAAAACUAAAUUUAAAAUUUUUAAAUCAAAAUUUAAUAUUUAAAUUUAAAUUUAAAAUUUAAUAGUUAAUAUUUAUUAUUCGGAAUUUAUAAUUUAAAUUUUGAAAUUUUAUUAUUUGAAAUUUAAUAUGAAAAUUUAAGAUCUAAAUUCAAAAGUCAAAAAUUCAAAACUGAAAUUAAAGAAUUUAAAUGUUGAAUUGAAAAAAUUUAAAAUUUGUAAUUUGAAAAUUAAGAUGUAUAAUUCUAAUCUUUUAAGUUUUAAAAUAUUAAAAUUUUUAAAUUUCAAAUUUUAAAAUUUGAAAUUUAACUUUUACUUUGAAUUUUAAGAUUUGACGUUUGAAAAUUAAAAUUUGAAACUCAAAAUUUGAGAUCCAAAUUUUAUAUUUUGAUUUUAAAAUUUGAAAUUUUAAAGGAAAUUUUCAAACCUUAAAAUUUAGAUAUAAAAUUUAAGAUUUAAAACUAAUAUUUGAAUAUAAAUUUAAAAUUUAAACCUUUANCAUGUUGGGAAUAAAAAUAGAAUAGACAAAUAGUAUACUUUAUAAGUGAUCAACUAGCCCCUUCCGCCUUUCCUGCUUGCCCUUGUUAAUGCCUUGCGACUUGCCUUGAAAAAGCUUAACAUGGAAAAAAAGCCCUAUCCUUUUACCCUGGAAAAAUACUCAAUCAAUGGUGUUACUAUUUCGUAGGUAUAGCCACUGGAAAGGGCACUGGGAUAAAGGGGAAAUAUGAUAUUGAGGGCUUCCUAGUUGUCUAUUGCUCCUGGAAUCUCACUAUUGGCUUGCCUGGACCCUCUUGGUUUGCUUGGAGAAGCACUAGAACUACAUGGGGUUACCAUAUGCCCUUUUUUCUUUUCAUGACUCGGAGCUAACAUAACACUUUAACUAGAUGGCACUCCAACUGACACUGCAACUCAAAGCUACGGGAGGGCAGAACCAAUGUAACUGGCUUAGGGGGCACUCGAACUCGAGAGAAGCUAAACGCUCGGCUGGAUCAUAUUGUCUCGUAUGGACUGCUCCUAUUGAGACUGCUACAAGAGAGAAUGGAACUACAUGUAAAGAAACUCCCACUGGCUCGUAAGCAUCGGGGACUGCGGGGAAUUAAACUACUGCUACAAGGAAUACUGGGCCUUAGUCCUUCUCUUCUUUUAAACCUAUUCACUCGUAUCCCUAUCCAAAACGACAUGGAAGCACUUAGAACUGGAAUAUAAGUAUGAGUAUGCUAUGGGGCUAUUGACUAAGGGAUCUUAGAUAGGCUAUUGAUUAUCCCGCUUUCAAACUGGUUGUCCUAAAGGACAGGAGGAACUCUUUAACAUAUUAAUUAGUCUGGGGUGUACACUGAAAUGCCUUAGCCAAAGUAAACCACUCCUUAUGUAUACGAACAUUGGCUUGCAACUGCCAUUCUUUCUCGAUCGAAGGCAGAAGCAAUUGAAAAGAGAGAAGCAAAUGAUGAACUGGCUGGAAAAGAGCUCCCAGAGUAGAACUCGAAAUGAAAGUGGGCCUUUAACUGGCACUCCCGCUGUAAUUGGCUGGCCAGGAAAGUUCACUCGCUUAUUUACUUACGUUCUUAUUGAAGAAAGGAAAUUAAGAAAUAGCUACUAUUGAUACUGUAGUGGGACUGAGACUUAAAACAAAUAUACCUAUUAAGAGGUGGAACUGCUAGGCCUAGUACUUCCUAUUGCUGGUAUUCCAGGUGAACUUAUUCAAUACUCUAUGGUAGAAAUAGGAGAAACAUAUUCUAUUACUUAAUAAAGGGGAGAAACAAUUAGCUAUGAACUCAUCUCCUACACUGGGUCUAUGGGAACUAGGACUGAAAUUAUAUGGAUGGCUUUCGAGCCUGGAAAAUAACUGGCUUUUUCACAAGAUUGGUGAAACUGCUUUUAUCACUGGCUUUCCUCUUCUACUGAUUUAUAUUUCCUCCCGCUUUCUUCUUUUACGGAUAUUUCCCUUAGCUUUUUACCUAACCAGCCUUCAUCGAUACGAUACCCUGGCUUGCUUCUUUGCCUGCCUUGACUGUCGAAAUUAGCUUCCCUUAUUGAGAGCUCCCCAGCAAUAGAAUAUGACGAUACUCAUGCUCUGCUUGAACACUUGCCUGAUGGCUUUCAAAAUAGUUAUGGAUUGAAAAAGGGUAAAGAAACUGAAACUCAAAAGCAAACAAAGGAUUAGCAAUGGCUGGAAUAGAACUCCCAGAGAGAAGGCCAAAAACUGGCGCUUGGCUGGAAGGAAUUAGAUUAUGACUGGCCUCACCCUAUUUAUUUAUUUAUUGGCUCAUCUGGAUCGGUAACCUCGGGAAACCCGGGAGAACUCUUAUUGGGAGAACUUCAAGUGUUUAACUCCAAGCCCGACAUAUAAAAGCUAUAUUCAAGCCCCAGCCCUGUUUACUCCUGCUCAUUUAAAAUAUUCCUUACUGCUUGCCUUGAGAGAAACUCCUGCUGAAAAGGGAAUGCUUUCAUUUACUUAUGAUCUUGCUGGAUUAAAAAAGACUCCAACAGGAACUGAAAUUGAUAUAUAUAUAUAUAUAUAUAUAUGCAUUAAACUGCAUCAAAAUUAGCGAUAGAGACAUUGAUUGAAACAAUUAAAUGUGCUAAGUUGCACGUGCUGAACUUUGCCAAUGAACCACGUUCUACGUUUUACCACCCACCACGAAAACGAAAAAAAUUUGGGCCUGGGCCUCAUGGGCCUCACUUGGAGCCAUGGCCCAUUCCAAGUAGAGCGGGUUGAGUCGUUCGUAGUUCGAAGUUCGAACUCGGUUUUUUAACAUAUACCCUAAAAUUUGUGUCCGCGCCCACCUCUUCUCCUCCCUGGCUCCUCCCGGAGUACAUCAAAACCCUAGCUUCGAUCCUGAUUGUUGAGAUUCCUCUAGGGUUUGGAACCCGAAAUUGGUGAUGGAAGAGGACGAAGGAGAGACCGUUUCUGUUUCGGAGGUCGCCCCAGCUUUGAUCGCCGUACAUCCUCUCGAGAAUUCCGUUGCUGUCGCCGUGGGAUCCGGGGUAAGGCGGAUUGAACUACUGAAUAAGAGAAGCAUUGGGAUUUCCUUGAUUAUAGGGUACUAUCUCAUUGCGGAAGCAGAAGGGAAUCCUUCGAAAGGCAAACCAACGAGGAAGCAUGAAAGGAUCAGAGAAAGAUGUCUUCCUCGGGAAGAAAGCGCGAGCUCUUCAAUCAGUGAGCAUACCUCAUGGGAAUGCAGGUCUUGUUGCAGCACGGGCGUAAAAAGACAUCAUUGAUAACAACUCACUCUCGUUAAGCUCUUACGGUUCAAGGAAGGGAGACCGUCAAGGACAAGGCCAGUGACAAGUCAGGGGCAGGAAAUUCUACUAUAAUACGAGAUCUGUCAAGAAAAAACGGCAACAUAAAUAGUUCAGUCUGUGCCAUCUUAAAGUACAAUGCCAAUAGAGUCAACGAAUCGGAUUGAAAUCAGUGUGAAGAAGAGGGACUAAUCAAGCACAGCAAAAUAGUAGUCAUGUCCACAAGGAAAGGAAUUAUUUUCACCCCCUAUCUAUAUUAUGGGUCUGUACUACUCUAGGAGGUACUAUUGGCAGAGGGGAAGCGCCACUUAGAGACUUUGAAUCUGAAGGAGGGCAGUCGGCCCUAAAGGUAAGAAGGUCUUUGUUUAAGUUCUAAAGUAAUGAUUCAAUCCCACACCUAUUGGAAUCCUCGUGUUGGACACGACGAACCACGCGGAAUAAAGGAAAGCGGGAACUGAACUGAGAACGUUUCGCUGUGAGUCUCCGAACAGCCCGACCCACAUCGCUUCUCUAGAUUAGUGUACUUCCUAAGGUUGGGCAUUUGGCUGAGCCUCUCUCCCUCACCAAUGUGAAUGAAAGGGCACCACAUACAUCUCGACUAGUUUAGUUCGUGCCUGCGGAGCGAACUAAAACCUAUUUUGAAUUCCGGACUCCGAAGUUAGGAUAUUUGGUUGCUUGCUUUGUACUCGACCCAUGUGGUUCGGCUUGUUGCGCCACCUCACUUAACCAAACAUAUCCGAGAAUCAGUUCUACCUGAUCUACACAGCACUUGCUGCUUCAUCCCCGGUUGCAUCUUACUCUGCUGGUCCACCUUCUAAACUGGUCUCCGCACCUGAGACACAUCCGUCUCCUGUUGCUUAUUCUUUUUCCUAUAUUGUGGUGGCUUAUUCGGCGAGUUGGAGCUCCUACUGUUCCCGCGCCAGCUUCAACUCUUGCUCCCGAUUCGGCUCGUGCAACCAGGUGCGGGGCGGCGAUCACUUCGAGAGCUGCACAAGGUAUAUUUUGCACUCUUUAUUUAAGAAUAUUGCCCCCCUAUGUAUGUAUGGCGGUGGAAUUACGAUAGGUAGAGUGCCUCUAUACGGGAAGGUAACCCGUAGAGUGCUGCUUUCUUUGUGGUAAAGCCACAUGAUUGUGAUUAUUAAAGAGUUAGGAUUGAACCUACGACCUCCAGUCUCCCUAAGUGGAGUAAAGCUCCCUUCGGCCUCGAAGAUCAUCUGGUUCCAACUCGAAUUUCUAUGUUAAUAGGUUUUGUACUUCUGCAUGUUGGGAAUAAAAAUAGAAUAGACAAAUAGUAUACUUUAUAAGUGAUCAACUAGCCCCUUCCGCCUUUCCUGCUUGCCCUUGUUAAUGCCUUGCGACUUGCCUUGAAAAAGCUUAACAUGGAAAAAAAGCCCUAUCCUUUUACCCUGGAAAAAUACUCAAUCAAUGGUGUUACUAUUUCGUAGGUAUAGCCACUGGAAAGGGCACUGGGAUAAAGGGGAAAUAUGAUAUUGAGGGCUUCCUAGUUGUCUAUUGCUCCUGGAAUCUCACUAUUGGCUUGCCUGGACCCUCUUGGUUUGCUUGGAGAAGCACUAGAACUACAUGGGGUUACCAUAUGCCCUUUUUUCUUUUCAUGACUCGGAGCUAACAUAACACUUUAACUAGAUGGCACUCCAACUGACACUGCAACUCAAAGCUACGGGAGGGCAGAACCAAUGUAACUGGCUUAGGGGGCACUCGAACUCGAGAGAAGCUAAACGCUCGGCUGGAUCAUAUUGUCUCGUAUGGACUGCUCCUAUUGAGACUGCUACAAGAGAGAAUGGAACUACAUGUAAAGAAACUCCCACUGGCUCGUAAGCAUCGGGGACUGCGGGGAAUUAAACUACUGCUACAAGGAAUACUGGGCCUUAGUCCUUCUCUUCUUUUAAACCUAUUCACUCGUAUCCCUAUCCAAAACGACAUGGAAGCACUUAGAACUGGAAUAUAAGUAUGAGUAUGCUAUGGGGCUAUUGACUAAGGGAUCUUAGAUAGGCUAUUGAUUAUCCCGCUUUCAAACUGGUUGUCCUAAAGGACAGGAGGAACUCUUUAACAUAUUAAUUAGUCUGGGGUGUACACUGAAAUGCCUUAGCCAAAGUAAACCACUCCUUAUGUAUACGAACAUUGGCUUGCAACUGCCAUUCUUUCUCGAUCGAAGGCAGAAGCAAUUGAAAAGAGAGAAGCAAAUGAUGAACUGGCUGGAAAAGAGCUCCCAGAGUAGAACUCGAAAUGAAAGUGGGCCUUUAACUGGCACUCCCGCUGUAAUUGGCUGGCCAGGAAAGUUCACUCGCUUAUUUACUUACGUUCUUAUUGAAGAAAGGAAAUUAAGAAAUAGCUACUAUUGAUACUGUAGUGGGACUGAGACUUAAAACAAAUAUACCUAUUAAGAGGUGGAACUGCUAGGCCUAGUACUUCCUAUUGCUGGUAUUCCAGGUGAACUUAUUCAAUACUCUAUGGUAGAAAUAGGAGAAACAUAUUCUAUUACUUAAUAAAGGGGAGAAACAAUUAGCUAUGAACUCAUCUCCUACACUGGGUCUAUGGGAACUAGGACUGAAAUUAUAUGGAUGGCUUUCGAGCCUGGAAAAUAACUGGCUUUUUCACAAGAUUGGUGAAACUGCUUUUAUCACUGGCUUUCCUCUUCUACUGAUUUAUAUUUCCUCCCGCUUUCUUCUUUUACGGAUAUUUCCCUUAGCUUUUUACCUAACCAGCCUUCAUCGAUACGAUACCCUGGCUUGCUUCUUUGCCUGCCUUGACUGUCGAAAUUAGCUUCCCUUAUUGAGAGCUCCCCAGCAAUAGAAUAUGACGAUACUCAUGCUCUGCUUGAACACUUGCCUGAUGGCUUUCAAAAUAGUUAUGGAUUGAAAAAGGGUAAAGAAACUGAAACUCAAAAGCAAACAAAGGAUUAGCAAUGGCUGGAAUAGAACUCCCAGAGAGAAGGCCAAAAACUGGCGCUUGGCUGGAAGGAAUUAGAUUAUGACUGGCCUCACCCUAUUUAUUUAUUUAUUGGCUCAUCUGGAUCGGUAACCUCGGGAAACCCGGGAGAACUCUUAUUGGGAGAACUUCAAGUGUUUAACUCCAAGCCCGACAUAUAAAAGCUAUAUUCAAGCCCCAGCCCUGUUUACUCCUGCUCAUUUAAAAUAUUCCUUACUGCUUGCCUUGAGAGAAACUCCUGCUGAAAAGGGAAUGCUUUCAUUUACUUAUGAUCUUGCUGGAUUAAAAAAGACUCCAACAGGAACUGAAAUUGGAUAGCUGGGAAUGGAAUAAUUAAUUAUGUAAAAAUACAUCUCUCACUUGCUUGUGUACUGGCACUCUCUGGAAAGGCUAUAAACUGACCCUGGGUCGGACUGGGACUUUCUCGCAGGAAAGGCAGAAUGAAACCAUUACGAAGGGAAAGAAAGAGAUACUUCUGUUGGCUUACUGGCUGGAAUGGUAAAGGACUAGUACUAGAAAUCGAUUACCCAGGCUGUAAAGGGCACUGACUCCCCAUAGCUUUCAGGAAAUUAAGGAACAGAGUGACGACCUUUAUAAUAUUAUUUAUAAAUAAAAAGAAUAAGGUAAGCAAAGAGAGGAAAUUCAAGUUCAAGAGACGGAUAGACUUACUCACUGGAAGGAUUGCCUAUACCCUUGCUUCACUAGAUAGGUGCUUUCCACUUACAGAAGAGGUGGAACAAGAUCAGGAUUUUUAAGAACUCCCACAGGAACUGGCUCUAAAGGAGAAGGAAUGGCACUAGGGGGAAGGGCUCGCAAAGCCUUAAGACUGAAAUUCAACCCCCCGAGAAGGCAGAACCAAGGAAACGGCCUGCAGGGGAAUCAGGACAGGUAAGGGAAGAAAGCAAGGCAAGGGAAAUCCCAACGGCUGGAAAGCAACUCGAUUAAAGGACAGGGACUACUGAUACAAUCCCAAAAGGAGGAGAUGCCCUUAGGAAUCCAACUCUCACUCCAACAGAUAAUUCAUCUUACUUAAAGGUUUCUUGCCUGCCCACAUCGAAAGAAAGUCCAACUGAGACUAUAUCUCAAACCCCUCCAAUGGUAACAGACUCGGGGACUACUAUUGCAAUAACAGGGACUGCUGGAAAGGAAAUAGGAUAUGCUGCAACACUGGGCUUGUUCAGGUAAUAUGCUAGUAAAAGAAUAGUGCAGAUAAUAGGUGUACAAGGCUAAUAUGCUAAUUAUUAACGAGUUGUUAUGUUAUACUAAAAUAAUCAAACUGAAAAGAGUUAUUAUGCUCACAUCACAGGGCCGGGCUCAGAGAACUCUGAAGUAGGCUCGAGAGCAAGAAAAGCAACUCCAACAGUAAAAGGUACUCCAAUUGACACUGAAACUGGGCAAACUCCCAAGAAGGGAGAAGGGCUAAUUCUAAGGCUGUCUCAUACUCUAUGUAACUAGGACUGGCACUAUGAACUCCUGCUUUAUAAUGACUUACUUGAUUACUUAGCCUAAGAGAGAGUUAAAAGUAAAGAAACUUAAACUGGAACUCACUCAAAACGAGCAGAAGGGCGAAGGACAGCAAUUGUAAAGAAUAAAGAAUCAAAGGCAGAAGGAAGGACAGAAAGGACAGGGACAAGGAAAACAAUUUAGGAAUACCUAUAGAUUUCCUCCGUAAAUAAAACUGUUUGCUCAGUUGACUAUCCAACUUUUUAAAACAAUCUGAACUUUGCUUUCUAACUAGCUUGCUCAUCAUAUAAUGUUGUCUCCCGGACACUGGCUCGCAUAGACCUAUAUCUAAGGGAACUAGCAAUAGCUGUAGGGGCUUAUCCUGAUCCUGAGACUGCUACUAUUUCUACUGCUACAAGAGAGAAUGUUUCAAUGGCAAUGGCCAGAGAAGCGGUACUUUGAAAAUCAAAAGGGCAAUUAGUACGGCUGACACGAUAGACUAAGAGACUACUUGCUCUCCCGCUGGGAGACAGGCAGAAGCACAUGAUGAUGCCCUUUUUUUCUUCUUCUUCAACUAGAUAGCUGGCAAUUGCCACUGAAACAGCAUCAAUGGUUGGAAGAAUAAAAGCAAUUGGAUAGUACCUUUUUUGCAAUUUCCUAGUAGGUUACAGGCCUGGAAAUAGACUGCAAAAAAGAGACGACUAAUGUACUCGCUUGCGCAUUUUCUUAACUCAUAUAAUUUCAUAAUUUAACUCAUAUAAUAAUGCUUAAUAACGAGCUUGCUUAUUCGCUUUUGCUCACAAAAGAACUGGCUUGCCAAAAGAAAAAGAAGAUUACUUAUCUCAAGGCCCUAGAAUCUGAGAACCUGAAAGAUAACUUGUUUGCUUUUUUUCCCUUUACCUGUGUGUGUCUGCUCACAACCGAAAUGAAUAGAAAACUCGCUGGAAGUGCCUUAAAGCCCAACUUCCCUUGCUUAUGGGACUGUAACCCACCAGUAGUAUAAGUAUAUACUACUACUACUUUAUAUGUAUAUAUCUUAUUAGUACAUUAAUAACCUAAUAACCAUAUAUUAAUAUAUGAACUCAUUAUUGGAUACUAACUAUUAAACUAUUAUUAUAUAAUUAAUUAAUAUAUAUUAAUAUAUAUAUAUAUUAAUUAAUAUAUAAGAACUCAAACUCGUCUGCCAAGGAACGAAGUAGCUCGACUUACAAGAGGCCUUACCAUUUUUCUGCGAUUAGGUGGGCUCAUCUUAAGACUGGAUCUCCCAACGGCUAGCCUAAUAUGUGAGGUGAGGUACUUCAACUGGCAGGUCGAAGGGAUAAAAAAACAAACAAAAAAGGGGCCCUAAAACCUACUUUCGUACUGGAUGGGAAUCUAUGCCUAAGCGCUUGCUCACACUCUUUCUCAAGAAAACUAGCUCGCUGACUUUAGGAGAUAUGUUUACACGCAGGUAACACGCUACAGGAAGUAUGGCAGUAGCAGGGAAUAGUAAAGAAUAACUUUAGUUAUUCUAAAUCCACUCACUUAGAGGUUUCCCUUAUGUCCACAGCACUUUCCUCAAAUACGAAGAAGAUACCCUUUUAUAGAAGUCCUGCAACCCUAUAGUUAUAGUUGCACAAAGAAAGCAAAGCCUAUGAUAAGAGUGCUGCAAAGCGACCAGAAGGAAAAUGCCUUACAGUAGGACUAUAACUCCUAGGUAAAUAAAUCUAAUUAGGCCUACCAUAGAAAGAAAUGUACCUUCCCUGGAAAAAGAAUAUUUACUUAAAUAUUUAUAUAUAAGUAAAGGGCUUAGAUUAGGAUAGGACUUGAAGCGAGUAAGAAUUACACUAGAUAUAGAUAGCCUGGAACUAGAUCUCACACUGGAGAAAGAUAACUCCUAAUGGCACUGGCUCGCUCGAUACAGUCUGGGAAAUCCACUAGGCUCGUGGAAGGUGGGACUAUAAGGGAAUAGGAGUUAAUAAUAGAAAUACUCCCCCGGGCGUUAAACUGUGAUGUAAAAUGCUGUACUUGCCUGCAAGGGAUGAAAUAAGAUAAGGCAUUGUGAUAGCGCGUCGUUUAGGGCUCAUGACUGACCUUACACUGCCUGGAAUGCCUUUGGAAGGGACGGGAGAACCAAGAAAACCGCAUGAAAGGGACCUGACUCUAACUCUCAUGGAUCCCCAAAAAAAAAGUAACUGGAGAACUGCAUCUAAUAUUUUUCCCACUGGAUUUGCACUCCCUAUGAUAUUAGAGUAGUCCUACAUAUAUGGAAAGAAAAUAUAUUCUACAAGAAGCUUACUCCAGCGAUUACAAAAGAGGCUUACUUCAGGUCUUACCCUGACCCCGGCUGGCUUAAAAACUCCAACAGGCUCGGAUCGAAGGCAUAAAGAAUUGAGCGUAAUGUAACAGCCCUCCCAGGGAGAACCAAGGGAACUGCCUUCAAGAGGUAAUGGAGAACCUACUGCAAUUUCCACUCCAACUUAAACUAAACCCCAAAGAAAGAAGAUUAGCCCCUUUCCCCCCCUGAUGGCAGGUCUGGAGAGCUCACUUCGAUGGCAGAUAAAAUUGGACUAGAUGAAAAAUCCAAAUUAACACUUAAAGUAGAUCGAUCCGAACUGGUACUGGUCGAAAUGUAAGAGAACGGAAUUUCACUCCCAGCGAUAACUCCAAAUGGUUCGAAAGCGGAAGUAAAGGCAAGUUUUAAAGCAGUCCUUCAAAAGGAAGAUAGUUAGAAAGCUAGCUUAGAAAAAUUCCUUAGAACUAGGGGGAUAGGCAGAAAGUAAGGGAAAGAGCUAUUAAGAAUAUGUUCAUUAUUCCCCGCCCUCAAAUAGCAAUCCUAAUAAAAAAAAAAAAGUCUAUCCGCAGUGAAAGCUAAAAAGUCAAGCCAGUAUCUUUACUUCUUUCUUCUUUGGAAAGCUUUCAGGCAAGGUAAAUCCAUGAUCCAGUGAUAAAGCCUGAGUAUCAGUAGUUUAUAUAACCCCGUAGAAGAAAGCUUAGUGCUAUGCCCUCUAUUUACAUUAGAGGGGGGUACUCUCUUGGUUAUCUUUCUGUUGCCCUGCCAGUGAGGAGGGAGGAAUCUAGUUCCAUUGCGAGUUCCAGCGAGCCAGUACCUGUCCCCGGGGGUCAUAUUUAUAGAGAGUAGAAGUCCCCCAGUGUAUUGCGCUUACAAAGUUAUUUUCCUUCCUUCCCUGAUAUAAGCAGUUACAUCAGUGCCCUCCCUACCUACGCAGGUCGUCACUGAGUCAGGAGAGACUGUCCAAAAAAGAAUUUCACUAGUGUAAGAGAGUGAUCAAGGCGGGAAGUAUCAUUUCCCAAGAAAAGAAGUAAGUCAGGAAAAAGGGCGGAGUAUGGCUUUCGAGGACUACUGUAAUAUGCGUUCUUUGCAGGAUUACUAGAAUGGGCUUCUAGAGAACUACUCUAACCUUCUUUUUUUUCUUCGGGCCAGUUAUUGAGCAGUUUGAUUUCUCAAGGCAAUGAGCAAGUGGAUUGAAUCCAGUAGUUUACUAAGUGUAAGUGGUGCUUGCCGAUCCAUAAGCAGGCCUAAGGAGUGCCAUAUUAUCCAGUUCCAUUGGUUCUGACUUCCGAUCGCUUUGAGUUUGAGUUUUUUUAGAUGGCGGUCCAGGCGCAAUAGAAAGCUAGCCUCUUUUACAGAAGUGUCAAUUUUUUCUUCGAAAAAUUCUUCAGUGACUGCCUAGUGCCCUUUCCAGUAGAAAAUAUUUCUUGCGAAUAUUUCUGAUAUCUAAAGGUGUAACCAUCUCUUCACUCUUUUGAAGGUUUAACUGCUUUGUGCGCCUUCAAAUCAUAUGAUCAAGCCAGCUCCAGAAUUUUCUUUAUCCUGUAAGGAUAAGAUAAUGGAUAAUAGUCCCCGGUGGGUUAUCCGGUGAAUUUAUUGCUGUCUCUUGUAGGGCUCAUUCUUUACCUGGUAGGGUAUAGGUUCGUUCUAGAUAAGAGAGACUUUUCUUUCCCUAUAUCCUUUGUAGGAUUACUCCAAUGGGCUUUCUUCAUGAAUAUUGCUCUUCUUUCUUUUUUCCUACCUUCGAGAAGGAGAUAACUCGUAUACUAUCCGUUUAUCUCCCUUUUCUAAGGAAGUGCAAAAAAUUGCAUUUCAAUUCCUUCUGGAAAAAAGAAUCUCCUUCGCUUCCCCCCGACGAUUCACUGCUUUAAUGAGGGCCUUCUCUGUGCAUUCAUGUGCAGCAGAUUUUGACACCUAUGAGUGCACAAGCCCUUCUUCUGCCUUUUUACUCUCUCUUCCCCUUUAGGGAAUUGCGGAGUGAAUGAGUGCAACAAAACAAGGAUAGAAGGCUAUAAGCUGCCUACAUGGAAUUCCUCUUCAUGCACACCUCCCAUAAAUAAUUUUUAUAUGGCGAUGAUAAUCAGAUGCUAAGUCUCCCUGGCUUCCUUCCUCCAGCAGAUCUGUGGGCAUUAAAAGAAGAAAGACUUUAAGGCAUAUUCCUUCCUCGCCACAUUCAAGCUUAGGAAAGAAAGGCUCCCGUUCGUGCCCUGUAAGAAGGAAAGUAAGAAAGGAAGGCAUAGUCGAAAAGACUAGCAGCUUCUCUGUGCAUGGAUAUCUAAACUAUUGGAUUAGCGGCAUUGGAUUAGUGGCAUUCUAGUUCUAAAAUACUUUAGCGAAGCGGGAAAGCUGGAAAACAAUCAGGUAAUCAGGAAAGGCAAUCAAGCAUGCGGCCUAAGGACUGGUGCUUUACUAUAAAGAACUCUUAAGGCGACAACAGCUUCUUCUAUUCCUCGUUGGCCUGCAGAAGUCUUAGGGACAUCUAUUAGCGGUUGGCAUUCCCCUAUGCUCGGCUCUUAUUCCUAUAUCUUAAUAUGUCCAUUCAAUCGGAAUGGAUAGAGGAAGGAGUCUGUUGUGCUUUGGCUGUGCCUUAUCUUAGGGCAUCAAUCCAAUUCUGGGCAUCCAUAUAAGACCGCUUAUUCCCUUGCAAAGACAAAGACCGGAUUUGUCUCACCCUCCUCUUCUGGGGAUCUUACCCCUAAGCCGAAGCGCUGGACUGCACUCGAUAAUGCUUCUUCUUCUGUUAGGAAUUCCUAUACUGCUUGUUCAUGUGAACCUACCGAUUCUAAUGGUUUUUGCCUACCCGGCAGGUAAUAGGGAGAAGGACUUCGACUGAGACUCAAGAAACAUCAAGUGCGCUUUCGUCCCCAGAAAGGGAUGCCCCAACUAUUGUAUUCUUUUCUUUCUAUGUGAUUUUAGUUUUCAUUUCUCGUUGGACGAUUCAAAACUCUUUGCUUAGCUAAAAGAUGUUCAACACUAUUGCAUCCAAGGUCAUUCGCUGCUUGGGCCAGCGUUUCCAACUCUCGAAUGAAUACCACAUACCGGGAGCCCCAUCUUGACCUGCGGCUAGCAUCUCAAGGUCCAUGCACAUCCGAGGAGAAGCCAGAUCAAGAUCCUUUUUCAAUUCGUUUGUCGGCAACCCCACUUGCCCAACGAUUCUUAAUAUUGUGAACUCCUAACUCCUAGUACGCCCGCCAUAGCAUCUUGGCAAGAAAAAUUGCACUGUCGAAGUGUCCAUCGCAGGUUCUAACAUCCGAAGCCAGAGUCGUUGCUGAGCUAGAAGCCACAUCCAUAUUCACGUCUUAGCCCUAUAAAGUCAGGGGACCGAUUCCAGAUCCGAAGCAGCAGCAGCCACCGAAGAAGGAGCAGUUUGAAGCAGUAGGAUAUGUUUUGUCUUUCCAUUAUGUACUUCGGGAGCUAGGAGUGGAGAGGAAUCCCAGUAGUGGAACCUAAUCAAUUGACAUCGGGGAUGGAAAAGAACCCGACUCUUCACUCUUAUCAGAUUCUCCUUUCCUUUUCCUUUUUUAGUUCAAACUCGCUGAAGAGCUCUUAAUAUGCUAAUAAUAUGCUAUGCAUAGUAGGUUGAUGGACAGAGACAGAGGUCGACUUGAAUCAUAUGCCUGCUCGUUGCGGAACUCUUUCUUGAUUUCGAUCUAGAAUAGGACAACCACUAGGAUUGAUACUCUUAAGAAAGGGAUGGUUGGGAGGGAUCGAAUUUGUAGGAUGAAAGGCCUACGCGUCUUGGGAUAUUCGUGCGGAUCCAAUGUUGUUAGACGUGGCUCCAAGAGGGACACCGGAGAGUUAUAAAUAUUCUUGUACUUUCCUUUCGUCCGGUCUGCCACUUAUUUGAUUGGUCCUUCAUUCAAGGGGUCCGCUUGAAACAAGUUUUCGCUUGGCCAGCAAGAAAACGGCUGCGCGUUAGCGCAACGGUGGUCAUAGAUCAGCUAGGCGCCCCCUAUAUCUUAAGGGCCUGUUCUCUCUUCAUUCUUUCUUGUGAUCUCCCUUUCUGUUGAUCCAGGAAAGGUUCAAUCAAGGAAGGUGGCAAGCCCUAUGAGGAUGGCUCUAAUAUCCAGAAAUGCUGCUCAAAAGAAGAGUUCCAAACCUCUGAAAGGCGAGAGGCGGAUUCAGAAGAGAAAUGUGAAGAAGAAGGCCAUCUUUACCUUUACCCUUAAAGAAAAUAUGACUUGUUCAUCGUUCAGACUGAUUUUCUUCCUUAGAGUAGAGGGCGUAGUAAAUAGUCACGAUAAGAUGCCAGUCCCUAUUGCUUUUGCUUCGCUUGUGCCGGAUCUGGUAUCUAUUCCUUAUAGCCUAGCCUUCCGACCGACAAGAGCGUGAAUUCAAUGAGGAAUUGAUUGAACUGAUAGCUAUCUGGCCUACCGCGAACGAGUGACUCUCCCCUCUUCGCUGAUCUUUCACCUGCCAUAAAAAAGAAUUGAAUCAGGAAGUGACUUCGCUAGCCCAAGGCUAUAAAUAAGUUAAACAAGAAAAAUGAAAGCUUCUUCAAGAAGUGCUGGAAACGAGCUCAUUUUUUUUAGUUCCAUAUUGGAUUCUAUUUCCUUGCCGAUGUGAUGAUAUUUUUUUUUGUAUAUAUUAUACUCUUUACUUUCAAUGGCAUCUCUAGUUGAACUGAUAGCUAUCUUGCCUCAGCUCAGUUGUUGAAGUUUGAAAAGAGCUACUCCUCUUCCGUUCCGGGGAUCUACGACUCGAUCUCUCUUUCACUCCUUAUGGCAUAUGGUUCAUUUUCAUUUAUCUUACAUCGUCAAAAUCGAAGAGUCAUUCUGAGGAAUGGAAUCAAAGCUUCUGCUUCUCAACCUCCCAAGGGGAAGUAAGGAAGUAUGAGCCUUUUUUCUUUUUCUUCUGAAUCGCCCUGAGCUGAGCUCAAUACUCAAUAGCUAAAUCAAUUCCCUUUCGUCCGGUCGGGGCAUUGACCCCAUGGCCAUGGCUAUUGCGCUUGUGCCGAAAAUGGCAUCGCUGACUCAUGAAAAUGCAACCAAACAAGAUUCUUAUUCUUAACACAUCCAAUUGGAUGUGGGAUGUCCCUAAUUCAACUCACUCUAUUUCUUCUCGCGCGUAUACUGAUUCUUGUUCAGAGCUUAGCCGCACUGAUGAAGUCGAAUGCUCCUUUCGGUUCUUUCACUCUCAAAUCCAUUUUACCCUUGGCCUGUCUCUCGGUCUUUCUCGCCUUUUGCCUGCUAUUUCCUAAUCAAGAAUGGAAUCUGGUCCGGUAAGUUCGUUCGCUACCUUUACUUGACUUGACAGAAUACCGAGAGUGAGGAAAGAGCUUGAGAGCAGACUCAGUAAUAAGUAAGUAAUUUCCCUAUGGGAUUGGAACUACUUCGUAUCUCUUUCCCUUUACCUUCCUUCUUUGCUUCGACCUAGCAGAGUGGAUUCCCUCACUUGCACUUUCUCUCGUCUGAGUUCACUCUGCCUUCUUUCUGGACUCUCGUUCUUAUCGAAGAGUCAGAUCGGUACCUUGAAACGUAAUGGUAGGCCUUGCCCUUUGCUUACUCUAUUGAAUAGAAUGGUAUGCCUAUUCCUAAAAAAAAGACGAGAACGCCCAUCUCUUCAGAAAGAAAGCCCCAUAGUGCCCGUACUCUAGCGCAUAAAAAGUCCUUUCCAUCUACUUUAGUAGUUCAUCUGGCAAAACAAUAUUCUGAUCACUCUCCUAUCUUUCUAUGAUGCUGCUUUUGCAGGCCCGAAGCCUUUUCGUUUUAGCUUUUUUAAAAAAAGCUAAAACAAAAGAUAAUUUCGUUUUCAGCACAUGUGGGUGAGGCACCCAUCUUUUCUUCCAUUAGUGGCCUCUAGUUGGGGUGUGCCUUUGCGUGCUCCUCCUCUUGCUCGUUUGGCUUUUCAACUCAUAAGGCUGAAAAUGACUCUCAAGACUUGGAAUGACAACACCUUUGGCAAUGUGCACUCCAAUCUUUCUCUAGCAGAAAAAGAGGUGGUUCAUCUAGAGCAGCUUUAGACAGCAUCUCCAACGGAGGAGAAUCUGUCCUUACUUGAGCGGGCUAAAGAGAAGCUGGGGGAAGUCUGAUUCAAGGAGGAAAGAUUUUGGCGGCAACAAUCUGGUGUGAAGUGGCUCAAGGAAGGGGAUCGCAAUACUCAGUUUUUCCAUGCAGUGGCUCAAAAGAAUAGGAAACGUCUUUCCAUAAAGUCAAGUCAAUUACUAAUGAUGAUGGUCUUCUUCGUACCUCUUUGAAGGAUAUCCACCAAUAUGCUAUUUCCUAUUAUCUAUUAAGAGUCUCUAUUCCAAUCUGAGGGUUUUACCCUCAAUGAGGAGCUCUUCUCUUUGAUUCCACAAUCCAAAACUUCGGAGCAUAAUGAUUGAUUGAUGAGCCCACCCUCUGAGGAGGAAAUCCGUUCUAAAGUGUUCUCUAUGUCCAGUGAUAGUGCUCCUGGACUAUAUGGCUUUCCAGGUUUCUUCUUUACCACAUGCUGGUCCAUCGUAGGAGAAGAGAUUCUUGCAGCUAUACUUUACUUUUUUGCUGGCAGCACCCUUCCAUGAUCUUAUACUUCUUCUUUUUUUUAUGAUACCUAAGAAGGAGCAGCCACACACACUAUCUUACUUCCGUAAGAUCAGUCUUUGCAACUGAAUAUAAAAGAUUCUAGCUCGCAUCUUCUCUGACAGGUUGGGCACUCUUCUUCCUCAGAUCAUCUCUCCCCUUUUUCAAAGGUCGAAGCAUCAUUGAGAAUGUAGGACUAGCGCAGGAAAUGUUUCAUGACCUCUCAAGAAGAGUUCGUGGGGGUAAUGUCAUCAUCCAACUGGACAUGGCAAAGGCAUACGACAGGUUGGAAUGGGUUGGUUAGCCUGAGAGACCACAUUCACUUGUUCAGAGACCGUGACUCCCUCAGUAGUGAGCCGGCUGGGUGGUCUUCUUGGAGUAUUUUGUUCUGGAUUCAGUCUCUUUGUGUAUUCUCUGAAGGUUCACAGCCUUAGUGUAUAAGUGGUCUAUGGAAUGGCAAUCACUAAUGGCUAAUUCUCUCCUAAUAGGGCCUGUGGCGUUGUUGAUUAGGAUCUGGAUCUCUUGGGCCUCGGUGAGUCGGACAUCGGACCUUGCGGCCAUGGCUCUCCACCUAAGGGCAUAUUCUAUGAAGUCCUCACUAGGUUUCAUCUUUUCGGCCAUGAGGUCGACUAUGGUGGGGACGUAGAGCCUCCUAUGGCUAAAGUGAGCUAGAAAUUUCUGGCACACUAUUGGAAACGAUCGGAGGUCUUCUACAUUGAGGGUGGUGAACCACCUCAGAGCUUCUCCCUCCAAUGACUUCUUGAAGAGAUAGACCAAUAACGAUUCGUCGUGAAGGUAGAGAAUGUACCCGCCGGAGGAGAGGAGAAUCUAACGGUCUUCUACUUUCUUAUUGCAAUUUGUUUCCUCCGGGGGAUGUGUUCUUCACUGGGGGUGGAAUGAGCUGAUACCCCUUCCUCUGUAGUGGGAAUGACUGAAAAGUGAUCUUGAUGAUCCCGAGCUGUCUCUGUCUCUGGGAUCGGUGUGGCAAAAGCUUCUACAGAAGAAAGAAGAAUAUGAGUAAAAUAACAAGUAAUAACUACCUAAUGGUAAUGGUAGAAAAAGGCAAAAUCAAGGAAAUCUCAAUACCUGGUUCAGAAGGGGUGACUUCCCCUUCUUCUUCCUGGACCCGAGUUUCCUUAAAUGAGAACUCGGAGAUUGGCGGUAAUGGUGUCUGAGGCACUGAUGCGGUUUCUGCUUCCAGUUUGGCCUUUUUGUCUCGAGCCGCCUUGGCUACAGUUUGAACUCCGCUCACAACUGGCGGAUGAUCCUUUCUAGCCCGCUUCUGGGGCGCAUCCUCGUCAAACACUUCCUGAGAUAUAGAAAUGGCUUUCACCAGAUCGAGCAGUUUCUCAUAUGUUUCAUCUGUCACUGCACGACGAAAUGAGUCUGUCAGCCUUCAUGACAAGGAAUCAGAGAUAAGCUACAAAGAUAGAAGUUGUACAUCAAGAAGAAUGAAGAGCACUCAAAAUUUUGUCCUUUAUAACUGAUGGGGACCGGCGGAUACUCUAAGGGAUUCACCUUAUCCCUAAUAGCAGCAGACUGAAUGACAUAAACAACAUCAUUGAUUGUUUCGGCACGAUCAACAAGCUUGGAUAAAUCAUAAUGAUGUCUGUCUUGAAGAUGGCAACAGAUGUGAUACGCAUCCAUACCCCAGCCGUCUGCAUAAUGGAAUGAUAAAGGGACUCGGGCCUGCAUCAUCUCUUCAAAGCUGGGAAGUUGCAGUUUCUGAUUCAAAUUUGCAGCCAUCUCAUUGGCUUGGCCGCAAAGGCCUUACGCCUAGAAGCACUGGCCCCUCCGAUCCCGAUUCGAUUGGCCUAUUCAUCACAUCAGCGAAAAGAUAGAUCUGGUUCGGAAGUCCAUAUCAGCUAAUGAACGAAGUCCUGUAGUUGAUGGGUGCAGAUCAAGUUUGACGACGAUGUAUUCGAAUGAUGUUAUGUCAUUGGAUGUAUGUUGGUGCAUCAAGUAGGGUGGACAUGUCAGCGCGGAUGCUACUGCAAGGAAUCAUUGUUUGGCAGGUCUAUGGUGCCGACGUUCUUUUAGGCGGAUGUCAAAGAAUUCGUGCGUUCCAGUGAUGCAUGUCAACGAACUGGCAAAGCAAGGAUAUCGAACCCUGAAAGGAGUUGCGGCUGAGCAGGCAAAGAACUCUUUGAUUUGAGUCAAUGAAUGCCUAAAUACUGGGAGAUUAGCAAGUCCAGUCUUACCUUUUCGAUUUCCUCUAUUUGCGCUUGUCUUUCCGGCCUCACUUGAUCGGGCUGUAUUUCCUGACCUGACUGACCUCUCGGGUUACCACUGGACUGUGAGGGCUGCUUACAGCUCAAAACCAAAGAGGAAUCCUUUGGCCUCAGAGCCGAUGCUUUGACUGCAUUGACCACUUGGUGGGGCUGCUGCUUACCGAAGCCUCUUUGCAGACUUUCUUUUUCAAUCAGGUUGUCCUACUGAUCGGCGAAAGCCCUUUCUUGUGUCUGACCUUUAUCCAAUAUCUUUUCCACCUAAGCCAAAGCAGCCUAAGGGAGUAAGUAGAAUUUGAUCCAGUUCUUUAUCUUUGUCUGUAAACUUUAUCCUGCUUGGCUUUUUCUCGUUUUGGGCACACUGUCUAAACUUCGCAUAGCUAGCGUAUGAUCUAUGGCUUUUUUCUUGUCCCGUAAUUCCUACUAGCACUUGUCCUUGAUUUCCAGUGUGGGGGAGGGGGAGAUUGGGCGGACAAUAGACUGGCUUUUUCUUAACCCUGACUCCCCAGUUCACACUGGGUGAGUGUGCUAUACCAUUUCUGCUGACUGAUUCGUUGACAGUCUCUGGUUGUGCCUUGACUGAAACCUAUCUAUCGAUCAUCACAAAGUUGUCAAUGACUUGACCAAGACCCUUUGAGACAUUGGAAUGAGAGUGGGAGCCCUGAUCUUGAUCGUCUAGUCCGGAGGGAUUCCAUUUCCUGCACUAAGUGAUAGAGAAAGUGAAUUGAGGCUCUCUCCUGGUGGGUGCCCGAGUGGAACAUAGGGACGGGCUGUAAACUCGUAUUUUUUUUUUACCCAUCUUCAAACUUUUGAAAGAGGCCAAUUUGGAUCGGAGAAUUGGUAAUCAAGUCUCGGAUUUUUGGUCCAAUUUUGACUUAUUCCAUGCCUAAAAAACUUCACAAUAUAUUCCCACGUCUAAAGCAAUUACAAAAUGGAAUUCCUUGAUACCGCUUAAGCUUCCCCAAGUUCUCCCCUUUUCUCUAGUCCCUUGAAUCCCACGUUUCAAUGAAUUCGUCUCCCCAUGCACCAUUACUACUUACUACCCUACCAAUUUGAGUACGGCUUUGUUUUCCUUAUUUUCCUGAUUCCUAUUUGGUACUACUUUGUUUGACAGCCAUUCCAUAGCAGUAUUUGUGUCCCUCCCUCAAUUUUGAUUUGUAGCGGCCACGUAGCAUAAUUAUUCAUAUUCCCCUUCACAUUCUCAUCAUCAUCUUUUUUGUCUGGAAUGUUUUUUCCAAAAUGAAAGGGCCUCCAUAUUUCUUUGAAGAAAUUUAUAACAUUCCUCUUUUUGUUCUUAUACCUUUUCCCCCUCACUGCCCUCAUUUUGGUUCUCAUUGAUUUUCCCAUCCUCAUUUUGGAAAGGAAUUAUAGCAAAUUCAAUGAGGGAGAGUAUGUUCCUAUUAUUCUCUUUUCCAAUUUCAUUCUUUCUCACAGACGGUUGACCAAGCCUUAUGAAAAGAAACUUCUAUUUGCGCUCCAUCAAAUUCCGGGAAGGCAUUUCUGAGGAUCCUAGUGGCAAACUAUUUCCUUGCAUUGUUGUUUUUGAUCCCCCCACAUGAAAAUGAUAUCCCUCACUGGGAUGUUGUUCCCAUCAAUGGGUCAAUCCCAUGCCCCACAACUGCGACUAGUGGUGGCUAUCGAACCGAAGAAAGCGAGUCAAGAACGAUCUCAUCCCUUGCUCAGUCAGUAGUCGGUCCAAAGGAAGAGAGUAGGAAGAUUGACGUAGCCGGUUAUAGACACGGAAGGCAGAUAGGAACUGCCCCACCUGCCCCAACUGCACGCGCUUGGCUCAUCGCAUCUCUCAAGCGGGUGGAAAGCCUAGGAGCCGGGAAUCAGACUGAAUCCGAGACAAGAGAUACAUUGAUGGCCUCGGAUAGAUUAGCUCGGAUUGAGCUGUCCCUAUCCCUAUCAGUCGAGUGCGUCUGCCCUCAGCCGGUACGGAGCCAACCCAGCUCCCGUCCCCGCGAGUGAGUUUUGCUGGUCAACAAACAAUAAAGAGAGGGAAAGAAGGGAAUAAGUUAACAUUUCAUGACUUGAUGAUUGUUUCGGAGGUGGGAAGAGAUAAACGAACUGAAAGGGCUUGGUGUAGAAAUUGUUAGAAUGUGAAAUAGAUAGGAGUCGGAAAGGAGUGAUCGAGGACAGGUCAUAACCCAGAGAGAAAGACUGAUUACUUAACUAAGACCAACCCAAGCGAAAGCAUCUCUAUAUUGUUGUUAUUACAAAAAAACUCCCUUAAUGAAGCUCGCAUGCUGCUAGAGGAAGGCGGCUAAGCUUGACUUGUGUUGUGCGAGCGAUGAUGAACGUCUGCCUUGGCAAAGACGAGUGACUUUGACCGCAGCAAAGUACAGACAUAGGCACAUCUUUUCGACCGGGGAAUAGUUUUUCUCCGGUCCUUGCAGGACCCUGCUCAAAUAAGAUCUUGCUUGUUCAUUACCAUCUCUGUUCUUCUGCGAUCAGAAUGCUCCCAACGACUCGUUUAAGGCUGAUGAUAUGUAUAGCCGUAGCGGUUCUCCGGGCCGAGGAGGUAUUAGAACUGGUGCCUCAGAGAGGUCAUUCUUAAUUCGUUGCAAGACUGGGGCGGUCUAAAAAAACUCUUCAUCCUCUGUUGUCUUGAGCAGUAGGGUACUGGAUUUUCCCUGAAAAGUUGGAGCUGGGGAAAUUGAUCUGUCCGAUCAAGCGCCGCAACUCCUUUUUGCUUCUUGAGGGCCUUGAUUGCCCUGGAUUUCUUCUUGUCAAUUUCAACCCCUCAGUUGUGCACUAAGAACUUAAGGAAGUUUCCUGCUGUUACGAAAAAUAUUUUGACGGGUUCAUCUUCAAGCCGUGUUCUCGCGCUCAAACACUGUCUUGAGAUCAGACAGAUGACCCUCUACAGGGAAAGACUGAACAACUACAUCGUAAAUAUACACCACCUCUACGAUGUUUACAAUAAAGUAAUGGAAGAUGAGGUUCAUUGCUCGCUGGUAGGUAACUCUAGCCUUAUUCAGACCGAAGGGCAUCACCUGCCAGCAGAAUAGUCCGUUUGUUUGUCCAACAGCACCCGGACAACGGAACGCUGUUUUUGCCUCGUCCUCUUUGGAGAUGAAAAUAUGGUUAUACCCCAACGUCCAUGAAUGACAGAAUUUUUUGCCCAGCUGCUCUGUCCACUAACAGAUCAGCGAUUGGCAUUGGAUUCUCGUCUGGCAGGUGGGGCAACAUUGAGAUUCCGGAAAUGCAUUCUCUUCUCUCUCCACCAGCCCUUGCUCUGGGCUUUUUGUUGGGGCAAAAAUACGAUAGAUAAAGAUCUAAUACGAACCUUGACGAAGGCUUAUCCCGACGGGCGAGAAAAAGGUAAAGGACGGAACCAAUGCUGUGUGGAAAGAUGCAACGAGGAAACCUCUUCCCGGUCGAAAGCCGUGCAAAGACGUAAGAGGAUACUGCAGCAAAGGAUAUUGAAAGAAAGGUUCAACUAGCUUGACUCGAACCAGCUUUUUUCAAGGUCAAAUAGACGCUUCGGAAAGGAGUGUAUGGGGCGGAUCCUCCUACAAACUAAUAGUGAAAGUUUAUCGGGCAGUCUGUUCUGGACACUUUGUCCUUUAACAAGAAAUUUCUCAGUCUAGUCAGUCCCGCUUUCGUGACCAAUUAGCUACCAUAACGAAGAAAGGAGAAGCAUUAAAGGCAGCCCUGCCCUCGUGUCUAUCCGCUCAGGGAGCCUGUCUUCCGGCAAACUCAGUAGAGUUUCACCAGCUUUGACAUAAGGUAAAAAAGCAUAUGCUAUUGGUUUCACUGACUUUGAAGUCUGAGCGGGGAGUGGGCAAGCCAACCUCUUCCCGUCUUUCUUCAGAAUCCCACCGCCCUCCUUCGCUUCCACUCUCUCUUCCCCUUCACUCUCCUUCUCCGCCCUCCCCUGUGCCAGGCAAGUAUGACUGCCCUCUUCCUCCCAAGGCUAUGGACUAUAAGGAGGCCGCUUCUCUGUCGAUCUCGACUGGGCUUUCCUUGGAAGAUAAUCAACGCAUCGGAAAAGAGUGCGGUAUUAUCUUCCCGGCGAACUUCUUCUCUUCUAACUUGGAGGAACUUGCGAGCUAGCCACUUCGACUGGCUGGUUUUUGUUUCCCUUCUGGAAUGAUGGUCUCCGGGUAGUACUCAAAUGUGCAGAAGUCGGUUUGGACGUUGAUUCCUACUACGAGUUUUCGGUCAGAUGUACAGAGGUGUUGAAGAUGCGCAACACGGUGCGGACGUUCUUCGCCGAGAAAUUAGUUCUUGGAUAAGAGCUGCUCGAGCUUGGAGGUGCACGCUUUUCUCUACGUUGCAUGAGCUGCAUGGGCGCUAGCUUCGAGAUUCCCCGCCCUGUCGCUGAACUGCGUUGGAAUACGUCGGGGUCUUUUAGUUUUGUCGUUUUUUGCCAUGUCUGUUACUUUUUAGGGUCUGGGCGUUGUCUCUCUCUACCUUACUCUACUCUCCCCCCCCUCUGUAUUCUUUCUUUACUAAAGAAUUUUCGGGACCUUCCCGAUCCCGAACUUCAAAAAAUAAAAAGAGAUCCUUUUCAGGCAAUAUCAAAGUGGCAUAUCAAUUUCACUUGUAGAUUGGAAAUAAGCUUAUCAGAAAGAUUGAAAAAGACGAUAAGGUUAUUUCCAUUUCGAUAGCUAGAAGUGGACGACUUAGCUUGACGGCGGGACUACCUAUCGCGAGAAGGGGCUAGAGCGAAAGCGGUUGUUCCUGGAAGGGGAGAAUGCUAAGCUAAGAGUGAAGAUGAGGAUGAAAGACCGAACGAGUUGUAGUGUCCGUGUGUGUCUCUUCUCUUCCACUCCUUGAUGAUCUCUUGGAAUGUGGUAUGGUAAGUACGGUUCUGCUCUUGAUUCAAUGUGGGGCUUCUCGCUUCAAUGGGAUAAUUGUUUGUUUCUAGGUCAUGCCAUCGAUUGCCCAAAUCGUCUACUAAGCUAUUCUUUCUGACCAUAGCUUGCCCUCUUUCGUGCUACAGCGACAGUGAAAUGGCUUAAUGGUUGGUGGUAGCGAACACUGCAACUGACUAGUGAUUGCCCCAAAUAGAGAAAGAAGGGCGGCUCGGCUCAUACUCUUUCCUUCCCAUGCUUUGAUUGUAGUUCGUCACGGGACUUUCCUUCCCCACAAAAGUGCCUUUGUCCCGGGGAGACUAAUCUCGGAUAACAUUCGUUUCACCCAUGAAAUGAAUUCUCUCCUACCUGCACAAGACAUUGAGAAAAGCAGGAGGCAUGUGUAUCAAGCGACAGCAACGAUCGAGAGAAAAAGGGCAAAUGAAUUCCGGAAAAUGAGAAUUAGGGAUGAGAAUGCGGACCGCCUGUAUCUGUCUUGGUUUUCCCUCUGUCAAUUCUUACUCAAUGUUAUGUUAUACGAGGGAAAAAAAGAGUUUCAUCGAAAGAAAGACAUCAGAGACAUAUCUUGAGUUUUGAACUGAGAUUGCAACUGAAAUCUGAUCUACAGCAGGAGUUUGGGCGUUAGCUCUUAAUGGCUUAGCGUGUCCCGUAUUUUUAUUUUCAGUGUCCGGGGCAGCUACUCUCGUCUCUAGUUUAGCACAGAUCUUUUCCGGCAAUGGAAGCUACAGGUCAUCCCCCCGUAGAAAAAAGUAAAUCCCUCUAACCCGGAAGACAAUACUGUUUUAAAGAAAGUUCUUAAAGAGAUAAGUCAACCAAUAACUUGAAGUUUUAGAUAAAAGCCCGUCAUCCUUAUACUCAAAUUGUAGUAUGACUCCUUUCCUUCUCUGUACUCCAUACUAGCAGUAGGCUUGGGAAAGAGAAUUCCUUAUUCUUUAAUGUGAGCAGUCAAGGUAUUGCUCGUCUUCCAAACCUUUCGGGAAAGUAGCAAAUCUUCUUCUUAUUGACUUGGUAGCUGGCUGACGAAGCAGACCUAUUUUGCAGAGUGUCCAGCGGAACAGCAUGACCAAAGGCCGAGACAAGGUAUCGAGUCAAGGAGAAUCCACAGCGCAAUCAGACCUUCAGGCUCUGUUUUCCUCUGCUUCUAAAGCCAGCUUCUUCCAUGGUAAGGUGUCGUCGUCGGCCUCUUACUAUUUGUAUAGGGCCAGUUGCUUAUACAGCAUCUUUUUUUUAUAGUCUUGUUCUCUGUUAACUGGAUCGAGAAAGUCAACUGAAGGUAUUGCCAGAUUAGACUUUUCGCUUCCAACUCGGAACCACUGACAACUUCUCUUUCCUCCGAUCAAUAUGAAAGAGUUCCACUCGCCCUGACUUGUGAACGGAAAGAUUCUUUGAUCUAUCUACUAAGCCCGCAACGGAAAGAGUGAUCCGCGGAAACCAUUGAAAGCAAGCUAGCAACUAAUCCGGAUAUUCCAUCAUGCAACUCAAUCAAGACAAGCUCAUCUUGCUAUUCACGAAAAUCCUGAAUAAACCCCUGUGAAACAUACUCCUAACAGCCGACUCAAACUAUUACUAUAUAUUACAUAUACUAUAUAAUCGAGUUAGUUAUUGUUAUAUACAAUACCGUAUUUCAUUAGUUAAAGAUUGAAAGAAAAUGAAAUUCUAAGAGUUAGCCUUAUCAAAAUGAAAAGAGGCACUCCCAAUUGUGACAGUAGAUUUAAGAUCAAAAGAGUCAAAGUACAACGAAUAGGCAAGAGAAUGGAACCCGCAAAACACUAACGAAAACGUUAGCUCAUGAACCGGCAGGUCACUAGUCGAUAUGAUUGUCCAAAUGGACACACCAGACCAGUAAGAAGCAUAGGAUCAGUCACCCAGCGAUGAACUGUAAGAAGCACUACACUAAAACUAUUAUAUAUACGCACGCCCCUCCCGAUCAAAAGAAGGAAAAGACUUUCUUUUCAUGAUGACGGUCUAUAACGCAAGGUCAUUCUGGGCAAUGACAGACGGACUUAGACUUUGGUUGUGUAGCACUGAUCGGUCAUGAUCCUUGAUCAAGAAAGAUUGGUUAGAAGAAAGCAGGCGAGUCGUGCAUCUGAAUAAACUCCUAAGCCUAAGCAGCCAUAUACUCUUAAAAGAUAAAGCAAGCAAGUGAAGUCACCGAUCAAAUCCUAAAAGUAAAAGGUUUCGAACGGCUUUUUUUUUUUUUAAUGAUGGUUGUUGGCUAGCAUGGGCGAAGAGCCCAAAAGUCCUAUGCCAUGCACUAUUUACGUACUUUAGAAGUUAAUUAGAGAGAGAGAGAGAUGGGAGAGACAGAGAAUAGUAAGCUUACACAUACUUUAUGAGUACAAAGGCCUUUCGUACUGAUUAAGUACAUUUUGGAUGGAACUUUGAAGUAAGGAGUAUAAAACUUGUUAAAUAUGAUCUAGCGAUUAGCGAUUAUGUAUCAUGGCAUGAAGGUAUACCGAAAUUGCAAGCAAGAUACGGAUGGGUGAUCUGCCGUGCGGACAUGCCGUAUGCGUUCCGGUCACAAAAAAGCUUGGAUGACUUAGGCAUGUGAGCCGACAUAAAAUGAGCAUCAAUGAUUGUGGACUUUUCGUUUGCAACAAAAUAUCUCUAAUUGUUUAUUAACUAUUUUUAUCAAAUUUUUUGAACUUUAUUGAAAAUACUUACUAUUGUUUAAAAAAAGAGGAGUUCUACAGGUCAUUGCAUCGGAAGGAGUACUUCGGGAUUGCAUCUUCUGUAGUUAUAUCCUUUAAUGGCGAACCAUACCGGUAUGUAGAUAACGGAUUGGUGCCAAUAGGCAGUCAAAUCCUGUUUAGAUGUCAUUUGAAGUAUACCUCAACGACAUUCCAUGUUUUACAAAGUAUAAUUAUUCGAGCCUCAAGUGAUUAUUUAAUAGUCAAACAGAUGGAUAUUCUAAAAAUAUUAAGAAUCUUUGAUUUAAGAUGAGAGUACUGAUCUCGAUAUGUGAGGAAUAAAUUUUUAUAAAACAUUAACAAUCAAGCAAAUAAAAAAAAGAAUUGUAUCCAUCUAUUAAUGCAUAAGAUGUCGUUCGAUGAAAAUUGUAAUUUAGGGCCUUUUGAUGAUAGGUAAAUCGGACACGGUCGAAAAAAUCUUGAAGUUGAUUUCUAGAAGGUCUUGGAUGCUGCUAAGAUCAUGUCAAACAGUAUAAUCGUCCAUUGAAAGAGGCUAUCAUCGAAGACUUUAUAGUAUGAAGCAUAAAUUGUGACCGUUAUACUCAUAGUUCAAUAGUAAAGUUCUCUCUGGCCCUCCACGUGUCCGCGGGUUGGAGGGGGAAGUGACAGUUGGUGGUUAGAAUUAAUCUAGAGUGAAACCAUUCUGUGGUCUACUUUUUCAUUAGAUCAAACUUCGUUUGGAUCCAGGUAUGCCUACAAUACACAUUAACCCAGGAGGAUGAUCAUCAUCCUAAGCUCCACAAGCCAUUGAUCCAAGGGGCUCAAAACCUAAGCACCAACCCUUGUUCUGAUUGAAUCAGCAAUCCUCUUAAUGAACCACAUCGACUUGUUAAAAAGAAAAACAAUGUAUUUCGUAUCUUUUUUGAUCUUGAUUAGUGACCUUAUCUAAGAGAAAUAUUCUCAACUUGAUCAAAGAAUGGUAAAUAUAAUUUUUUGUCGCCUUAAGCUCCAACAGAAUUAUGAUGGAAUGUCCUAAGUUCAAAGCAAUAGAGAGGUCGUGAGGUUGGACGGACGAAACAAAUUUACUAGUUAGGUAGCCUUUACUAAUGCUAGUGAUUCAGGUAAGGUUGUAUGUAACCAAUAAAAUCUAUGGCAAUAGCUUAAGACACUUACGUGGUUUGAAUCGGCACAAACUCCAUAUAGAAGCUUGCAAAUUACUUUAUCAUCCACUCUUCUAGUGCAGCAGGAAGUGAAGUUUUUUCUGUCAACUAGUGUAGUUCUGAAGAUAAGAAUACUAAUCUCCUUCUGAGGUAAGAGUUGAGAUGAACGCACUCAGAAGGAGCAAGUUAUAGUCAUCUCAAUCCAUUUCUUACCUGCUUCGAAAGGAUGAACAAAGAGCACACUGGUCGUCGAUCCCUUUCUCUGAAGAAGAGGCAUGAAAUUUGGCCUAUUUGCCGUUUAGUAUUCAGCUGGAUUGCAUGACCCUUCCGCUAAUUAGUUGUUGAAAGAGGCAUUUAUCAUGUCUAGAAAGAUGGAGAGUCAGCUGGUGGCCAGUGAACUGGCUGAGAAUCUUAUAUCAGCCCAUCUGCGCUAAAAAAGGAAAAUGGAAUAAAAGAAACAAAGAUCUUAUGCAACGUACAGGGUGGAAAGAAAAAUUUAAUCAUUAUAGCGAUGAUUAAGGGAGAUGUUAAAAAAGAAUGUAUAAUAUAAGCUCAGGCAUCAGUAAAGAACCCAAUACUGCGAACAGGUACUAAUGAAAGUGGAGAAAACAACUCGUUAAAAGUUCAUGACUUUAUUUUAAAGCAAUUGUGAUACGAUCGGGAGAGAAAUUGAACAGGGAAUGCCAUACUCACUAGACACAAUUAGCAACUUUAACAUUACUUAUGUAACUUAGUUAGAAGAAAACGAAAACAAGUAUUUGUAGUCAAUAACUCAAAUGAGAAGUGAAAUACAUACUACACAGUAAAAGGAACCAGAACCAAUAAAAAAAGGAAAAAAAAUUUACAGAAGAAAAAUUAAUUACACCACAAAUUAGAUAAAGCAUAUUAGUCUAAUAUGAGAACCAGCAGGAGUGAUCAUUCUCCGUGCAGGCUGCUUGGAGGACUCGAGCAGUAAGGAAUCAACGGAUCAACAAGUUCUUCGGAUGUUACUUCUGCCAAGGGAUUAUAAUGAUUAAAAAGAGAAAAGCUUUGAGUAGAGUUGGAUUGUAUUCAAGGUGAUUAUCGAGGAGUUGUCAAGCCCAGGAUGCUGUGUUGAAUGAGUCCCUGGCAACUCUUUGAAUAACAUCUUUUAUUCCUGCGGCGUUUAGUGUUGAGUCCUGUCAACCGGAAAAGCAUGCGACCAUUUUCAGUAGAGGAACGAAAGCGCUUUUCAGCAUCCAUCAUUUAUUUUAGUUGAAGCAGGCUCUAAGUAAUCUACAAGACAUAUAAAAUUCACCAAUGAUGAAUGAAUGACUAUGCUCAUUCUCUGGCAUUACUGUCAUAGUUAAUUGUAUAGCACAAUGAUAUAGUGUUGUUAACAGAUAAUCUGAUACUGAGAAAUUGUUAUGUUAUUCCGUUAUAGAAGAAGACAUGGGGGGCUGCUUCUCCAAAACUUUGUUCCAUUGAAUCAAGGCCUGGCAAGAGCCGUUGCUGAGUCCUUGACUGGGAGGUGUUAAAAUUUUCCGAAGCAACUUCUCAAAUAUUGCUUAAUUUAACCUUAUCUGCUUUCUUUUGUGACAGAAUUUCUGAUCUUGAGUAGUUUAGGUCUAGUCUUGCUUGUGAAUAGCAUGAGGGUGAUAUUGAAUAAUUCCUAUCUUGAUCUUAGGUUCUAUCACCUCUCAGUGCGACCUGCAUAUGAAUGAAAAGAAAAACAGUUUUAUAUUUUAUUGGACUAAUUGAAAUUUUUCAUAUUAUUUUGUUUUUGGCAUCAACUAUCCAGGCCUCCCUUCCAUAUUAAUCGUUUUUACGCGAUCAGUAUCUUCUCGAUAUGAAUAAAUUUUACUUCCGUAUUGCUCCUUUUUGAUGAUCCCGUAGCGCUCAAUGAGACUUUCAGCAAGAUGGAGUCACAAAUCGUGAUUGAAAUUGGUGCUAUACAUAGUGCUAAUACUUAUCAUUCGAUAAUUUUAUGGAUGGCCAGUCCGCUUAGAUAGCUCUGUACAAAAGCAAUGUUUUGCCUAGUAUAAAGAACUAUAGUUCUUACAGGAGAGCAAAUAGAAUGCAAUUUCCCUAGUGUUUGAUCUGACACUCUAAAAUGAAAGGAGCAAUAAUUCUCAACGCAACCUGAAAUAUCAGUUUCAGGAUAUAAGUAAUCAAUUUACCAAUGAGCAAAUAUUAUAUUCUACUGCUGAAUAGAAGGUAUUAUCAAUAAGUAUUGUGUCAAAAGAUUAUCUUUUCUAGCUAAAGUGUGCACCAAUUUCUAGGGCUACUAUUGACUCUCUUCAUACAGACUGUGGAAUGCGAAGACGUAAAACAACAAUUUCCAACGGAAAUUAGGUGUUAAGGACUGAUGCCUAUACUUUUCGCAAAGUAUUUGAAACGGUCCAGUAACAUUGAAUAAAGAGUUGAUAUUCAACAUUAAAAUGUAUACACAACCUAGCAUGUACUUUCACAGCUUCAAAUAGGACUGAAUACCAUUUCAAUUCCAGAAUUCAUGGUUAAAAGUAAACGCAAAAGCUGCAAUUAAAUGAUUGUCAGAUGAAUAGGGAUUAGUAAUUUUAAAGCUUAUGUAAAGCCAAAUACUUGUAUCAGAGAAAAGAGCUCUUUUUGAUAGAGAAAAUAUCUUUGUCUUGCACAGCCCAAUUGGCGCUUCUGUUAAUACUGAAGUUUUCUUAUAGUAAGCUAAGGAUUUAUGUUUAUCCACCCAUUUAUUGGCAUGUUAUAAUCAACUUGGCCCGGUUUCAGCUGAAGGAGGCGUGCAUUCAGCUCCUUCUACUUCUGUGUGCGUCGAUUUGAACUUUAGGUCGCCGAAGCGCACUUAACUCUGAGUAGGCAGAAAAUAUUUGCACACGGACGUAUGGAUCUCAUCAAAGUGGUCUGCAUUUUUGGAAUUUCUGCUGAUGCCAUUCGAACUUAUACAGGAAAAUACCAAUCUGCUUUUUCCCAGAUUCAAUCUAUAUCACACACAUUCAUUUUUUUUAUCUGUCAGAAAUUUAUUAUAAUGCACACGUGUCGACUGGUUCUUUGAUUCAAGAGCUUCGAUAGUCGCUCUCACCGGGGGGGACAGCAGCCUGCCUGGCAAGGCGGAAUGUGUGUGUGAUGAGCUCUUCUCCCCUUUUUGUUUGCCAGCCACUUCUUAUAAUUUCCUAAAGCCCACCACAAAUAUGACAAGCUUGUGAGUCAGAUUUUUUGAGGAGGGACGAACUUACCAUAGAGCUAGUCAGCAGCUUUGAUGAAGUCCGCCUCUUUCUUUGGCUUGUCAACACUGUAGCCGUCAGUCGUUCAUACCAAGUCAGUUUGUUUGUUUGACCAAGUCCAAGCAUGCUUGUUCGGUUGUUACUGAUCUCAGAACCGACAGACACUUGGUUAAAUCUGACUUUAGUUACAUAUCCAUCUGUCUGUGAAUUCCAUAAUUUGUUCUUCUAGUCUCUGAAGUAUUGCUUCGGCCUUGGUUGGAAAAGUGAUAUUCUCAUUGUGUCUACUUUUUCCUUACAGAGUUGAGCACUUCUCGAUCAAGGAAAUAUGCGACCUGAGUAAGCCAUCUUCUACUUGUUCUAAAUCCUUUGUUUUAGAGAGACCAAUUUUGAAUAUUUUUGUCCAAACUCAUGUAGGCUUCGCCGGUUUUUUGCCAUUCUGUUUAGACUAUGCUUUCUUUUGAUUCUACAACCAUUGUUGAUAUGCUGCAGCGCAUAGUCAUCUUCGUCCGCAUUUCUUCAAUCCAGAUGAGUUCUCCGAAGAAUGACUUCUCUCGUAUAGACUGUUAAUGAGAGAUGAAUGUCACAGCAGAUGCUAAGCACACUAAGAAGUCUUUGAAUUCCUGCUGCAAUUUAGUGCCGUGUCAUUUACAUUCCUCUUCACUCGAAUUGGAAUCGGUCAGAUGAGGAGUACGUCCCAAGUGGAUAGCUUGCAUCGCUUUCUUCAUCUCAACAGACUUUUUAUUAGGACAGUCAGAUGCGAUAUGGCCAAAGCCUCGUUACUUGUUAGCAUUAAAAUUUGACCUUCACCGGCUUGUUCUUCUCUUUUGUGGACGAGUCCUUUUCGGAGAGUUAUCAGAUAUUUUCUGAUAUUUUGAUGAGGAAGAGGAAGACGCAACCCCCUUUUAGAUUUGUUUGUCUUUGGAAGAAAGUAGGACUUGGAGGAAACUUCUUUCUAAGUUCCGUACGAAAUUCUUUUAAGAAGUGCCUUAGUUGUUUUCAAAGUCCUCCAGGGGCUUCUGUCCGACUCUGAAAUCUGCAUGAGAGUUGAAGAGUACAUCUGCUUUCUUGUGAUUUUAGCAGCCAUCCCUGAGGCCUUUAGGGAAAAAGACUUGGAAGAGGUACGAAUUAGAAAGGAAAAGUAUUUCAUAAGUUUUGAAGCAGCACCUACUAAUUCUUCUACCGUGAGUUCAUUCAGGAUGUUUCGGACCUUUCAAUAGCUGCAACCGGAGUGACGGAACAUCGUUCCGGAGGAGGGUCUCAAAAUUUUUUCGAAACAAUUUGGAAUCCAGGGAAUUUGCUCGACCCAGUAGCACACAUGUUUACAAUGUCUUGCAGACGAGUUAUAGCUACUCGUAAAAGAUUCGAUGUUUUCCAUACGAAAUGAAUCAAAUCUACUAGUAGCAUUGGUAUUUGUUGAAUUCUUAACCACAGAUUGUACCCUCGUGUGUAACUCGCAAAAGUGUUCCCAAAUCAUCUUUGCGGAUUGCGCACACCGAGACGCGUGAGAAAAUUCAGUUUAGUUAUUUAAAGCAUUGCAAUUAAAGACGAUUGAUACCUUCCCAUUUGAAGGAAGAUAGUCAUUUUCCUCUUUCGUUCCUAUUUAUUCCUAGGUUUCGGGCUGGGCACGCGGUAACGUUCUCGAACAACUCGGUAGGGGUUUUCAUCCGAAUAUCAAUUGGCUUGCCAAACGCUCGCGUAGAAUAAGAAACGCCCUGUUUAUAAGGACUUUCCAAUAUGCCCAUAGUUAAGUGCCGAGUCGAGACGGCGGUCGAAUUGAUUGUUACCGCCCUCACCAAUGAAUUACAACCAUAUACACCGCUCUAUACCACUUAUCAAGAUAUGGAUCCCGAUCGCGAUCUAAAAGGUAAGUAACACCUAGAGCGGUGGGUGAAUCAGGCUGCAUAACAAUGCGCAAACUCAAAAAAUCUCCGAGCGAAUAUAAAACAAAAUAGCGAAAGAAAACAACACACCGAGAAUUUAACGUGCGGAAAACCCAAACUCGAGUGAAAAAACCCACGGGACACAUCACGCAAAGAAAAAUCCAUCUAGAAACAUGAGUACAAGGUGAUCUUGAACCCAAACACAGAGCUCAAUUUACCAUUUCCCGUAGUGCAGAUCUUUUCGCGGCCUCGAUCGGUUAUAAGGAAUCCUCAUCGACGUUGCGCGCAAACUCCUCGCACGCGUCAACGCCUCAAUUCUCGAGCUUUCCACCGAAUUUUCGCUUCACGCGAGAUCGCGACGCGUCGAACCUGCCUUCCGGAGCAUUGUAGGAAUCAGAAGAGUUUUGAUGAUUUAACCUUUUGAUAUCAUNNNNNNNNNNNNNNNNNNNNNNNNNAGGAAAAACUCGAGGUCUGGCGCUUAUUACCAUAGUCGCAGCAUAGAAAAGUCAGGUGCCUGAUGAAAUAGUCUAUGAAAGGGGAUGUCACCUGAAAGAACUGAAGACUGCCUCCAUGCGAAGAAGAGAGAAGUCGGUUCUCCCCCGCUUCGCUCUCCCCUCGGGGAAUUGAGUAGUUUUUAGAGUAGAGUCGAGGAGAUGACGAAGAGCUGAAGAAGAGAAAGUUUACAUUGCGACGAAAGGAGGUCUCGCUUCGACGUUCUCGCGGGGGUUCUUUCUCUUUCUCUCCGCCUUCAAACGAUUGGUUUCGUUUAUUCUCUCCAACAACUCAUGGAGUAUGGAUCCCUCUCAUUGCUUCUAAUUCUCUCUCUUUUCCUACCUUCAGCAAACUGGGUACAAGGUUCUAUCAUUAGGUGUGGGCGCUGAUGAACCAUUUGAUGAGCUUAUGGUUUUGCCUUCCUGAAUACAGGAUAGCCCUCGAAUGGAAGAGAACUUUUAGAAGCGCUCUUGAGGUCUGAUGUGGACCCCCUCUUAAGUAAGCUGUUUCCGAAUCAACAAAAUCUCUAUGCUUAACAUAGACGAAUAAGGAUGGGUUCCGCUGGGCUAGAUCGUGAGCUAUAUGCUUAUAACAUCCGAUCGAGACCAAUCACACAAAGAAAAAAAUGGAUUACCUGUCUUUCCCUCUCUUGUCAACUGCAUACUGCAUGGAGUCUUCCCCGGAAAAAAGGCGAGGCUGUCGAUAUGCUAUUCACAGCCUGAGAGUGAGCAGAGAAUAGUCUUUUUAUUUACUUUAUUUGACCUUUUUUACCUUCAUGUGGCAAACUGGGGAACUUAGGUUCUCAAACUUUACUUUAUUUUCUUGCGCGACGAGAUACUGAUAAAUAUCAGUAGCCCGUUUUCGCUUAGGAAGACAAAGCAGUGUCAAGCCGAGGGACAGGUCGCGAUGGAGAAGCUGCUCCCGUAAAGGCUCAAACUCUGGGCGCAGGCGCAUCAGGAGCAGAUAUAGGCGCUGGCGAUCACGGAACUGCUGAUAUGUCUUACAACUGAGGAGGGAAGCUGGAGGCGGAGGCGAAGAUGAGAAUGCAAAAGGAAAGCAUUUCUCGCCAUGUGGUUUUUGACGAGAAAUGUAAAGGCGACCGGUUAGAGGAUCUGAAAGAGAGAGUGUAGAAAAUUGAGCGAGGGAUCGAGUGGUGCGGGAACUCCGGAUACUGCUAAAUAGUGGUUUCAGUUCCACAGAAAGGAAUCAAUUGUUAAGAAAGCAUCUCUGGGCCUGGGCUUGGAUCAAGCAAGCUCAUAAUUUUCUUAUAUGCAGGGAGAGAUUGAAAAACUGCAGACGGAGCAUUUGAACGGUGGUAACCAUAAGCAGUUUCCCUUCAACACAAAAGAGGAAAAGCACGGCUCUUCCGCGCUGUAUGGGAUUUCAAAGGGGGAGGGGUAGGUAAAUGAGAAAGGUAGAGUAAGAUAUUUUCAUUCUAACAGAAUGAGCGGAUCCAAUACACAUAUUGUCUUUGACAUAAAAAAAGAAGGUUGUAAUAACGAAACAGACAUUUGAGAAUUUUGUCCUUGCCUUGCCAGUGGAACAAGAAAGACUAUAUAGAUUUUGAUAUGAAAUACACAAUCAAAGGAUUUCGCUUCCAUAGAAUGACGGAAUUCCCCUUGCUUAGUUUUCGCUCCGCUCGUGCGUGGCACUCCUUGCUUGCGGAGCGGCAUACCGAAAAAAAAAAGGGGGAGUUGGCGCCUGUUAUGUAGAAGUCAAUAUUCUCGCAAAUUGAAUUAUUUCUUUUUUUUUUUCUUCGCAAUAACUCGGGAUGUAAUCCCAUAGAGAUGAUUAAUUAGACUCCUGUAAAUUCAAUGGGAUGAAUUGCAUCCUGAUGAUACUGAAUCGGAUCAAUAUUAUGAAUAACAAUAUCUGAUCUAUCAAAUCGAUUCAUCGUCGAGAAUUGAAUAGUAUAACAUAGGAAGAUUCUUUAUCCAUACUAACUAUUAAAUAAAUGGGAUUUUUUUUUUUAUCAGGAAUCCAUUGCAUUUUUCAUCCUCUUCCACUUUUUCUUUUCUAUAACUACUGUCUGUCUUCCUUAUCUUAUACAAUUCUCCUUCCUUUUUAUAUACUUAUACAUACAAUGAUGAGGUAUUAUAUGACCGGUAUUCUAUGGGUCACACACAGACCCAAACGAAGUGAGAUGGAAAAAAGAAGGGAAACAAUAAAAAAGAUCUAAAUAUCCAACAAAUUUACUGAAAAGGGUCCUUGCUUGGUCUUUUCUUUUAUUAUAUUAGUAUCCUCUUUCUUUUAUUAUUUAUUGUACUGUCAUAAAAAAUGAUGUCUGCUAUUUGAAUGAGAAUGAGAUAGAUUGUUUCCAAUUAGUCAUUGAGGAUACACAAACAAAGUCAGAGCUAGAAAAAAGGUGUGGUUUAACCUGAAAAGUACUCUGUCGAGGUAAUUAUGUUAAGUUCAUUGUCUAUCGUACAAGCAAGAUAGAAUACUCUUUGUGUAUGUACUCCCGGUAAAAUAGGGUCACUCUACUCCAUUUCAUUGAUCAAGAACAAUCUAAAAAUUAAGUAAGACGAGGAUGGUAUCUCUUAAAAUACUUAUUGUAGUAAUACCACAUAUUAUACUAAUAUACAUAGGAUAUGUCUCUCCUUUAUCAAUCGGAGUAGUGGAAAAAAUGGAAAUUCCCGUACCCGUAUUUGUCUGAUGAUAAAUGCGAAAUAAAAAACAAAAGAAAAAUAAAGAUCCCACUCCACUGGGGAUUAGAUCUUGCUUCAUCUCUCCCUUUUCCGUGAAAAGAGAGAGAUGAAUUGAUAAAUUCACCGGAUCCUAGUUCGGGACUGACGGGCUCGAACCCGCAGCUUCCGCCUUGACAGGGCGUGCUCUGACCAAUUGAACUACAAUCCCAGCGAGGUGUAUGCAUACAUAUUCUUAAUGUAAUCAUAAGAACAUUAACGUCGUCGUAUUGUAAUAAAGACACGAAUGAUAUACUGAUAUCAUAUCCACAUAUAAUAUGGGCUAUAGUGAGAGUGACACGGAUUACUAGUAACCAAUAAUUAUUUUACUGCCCAAAAUGGAUAAUCAAUCUUUCUAUGAGAAAAAAUAACUAAACUAUUUUGCUUUUCAUGAUACUUUUCUUAAUGAAGUCUAGUAUCAUGAACUAGAUCCUUAGAAAGAUCUGAAGGAGAAAAAUAUGGAUGAGAAAAAAAUAAAAAUUUACUCUUCUCUUUAUUUCUACGGAUUAGGCAUUUCCGUUUAUGGAAGAAAAAUUGGUUAUAUCAUAUUCAUGGAGCGGUGAAUUAUUGGGCCGAGCUGGAUUUGAACCAGCGUAGACAUAUUUCCAACGAAAUUACAGUCCGUCCCCAUUAACCGCUCGGGCAUCGACCCAGGAAGAAUUCAUUCUAGGCUUAUUGAUAAUCUAUGAUAAACUUCCUUUCAUAGUACCCUACCCCAGGGGAAGUCGAAUCCCCGCUGCCUCCUUGAAAGAGAGAUGUCCUGAACCACUAGACAAUAGGGGCAUAUACGCCCGACCGUCAUCAUACUAUGAUUAUAGUAUGAGCAGUUUUUUUUAAUUGUCAAUAUAGUCUAAUGGUAUGACUAGAUCCUAAAAGUCUUUCCUACUUUGUUGUUAUGAUUUCAUAGAAUUUUUUUUUUUAUUUGAUGAUUCAUGAAUGAACCAUCCAUACUAUUUAUAACGAAAGGAGGUAUAGGAUUCCUUCAGUUCAGGCAGUGAUUUGAUUGGUCUGACAGAAAACAGAAAAAAGAGUCAAAUGUCAUUUAAUUUCUUUUCUUCAAUUUGAACUCAUUGCUUCAUUUAGUGUGAAGAUAAAUAUGCCUAUCACUAUCUCACACUAAGCCAGAAAAUACAAAAAGGAUAGAAAUUUGAUCUUUUAUUUUAUAAGAAUUCGUUCAGGGUACUAAUCCCCUCAUGACAUGAUUCAUGAAAAUAUCUUGAAUCUAUGUCGAUGUCGGAUUAGUACAUUUUUCAUGAAAGUGAAUGUUGUUCUGAGGGUCAGUAAAAGUAAAUAAGUGGGGUCUGUCUUGAAACAAUUUACUGCAUUAUUUUAUAUCAAAAUCUUUUUCGAAAAAGAAAAAUAAUAAUUUUACCUACUUUUGGAGUAAAUCCAAUUUCUUGUUCCUGAAGAAUUCCUAGGCAUAUAUAAAUAAAAAAAAAAUAUAUAUAUAUAUAUAUAAAUAUAUAUUUUAUAUUUCCAAUUCCUAUAAUUAAUCGACAAACCAAAGUUUUCUUAUUUCUCCAAUGUUCUUAUCAAACCCACUAUAAAAUUCUAAAUAAAGAAAAAGUAAGUGGACCCGACCCAUUGAAUGAUGACUAUAUCAGCUAUUCAGAUAUGGAAAUUCGAUAUAGAUGAAAUUUUACAAGCGGAUUUCUUUUUAUUUCCUUAGACCAUCAAGAAUUUGUCGAUAUUUACGAUUUCAUCUUCUUGUUACUGGAUGCUCCAUAGGAAUAAAUCGCUAUUUUUUUCUUCUACAAAGUUGAUUUCAAAAAAUAGAUUUUUCAAUAUCUUUCCUUGAUUUCAUAAUCUGAUAUUGUUUUUCUUCCGCCAAUUAAAUAGAGAACGAAUGCGAGAAAAGGACUUUCAUUUCCAGUCUACCAUUAUUUAAUAUUGAAUUUUGUGGCAGGAAAAAAUAGGAAAUUUUCUUUUAUUUUGGUUUGACCCGUUAAAAGAUAUACUCUUAAAUAUGAGUCAUAGGACAAUUCAGGAUUCAAAUGGUUAUAUAGUAUAAGGACUAAUCGAAUCGAGCUCAUGGAUUUACCAUUGAUUUACCUAGGUUGGUUUGUGGCCCAAUAGAAUAAAAAAAAGGCUUUCCUCGUCUUUUUCCCGCUUUCACCUUCGAUUGCGAGGGAUGAUCGGCCGGUUUUCAAUUCGCUUCUCUAUGCGGAGCUGCGCGUGGUGGGAAGGCCUUCGCGAUUCGCAUCUUCCCGUCCGGCAAAGAAAGUGAAGGGGAGAGUGUGGAGACGCUGCAGAACCGCUUGAUUGAUCAAUCAAGCUAUUCCCUAAUUGAAGCAAGUUGGAAAGCUUUCAGAGCCUCAGCUCGUUCUGAUGAAUCGCUCCUUUUUCUGAAAGCAUGGGAUAUUGUUAAUAAUGCAGUACAGAACAUCUAUGUUCCGGUGGGAAUGAAAUUCGAUUUCCGAUGGAUAACAAUCCAUCUUUCUCGCUUUCGCUCUUUCUCCAAUCAAUCGCGAGGGUUCCGGCAUGAGAACGCAAGUGCCGGAAUCGAACAAAACGUCCGAGGACGAAAGAGAAAAUGCUCCGCGGGGAACUCGUUUCAUGUCGGCCUAUUCGUGCCGCUUAGACGUCGGCCAUGAAAUCCAUCACUAUACCGAGCAGAUCACGGGCAUUCACAUCUCGGUCAAACGGAACUGUACGCGAUUCUCUCGUGAAUCGCCUUCCGCAAGGUAUGCCCCAUUUCGGAUUCCCGGGAAGAAUAUUUCUAUACAGACAUUCGUUGCUGGUCUCAAAAAGAUCUUAUCCCGUGGGCGUUAGCGGACGUUUUUCAUUUACGGUCUUUAGUAGCCUUUCCGAAGGUAACCGCCUUUGUUGACUUUAGAAAGGCGCUAAAACAGGCAGGCCAUAUGUUCUAUAGAAGAAGACUGUGUAUGUAUAUAAAUAGUUUGAGAAAAGAUCGUCUUCAGCAUGAAAAGAAUAACCUUUGUUUGGGAUAUAGAAUUCCUUUUUUUGAUGGUCAAAGACCCUUUCUUUUCCCGGACCGAUGACUCGGUUGUUCAGUACUGCUACAUAUUAUAGGAGGAUGCCGUCCCCCUUCAAUCCAGUAGCUUCGGUUGUUUAAUAUCGUGCAAGUUAGUUGUGGUUGUUGUAUUGGCUGCAAGCGGAAAGUAGCGCUGUAGGUGUGUUUGACCAUGCACUCUCGCGUCGUGUAAUGUCGUAUGUAUGAUAGAGGUGGUGUGGUGAUUGAUCUCCAUGCUAAUGGUUAUCCCCUUUGUUCAACGAAUGAAUGAAGCGUUGAUCAGGAUAGAGAUGAUGGUCUUCGUCUUCUGUCUCCAAGCCGGCCAUACAACAUGGAAAUCAAAUAGAUAGGCGAAGCAACCAAUAGCAGUCUGUUCUCGCCUAUCGAUAGAUAGCAGGUUGCUUCCAAGCUCAAACCAUGAUCAACUGCAUUUUUGCUUGUUGUUAUUAAUGGAGUGGUAUUCUCCCCCCUGUCAAAUAAAAAGAUAACUGGAAGAGAGAAGAAAAGAGCAAACAAAGGAUUUACAAGUCACAUGGGAGAAGAACGUUGAACUGCAUCUUCAACUAUAAAAUAAAACCCCCGGGGCACCGAAGCCUCCCGCGGCAAGCGAGAUAAAGAAAGCAGCUGGACUGCCUUGCCGCGGGAGAGUCUUUCUCCAAUGAGAGAAGGUUUUGGGCAAGACAAAAGACAGGACUCGCCCUUUGACACCAGGGAUAAGAGCAGAUUGCUGGCGAUGACUUGGUGGAAUCCUUGAGAGAAGGUUAUCGAACCUAUAGACUCUACGACUUCGUGGAGACCGAAUAGAGCCCUUUAAGCGAGAGGGCCAUGCUGUUGGCGUCUUACCUACAAGGCAAGAUAAAGGCGGGGGCGGGCGGGAUCAAGCUUGAAAGAAUGGACGGGCCUAGGCUUGAUAGUGAAGGCAGACCCCCUUCAAAAUCAUCGUGUCUGGUGCUAUCUCCUUCAUAAGCUAUGAGGGUUCACCUUUAAUCAAACAUCUACUUGAUUCUCGUAUGGGUUAUCGAGUAAAAACGAAGAAUCAAGCUGAUUGUUGAUUGUUGGAAACUCAUUAUGUGAAUCAAAGCAUUGAAACGAAGAAAAAUAAGUUUCUAGGGUUUAGAAUCAGUAAAUAUUCAAAGCCUUAAACUUUUAGAUGACCCACAUAGCUUAUUUAUAUGUUUAGAAGACUUAGAAGUAGACUAGGAUUGAAAAAGUACUUUUUAAAAACCUGUGUCAUCCUCAGAGACCGGUCCUCUCGAGGAGACCGGUCUGUGAGAGACCGGUCUCUCAAGUGAGGAACCGGUCCCUCGCUGCGUGACCAAAAUCACAACGUUCGGGAACCGGUCUCUUAAGCUUGAGACCGGUCCCUUGCUGCGCGACAGAAAUACCAAGGUUCGGGAACCGGUCUCCCAUCACAGGGGACCGGUUGCAUCAAGGUUCACGCAGUGAGGACCUUAGGGGAACCGGUCUCUUGAACUCUGAGACCGGUCCCAGAACACAGAAAAGUUCAGUAAAGUAGUUUUAACACCAUCUAAGCCUUCUGAACUUAUUCUAACUAGGUAUCUUCACCACAAAUGAUCUUUUCUUCAUACUUUAGGUGUCGAGCUUUCCGAAUGAGUCUUAUUUCUUCAAUUUGAAUCUUUUUUUUCAAAACUUCUGCGAUCAACUCUUCAAGACUCCAACCAACUUUACGAAAUUCGCCAAGCUAUAAAAUCCUUAACAAGGUCCCACAAGGGGGGUGCAGCCUCACCCAUCUUCAAAUGUAGGGUAUUCGUCACCCAGCUCUACUACUCACAGGUACCCCUAUAUAAAUGUUUGCGUCCUUGUGGACUCUUGCGCGACUCGGACAGCACCAUAAAUGCCAAAAUUUUCAUUAAUCUGGGAGGUCGAUGAUAUAAAAUGAGGAUCCCUUUGUGCGUAAGUGCCCUAUAAGCUAUAAGGGUGAGCAAUAUGUAUAAAUAAAAGGAAGGAAGCAUCCAGCAGGAAUCGAACCUACUUGCCCAGGUUAGGCGCUUAAACCAUUCAGCCAUGGAUGCCGAGCCGAGUGAACUAGGUUUUUUUUGUAUUCCUUCUCGAGCUUCUAUUUCUUCCGUUAAGGGAGAUUCGGGAAAAGAUGGAAUAGGAAGACGUGUUUCCAGAACGAACAAGAUACGGGUGGAGAAGGGGAAGUUAGCAAAGUUAGACAAGAUUGGAAUGGGCAUAGGAACAUGUAUUGAUGUACCAGAUCGGCUAAUGCUCCUAGAUUGAUGCGAUGUAUUCCACCAGUUGACUGGAGACUUUAUUAUUGGUAUAUCGAUCGGUCCAGCACGGAUUGAAAUAGGAGCCGAUUCGACAGGAAGCUUUUGAAAACGCAGUGCACCCAGGUAAAUAAGGAACAAGAUGAAUACAGAAGUUAAACGAGCAUCCCACACCCGAAAGGUACCCCACAUAGGCCUUCCCCGAAACCCCCCAGUUACUAAGGUAAACAAAGUAGAAAAAGCACCAAUUUCUGUACCGGUUCCGGAAGAGCGAAGAAAAAGGGGAUGCUUUGUUAAUGGGAACAAGGAACUGUUAAUAGCCGUUGCGAUAUAAAUAACUAUACUCAUCCGAGCCGCAGGAACAUGUACAUACAGAAUACGAGAAUUUCCACCUUGUUGAAGAUCUGGUGGUGCUACCCGAAGACUUAAAUGAAUAGCCAUCGCUGUUAAGAACAACCGAGAUCCAAUGAGAAUUUGCGCGUAGCUUUUUGUCUUUGACAUAAAAAAAGAAGGUUGUAAUAACGAAACAGACAUUUGAUAAUUUUGUCCUUGCCUUGCCAGUGGAACAAGAAAGACUAUAUAGAUUUUGAUAUGAAAUACACAAUCAAAGGAUUUCGCAUUCCAUAGAAUGACAGAAUUUCCCUUGCUUAGUUUUCGCUCUCCCCCUACUAAAAUCCGGAGAAGAACUCCUUCACUAAGGAAUGGAAAUAGAAGGAUGAUUCCUCUGCUCCGCUUACAUCCUUGUAAAGCUUAAGCAAGUACUCUAUUUCGACUUGGUCCACUGUUUGAGAGUAAGCCUCCUCAAGCUCGAACUCGGCCUCAAACUCCUCUCUCCUUUUUUCCAAGAAAGAGAGGAUUGCUUCCUCUGGACUGCUUUCUACGCAGUUCUCCAGUAUAUGGGGAUGACGCUGUACUAAGUCUUUUAGGAUCUUAGUACAGCUUUCCCUCAGCUCCCUUUUCUGGAGAUCUAGGCUCUCGCAGUCCAGCAGAGCGUUAUAUUCACCCUGGGUGGAAGCAGAAUGAAGAGUAUCCUUGACCUCUUUCCAGUUGCCCUCUUCUUUAAGAAGAAGACUGGAUUGGCCAUCCUCCAUACGGAGGAUUCGGUUUAGCGAGUUUUCCAAACUUCGAUUCCUAGAUAAAUUAUUGGGUUCCCUAGGCGGCUCCGGAGCAGCCUGAGCUUCCCCCUCUUGGGGAUCAGGUACCUGCUCUAAAGCAGCCCCAAUAAAGGGGGCAACCAUGUCCCAUAAUUCGUUCAUGAUCACUCUUGAUAAAUUUGGAGAAUGAGCACUGUGAACUAUCCGCUCAAACAGGGAUAGUUGAUCGAACCGAAACCUACGUAAAUAAAGUAGGACUAAAGACGCAUAGGAGUAAAUGAGCUUCUCCUCUAUCGUAAUGCGGUAUUUCUAUUUUUCUUCUUUAUUGGUGUUUUGGCUCGCAAUAAGGCUAGGUCCUGAUCGAGCAAGACGGAGUCCUAUCUAUCUACCUCUCCAGACACAAUAUCUUGAGUACCUAUGAUGGUGACUACAUCUGCUGGCAUGUGAUGUUUGGACAUAGAAUCGAGUCCUUGUGAAUGGGCAAAGCCAGGUGCUCUUAUUUUACGACGGUAGAGACGAUUGCUUCCAUUACUGACAAGAAAGACACCAAAUUCUCCUUUAGGAGCUUCAACUGCGGUAUAGGUAGAAGGAGCUGGUACGGAAAAACCUUCUGUAUAAGGUUCGAAAUGGUGAAUUGAGGUAGAGUAGACCGAUGAUCCGGUAGUUAUUUGGCCGGCUAUGGAAAGAAAAAGCUAGCAUCUGCUCCCCCUAAACUAUAACCGGUCCCAUCUCUCUCCAAACCUAACGUGGUAGUUUCCCAUCAUAGGGCUUUCUAUCUAUAGAUUGAGCCAUUACCCACCAAGGAUCCCAUUCGUUCAGAACUCACUCAGUUGACUGCUUCUAUAGAUAAGGCGGAGCGUCCUUGGUUCAGCAUUAUAGCACAUAGGCUUCGGCGCUACUACAGCGCUUCACUAACUCGAAGCGCCUCGCUAUGAGAAUGAGGCUUCGCUAACGCUCGGCUAAGUCGUCGAACCCUCGCGCUGACUGUUCGCUUUUUCAGUAGUGAAAGCGCUUCUCUUUGCCCCAACACUAAAAAAAAAAAAGUAUUUGGAAAAGAAAGAGAAACUAGGUUUUCUUGCUCCCGCUUCCUCAUCUGCGCUCGUCAAGCCAACUUAGCUUUUUGGGAGGUGAAAGAGCGGUUGAAGCGGACAUUUCGAAAUGACAGCAUCGAAGAUAUCUAUAUACACGGUCACGGUUAUUCCGGACUGCGUUCCGGAGAAAGUAGCCUACUUGACAGACAGGGCGGGCACUCUCGGCUCAGAGGUAGGCACUCUCGUCUUUCAACCCCACCUUACUUUGCAUUUUUUUUUUUGCACUGUUUACUUACAGCCUCUACGAGUUGCAAGUGAAUGGGGCCGGUGCGUGGCGAACAGAAGUGUUCAUCAAGCCAUUUCUCGCCUCAACCCCUAAACACUUUAGGAAGAGGGCUACUUGCUAAUUUGGGGGCAACUGCAUCGCACCUGACUGUGAGGGACCUCUCGAUACCUUAUGUUCACUUUCUAACUAGUAGCCGCUUUCCCGUCGCGGAAGACUUUUCCCAGUGCGCGGAGCCCCAACGAGGAAGGUGUUAGUGCUUUCUCAUGGGGUCAAUAAUGCUAAUCCCUCUUUUUGUGCUACUCCUACGGGAAGAAGAUAAGAAAAGGCGAAGCCUUCUCUUGGUUUCCCAACCUGUUGCUGCUAAAGGCUGCCCUCUCUCGGCUGGAUUUUGGUCCAGCCUACUAUGAGGAUCCUGUAUCCCGUACAUCGUCUUUCUCCCUCCUGGGUUCCCGUGGUUCCUAUGCCGCCGCCUUUCCCGGUCCUUUUCUUUUAGUGCUUCGACCCGAAGCGAUAGCUUGACGCGUUUUCAGUGGAUAAGAUGGCUGCGCUCCAGCUCACUAAAGAAUGGGACGGCAGUGGUCCGCCGGCAAGCUCGUUCUGAUCUUGGACGCAGUACAUUGGAAUCCUGAAGCACCACCACGAACGCUACCGCGCAUGCGCCUGCGGUGUGGGGUAAGGCACCACCCUGUUGUGCCAGCAGCCAACUCCGGCGUGUCAGCUUAGUUAUCCUCAUCAAGCCACAACCUUGAUGUCUAGCUUCCCAACUGGUAGACGGUUCCCUUUCCCCCAAAUCAAUGAAGAAGGGAGAAGUCAGUUGAUUCUUCCGAAGAACCGGAAGCGAAGCGCUAUGCCGGGGCGAGGGGACGGGAAAAGAAACUGCUCCGAAGAAAGAUAUUGGGGUUCCCAAUGCUUCUCCACGCCCAACGAGAUGCACCAACCUCGGGAUGCUUUACUCCUAACCCCACGACGGUUCCGAGACGGAGCUUAACCUGAGUCUCGGUUAAGAACGGCGAUUGUUAAGGAUUUUGUAUUGGCAAGUUUCGUGAAGUGAGUCGGAGUCUUGAAGAAUCGAAGCGAAUUGACAAGAUUUUGGAAAAAAUCAGAAAAUACCUCACGACGUGAAUCACGAUGGUCAGGUAAAGUUUUAAUUCAUGUUAUGGUGAUUCAUACUUAGUUAUAGGCAUUAGAAUCAUUUAAUCAAAAGUUUAGUUGAUUAGAAAGUGCUUCGGAAGUGUACGGAACUCGAAACAAUGCAAAAUCCAAAAAAUUGCAUUGUGUACCGGUACAGCAAUCAAGCCCGUACCGGUACAGCCACUGACUUGGCUUCGUAUUUCUGUUCCGUCCUUGUGUAACCGGUGACAGCUUUUCGUGUACCGGUACACAGUGUAAAAUCGUGAAAUCGUUCUAAUCCGACUCCAAUUUAUUCUAAAGUCUAUAAAUAAGCUAUUGGGCUUCUCUAACAGAAGUAGUAUCACGAAAAUACAUAUUUGAGAAACCCUAGAGGCUCGGAUUUCAUCUAAAACCUAUUUUCUACAAAAAGCCUCUUUUAGAUCAAAUCGAGAUAUUGAAAUUUGAUAUUAAUAUGUCGAUUUGAUCUCCGCUUCGCUUGGAGUUUCUUUCCCUGGUUUUCUACGAUACUCCAAAGCGAAGGAUCACCAUAUUCAUGAUAUUCUUCAUGGUGGCGUCGUGGAUUCGGCGUGUUUGACGGCGGUUCGUGGAUUCGAGUGGCGUCGUGGAUUCGGCGUGAUUGAAGCUUCGUGGAUUCGAAGUGGAGGCGUUCGUGGAUUCGGACGUGAGGGCGUGGACAACCCAGAGGAUUGCGCGAGAUCCAUAGGAGGUCAAGAGAGGUUGAGUCCGUAGAGUCGGUAAAUCACCUUGUAAUCUUUUCUCUUAGUGGAUUAUUUUUUUUCGCGUGUUGAUCCCGUGGGUUUUUCUCCAAAUUGGAGUUUUCCCACGUAAAUCUCGGUGUGCUUUUUAUUUUUCGCAUUUAUUUUUAUUGCAUCGAGAUUUGUGGUUUUUGGCCAUUACACCUAUUCACCCCCCCUCUAGGUGAUAGAUACAAUCUAGAUAGAUCCUUGGGCUCCUCAAAACUUUCAGCGAUGAUCUACGUUUCACACGGUGCACGAUUCCAUGGAUAAUUUCAUUCGAGAUCGUGAUAGAGGACAUAGCUUACGAUCAUCGGCUUUGAUCAUGCCACUAGGCAUUUGAUUAGGACAUUGCACAAUGAUCCGAACACUUUGUCGCAUCUCUUCGAUACGGAUACAGUAACGAUCAUAGCGAUCUCCUCUGGUACCUACUGGUACGUCAGGAUCCGAUUGGUCAUGAACAUCGUAANUUUUUUUUUUUUAAGGAAAAACUCGAGGUCUGGCGCUUAUUACCAUAGUCGCAGCAUAGAAAAGUCAGGUGCCUGAUGAAAUAGUCUAUGAAAGGGGAUGUCACCUGAAAGAACUGAAGACUGCCUCCAUGCAGAGAAGAGAGAAGUCGGUUCUCCCCCCGCUUCGCUCUCCCCCUCGUGGGGAAUUGAGUAGUUUUUAGAGUAGAGUCGAGGAGAUGACGAAGAGCUGAAGAAGAGAAAGUUUACAUUGCGACGAAAGGAGGUCUCGCUUCGACGUUCUCGCGGGGGUUCUUUCUCUUUCUCUCCGCCUUCAAACGAUUGGUUUCGUUUAUUCUCUCCAACAACUCAUGGAGUAUGGAUCCCUCUCAUUGCUUCUAAUUCUCUCUCUUUUCCUACCUUCAGCAAACUGGGGUACAAGGGUUCUAUCAUUAGGUGUGGGCGCUGAUGAACCAUUUGAUGAGCUUAUGGUUUUGCCUUCCUGAAUACAGGAUAGCCCUCGAAUGGAAGAGAACUUUUAGAAGCGCUCUUGAGGUCUGAUGUGGACCCCCUCUUAAGUAAGCUGUUUCCGAAUCAACAAAAUCUCUAUGCUUAACAUAGACGAAUAAGGAUGGGUUCCGCUGGGCUAGAUCGUGAGCUAUAUGCUUAUAACAUCCGAUCGAGGACCAAUCACACAAAGAAAAAAAUGGGAUUACCUGUCUUUCCCCUCUCUUGUCAACUGCAUACUGCAUGGAGUCUUCCCCGGAAAAAAGGCGAGGCUGUCGAUAUGCUAUUCACAGCCUGAGAGUGAGCAGAGAAUAGUCUUUUUAUUUACUUUAUUUGACCUUUUUUACCUUCAUGUGGCAAACUGGGGAACUUAGGUUCUCAAACUUUACUUUAUUUUCUUGCGCGACGAGAUACUGAUAAAGUAUCAGUAGCCCGUUUUCGCUUAGGAAGACAAAGCAGUGUCAAGCCGAGGGACGAGGUCGCGAUGGAGAAGCUGCUCCCGUAAAGGCUCAAACUCUGGGCGCAGGCGCAUCAGGAGCAGAUAUAGGCGCUGGCGAUCACGGAACUGCUGAUAUGUCUUAGCAACUGAGGAGGGAAGCUGGAGGCGGAGGCGAAGAUGAGACUGCAAAAGGAAAGCAUUUCUCGCCAUGUGGUUUUUGACGAGAAAUGUAAAGGCGACCGGUUAGAGGAUCUGAAAGAGAGAGUGUAAGAAAAUUGAGCGAGGGAUCGAGUGGUGCGGGAACUCCGGAUACUGCUAAAUAGUGGUUUCAGUCUCCACAGAAAGGAAUCAAUUGUUAAGAAAGCAUCUCUGGGCCUGGGCUUGGAUCAAGCAAGCUCAUAAUUUUCUUAUAUGCAGGGAGAGAUUGAAAAACUGCAGACGGAGCAUUUGAACGGUGGUAACCAUAAGCAGUUUCCCUUCAACACAAAAGAGGAAAAGGCACGGCUCUUCCGCGCUGUAUGGGAUUUCAAAGGGGGAGGGGGUAGGUAAAUGAGAAAGGUAGAGUAAGAUAUUUUCAUUCUAACAGAAUGAGCGGAUCCAAUACACAUAUUGUCUUUGACANCAGCAGCCCUACUCUCUCUCUCUUUCUAUAUAUAUAUGUGUAUAAAUAUAUAUAAUUCAGCUAAUAUACUAUCUGUAGCAUGGAGGCCUCUUGUGCUACCAAGCUGUUUCGAUAAUGCAGCUUCUGAAUCGACGAUCGACUUUGUUAGCUUUGAUGUACACUAUCAGAAGUAUAUAGAAACCACAUUUUACGAUUUUUCGACAUCAUUUAUCUGUCUAGGGGUACUGAUUUUUCGACGUCAUUUAUCGAAAAAGUAGUCUAAAAAUUAAUGUAUAUAUAGUCUGGCUACUAUGCUAUUAAUAGCACGAAGCACUUGGUGCUACCAAGUUUUCCACCGUUAGAUCUACCAUUUUCAUCAUUUUCACCGUUAGAUCAUACUAUUCAACUAAUCACCCACUCAACCCUAAGGGGCCCACAUCAUCCUAACCACACAUCUCUUAAUCCAAUGGUCAAAAACUUGGUAGCACCAAUGACUUGGUGCUAUUAAUAGCAUAAUAGCCUAGUUCUAUAUAUAUAUAUAUAUAUAUAUAUAGUGGCUUCCUUUUUCUUUUUUUUUCGACGUCAUAUCUAUUCGUUGUAAUGAUUCAUCUUCUUUUUCCCCGCGUUCUCUGUUGAUUUUGUGUUUCAUUAUUGUUAAAUUGCGUACAAAUUUUCUAUAGUUUUCUGCAUUGCAAGUAUUCAAUACAUUUUUUUUAUUUAUUUUUAAUUUUUCAGUGUAGUAAUGGCAGCUCUAUUNAUUAAUUAUUAGUAAUUUAAUGUGUUGGUAUGUAAGUGUACUCGCAUUUUCUAUGUAUAUUUAGUAUUAAUUUGUUAUAAAAUAAUUUGUAUAGUUAUAUUUAUUGUGUUAUUUUUCUAAUACCUUAAUGGUCCUUUUUUCUGAGAAUUGAGCCAAAUUUGGCGGCUAUAUGCAUGAUGCCGUUUAUGCUGGGAGUGUGCUUCCUCUGCCCCUUAAUGGACUGCCUCUAGUACAAAUACCAUUACUGCCCUAAUUGCGGCGAAAAGGUAUUAUCUUUCCGUCCUACCUUCUUUUUCUAAGUAUACUCACUACGGAAAUAAAUAUUAUUCAAAAAUAUUAAUGAAUAAUAAAAAAAAUAAUAUUAAUAGUUUUAAUAAUUGACUAUUGUAUCAACUUUCCGCCGCAACGCGCGGGGUUCCUUAACUAGUAUUAAGUAUUAAUGCGAAUCCGGAGAAAGCUCCCUCCACGUUUUGGGGUUGUUGGGCCCGCUUGGUACGAAUUCUCUUUAAGCGCAUUAAUGAGGGUUUANAACAAAGUGGAAGCACGGAGGCCUCCGUGCUUACGAAAGCACCCCAGCCCACUCUAUAUAUAUAUAUAUAUAUAUAUAGAGAGAGAGAGAGAGAGAGAGAGAGAGAGAGUCCGGCUAUUAUGCUAUUAAUAGCAUGAAGCACUUGGUGCUACCAAGUUUUCCACCGUUAAAUCUACCAUUUUGAUCAUUUUCAUCCGUUAGAUCAUACUAUUCAACUAACCACCCACUCAAUUCUAAGGGGCCCACAUCAUCCUAACCACACAUCUCUUAAUCCAAUGGUCAAAAACUUGGUAGCACCAAUGACUUGGUGCUAUUAAUAGCAUAGUAGCCUAGUUCUAUAUAUAUAUAUAUAUAUAUAUNNNNNNNNNNNNNNNNNNNNNNNAUAUAUAGUGGCUUCCUUUUUCUUUUUUUUUCGACGUCAUAUCUAUUCGUUGUAAUGAUUCAUCUUCUUUUUCCCCGCGUUCUCUGUUGAUUUUGUGUUUCAUUAUUGUUAAAUUGCGUACAAAUUUUCUAUAGUUUUCUGCAUUGCAAGUAUUCAAUACAUUUUUUUUAUUUAUUUUUAAUUUUUCAGUGUAGUAAUGGCAGCUCUAUUUGGUUAAAUUUAUUUUUGACAAAUAUAGCGUGACAUCUACCAGCAUUUUUCUGUCUACACAGGCAUAUAGUAUUUCGAUUGAAAAUGAAGGGCUUGUUAGUAUUUACAUUAAUGUUAAAGUCUUCAUAGGAGAUUCUGAUACAAAGGUAAUUAGGUGUUGGCGUGCACCCUCCAAUGUUGAUGAGACAGAAGAGGACGUUGCACACCACGCUUUUGCCAAGUCACGUGAUGAGUUCACCUUUGAGCUGAAGGAUGUUAAUCUAGAAGAUAAAAGCUUUAUGAGAAUCUAUAUGAGCGAGUUUUUGUGCACUACAGUGAUCUCGGCAAUAAAUAUAAGUUCUUUGGAGGUGACUUAUGCAUUUUAAAGGUUGCUACAAUAAUCUAUUUACCGAGAAAGACUAGUAUGCUUCUGAACGAAGAAAAAUAAAAGAAAAUUUGAAAAAGUAUUUCUAUCUAAUCAAAGGGCCCUAGGCUGUUGCACUUGGACCAAGUAGUAGCGAGGGAAUUUCUGAGGAAGACCCUACAGUGCCGUUGGGGUAAUAUGAGGAUUGACGGAUUGUCGAAGCUGGCUUCCUUUUGUCGUACUUUUUAAUUUAAUUUUUUCUAUUUUUUAUAUUGUUAUUAUGUUUAGGUCUCUUGAUAUUUCUCUUUCUCUCUCUCUCUCUCUCUCUCUCUCUCUCUCUCUCUCUCUCUCUUCUUUUUUUUUAUUUUUUAUUUUUUUUUUUUUGAGAUCCUGCUUGUAUGGCUUAUGGCCUGACUAUAGUAUUUUUUUGGGAUAAUUUCAUAGAUGCCCCUCUAGAAACUAUUAAUUUCAUCAAUACCCUUCCAAAAUUAGUAAUAUCACAAAUGCCCUUCAAAAUGUGAAAAAUUAUCAUAAAUACCCUCCUCUAGUUAAGACCCGUUAAAGCCCAUUUGAAUCGGAGUUAAAAUUUUAAAAUACCAUUUUUACCCUUUAUCUCUUUUUAAUAGUAGAAAUACUAAUAGGUAUUUCAAAAUAAUUUUUGUAAAUCUAAAUUUGAGUAUUUAAUAUAUAAAUAGUUAAUUAAAUUAUUAAUAUAUAUUAAUUAAUAAAAAAUAUAUAAAAAUUGUAUUUUAAAUAUAGUAUGUUUUUAUCUGAUUUUGGUUUUGUUUUUGGUUUUGGGUUUCGGUUCAGAUUCGGUUUAAAUAUAGACCAAAACUAUAUAACUGAAUUUACAUACGACGGGAUUUUAUUUUUUGGUAUCUAUAACUAAAACUAUCCCCUAUUCAGCAUUGAUUAAACUUAUCCCAUUUUAAAUCGAGUUUAGAUAAAAUUCCGUAUCUAUAUCAAUUCACAUUCCUAAUUAGUAAUAGUAAUUUUGAAAUAAAUUAUAGAUUUUAUUUUUUUCCUAUUUAAAAAUAAAUCACAUAAUUGUUUUGUCGAUUGAAAUAAAAAGAGAGUUUUGUUCAAAAGCUAAAAUAUAUUAUAUUUCAGUUUUUUAAUACACUUAAUGCAGAUAAAAUUAUCGAGAAUAAUUUUGAUUAAAAAAAUUUUUAAGUUUUCAAGAUUAAAGAAAGAUCGGAUAAUUCCUUAACAUUAUUUUCAUUUAAAUUUUUAUAUAUAGUUAUUUAUUUGAUAAAAAAUAAAUAGAAUCAUUAGAUUUGGUAAAAUCAUAAAAAAAAACUAAAAUUUUUUUUUUUUUUUAUACACUGAAAUUAGGUUUUUUUUAAAAUAAAAAGUUAAUGGGAUAUCAACUAAAAAAUGAAAGUUGAGGGAGCUGUUUCAAAAUUGCAUAUAGUUGAGGGGGUUUCCAUAUAUUUUUAGUUAAAAGAUAUUUGAGGGUAAAUAAGUCAUUUUAUAAAUUAACCUAUCUUUAACCAUGUAAUAACUAUAGUAAAACUAACAUAACUAACAGUAGGGGUAUUAAUGCUAAUUUUUUGUGUUUACAGGGGUAUUGAUGAUAUUUUAAACUUUAUAGGGGCAUCUAUGAUAUUUUAAACUUUGGGAGGGGUAUCCAUGAAAUUGCCCCUAUUUUUUUCUACUCCUUUUCCUAUUUUCCUCUUUAGUCUCUUGCUCAUGUUCGAUGUAAGCAUCAUCUUUUCCCGUGGAAGCGCUUGCUAAUUUUUGGUUAUGAUUGUUAUAUUAGAGCUAGGCUGGUAUAUUAUUGGUAGUACGGAGGCCUUCAUGCUACCAAGUUAUUUUCAAUGAUGCGACUUUCAAAUCGAUGAUCGGCUCCGUUAGACUUGAUCUACACUAUUAAAAGUAUUUGGAAAUUAAAUUUCAUAAUUUUUCGACAUUAUUUGGCUAGUGAUCAAAAGGUCUCAAAAUUGACAAUUUUAAUGGUAGAUGUGAUGCGUUUGUAAAUUUAAUGGUGUAAAAUAAUCAAAAUCUAAUGAAAUUUUUAUGGAAAUUUCUUUUCACUAUUUAGAGUAAGAUCAGUAUCUCUUAUCUUAAAUUUAAAUAUUUUAUCAUCAUUUUUAUGAGAUUUUUAUUUUCAGCCAUUCAUUUUUCGACUACUCGUUUGAUAGGUAAAUGAUGUCGAAAAAUUAAGAAAUUUAGUUUCCAAAUACUUUCAAUAGUGUAGAUCAAGUUUAAUAGAGCCGACCGUCGAUUUGGAAACUAUAUCAUUGAAAACAACUUGUUAGCACGAAGGCAUCCGUGCUAUCGAUAGUAUACCAGGCUAGCUUGUUAUAUUAUGUGUUUAUAUAUCCACAGGUUUUUUUUUUUUUUUUUUCCUGUGCCUCCCUUUCGUAUUUAGGGUUUGCGUAUAUACUUUUGCGUUUUGCUCUAUAUGCUGUUUUCAGUUCAAAUAUUGUUGCUUAUCUUUAUGUUUAUAGUGCUCUGUUAUAGAUAUUUAUAUUCUGUAUUCUGAACAUUCAAACAACAAGAGAUCAGAAAAUUAUCCUUGUUGUUUUUAAGCACGUGCACUUUCAGAAGAUUAAGAAGUUAAAGACAUAAUUAUAUGGAAAUAACAAGAAUUGCUAGUGAUUUAGUAAAUAUUAAUAUAAUUUAAGAAUUUGAAUGCCCAUCAUGUUAUGAUGCUUAUACCAAUCAUAAACUUAAUAUAUGAUCUGAUCAUUUAAUAUAUUAUCUUAUCAUCAUACCAAAUAUUUUUAUUAACUGUCCAAAAUUAGAAAGCUAGUAAAACUCAGGCACAAGCAUUUAUAUUUAAGAGGAAACUUCAGAUAUCUGCUAUGGUUUAUUCUUGUAGUUUUUAUUUUCACUUUUCAUUAGCAUUACCAUUAUCUCAUCUAUUAAAACUAUCACAUGCUGCACACGUGUAUUGGAGGUGUUCCGAAAAGGUUGAUACGAAAGUUCCGAAAAAUCAAUAAGAAAGUCAUAAGUCAUCAUAGGACUUAACCGGAAUGUUUUUGGAGUCCCCAAUAGCAAAAAAAAUAACGAUCUACCAUGCAUGUGCACGACACGUGACAAUUAUAACGAAAAAAUGGUGAUAGUGCUAAUAACAAGCAUAACCAGAAACUGUAAAAAUACUUAAGUGAACCUCCGGACACAAAUGAAAAACAGUAAACUACAUACAUGGUAUCUAAGAUUUUUCUUAAAUUUAAUAACACUGUAAGUAAUCCACUUUUGACAGUAAAAUAAUUAUUGGUUACUAGUAAUCCGUGUCGCUCUCACUAUAGUCCAUAUUAUAUAUGGAUAUGAUAUCAGUACAUCAUUUGUCUUUCUUACAAUACGACGACUAGGACUAGAAUGUUCUUAUGAUUACAUAAGAAUAUGUAACAUUAAGAAUAUGUAUGCCAUACACCUCGCUGGGAUUGUAGUUCAAUUGGUCAGAGCACCGCCCUGUCAAGGCGGAAGUUGCGGGUUCGAGCCCCGUCAGUCCCGAACUAGGAUCCGGUGAAUUUAUCAAUUCAUCUCUCUCUUUUCACGGAAAAGGGGGACAGGAAGCAAGAUCUAAUCCCCAGUGGGGAGGGAUCCUUAUUUCUUUUGUUUUUUAUUUCGCAUUUAUCAUCACACAAAUACGGAUACGGGAAUUUCAAAUCUUUCCACUACUCCCGAUUGAUAAAGGAGAGACAUAUCAUAUGUACAUUAGUACAAUCGGUGGUAUUACUAUAUUCAGUAUUUUAAGAGAUACCAUCCUCGUCUUACUUUCUUUUUCGAUUGUUCUUGAUCCAUGAAAUAGAGUAGAGUUAUUUUAUCGGGAGUACAUACACAAAUUCUAUUCGUUUAUUGUAUGAUGGACAAUGAACUUAACAUAAUUAUCUCGACAAAGUACUUUUCAGAUUAAACCAUACUUUUCUAAUUAUGACUUUGUUUGUGUAUCCUCAAUGACUAAUUGUAAACAAUCUAUCUCAUUCUCAUUCAAAUUGCAGACAUCAUUUUUGAUGUACGCGUUUCAGUGCAAAAGAAAAGAAAAAAGCAAGCGAGGACUCUUUUUAGAAAGAGUCAACUCUUUCUUAUAUUUCUAAGGAUCUAGUUCAUGAUACUUUACUUAAUUAAGUAAAGUAUCAUGAAAAGCAAACAAAAAAGUUUAGCUCUUUUUUCUCAUUGAAAGAUUGGUUAUCCACUUUUGACCGUAAAAAAAUUAUUGGUUACUAGUAAUCCGUGUUGCUCUAAAUAUCGAUGUUUUUUCGAAAUGUAAUGAAUAGAAGAGCAACCGAUAAUCCACAUAAAAGAACUGCACAGCUCAAUAACAUCAUACUUACGUGCAUCAUUAACCACUGAGAUUGUAGAGCAGGUACUAAUAUUGCAGAUUGAUGCAUUUCAGUUGAAAGACCCGACAUGGCAAAGCCUUGAGUAAAAAUGGUACUUGGUGCAAUUAUUGUGUCUAAAUCAUUUUGAAGGUUACGUAUCUUAGGAAUCAUAUGAAUAAUGAAGAAACUAUAUGAAAGAAAGAUUGAUGACUCCCAUAAAUUACUUAAUGAAAAAUACCCUGAAGAAAUCCAACGAUGAACUAAUAAUCCUGUUAUAGAGAAAAAAGUAGCUAUCAUCCCUUUUUCUGACCAACCACAUAAUCCUACAAUUUUGUGGACUAAUAAGGUCAUCACAUAAAUCAUAAUCACAAUUGAAAUGAUCGACAAAGAGAUAAAGAGAUACUGAGUUACUAUAUACUAGAUGGACAUGAGAACACCAAAUUGCCGGCAAAACAAGAAACCACACUAGGACUCGGCACAAGUUGCCAAAAAGCACUUUUUUUUUUUUUUUCAUUAUGAUUAAAAUAAUAUGCCUAUAUACAAAGGAAUUGCUCAAAACUCGAAAGGGAAUGAGCGUCUCACUUACAUCGUGAACCAAAACUGUUUUUGUAAUUUAUAUAGGACAUUAGCAUGCUACAGUAUAUAAAGACCGAGUAGUAUUGAGUAUCGAGUCAACCAGCUGCCGUUCAAUUAGAGUACAACUUCCAAACUUUCAGCUCACCGGCUCCAUCUCCUGUAAAAAAGAGACCACCAGGGCCGAUCUCUAAAGUCCUCACUUCCUCCUUGGAAAAAAUCCUCCCUCUUUCAUUGAAUCUGGGAAAUAUAAAGUGCACACGGUAAAACAGGGAAACAACAUUUCAUAGGAUAAUACAAAGCAAGAGUAAGUUACUUUAGUUAUAUGACACACUUACGAUGGUAGGUCGUAGACACGCACAACAUUGUCGUUGCAUGAGCACAUGAGCACCGGACUGGCUUUAGCAUCAUUCACUCCGUGCAGCACAAGCACUCCCUGCAGCAAUUAACAAUAGAUGACAUUAAUGAAAGUAGGGUUAGGUAGAGCUCAAGGACGUAGCUUGCAUAAGCGCGCGUCAUACAAUACAUCAGUUCAACACUACGUAAUUAUAUGGUUCUAUUGAGUAAAAUAAGCAAAAAUAAUCACUUGACUCGUUGAAUAAAUGGAAAUCUCCACCAGUAUUACACCAUGAAAUUGUUCUAAGCACACUAUCUACAUGACAGAAGACACAUUAUUGAAGAAAAGAUCCAAAGUAGAAGAGCAGUUUGCUAGAUGAAUAAGGCCCACUAGUACAGCAGUGCCAAAAUGAUUGAUGUAAAAAUAGGAAAGUUUGAUAUCAAAUCAGAUGCACAAAAUGAAAUGCUUCAGUAUACACUAUGUACAAUGAGAUUAAGUUCCAACUCUAGUAGCAUCAUGCAAAGUUGCCAUCAAAGAGCACAAGACAAUCACAAAAAUAAAGAAAUACAAAUUUAGCGUUUGAGGUCUCGUAAUUGAUUAGGCCAAGAAAGAUGAAGAAGAUUCCGAAUUUUUUAUGACACCACAUGCAAAAGGUAAUCAUUAGAAUUAUAAGCAGCCUACUGAAAAGCAAGACUACUAAAACUUAUAGGUAGGCUAAGUUCUUACAUGCUCUUCCUUGUGGGUAUACUCUACUUCUAUCCCAUUGUUUUCUGCAGCAGCCCAGACCUGCAAAAGACAAAGCAGUAAGAACACACAAUAAAAACGGCAAUUCAAAUGAGAUGUGUUCAAAGUACAAAAAAUUCGGACCUUCACCGUUCCAUCCAAGGAGCAAGAGAACAAAAACUGGUCCCAGCAUAACAGUGACAUAACAACUGAUUCAUGGCCUGUAAGGGUGUGCGUGCACUGGAGAGUUGCAAAGUCCCAAACCUGAAAGAAAAUCCUAAAAGUUAGAUCAUCUCAAUUCCUUUGAUAUUAGUAAAACAAAGAACUCAAAAUAUAGACUGAAAUCCCACAUUCUAUGUAAAUUCUACAAUUUACAAGAGAUACAGAAUCAAAGGCCCAGGUGAAAUAAACUAGUAGGAAUUUUCACACAUCUUUGCAGUCAAGAAUUAUCAAAAAAAAACUCAAUAUUUAUAAUGUUAGUCCUGUCUCACACUUGUAUAGAGCUUCAAUUGAUUAUAUAAUAAUGUGAAAUUCAACUCUAGUGAAGCCUUGGAUGCUAGCUAUGUAGAUGAAAAAGUUUUAACAGGACAAUCUACAUAAAAAACUUCCCUCUUGUGCCAAGCAAUCUAAGGCACAUUCUACGUAAAUGCUACAAUUUACAAAAGAUCCAGAAUCUAAGGCUGUAAGGCGCAUAUAAAAUAAACUAGUGAGAAUUUUCGGAGAUCUUUCCAGUCAAGUAACUUUCUAAAACUUUAAUAUUUAUAAUGUUAGUCCUAUCUACACUUGUAGAGAGCUUCAAUUGAUUAUAGGCUGGAAAAUUCAAAUCUGGUGAAGCCUUGGAUGUUAGCGUUGUUGCUAAAAGAGUUUAACCGAACAAUAUACAAAAAAAACUUUCCUCGUGCCAAGCAAUCCAAUCUUAAAACAGCUGAUAUUAUAGGAGCUUACAAAGUUGUGAAAUUUAAUACUGGAUCUGGAUGUGAUGAGUCGAAUCAGCAGAAACCAUUUCCCAAACAUCAAUUGGUCAUACUAUACAUAGACAAGUCUUGACGACCAAGAUAAAUAUCAACCAAGACCUAGUAUUUAAAAGGUAAGAAAAGGCUGAUGACUGAAUUAUUUGAAGAUCUGAAACAUUUCACUCUAGAUGUGUUAUUCACCUACAUAUGAAAUCGACAACAUAUAAGCUAAAUGAGAUAAAUGUAUUGAAAGUUGAAACGAAUUCGCACACAUGAUUCAUAGGGCCAUUAAGGAAUAUCAGAAGAUAAAUACUGCUUCAGCAUAAAAGGAUAUAAUUAUUCAUGAUCAAUUCUAUUCAGCAUAACUUCCUAGGAUUUUUUAAGCACAUGCACAAGCAAGCAUCUUUUCGUUUGGAGGAUUGAUGGGAUUAUUCUGACUUACCCUAAUUGUACAGUCCCCUGAACCAGAGUAGAGCCGGUGUGCUCCUACAAUGAAUGACACUACAGCUUUUUUAUGCCCACGAAGUGUGGCAGCUGGCUCAAAGCAGCACUUAUCUGGAUUAGGCUUCCAAGCCCAAAUACUUCCAUCCUGCAGCAGCACAAUACAAUACACAGAAAUUUUGAAUUAGAUUUAUACUCCAUCACAUAGAAACAUCAUUGUGCCAAUCACAUAGAAACAUCAUUGUCCAAAAAAAAAAAAAGAAAAAAGAAAAGGCCAAACAAAGAGACAGCUUUGUAGCAUAACCAAUUAUAAGAUUGUAAAGAAAAUUACCUGUGUCCCAGCAAAGAGUGUGUUGUUGCCUACUAUCAAGGCAUAGACCUGACCUUUGGGUCCUUCAAGGGUUACAUCAAUUGAAUCUUGUAAGUUCCAAGCCUGUGAAUUUGCAAAAGAUGGAUAUAACUAUAGUAAAUCAUAAUGAAAAAAGUUUCUUGCUCAUGUGCAUUCAAACAGAUCAAUAAAUCUUAAAAAAAGGUCUACAACUCGUAACCUUGACAGCAUUAGGAAGCCCAACAAAAACCCAUUGCCCCUCACUAAUGAUGCAACCGACUUCGCCUUCCAUGGUAACAACUUGGACACACUGCAGAAAACAGAUUAUCAAUUCAUCAAAGAGAACCACAAAAUCUCAGUUGGUCAGAGAUAAGAUUGUCAAAAACCAAAAGCUAACCUGUCCUGUCCAACAGUCCCAGAUUUUGACAGUCUUGUCAUUGCUCCCAGAGAACAGCUUACCAAACCCAGAAACCAUAGUAAUGCCUGUAACAGCCUGCCAAGAACCAACUUAUCAGAUACAACAAAAACAACAAAAACAACAAUAACAACAACAACAAAGAAAGCAGCAGAACCGAAGAAUUUCUAAGAUUGAAGCCAUUGAAUGUUACCUUGCUGUGUCCCCCAAGACGAGCCAACAAGGAGAAGCUAUCACUAAUACACCAAGAAUGUCUGUCCCGGCAACUCUCACCAUAGCUACAAUUCCCAGAGAUGAAGUGUUUACAGAUCACUUCUCGAGUGUUGCCACAUAGACGAGCUUCUCCCUUAUUCAUUUCCUCAGAAUCCUUAUUGGUGGCCACAGCGGGGGCCUUUCCAUUGCUCCCAAGGUUGCUAUCACAGACAUCCUCCACAGAACAAGCAUAGUGAUUCACGGGCAUUGCUGGGGGCUUCGCAUUGCCCUGUUGAUUAAUCUUGCAGAUUCCUUUUGAAGAAGGGACAUUGGGUUUACUGUUGGUAUUAGGUUUUAUUUCCCCAGAACCACCCUUUCUGGUGGCCACAGUGCAGGUCUUCCCAUUUAUUUCUACAUUCCUAUCACAGACUACGUUCGGAGUAGUACUAGAACCAUCCACGGCCACAGCGGGGCACUUCAUCAUGCAGACUCUUUUCGGGGAGGGGGCAGAGGGUUUAGGGCCUGCACUAGGGUUUCUCCAUACACGGCCCGUACCCUGGUGGCUCUUCUUGACAGGAGGCACCAAAUGAUCGGGCCCAACAGCACGCUUCCGCAUAGACCCGACAUUUGGAUGCUGGGGCUCUCCGUGGAGGAAAGGGCAUGGGUGGCGGGUGCAGCGCCCGGCCUUCCAGUAGAAGCAGACCUUGAUGGUGCUGGUACCAUUAGUCAACGGCGCUGUCCCUCGGGCGUUCUUCUGGAAUCCGUAGCGCUUAGGUUCUAUAGAUGCAUCCGAAUAAUAAAAGUAGAAGACCAUCAGAAUCAGACGAAACAUAUAAUCCAAAACUCUCAUCUUGAGCCAUCUUCCAGGUAGUAGAAAGGGCGUACACGAAGAAGAUCAUCAAAAUCAGACGAAAUAAAAAAUCCAAGCCCUAAUCUGCCAACAUCUUGUAGGUACCGUAGAUCCAUCCGAAUAAUAAAAGCAGAAGACCAUGAGAAUCAGACCCAACAUAUAUAAUCCAAAACCCUCAUGUUGAACCUUCUUCCAGGUAGUAGAAAGGGCGUACCCGAAGAAGAUCGUCAAAAUCAGACGAAAUAAAAAAUCAAAACCCUAAUGUUCCUACAUCUUCUAGGUAAAGACGAAACAUAAUUCCCAAACCCUUAGCUUCAACCUUCUUCUGGGUCGUAGAGAAGUCGAAUAAGAAGAAGAUCACCAAAAUCAGACGAAAUAUACAUCCAAAACCCUAACCUUGCAACUUCCUCUAGGUAGAAACGAAACAUAAAUCCAAAAAAACUGAAUCUUGAACCUUCUUCUGGGAAACGUAUAGGGCGAAGACGAAGAAGACGAUCAAAAUGAGAUAACACAGAUAUCCAAAAUCAUAAUCUAGCAACAUCUUCUUGGAUAGGAGACAAUGUAGCCCCAAUCUCCAAAUCCGCAGAAGUUAAAGAGCAAGAAUCGAUUCCAAAUAUCUAAUUCUGAACCUUCGAGGCAUUCGAAUCUGAAACCCUACAUUCCGCGACUUGCGCGGAGAAGAAGAAAGGCGAAGAAGAAGAAGAACGAGAGAUCGCCGCGGACAUCGGAGAUAUGGAAUCAAACCUGAGCGCUCCGAGGAAAUCACCAUCGCCAUGGUCGGUGAGGUCGUGAGAAGCUCUCAAGCGCUUUCUCUCUCUAUCGAUUAUCAAUCUCUCUCUCUCCCUCUCUGUAGCGAGGUAUCUCCCUUAACCCGAUGAUGACGAACAAUUGCACCGUUGCUCCCCUCACAUUUGUAUUUCUAUUUAUUUACACCCCGACUUGUCUUUUUUUUUUUUUUUUUUUUUUUUAAGGCUGUUAGGUCUUUAUUUUUUUGCUUUAUUUUAGUUAGAGUUUGGUUCGAAUUCGAAAUCAGUAUCAAAAUCAAAAUAAAAAUAAAUUAAAUAUUAAAUAUUAAAAGUUUUCGUCAAAAUUUUAAAAUGACAUUAUACUUUUAAAUAUAUUUUUAAUAAAUUAAAAUUUAAAAUUCAACGGAUAAUUCAAAAUAUAAAACUAAUUUUGAUUUAUUCAAAUUCAAACUUAAAUUAUAAUUUAAAUUUUAAUUUGAAUGCAUAAAUUUAAUUUAAAUUUUAAAUAAAAUUUGAAUAAAAUUUUAUAUUUUUAAAUUAAAUUUAAAUUCAAAUUUAUAAAUUAGAUACGAUAUGCUUGAUUGAAUUUUUAAUUUUAAAUUUAAAGUUCAAAUUAAAAUUUACAUUUAUAAAUAUAAUUUUUAAACUUAACUUAUGUUUAAUUAAAAAAAAGUUUAAAAAAGUUAAAUUUAAAUCGAACAAUUUCAUUCCAACCGGAUUCAAUUUUCAAUCCGGUCUCUAGGCGAUUGAAAAAAUGGAUAAUUAGAGAAUUCCGUUCACCUGAAAAUCGGAAUCGAAAUAAAAAUCCGCAAUACCAAAAAAGACAAAUGGAUUCGUCCAUGGCCGAUUCAAUUCUAGAGUGAAAAUGAGGUAAAUCAAACACGCCCUUAGGCUGCGUUGGUUAAGGGAUAUCCCAGAACAAGGCGGGAUAUCCCUCCAAACAUAAUGCAUUUUUGGAACAACCGGGUUGUUCCCAACAACCCGUUAAGCCGGGAACAACCGGUAAACUUGUUCUCCCUAAAGGAGAACAAGCCGAACAAAAGUUUGGACUUUUUUUUUUCUUUUUUUUUUUUUUUUUGCCUUUUAAAUUUUAUACUUUAUUUAAUUAAUUUCAAAUAAAUUAAAUGAAUGCACAAAUUUAAUAAAUAAAUAUUUAAUAUAAUAUUAUUUUAUGAUAAUAUAAUUUAUACUUAAAUUUAUUAUAUAAUAUAAUUAAUUAAAUUUGAUAUAUAUUUUAUUUAUUAAGUUUUAUCAUUUAUAUAUUAAUAUUUAAUUAUUUUAUUUAUAUUACUUAUUAUAUACAUAAAAUUAUUUUUUCAUAUAUUAUAUAUAUUUUAACUUGUAUUGAAAUUUAUACUUAAAUUUUUAGAUAAUAUAUUUAUACUUAAAUUUUAUAUAUAUAUAAAUAAAUUAAAUUUCAAUAUGUAUUUAUUUUAUUAAUUUUAUCAUUUAUAUAUUAAUAUUUAAUUAUUUUAUUUAUAUUAAUAUUAUAUACAUAAAACAUUUUAUCAUAAUCUAUAUAUAUAUAUAUAUAAUAUAUAUUAUAUAUAUUAAUUGUAUUGAAAUUUAUCUUAAAUUUUAUAUAAUAUAUUAUACUUAAAUUUUAUUAAUAAUAUAAAUUAAUAAAUUUGAUAUAUUUUUUAUUUUAUUAACUCUAUCAUUUAUAUUAAUAUUUAAUUAUAUUUUUUUUAUAUUUGUAUUAAAAUUAUACUAAUAUUAAUUAAUAAAUAUAGGAUAAUUUAAGUAUUUACUUUAUUCAUUAAUAUAUUAUGAAUAAAUUAUAGAAAAUAAAUUAUACAUAAAAUAAAUUAUUAUAUAUAAUAAAAUAAUAUAUUAUUUUAAAUUAUAUCUUACAUAAAAUAUUAUUAUAAAUUACUAUACGAAAUAAUUUUUAAAAUAUUUAUAUAAAAUAUACUAAUAUAAAUUAUUAUUUUUAUUUUAAAAAUAUAUUUAACGUUGUUCUAGACUUUUUAUCCAAACGCUAUUAAGGAUAUCCUCUAGAAUAUCCUCGAAUGCAUCCAAACACAAAUUUACAAUUGUCUACUUUGUACCGGAAUACCCUGUUCUCGGAACAACAAAAGUUGUUCUCCAAAAUUUAGUUUCUCCAACCAAACCAACGCCUAGAGCCCAAUCAUUUAAAAAUUUUUAUUAAUUAUGAAAGCAUAGUACUGGAACUCUAAUUUACUAAUAUAGUCGUGAUUAAAUGUGACCUCAUUGAUGUCAAAUAUAUUUGAUGUUCCAAAAAAAAAAAAGACAGUGGGCGUCAUAUGUAAUAUUGAGUAGUUGAAGGCACAAAAAAUAAUUUUAAUAAUAGAACCGGACUUGACAUAUGGACGGCAAAAGAGGUCAGGGAUAGAAGUGAAUAAUAAAUAAAGGUUAGAGAUUUGGGUCAAUUAAUUCUAAAGUUAGAUUUUUUAAACUACAAAAAAAAAAAAAAAAAAAAAACUAUCAAAAUAAAAUCUACGGUAGAGGUCGAGAUAGAUAGUGCAAUUAAACAAAAAUUUUAAAAAAGCAAUGAUAGUCCUCCCGCCCUAAUGGUCAGCUAAUUUUUUAUUUAAUUUUAUAAAGAAAAAUAAUAAUGGAAGACACCUAAACUAUAUUAUUUUGAAAAUGGAGCUAUGAAAAGCUUUGCAACUAAACCUCUUAAACUAUAUAAAAGAGUUCAAUAGACUCCUACACUAAAUCAAAGUUAUUAGGUAUAUAGUUAUUUUGAUCGCAUGUCUUAUGCAUAAUCUUGACGAUUUUGAAACAUAAAAAAACUAUUGGAAAUAAUAAUCAAAACUUAAUUAAAAUAUAGCUUGAGAUACGUUUAAAUCUUUUAUUUGAUUAUGAUUAUGAUUUUGAUUUGUACUAUUUUCUCUUGUACCAAUUGUUGGACCGAUACUUAUGCCAAUACUGAUUAUGUAACCUAAAAUCUAAAAUAGAACAAAAUAUAAUAUGAAAAAAAAUAUUGAAGAAUGAAGAAGAAAAUAAACUAAUACUUUAUUAAUAAAAAUAUUUAAUUAUAUUCCGGGCAAUACCCAUGCAACCAUGUUUACUUGUGGCUUAGCCAUCUAAUUAAUCAAUGACUAACUAUAUAUAGCCAUCAAGUCAAAAUAAAUGAUAAAUCUAACUUUUACUUUGGAUAAGUACAAAUCCUAAUAUAAUCAAAUAAAAGAUUUAAACUUAUCUCUAACUAUAUUUUAAUUAAGUUUGGAUUAUUAUUUCCAAUAUCCUUCCUUAAUCCAAACUUCAUCUUCAAGUCGCAAAUUUCGUAAAAUACACACUUUGAUUUUACAAUCUCUGUUGCUGUAGUUGUUAUCUUAAUUCGAGUUAUGCAGCAUGACGCUAGUCAAUGAUGUUGCCAUACAUGAAAUCUUUGCCACCUGUAAUACUGAUUAUUCACAUCAUCCUUAAAGACUUACGGGUUCCUGCAAAUAUCUGGAUUGUUCGUUGGUUUCAAAGUACGCCUCGCACUAUGCUAAAACUUUGUAGUUUAAAUUCUAUAUUUUCGUGCUCUUUUUUUUUUCAUCCAUAUUUUGAUAUAUGAAAAUUUUUUCAUAACACUGGAAAAAGAUUCAACUUUUCUUUGACUUGAUGUAUAAUUACUUCAUCGACAGAAAAUUCUUUAACUACAUCAUUAUAUAUGAACUUUCUCGUCGAUUUGAGUUGUACCGUUUUGCUUAUCAACAUAUCCUUCACAAAUCCGACCUUCUUCAUGUUAGAUGUAUGCCUUAAAAGCCAACCAGGCCGACACAUGUAUUCUUUCUAGAACAUAAAUUUAUAUUUGACUUUAAAAUAUUAUGAAUAAUUUUGGGUUCUUAUUUUUAUUCAUGUUGUGUAUGUGUUCAUAAAUCGUCCAAGGAAUUAAUAAGAUGAUGAUAUAUAUUCUCAAGAGUUGAGAAUUUGAGAUAUGUGUCAUUGGUGUUUAAUUCCUAAAUGCUCCCGAUCAAUAGAUCAUCACGGGGACGGUGAUUGAUCCGGUGAGAAUGGUGCAUAGGUCGCUUCCUUUUUUGGGUAGACGAGUCUCGAGUCGACAGUGUGGGGACACUGAAGCGAAUAUACAGGUGGUUGUUAGAGAACAAGGGUACCGAGCGUGACCAACGCGAGAAGUCACUUGGAUGUCUAUUCAUUCGUCAGUGACUUACUCAAUGUUGCAGCAGUGUGACUGGUUCUUUGACCUGCAGUGCCUCAGCUAUUCACAAUGAGGUUACUGUAGUUUGACUGUACAUACACUUGGUCCCUAGCCAUUCGGGUCCUUGCGGUGUAUGUUGGCUGCAGUAGGUUCAUUGUAGGAAUAGGGUGUGCACUUUGUCACGCCUCGAGACCGGUCCUAUUUGGUCGGUUCCGGCACGUCGAACAGACGCCAAACGGACAGCAUCUCCCCUGUCCGCCCAAGGCUUAACAUCAAGUACAAAUCAAGUAGAAAAAUUUGCACAUGCGGAAACAUACAUAAUUGGCUUGCACGAAGGCAAGGAAUAGCCAAAAUAAAAGUACUAAACUAAACAUGCAUACAAGUAAUAUGAUUAACUUUUAACCACAUACAUGCAUUCAACUUGAAGAUUCUUUUACAUUAUUCUUUGCAUCAUUUCUUUUAUACAUCUCAUAAUCACCAAAAUAAACCUUUACGUUUAACAUCAUUUAAAAUAUCUUUAAUACAACUACAAUCAUCAAGUACAAAAUAUGAUACAUAAGUGUAUACAACUAAACCAAAAUAUAACCAUCGAGGGUGGUCACUGUCUAUGGCUUGAUACCUUUACCGCGAUCGUCGGCUGGCUCAUUCGGUCCCGGCUCUGUGGAAAAAAGGGGGUGAGAACUACAACAAAGUUCCCAGUGGGUUUGGCCGCUGACCUCGUCGACUUUUCCACUAGGUCUAAAUCAGGCAUAAUAGAAGAAUAGAUAGAUAGUAACCAACUAAACAAAUGCAGCUAAUAUGCCUGAACAAGAUAUAAUCAAUCAUAUGCUCAAAUAACAUGCUCAUGAUGAAUGCAAGUUCACUUUUCCUUUACUCAAUCUCGUGGCUAACCCGUCUGGCCCUCAGCUUCCUCCUGCCGAAUUCCAUAACUCACCAACUCAAAUCCGUACUAUCAAGCCCUCAGCUUCCUCCCGAUGGGACCGUCCUCUGGGCAACUCUAACCCAGUGAUGACAACUUCGAAGCUCAUCGGUCGAGGGGGUACGACCACCCUCAAGCCAAAACUUAUAGGCGAGUAUGAUCAAUCCUUAACUUUAAAGAUUCCAAUGCUCAUAUGACCCUUAACUUUAAGGUUGUUAUGUCAUAAUAUCAACUAUGUCAUUUACUUGCAUUCUCUAACUUUCAUUAAUGCCACUCACACUAUACGCUCUUUAUGCUCAUUCACAUUCGUUCUUGAUUCAUUAAUGCCACACUUGUACUUUAGCAUUCUUGACCCAUAAAUAUCACUAUUGUAACACUAGCAUCCAAACUCAUGGUGUAACAUACCAGAUUUUGGUAUAAAAAUAAAAAUAAAUAAAAAUAGUGUGAGAAACUAUUUUUAUUGGAUUUAUAGAAAUAAAACAUAAGUCAGAAGUGACUUGUGCUAAAAUCGGAAUGAAAACAGAAAAUCUAGAAUUUUCUGUUGGAAACGGGAUAGAUAAAUUAGCAGAAAAUGCACAGUCUCAGAAAAUUAUGAAAACUGGAGGAUAAGUCAGAAAUAUUUUUAUGAGACUAGAUUUAAAGUUUCAUAUUUUUCUGACACCCGAAAGGUGAAAAAUAAAAUCCGACAGCUAUCUGAUAAAGAUUACAGUUCGGUACAGUUUUCAGUGACCAAACGAGGUCGAAACUGAAAACUUAAGAUAUAUUCUUACUCAGUACGUUAAACUGAGUCUGCCUGUCAAAUUUGAGCUCAAACGGAUAUUCAGAAGGACUCCAACUGUUCUGAACUGCUAAACUGCCCUGGAAUGAAUAGUGUUGUGGUGUUGACUAAAGAGGAGUGUUGACUCUUCUUCUUCUAAUUCAGCCGCACACACGCCACACACACACGCGCGCAUGGAGCGGGAGAGGGAAACCCUCCCUUCUCUCUCUAAAUAUCUCUCUCAUCUCUCUAAAUCUCUCUCUAAAAAUUGGAGGGUUGGCGGAGAGCGAGCUUGCGAACGCAUUGGAGGCGACGGAUCGAGCUUUCGUGCGCCCGUUGGAGCGGCGUGUUUUCGUCGCGGCGUUCACAAUGUGAUAAGAUUUUGGGAUUUGGCUUAAUCCUUCACAUUAAGUGUUCUAAUAACCUCUAAUGAGCUUUGUUAGCAUAUUGCUACAUUUAAUUUGGGUUAAAUGGAGGUUAAUUCAUGUUAGGGCUCAAAAAUGGAGUUUUGUAAAAUAUGGGGGUUUGAUCUAAUUUGACCCUUCGUAAACCUAAUUGCUAGGUAACCGAACGCGUUGGCGAAGUCGGUUCGGCGAUUCGUCGAGCCGUUGCGAAGUUAUUAAAGAAACGGACGUUUAGGCUUCGUUUCCGCCUGGAGGGCCGAGGCGACAUCGUAAACUCAUGAAAAUAGAUUUGAAGUAUCGUGGCACAUAACCGAAGACCUUUAAUUUCCGGAUCGUGGAUUGGAGGUCGUUCGGGUAGUCGCGCGAGAGAUCGGGCCAAACCGGGUGCCGGGUGCCGCGGGAGGCCGAUUGCAAGUGUCGACAAGCAAUCGGAAUGCGAAAUGAGGUGGGUUGUGCUUACCGAAGCGAUUAGAUCGCCUGUAUGUCUAAGUAAAGUGAAUUCAUGUUGAUGCAUGUAAAUAGUGCUAGAUGAAUGCAUUGAUUAAUGCUAAAGUAUACAUGAUAAGCAUGCAUGUGGAUAAUGCUAAGUAAUGGUAUGAUAAGCAUGAUAUAGAAAUAAUAAAUGCAAGCAUGAGGUUAAUGCUAAGAAUAUAGAUGAUGACAUGAUAAAAAUGCUAAGUCCAUAUAUGACAAGCAUGUUUUAGGAAUGCUAAAAUAAGAAUGCUAAGUAAAGGACAUAUCAUGUGAUGCUAGUGGUAUAUAUGCAUGUUGACAUUUACACGUUAAACUUGGGGUCGAUAACUCUAGGUUAAUUAGAGAACUCGACAUUGGAAAACUAGUGUAAUGCAUAAUGAUAAGUUGUAAAGAAUGCUAGUUUGGACAAUCUAUAUACAUUAGAUCGAGUGGCAUUAAACCUAGUGUUAAAGAACAUAGGUUGGAUAAGAACCUAGUGUUAGAGAACAUAGGUUGGACAAGAACCUAGUGUUAAAGAACAUAGGUUGGACAAGAACCUAGUGUUAAAGAACAUAGGUGGGACAUGAAUCUAGUGUUCAAGAACAUAGGUGGAGAAUGAACCUAGAGGUAAUUAAAUCUAGAGUCAAGUAAACCUAUGUUAUUGCAAGUGUGGCCUAGAGAGUGGCAUAUGUGACAAGGUAGGACCUGGUUAAGUCAUUGUGGCUAUAUGUAUUCCCAAAUUCGGAAUUGGAUCAUACUCACAUUGGUUCCGGCUUGAGGGAGGUAGCUCCUCCUCAAGCGAUGUACUCCGGAGUGUAGACACCACGGGGAGAGUAUCCCGGCGAAGAUCCCUCGGGUGGUAGUGCCAAGUGCCUCCUCCGGUAGACGGGAUAUAUGGAUUGUGAGCUUGGGGUAACAAGUGUUAACCGAGAUAAUUGGGUAAAGGCCAAAGUGAAUGUGUGAAAAUAGGCAUUAUAAGCUAUGGAUUUGGUAUUCCAGUUGAGUGGAUUUAUGGCUGAGGUGCAUGUGGGACGUUCUUCACCUCGAGCCUGGAUGUAUGCGGUAUCCCGCAGAUGAUUGACUCGAGAUCGAGUCGGAUGGUUAGCUUAGCUAGGGUAGAGGAAAACCUUAGGAGCAAAUAACAAAUGAUGUAAAGUGACAAGAUGUAUAAAUUAUGAAAAAGCUAUGGAUAGCAUGAUAGAAAUUAAAAUCAUUUAUUCUACUUGUAUAGUUGCAUGAUUCGCAUAUAGCAUGGCAUUAUUGCAUUCGUGAGGCAAAGCAUGGUUUUAUUAGUUGCAUAAUAAAGAUAUAUAUCUAUCUGCUUAUUGAACUAACUUGCAGUUGCCUCCCUUGGGCCUAUUGGUCGAGCUUUUUCCUUGGGUGACCGUACCCACUGGAAACCAUGGAGUUGGUUCUCACCCCACGUUGUUUUAGGGUGUUACAGGUUCACACGUGAGCGGCGCGGCGGCGCGAGGCGAGGGCGUAGCUCCAUAGUUGGCGCCCUACCACCGAGACCAGAGAUAGCGGUACCCUGAGUCGGCCUUUACUUAGGGAUGUAAGAAAAUGAAAAGAAUCAAGUUGUAAUUAUUUGUAAUAAAAGUUUGAUUGUAUUUGGAAGUUAAAUGUAAUUUGUAAUUAUGAUGUAAAAUAUAUCUAGUGAAUGUGAAUGCUUGUAAUAGCAAGUAAAUUAUGUUUUUGAUACUUCCUUAUGCAAUCUUUAAUUGAAAUGUGUUCCUGGUUGGAACUUUAUACAUUAUAUUGAUUGCGACGCCUUGAAUGUACAUGGGAGACUCUAUCCGCGGUACAGGGGAAACCCUGUCCGUUCGGCAGUCUGUUGCGGCGCCGCGACCCGGCCAAAUAGGCGGGCGGUCGCGGGGCGUGACACAUGGAUGCCACAUCCCUUGAUGUUCAACUCUAGCAUUCAAGACUCGUUAAUGCCACUCUCUAUAUUUAUGUCAUAAUAUCAUUUGUUCUUAUUGUCACUAAGUUCUUUGCCUUUUAUAUGUUCUUUUCAUUGUUCAUGCAUACAUAGGGUUUACUAGUUCUCAUUAGUUUACAAUCAUCUCAUAUGCAUUUGUACUCAUAACAUGCAACAAAGGCUCUCAAAUAAAUCCUACUAUGCACAAUGCUCAAUAUACAUAUAUGCUAAAAAAUGACACUUUAGAUAUAAAAGAAAAUUCAAUGAUUUCGGAAUGCACCACUCACCUCGUAUGGAUGUAAAAGCGCUAUGGUUCAAAUCUCACAAUUUUUGGGCUCCUAUUCUCUCGCCUGCGGCAAAACGAAGCAAAAUUAGGCUUUUUACCCAAUAUCAUUACGUAGACUCGUCGGAUCUCCGAACCGAAUUCAUAUUUUAGUUAGAAAUAUCCCUAAUUUAGUUUCUACAAGGUCAAUUUGCCUCAAAACCAACCUAGGGCAAAAGCUCCAGUUUUGGUGCCCUAACAAUGUCAUUUUACAAUUUUUCUUGGAUUGAUCUUAGAACUAAACAAAAACUAGCUUAGAACCAUCUAAGAAACUUUUCUAAAACCAUUUCUAGGUCAUUUGAAUCAUUCCUAGGGCAUCUAACAUGAACCCUAGAAAUCCACCAUGAGAGCACAUGAAGAAAACAUGAAUUUUCAUGUGUUUAUGGCCUCUACUAGGUUUCUAGCCUUGCAAGAAGAUCAAAACUCAAAGAUUUAGGGUAUAAAUCAAACCCUAGCAUCAUUCUUGUAUAAAAACUCACCUUAGCCUAAGAGCACUCCAAGGUCCACCUUGUAGGAGAGUUUCCAAGCCUUCAAAAGCUCCAAAACCUCCAAAUCCUUCUCAAAUCUCCACCAAAACCACCUUGGGGAAGAGUUUCUAGAGAGAGAGAGGGAGAAAAGAGAGAGAAAGUGUGUUCUCAACUGCUGUGAACAAGAGAGGGGUGUUGGGGUCUUAUAUAGGCUGCUACAAUUGCAGUUAGGCCCUCCCCAACUUCAUAUUUGCAGCAGACCUCAACCUGCUGCGAAAUGCACUGCGUACUAGUACACGGGAUCCUGUCACCGGUUUAACAGUUACGCAGCAGCCAAACCCGAGAGCUGCCUCUCUCGGUCAGCAGUCUGGUAUUGGUACCACCCGAUUUUGUCACCGGUUCAACAGCCUUUUUUAUUCAAACCCGAGAGUUGCUUCUCUCGGCCUGAUGCCUAGUACCGGUACAAGGUCAAUACAUUACCGGUGACAAAAGCUCCAGACUUGAGUUUUGCACCGUUUCGACUCUAAUUUGCGCCGAGCAAUGCUAAAACCUUUCUAACUCCUUUGGAACUCAACUUUAACCCUUCCAACCUUGUUGGAAUGUUAAAUUGACUUUGUCCAACUAUUUCUUUCGCACACUUUAGUCGAUUCGGCUAAAGUUCGAUAUACACUACCGAAGUUUCGGUAUAUUACACACUUAGAUGAAAUAUAUCUCCCUUGUUAGAUAGGGUGUUAGUCCUAUGUGAUUUAUGAGACCUUAUUUAGAAGACCUUGGCCAGGGCAGAGUUAAUAGCGGAAAAGGGUUUCCGAUAUUAGAAACUCAAGUCGAAUAAAUUUAACACAUGACAGACGAUGGGGUUUGACGAGUUAUUCCAUGACCUCCGUCUAGUCGGGACUCUUGAUAGAAGGACUGUAUCAUACGGUAACUCCACCAAGAGGUUCAGUAUUCCAUUCUACUGGAAUGCCACUACAUGCUGCUAGGCGUCACUGGUGGAUUAUGAGACUCAUGAGGAUUAUUUAGAUGAUCGAUAAUUCUUAUUGGGCUGAGUUGGAAUUGUUUCGAUCCACUGAAAGGAGUUUCAGUGAUAUUGUUAAUAGUGAUCAAAAUAUAUCUCACUCCCAGAUAGAAUAGAACCUAUGGGGUCACACACAUAAGAGGUUGUGAUUGAUUGGAUAGCUAGAUUGCGAUUAUUGAAUCGCCGAAGGACCUAAUUGACAAUAUGUUGAUAAUUGGACUAAUUUGUAAUUAUUACAAAUUAGUGGUAUUAAGGUGUAAAUGUUACAAGAGAGGACUUACUAAUGUUAGUAAAUUAUGAGAAGACUUAUGUGCAAAUAUUGCAUUAUUAAUUUAAUAUGAUCAAAUUAAGAUAAAUUUCAAGUCGAAUCAAAUUAGGAUUUGAUCGAAAUAAUCAAUUAAGGAAAUGAUAAAUUUAAAUCUAAAUUUGUAUUUAUCCUUAAUAGUCAUUAUGUUAUUAAAAAGAGGAUUAUAUAUUCCUCCAUAUAUAAUAUACGGGAGUUUUAAGAAAACCCUAGCCGUCAUCUCUCUUCUCCUCUCUCUUCCAUAUUUUAGCAAGCAAAUCCACAAGAUACACAUGUGAAAUAAAGAGAGUACUUUACUAACUAUUACAAUAGUCAUCAUUUUCAUUUACAUCAUUUUCUUUAAAUGAAUACAUUUUCCAUUUCAAAAUACAUAGCUCUCCCAAAUCCUCACCUACAAUGAAUCUCUCUCAAUACAUAGGUAAACUAAUGCAAAAAGGAAAGCUACUAUACUACCACGGUCUCACUGGUCGGGCGCGAUGCCCUUGCAGCGGUCCUCUCUCAGCAGCCCUGUACCUACCACUGGAAAUAGAGUGGGGUGAGAACUAUCUUCCAUAGUUUCCAGUAGGCUCGGCCACCGACUCUGCCGAUCUCCCCACUAAGUCCAAGUGGGCACAAGUAACAACAGAUAGAUAGAUAGAUAGAUAUCUGAAAGCUGUAAAUGCAAUAGUAGGAAAUUAUGCUACUAUGCCCAUAAUCAUGUGAAAUGAAUGCAUGCAUCAUUUAGUAAAAGUUUACUAUUAUGCUAACAAGUUCGAUCCAUGUUCGAAUAGUAAUGUUCAAUGACAUUUUAAACCUUUAACUUUUCAUUUACCCAAUCUGUGGCGAGGUCCUAGGGCUCGCCUAUAACUCACCUUUUAAUCCCAAAGUGGGGAGGGAGCUCCAUGUGCACCCAAGCCCGGGACCGUCUGCGGACCUCCAUGUGGUCCGGACCUCCAAGUGGUUCUAAUCGCCCGACACUCCGGAGUACUCGACAACAAUCCCCUCCAUGUGGGGAUAUGGAUGGCUAUACCACCCCAAAAGCAGACUGUGAGCUAGAUCUAUCCUCUCCAAGUGAGGAUGCCCGACAUCUAGGGUCAACAACUCAAUCAAGUCCUCUCCAAGUGAGGAUGCUCUAUAACUAGAGUCAAUACCCAAUCGAAUCGUCUCCAAGUGAGGAAGCACUAUCACUAGGGUCCACAACCCAAUCAAAUCCUCUCCAAGUGAGGAUGCUCUACAACUAGGGUCAACAUUUCUCGCGGGAUCAUUUGUUCCCGACAUUCAUGCAAUGCUAUUUAGCUUUUCUAAAUUCAUUGUUCACAAGGCAUUUUCUAAGGGAUCCGCCUAUCCCUAGGUCCAUCGACCUCUAGUGUCAUUUCACUACAUUAAUGCCACUCGUCAUCAUUUAACAUUUGGAUGCCACUCAAUUGUUCUUUGACAAUAACACUGCUUUCUAUGUCAUCAACACCCCCAUCGGGUUCAUCUCUAUCUCUAGCAUCAUAGGAUCCACGUUCCGACCAAAUCCUCACCUAUCUAAGUCACCAAGAGUUCCAAGUACACUAGGUUAUCAUUUAAAAAGCAUAAGGAAGGGAGCUACUAUGCAAUCCUACAAUGCAACAGGAAGAGAUGAGAUUAAAUACAAUUUAAGACAUAGAAAGGAGUUCGAAACCUUCGGGAUGGCACCCCCCACCUUUAAUCAAUGUAGAGGCUUUUGAUAUUCUUCUCGGCGAACUUAACGAAAAGGCUUUAGCCUUCUUUGCCCAAAUCAACACUAACCUGGCCCUGUUUUGCCGAGAACUUCACGCCGGCUCGCCGAAUGCCAAAACCGACUUCGCCCCCACGAUUCGUGACCUAACAACAAGGUUUCCAAGGCUUCAAAUGAGAUCAAUCUCAUACUUUCACAAAAACCCCAUUUUGGAGCCCUAGGUUUGCACAUAUAGCAAACCACCAAUAAAUCCCUAGAUUCAUAGGAUUGAUCUACUUAGAAGCAUGCUUAGGGUUCAUUUGACCAAUUCCAAAGCAUAAAAACCCAAAACUCCAAAGUUUAGAAGCUAGGGUUCAAGAGCCUACCUGUUGUGCUACACCAAAGAGAAGAGGAGAGGGAGAUGAAGGUGUCCAAGGCCUUCCUCUUGAUCUCCUUCUUCUUCUCCUUCUUGUUCCUCUCCUUCUUUUCCUUCCUCUCCUUCUUCUUCUUCUUCUUCUUCUUCUCCUUUCUUUUCUAGAGAGAGAGAGAGCAAGAGAGAAAGAGAGAGUGAAAUGAGAUGAGUGUGAGGGAGAGAGAGGGCUCAGCCCACUCUAAUAAAGGCCAUUUUGCAUAAAAACCCCUCAACUUUCCAUCCAUUGCGCAGCCCUUACUGGGCAAUUUUCACGCGGAGGGCCCAGUCUCCCCGACUUGGGACCGGUCCCCGAGAGCUUCCCUCGGGCGCACGCGUUCGGGAACCGGUCUCUCCCCGGGAGACCGGUCCUCGGGAGACCGGUCCUCGCCUGAGAGACCGGUCCCCGAGAGUUCGAUUUUCAGGACUUAGCCAAAUUUCGGCAUUUCUCGCUGGGACCACGUUCGGGAACCGGUCCCUCCCUACCAGGGACCGGUUGCACCAAGCAACCCCGCUACACCCAGCCGAGGGAACCGGUCUCUCACCUCCAGAGAUCGGUCCCCGAGAGCAACAUCAGCCCAAAAAUGCAGUUUGCACCAUUUGCUCUCGCGGACUCAACUCCAAAGCACUUUUUGUGUUUUGGACAUUCUUAACUCCCACAAAAGGUAUUCUCUCGACAGUCAGUCGAUCCUGGAUGAAGU
rnacentral:lncRNA from 1 species